AUUCAAACAGUAGAAACAUUUCAUUCUCAGGAUUAAGCAAGUGCUCAUCCACACAAAGCAAACAGACUUAAUUCAAUGCGAAACCCCAGGAUUACAACAAGAAAUCCAUGCUUAAACUCAGGGAAUGAAACAGUAGAAACAUUUCAUUCUCAGGAUUAAGCAAGUGCUCAUCCACACAUAGCAAACAGACUUAAUUCAUGCUUAAACUCAGGAUUACAACAAGAAAUCCAUGCUUAAACUCAGGGAUUCAAACAGUAGAAACAAUUCAUUCUCAGGAUUAAGCAAGUGCUCAUCAACACAUAGCAAACAGACUUAAUUCCAUGCAAAACCUCAGGAUUACAACAAGAAAUCCAUGCUUAAACUCAGGGAUUCAAACAGUAGAAACAUUUCAUUCUCAGGAUUAAGCAAGUACUCAUCCACACAUAACAAACAGACUUAAUUCCAUGCAAAACCUCAGGAUUACAACAAGCAAUCCAAACCUCAGGGAUUGAAACAGUAGAAACAUUUCGUUUUCAGGAUUAAACAAGUACUCAUCCAGACCUAGCAAACAGACUUAAUUCCUACUCUUGGGAGGCAACAGAAUCACGCGGGGCUCCAUUCUCAUCACAAACAGCCCCGGGCACCAACGCUAGCAUACUUCUCUGGNNNNNNNNNNAGAUUUGUGAGAGGCCGCCUACGCAAGAUUUGACGGUAUGCUAGCCCCCGUAGGCCGCCGGCCACAGUCGUAGACGUGCGAAGAGCAAUCCGCGUAGAGGGAAGUGUUCAUAUACUUCUCCAUCACAAAAAAUUAUGAAAAAUUACCAUCAGUCCUAUAGCACAUGUGCCCACGUUGUGUAAAAAACUCAUGAUUUUAUCGCGCUCCAAGUAUUUAAUAAUAUUCACGCUGCAUCGUUACCGCAGAACGUCUACUACCGUUUCAUUGCCGUCUGUGAGGGGGGGCCACAACCCGGAGAUGCGUGCCGCCUCUUCGGACAUGCCACAACACCACCCGCAUGUAUGAGGGGCCGGUACGACCCUUCGGUGGCAUUGCUACCCCCCAGGGCCCCCGUCCCGCCUAACCCUGUAGCGUUUGACCACGGGAUCUAGCCCUUUGACUUUGCACGGACGGGGAUUUGACCAGUGGACCUCUCCACCCGGUUGUGUUAGGUCGGCCCAGAGGAACACUUUCGAGCAACAUCCGGGCCAAACCCACAGCUACAUCCACUCCGUGUAGACCCGACGCGUCCGUUUCCCCCCUCCAGGUGCCGGCGGCGGCGACGUCCGUGAGGGGGGGGGCACGCACCGGAGACGCGUGCUGGGCGUUUGCAACCGCCUCAACACUUCCAGAUUUGUGAGAGGCCGCCUACGGAAGAUUUGACGGUAUGCUAGCCCCCGGAGGCCGCCGGCCACAGUCGUAGACGUGCGAAGAGCAAUCCGCAUAGAGGGAAGUGUUCAGAUACUUCUCCAUCACAAAAAAUUAUGAAAAAUUACCAUCUGUCCUAUAGCACAUGUGCCCAUGUUGUGUAAAAAAACUCAUUAUUUUAUCGCGCUCCAAGUAUUUAAUAAUAUUCACGCUGCAUCGUUACCGCAGAACGUCUACUAUCGUUUCAUUGCCGUCCGUGAGGGGGGCCACAACCCGGAGAUGCGUGCCGCCUCUUCGGACAUGCCACAACACCACCCCGCAUGUAUGAGGGCCCGGUACGAUGCUCCGUUGGCAUUGCUACCCCCUCAGGGCCCCCGUCCCGCCUAACCCUGUAGCGUUUGACCAUGGGAUCUAGCCCUUUGACUUUGCACGGACGGGCUUUGACCAGUCGACCUCUCCACCUGGUUGUGUUAGGUCGGCCCAGAUGGACACCGGGAAGCAACAUCCGGGCCAGGCCCACAGCUACAUCCACUNNNNNNNNNNUUCAUUCUCAGGAUUAAGCAAGUACUCAUCCACACAUAACAAACAGACUUAAUUCCAUGCAAAACCUCAGGAUUACAACAAGCAAUCCAAACCUCAGGGAUUGAAACAGUAGAAACAUUUCGUUUUCAGGAUUAAACAAGUACUCAUCCAGACCUAGCAAACAGACUUAAUUCCUACUCUUGGGAGGCAACAGAAUCACGCGGGGCUCCAUUCUCAUCACAAACAGCCCCGGGCACCAACGCUAGCAUACUUCUCUGGCACUCCUCGGUGUUGCUGUACUCAUCAAGGAAGUUAUCCAUGCCUAUGUGCAAGGCCCUGCCCAUUUCAUGCCACAAGAAAAGGGCCAUCGAGAUUGGUGGCCUAGCCUGCUUGAGCUCCUCCGGCAACUUAUCCCCCACCUUCAAGCCCAUGUCAAGAUGGCGCUUGACAUAGGCAGCAUCACGGCGCUGGAAGACGAUUCGGCUGACUAGACGUGCGGCCAGACACCUCCGCCUGAAAAGAAGUUCGUCGCGCAGCUCCCUGUGUAUCUGGAAAAGAUCUUCUAACUCAUCGAGCCCUGACCGGUGCUGCUCCUUCAACUCCUUGAUCUUGUUCCUCUCCUCAUCCGUCAUCGGCACAGGGCGGCGCAUCUUCUUCCCUGCAACGGUACCAAAGUCAAAGACCACAGGAUGGUGAAACUGCUACCCCUCCAAGGGUACUCGCAUAUUAAUUUUAUGAAUUUUAUUUAGGGGUUUGAGGGUGGGGAUUGGACCUGGAUUGACGAGGUUCUCAGUAGCGGUGUUGGGCGCAGGGCGGGCGAGUGGCUUGUCCUUUUCCGGGGGCGGCAAGCACGAGUCCAUCUCCUUCCCUGCUAGAAGCCGAACAUAGCAAUUAUUACAGGGACGAAGGGGCAAAAGUAAACCCUAACUUUUUGACGGUGGCAGGGGUCAAGAUUCAACCAGUCUUGGCGAGGAAAGCAGGAGCAACGGCGGCCGGAAGGAUGGCAUCAUCCUUCCCCUUCUCCAGCUCCGGCAGGAACGCGCCACUCUCCUUCCCUGCGAGAAGCCGAACAGAGCAGUUACAGAGAUGAGGGUAAACCAUAGCUUUUUGACGGUGGCGGGGGUGAGGAUUCGACCUGGCUUGGCGAGGACAGCAGGAGCAAUAGCGGGCGGGAGGAUGGCAGCAUCCUUCCCCUUCUCCAGCUCCGGCAGGAACGCGCCCCUCUCCUUCCCUGCGAGAAGCCGAACAGAGCAGUUAGAAAUGAGGAACCCUAGCUUUUUUGGCGGCGGCGGCGGCGGCGGCUGCGAGGAUGGAGGGGGUACGGGUGAACGAGGCUAACCUGGAUCGGUGGUCACCGCCGCCGCGGCGGCGGCGGCGGCGGGCGGUGCUCUGGUGCAGGUGGCCAUGACGUCAACGGCGAGGAGGCAGAGAAGGGAGGGACUGGUUGGUGCGAAUGCGAUGCGUGUGUGGUGCUGGAUGCGGCCAGCCGAUCACGGACGACGUUAUAUGCGCUCUCUAGACGGGCCGAGUUGGGCUGGGACGCUGGGUGCUCUAACUCUUCUUUUUUUUUAUCUCAGGGUGCUCAAGAAGGAUUUGUCCUAUCUUCCCUCUCGUUAGGGUUCAUCGUCCUCUCGGCGGCACACCGUCGUUGAGAUUUUCUACUCCCUUGUCAAGGAUCUAGCUAGUGACUACUCGGGAUGAAUCAAGGCGGUCUCUGUACCACUACCCGGCCUUGGUAGGUACCUGGUUUGGAGCCUUCGGAAGGAGAGGGUUUCUGUUUCCGAUAUUGGUCGAGAGUGGCGAUGCCAUGGCGUCCCAAGGAGAUGGAUCCUCUUCGUGGGCGAAGGGGAAGGGUAAGAUGGAGGAGCUGAUGAAAGAGCUAGGCCUUGGAGAGGAUGACUUAGAUGACGUCAUGUUUGAGAAAGAAGCUUUCGGCAACAAUUCCAGAAAAAAGGAAUAGGUAUUUUAGCUAGGUCAUAUGGAGGAUCUGCGAUGCAUGAUAAUCAUUACGAUGCAUAUGGACAGGGACUUUAGCACCUAUUGGUUUUUCAAAAACAUGCGUACUGCAUAGGAUCCCGCACGCCGUGUGAAGAUUUGAACCCUAGAGCCGAUUAUGUCUAUAGGUGGGCGAGUUCAUUGAUGUUGAGCCAUCAUCGUUUGAUUUCCAAGGCAACUUCUACGGGUCAGAAUCAUACUUGAUGUCCACAAGCUGCUCAACAAAGCUACUUCUAAUCAAAGGAGGACAAAGGGAAAUCUUCGCGGUGAAGUACGAGCGCCUUCCGAAUUGGUUUCAGGUUUGCGGCAUGAUGGGCCAUUAGUUCAAGGAACAUGGAGAUGGCAUUGCCUCAGCUCUCAUUUUCAAAAACCUUCGUGCAUCGAUAACUACUUGCUGGGGUACAAGGACACGCGUCAAGGGGGCAAGAUGCAUCAGUUGUGAUGAUGUGUUCGGUGGUGCAAGCGUUCGAGAUUUUGUUUCCGAAGACAAAGCGAAGAACCAAGAUGCUGAGAUGAAGGACACUGACCCUUGCCAGAAGCGCUCUUUAGAUGAUACUAUUGAUCCGAAGUCCCCUGCUACCCUAGGAACUAAACUUUUCAGGUGGGGCGGCAAUGGUGGCACUAUUGCUUUACUGGCGCCUCCGGGGAGUGGGAUGCCUCCCAACCCACCGCCAAAACAUGAUCCAAAGAGGCCCAAGACGAUGCACGCAAAAAUGAGAGAAGCAAUUCAUGAGGUGGGAAGAUGUUGGAUGUGGUUGUAAAGGACAAUGAUGUGUGAUUGACGGCCUCCCCGAUGAAGGACCGCCGGACGCAAUGAGUCUUCUCUAUUGGAACUGUCGGGGUAUCGACAACCCCCCACUAGUAGAAAAAGGGCCUAAUGUUCAGCUCAUUAGUCCCGAUUUGUAAAUGAACCGACACUAAUGUGACCAUUAGUGCGGGUUCCAAUGGCUAGGCGGGCGGCGCUCAUUAGUCCCGGUUCGUGGCGAACCUCUAGUACCGGUUCAUGCCACAAACCAGGACAAAAGAGGUAGUGGCAGGCUGGUGUCAGGCUGGGGCCCCACCAACACCUUUAGUCCUGGUUCGUGGCACGAACCGGGACUAGAGCCCACCUCGUCCCGGUUGGUAUAACCAACCGGGAUUAAAGAUCAUCCUAUAUAAACCCUUCGUCGAGCUCGAGCUCUCUGUACUUCCCCUUUCCUCUCCUCUCUGUUUUCUUCCUCUCCUCUCGAGCUCAUCCUCCAUUUUUGCCAAAAUUUGUCAAAAUUUAAAGGCACCCCAUCCAUCCAAGUGAUCACAAAGGUGAGCAACUUUGCCCUUUCAUCUCUCAUUGCUAGAUUAGCUAUUGCAAUGCUCUAUAAGUAUAGUGAUUUGUGGGUUUUAGUUUGGGAGGAAUUAUAUGUGGUAGUAUAUUUGAUUUUAUAUGCAAUUUGAGCUCAAAAUAACUCUUAGUUUGCAUAUGAAGGUGUGGUUUACUUAGUGCCUUCCCGUCUUCGUCCUAACCACCGUCGAUCGUCUGCACCGUCCCAUCGCCGGCACCACCUUGUGGUGAACCUCUUGUUCUUAUCUUUUUUAUAUAAAAAAUCAUGUUUGUGUGAUUUAGAUAUAUAGUUACUUGUAUAAUUUUCUUACCCGUACGUUGUUUGUUAUACAUAGUGCCAUGGUUUUGAUAUCCGUCCCCGUCGGCCCUCGUCCGGUUUAUGAUUCGGAUGUGGUGUAUUCUCUUUUAUAACUAUUUGUUGAAUUUCGUGUUUAUGACAAAUUAUGCCCAUCAAGUUGACAUAUAUAUUUUUAUCUAGGAGGUAUGUGAACCGAAAAUUCCAACCGACCCUAUUGUCGAGAGGUUAAAUUUAGUUGAAAAGGCAAAUGAGUAUUUGAAAGAAAAAUUGAAAAGAAUUGAGGAGGAGAAGAUGGAAUUGGAGUUGCAUGUUGUCGAUGUCGUCGAUGAUCACAAGAUCAAGAUGGAGAAAAUGCGCUUGAAGAUUAGAAAGAUUAGAAAAUAUGCCAUUGAUAGUGAGGCUUGGUAUCAUUAUGUUGUUGGAUCAAUUGUUACCUUAGUUGCGAUCUUGAUCGCAUUUGUUGUUGCAUUUAAAUGCUUUAGCUACAGAGUUUUUAUGUUGUUUUAUGAGAAUAAGUGUGUAUGAACUUGUAUUAAUUUGGUCUUUUCGGUGUUGUGUAAUGAUGAUAAGCCGGCAAUGGAUGUACGAUGACCGAUGCUCUCCCAGUUCGUUAAUGGCGUGCGUACUUUUCUGCUUGCGGCUGAGGCAAACAAGCGAGCGGAUGGUUUUAUGUCUUGUCCAUGUGUUGGCUGUAAGAAUGAUCACAAUUACUCUAACUCAAGAACCAUUCACUAGCACCUGUUUGAGUCCGGUUUCAUGCCCCACUAUAAUGUUUGGACCAAGCACGGAGAAAGAGGGGUUAUGAUGGAAGACGAUGAAGAAGAAAAGGACGACGACAUCUAUCCUGGCCAUGGGUUCCCUGAAUACGGUGGUACAACUAUGGGGGAAGAAGCUGAGCCGGCAAUGCGGGAAGAAGCUGAAGAAGAGGCAUCAGAUGAGCCCGCUGAUGAUCUAGGUCGGGCCAUUGCCGAUACAAAGAGAAACUGCACAAGUGAAAAGGAGAGGCUGAAGUUGCAGCGCAUGUUAGAGGAUCACAAGAAAUUAUUGUACCAAAUUGUGAAGAUGACAAGAAAAAGCUGGGCACCACACUGGAAUUGCUACAAUGAAAGGCAGAGAAUGGUGCAUCUGACAAGGGAUUUCGAAACUUGCUGAUAAUGUUAAAGAAGAUGCUUCCAAAGGACAAUGAAUUGCCCGAGAGUACGUACGAAGCAAAGAAGGUUAUCUGCCCUCUAGGAUUAGAGGUGCAGAAGAUACAUGCAUGCCCUAAUGACUGCAUCCUCAACCGCGGUGAGUACGAGUAUUUGAACAUGUGCCCGGUAUGCGGUGCAAUGCGCUAUAAGAUCAACCGCAAUGACCCUGGUGAUGUCGGGGGCGAGCGCCCCAGGAAGAAGAUUCCUGCCAAGGUGAUGUGGUAUGCUCCUAUAAUACCACGGUUGAAAUGUUUAUUCCAAAACAAAGAGCAUGCCAAGUUGAUGUGAUGGCACGAAGAAGACCGUAAGAAAGACGGGAAGUUGAGAGUACCCGCUGACGGGUCGUAGUGGAGAAAAAUCGAGAGGAAGUGGGGGGGACUUUGCAGGUGACGCAAGGAACGUAUGGUUUGGUCUAAGCGCAGAUGGCAUUAAUCCUUUUGGGGAGCAGAGCAGCAAUCAUAGCACCUUGCCUGUGACUCUAUGUAUGUAUAACCUUCCUCCUUGGUUGUGCAUGAAGCGGAAGUUCAUUAUGAUGCCAGUGCUCAUCCAAGGCCCUAAGCAACCUGGCAACGACAUUGAUGUGUACCUAAGUCCAUUAGUUGAAGAACUCUUACAGCUGUGGAAUGGAAAAAGUGUACGUGUGUGGGAUGAGCUCGAUCAGGACAAAUUUGACCUACAUGUGUUGCUGUUUGUGACCAUCAAUGAUUGGACUGCUCUCAGUAACCUUUCAGGACAGACAAACAAGGGAUACCGCGCAUGCACGCAUUGUUUGGAUGAUACCGACAAUAUAUAUUUGGAUAAUUGUAAGAAGAAUGUGUACCUGUGACAUCAUCGAUUUCUUCUGAGCAGGCAUCUCGUAAGAAAUAAAGGCAAGCAUUUCAAAGGUUAGGCGGAUCAUCGGACGAAGCCUCGCCACCGUACUGGUGAUGAUGUACAUGAUAUGGUCAAGGAUUUGAAGGUAAUCUUUGAAAAGGGUCCUGGCGGACAAUCUGUUCCGAAUGAUGCUGACGGACGCGCACCAUGCGGAAGAAGAAAUCUAUAUUUUGGGACCUACCCUAUUGGAAAGACCUAGAGGUCCGCUCUGCAAUCGACGUGAUGCACAUGACGAAGAAUCUUUGCGUGACCCUUCUUGGCUUCUUGGGCGUGUAUGGGAAGACAAAAGAUACACCGGAGGCACGGGAGGACCAGCAAUGUAUGCACGGAAAAGACGGCAUACACCAGGGUCAUGCCAGCUACGCUCUUACCAAAGAAGAGAAGGGAAUCUUCUUUGAAUGCCUGCUCACUAUGAAGGUCACGUUUGGCUUCUCGUUGAAUAUAAAGGGAAUAAUAAAUAUGGCAAAGAAAAAGUUCCAAAACCUAAAGUCUCAUGACUGCACGUGAUUAUGACGCAACUGCUUCCGGUUGCAUUGAGGGGGCUUCUACCGGAAAACGUUCAAUUGGCCAUUGUGAAGCUAUGUGCAUUCCUCAAUGCAAUCUCUCGGAAGGUAAUCGAUCCAGAAAUCAUACCAAGGUUAGAGAAUGAUUUGGUGCAAUGUCUUGUCAGUUUCAAGUUGGUGUUCCCACCAUCAUUCUUCAACAUCAUGACGCACGUCCUGGUUCACCUAUGCGAAGAGAUUAACAUUCUGGGUCCUGUAUUUCUACAUAAUAUGUUCCCCUUUGAGAGGUUCAUGGGAGUCUUAAAGAAAUAUGUUCAUAACUGUGCUAGGCCAGAAGGAAGCAUCUCCAAGGGCCAUGAAAAUGAGGAGGUCAUUGAGUUUUGUAUUGACUUUAUUCCUGACCUUAAGUCGAUUGGUGUUCCUGAAUCGCGACAUAAGGGCAGAUUGGGUGGAAAUGGCACGCUAGGACCGAAACAAAUAAUAUGUAUGGACGGGCAUUCUCUCACUCAAGCACACUACACAGUUCUACAAAAUUCCGCCUUGGUGGCUCCGUAUAUGGCGGAACACAAGAAUAUUCUACGCUCCAAACACCCGGAGCAGUCUGACGACUGGAUUACACGUGAACAAACGGGGACUUUCGGCAGUUGGUUGGAGACACGUGCCAUGCAUGACGACGCUAUUGAAGAUGACAUGUACUUGCUGUCCCAGUUACCGUCUUCGAAUAUAAUGACUUUCAAAGGGUACGAGAUAAAUGGGAAUACAUUUUACAUGAUCAACCAAGAUAAGAAGAGCACCAACCAAAACAGUGGUGUCCGCUUUGAUGCAGCAACCAAGAGGGGAAAGGACACAUAUUUGUUGGGGAACGCAGUAAUUUCAAAAAACUUCCUACGAUCAUGCAAGAUCUAUCUAGGUGAUGCAUAGCAACGAGGGGGAGAGUGUGUCCACGUACCCUCGAAGACCGAAAGUGGAAGCGUUAUGUAACGCAGUUGAUGUAGUCGAACGUCUUCGCGAUCCAACCGAUCAAGUACCGAACGCACGACACCUCCGCGAUCUGCACACGUUCAGCUCAGUGACGUCCCUCUAACUCUAGAUCCAGCUGAGGCCGAGGGAGAGUUUCAUCAGCACGACGGCGUGGUGACGGUGAUGAUGAAGUUACCGACGCAGGGCUUCGCCUAAGCACUACGACGAUAUGACCGAGGUGGAAAACUGUGGAGGGGGGCACCGCACACGGCUAAAGAUCAACUUGUGUGUCAAAGGGGUCCCCCUCCCCUGUAUAUAAAGGAGGAGAGGAGGGGGCCGGCCGGCCACAAGUGGCGCGUCCAAGGGGGGGAGUCCUACUCCAAGAAGGAGUAGUUUCCCCCCUUUCCUAGUCCAACUAGGAGGAGAAGGAAGGAGGGGAAGGAGAGAAGGAAAGGGGGCCGCCCCCCUAGUCCAAUUCGGUUUGGGCUAGGGGGCGCGUGCCUCACCUUGGCCUGCCUCCUCUGUUCCACCACUUGGCCCAUGAGGCCCAUUAACCCUCGGGGGGUUCCGGUAACCCCUCGGUACUCCGGUUUUAUCCGAAACUUCUUCGGAAAAUUUCCGGUGUCCGAAUAUAGCCGUCGAAUAUAUCAAUCUUUAUGUCUCGACCAUUUCGAGACUCCUCGUCAUGUCCGUGAUCUCAUCCGGGACUCCAAACAACCUUCGGUACAUCAAAUCACAUAAACUCAUAAUACCAAUCGUCAUCGAACGUUAAGCGUGCGGACCCUACGGGUUCGAGAACUAUGUAGACAUGAGUGAGAGACGUCUCCGGUUGAUAACCAACAGCGGAACUUGGAUGCUCAUAUUGGUUCCUACAUAUUCUACGAAGAUUUUUAUCGGUCAAACCGCAUAACAACAUACGUUGUUCCCUUUGUCAUCGGUAUGUUACUUGCCCGAGAUUCGAUCGUCGGUAUCAUCAUACCUAGUUCAAUCUCGUUACCGGCAAGUAUCUUUACUCGUUCUGUAAUACUUCGUCCCACAACUAACUCAUUAGUCACAAUGCUUGCAAGGCUUAUAGUGAUGAGUAUUACCGAGAGGGCCCAGAGAUACCUCUCCGGAACACGGAGUGACAAAUCCUAAUCUCGAUAUAUGCCAACCCAACAAACACCUUCGGAGACACCUGUAGUGCACCUUUAUAAUCACCCAUUUACGUUGUGACGUUUGGUAGCACACAAAGUGUUCCUCCAGUAUUCGGGAGUUGCAUAAUCUCAUAGUCUGAGGAACUUGUAUAAGUCAUGAAGAAAGCAGUAGCAAUGAAACUGAAACGAUAAAAAUGCUAAGCUAACGGAUGGGUCAUGUCCAUCACAUCAUUCUCCUAAUGAUGUGAUCCCGUUCAUCAAAUGACAACACAUGUCUAUGGUUAGGAAACAUAACCAUCUUUGAUUAACGAGCUAGUCAAGUAGAGGCAUACUAGGGACUAUAUGUUUUGUCUAUGUAUUCACACAUGUACUAAGUUUCCGGUUAAUACAAUUCUAGCAUGAAUAAUAAACAUUUAUCAUGAAUUAAGGAAAUAUAUAAUAACUUUAUUAUUGCCUCUAGGGCAUAUUUCCUUCAGUCUCCCACUUGCACUAGAGUCAAUAAUCUGGAUUACAUAGUAAUGAUUCUAACACCCAUGGAGCUUUGGUGCUGAUCAUGUUUUGCUCGUGGAAGAGGUUUAGUCAACGGGUCUGCAACAUUCAGAUCCGUAUGUAUCUUGCAAAUCUUUAUGUCCCCCUCCGACACUUGAUGACAGAUGGAAUUGAAGCGUCUCUUGAUGUGCUUGGUUCUCUUGUGAAAUCUGGAUUCCUUUGCCAAGGCAAUUGCACCAGUAUUGUCACAAAAGAUUUUCAUUGGACCCGAUCGGAUAUGAACUCCUUCAUUUGUUGCUUCCGAUGCAACAAUGUACUCUGCUUCACACGUAGAUCCCGACACGACGCUCUGCUUGGAACUGCACCAACUGACAACUCCUCCAUUCAAUAAAAAUACGUAUCCAGUUUGCGACUUAGAGUCAUCCAGAUCAGUGUCAAAGCUUGCAUCGACAUAACCAUUUACGACGGGCUCUUUUUCACCUCCAUAAACGAGAAACAUAUCCUUAGUCCUUUUCAGGUAUUUCAGGAUGUUCUUGACCGCUGUCCAGUGCUCCACUUCGGGAUUACUUUGGUACCUCCCUGCUAUGCUUAUAGCAAGGCACACAUCAGGUUUGGUACACAACAUUGCAUACAUGAUAGAUCCUAUGGCUGAAGCAUAGGGAAUGACUUUCAUUUUCUCUCUAUCUUCUGCAGUGGUCGGGCAUUGAGUCUGACUCAACUUCACACCUUGUAACACAGGGAAGAACCCUUUCUUUGACUGGUCCAUUUUGAACUUCUUCAAAACUUUAUCAAGGUAUGUGCUUUGUGAAAGUCCAAUCAAGCGUCUUGAUCUAUCUCUAUAGAUCUUGAUGCCCAAUAUGUAAGCAGCUUCACCGAGGUCUUUCAUAGAAAAACUGUUAUUCAGGUAUCCCUUUAUGCUAUCCAGAAAUUCUAUAUCAUUUCCAAUCAACAAUAUGUCAUCCACAUAUAAUAUCAGAAAUGCUACAGAGCUCCCACUCACUUUCUUGUAAAUACAAGCUUCUCCAAAAGUCUAUAUAAAACCAUAUGCUUUGAUCACACUAUCAAAGCGUUUAUUUCAACUCCGAGAGGCUUACACCAGUCCAUAAAUGGAUCGCUGGAGCUUGCACACUUUUGUUAACACCUUUUGGAUCGACAAAACCUUCUAGUUGCAUCAUAUAGAACUCUUCUUCCAGAAAUCCAUUCAGGAAUACAGUUUUGACAUCCAUUUGCCGAAUUUCAUAAUCAUAAAAUGCAGCAAUUGCUAACAUGAUUCGGACAGACUUAAGCAUCGCUACGGGUGAGAAAGUCUCAUCGUAGUCAACUCCUUGAACUUGUCAAAAACCUUUCGCAACAAGUCAAGCUUUGUAAACAGUAACAUUACCGUCUGUGUCGGUCUUCUUCUUAAAGAUCCAUUUAUUUUCUAUAGCUUGCCGAUCAUCGGGCAAGUCCACCAAAGUCCACACUUUAUUCUCAUACAUGGAUCCCAUCUCAGAUUUCAUGGCCUCAAGCCAUUUUGCAGAAUCUAGGCUCAUCAUUGCUUCCUCAUAGUUCGUAGGUUCAUCACGGUCUAGGAACAUGACUUCUAGAACAGGAUUACCAUACCACUCUGGUGCAGAUCUUACUCUGGAAGACCUACGAGGUUCGGUAGUAACUUGAUCUGAAGCUUCAUGAUCAUCAUCAUUAGAUUCCUCACUAAUUGGUGUAGGAAUCAUGGGAACUGAUUUUUGUGAUGAACUACUUUCCAAUAAGGGAGAAGGUACAAUUAUCUCAUCAAGUUCUACUUUCCUCCUACUCACUUCUUUCGAGAGAAACUCCUUCUCUAGAAAGGAUCCAUUCUUAGCAACAAAGAUUUUUGUCACGACCGGUUUUCCAAUAAAAAUAUUUAUUGAGAGACCGAUCCCUUUUACGGACCAGUAAAGAAGAAUUUCUUCUCACUGGUAGACAAUAUCUUGGUCACAGAAGAAAAAUACCAGGAGUACUGAAUAUAAUACAAGGUUGAGCGGAGACUGCUCAACAAUUUAUUACAGGUACGCCAAUAAAGCAUAAUGGCGGAUAGGGUGGCAUAACUACUAACUCACGGUGGUGGAAAUAUCACAGCGGAGUGGGUGACAAGACUCCUGAAACUAACAACUCUUCGAGCGUCGGAGUGAGGCUCGAGGAGACUUAUUGCGGGUGGACGUCUGAGCGACAUCUGAGCGACAAAAGUAAAUAACAAGAGUGCCACAGUCGGACGUCUGAGCGACAUCACAUAAAGGGCUUAUAUCAAAAGUAAAUAACAAGAGUGCCACAGUCGGACGUCUGAGCGACAUCACAUAAAGGGCUUAUAUUUCAUAAUUUCAUAUCUCAGUAGCUCAACAAUUUAAAUCAUAUCAAGAGAAUAAUCAGGUAUGAGAUAAACAACAGGGUUAGUCCAUUCACAGGAAUAACGUUCAACCAAGUUUACCGCUCAAGCUUAUUCACCAGGGAAAAAUACCACGAGUACUGACAUAGAUAUGGAUUUACUGACCAUGGUCCUUGACCAUAGACACGAUGACUCGGAAGGAUUUGACUCUGCAGAGUUUGUACUUCAACCACAGCCAACGGAUUUCAGUAGUCACGGGGACUAGUUCCGUUUACGGUGUUUUGGAGGAAACACAUCUAACCAGUACACACCCAUUCAACAUUCCGAAGCCAGGAAUCACCCUCGGCAACGUUCAAGAAAAACUUUGAGACGGGGAGGCUACAACCUCGCGUAGCAUGGGAUCAAAUUUAUAUACGCGCGCUCUAAGGGGUGCCCCCUCUCGGUCCCAACCGGAAACACCAAUGCCCCCUGACCGGAUGACUGGCUUUAAUCCAGGGCCAUGGAACCCUUAUCCCGGCCCCUCUAUUUGGUGUGUACACGGAAAGAGGUUAACAACUUACUAAACCGUAUUCUUGGCAGAAAACAUGUGGCAGCACGGAAGGGGGAAGAACGAUAACGUGACUCCGUCCACGUUAACGUCGGAAUUUAUCGGAUGACGUAAGGCUGGCAUGCUACAACAGUACCACCUUACUGCCCUUCAUGUCACCACAUGACUAGGCUAUCUCUCAUCAGAGAUCACAGUAACUUCGGAACACACGGUAGUUGCCUUACAUGCAACGAGAUACUCACCGAUGCUCUUAUGCCAUGCACAAUCAUUCAAGCAAACAUGCAAAACACCCAUCAUAUCAAAGGUUCAAACAUGCUUGCCUGGUUCGGAGAAGUCGGAGUCUAGCUCGGUGAAGUUCGCGGCUCUGUCACCUCUUCCGGAACCUACGGUAUAGCGAAAACGUAUACUAACGUGAAAAUCAUCGCGUGCAUAAAAGUUGUCCCAAAUUUUUUCCAAAUAAAUACUAUAAAAAACUAGACAAAAAUAUAAGACUGUCAGAAAAAGAAUCAAUCAAAAAUCAUCUUUUAUUAAAAAGUUAUAAGGGUUUUAGUCCAGGGACUAAUCUGUGAUGAAACAGAAAAGAACCAGGGGCUUAACUGAGAAAACAGAAAACGGUUCGGAAAGAAACGCGCCAGCCCAAAGGGAAAACGUAUUCUGCCCGAAGGCGCCAACUGAAAACGGUUCGCGGGUGAGAGAAGAGAGGNNNNNNNNNNNNNNNNNNNNNNNNNNNNNNNNNNNNNNNNNNNNNNNNNNNNNNNNNNNNNNNNNNNNNNNNNNNNNNNNNNNNNNNNNNNNNNNNNNNNNNNNNNNNNNNNNNNNNNNNNNNNNNNNNNNNNNNNNNNNNNNNNNNNNNNNNNNNNNNNNNNNNNNNNNNNNNNNNNNNNNNNNNNNNNNNNNNNNNNNNNNNNNNNNNNNNNNNNNNNNNNNNNNNNNNNNNNNNNNNNNNNNNNNNNNNNNNNNNNNNNNNNNNNNNNNNNNNNNNNNNNNNNNNNNNNNNNNNNNNNNNNNNNNNNNNNNNNNNNNNNNNNNNNNNNNNNNNNNNNNNNNNNNNNNNCGGCGGACGGCGGCUCGGGCGAUGGUGGAGAACUCCGGUGGGUGCUGCAAACUCCGAAUUGAAGCGCGGGUCAGGAGAGUGGAUGCAUAAGGAAGCUACUGGCAAGAGCUGAGAGGUAGAGGUGCACGCACGGGAGCGAAUCGAGCUGGAUCCCGUGGCGGGUCGCGGCGGCCGGAGUUGGGGAAGAAGGCUCCCUCGGGGCUCUUCCAGUGGCUAGGCGUGGUGUUGGAGGUGUGUAGAGGCGGUGUGGGUUCGAGUUUGAGCUCGGGGCCUCUAUUUAUAGGCGAUCCGAGGGGGUGGCCGUGAACGGGAAAUCUCCGGCGAGCGAUUACGGCGAGGCAGUGGUUGGGCAGGGGGUUUAGGUGGCCAGGCAGCAUCAGUGAGAGUUACUGGUCCCGUUCCACUGCUAAACUUGGUCGGGCUUGGCGUAAUGGCGUCGGUCCUCGACGGGGCGGCCGUACGGGCACGGCGGCGGCAGAGAGCGCGCUCCGCGCCUAGCGGUUCACGACGAGGGUGGCAGCGCGCACGGGGGAGUGGAUGGCCACGCGGCGGCCUCCGGUGGCUUGGGCGGCGCUGGGCGGCGCCGGCCACGCUGCGCUCCUCUCUGGCGGCCGCAAAGCCGCCGCUGCCGUCGCUCACGGGGUGGCGCACCUCCUCCUGCUCGUCGCCGACGCCCGCAACCUUCCAGGCGCUCGUGCGGCGCAGGGACAAGAGGGAGGGGGCGGGGAGCAAGGCGCCACAGCGACACUGGCGAGAUUGACAACGAACACUGAAGAAAACGACAGUAGUUUCAGACACUGUAUCACUGAAUUAACUGAACAUGACAUUGACAGUGCUCUGCAGGUGUUCGACGAAAUGAUUUGGCAAGAAGAAAUUUUUUUCUGGAGCUGGGACUUGGUGAGGUGACCUCUCAAUGCACCCAGAGGCUGCCUGAUUUUUCUCAGAUUUUUAGGAGAAGAAUUCAAAUGAAUUUCAUCAAAUUUGGCAAAUCUGGUCCAAACUUGCAGCAAGUAUAGUUUGAAAUAUUUGAACUGAAGACCAGUGGAUCUUCAUGGAUCCUGGUUGAGGGCUCAAGGGACUAGCUAGGGAAAUUGGUUUGGAGGCAAAAUUCAAAGCAGAAAGAGUAGCUCCUUUGUAAACCUCCAAGGAUCAAGAUAGAAGGCAGAAAUUGUUUUUGAUGAGAAUUAAAUGGAAAAGAAAUUAUGGGGAGGUUCAAACUGCUGUAUUUGAAGAGUAACUUGACACAAAGAUGGGGAAAUGCUUAUGGGAGUGGGUUUCCACUUAUGUCAUGGCAAGAGGGAUUUUUGGAAAGGGGAAAAGCAUUACUCAAAAUACCAUAGGGCCAUUUAAAAGAUUUUCAAAAGAAAUUUUUCCCAGUGAAAAGUAUUUUGGUUUUGAGUCCAAAUAAAAAGGGAAAGCCUCCAAGACCAAGAACCAAGUCUUGGGUGAAUCCAAAACAAAACACUUGCCAUAAAAAAAUAUUUUGAGAGGGAGAGUUCUUCAGAAGAAAAAUUUUAAAUAACCUCCCUCAAUUUAAAUAAAAGUUUGAAAAAGCCAAAUGAAAUUUUGGGUGUGACAACACCUACCCCCUUAGGAAAAAAUCUCGUCCUCGAGAUUUCAGCUGAUCCUCAAAUAGAUAUGGAUACUCUGCCUGAAGAAAAUCUUCUCUUUCCCAGGGAGCUUCAUCCUUUGUGUGAUUGCUCCACUGGACCUUGAAGAAUUUAGUUGUUUUCUGACGGGUCCUCCGUUUAGACUCUUCCAAUAUCUUUACUGGCCGUUCUCUGUAGGUGAGGUCUGGUUGCACAUCAAUGAUUUCGUGAGAUACAUGCUUUUCCGGGUUGUUCACACAUUUCCUCAACUGUGAGACGUGAAACACAUCAUGGACGUCUGACAGCUCCUUGGGUAGGUGUAGCUGGUAGGCUACCGUGCCUCUUCGUGCAACUAUACAGAAUGGUCCAAUGAAUCUCGGGGCUAGCUUCCCCUUAAUUUUGAACCGUUGCAGGCCCCUCAUAGGAGACACUCGUAGGUAUACGAAAUCACCGGGUUCAAAGCUGACCUCACGAUGUUUUUGAUCGUAAUAGCUCUUUUGUUGGCUUUGAGCUGUCUUGAGUCUGUCCCUGAUCUGUUUAACUUUCUCCUCGGCCUCCUUGAGCAUGUCUGGGCCGAAGAUACGACUGUCACCUGUCUCUGACCAAUUUAGUGGGGUACGACACCUCCGUCCGUAUAAUGCUUCAAAGGGUGCCAUUUGUAAGCUGGCUUGGUAACUGUUGUUGUAAGCAAACUCGGCAUAUGGCAAACUUUCUUCCCAACUGGAUCCAUAGGUGAGCACACAGGCUCUCAGCAUGUCCUCUAGGAUUUGGUUCACGCGUUCCGUUUGUCCAUCAGUCUGAGGGUGGUACGCUGUACUGAAUGCUAGUUGCAUGCCCAGAGCUUGUUGUAGGUGAUCCCAAAAUUUAGAGACAAAUUGGGUGCCUCGGUCGGAUAUUAGUCUUUGGGACUCCAUGCAAACAAACUAUACGGGAGAGAUAAAGCUUGGCAAGUCUUUGAGUGGAGUAGGUCGUGUUCACGGGAAUGAAAUGUGCUACCUUGGUUAGCCUAUCUGUGAUGACCCAUAUGGCGUCAUUUCCGCGUUGUGAGCGAGGUAGUCCGACGAUGAAGUCCAUUCCAAUUUCAUCCCAUUUCCACUCCGGUAUCCUGUUUGGCUGGAGUAGCCCUGCUGGCUUUUGAUGCUCGGCUUUUAUGCGUUGGCAAGAAUCGCAACAAGCAAUGAGUGCGGCUAUAUCCCUUUUCAUACCGUGCCACCAAAAUCUUUCCUGAAUGUCUUUGUACAUUUUGGUUCCUCCAGGGUGGAUCGAGUAUGGAGCGGUGUGGCUUUCGGUUAGGAUUUGUUGCUUGAGUUCCUCAAUGUUAGGUACGCAAAGUCUGUCCCCGUACCAUAAUAUUCCUUCACUGUCUGUGACGAACUCUGAAGCCUUGCCAAGGCUCAUUUUCCUCUUUAUUCCUUCGAUGCUGGGGUGCCCUUGCUGAGCCUUCUUAAUUUGUUCCACUAGGGUGGGAUGUAUCUCCAGAUUCGAUACGGUGCCCUCAGUGACUAACACCAUGUUGAGUCUAGCGAACUCCUGCUGAAACUCAGGCCUCAAGUUUUGUGGACCGUCGUUGCCCGGGCUAGGGUUCCGACUAAGGGCAUCAGCCACUACAUUUGCUUUCCCUGGAUGGUAGUGAAUGCCGACAUCAUAGUCCUUGACCAAUUCCAACCAGCGUCGUUGGCGUAAAUUUAGCUCUGGUUGUGUGAAAAUAUAUUUAAGGCUCUUAUGGACCGUAUAUAUUUCACAACGAUUUCCCAACAGAAAGUGCCUCCAUUCCUUGAGUGCAUGGAUGACCGCUGCUAGCUCCAAGUCAUGAGUUGGAUAAUUUUCCUCAUGUUUUCGCAGUUGCCUGGAGGCAUACGCGACCACUUUGCCAUCUUGCAUCAGUACACAUCCGAGGCCCUUCCGGGAUGCGUCACAAUACACUUCAAAACUCUUGUGUAUGUCUGGCACAGUUAAGACCGGUGCGGUUGUUAGUUUCUUCUUGAGUUCUUGGAAGCUUUUCUUGCAUGCUUCCGUCCAUACAAAUUUCUUGUCUUUCUUGAGCAACUGUGUCAUUGGUUUUGCCACAGUGGAGAAUCCUUCAAUAAAUCUUCUGUAAUAUCCGGCCAUUCCAAGGAAACUCCGCACAUCUGUCACGUUGGCUGGUGGCUUCCAGUCAAGUAUGGCUUUGACCUUUUCUGGGUCUACGGCCAGCCUUCUUGGGUUAAUAUAUGGCCUAGGAAACCAACUUGCCUUAGCCAAAAUUCACACUUGCUAAAUUUGGCGUAUAAUUGAUGUUUCCUUAAUUCUCCCAAAACAAAUCUGAGAUGCUCAGCAUGCUCUUCUGGUGUCCUUGAGUAUACCAGAAUAUCGUCAAUGAACACCACAACAAAUUUGUCCAUGAAUUUCAUAAACACUUUGUUCAUGAGGUGGACGAAAUAUGCGGGGGCGUUCGUCAGUCCAAACGACAUUACUGUGAACUCAUAUAAUCCGUAUCUGGAGGUAAAUGCUGUCUUAGGGAUAUCUUCUGUCCGUACUUUCAAUUGAUGGUAUCCCGAUCUCAAAUCAAUUUUUGAGAACACCUUGGCUUGUGCGAGCUGGUCAAACAAAUCAUUUAUCCGUGGCAUCGGAUAUUUGUUUUUGAUGGUGACCAUAUUGAGAGCUCGAUAGUCUAUACACAGUCUCAGUGUCCCAUCCUUUUUCUUGGCGAAUAAUACUGGCGAACUCCAAGGUGAGGAGCUGGCUCGAAUAAAACCUUUGCCCAGUAAUUCCUUUAUCUGCUUCUUCAAUUCUACCAAUUCUGAGGGUGCCAUUCUAUAAGGUUUCUUGUAGAUGGGAGCGGUGCCAGGUGCUAGUUCAAUGCUGAACUCUAUCUCCCGGUCUGGUGGCAUGCCUGGUAGUUCUUCAGGGAAUACGUCGGGAAAUUCGCACACCACUGGAACUUUUCUCAAUUCUGAAAUGUCCACGUUGUUCAGCUUUGGUUGCCGUGACCGUGGCCUUUCUUGAGCUGUAACCUUUAUUGUCUUGCCGUGAUGAUGAGUGAGGAUCACAGUCCGAUUGAAACAGUCAAUAAAUCCUUUGUUGGUGGUUAACCAGUCCAUCCCUAAAAUGACAUCCAGUCCUUUAUUUUCCAACACGAUAAGAUUAGCUUGAAACUGUAGUCCUUCAAACUCAAUGAUCACUCCUUGGCAGUAACUCUGAGCGAUCUGCUUAUUUCCGGGGGACUUGAUGAUCAUAGAUUUUUCCAAGGGAAGUAUCGGAAAACCAUGUUGCAAAACAAAAUUCUUCGAAACGAACGAAUGGGAAGCUCCAGAAUCAAACAAAACCGUGGCAGGUACUGUGUUGAUAGGGAACGUACCGAGCACGAUGUCUGGGGCAUUCUGCGCUUCUUCCCUGGUCACAUGGUUCAGGUGACCCUUCCUGUGAUUGUUGUUGGGAUUGAAAUUGUUGCGCUUGGGGACUGGAUUAUUCCCACCAUUGUUCGGCUUGGGGGCCGAGUUCCUUGGUUUUGGGCACUGUUUAGCAUAGUGCCCUUCUUCACCACAAGCAUAGCAUGUGACCCCUGGACGGUACGUGAAGUCCUUGUCCCUGGAAUGAAACUGUCUGGUUGGCCUUAGAUCAGUAGUCGUGGAUUUCCUUGCUUCAGUCCUCUGAACCUCCGUCUUGCUUCGGUUGUUGCAAGCAAGAGUCGUCUUAUCCCUCUUUCGCUUGCGGAUAUCCUCCAGACUACGGCGCUCAUUCUCCAAGGUAAUGGCCUUGUCAACCAGAGUUUUAAAAUCCAGGAAAGUGUGCACAACCAGUUGGCAUCUUAAUGCUGGCGCCAGGCCGUCCAAAAACUUUUCCAUCCUUUUGUUCUCAGUCAUAUGCUCAUCGUAGGCAUAACGAGACAGCUGGGUAAACCGACCGUUGUAUUCUGUCACUGACAUGCCUCUCUGCUUGAGGUCAUCAAAUUCUCUUUUCUUGAUUUUUAUGAUGCUCCUGGGGAUGUGUGCCCCACGAAAGCCUUCCUUGAACUCUUCCCAGGUGAUGUUGUGUUCACUGGGAUGCAUGUGUAGGAAGUUUUCCCACCAUGCUGCAGCUGCUCCAGUAAGGUAGUGGGGUGCAUAAAGCACCUUCUCAUGAUCUGAACACUGAGCAAUAAUCAACUUCCUUUCGAUGUCACGAAGCCAAUCAUCGGCUUCAAGUGGCCUAUCAGUGUGAGCAAACGUUGGAGGGCGUGUCUUCUGCAGUUCAGACAACUUGGAGUGUGGUUGAUAUGGCUCACGGUGGUUCCCCAUAUUGAUGACGUGAUUCAUCAUUUCUUGGUGUUGCUGUUGGCUUUGCUCGAAAAGGCGGCAUACUUGAGAUAGGGCUGCUUCGCUGUCCUGUUGACUAGACUGUCCCUGAGUGAAGUUGUUGCUGGUCUGUGUUCCAUAAACUUCUUCUGGUUGAUUGGGCAUGGAACGAGUCCACGGACGAGACAUUUUCCACUCUGGGGUAUUAUUUUGCAAAACUCAUGAGAAGAACUAUGUGGCACAAGGAAAAUCUUGCAAAAGCGAAAAUUUAAAAGACUUCAUUUUUUUUAAGAAAACAUAAACGAUUUCGCACGGAGAAGAACUGCUUAGCACAUAUCUUACAUGCGAAAAGCAAACACACGAUACAACACUCAGGAUGUGCAUACACAUUCCUGACAUGUUAUUAGACUAGCACACCCCUCCGGAAUGCAGCGAACACAACUACUACAAACUAACGUACAGAUAAAACAUACCAUACAUGCAGACACAACGCGCGGCUACUCGGCGCACUCAGUCGGAGAUGGUGACGAUGUCCUUCCCCUUGCCGAGGGUAAGACCCAGCGGUGCAGGGGACUCAACCUCCACCUCCUCCCUAGUAGGCUCCAGACGCGUAGCACUGCGCUGAGCUGAUGGUGCGGGAGCGACAGGCGGCAGUGCGGGUGUGGCAGGCGGUGCAGCUCUGACUGGAGUAGGAGCGAUGACCCGGUCGAACUCCUCAGUGGUAGGCAGACGGCGAGCAGUGGCCAAAAUGGCCGGUGCAUAAGAUGCUGAGGACGAGACGAAAGUCAGAGGCGGUGCCAUGUGGAGAAGCUCCUUCCUGCAGGCAGGACCGCCCCGAACUAAGUCCAUGCGGGCAGCCACAAGAUCGUCCACGAGGUUGUCGAAAGAUUCCUCCAGAGCCUUGAGAUACUCCACAACCAUCUCGAUGGCUUCAUCUCGCUCUCCCCUAUGGCAGGCGAAUGCAUAGUGACAAGUAUAUGGCACAUGGCAUGGGAGGUAGCGGUAGCGACGAGUCUUCAUCAUAGGAAGAAUGUCCCGAAGGCGAGCUAUCGCCUCACGGGCAGCCAUUUGCAUGGCAUGCCUCUCCGUAGGCAUGGCCCUUCCCACAAAACGGAAGUGGCGAGACGUAGAACGUCCCCCCUUGAAUUGCACCACGGCCUGGUGCAUAGACACGUCGUCGCUGAGCUUGUGCUGGUAAAGCGUGAACUCCGGACGAGUCGCUGGCCCGAUCGCGAGCUUGGUGAUGGAGACGAGGAGUUUGACAAACCCGUCGGGCACGUUAGUGAACACCCGAGUCUCGCAGUUGCUGCCAGCCAUCUACAAAAGUAGGCAAAAUUCUGAGUAGUCAUGUCAUAAAUUUAUGAUGACCAACAGAAAAAUAGCUACAUUUGCAAAAAUGCUGAAGAAACGCUUAAAACGCUAAUAACCGAUUAGCGAUCGCACCUAGUGGCUUCCUACAGUCAGCCUGGCUCUGAUACCAAGCUUGUCAUGACCGGUUUUCCAAUAAAAAUAUUUAUUGAGAGACCGAUCCCUUUUACGGACCAGUAAAGAAGAAUUUCUUCUCACUGGUAGACAAUAUCUUGGUCACAGAAGAAAAAUACCAGGAGUACUGAAUAUAAUACAAGGUUGAGCGGAGACUGCUCAACAAUUUAUUACAGGCACGCCAAUAAAGCAUAAUGCCGGAUAGGGUGGCAUAACUACUAACUCACGGUGGUGGAAAUAUCACAGCGGAGUGGGUGACAAGACUCCUGAAACUAACAACUCUUCGAGCGUCGGAGUGAGGCUCGAGGAGACUUAUUGCGGGUGGCGGAAGCGUAUAUGAUACAAGUAACCAAUAUCCAGGAUCGCACGGGACUGACUGGGAUUCCUCUAGGCGUCGGACUCACUAUCAAACUCUUCAUCCAUGAGAUCGCCUUCGUCAACAUCUGGCCAAAUCAACAAGCCAGGUGAGUACUAUGAAAGUACUCGCAAGACAGUUCGGACAUAAGAUAUAACAAAUGUAAACAUGAUGCAUACGAAAUGAUUAGCAAAUGCACUCAGACAUAGGGAUAACAUUGUAUGGGAAAUAAAAGAGAAGUCGGGCGGUAGUCCUCCUGAAAUCCCAAAGUAAAAUACUGAGGGCCAAACGAGUGUCUGAAUGACUCCUCGAGAGGGAACAAAAGAAUUAACAAUGCCGUAGUCGGGCGUCAAGGCGACACCACAUAAAGGGCUUAUAAUAGAACAUAAAUGACAGUGCGUGCCACAGUCAGACGUCUGAGCGACAUCACAUAAAGGGCUUAUAUCAAAAGUAAACAACAUCAGUGCCACAGUCGGACGUCUGAGCGACAUCACAUAAAGGGCUUAUAUCAAAACUAAAUAACAAGAGUGCCAUAGUCGGACGUCUGAGCGACAUCACAUAAAGGGCUUAUAUCAAAAGUAAAUAACAAGAGUGCCACAGUCGGACGUCUGAGCGACAUCACAUAAAGGGCUUAUAUUUCAUAAUUUCAUAUCUCAGCAGCUCAAGAAUUUAAAUCAUAUGAAGAGAAUAAUCAGGUAUGAGAUAAACAACAGGGUUAGUCCAUUCACAGGAAUAACGUUCAACCAAGUUUACCGCUCAAGCUUAUUCACCGGGGAAAAAUACCACGAGUACUGACAUAGAUAUGGAUUUACUGACCAUGGUCCUUGACCAUAGACACGAUGACUCGGAAGGAUUUGACUCUGCAGAGUUUGUACUUCAACCACAGCCGACGGAUUUCAGUAGUCACGGGGACUAGUUCUGUUUAUGGUGUUUUGGAGGAAACACAUCUAACCAGUACACACCCAUUCAACAUUCCGAAGCCAGGAAUCACCCUCGACAAUGUUCAAGAAAAACUUUGAGACGGGGAGGCUACAACCUCGCGUAGCAUGGGAUCAAAUUUAUAUACGCGCGCUCUAAGGGGUGCCCCCCUCUCGGUCCCAACCGGAAACACCCAUGGCCCCUGACCGGAUGACUGGCUUUAAUCCAGGGCCAUGGAACCCUCAUCCCGGCCCCUCUAUUUGGUGUGUACACGGAAAGAGGUUAACAACUUACUAAACCGUAUUCUUGGCAGAAAACAUGUGGCAGCACGGAAGGGGGAAGAACGAUAACGUGACUCCGUCCAUGUUAACGUCGGAAUUUAUCGGAUGACGUAAGGCUGGCAUGCUACAACAGUACCACCUUACUGCCCUUCAUGUCACCACAUGACUAGGCUAUCUCUCAUCAGAGAUCACAGUAACUUCGGAACACACGGUAGUUGCCUUACAUGCAACGAGAUACUCACCGAUGCUCUUAUGCCAUGCACAAUCAUUCAAGCAAACAUGCAAAACACCCAUCAUAUCAAAGGUUCAAACAUGCUUGCCUGGUUCGGAGAAGUCGGAGUCUAGCUCGGCGAAGUUCGCGGCUCCGUCACCUCUUCCGGAACCUACGGUAUAGCGAAAACGUAUACUAACGUGAAAAUCAUCGCGUGCAUAAAAGUUGUGCCAAAUUUUUUCCAAAUAAAUACUAUAAAAAACUAGACAAAAAUAUAAGACUGUCAGAAAAAGAAUCAAUCAAAAAUCAUCUUUUAUUAAAAAGUUAUAAGGGUUUUAGUCCAGGGACUAAUCUGUGAUGAAACAGAAAAGAACCAGGGGCUUAACUGAGAAAACAGAAAAUGGUUCGGAAAGAAACGCGCCAGCCCAAGGGAAAACGUAUUCUGCCCGAAGGCACCAACUGAAAACGGUUCGCGGGUGAGAGAAGAGAGGCUGACCGGGGGGGGGGGUCCACACGUCAGGUUUGAAAACCUCGCCGACGCCCGAAGGCUGCGGUGGUCGCCGGCGUUGAACCACGGCGAGGCAGGGAGAUCGGAGUGUACCAAGAGGUUCAGUGCGUCCUUCCGCGUCGGUGGGUGGUGGACUUGACCGACGGAGAGCACCACGUCGACGGCGACACUUUCUCCGGCGGACGGCGGCUCGGGCGAUGGUGGAGAACUCCGGUGGGUGCUGCAAACUCCGAAUUGAAGCGCGGGUCAGGAGAGUGGAUGCAUAAGGAAGCUACUGGCAAGAGCUGAGAGGUAGAGGUGCACGCACGGGAGCGAAUCGAGCUGGAUCCCGUGGCGGGUCGCGGCGGCCGGAGUUGGGGAAGAAGGCUCCCUCGGGGCUCUUCCAGUGGCUAGGCGUGGUGUUGGAGGUGUGUAGAGGUGGUGUGGGUCGAGUUUGAGCUCGGGGCCUCUAUUUAUAGGCGAUCCGAGGGGGUGGCCGUGAACGGGAAAUCUCCGGCGAGCGAUUACGGUGAGGCAGUGGUUGGGCAGGGGGUUUAGGUGGCCAGGCAGCAUCAGUGAGAGUUACUGGUCCCGUUCCACUACUAAACUUGGCCGGGCUUGGCGUAAUGGCGUCGGUCCUCGACGGGGCGGCCGUACGGGCACAGCGGCGGCAGAGAGCGUGCUCCGCGCCUAGCGGUUCACGACGAGGGUGGCAGCGCGCACGGGGGAGUGGAUGGCCACGCGGCGGCCUCCGGUGGCUUGGGCCGCGCUGGGCGGCGCCGGCCACGCUGCGCCCCUCUCUGGCGGCCGCAAAGCCGCCGCUGCCGUCGCUCACGGGGUGGCGCACCUCCUCCUGCUCGUCGCCGACGCCCACAACCUUCCAGGCGCUCGUGCGGCGCAGGGACAAGAGGGAGGGGACGGGGAACAAGGCGCCACAGCGACACUGGCGAGAUUGACAACGAACACUGAAGAAAACGACAGUAGUUUCAGACACUGUAUCACUGAAUUAACUGAACAUGACAUUGAUAGUGCUCUGCAGGUGUUCGACGAAAUGAUUUGGCAAGAAGAAUUUUUUUUCUGGAGCUGGGACUUGGUGAGGUGACCUCUCAAUGCACCCAGAGGCUGCCUGAUUUUUCUCAGAUUUUUAGGAGAAGAAUUCAAAUGAAUUUCAUCAAAUUUGGCAAAUCUGGUCCAAACUUGCAGCAAGUAUAGUUUGAAAUAGUUGAACUGAAGACUAGUGGAUCUUCAUGGAUCCUGGUUGAGGGCUCAAGGGACUAGCUAGGGAAAUUGGUUUGGAGGCAAUACUCAAAGCAGAAAGAGUAGCGCCUUUGUAAACCUCCAAGGAUCAAGAUAGAAGGCAGAAAUUGUUUUUGAUGAGAAUUAAAUGGAAAAGAAAUUAUGCGGAGGUUCAAACUGCUGGAUUUGAAGAGUAACUUGACACAAAGAUGGGGAAAGGCUUAUGGGAGUGGGUUUCCACUUAUGUCAUGGCAAGAGGGAUUUUUGGAAAGGGGAAAGGAUUACUCAAAAUACCAUAGGGCCAUUUAAAAGAUUUUCAAAAGAAAUUUUUCCCAGUGAAAAGUAUUUUGGUUUUGAGUCCAAAUAGAAAGGGAAAGCCUCCAAGACCAAGAACCAAGUCUUGGGUGAAUCCAAAACAAAACACUUGCCAUAAAAAAAAUAUUUUGAGAGGGAGAGUUCUUCAGAAGAAAAUUUUUAAAUAACCUCCCUCAAUUUAAAUAAAAGUUUGAAAAAGCCAAAUAAAAUUUUGGGUGUCACAAUUUUGCCUUCGGAUCUGUGAUAGAAGCUGUACCCAACAGCUUCCUUUGGGUAUCCUAUGAAGACGCACUUCUCCGGUUUGGGUUCGAGCUUAUCAGGUUGAAGCUUUUUCACAUAAGCAUCGCAACCCCAAACUUUAAGAAACGACAACUUUGGUUUCUUGCCAAACCACAGUUCAUAAGGUGUCAUCUCAACGGAUUUUGAUGGUGCACUAUUUAAAGUGAAUGCAGCCGUCUCUAAAGCAUAACCCCAAAACGAUAGCGAUAAAUCAGUAAGAGACAUUAUAGAUCGCACCAUAUCCAAUAAUGUACGAUUACGACGUUCGGACACACCAUUUUGCUGUGGUGUUCCAGGUGGCGUUAGUUGUGAAUCUAUCCCAUGUUCUUUCAAAUGAAGAACAAACUCGUAACUCAAAUAUUCUCCUCCACGAUCAGAUCGUAGAAACUUUAUUUUCUUGUGACGAUGAUUUUCCACUUCACUCUGAAUUUCUUGAAAUUUUCAAAUGUUUCAGACUUAUGUUUCAUCAAGUAGAUAUAACCAUAUCUGCUCAAAUCAUCUGUGAAGGUAAAAAAAUAACGAUACCCGCCACGAGCUUCAAUAGUCAUUGGACUGCAUACAUCAGUAUGUAUUAUUUCCAAUAAGUCAGUAGCUCGUUCCAUUGUUCCGGAGAACGGAGUUUUAGUCAUAUUGCCCAUAAGGCACGGUUCGCAAGCACCAAGUGAUUCAUAAUCAAGAAAUUCCAAAAGUCCAUCAGCAUGGAGUUUCUUCAUGCGCUUUACACCGAUAUGACCCAAACGGCAGUGCCACAAAUAAGUUGCACUAUCAUUAUCAACUUUGCAUCUUUUGGCUUCAAUAUUAUGAAUAUGUGUAUCAUCACUAUCGAGAUUCAACAAAAAUAGACCACUCAUCAAGGGUGCACGACCAUAAAAGAUAUUACUCAUAUAAAUAGAACAACCAUUAUUCUCUGAUUUAAAUGAAUAACCGUCUCGCAUCAAACAAGAUCCAAAUAUAAUGUUCAUGCUCAACGCUGGCACCAAAUAACAAUUAUUCAGGUCUAAAACUAAUCCCGAUGGUAGAUGUAGAGGUAGCGUGCCGACGACGAUCACAUCGACCUAACCAUUUCCCACACGCAUCAUCACCUUGUCCUUAGCCAAUCUUCUUUUAAUCCGUAGCCCCUGUUUUGAGUUGCAAAUAUGAGCAACAGAACCAGUAUCAAAUACCCAGGCUCUACUACAAGCAUUAGGAAGGUACACAUCAAUAACAUGUAUAUCAAAUAUACCUUUCACUUUGCCAUCCUUCUUAUCCGCCAAAUACUUGGGGCAGUUCCGCUUCCAGUGACCAGUCCCUUUGAAGUAGAAGCACUCAGUUUCAGGCUUAGGUCUAGACUUGGGUUUCUUCUCUUGAGCAGCAACCUUUUUGCCAUUCUUCUUGAAGUUCCCCUUCUUCCCUUUACCCUUUUUCUUGAAACUAGUGGUCUUGUUGACCAUCAACACUUGAUGCUCCUUUUUUAUUUCUACCUCCGCAGCCUUUAGCAUUGCAAAGAGCACGGUAAUAGUCUUGUUCAUUCCUUGCAUAUUAUAGUUCAUCACGAAGCCUUUAUAGCUUGGUGGCAGUGAUUGAAGAAAUCUGUCAAUGACACUAUCAUCAGGAAGAUUAACUCCCAUCUGAGUCAAGUGGUUAUGGUACCCAGACAUUCUGAGUAUGUGUUCACUGACAGAACUAUUCUCCUCCAUUUUGCAGCUGUAGAACUUGUUGGAGACUUCAUAUCUCUCAACUCAGGCAUUUGCUUGAAAUAUUAACUUCAACUCUUGGAACUUCUCAUAUGCUCCAUGACGUUCAAAAUGUCUUUGAAGUCUCGAUUCUAAGCCGUAAAGCAUGGCACACUGAACUAUCGAGUAGUCAUCAACACGCGUCUGCCAGGCUUUCACAAUGUCUACAGUUGCGGGCGCGGGUGGUACACCUAAUGGUGCUUCCAGGACGUAAUUCUUCUGUGCAGCAAUGAGGAUAAUCCUCAAGUUAUGGACCUAGUCCGUGUAGUUUCUGCCAUCAUCUUUCAACUUAGCUUUCUCUAGGAACGUAUUAAAAUUCAAAGGAACGGUAGCACGGGCCAUUGAUCUACAAUAACAUAGACAUGCAAAAUAACUAUCAGGACUAAGUUCAUGAUAAAUUAAAGUUCAAUUAAUCGUAUUACUCAAGAACUCCCACUUAGAUAGACAUCCCUCUAGUCAUCUAAAUGAUCACGUGAUCCAAAUCAACUAAACCAUGUCCGAUCAUCACGUGAGAUGGAAUAGUUUUCAAUGGUGAACAUCACUAUGUUGAUCAUAUCUACCAUAUGAUUCACGUUCGACCUUUCAGUCUCAGUGUUCCGAGGCCAUAUCUGCAUAUGCUAGGCUCGUCAAGUUUAACCCCGAAUAUUCUGCGUGUGCAAAACUGGCUUGCACCUGUUGUAUGUGAACAUAGAGCUUAUCACACCCGAUCAUCAUGUGGUGUCUCGACACGACGAACUAUAGCAACGGUGCGUACUCAGGGAGAACACUUAUACCUUGAAAUUUAGUAAGGGGUCAUCUUAUAAUGCUACCACUGAACUAAGCAAAAUAAGAUGCAUAAAAGAUAAACACCACAUGCAAUCAAAAUAUGUGACAUGAUAUGGCCAUCAUCAUCUUGUGCUCAUGAUCUCCAUCACCGAAGCAUGGUCAUGAUCUCCAUCGUCACCGGCGCAACACCUUGAUCUCCAUCGUACCAUCAUUGUCAUCUCGCCAACUAUUGUUACUACGACGAUCGCUACCGCUUAGUGAUAAAGUAAAACAAUUACAUGGCGAUUGCAUUGCAUACAAUAAAGCGACAACCAUAUGGCUCCUGCCAGUUGCCGAUAACUUUGUUACAAAACAUGAUCAUCUCAUACAAAAAUUUAUAUCACAUCAAGCCUUGACCAUAUCACAUCACAGCAAGCCCUGCAAAAAUAAGUUAGACGUCCUCUACUUUGUUGCUGCAAGUUUUACGUGGCUGCUAUGGGCUUCUAGCAAGAACCGUUCUUACCUACGCAUCAAAACCACAACGAUUUUUCGUCAAGUGUGCUGUUUUAACCUUCAACAAGGACCGGGCGUAGACACACUUGAUUCAACUAAAGUUGGAGAAAUAGACACCAGCCAGCCACCUAUGUGCAUAAGCACGUCGGUAGAACCAGUGUCAUGAAUGCGGUCAUGUAAUGUCGGUCUGGGCCGCUUCAUCCAACAAUACCGCCGAAUCAAAGUAUGACUAUUAUCGCCCACAACUCUUUGUGUUCUACUCGUGCAUAUAACAUCUACGCAUAGACCUGGCUCUGAUACCACUGUUGGGGAACGCAGUAAUCUCAGAAAAAUUCCUACGAUCACGCAAUAUCUAUCUAGGUGAUGCAUGAUACGUCUCCAACGUAUCUACUUUUCCAAACACUUUUGCCCUUGUUUUGGACUCUAACUUGCAUGAUUUGAAUGAAACUAAUCCGGACUGACGCUGUUUUCAGCAGAAUUGCCAUGGUGUUAUCUUUGUGCAGAAACAAAAGUUCUCGGAAUGACCUGGAAAUCCACGGAGAUUAUUUUUGGAAAAUAAGAAAAAUACUGGCGAAAGAAUCAAGGCUAGGGGGCCCAAACCCUGUCCACGAGGGUGGGGGGCGCGCCCCCUGUCUUGUGGGCCCCCUGGAUCUCCACCGACCUCAACUCCAACUCUAUAUAUUCCGUUUGGCAGAGAAAAAAUUAGAGAGAAAGUUUCAUCACGUUUUAUGAUACGGAGCCGCCGCCAAGCCCUAAUCUCUCUCGGGUGGGCUGAUCUGGAGUCCGUUUGGGGCUCCGGAGAGGGGGAUUCAUCGCCUUCAUCAUCAUCAACCAUCCUCCAUCACCAAUUUCUUGAUGCUCACCGCCGUGCGUGAGUAAUUCCAUCGUAGGCUUGCUGGAGGGUGAUGGGUUGGAUGAGAUUUAUCAUUUAAUCGAGUUAGUUUUGUUAGGGUUCGAUCCCUAGUAUCCACUAUGUUCUGAGAUUGAUGUUGCUAUGACUUUGCUAUGCUUAAUGAUUGUCACUAGGGCCCGAGUGCCAUGAUUUCAGAUCUGAACCUAUUAUAUUUUCAUGAAUAUAUGUGAGUUCUUGAUCCUAUCUUGCAAGUCUAUAGUCGCCUAUUAUGUGUUAUGAUCCGACAACCCCGAAGUGACAAUAAUCGGGAUACUUCUCGGUGAUGACCGUAGUUUGAGGAGUUCAUGUAUUCACUAAGUGCUAAUGCUUUGGUCCGGUUCUCUAUUAAAAGGAGGCCUUAAUAUCCCUUAGUUUCCAUUAGGACCCCGCUGCCACGGGAGGGUAGGAGAAAAGAUGUCAUGCAAGUUCUUUUCCAUAAGCACGUAUGACUAUAUUCGAAAUACAUGCCUACAUUACAUUGAUGAACUGGAGCUAGUUCUGUGUCACCCUAGGUUAUAACUAUUACAUGAGGAAUCGCAUCCGACAUAAUUAUCCAUCACUGAUCCAAUGCCUACGAGCUUUUCACAUAUUGUUCUUUGCUUAUUUACUUUACCGUUACUACUGUUACAAUUACUACAAAACUGCUAUCGUUACUUUUGCCACUGUUACCAUUACUAUCAUAUUACUUUGCUACUAAAUACUUUGCCGCAGAUACUAAGUUAUCUAGGUGUGGUUGAACUGACAACUCAACUACUAAUACUUGAGAAUAUUCUUUGGCUCCCCUUGUGUCGAAUCAAUAAAUUUGGGUUGAAUACUCUACCCUUGAAAACGGUGGCGAUCCCCUACACUUGUGGGUUAUCAAGACUAAUUUCUGGCGCCGUUGCCGGGGAGCAUAGCUCUAUUCUUUGAGUCACUUGGGAUUUAUAUCUGCUGGUCACUAUGAAGAACUUGAAGACGAUAAAACUAAAAUUUAUCCCUCAACUACGCGGUUAGGUAAGGAACUGCCAUCUAGCUCUGCUCUAGAUUCCCCUUCUGUUUUGAGUAAACUUGCGACACCUAAACCUGCUUCUGCUAUUAAUUCUGAUAUGUCGCAUGUUAUUGAUGAUGCCACUUCUGCUAUGCAUGAUACUUGUGAUGAAACUACUUCUUUGCUUGAUACUACUGUGCCACUUGGUGAAUUUCUUGAUGAACAACUUGCUAGGGCUAGAGAGAAUGAAAUUAUUGAAAAUGAAAUUAUUGAAAAUGAAAUUAUUGAAAAUAGUGAUGAUGAAGGUUCCCCCCUAAGUAUGAAUUGCCUGUUGUUCCUAAGGGUUAUGUUAUGCAUGAAGAAACUGCUAGAGAUCUUCUUGCUUGCAAUGACAGAUCUGAUCUUAAGAAGUUAUUAGCUAAACUUAAACAGAAAACUCUGAAUGCUAGAAUGAAAUAUGACCCUGCUUUUGCUACUUCACCUAUCUUUGUUACUGAUAAGGAUUAUGAAUUCUCUGUUGAUCCUGAGAUAAUUACUUUGGUUGAAUCUGAUCCUUUUUAUGGCUAUGAAUCUGAAACUGUUGUGGCACAUCUUACUAAGUUAAAUGAUAUAGCUACCAUGUUCACUAAUGAUGAGAAAUCUCGCUACUAUUAUAUCACUAGUAGAAAACAGGGCUUUCGUUCGGGCGGGACUUAGUCCCGGUUCAGUCAAGAACCGGGACCCAUGGGGGCAUUCAUCCCGGUUCGUUAGCCCAGGGGGCCGGCCGGGGCCUCGUGGGCAUUGGUCCCGGUUCCUGGGGAACCAUUUGUCCCGGUUCUAGGCACGAACCGGGACCAAUGGGCCUCGACCCUGGCCCACAACCAUUGGUCCCGGUUCGUGGCUAGAACCGGGACAGAAGGUGGAGCUUUAGUCCUGGUUGCAGCCACGAACCGGGACAAAUGAGUUGCCUAUAUAUACCCCAUCGCCACGGCAAAGCACUCCACAGCCGGCGAGAGGAGGGCAUUUGGGUGCUCUCUAGCUCACCUCCUUGCACAUGAGGUGUUCGAUGAAAUGUCUGAGCCACACUAGUUAAUCUUUCUCCUCUCGAAACUCGACCUCCGAGCUCCAUUUUCCCCGAGAUUUGUCUAGGUUUAGCGGUCCGUCACGUCCCGUCCCCGUCUUCACCGCCGUCGAUCGCCCGCGCCGAUCUCGUCGCCGGCACCACCGUGGUGAGCCUCUUGUUCUUAUCUUCUUUCUGAAAGAAAAAAAAAUUCUUACUUCAGAUAGAUACUUGUCUAAUUUUCUUACUUUUAUUAUUCCUUGUUAUUAUAUAGUGCGAUGGUUUUGGUAUCCGCCCCCGUCGGCCCUCGUGCUGUCUAUGAUUCGGAUGUGGUAUAUAUAUUAUCUUUUGAUAACUAUUUGGUUCAUUUAUUGUUUAUGACAAUUAUGCCGACCAACGUGACAUAGAUUUUAUUUAUCUAGGAGGUGGUUGAACCGGAAAUUCCAACCGACCCUAUUGUCGAGAGGUUAAAUUUAGUUUAAGGAGAAAACAAUUACUUGAAGGAAAAAAUAAAAAAGAGGAGGAGAAGAUGAUAUUGGAGUUGCAUGUUGCGGAUGUCGUCGAUGAUCACAAGAUCAAGAUGGAUGCAAUGCGGUUGAAGAUUAGAAAGAUUAGAAAAUAUGCCAUUCAUACCAAGGCUUGGUAUCAUUAUGCGGUUGGAUCAGUUGUUACCUUGGUUGCGAUUAUGAUCGCAUUUGUUGUUGCAUUGAAAUGUUUUACAUAAUUUCAAUGUAUGGUUUAAUUAGAUGCUCUGGAGAGCUAUAUGUUGUUCAAUGAGAAAUAUGUAUGUACUUUGGUUUUAAUGUGAUGAUGAACUUCUAUUAAUUUGGUCACUUAUCUAUUCAUGAGUUCAUUUCAAAUGCUUUUCAAUUUCAUGGUCUUAUGGCUCAAAAUAAUCAGUAAAUGCAUGAAAAAUAACAAAUGAAGUCAGAAAGGGUUGGAAAUUGAUGAUGUGGCUUUGAAUGGUGCAUUUUGAACACAGAAAAACUAUGGAGUUCCAAUAAGUUCAAAAAAAUGAAAUCCGUUUGUAACAGACGAGUUUCCGUAUGAAACCCUGAUAACAAAAAUGAAAUCCCCUUUGUAACAGACGAGUUUCCGUAUGAAAUCCCUUUGUUUCAGAGUUCAUAAAUAACUUUUUUGUUACAAACUUUAAUAGCAAAAAGAAUAUUCAUAAAAUAAAAUAAAUAAGUAAUUUGAAACAAAAUAAUAUAAACUUUUAAAAAAUAUAAGUAGAAACAAAAUAAAAUAAAAUAAAAUAAACUUUAAUAACAUAAAUAAAUUUUAUGAAACUAAAAUUAUCAAAGUAAUUUCUGUUCAAAAUGAUCAAAAGCAAAAAUAAUUUUCAUAAAGNNNNNNNNNNNNNNNNNNNNNNNNNNNNNNNNNNNNNNNNNNNNNNNNNNNNNNNNNNNNNNNNNNNNNNNNNNNNNNNNNNNNNNNNNNNNNNNNNNNNNNNNNNNNNNNNNNNNNNNNNNNNNNNNNNNNNNNNNNNNNNNNNNNNNNNNNNNNNNNNNNNNNNNNNNNNNNNNNNNNNNNNNNNNNNNNNNNNNNNNNNNNNNNNNNNNNNNNNNNNNNNNNNNNNNNNNNNNNNNNNNNNNNNNNNNNNNNNNNNNNNNNNNNNNNNNNNNNNNNNNNNNNNNNNNNNNNNNNNNNNNNNNNNNNNNNNNNNNNNNNNNNNNNNNNNNNNNNNNNNNNNNGAAUAAAUAAUUAAUUAUAAACAAAAUAAAAUAAAAUAAAUAAGUAUUUUGUUGUAAGUAGAAAUAAAACAAAAUAAAUAAAGCAAAAAAGAAAACAAAAAAGUGGGAAAAAAUGCCACCUACUAGGCCACCACGGCCUGAAUACGACUAGAAACCCAUCCAUGGGCCAGGAUUCAGGCCUGCAGCAGGCCCAGUAGGCCCACAGGCACAUAGUGACAGAUUAGGCCCGAAAGCCUGCAGUUGAGAGGAGCUCGAGAGGGUGGCCGCGUCAGCGCUUAUAAACCACUCUCGAGCUCUCUCAACUAGCGAGGUGGGACUAAACUUUUGGCCGCGAGGCGGGCAGCACAAGGCCUUUGGUCCCGGUUGGUGGCACCAUCCGGGACUAAAGAGGUGCAUUGGUACCGGUUCUUGGCACCAACCGGUACCAAUGCCCCCCCUUUAGUCCCGGUUGGUGCCACCAACCGAGACCAAAGGCCUCUGCUUCCCGCCCUUUGGGCUGCUGAAAAGAGACCUUUGGUCCCGGUUGGUGGCACAAACCGGGACUAAAGGUGGCAUUGGUCCCGCACGAACCGGUACCAAUGCCCUGGAUAUAUAAGCAAAAACGUAGUAGUUUCGACCAAAUUCCUCACUUCUUCUCCCCCGACGCCCCCUGCUCCUCCUCGCCGUCGCCGCCCGACGCCCCUGCUUCACGUUGCCGUCGCCGCCGCCACCGACGCCGUCAGGCUACUCGACGUCGCUGUCGCCGCCGCCACCGACGCCGUUAGGCUACUCCACGUCGCCGCCGCCGCUUUCGCCCUCUGCCCCUACGCCCCUGCUCCUCCGAGUCGCCGUCGCCGCCCUCUGUCGUCGCCGUCGCCCCUGGUCUACCGUGCCCCGCCGCCCCCUGUGAGCACCAGCCUGCUCCCGCGCCCCUCCCCUGUCCCGCGCCCCUGCGCCCCGCCCGCCGGCGCCGGCCCGUCCGCCGUGCCCCUCCGCCCCUGCGCGGUGCACGGGGUGGAUGUUUUUAUUGAUGUUUUUAGAUGUUUUUUUAGAUGUUUUUAGAUGCUAUUCUUAGAUGUUUGUACAUGUUUUUUAGAUUAUCUUAGUUUAUGUUUAGUUUAGUUUAGAUUAGGAAAAUUUCAGAUGUGUAGUAAUAUUUAUUUAGAUGUGUAGUUAAUUUAGAUGUUGUAAUUUGUUCAUAAAAAUUGUGCACUUUUGUAUAGAAACUUUAUUUUUGUUCAUAUGUACGAAAAUGUAGAGUGAAAAGUGAGGGGGGACGUCGGACAUUACAUGAGGCGGGGAGUCGUCGGACAUGACAUGAGGGGGGACGUCAGAAAAAAUAAGAAGAGGAAGAAGAAGAAAAAAAAGAGGAGAAGAAGAAGGAAUAGAGGAGUGGAAUUCCACUCCUCUAUUCCUUCUUCUUCUCCUCUUUUUUUCUUCUUCUUUUUUAUCGGGAAUGAGGGUGUCGAGGAUCGCCGAGCUGUCGAGGGUCAGGAACUAGGGCGGAGGGUCGAGGGUCACCGAGGGGUCGAGGGUCGUCGAGGGUUCGAGGGGCGAGGGUCGUCGAGGGGUCGAGGGUUGAGGAACGCCGAGGGGUUUUGUUGAAUCCUUUGACACUAGCUAGACAAACGUGAAGCGUUGCCGAGACCACCCCAAACCUGGGAGAAGCUAGGUCUACGUUUGCCACUAAUAUAUCCACCUGCUUCAUGUUUAGAAAAGUGUAUAUAUGUAUGUAUGUUCUCUGUGUAUAUAUGUUCAUAUAUGCAAAAGUUAGAUUUUUAGAAAAGUGAGCACCCCCUCUCGACCAUGAUAACUUAUACCACGGGAGCACCCCCCCGGCCCUCUCGCUCGACCAAAACUCUCGAGGACACCCAAACCCUAGAAAAAAACGAUGUCGGUCUCGUACCCCCUCCCGCCGCGCCCCUACACGACAAACUCUCACGAGGCCACCCAAAUUUACCAAGUUAAAAGAGUGUUGUCGUCGAGGCCACCCCAAACCCUUGAAGCAUUGUCGAGGCCACUCCAAACCCUUGAAGCGUUGCGGAGGCCACCCCGGCCCAAACCCUAGAGAAGCAAGUCGAGGCCACUAAUUAAUAUGAUUCCUUAUUGUGAUUAGCUAGCUAGUUCUACAUUUGCCACUAAUAUAUCCAUCUGUCAUGUUUGAAUAAUAAUUGCCAUGUUGUAAAUAUUUGCAGAAACUAUGGAUCCUCGAGACGAAGCAACAUAAGCAUUGUUGGGGGACAUAAUCGCAAAAGGAAGUGAUGCUGUCUUGUCGUAUCUCAACGACACCGAUGGUCUGGAAGGACAGGGUGAAGAAGAAGACUGAUUAGGAUGGCUCCGGUGACCCAAUGCCGGUACAAGAAGGAGACCGUGAUGACGGCUCCGGUGACCCAAUGCCGGUACAAGAAGGAGACCGUGAUGACGGCUCCGGUGACCGAACCGAUUCCGGCCAGGUAUAUAUAUUAGUUAAGCCUGUGCUGACUAGCUAAUUGAUGCAUUCAUUGUUUUCGUAUGUACAUAUAUUAAUUAACUCUCGUCUUUCUUCUUUUUUCUCGCCCUCCGGAUCGAGCACAACUUUGGUAAGGAGACGAGGCCCGAAGAAAACAUUGCGCUCGGAUGAAAGGUUUGAGAUCACAGCAAUCACGCGCGAUGGCAAGCCGAUUGAACCCAUCCGGACAAGGGAUGCAUUUCGUGCUCAGUGCGGGGUUCUUGUUAGGGACAAGAUCCCGAUCAGUAUCCAGCAAUGGUUAAAGCCUAAGAAGGAAGACGACCCUGAGGUGUCUUAUGUCUCCGAUAUGCAGAAAGAAGAUCUUUGGACAACACUGAAGGCAAAUUUCACCCUACCGCCAGAGGAGGAUCCAGAGAAGCCAGUUAAAGUGCAAUUGAUCAAGUCUCAUGCUCUUAAGAAGAUGGCAGAACUAUUCAGGAGGUGGAAGAAUGAGCCGAAAACAGAGUUUAUUGACCAAGAAAAGACACCAGAAUUCAAAGGAAAGUGUAAGAAGAUCGGAGAUCACUGGCCCGCAUUUGUGGCCCACAAGACAUCGGAAAAGAGUAAGAAGAUGUCAGCGACAAACAAGAAAAAUGCUGCGAAGAAGAAGCAUCACCAUCGCACGGGGUCAGGUGGCUACCUCAAAGCCCGACCUUUGUGGGACAAGGCUGAGAAUGACCUGAUUGCUAAAGGGGUCGAACCAGAGACAUUGAUCUGGCCGGACCGUUGCCGGACUUGGUUCUUCGGGGAAGCUUCAGCACUAUAUUAACGCAGUGCAGCAAGGGACGUUCAUUCCAGACAGAGAGAAGGACGAGCUCACAAUGGCCCUCGGGAAUCCUGAGCACCCUGGACGGACAUGAGGCACGCCAGGCUCCGUCCCGUGGAAGGCUGGGUUUCCAGACGCAGGGGGUUACAAAAGCCAGGAGGGGAGGAAGAAAGUGGAGCAUAGCCAACUGCAGGCGCUGCACGCAAGGGUACUAGGGCUAGAGGAACGAGAAGCAAAUCACAGCAAACGACCUGCCGAAGCUUCCCAUGAAGCUACCCCGCCAUCUCAGCGGAGAAGCAGCGUGGCUUCCACCGAGCAGCUUCAGCUGGAGCCUGUCUUCACGGCUCCUGCUAGCUACCCCGUGGAUGCUAUCACAGAGUCUCAACAUUGCCACCUUAUGGCGCAAUGGAUGAAUUUGAAAGUCAAGGCGGCUGUUGGCUCUGUUUUACCUACUGAACCUGGCGCAACCUACCACUACCGGUCGAUUCCAGAAGGAUAUGCUAGGGUGAUGGUGGAUGAAAUAACGGACGGAUUUGAGGACCUCUAGCUUGACCACCCUACGGGUGAAGGGGAGAUUCGGCUGGGUUCGGCUCUGAAGACUCCAUGCCUAUGGCAGAAGGAGUUCAUCAACCUUCCAAACUGGACGCCUCCGCCUCCUCUUCCUCCUCCAGCGAGUCAGGGCACUCCGCCUCCUCCUCCGCCUCCUCCUCUGCCUCCUCCUCCGGCGAGUGUCAGGGCACUCAGCCUCCUUCUCCGGCGCGUGGCGGCACUCCACCUCCUUCUCCGCCUGUGCCGGCGCGCCCGAUCAGCCAGCCUCCUCCUUCUCCGCCUCGUCAACAAGGGCGGAAGAGACCCGCCGUCGCUCUGGAUGCUCUGGCGCGUCGUCCUUCUCCUCCGCCUCGUAAGAAAGGAAACACAGCCGCAACCGCUCCGUCUGCUCCUUCGUCUAGCAGUACAGCCAGAGGCGGGAGGCAAUACAGAUUUGGUCCUUCUCUGAAGACUCCAGAGAAGUUACCAUACGAGAGGAGCCUGGAGGAAAACACGAAGAUCGUGCGAGCCAAAGUGAAGAACUUCUUUGAAGGGGUGAAAGCACAGAAACAUCCACCUCCGGAGGAGAAGAUAGAUCCGGUGAAAGUGAAGCGUACUCUGGCUGCCCUGAGGAAACCACCAAAGUCUCCGCCGAAAGGCAACUAUGAGUGCAUCCUUGAAAAGUCAUUUUUCCAAGCGGAGCGGUCGGGAAGUACUGUCAGUGAUCAAAGGUUAGCAGAACGACGAGCUGGGAAAAAAAUUGCCCAGCUCGGCGAACAAGCGAACCAAUCGCUCCCCCCGCUCCAGGUGUCUAGCGAUAUCGUCGCUAAUGAUCCGGGCGGGAUGGUGCCCGGUUAUAACAAUCCAAGAGAUUACCUGCCCGACGAUGUACAUUAUGAUUUCUUGGAGGUGGAUGAACACAGUUACGUGUACGGGAAGCCUCUCGUCAAAGAUGAAACAUCUCUAACAACGAUGAUGCGAAGAUUCCAUGAUUGGUACAUGAAAACCUGCAGAGAGUCUAAGGGGAGGAAUAUUUUGACGCUGAGUGUUAGAGAGGAGCAUGACCUCGUUGGAAUUGAACUGUUGAAUGUUCCAUUUGAGGAGUUCUUCGCGUUUUUCAAUCUAAAGGCCCUCGAUAAAUUAAUGGUCACUUGCUACUGCCUGUAAGUAGUACUACUUCUGUCAUUAAUUAAGUCUCUAUAUAUAGGUCAGCUCUUUCAUUGCAUGUAUUUUUAAUUAUCCUCACUAUAUUAUGCAGAUUGAAGAUCGCCGAAUUGAAGAAAAGACAAGUCGGUGAUAUUGGGUUCAUUAACACAAAUCUCAUAGAUGCAUAUAUGGUUAAAUCUCAUGCCAGAGAUACCGAGGCCAAGCUACUACAAUCAUUUGUAUUAAAUCAAAACAAAGCUAUAAUACUCUUCCCUUACGAAGUCAAGUGAGUGUUACUGUCUUGUGCAUCCCUUAUUAGCCGAGGUUAUAGUAAUGUAAUUGGUGAGUUAUGCAUGCUUGCACAGGUACCACUAUAUUCUCCUAGAGAUUAAGCUUGAGCAGGGACUAGUAACCGUCUUAGACUCGAGACGAAAAGAUCCCACGGAGUAUGCGGACUUGACUGAAAUUCUAGAGAAGUAAGUUAAACCGGUCAUUAUCGCACCAUAUCGGCAACUUUGUGCAUUUCGUGAUAUCAAGUAAUUGUUUUCUUUGUCUGGCAGGGUUUGGAAAAAAUUCACCUCAAAAACUCCGGGACUGCCGAAGAAGCUGCAAUUUAGAUACCCGAAAGUAAGUACUAUAGUAGCAUGUUCCACGCAUCUCCUAGUGAUUCAAGCGCUAGUUUCAUCAAUACCAUUUAGCAUGCUUGCUAAUUAUCAGUUUGAUUGACCUCUAUUCCUUGUAAAGUGGUUGUGGCAGGAACAAGGGAAUGAUUACUGUGGAUACUACAUUUGUGAGUCCAUCCGCCACACGACCUAUGAGCGGGGCCACACUGACAAACAAUAUGAAGUGCGUAAAUAAUAAUAUUCACAAUUUUAUUUUAUUACCAUCAUUUGUGUUCAGUUUCAUCUAUUCAUAUAUAUGUAUUGACCCCCUUCUUCAAAUUAGAUAUUUCGGAUGCGGGAUGAACUCCUACCAGCAGAUUGUAUGCGAGCAAUUCAAGAGGAAAUGGCGGCAUUCUUUCUUGACCACGUGAUCGCUAAAGACGGAGAAUACCAUGUGGAACCUGAGUUCGUUUGGAAUUAGGAGAUUAUAUUGUAAGAGAUAAUUAUAUUGUAUAUAUGUAGCCGGUAGCGUCGGAUAGAUAUACGAGAACUUGUUGUUUGACCAAUCUCUUAGAGAAGGAGAGGUGGUCGAUAUCACUUCUCUCUGUAUGCAUAUGUUCAUGACGAUCUUCUGUUUCCUUCAUUUGCUUACUAGCUAGCUAGCGUGUCUAGUCCUCUCUAUAGGUAUAGUACGUAGCGUCGACCAAGCACGGAGAUAACAGAGGACACUUCUCUCUAUUAAUUAGCUAGCUAACACAAACACCUAAACUAACCCCCCAAAAACCCCAAAACCCCCCCUUUCAAAAAAAAACAAAAACCCCAGCCACGGAAAUGCUGACGCGUGGAUGCCUAUUGGUCCCGGUUGGUGUCACCAACCGGGACCAAACGCCCCCCCUGCCUGGGCUGGUCGCAGCGGCCACGUGGAUGACCAUCUGUCCCGGUUCAUGUAAGAAGCGGAACUAAAGGCCAAGGGCAUUAGUAACGACCUUUUAGUCCUGGUUCAAAAACCGGGACAGAAGGCCCUCACGAACCGGGACAAUAGGCCCUUUUUCUACUAGUGUAUCCUUAAGAUAUUUCCGUUCUCAUUAAAGGGUGAUGCUAAAACUUGGUUUAAUUCUCUUGAUCCUAGUUGUGUGCGUAGUCCCCAGGAUAUGAUUUAUUACUUCUCUGCUAAAUAUUUCCCUGCUCAUAAGAAACAAGCUGCCUUGCGGGAAAUAUAUAAUUUUUGUGCAAAUUGAAGAAGAGAGUCUCCCACAGGCUUGGGGGAGGCUUCUCCGAUUACUUAAUGCUUUGCCGGAUCAUCCUCUCAAGAAAAAUGAAAUACUUGAUAUCUUUUAUAAUGGACUAACCGAUGCUUCCAAGGACUACUCGGAUAGUUGUGCUGGUUGUGUUUUCAGAGAAAGAAUAGUCGACCAGGCUGAAGUGCUAUUAAAUAAUAUGUUGACUAAUGAAAAUAAUUGGACUCUUCCUGAGCUAAUUCCUGAGCCAAUUGAGCCUAUCCCUAAACCUAUUGCGAAGAAGAGAGGUGUUCUAUUUCUCAGUCCUGAAGAUAUGCAAGAGGCAAAGAAAUCAAUGAAAGAAAAGGGUAUUAAAGCUGAAGAUGUUAAGAAUUUACCUCCUAUUGAAGAAAUACAUGGUCUUAAUAUACCGCAUGUUGAAGAAACACAUUGUCUUGAUUACCCGACACAGGUAGUAAAGUUAAAUUCUCUCUAUAGAUAUGAUAAAGUUGAAAUCCCGUCUAUUAAAUUUCCUAGCCAAUGUUUAGAUGAAUUUGAUGACUUUAUGGCUAGGCAAGAAAGUUUUAAUGCUUAUGUUAGUAGAGAAUUAAAGAGUAAUGCUUACAUGAUUGGACACUUGAGUGAUUAUAUGGCUAGAGUUAAAGGUGAACUCAAACUCAUUAGCAAAUAUGCUUCUAUGGUUAACACUCAAGCAGAACAAGUACUUAAGGCUCAAAGUGAUUUGCUUGAUGAAUUAAAUAAUAAACAUGAUUUUGCCGUUAGAGUGGCUACUAGAACUGGUAAAAUGACUCAGGAACCUUUGUAUCCUGAAGGCCACCCUAAGAGAACUGAGCAAGAUUCUCAGAGAAAUAAUGUAGAUGCACCUAGUCCUUCUAAAAAGAAGAAAAAGAAAAAUGAUAAGACUUUGCAUGCUUCUAGUGAACCUAUUAUAGACACACCUGAGAAUCCUAAUGAUAUUUCUAUUUCUGACGCUGAAACACAAUCAGGUGAUGAACAUGAACCUAGUGAUAAUGUUAAUGAUAAUGUUCAUGUUGAUGCUCAACCUAGCAAUAAUAAUGAUGUAGAGAAUGAACCUGCUGUUGAUCUUGAUAACCCACAAUCAAAGAAUCAACGUUACGAUAAGAGAGAUUUCGUUGCUAGAAAGCACGGUAAAGAAAGAGAACCAUGGGUACAGAAACCCAUGCCUUUUCCUCCUGAACCAUCCAAGAAGAAGGAUGAUGAGGAUUUUGAGCGUUUUGCUGAAAUGAUUAGACCUAUCUUCUUGCGUAUGCGCUUAACUGAUAUGCUUAAAGUAAAUCCUUAUGCCAAAUAUAUGAAGGAUAUCAUUACAAAUAAAAGAAAGAUACCAGAAGCUGAAAUUUCCACCAUGCUUGCUAAUUACACUUUUAAAGGUGGAAUACCAAAGAAACUAGGAGAUCCAGGAAUACCAACUAUACCAUGCUCCAUUAAAAGAAAUUAUGUUAAAACUACUUUAUGUGAUCUUGGAGCCGGUGUUAGUGUUAUGCCUCUCUUUCUAUCGUAGACUUGAAUUGAAUAAGUUGACACCUACUGAAAGAUCUUUGCAAAUGGCUGACAAAUCAACUGCUAUACCUGUCAGUAUUUGUGAGGAUGUGCCUGUUGUGGUUGCAAAUGUCACUAUCUUAACGGACUUUGUUAUUCUUGAUAUUCCCGAGGACGAUAGUAUGUCUAUUAUCCUUGGUAGACCCUUUUUGAAUACUGCAGGGGCUGUAAUUGAUUGCAACAAAAGGCAAUGUCACUUUUCAUGUUAAUGGAAAUGAGCAUACGGUACACUUUCCGAGGAAACAACCUCAAGUUCAUAGCAUCAAUUCUAUUGGAAAAAUUCCAACUAUUACUAUUGGAGGUUUUGAAUUUCCUCUUCCUACUGUCAAGAAGAAAUAUGAUAUUCUUAUUAUUGGGGAUGUUCAUAUCCCCGUUAAGGUAACCUAGUGUUAUCCGAAAUUUCUCUGGUUCCAUGUUAUUCGGAAUGAGUUUGUUAACAAGACUUGAUCAACCUUGUUAGUGGAUUCCUUUUGAUGAUCAUGAGAUGGAUGAAAUUAGAAGGCACAACCUUCUGUACCCUCUUUUUUACUUUCUGUUAUUUAGAAUAAAUUAAGCAAAAAUAGUAUUAUGUGUCUAUUUUCUGAAUUAUCCAUACAAUAAAAAAUACCCCGAAGAUAAAAGUUCCCCAAAUGCCCUGCCAAUUUAGUAUGAUUUUUUCUAGAAUAUUUGAGAAUAUCUGGCACUGAGAACACAACAGGGGGAGCUGGCACCUGGCCACGAGGGACCAGGGCGUGCCCACCCUAACAGGGCGCGACCCCUGCCUCGUGGGCCCACGGUGGCCCCCCUCCACUUAUUCCUGCACCCACACACUCCAUCUUCCUCCCAAAAAAAUCACCAUCCAGCUCAAGCACGAGUUCUAGCUCAUUUUGCUGCGAUUUUCGAUCUCCUUGCUCAAAGCUCUAUUCACAAAACUGCUUUGGGAGAUUGUUCCUUGAAAAUGAUGAGGAGAUUAUUGAGGGGCUCUUCUAGCCAAAGCUCCAACGAUAAACAAGCUAAGGAGAAAGAAAAAGCCAAGUAUAAUCUUCCUCGCAUAGCGGAAGUAAGGCCGUUUGAGUGGCCUUGUGAUAAUUUCUUGAGAGUAGCCGGGAUUUAUGAAGACUUUUAUUCUUUGGCUGAAAAUGCGGGCCUCACCGACUUCCUCCACGACCAGAUCGAACAGUAUCUCUUACUUACCAAUACUUUCAUGCAAAACUUUUACUAUUAUCCUAAGAAUUCACCUCCUUCAGUAUCUUUUCAUUUAUAUGAUGAGGCUAAGGAAAUGUCAUUACGUAAUUUUUGCGCGGUUUGUAGAAUACCCUUUGAGGGAGCUUAGAUGAACCACAUCGUAAAGAUGUGGAAGGUUUUAGUGACACUAUUACUGUAGGGGAAUCGAGGAAGGGUUCCGAUGCGAGAAUCACUAGCAUACAUUUUCCUGUUUUACGCUACUUUGCCAUAUUUGCUAGUCGAUGCUUAAUUGGUCAUGGAAAUAGUGGAAACUUCAGUGUUCCUGAUAUUAUUAUGUUACUCCAUGCCUUAUUAGGUGAUAACACUUUUAGUAUGGGUGCCGUUAUUGCUAAACGGUUAAGCCUAAAUCAUACAAAGGGCCCCAUCUUUGGAGGUAUCUAUGCUGCACGCCUUGCUAGACAUUUUGAGAUACCUAUUAGGCAUUAUGAGAAAGAGGAGACACUACUGCCUCUUACCUUUUUAGAUUACAGGAGCAUGGUAGCGCAUGAGUUUAUUGUUGACAAUGAUGAUAAGAUGCUUCUGUAUAACCUGAGAUUUAAUAAGAAACACAAUGAGAUUAUUACCCUGCCUGCGCCUUAUUUGUUUGAUUUAACUGCAGGUCAUUACCUCGUCUUGCCGUCGACCGUGUACGCGCACCGAGGCCAGACAUCGGCUCCAGAGCCUGAGCCGGAACCACCACUGGAUCCUUAUCAUCCAUCAUCUUAUCAGUGGGAUCCGGAGGCAGCUCGCCAACAUGCCGCAACUCAGGAGGCAUUGGCUGCUGCAUCUCAGUAUGACCCCAGUUAUAACUUUGGAUAUCGGCCAGGCUAUCCUUGGCAUUAGACCAACUUAGGCCAAAAGCCUAAGCUUGGGGGAGUACGUAUUUCUCACCGACUUUACAUUCAUGUUCACACACUUAUUCUAGUUGUCGGUGCUCAUACCUUUUCAUUGUACUAUCCAUGCUAGUUUAAUUUCUGUUUCUAGCUUUCUUCUUGUGUGUUGGAUAAACCUUAAGAAAACAAAACAUUAGUUAGUUUAAUUCCAUGCUUGUAGUAGAAAUUAAAUGAAAACCCAAAAAAGAUUUCUCGUUCUUUUACUUGUUGGGAGCUUUUCCGUGUAAAUAGUUUUAUUUCUUUUCUUUCUUUUGGGGGUCGAGAGGAGAAGACCAUAAUGAAAAUAUUUAGUGGCUCUAAUAUGCAUGAUUGUUGAUUUAACCAAGAGCCCAUAUUACUUUGUCUUAUCCCUUGAAUUGAAUGCUUGCAGAUUCCAGAUUAGUCCAAUGCACGUGCACUAUUAUUAUUAUACACACCGUUCGGUCGUGCAAGUGAAAGGCGAUAAUGACGAUAUAUGAUGGACUGAUUGAGAUGAGAGAAGCUGGUAUGAACUCGACCUCUCUUGUUUUUGUAAAUAUGAUGAGUUCAUCGUUCCUAAUUCAGCCUAUUAUGAAUAAACAUGUUUGCAAUGACAAUUAGAGAUUAUAGUUGCUUAUGCCAUGCUUAAUUAGCUAGGAGCUUAUAAUGGUUUACCUUGCGUGCCAACAUGCUAUUAAAAUGGUUGUGAUAUGGUAUGAUAGGGUGGUAUCCUCCUUUGAAUGAAUUGAGUGACUCGACUUGGCACAUGUUCACGCAUGUAGUUGAAAUGAAAUCAACAUAGCCUUCACGAUAUUUAUGUUCAUGGUGGAUUAUAUCCUACUCAUGCUUGCACUCAGUGUUGAUUAAUUUUAAUGCAUGUUCAUGACUGCUGUCGCUCUCUCAGUUGGUCGCUUCCCAGUCUUUUACUAGCCUUCAUCUGUACUAAGCAGGAAUACUGCUUGUGCAUCCAAACUCCAUAAACCCCAAAGUUAUUCCAUAUGAGUCCACCAUACCUUCCUAUAUGCGGUAUCUACCUGCCGUUCGAAGUAAAUUUGUAUGUGACAAACUCCAAACCUUCAAAUGAAAUUCUGUUUUGUAUGCUCGAGCAGCUCAUGUAUCAACUAGGGCUCUCUGUAUCUUCCAUGCUAGGCAGGUUAUUCUCAGGAGGAGUGGACUCCGCUCCUCAUUCACGAGAAAAUGGCUAGUAACCGGGAUGCCCAGUCCCAUGCUUUAAGCAAAUCAAAUCAAAAUAAUUGCAAACAAAACUCCCCUGGGACUCUUAUUAGUUGGAGGCACCCGUUGUUUCGGACAAGCCAUGGAUUGAUGUUUGUUGGUGGAGGGGGAGUAUAAACUUUACCAUUCUAUUGGGGAACCGCCUAUAAUGUGUGUAGCAUGGAAGAUAUCGAGAUCUCAUAGUUGUUGUGUUGACAGUGAAAGUAUAUCCGCUCAAAAUAUUAUUUAUCUCUAUUUUAAAACCAAGCUCUGGCACCUCUACAAAUCCCUGCUUCCCUCUACGAAGGGCCUAUCUAUUUACUUUUAUGUUGAGUCAUCACCUUCUUAUUAAAAAGCACCCGCUGGAGAGCACCGCUGUCAUUUGCAUGCAGUACUAUUAGUUUAUAUUGGGUAUGACUUGACUGGAUCUCUUUUACCAUGAAUUACAAUGUUUAGUCAGUCCUUGAUCUUUAAAGGUGCUCUGCAUUUAUGUUUUGCAGUCUCAGAAAGGGCUAGCGAGAUACCAUCUUGUCAUAUCAUAUUAUGAUUGUUUUGAGAAAGUGUUGUCAUCCGAGUUUUAUUAUUAUUGCUCGCUAGUUGAUUAUGCCAUUGAUAUGAGUAAACAUGAGACCUAAGUGUUAUUGUGAAUAUGGUUAGUUAAUAAUCUUUGCUGAAAACUUGAAUUCUGGCUUUACAUAUUUACAACAACAAGAGCAAACAGAGUUUGUAAAAGUUUUUCUUUAUCACUUUCAGUCUGUCAACUGAAUUGCUUGAGGACAAGCAAAGGUUUAAGCUUGGGGGAGUUGAUACGUCUCCAACGUAUCUACUUUUCCAAACACCUUUGCCCUUGUUUUGGACUCUAACUUGCAUGAUUUGAAUGAAAGUAAUCCGGACUGACGCUGUUUUCAGCAGAAUUGCCAUGGUGUUAUCUUUGUGCAGAAACAAAAGUUCUCGGAAUGACCUGGAAAUCCACGGAGAUUAUUUUUGGAAAAUAAGAAAAAUACUGGCGCAAGAAUCAAGGCCAGGGGCCCCACACCCUGUCCACGAGGGUGGGGAGCGCACCCCCUCCCCCUGGGCAAGCCCCCCUGUCUCGUGGGCCCCCUGGAGCUCCACCGACCUCAACUCCAACUCUAUAUAUUCCGUUUGGUGGAGAAAAAAAAUCAGAGAGAAAGUUUCAUCGCAUUUUACGAUACGGAGCCGCCGCCAAGCCCUAAUCUCUCUCGGGAGGGCUGAUCUGGAGUCCGUUUGGGUCUCCGGAGAGGGGGAUUCGUCGCCGUCAUCAUCAUCAACCAUCCUCCAUCACCAAUUUCACGAUGCUCACCGCCGUGCAUGAGUAAUUCCAUCAUAGGCUUGCUGGACGGUGAUGGGUUGGAUGAGAUUUAUCAUGUAAUCGAGUUAAUUUUGUUAGGGUUUGAUCCCUAGUAUCCACUAUGUUCUGAGAUUGAUGUUGCUAUGACUUUGCUAUGCUUAAUGCUUGUCACUAGGGCCCGAGUGCCAUGAUUUCAGAUCUGAACCUAUUAUGUUUUCAUGAAUAUAUGUGAGUUCUUGAUCCUAUAUUGCAAGUCUAUAGUCGCCUAUUAUGUGUUAUGAUACGACAACCCCGAAGUGACAAUAAUCGGGAUACUUCUCGGUGAUGACCAUAGUUUGAGGAGUUCAUGUAUUCACUAAGUGCUAAUGCUUUGGUCCGGUUCUUUAUUAAAAGGAGGCCUUAAUAUCCCUUAGUUUCCAUUAGGACCCCGCUGCUACGGGAGGGUAGGACAAAAGAUGUCAUGCAAGUUCUUUUCCAUAAGCAUGUAUGACUAUAUUCGGAAUACAUGCCUACAUUACAUUGAUGAACUGGAGCUAGUUCUGUGUCACCCUAGGUUAUAAGUAUUACAUGAGGAAUCGCAUCCGACAUAAUUAUCCAUCACUGAUCCAAUGCCUACGAGCUUUUCACAUAUUGUUCUUUGCUUAUUUACUUUACCGUUACUACUGUUACAAUCACCACAAAACUGCUAUCGUUACUUUUGCCACUAUUACCAUUACUAUCAUAUUACUUUGCUACUAAAUACUUUGCUGCAGAUACUAAGUUAUCCAGGUGUGGUUGAAUUGACAACUCAACUGCUAAUACUUGAGAAUAUUCUUUGGAUCCCCUUGUGUCGAAUCAAUAAAUUUGGGUUGAAUACUCUACCCUCAAAAACUGUUGCGAUCCCCUACACUUGUGGGUUAUCAAUGCAUAGCAACGAGGGGGAGAGUGUGUCCACGUACCCUCGUAGACCGAAAGCGGACGCGUUAUGUAACGUGGUUGAUGUAGUCGAACGUCUUCGCGAUCCAACCGAUCAAGUACCAAACGCACGGCACCUCCGCGAUCUGCACACGUUCAGCUCGGUGACGUCCCUCGAACUCUAGAUCCAGCUGAGGCCGAGGGAGAGUUUCGUCAGCACGACGGCGUGGUGACGGUGAUGAUGAAGUUACCGACGCAGGGCUUCGCCUAAGCACUACAACGAUAUGACCGAGGUGGAAAACUGUGGAGGGGGGCACCGCACACGGCUAAAGAUCAACUUGUGUGUCUAUGGGGUGCCCCCCUCCCCCGUAUAUAAAGGAGGAGAGGAGGGGGCCGGCCAGCCACAAGUGGUGCGCCCAAGGGGGGGAGUCCUACUCCAAGUAGGAGUAGGUUCCCCCCUUUCCUAGUCCAACUAGGAGGAGAAGGAAGGAGGGGAAGGAGAGAAGGAAAGGGGGGCCGCCCCCUAGUCCAAUUCGGUUUGGGCUAGGGGGGGGGCGUGCCUCACCUUGGCCUGCCUCCUCUCUUCCACCACUUGGCCCAUGAGGUCCAUUAACCCCCCCGGGGGGUUCCGGUAACCCCUCGGUACUCCGGUUUUAUCCGAAACUUCUACGGAACAUUUCCGGUGUCUGAGUAUAGCCGUCCAAUAUAUCAAUCUUUAUGUCUCGACCAUUUCGAGACUCCUCGUCAUGUCCGUGAUCUCAUCCGGGACUCCAAACAACCUUCGGUACAUCAAAACACAUAAACUCAUAAUACCAAUCGUCAUCAAACGUUAAGCGUGCGGACCCUACGGGUUCGAGAACUAUGUAGACAUGACCGAGACACGUCUCCGAUCAAUAACCAAUAGCGGAACCUGGAUGCUCAUAUUGGUUCCUACAUAUUUGAUGUCUACCACGCAACCUUCUCCUUGUAGACGUUGUUGGGCCUCCAAGUGUAGAGGUUUGUAGGACAGUAGCAAAUUUCCCUCAAGUGGAUGACCUAAGGUUUAUCAAUCCAUGGGAGGCGUAGGAUGAAGAUGGUCUCUCUCAAGCAACCCUGCAACCAAAUAACAAAGAGUCUCUUGUGUCCCCAACACACCCAAUACAAUGGUAAAUUGUAUAGGUGCACUAGUUCAGCGAAGAGAUGGUGAUACAAGUGCAAUAUGGAUGAUAGAUAUGAGUUUUUGUAAUAUGAAAAUAUAAAAACAGCAAGGUAACUAAUGAUAAAAGUGAGCGUAAACGGUAUUGCAAUGAUAGGAAACAAGGCCUAGGGUUCAUACUUUCACUAGUGCAAGUUCUCUCAGCAAUAAUAACGUAACUGGAUCAUAUAACUAUCCCUCAACAUACAAGAAAGAGUCACUCCAAAGUCACUAAUAGCAGAGAACAAACGAAGAGAUUAUUGUAGGGUACGAAACCACCUCAAAGUUAUCCUUUCUGAUCGAUCUAUUCAAGAGUUCGUACUAGAAUAACACCUUAAGACACAAAUCAACCAAAACCCUAAUGUCACCUAGAUACUCCAAUGUCACCUCAAGUAUCCGUGGGUAUGAUUAUACGAUAUGCAUCACACAAUGUCAGAUUCAUCUAUUCAACCAACACAAAGUACUUCAAAGAGUGCCCCAAAGUUUCUACCGGAGAGUCAAGAUGAAAACGUGUGCCAACCCCUAUGCAUAAGUUCAUUGAACCCGCAAGUGGAUCACCAAAACAUACAUCAAGUAGAUCACGUGAAUAUCCCAUUGUCACCAUAGAUAAGCAUGGCAAGACAUACAUGAAGUGUUCUCAAAUCCUUAAAGACUCAAUCCGAUAAGAUAACUUCAAAGGGAAAACUCAAUCCAUUACAAGAGAGUAGAGGGGGAGAAACAUCAUAAGAUCCAACUAUAAUAGCAAAGCUCGCGAUACAUGAAGAUCGUGUCACCUCAAGAACACGAGAGAGAGAGAGAGAGAUCAAACACAUAGCUACUGGUACAUAACCUCAGCCCCGAGGGUGAACUACUCCCUCCUCGUCAUGGAGAGCGCCUGGAUGAUGAAGAUGGCCACCGGUGACGGAUUCCCCCUCCGACAUGGUGCCGGAACGGGCUCCCGAGAGGUUUUUGGUGGCUACAGAGGCUUGCAGCGGCAGAACUCCCGAUCUAUUGUGCUCCUCGAUGUUUUUAGGGUAUAUGGAGAUAUAUAUAUAUAUAUAUAUAUAGGCAAAAGAAGUAGGUCAGGGGAGCCACGAGGGGCCCACGAGGGUGGGGGGCGCGCCCAGGGGGGUAGGGCACGCCUCCCUGCCUCGUGGCUUCCUUGUUGCUUCCCUUAUGUGUACUCCAAGUCUCCUGGAUUGCUUCCGUUCCAAAAAUAACUCUCCUAAAGGUUUCAUUCCGUUUGGACUCCGUUUGAUAUUCCUUUUCUUCGAAACACUGAAAUAGGCAAGAAAACAACAAUUUGGGCUGGGCCUCCGGUUAAUAGGUUAGUCCCAAAAAUAAUAUAAAAGUGCUUAGUAAACAUCCAAAACAGAUAAUAUAAUAGCAUGAAUACUUCAUAAAUUAUAGAUACGUUGGAGACAUAUCAGCAUCCCCAAGCUUAAUUCCUGCUCGUCCUCGAGUAGGUAAAUGAUACAAGAAAGAAUUUAUGAAGUGUGAAUGCUAGCAGGUGCAUAAGUUUGAUCAAUGAUAAUUUCAAUCACCUUUUCUAGCAUCAUUAUAUGUCAUAACAGUAGCUCAUCUCAUAAAACUUCUCAUCAACAAGUGACAUGCUAUUCAAAUGUUAAAACGUAGACCAUAAACUUUCUUGAAAACUAGAAAACUAUGUUCUCAGUCAUCAAACAAUUGCAAUUCAUCUUAUUUUCAGGAAGGGUCUAUGUAAGAGCUUUGAUUUAGCAAAUCCCACAUACUCAACUAUCAUAUAGUCUUCAAUGAUUGCUACCACUCAAAGCAUAUUUUUAGAACAAAUAGCAUCCAUCGAACACAGAAAAAGAUAGGGGCUUAAUGUUUCGCCUCCCAACUUACUUAUCAUAUAGAUAAUUGUCAACAAUAAUAAUUCAUGAUCAAAUAUAUAUAUAUUUUUUUGACUGGGAUGAUCAAAUAUAUUUGAAUGGCCAUAUAUGCUUAGAUCUUUCCCCAUCACAUGAUGCUUGCCAACUAAAGAGUAGGUUGGAAUGAGAAGUAAUACUACUGACUCUUGCAUAAAAGUAAAAGAUAGGCCCUUCGCAGAGGGAAGCAGGGAUUUGCAGAGGUGCCAGAGCUCGAUUCUGAAAUAGAGAUAAAUAAUUUUGAGAGGUAUGCUUUCAUUGUCAACAUAACAACCAAGAGUUCCCAGUUUCUUCCAUACUAGAUACAUUAUAGGCGGUUCCCAAACAGAAUGGUAAAUUUUUUACUCCCCCUCCACCAACAAUCAUCAAUCCAUGGCUUGCCCGAAACAACGGGUGCCUCCAACUAACAACAAUCCUGGGGGAGUUUUGUUUGCGAUUAUUUUGAUUUGAUUUUUUGAUCUUUGGAUCAUAGGACUGGGCAUCCCAAUUACCAGCCAUUUUUCUCGUGAAUGACGAGCGGAGUCCACUCAUCGUGAGAAUAACCCACCUAGCAUGGAAGAUACUGACAGCUCCUAGUCACUACAUGAGCGAUUCGGGCAUACAAAAUAAAUUAUUAUUUGAAGGUUUAGAGUUUGGCACAUGCAAAUUUACUUGGAACGGCGGGUAAAUACCGCAUAUAGGUAGGUAUGGUGGACACUCAUGGAAGAAACUUGGUUCGAGGGAUUUGGAUGCACAAGCAGUAUUCCCGCUUAGUACAGAUAUUUUGGCUAGCAAAGGAUUCUAAAUAGCAAGCACCACAUGUUGGAGGAUCUAUAACAAUAUAAAUUCUAUACAAAAAUACCCAAGCAUAACUCAUUACGUUGUCUUCCUUGUCCAAUUUCAACUAAUUUGCUCAGGUUUGAAAAUAAUUAAUGGGGCUCACAAUCAUGGAAGAUGUCUAAGAUAGUAUAUUUAUAUGUGAAAUCUCUCUUCCUUCAAUAUUCUUUCAUGAAUUGUUCAAGUGACCAAUACAAUGUUUGCUAACCAUCAAUAAAUUUACCACCUCUACUUCUUAUAUGUGAAGACAUUACUCCCCAUGGGAUAAGUAUAUGAAACAUAUAUAAUUUCGGAUUUAUGAUAUUCAAAUCAUUCAACCAUUUACUCAUAGGAUAUAAGUGAAGCACACGACUAAAUGACAAACUACUCCAAAAAGAUAUAAGUGAAGAUCAAUGAGUAGUUAAAUAGCUAUGUGAAGACUCUCUCUCAUUUAAGAAUUUCAGAUCUUGGUAUUUCAUUCAAACAGCAAGCAAAACAAAAUAAAAUAAAAUGACGCUCCAAGCAAAACACAUAUCAUGUGGUGAAUAAAUAUAUAGCUCCAAGUAAAGUUACCGAUGAACGAAGACGAAAGAGGGGAUGCCUUCCGGGGCAUCCCCAAGCUUAGGCUCUUGGUUGUCCUUGAAUAUUACCUUGGGGUGCCUUGGGAAUCCCCAAGCUUAGGCUCUUGCCACUCCUUAUUCCAUAGUCCAUCGAAUCUUUACCCAAAACUUGAAAACUUCACAACACAAAACUCAACAGAAAACUCGUAAGCUCCGUUAGUAUAAGAAAAUAAAUCACCACUUAGGUACUGUUAUGAACUCAUUCUAAAUUCACAUUGGUGUAAUAUCUACUGUAUUCCAAUUUCUCUAUGGUUCAUACCCUCCGAUACUACUCAUAGAUUCAUCAAAAUAAGCAAACAACACAUAGAAAACAGAAUCUGUCAAAAACAGAACAGUCUGUAGUAAUCUGUAUCAAACGUAUACUUAUGUAAAUCCAAAAAUUCUACCAAAUUAGGAAGUCCUAAGAAAUUUGUGUACCAAUCCAGAGCAAAAAUAAUCAUAUCAAAAGCACGUUUAUGUGAAUUAUCAAAACUAAUUUACUGGGUGCAAAAGUUUUUGAUUUUCAGCAGGAUCAACACAACUAUCACCGCAAGCUAUCCUAAAGGUCUUACUUGGCACUUUAUUGUAACAAAAGCUAUAAAACAUGAUUAAUACAGUAGCAUAAUCAUGUGAACACACAAAAAUAGUAAAGGUAAAUAUUGGGUUGUCUCCCAACAAGCGCUUUUCUUUAAUGCCUUUUAGCUAGGCAUGAUGAUUUCAAUGAUGCUCACAUAAAAGAUAAGAAUUGAAACAUAAAGAGAGCAUCAUGAAGAAUAUGACUAGCACAUUUAAGCCUAACCCACUUCCUAUGCAUAGGGAUUUUGUGAGCAAACAACUUAUGGGAAAAAUAAUCAACUAGCAUAGGAAGGCAAAACAAGCAUAGCUUCAAGAUUUUCAACUCAUAGAGAGGAAACUUGAUAUUAUUGCAAUUCCUACAAGCAUAUGUUCCUCCCUCAUAAUAAUUUUCAGUAGCAUCAUGAAUGAAUUCAACAAUAUAACCAGCACCUAAAGCAUUCUUUUCAUGAUCUUCUUGCAUAGAAAUUUUACUACUCUCAACAUAAGCAAAAUUCUUGUCGUUAGGAAUAGUGGGAGUAUCAUAAGAGACUCGAAUACUAUAAAUUGUUUCCACAUUAAAAGAGUAAUGUUCAGAAAAAUGGUAAUCAUAAUCAUGACAAGUUUUAUAAAUAUAAUCAUCACUACUUUUUAUAGCAUAAGUUUCAUCACAAUAAUCAUCAUAAGUAGCAACUUUGUUCUCAUCAUAAUCAAUUGAAACCUCUUCCAAAAUAGUGGAUUCAUCACUAAGUAAAGUCAUGACCUCUCCAAAACCACUUUAUAAAUAUUAUAAGAUUCAACACCCUCCAAAAUAGUGGGAUCAUUACUUCCUAAAGUUGACACUCUUCCAAACCCAGUUUCAUCAAUAUAACCAUCAUAAAUAGGAGGCAUGCUAUCAUCAUAAUAAAUUUGCUCAUCAAAACUUGGGAGGCUAAAAAUAUCAUCUUCAUUAAAUGUAGCAUCCCCAAGCUUGGGACAAACAUUAAUUGCAGCAAAUAUAUUCUCAAACAUGUCAUUCUCAUCAAACAUAGCAUCCCCAAGCUUGGGCCUUUUCAUAUCAUAAGCAUAAUCACUCUCAUCAUUAAUAGUAUGGAUAACACCAAUAGUAUAGCAAUUAUCAUCAUUACGAUGAGUAAUAGGAGCAACAUCAUUUGGGAGGGAUACCUUUCUACCUUUGCUUCUCCAUCUUUUCUUUUUCUUCUUCACAUCAUGUGUGGGUUUAACCCUCUAUUUUGAGCUCCUUAUUGAUGAGAUUGGUUGAAUAGAAAGCUCCUCCUCGUUACCUGAUUCAUCAUAAGAAAUAAUAGGAGGAUAUUGGGAAGUCUCUUCCCUUUAAUUAGUAUUCUCUUCAUCUUCUAUUUGUUUUCUUUUCUUUAUGUAAUUGGCAAUAUAAGGAUUUUCAAUGCAAUUCACCGUACAAUACAUAUAAAUUUCCUCUAGAUCAAGAUCAGGGAAUUUCUCAAGGUUAUAUUCUGGAAUAUGCUUAGUUGCACGUUUCAUUUCUUCAUAACCCAAAAGCAAACUAAGUUCAUUAUGAUGUGCAAGGGAAAUCAAGUCAUCACAAUUUUUGGACAUGAUUCAAUCAAGAAACAAUUUGCAUCAGAGAUUUAAAUGACCAUGUUCAUUGCAAAGUUCACAAGUACGGUAAAGAUAUUUUAAAUUUUCAGCACUCACAUCUAGCCUUUCUUGCAACCAUUUAGUUUCUAAAUACUUAUGCCUCUUGCAAAAUCUGUUUUCUCUAUUUGGUGUGUACGUGCAAACUCUAUGUACUCCACAAAAAUUGACAUGCUUAUAAGAGACAUUUUCAUCAUGACUAGUGCAAUCAUCAUUAGUACUAUGGAUAUUCAAAGAGUUCAUACUAACAACAUUGCAAUCAUGCUCAUCAUUCAAAGAUUUAGUACCAAACAUUUUAUAGACUACCUCUUCAAGCACUUGAGCACAAUUUUCCUUUCCAUCAUUUUCACGAAAGAUAUUAAAAAGACGAAGUGUAUGAGUCAAACUCAAUUCCAUUUUUUGUAGUUUUUUAUAUAUACUAAACUAGUGAUAAAACAAGAAACAAAAAGAUUCGAUUGCAAGAUCUAAAGAUAUACCUUCAAGCACUCACCUCCCCGGCAACGACACUAGAAAAGAGCUUGGUGUCUACUACGCAACCUUCUCCUUGUAGACGUUGUUGGGCCUCCAAGUGCAGAGGUUUGUAGGACUGUAGCAAAUUUCCCUCAAGUGGAUGACCUAAGGUUUAUCAAUCCGUGGGAGGCGUAGGAUGAAGAUGGUCUCUCUCAAGCAACCCUGCAACCAAAUAACAAAGAGUCUCUUGUGUCCCCAACACACCCAAUACAAUGGUAAAUUGUAUAGGUGCACUAGUUCGGCGAAGAGAUGGUGAUACAAGUGCAAUAUGGAUGAUAGAUAUGAGUUUUUGUAAUAUGAAAAUAUAAAAACAGCAAGGUAACUAAUGAUAAAAGUGAGCGUAAACGGUAUUGCAAUGGUAGGAAACAAGGCCUAGGGUUCAUACUUUCACUAGUGCAAGUUCUCUCAACAAUAAUAACAUAACUAGAUCAUAUAACUAUCCCUCAACAUGCAACAAAGAGUCACUCCAAAGUCACUAAUAGCGGAGAACAAACGAAGAGAUUAUUGUAGGGUACGAAACCACCUCAAAGUUAUCCUUUCUGACCGAUCUAUUCAAGAGUUCGUACUAGAAUAACACCUUAAGACACAAAUCAACCAAAACCAUAAUGUCACCUAGAUACUCCAAUGUCACCUCAAGUAUCCGUGGGUAUGAUUAUACGAUAUGCAUCACACAAUCUCAGAUUCAUCUAUUCAACCAACACAAAGUGCUUCAAAGAGUGCCCCAAAGUUUCUACCGGAGAGUCAAGACGAAAACGUGUGCCAACCCCUAUGCAUAAGUUCAUUGAACCCGCAAGUUGAUCACCAAAACAUACAUCAAGUAGAUCACGUGAAUAUCCCAUUGUCACCACAGAUAAGCACGGCAAGACAUACAUCAAGUGUUCUCAAAUCCUUAAAGACUCAAUCCGAUAAGAUAACUUCAAAGGGAAAACUCAAUCCAUUACAAGAGAGUAGAGGGGAAGAAACAUCAUAAGAUCCAACUAUAAUAGCAAAGCUUGCGAUACAUCAAGAUCGUAUCACGUCAAGAACACGAGAGAGAGAGAGAGAGAUCAAACACAUAGCUACUGGUACAUACCCUCAGCCCCGAGGGUGAACUACUCCCUCCUCAUCAUGGAGAGUGCCGGGAUGAUGAAGAUGGCCACCGGUGAUGGAUUCCCCCUCCGGCAGGGUGCCGGAACGGGCACCCGAGAGGUUUUUGGUGGCUACAGAGGCUUGCGGCGGCGGAACUCCUGAUCUAUUGUGCUCCUCGAUGUUUUUAGGGUAUAUGGACAUAUAUAGGCGAAAGAAGUCAGUCAGGGGAGCCACGAGGGGCCCACGAGGGUGGGGGCGUGCCCAGGGGGGUAGGGCGCGCCUCCCUGCCUCUUGCUUCCUUGUUGGUUCCCUUACGUGUACUCCAUGUCUCCUGGAUUGCUUCCGUUCCAAAAAUAACUCUCCCGAAGGUUUCAUUCCGUUUGGACUCCGUUUGAUAUUCCUUUUUUUCGAAACACUGAAAUAGGCAAGAAAACAGCAAUUUGGGAUGGGCCUCCGGUUAAUUGGUUAGUCCCAAAAAUAAUAUAGAAGUGCUUAGUAAAGCCCGUAAACAUCCAAAACAGAUAAUAUAAUAGCAUGAAUACUUCAUAAAUUAUAGAUACGUUGGAGACGUAUUAAUAUUCUACGAAGAUCUUUAUCGGUCAAACCGCAUAACAACAUACGUUGUUCCCUUUGUCAUCGGUAUGUUACUUGCCCGAGAUUCGAUCGUCGGUAUCAUCAUACCUAGUUCAAUCUCGUUACCGGCAAGUCUCUUUACUUGUUCUGUAAUACUUCAUCCCGCAACUAACUCAUUAGUCACAAUGCUUGCAAGGCUUAUAGUGAUGAUUAUUACCGAGAGGGCCCAGAGAUACCUCCCCCAAACACGGAGUGACAAAUCCCAAUCUCGGUCUAUGCCAACUCAACAAACACCUUCAGAGACACUUGUAGUGCACCUUUAUAAUCACCCAUUUACGUUGUGAUGUUUGGUAGCACACAAAGUGUUCCUCCGGUAUUCGGGAGUUUCAUAAUCUUAUAGUCUGAGGAACUUGUAUAAGUCAUGAAGAAAGCAGUAGCAAUGAAACUGAAACGAUCAAAAUGCUAAGCUAACGGAUGGGUCAUGUCCAUCACAUCAUUCUCCUAAUGAUGUGAUCCCGUUCAUCAAAUGACAACACAUGUCUAUGGUUAGGAAACAUAACCAUCUUUGAUUAACGAGCUAGUCAAGUAGAGGCGUACUAGGGACUAUAUGUUUUGUCUAUGUAUUCACACAUGUACUAAGUUUCCGGUUGAUACAAUUCUAGCAUGAACAAUAAACAUUUAUCAUAAAUUAAGGAAAUAAAUAAUAACUUUAUUAUUGCCUCUAGGGCAUAUUUCCUUCAAUAUUAUGGUUACAUAGAGGAGAUAUGGGAACUUGACUAUGGACGUGGUUUGAAAGUCCCUUUGUUUCGGUGCAAAUGGGUCAAUCUAACACGAGGCGAGGUAACAGAAGACCCGUAGUACGGAAUGACAACAGUGGAUCUCAACAAUCUUGCGUACGCAGAUGAACCAGUCCUCCUAACCAAUGAUGUGGCAUAGGUUUUCUAUGUGAAGGACAUGUCUACCAAGCCGAGAAAAAGAAAAGAUAAGGAAGUGAAUACAUCAUACGAUGAGACAAAGCGCCACAUAGUCCUUUUAGGGAAAAGAAACAUCAUGGCAGUGGAUGACAAGACAGACAUGUCAGAAGAUUAUGAAAAGUUUCAUGAAAUUGCUCCCUUCGCGGUGAAUAUUGACCCGAGCAUCCAGUUAAAUGAUGAAGAUUGUCCAUGGUUACGGUGCAAAGGGACACACACGAAGAAAAAAUUUCACAGCCAAAGAUCCCACUCUAGGAUGUGACCGGCUUCAUUGUCAUCACUUUAUUCUCUAGUGAGUUUCCAGACUUAUAUAUCUGAAAGGUCCCACUUUGGACAAACUGUAUGGAAUCUUUGUAAUUAGGGUGCUUAUGUGUUUUGGCAUUUAAAAUGUUUACUUUUGUGCUUCAGACAAGUGUCAUCAAUUUUCAACCCUUUCUGACUUCAUUUGCUAUUUUUCAGCUCAUUUACUGGUUUUUUUGAGCUAAAGGACCCUGAAAUUGAAAUGCACUACAAAUGAACUCUGAAAAGGUUGAAAGUUGGCAUGGUAUCAUCAUUUCACCCACAUAGCAUGUGCUAGAAAGUUGAGAGGGUUACGGCAAAAACUGGAUCCACUUCGUGUACAAAAUGGACAAUCUCUUUCGAAGUAUCAGGGUUUCGGACGAAAACUCAUCUAUUACAAAGGCAUUUCAUUUGUUUUAACUUAUUUCAACUCCAGCCUUUUUGUGCGUUCAGUAUGCACCAUUGAAAGCCACAUCAUCAAUUUUCAACCCUUUCUGACUUCAUUUGCUAUUUUUCAUGCAUUUUACUGAUUUUUUUGAGCUAAAGGACCCUGAAAUUGAAAAGCACUACAAAUGAACUCUGAAAAGGUUGAAAGUUGGCAUGGUUUCAUAAUUUCACCCACAUAGCAUGUGCUAAAAAGUUGAGAGGGUUACGGCAAAAACUGGAUCCACUUCGUGUACAAAAUGGACAAUCUCUUUCGAAGUAUCAGGGUUUCAGACGAAAACUCAUCUGUUACAAAGCCAUUUCAUUUUUUAAAACUUAUUUCAACUCCAGACUUUUUGUGCAUUCUGUAUGCACCAUUGAAAGCCACGUCAUCAGUUUUCAACCCUUUCUGGCUUCAUUUCAUAUUUUCCAUGCAUUUGCUGAUUUUUUGAGCUAAAGGACCUUGAAAUUGAAAUGCACUACAAAUGAACUCUGAAAAGGUUGAAAGUUGGCAUGGUAUCAUCAUUUCACCCACAUAGCAUGUGCUAAAAAGUUGAGAGGGUUACGGCAAAAACUGGAUCGUGUACAAAAUGGACAAUCUUUUUCGAAGUAUCUGGGUUUCAGACGAAAACUCAUCUGUUACAAAGGCAUUUCAUUUUUUACACUUAUUUCAACUCUAGACUUUUUGUGUGUUCAAUAUGCACCAUUGAAAGCCACAUAAUCAAUAUUCAGCCCUUUCUGACUUCAUUUGUUAUUUUUCAUGCAUUUACUGAUUUUUUGAGCUAAAGGACACUGAAAUUGAAAAGCACUACAAAUGAACUCUGAAAAGGUUGAAAGUUGGCAUGGUAUCAUCAUUUCACCCACAUAGCAUGUGCUAAAAAGUUGAGAGGGUUACGACAAAAACUGGAUCCACUUCGUGUACAAAAUAGACAAUCUCUGUUACAAAGUUGAGAGGGUUACGACAAAAACUCAUCUGUUACAAAGGCAUUUCAUUUUUUUAAAUAACCUAAGUAUUACCAAAUUGAAUAUAAUGAUAAAACACACUAAUAUUAAACAUAAUAUAAAAGAAUCACUAAAAAAAUCUAUUUUCAAGGUAAAGCUAUUCACAAACUAGUGAUUCACACAAAAUUCAAAUAAUUCAAAUUUAAACUAUUCAAAUUUGAAAACUACUCGCACUAACAGAAAGUUUAUAUUUUUUUACCUAAAGCAAAAAUAUUCACAAAUAAAUUCUAAAUAAAGCAAAAAAUAACUCAGAAAUAAAAGAAAAUGAAUAACGCAGAAAACAAAAAAAUGAAAAAAAAACCCGCCUACUAGGCCACAACAGCCUGCAUACGACUAGAAAUCCAACAUGUAGUUGGGCCAGGAUACAUGCCCGCAAGGCCCAGUAGGCCCACAGGGCAGCACAACAAAGUUAGGCCCACAAGCCUGCUUUGGAGAGGAGCUCGAAGGAGCAGCCGUGGCUGGGUUUAUAAACCAGUGUGGCUGCCCUUCGCUCGGAGAGGUGGGACUAAACUUCUGCACCGCGCACACGGGAACCGCAGGCCUUUAGUUGCGGUUGGAGCCACCAACCGGGACUAAAGGCCUGUGCUUCCCGCCGCUUGGCCUGGCCAAAUUUGACCUUUAGUCCCGGUGGUGGCUCCAACCGGGACUAAAGGCCCCUCCUAUAUAUACAACACUUAUGAAAUUUUCAGUUUCUUCUUCUCUUCUCCAUCUCCUCUGCUUCGAUCGACAUCGUCGCCGCACCUUGUCGCCGCCCCCGUCGCGCGCCGUCCCCAUCGCCGCCCUGUCCCCGUCGCCGUCCCUGUCGCCGCCCCGGCCCGUCGCCGCCCCUGUCGCCUCGCCUCGCCGGUCGUCACCCGCUGCGAGCCCCAGUCGCCAUGGCCGCGCCCAUCGAACCCACACACACGCGCGCGCGCACACACACACAAGUUAUAUGAAUUAUUUUCUGUUUUUCUGUUUUUUAGUUUUUUAUACUUUUAGAUGAAUGUAUAUAUAAAUGUUAGAUGAAUUAGAUAUAUAUAAAUCUUAGAUGGAAUUUUUAGAUGAAUGUUAAAUGAAUUAGAUAUAUAUAAAUGUUAGAUGAAUUAGAUCUAUAUAAAUGUUAGAUGAAUUAGAUAUAUAUAAAUGUUAGAUGGAAUUUUNNNNNNNNNNNNNNNNNNNNNNNNNNNNNNNNNNNNNNNNNNNNNNNNNNNNNNNNNNNNNNNNNNNNNNNNNNNNNNNNNNNNNNNNNNNNNNNNNNNNNNNNNNNNNNNNNNNNNNNNNNNNNNNNNNNNNNNNNNNNNNNNNNNNNNNNNNNNNNNNNNNNNNNNNNNNNNNNNNNNNNNNNNNNNNNNNNNNNNNNNNNNNNNNNNNNNNNNNNNNNNNNNNNNNNNNNNNNNNNNNNNNNNNNNNNNNNNNNNNNNNNNNNNNNNNNNNNNNNNNNNNNNNNNNNNNNNNNNNNNNNNNNNNNNNNNNNNNNNNNNNNNNNNNNNNNNNNNNNNNNNNNNNNNNNNNNNNNNNNNNNNNNNNNNNNNNNNNNNNNNNNNNNNNNNNNNNNNNNNNNNNNNNNNNNNNNNNNNNNNNNNNNNNNNNNNNNNNNNNNNNNNNNNNNNNNNNNNNNNNNNNNNNNNNNNNNNNNNNNNNNNNNNNNNNNNNNNNNNUAUGUCAAAGUUUGAAUUUUGACAUAUGCAACAAUAUUUGAUCAUAUGUCAAAGUUUGUCUUUUGACAUAGAUUUAUCAAGAAUGCCCCCAUUAUGGAUGUGCACAAGUUGAUCCAUUUUUUUUUCUGAUCUCAUAUAUAUAUGUAUAUAUUUUUUUUUCUAUAUGUCACGUUGUCUGCCAAAGUAUUGAAGAAAUCCAUGGCUUCAUCAUUAGCCAAAAGUAACAGGCAUAUGAUGCUACGAAGCUCUACAAAGUUGUUUUGGAAUGGAGUUCCGGAUAGAAUAAUUCAUUUUUUUGUAUGAAUUUCAGCAAAGACCUUCCAAAUAGCAAUAUUCAGAAGGCUUUAGCCGAACUUCGUACCAAAAAGCUAAUUAUCCUAUCCGGGACUCCGUUCCAAAACAAUUUUGUAGAUCUUCGUACCAUUAUGCGCCUGUUACUUCCGGCUAAUAAUGAAGUCAUGGUUUUCUUGAAUCCUUUGACACUAGACAACGUGACAUAUAAAAGGGUAGAUGAGAUCAGGAAAAAUAUGGACCAUUUUUUGUGCAUCCAGAAUGGCGCCAUUUUGUUAAAUCCCUUAAAGGUUAAGAGAAUCCAUUAUAAUUUUGAAUCCUGUUCCUAGUCAAACAUUAGAAAAAUGUUACAUAUUUGCAUAGAAUUUGUCCUCGAGGUCAACGAUGCCCGGCCCGCAUCCUCGUCGUCGACUCGUUGGCGAUGACGUCCUGCUUCAGAGGCACCAUGUACGGGACUGGGCUCCGCUGGGCUGGCACUGGGAGGUGCUACCUUCAGGGGCGCGUGUCUUGGUAAGGAACCCGGGUCCUGUCGUCGACCUGGAGCUUCUUUGGUGGUGGGCGCGUGGGCCACAUUCGGUGCGGAGGCUGGCGUCCCCCGUGGAGGUGGUACGUCACCAUGUCAGGGUGGAGGACGAGCACGUUCAUUGCUACAUGGUUGCGUUGGACGUCAGGUUCUCCAAUACCUGGCAAGUUCUUCAGGUAUCUCACUGGAGCUAUGAUCCUGUGGUGGUUCCUUCUCUUUGGGUGUCCACCGCGAGUCAACUAGAUUAUUCGAUAGUAUUCGAUCUGCAUUAGCUAGUGAUGUAUUCGAGACGAUAUAUUUGAGAUUAUAUUAUUCGAUAAUAUUCGAGAUGAUGUAUUUGAGAUUAUAUUAUUCGAUCAUAUUCGAGACGAUGUAUUUGAGAUUAUAUUCGAUGAUGCAUAUUAAUUAUCUCGAUUUCGAUAUGCAUAUUAUGUACUAUGAUUCAGUUUUUCCUUAUUGAUUGCAUGCAUGCAUUCUAAUUUGAAUACUAAAUUGUUUUAUAUUUCUUUUGUAUUAGUUAAAUAAAAGCUAUGGACAAUACCGGCAGAGAAGGAGAGGAGGCCCUGUUCAACAUCAUACGCUCAUCCCCUCGCCCAGAUGAGUUUGAAGAAGAUGACGGCUCGCAAUAUCUGAACCCUACCGUUGAGGGCAUGAUAUUUGAUGAAGACGAACGAAUAGAUGAAGUCGACAACUAUGAUGAUGAAGAAAAUGUUGUUCUUGAAAUAACAAAGACCGCCGAGGUAUAGUUAUAUAAGCAGGCAUCUUGUAACGCCCCAAGACCGACGCUCCAGACGCCUUCCAUGUUCUUUGUGAUCAUUGUGUGUAUUUAUUUGUUGGUUGCAUUUCAUCAUGGCAUCAUCCGCAUUGCAUCGGCACCUCGUUGCCGUCAUUGUUUUUAAAGCUUGCAUCCGCUCGUAGUUGCCGCUCCUCGCUUCCCUCCGUUGCGUUCGUUGACCCUUUCGAGACCAACCGUGUUUUCGGUUCCCUCUUGUCAAACCACCUAACCCCUCCUUGCACAGUGCAUCGUCCCUCUUGCGCGCAUCCGAAACUCCCCCGAACCCGACUCAGCCUGUCGUUACCAGUGGAUCCGGAUCAUCCUCAAACAUCUAUAAAAUAUCUCCGUUUUCUUUUUUGGACUCCCUAUCUAUUUAUUUCUCGACCGUCCGAUUAAAAUCGGAGGGACCAAAUACCCCUACCUAAAAAUCCAUCUGCUAUAAAUAGUCCUAACCCUAGACCAAUCCCUAAAACCUAGGCUUCUUGUUCCAUUGCGCCGCCACCCGCUCAAUCCCCAUCGGGAUCACCCACAGCCAACCACCAUCCUCUCGUGCCUCCCUCGUUUUCCUCGACGCCGUCGCCACCCCGAUCCUCUUCCUUGGUAUCCAUCCCCAACCCAGCCACCUCGCCCGAGCCUCCUUCCAGGGCAGCCGAGGACCUCCCCGAUAUCGCUGUACCUCGCCGCUCUUGCUCAAGGUCACGCCGCCGAUCCCCGUGCCCUCUCUCUUUUCUUUUCUCUCUCUAACCUCUAGGCAUAUCUCUUCAUCCUCCUCCCAGGAAGAAAGCCAUGGCGCCCGAGGCCUCCCCUGGCUUGUCUCAUCGGAGCCCUUCCAGCAGCUGCUCCAGGCCGUCGCCCUCGUCCCUCCUCGUCCUCCAGCAGCUCCUCCCUGUGCGCCUCCUCUGGUUCCCGAGGCCGAGCCGCCCCGUGCCCGCAAACCUCGCGCGAGCUGGCAAGCUCUUCUGCCUGAGCCGGCGACCAACCCGCAGGCCGCGCCCUCCGGCGACCCCGCCGUCGGCAACAACAUCCAGGACCGGCCUCGUCCCGCUCCUCUCCUCCCCUAUCUCUCUCCCUUCCCUAACGCUCUCUCUCACAUCUCUCUCUCUGUACUUGCCACAGCAAGGAACCGCCGAGCUCGCCAAGCCCUGGCGCCAGAGACCUCCUCUGCGCCCCGUUGACCUGCGGCUCCACCGCCCCGUCGAGUUCCCGAAGCCAGCGCCGCCUCGCCAGCGCCGCUCGCCUCCACCGUUGUCCUCUGCAUCGCAGCCGUGCAGGACCGCGUCGACCUCCCCUGCUCGCCCGCCUCAUCCCUGCAUUGACCCGCGCCUCUGCCUUGACCGCUCGUCCCCCUGCUUCGCACGCUGGGCCGUGUCCCCUUCGCCAGACCGAGAGGCCCAGCGCCAAGCGAGCCGCCCUGCUUCCUCGUCGGCCCAGAUCCACCGGCCCACCUCUCCGCUUCCCCUUCGGCCAGUUUUGGCCCGAUGUGAGCAGCUUCCCCAGCCCAGUUCAGUUCUGUUUCGGCCCAUGUAUUUUUUUCCUGCGCUGCGAAUUUGUCUAUUUAUCCCAGGAUUUACAGUUUUACAGAAAAACCCUCAAACAUCAUGCAUAUAAUAACUCUUUAACAGUGCAUCAUAUGUUAAAACUUUAUAUAUGAAAAAUGCUCAGAAUUUUAUCUAGUUUCAUAAUAUGCUGCUUGCAUCCAUGUUUAAAAUGUUUAAAUUGCUGUUUGAUUAAAUUUUCUCAAAUGCCAUGUUAAAAUGAUUUAUUUCAUAACUAAAUAACCGUAGCUCGGAUUUUAAUAAGUUAUAUAUGUAAAUGGGGUAGAAAAAUGCAUAGAUUAACUUGGUGCACUUUAUUUUGCUGUUUAACCACAUUAAAAUUGUGUUUAUGGAAGAACAGUACCAAUUCCAAAAUAUGCAUAUGAGGAUUUUUCGGAAUUGUUGUUUGUUGUUCCGGCCUCAUUUAAACUUGCCUAAAUAGUUAGUUUACUUAUGCUUCACCUCUUGCCAUGUUAAGCAACAUUUAAUAUUGUUGGGUACAUGACCGAGAGAACUAAACAAUUGAUCUGGUGUUUCGUCAAUAUGCAACUCGUUGCAUAUUGAGCUCCACUUAACUUGUAGUUUUGUUUAUGCACUUUGCCAUGUCAUGCAUAUUUAAACCGGACAUGCAUCAUACUUGAUUGUGCAUCAUGCCAUGUUUAAGAUUGUGUGUUUACCGUGUUGUUUGCUUCUUUCCGGGUUGCUUCUCUUGCUAGCUUCGGUUUCGUUCCGGAGUUGUGAGGAUCCGUUCGACUACGUCUGUUUGUCUUCUUCAUGGACUCGUUCUUCUUCCUAGCGGGAUCUCAGGCAAGAUGACCAUACCCUCGAAAUCACUUCUAUCUUUGCUUGCUAGUUGUUCGCUCUAUUGCUAUGCCGCGCUACCUACCACUUGCUAUAUCAUGCCUCCCAUAUUGCCAUGUCAAGCCUCUAAUCCACUCUUCCUAGCAAACCGUUGUUUGGCUAUGUUACCGCUUUUGCUCAGCCCCUCUUAUAGCGUUGUUAGUUGCAGGUGAAGUUGAAGAUUGCUCCAUGUGGGAACAUGAUUAUGUUAGGAUAUCACAAUAUCUUUUAUUUAAUUAAUGCAUCUAUAUACUUGGUAAAGGGUGGAAGGCUCGGCCUUAUGCCUGGUGUUUUUUUCCACUCUUGCCGCCCUAGUUUCCGUCAUACCGGUGUUAGGUUCCUUGAUUUUGCGUUCCUUACGCGGUUGGGUGAUUUAUGGGACCCCCUUGACAGUUCGCUUUGAAUAAAACUCCUCCAGCAAGGCCCACCUUGGUUUUACUAUUUGCUACCACCUAUCCCCUUUUCCCUUGGGUUCUGCAGACUCAAGGGUCAUCUUUAUUUUAGACCCCCCGGGCCAGUGCUCCUUCGAGUAUUGGUCCGAACCGAGCUGCCUGCGGGGCCACCUUGGGGAAACUUGAGGGCUGGUUUUACUCGUAGCUAGUCUCAUCCGGUGUUGCCCUGAGAACGAGAUAUGUGCAGCUCCUAUCGGGAUUUGUCGGCACAUCGGGCGACUUUGCUGGUCUUGUUUUACCAUUGUCCAAAUGUCUUGUAAACCGGGAUUCCGAGACUGAUCGGGUCUUCCCGGGAGAAGGAAUAUCCUUCGUUGACCGUGAGAGCUUAUAAUGGGCUAAGUUGGGACACCCCUGCAGGGUAUUAUCUUUCGAAAGCCGUGCCCGCGGUUAUGUGGCAGAGGGGAAUUUGUUAAUGUCCGGUUGUAGAGAACUUGACACUUGACUUAAUUAAAACGCAUCAACCGCGUGUGUAGCCGUGAUGGUCUCUUGUCGGUGGAGUCCGGGAAGUGAACACGGCUUUUGGGUUAUGUUUGACGUAAGUAGGAGUUCAGGAUCACUUCUUGAUCAUUACUGGUUAACGACCGUUCCGUUGCUCCUCUUCUCGCUCUUAUUUGCGUAUGUUAGCCACCAUAUAUGCUUAGUGCUUGCUGCAGCUCCACCUCACUACCCCCUUUCCUACCCAUAAGCUUAAAUAGUCUUGAUCUCACGGGUGUGAGAUUGCUGAGUCCUCGUGACUCACAGAUACUUCCAAAACAGUUGCAGGUGCCGAUGAUACCAGUACAGGUGACGCAACUGAGCUCAAGUGGGAGAUUGAUGAAGAUCUUGUUUGUUGUGUUGUUUCUGUUCUUGUUGAUCAGUAGUGGAGCCCAGUUGGGACGAUCGGGGAUCUAGCUUUUGGGGUUGUCUUCUUUUCUUUUGGUUCCGUAGUCGGACCUAUGUGUGUACUCUGAUUGAUGUAUGAAUUCAUUUAUGUAUUGUGUGAAGUGGCGAUUGUAAGACAACUCUUUAUCCCAUUCUUGUUCAUUACAUGGGAUUGUGUGAAGAUGACCCUUCUUGCGACAAAACCACAAUGCGGUUAUGCCUCUAAGUCGUGCCUCGACACGUGGGAGAUAUAGCCGCAUCAUGGGCGUUACAAGUUGGUAUCAGAGCCAUCCCCGACUUAGGAGCCCCCUGCUUGAUCGAAUCGCUGGCGUUGUUGAGUCUAGAACAAAAAUGUUUUGAGUCUUAGGAUUAUAUAUAUAUCGGAGAGUAGGAUUCUUUUUACUCCUCAGUCCCUUCGUCGCUCUGGUGAGGUCUCCUGACGUAGAAGUUUUGACUCUUCUUUCCUCAAAUUUCACUAAAAAAAAUUUAGGAUCACGCGGGUAUCUUGGAAUCGUUCCGAUGGCUUUGUGACGAGAACAUUGUUCUUGGUGCCUCCUGACAUUUAGGGGUUGUGGCAGUGUCCCGGGGAGUUGAGCUCCGAGGUGUUUUCGUCACAAUUUUAUCGUUGCAGUUCUGGAAUACCUGAGUUUCGCCGACAUCGAAAAUCUCUUUUAUGCAGUUGUUGGUGAGAUCACCUUGACGCCACCCAGUACUGGGGCGGGAGUUUGGGAGUAUUGCCAUAACUCGUAUAACGGAUGCUUUUCGAAGGUUGAGGUAAAUGAUUUCCGAAGGUUUCUUGGUUAUGUGUUGAAGGAUGGAUACAGCUGGAUCUAGGUAUUGUUAGUUUGGGUGAUAUAUUUUGUGUCCCAUGUAUCCCCAACACCAGAUUGCAUAACCAGAAAGUUUCGGGAGUUUAUAAGUGGGAAUUCAAGUAGCUCCUAGGAUAUCUUUCCGACAGAUGCAUGAUAUGAGAUUGGGGUUCGACGUCUAGUGGUCCGCCUUUCCACGGUUGGUUUAAAGUGGUCUCGUAGUGUCUUAAAGAGUCCUUGGCUAUGCCGACUCGGGGACGCUUCGUAUGUCAUGUGCACUGCCUUGUACAUGAUGGUGCUGUAAGAUCGAGCCCGUGUGGGCCCCACCACGAAAACUUCGGACGAAAUCUCUAUCAUAUGUUUGUUCCGGCUUAUUCCGCAAGCCAAAUCCUUUGUUUUGUUUUAAGUUGUGGUAUUCGAGUUGCUUCGAAGUCAAUUCUUGAAUCCAUACCUUUCCUAAACGGUGUUCUCAUAUUGCUAUGUGAAUACUAAUCCUUCUUGAUCAUCGAGGUCGUCAUGUUAAUUCUUUUCCAACCGGCGUGCUUCUCUUCAAGUGGAUCCGAUCAUUCCAACAUUCGCAAGAUCAAUUCUAAGCUUUUUCUCAAUGGUGUUUAUUCCAUAUGCCCCAAGUUGCCUUUGUUUUUCCCGCCCUCCCACCCUUUUCUUUAAGGACACAGAUUUCUCAAUCAAGUAUCCAUCUUAUAGAUAGGAAGUCUCUCCAUUCUUUUCCGUAAAUGUUCUUAUCCGGUGAUUCUCAGGAAGAUACUAACGGAGCCUUAACUUCAUCAUUAUUCGUUCUCUUUCUUCUCCGGUGGUUUCAAUUCAAGUUUGCGGUGUUGAUCAUAUUCAUUUCCUUGUUUCAAAUGCUUUAUCAUGCCGAUGCAGCUCGUAAUCAUUCAGCUCUCACUAUUCAUUUGUCCCGAAGUGUUGAACAUAUCUCAGAAGAUUCGUGCUUUCUUGUCCUAAUCCGUUCUAACUAUUUUGAGGUUGUUACCUCAUUCAAGCCAUUUAAUUCUACCGGCGCAAUCUUUCUUUUAAAUCAUUCCAACGUUGUAUCUUUUGAGUGGGCCCUAACCCACAGGUCUUUUCCCAGGAUCUUACCCGACUCUUCUAAUUUCCCCAGAGCUAUUCCCAAAUUCUUUUCGAAUUUUGGAUGGAAGAAUGAAGUAUCAUCAGUCAUAUGUCUUUCUCCAAGAUCUUUCAAAUUCUUUUCAUUUUUGGUUCAACCUUUCUAAUUUUCAUUCUGGAGUGCCUCAACAAUUCAUGGUGGUGUUUAUUGUCAUCAUUCUCAACAUUUGAAGACCGAAGAAGAGUUUCUCUUCAAUCUUAUCCGUUCUCUCAAAGAUGCGAAGCUCAAGUGUGUUGCUAUCCUCUCAUAAUUGUUUGCGGUUGUGAGAAUUCUUUUCACCCACCCGGAGCAUUUCAGAAGUCUUUUCAGUUUGAUUCUCCGGAGCCCACAAUCUCAGAAUUAUUCAUUCAAGCUUUCAGCCCUCGUUCUCCAAAUCAUACCGGUGCAUCAUUCAAGUAUUAUCUAGUUAGCUCGGGAUCUCUGCGUUCACUUGUAUCUAAAUUCUCUCAAGUAUCUUCGUUCAUUUUCUAAUUCUUCCCGAUGAAUUGCGCUUUUGCUACUUUCAUUUCCAAUUCUUAUGGUUGUUCAUUCAAGAGUUCUCUUCCUUGGUUAUCAUAUAAAUUUAUUCGUUGUUUCAAUCCUACUGGUGAUUCGUUGAAGACUUUUCUCAAGUUUGCGCUAUAUCUAUCUUAAUCAUUUCUACGAGAAUAAGUAGUAUGCCAAAUCCGUUGCUUGUCAUCAAUCUAAAUUGGUGAAGGAUACGCAUAAUGUAAUUCUUAUUCUUGUUUCCUCCAAGUGAUUAAUUCCUUCUUCCGGAGUUCGUUCAUGAUAUCAAAUUCUCGGUUCCAAGUUGUUCAUCUUUUCUUUCCGGAGCUCCAAGUUAUUUCAAUUAUAUCAUUUCAAAGCUUCAUCUAAUCAUUGCAAGGUUUCUCCCAGAGUUCUUUUCAACUUUCCCUUUCGUUUGAUCAUUCUUUUAUUAUCAUAGUUCUUCAUGGAGGAUCAACAUGGUGCUUCAUCAAGGAUUCUUUUCAUUCUUCAAUUGUUCUUCAAGAUUUCUCUCGGAGUAAAGAUCCGUCAAGCAAUACUCAAAAAUAAACAUGGUUCUCAACACAUGUUUGUCUUGAGGAGUUCAAGCAUUCUUCAUCUCGCAUUCCGAAGUGCAAUUCAUUUUACCUUAUCAUUUGAGGUGGUGUUAUGUCAUUCUUGACAGUUUGAGUUCGCGUUUCAGGAUUCACAUGUUGUCAAGAAUGAGAAAUUUUAAAUCCACCAAUCUCUUCGUUGGAUUUAUCUUGUGUCAUGUUUCACCUAAAGCUUUCCCUAAGGAUUUUUGCUAUUUAUGGUGCUCAUAAAUGACCCAAGUUCUUCAUUUAUCCUCCCGGCGAAAUAAGUUUCUCGUCUCCUUGUUCAUAUCAAUCCAAUCUAUUGUUUUUCCGUUAGUGGCAGAAUUUCACCUCAAGUUUUUGAGAUGUUUUCCUUAAGCCCACAACAAGCUUGUUCUUUUCGUUGUUGAUUUUUCCAACAACUCCAUUCAAUCCUACUUCGUAAGGAUGCUCUUUAAAAUUCAUUUAUGGUAGGAGAUGUUGGUUUCAUUCUUCGUUCUAUUCACUACAACUAUCUAACUAUCAUGCUUUGUUUCCGGAGGCUUUGUGAUGUUGCUCUCUUCGACCAAUCAUCUUGUUUUGUCAAGAUCAUGUAAUUUUUCCUUUCUUAUCCGUUUAGCCGGAGUGUCGUGUUUUCAUUCGAGUUCUCUCAUCUUAUCAAGUUUUGCCUCCCUUCUCAACCGGAGUGCUAUCUGAAAUAUUUCUGACCCAUUGUGCCAUUCUUUCAAUAGUUCCGGAGGCAGUGUGCUGUUGAUUUCUUUAAGUAUCCUCUCAUCUUGUAAAGUUCAUGUUCAAUUCCUUCCAUUUACAGUCGGAGUGCUGUCCAAAUUAUAUCAUUCUUAUUCCUUCUUUAUCUUGUUUUAACCAGAGUGUUGUGUCUAUCAUUCCUCUUCUAACCGGAGUCUCAUCCAAGUGCUUUCUUUUUGCCAAGUUCAUAUUCUACCCCUUCCAUUUUCCAACCGGAGCAUUAUCGUAAUUGAUCAUUAUCGUUCCUUGUACAUCUCAUUUCAACCGGAGUGCUUGCAUGUACUUCUCGUCCAUUGUUCUCGUCAUUCAUAGCUUUGCAAACUCCAAAGUUCACAUGGUGUUCCUUGUUUCUCUUUUCUACCGGAGUCUUCUCAAUUUUGUUCAACUCUGUCGUUUUCUUGUUUCAAGUUUUCAACCUCUCAAGGUUCUUUGGUUUCACUCGUUCAUCAAAGAAGCAACUUUGUUUUACCUCUUCCCUUUUCGUUUUCUCUCCGGUGAAAUCCUAGAUCUCGGGACGAGAUCCUCUUGUAGUGGUGGAGUGUUGUAACGCCCCAAGACCGACGCUCCAGACGCCUUCCAUGUUCUUUGUGAUCGUUGUGUGUAUUUAUUUGUUGGUUGCAUUUCAUCAUGGCAUCAUCCGCAUUGCAUCGGCACCUCGUUGCCGUCAUUGUUUUUAAAGCUUGCAUCCGCUCGUAGUUGCCGCUCCUCGCUUCCCUCCGUUGCGUUCGUUGACCCUUUCGAGACCAACCGUGUUUUCGGUUCCCUCUUGUCAAACCACCUAACCCCUCCUUGCAUAGUGCAUCGACCCUCUUGCGCGCAUCCGAAACUCCCCCGAACCCGACUCAGACUGUCGUUACCAGUGGAUCAGGAUCAUCCUCAAACAUCUAUAAAAUAUCUCCGUUUUCUUUUUUGGACUCCCUAUCUAUUUAUUUCUCGACCGUCCGAUUAAAAUCGGAGGGACCAAAUACCCCUACCUAAAAAUCCAUCUGCUAUAAAUAGUCCUAACCCUAGACCAAUCCCUAAAACCUAGGCUUCUUGUUCCAUCGCGCCGCCACCCGCUCAAUCCCCAUCGGGAUCACCCACAGCCAACCACCAUCCUCUCGUGCCUCCCUCGUUUUCCUCGGCGCCGUCGCCACCCCGAUCCUCUUCCUUGGGAUCCAUCCCCGACCCAGCCACCUCGCCCGAGCCUCCUUCCAGGGCAGCCGAGGACCUCCCCGACCCCGCUGUACCUCGCCGCUCUUGCUCAAGGUCACGCCGGCGAUCCCCGUGCCCUCUCUCUUUUCUUUUCUCUCUCUAACCUCUCGGCAUCUCUCUUCAUCCUCCUCCCAGGAACAAAGCCAUGGCGCCCGAGGCCUCCCCUGGCUUGUCUCAUCGGAGCCCUUCCAGCAGCUGCUCCAGGCCGUCGCCCUCGUCCCUCCUCGUCCUCCAGCAGCUCCUCCCUGUGCGCCUCCUCUGGUUCCCGAGGCCGAGCCGCCCCGUGCCCGCAACCGUCGCGCGAGCUGGCAAGCUCUUCUGCCUGAGCCGGCGACCAACCCGCAGGCCGCGCCCUCCGGCGACCCCGCCGUCGGCAACAACAUCCAGGACCGGCCUCGUCCCGCUCCUCUCCUCCCCUAUCUCUCUCCCUUCCCUAACGCUCUCUCUCACAUCUCUCUCUCUCUGUACUUGCCACAGCAAGGAACCGCCGAGCUCGCCAAGCCCUGCCGCCAGAGACCUCCUCUGCGCCCCGUUGACCUGCGGCUCCACCGCCCCGUCGAGUUCCCGAAGCCAGCGCCGCCUCGCCAGCGCCGCUCGCCUCCACCGUUGUCCUCUGCAUCGCAGCCGUGCAGGACCGCGUCGACCUCCCCUGCUCGCCCGCCUCAUCCCUGCAUUGACCCGCGCCUCUGCCUCGACCGCUCGUCCCCCUGCUUUGCACGCUGGGCCGUGUCCCCUUCGCCAGACCGAGAGGCCCAGCGCCAAGCGAGCCGCCCUGCUUCCUCGUCGGCCCAGAUCCACCGGCCCACCGCUCUGCUUCCCCUUCGGCCAGUUUUGGCCCGAUGUGAGCAGCUUCCCCAGCCCAGUUCAGUUCUGUUUCGGCCCAUGUAUUUUUUUCCUGCGCUGCGAAUUUGUCUAUUUAUCCCAGGAUUUACAGUUUUACAGAAAAACCCUCAAACAUCAUGCAUAUAAUAACUCUUUAACAGUGCAUCAUAUGUUAAAACUUUAUAUAUGAAAAAUGCUCAGAAUUUUAUCUAGUUUCAUAAUAUGCUGCUUGCAUCCAUGUUUAAAAUGUUUAAAUUGCUGUUUGAUUAAAUUUUCUCAAAUGCCAUGUUAAAAUGAUUUAUUUCAUAACUAAAUAACCAUAGCUCGGAUUUUAAUAAAUUAUAUAUGUAAAUGGGGUAGAAAAAUGCAUAGAUUAACUUGGUGCACUUUAUUUUGCUGUUUAACCACAUUAAAAUUGUGUUUAUGGCAGAACAGUACCAAUUCCAAAAUAUGCAUAUGAGGAUUUUUCGGAAUUGUUGUUUGUUGUUCCGGCCUCAUUUAAACUUGCCUAAAUAGUUAGUUUACUUAUGCUUCACCUCUUGCCAUGUUAAGCAACAUUUAAUAUUGUGGGGUACAUAACCGAGAGAACUAAACAAUUGAUGUGGUGUUUCGUCAAUAUGCACCUCGUUGCAUAUUGAGCUCCACUUAACUUGUAGUUUUGUUUAUGCACUUUGCCAUGCCAUGCAUAUUUAAACCGGACAUGCAUCAUACUUGAUUGUGCAUCAUGCCAUGUUUAUGAUUGUGUGUUUACCGUGUUGUUUGCUUCUUUCCGGGUUGCUUCUCUCGCUAGCUUCGGUUUCGUUCCGGAGUUGUGAGGAUCCGUUCGACUACGUCUGUUUGUCUUCUUCAUGGACUCGUUCUUCUUCCUAGCGGGAUCUCAGGCAAGAUGACCAUACCCUCGAAAUCACUUCUAUCUUUGCUUGCUAGUUGUUCGCUCUAUUGCUAUGCCGCGCUACCUACCACUUGCUAUAUCAUGCCUCCCAUAUUGCCAUGUCAAGCCUCUAAUCCACUCUUCCUAGCAAACCGUUGUUUGGCUAUGUUACCGCUUUUGCUCAGCCCCUCUUAUAGCGUUGUUAGUUGCAGGUGAAGUUGAAGAUUGCUCCAUGUGGGAACAUGAUUAUGUUGGGAUAUCACAUUAUCUUUUAUUUAAUUAAUGCAUCUAUAUACUUGGUAAAGGGUGGAAGGCUCGGCCUUAUGCCUGGUGUUUUGUUCCAUUCUUGCCGCCCUAGUUUCCGUCAUACCGGUGUUAGGUUCCUUGAUUUUGCGUUCCUUACAUGGUUGGGUGAUUUAUGGGACCCCCUUGACAGUUCGCUUUGAAUAAAACUCCUCCAGCAAGGCCCAACCUUGGUUUUACUAUUUGCUACCACCUAUCCCCUUUUCCCUUGGGUUCUGCAGACUCAAGGGUCAUCUUUAUUUUAGACCCCCCGGGCCAGUGCUCCUUCGAGUAUUGGUCCGAACCGAGCUGCCUGCGGGGCCACCUUGGGGAAACUUGAGGGCUGGUUUUACUCGUAGCUAGUCUCAUCCGGUGUUGCCCUGAGAACGAGAUAUGUGCAGCUCCUAUCGGGAUUUGUCGGCACAUCGGGCGACUUUGCUGGUCUUGUUUUACCAUUGUCCAAAUGUCUUGUAAACCGGGAUUCCGAGACUGAUCGGGUCUUCCCGGGAGAAGGAAUAUCCUUCGUUGACCGCGAGAGCUUAUAAUGGGCUAAGUUGGGACACCCCUGCAGGGUAUUAUCUUUCGAAAGCCAUGCCCGCGGUUAUGUGGCAGAUGGGAAUUUGUUAAUGUCCGGUUGUAGAGAACUUGACACUUGACUUAAUUAAAACGCAUCAACCGCGUGUGUAGCCGUGAUGGUCUCUUUUCGGCGGAGUCCGGGAAGUGAACACGGCUUUUGGGUUAUGUUUGACGUAAGUAGGAGUUCAGGAUCACUUCUUGAUCAUUACUGGUUGACGACCGUUCCGUUGCUCCUCUUCUCGCUCUUAUUUGCGUAAGUUAGCCACCAUAUAUGCUUAGUGCUUGCUGCAGCUCCACCUCACUACCCCCUUUCCUACCCAUAAGCUUAAAUAGUCUUGAUCUUGCGGGUGUGAGAUUGUUGAGUCCUCGUGACUCACAGAUACUUCCAAAACAAUUGCAGGUGCCGAUGAUACCAGUAUAGGUGACACAACUGAGCUCAAGUGGGAGAUUGAUGAAGAUCUUGUUUGUUGUGUUGUUUCUGUUCUUGUUGAUCAGUAGUGGAGCCCAGUUGGGACGAUCGGGGAUCUAGCUUUUGGGGUUGUCUUCUUUUCUUUUGGUUCCGUAGUUGGACCUAUGUGUGUACUCUGAUUGAUUUAUGAAUUCAUUUAUGUAUUGUGUGAAGUGGCGAUUGUAAGACAACUCUUUAUCCCAUUCUUGUUCAUUACAUGGGAUUGUGUGAAGAUGACCCUUCUUGCGACAAAACCACAAUGCGGUUAUGCCUCUAAGUCGUGCCUCGACACGUGGGAGAUAUAGCCGCAUCGUGGGCGUUACAAGUUGGUAUCAGAGCCAUCCCCGACUUAGGAGCCCCCCUGCUUGAUCGAAUCGCUGGCGUUGUUGUGUCUAGAACAAAAAUGUUUUGAGUCUUAGGAUUAUAGAUAUAUAUCGGAGAGUAGGAUUCUUUUUACUCCUCAGUCCCUUCGUCGCUCUGGUGAGGUCUCCUGACGUAGAAGUUUUGACUCUUCUUUCCUCAAAUUUCACUAAAAAAAAUUUAGGAUCACGCGGGUAUCCUGGAAUCGUUCUGAUGGCUUUGUGACGAGAACAUUGUUCUUGGUGCCUCCUGACAUUUAGAGGUUGUGGCAGUGUCCUGGGGAGUUGAGCUCCGAGGUGUUGUCGUCACAAUUUUAUCGUUGCAAUUCUGGAAUACCUGAGUUUCGCCGACAUCGAAAAUCUCUUUUAUGCAGUUGUUGGUGAGAUCACCUCGACGCCACCCAGGCGGAAGUUCGGGAGUAUUGCCAUAACUCGUAUAACGGAUGCUUUUCGAAGGUUGAGGUAAAUGAUUUCUGAAGGUUUCUUGGUUAUGUGUUGAAGGACGGAUACAGCUGGAUCUAGGUAUUGUUAGUUUGGGUGAUAUAUUUUGUGUCCCCUGUAUCCCCAACACCAGAUUGCAUAACCAGAAAGUUUCGGGAGUUUAUAAGUGGGAAUUCAAGUAGCUCCUAGGAUAUCUUUCCGACAGAUGCAUGAUAUGAGAUUGGGGUUCGACGUCUAGUGGUCCGCCUUUCCACGGUUGGUUUAAAGUGGUCUCGUAGUGUCUUAAAGAGUCCUUGGCUAUGCCGACUCGGGGACGCUUCGUAUGUCAUGUGCACUGCCUUGUACAUGAUGGUGCUGUAUGAUCGAGCCCGUGUGGGCCCCACCACGAAAACUUCGGACGAAAUCUCUAUCAUAUGUUUGUUCCGGCUUAUUCCGCAAGCCAAAUCCUUUGUUUUGUUUUAAGUUGUGGUAUUCAAGUUGCUUCGAAGUCAAAUGUUCAAUCCAUACCUUUCCUAAACGGUGUUCUCAUAUUGCUAUGUGAAUACUAAUCCUUCUUGAUCAUCGAGGUCGUCAUGUUAAUUCUUUUCCAACCGGUGUGCUUCUCUUCAAGUGGAUCCGAUCAUUCCAACAUUCGCAAGAUCAAUUCUAAGCUUUUUCUCAAUGGUGUUUAUUCCAUAUGCCCCAAGUUGCCUUUGUUUUUCCCGCCCUCCCACCCUUUUCUUUAAGGACUCAGAUUUCUCAAUCAAGUAUCCAUCUUAUAGAUAGGAAGUCUCUCCAUUCUUUUCCGUAAAUGUUCUUAUCCGGUGAUUCUCAGGAAGAGACUAACGGAGCCUUAACUUCAUCAUUAUUCGUUCUAUUUCUUCUCCGUUGGUUUCAAUUCAAGCUUGCGGUGUUGAUCAUAUUCAUUUCCUUGUUUCAAAUGCUUUCUCAUGCCGAUGCAGCUCGUAAUCAUUCAGCUCUCACUAUUCAUUUGUCCCGAAGUGUUGAACAUAUCUCAGAAGAUUCGUGCUUUCUUGUCCUAAUCCGUUCUAACUAUUUUGAGGUUGUUACCUCAUUCAAGCCAUUUAAUUCUACCGACGCAAUCUUUCUUUUAAAUCAUUCCAACGUUGUUUCUUUUGAGUGGGCCCUAACCCACAGGUCUUUUCCCAGGAUAUUACCUGACUCUUCUAAUUUCCCUGGAGCUAUUCCCAAAUUCUUUUCAAAUUUUGGAUGGAAGAAUGAAGUAUCAUCAGUCAUAUGUCUUUCUCCAAGAUCUUUCAAAUUCUUUUCAUUUUUGGUUCAACCUUUCUAAUUUUCAUUCCGGAGUGCCUCAACAAUUCAUGGUGGUGUUUCUUGUCAUCAUUCUCAACAUUUGAAGACCGAAGAAGAGUUUCUCUUCUAUCUUAUCCGUUCUCUCAAAGAUGCGAAGUUCAAGUGUGUUGCUAUCCUCUCAUAAUUGUUUGCGGUUGUGAGAAUUCUUUUCACCCACCCGGAGCAUUUCAGAAGUCUUUUCAGUUUGAUUCUCUGGAGCCCACCAUCUCAGAAUUAUUCAUUCAAGCUUUCAGCUCUCGUUCUCCAAAUCAUACCGGUGCAUCAUUCAAGUAUUAUCUAAUCAGCUCGGGAUCUCUGUGUUCACUUGUAUCUAAAUUCUCUCAAGUAUCUUCGUUCAUUUUCUAAUUCUUCCCGAUGAAUUGCGCUUUUGCUCCUUUCAUUUCCAAUUCUUACGGUUGUUCGUUCAAGAGUUCUCUUCCUUGGUUAUCAUAUAAAUUUAUUCGUUGUUUCAAUCCUACCGGUGAUUCAUUGAAGACUUUUCUCAAGUUUGCGCUAUAUCUAUCUUAAUCCUUUCUACAAGAAUAAGUAGUAUGGCAAAUCCGUUGCUUGUCAUCAAUCUAAAUUGGUGAAGGAUACGCGUAAUGUAAUUCUUAUUCUUGUUUCCUCCAAGUGAUUGAUUCCUUCUUCCGGAUUUCGUUCAUGAUAUCAAAUUCUCGGUUCCAAGUUGUUCAUCUUUUCUUUCCGGAGCUCCAAGUUAUUUCAAUUAUAACAUUUCAAAGCUUCAUCUAAUCAUUGCAAGGCUUCUCCCGGAGUUCUUUUCAACUUUCCCUUUCGUUUGAUCAUUCUUUUAUUAUCGUAGUUCUUCAUGGAGGAUCAACAUGGUGCUUCGUCAAGGAUUCUUUUCAUUCUUCAAUUGUUCUUCAAGAUUUCUCUCGGAGUCAAGAUCCGUCAAGCUAUACUCAAAAAUAAACAUGGUGCUCAACACAUGUUUGUCUUGAGGAGUUCAAGCAUUCUUCAUCUCGCAUUCCGAAGUGCAAUUCGUUUUACCUUAUCAUUUGAGGUGGUGUUAUGUCAUUCUUAACAGUUUGAGUUCGCGUUUCAGGAUUCACAUGUUGUCAAGAAUGAGAUAUUUUAAAUCUACCAAUCUCUUCGUUGGAUUUAUCUUGUGUCAUGUGCACCUAAAGCUUUCCCUAAGGAUUUUUUCUAUUUAUGGUGCUCAUAAAUGACCCAAGUUCUUCAUUUAUCCUCCCGGCGAAAUAAGUUUCUCGUCUCCUUGUUCAUAUCAAUCCAAUCUAUUGUUUUUCCGUUAGUGGCAGAAUUUCACCUCAAGUUUUUGAGAUGUUUUCCUUAAGCCCACAACAAGCUUGUUCUUUUCGUUGUUGAUUUUUCCAACAACUCUGUUCAAUCCUACUUCGUAAGGAUGCUCUUUAAAAUUCAUUUAUGGUAGGAGAUGUUGGUUUCAUUCUUCGUUCUAUUCACUACAACUAUCUAACUAUCAUGCUUUGUUUCCGGAGGCUUUGUGAUGUUGCUCUCUUCGACCAAUCAUCUUGUUUUGUCAAGAUCAUGUAAUUUUUCCUUUCUUAUCCGUUUAGCCAGAGUGUCGUGUUUUCGUUCGAGUUCUCUCAUCUUAUCAAGUUUUGCCUCCCUUCUCAACUGGAGUGCUAUCUGAAAUCUUUCUGACCCAUUGUGCCAUUCUUUCAAUAGUUCCGGAGGCAGUGUGCUGUUGAUUUCUUUAAGUAUCCUCUCAUCUUGUAAAGUUCAUGUUCAAUUCCUUCCAUUUACAAUCGGAGUGCUGUCCAAAUUAUAUCAUUCUUAUUCCUUCUUUAUCUUGUUUUAACGCGAGUGUUGUGGCUAUCAUUCCUCUUCUAACCGGAGUCUCAUCCAAGUGCUUUCUUUUUGCCAAGUUCAUAUUCUACCCCUUCCAUUUUCCAACCGGAGCGUUAUCGUAAUUGAUCAUUAUCGUUCCUUGUACAUCUCGUUUCAACCGGAGUGCUUGCAUGUACUUCUCGUCCAUUGUUCUCGUCAUUCAUAGCUUUGCAAACUCCAAAGUUCACAUGGUGUUCCUUGUUUCUCUUUUCUACCGGAGUCUUCUCAAUUUUGUUCAACUCUGUCGUUUUCUUCUUUCAAGUUUUCAUACUCUCAAGGUUCUUUGGUUUCACUCGUUUGUCAAAGAAGCAACUUUGUUUUACCUCUUCCCUUUUCGUUUUCUCUCCGGUGCAAUCCUAGAUCUCGGGACGAGAUCCUCUUGUAGUGGUGGAGUGUUGUAACGCCCCAAGACCGACGCUCCAGACGCCUUCCAUGUUCUUUGUGAUCAUUGUGUGUAUUUAUUUGUUGGUUGCAUUUCAUCAUGGCAUCAUCCGCAUUGCAUCGGCACCUCGUUGCCGUCAUUGUUUUUAAAGCUUGCAUCCGCUCGUAGUUGCCGCUCCUCGCUUCCCUCCGUUGCGUUCAUUGACCCUUUCGAGACCAACCGUGUUUUCGGUUCCCUCUUGUCAAACCACCUAACCCCUCCUUGCACAGUGCAUCGACCCUCUUGCGCGCAUCCGAAACUCCCCCGAACCCGACUCAGCCUGUCGUUACCAGUGGAUCCGGAUCAUCCUCAAACAUCUAUAAAAUAUCUCCUUUUUCUUUUUUGGACUCCCUAUCUAUUUAUUUCUCGACCGUCCGAUUAAAAUCGGAGGGACCAAAUACCCCUACCUAAAAAUCCAUCUGCUAUAAAUAGUCCUAACCCUAGACCAAUCCCUAAAACCUAGGCUUCUUGUUCCAUCGCGCCGCCACCCGCUCAAUCCCCAUCGGGAUCACCCACAGCCAACCACCAUCCUCUCGUGCCUCCCUCGUUUUCCUCGGCGCCGUCGCCACCCCGAUCCUCUUCCUUGGGAUCCAUCCCCGACCCAGCCACCUCGCCCGAGCCUCCUUCCAGGGCAGCUGAGGACCUCCCCGACCCCGCUGUACCUCGCCGAUCUUGCUCAAGGCCACGCUGCCGAUCCCCGUGCCCUCUCUCUUUUCUUUUCUCUGUCUAACCUCUCGGCAUCUCUCUUCAUCCUCCUCCGAGGAACAAAGCCAUGGCGCCCGAGGCCUCCCCUGGCUCGUCUCGUCGGAGCCCUUCAAGCAGCUGCUCCAGGCCGUCGCCCUCGUCCCUCCUCGUCCUCUAGCAGCUCCUCCCUGUGCGCCUCCUCUGGUUCCCGAGGUCGAGCCGCCCCGUGCCCGCAACCCUCGCGCGAGCUGGCAAGCUCUUCUGCCUGAGCCGGCGACCAACCCGCAGGCCACGCCCUCCGGUGACCCCGCCGUCGGCAACAACAUCCAGGACCGGCCUCGUCCCGCUCCUCUCCUUCCCUAUCUCUCUCCCUUCCCUAACGCUCUCGCUCACAUCUCUCUCUCUGUACUUGCCACAGCAAGGAACCGCCGAGCUCGCCAAGCCCUACCGCCAGAGAACUCCUCUGCGCCCCGUUGACCUGCGGCUCCACCGCCCCGUCGAGUUCCCGGAGCCACCGCCGCCUCGCCAGCGCCGCUCGCCUCCACCGUCGUCCUCUGCAUCGCAGCCAUGCAGGACCGUGUCGACCUCCCCUGCUCGCUUGCCUCAUCCCUGCGUUGACCCGCGCCUCUGCCUCGACCGCUCGUCCCCCUGCUUCGCACGCUAGGCCGUGUCACCUUCGCCAGACCGAGAGGCCCAGCGCCAAGCGAGCCGCCCUACUUCCUCGUCGGCCCAGAUCCACCGGCCCACCUCUCCGCUUCCCCUUCGGCCAGUUUUGGCCCGAUGUGAGCAGCUUCCCCAGCCCAGUUCAGUUCUGUUUCGGCCCAUGUAUUUUUUUCCUGCGCUACGAAUUUGUCUAUUUAUCCCAGGAUUUACAGUUUUACAGAAAAACCCUCAAACAUCAUGCAUAUAAUAACUCUUUAACAGUGCAUCAUAUGUUAAAACUUUAUAUAUGAAAAAUGCUCAGAAUUUUAUCUAGUUUCAUAAUAUGCUGCUUGCAUCCAUGUUUAAAAUGUUUAAAUUGCUGUUUGAUUAAAUUUUCUCAAAUGCCAUGUUAAAAUGAUUUAUUUCAUAACUAAAUAACCGUAGCUCGGAUUUUAAUAAAUUAUAUAUGUAAAUGGGGUAGAAAAAUGCAUAGAUUAACUUGGUGCAGUUUAUUUUGCUGUUUAACAACAUUAAAAUUGUGUUUAUGGCAGAACAGUACCAAUUCCAAAAUAUGCAUAUGAGGAUUUUUCGGAAUUGUUGUUUGUUGUUCCGGCCUCAUUUAAACUUGCCUAAAUAGUUAGUUUACUUAUGCUUCACCUCUUGCCAUGUUAAGCAACAUUUAAUAUUGUGGGGUACAUAACCGAGAGAACUAAACAAUUGAUGUGGUGUUUCGUCAAUAUGCAACUCGUUGCAUAUUGAGCUCCACUUAACUUGUAGUUUUGUUUGUGCACUUUGCCAUGCCAUGCAUAUUUAAACCGGACAUGCAUCAUACUUGAUUGUGCAUCAUGCCAUGAUUAUGAUUGUGUGUUUAUCGUGUUGUUUGCUUCUUUCCGGGUUGCUUCUCUCGCUAGCUUCGGUUUCGUUCCGGAGUUGUGAGGAUCCGUUCGACUACGUCCGUUUGUCUUCUUCAUGGGCUCGUUCUUCUUCCUAGUGGGAUCUCAGGCAAGAUGACCAUACCCUCGAAAUCACUUCUAUCUUUGCUUGCUAGUUGUUCGCUCUAUUGCUAUGCCGCGCUACCUACCACUUGCUAUAUCAUGCCUCCCAUAUUGCCAUGUCAAGCCUCUAAUCCACUCUUCCUAGCAAACCGUUGUUUGGCUAUGUUACCACUUUUGCUCAGCCCCUCUUAUAGCGUUGUUAGUUGCAGGUGAAGUUGAAGAUUGCUCCAUGUGGGAACAUGAUUAUGUUGGGAUAUCACAAUAUCUUUUAUUUAAUUAAUGCAUCUAUAUACUUGGUAAAGGGUGGAAGGCUCGGCCUUAUGCCUGGUGUUUUGUUCCAUUCUUGCCGCCCUAGUUUCCGUCAUACCGGUGUUAGGUUCCUUGAUUUUGCGUUCCUUACGCGGUUGGGUGAUUUAUGGGACCCCCUUGACAGUUCGCUUUGAAUAAAACUCCUCCAGCAAGGCCCAACCUUGGUUUUACUAUUUGCUACCACCUAUCCCCUUUUCCCUUGGGUUCUGCAGACUCAAGGGUCAUCUUUAUUUUAGACCCCCCCGGGCCAGUGCUCCUUCGAGUAUUGGUCCGAACCGAGCUGCCUGCGGGGCCACCUUGGGGAAACUUGAGGGCUGGUUUUACUCGUAGCUAGUCUCAUCCGGUGUUGCCCUGAGAACGAGAUAUGUGCAGCUCCUAUCGGGAUUUGUCGGCACAUCGGGCGACUUUGCUGGUCUUGUUUUACCAUUGUCCAAAUGUCUUGUAAACCGGGAUUCCGAGACUGAUCGGGUCUUCCCGGGAGAAGGAAUAUCCUUCGUUGACCGUGAGAGCUUAUAAUGGGCUAAGUUGGGACACCCCUGCAGGGUAUUAUCUUUCGAAAGCCGUGCCCGCGGUUAUGUGGCAGACGGGAAUUUGUUAAUGUCCGGUUGUAGAGAACUUGAAACUUGACUUAAUUAAAAUGCAUCAACCGCGUGUGUAGCCGUGAUGGUCUCUUUUCGGCGGAGUCCGGGAAGUGAACACGGCUUUUGGGUUAUGUUUGACGUAAGUAGGAGUUCAGGAUCACUACUUGAUCAUUACUGGUUGACGACCGUUCCGUUGCUCCUCUUCUCGCUCUUAUUUGCGUAUGUUAGCCACCAUAUAUGCUUAGUGCUUGCUGCAGCUCCACCUCACUACCCCCUUUCCUACCCAUAAGCUUAAAUAGUCUUGAUCUCGCGGGUGUGAGAUUGCUGGGUCCUCGUGACUCACAGAUACUUCCAAAACAGUUGCAGGUGCCGAUGAUACCAGUAUAGGUGACACAACUGAGCUCAAGUGGGAGCUCGAUGAAGAUCUUGUUCGUUGUGUUGUUUCUGUUCUUGUUGAUCAGUAGUGGAGCCCAAUUGGGACGAUCGGGGAUCUAGCUUUUGGGGUUGUCUUCUUUUCUUUUGGUUCCGUAGUCGGACCUAUGUGUGUACUCUGAUUGAUGUAUGAAUUCAUUUAUGUAUUGUGUGAAGGGGCGAUUGUAAGACAACUCUUUAUCCCAUUCUUGUUCAUUACAUGGGAUUGUGUGAAGAUGACCCUUCUUGCGACAAAACCACAAUGCGGUUAUGCCUCUAAGUCGUGCCUCGACACGUGGGAGAUAUAGCCGCAUCGUGGGCGUUACACAUCUGGUGAUCAUCACAUGUUUUAAUUAUUUGUAUAUAUGUUAAAGAAUUGAUCUUUCUUCUUUCAGCCCACCGGAUCGAGCAAAUCUUCUAUAGGCAGCAGGACAGUUCGAGGCCUGGCCAAAAAGUUGAAGGAUGGCAUAUAGUACAACAUCGAUGCCAUCAAACCUAAAGGCGAACCGCGCGAACCUAAGAAGAAUGCGGGAAAGUUUAUUUGUUAAUACGGAGUUCUUGUGAAGGACCAAAUCCUGAUCUCCAUUCAAGAAUGGAAAAAGCCAGCAAAGGAACGUCCAGAUCUUACUUUUGUCGACCAAAGAGUAAAAGAUCAGCUUUGGGAAUCUCUCAUGUCACAUUUCACCCUACCAGAUCAUUUCACAGAUGCAGAUGUGGAGAAAGUCAAGAACGCUGCUCUUAGGAAGAUGGCAGUAGCAUUCAACAACCACAAGAAAAGUAUAUGGGCCAAGUACGUCGAAGGAGGAAAGAAGACUCCAGAAUUCAAGGGAACACUGGAGAAGGCAAGAGAUCAUUAGGACGCUUUCGUGAAAUUCAAGGAAUCGGAAUUAGCUCAGGAACGGUCGAGCAUAAACAAGAUCAAUGCCGCGAAAAAGGAGUGGUACCAUAAGCUGGGUCCAGGUGGCUACGAGGUGGCCCGGCCUAAGUGGGAUCACGCUGAGCAACAAAUGAUGGAUGCAGGGGUCAUUCCAGUUACAUUGAGCUAGCCCCCCAGGUCCAGGACUUGGUUCUAUGCGCAUGGGGGGACGUUGGACCCAAUGACAGGCAAGGUUUUGGAGCGGGCAAGUCUUAAAGGAGCCGACCUCAAUAUACUUUUUGCAAUAGAAGAGGCUCGAACGGGGGUGUUCAUGCCCAACAGAGAGAACGAUGAGCUUAUGCACGCCCUGGGAAAUCUUGAACACAUGGGAAGAACACGAGGCAAAGGCGUUGUUCCGUGGUUUGAGGGGUUUGCGGACUGGAACACCGACUACAGAAGUCGUGCAAGAAAGAAGAUGCAGGAGGAGAAGAAGAGGAAGCUGGAGGAGGAGCAGAAGAAGCAGGAAGCAGACCGCCUUCGCAUCGUAGAAUCAAAGCACGCGGAUUUGGAACUCGCUUUCCAGCGGUAGCAGCAGCAGAUCGACUCACUUAGCCAGGAAAGGGCAUCUUAGCAGCGGCAGCAGCUAGCGGAUCCAGCAUUGGAUAGCAUCGUCCCAUCCAUGCCGAGAAGCAGCGUGGGUUCUGCCCCGGGCGAUGAGGCACUGCUAGAUAGAUACCCUGUGGUUGACAUCAUGGAUAACACUAACUGUGAGAUACACUUUAAAACGAAGAACAUAUCCAUGAAGGUGGCGGACGGCAUUGCUUAUACAAAUCCCCCUAAAGCUACCUUCCAUUGCAAUCUGAUUCCAGCUGGCUAUGCUCGUGUCGCAGUUGAUGAAGUGGUGGCACAAUAUUUGGGGCUGGAGCUUGACAUUCCUGGAGGUGAUGACGAGCGCACACUGGGAGAUGCCAUACAUCGUAUCAUUCUAUGGAGAAAGGAUUGCAUCGUCUUUCCAAGGCCACCGACACCGCGUCAGCCGGCUCCUCCUCCAAGUUCGCCAUCACAUCAGCAGAUUCUCGCUCCUCCAAGUCAGCCACCGCCUCACCAGAGUCCUGCUCCUCCAAGUCCGCCAACGCGUCAGGCCACUCCUCCUCCUCCAAGUCCGGCACCGCAUCAGCCCACUCCUCCUCCUCCAAGCCGGCACCGCGUCAGCCCAGUCCUCCUCCUCCAUGUCCGGCACCCCGUCAGCCGUCUCUGCUGCCUCAGCGGGCUCCGCCGCAUAAGCAACAACGGAAGAGAGGCGCCGCAGCUACGGCGUCUAGCGGUACAACAGGAGGCAAGAGAUACCAAUUUGGUCCAAGCCUCAAGCCUCUUCCAAAGAGGCCUUACGACCUGACUGAGGAGGAAAACAAAGUCAAAGUGCAAGCCCAACUGAGGGCCCAUUUUGGACCGAAACCGCCACCGCCGCCAAAGGAGAAAGUACCUGAGCAUGUCGUUGACCACUUUAUUCGUAUGGCUGAACCACCAGCUCCCAAGCAUAGGGACUCAGACUAUGAGCGCCAAAUCAAGAAGUCAUAUCAAGCACAAAAAAAUGAGUCGAGAUCGAGCUCCAGCCAAGCAACCGCCAAAAAAGCGGGAGAACUGUUCCCCAGCUGGGAGAACAGGCGGUGCAAUCGAUCCCCCCGCUCAUUGUACCAACACAUGUGAGUACCGGCGCCGAUCAGCUCAUAAAAACCGACGAUCGUAGAAGGCAGGCUGAAGAGAUCGGAUGCACUAUAGAACAACCCCUAGGCAUCGAGGCCAUGGAAAAGUUACAGAGGAGCAACUAAAACGGAAAUAUGCCCGCAGCCAACCUCUGGUGAAGCCUGAGGAGGUCAAGCUUCUAUCAACGAGAAUGUAUCAAUUGCAUGAAUGGUACAUGAAAGAAGCCAAGACUACCGAUCGAGAGUCCCUCAUGGUGAGAGUCGGGCCAGAGCAUUACUACCAUGAAAAUGCUCUGUAUGUUGAGUUUACAGAACUGUUUCAGUUAUUCAAUCAAGACACACUCGACAAAUCUACCGUCAGUUGCUAUUGUCUGUAAGUGAUUUCUUUCUGUAAUUUCAUUAAGUCUCUAGCUAGCUGUAGUGCUCAUUGAUUAUUACCUGUAAUUAUCCUCACUAUUCUUUUUUGUGGUAUUAUGUAGAAUGAAGAUGUAUGAAAUGAAAAAAGCUGGACGCUAUGGCAUUGGGUUCAUUGACCCAAAUACCAUUAAUCAAGAGACAUGGACGUGUCCAUGGGAACGAAAAGACAUAGAGAAAAGCUUGCUAGAGUUCUUGGUGCGCCUAAAUACCUGUCCAGAAAUACUACUUCCUUACAACUUCGGGUGAGUCACACUGUCCUAUACACAAAUUCUGUUUUUCCUUAAUAGCUAGAUGUUAAUUAAGUGCAUAGAGGGUUUAGGGUAGUUGAUGAGUUAUGCACAUGCCCGCUUAAUUAUACAUGCAAAUAUGUGCACAUGCAGUUUCCACUGGAUCUUGUUAAUCAUUGAAGUUGACGAGGGAAAAGUUCAACUACUAGACUCACUACUUAAAAACAUUAAUGACUACACAAUCGUGAGGGGGAUGGUCGACACGUAAUUUCAAUCAUUAUUGAACUAUAUGUUAGCCUCUUUAGUUUGUCAUUUCCUGAUACCAACUAAUUAAUUAAUAACUCCUUUAUUCAUUUUCUUUGCCGGCGAGCAGGGCUUGGGAAAAGUACAUCAAACAGGUUGAUGGCCCAUGGAAAAAAGAGCUGAAAUGGAUUCGACCCAAGGUAAUUAAUUAAGUAGCCAGUACUAGCUAGCUACCAUCUCUUUAAUUCUAGUUUCAAUACCAUUAUCAUGCUUGAUUAAUUAUUAUCUGAUUGAAUUCUUUUCUCGUAAAGGCCCUGAAGCAGGAGCCGGGGACUGAUUUAUAUGUGCAUACUACAUUUGCGAGAACAUUCGCAUGAUGACGUCCGAAAGGACUAGAACUGAUAGAGACCAAUGGGUACGUUUGCUGGAACACUAUUCACAAUUUUUACAUCAUUAUCUAAUAUAUAUACACACAACUAAUACAUGCAUAUUGAUCUCUUUCUUUAAAGAUGAAGGACAUGCGGGAUACACUACAAAAAAAGACACAUCCGUGACAUUUUGGGCCGAACAAUUUUUUUUUCUGUCAUACAUAUGACACUUCUAUGACGAUAAUUGUGACAAAACCCAGUAUCAUCAUAGAUGUGGUGGGCUCCUACUUCUAUGACAAAAAAUCAUGACAGAAAAUUGGCUUUUUGUCCUGGGCUGGCCGGAGACUCAGCUGCCUGACAUUCUUUGGGCCGUCCAUGACGGAAAAAACCGUGGUAGAAGCGAGGGCGAGGAAAAUUUCGGCGAGUUCCCGGUUACGGUGGGAGGUCGGGGGCCGAGUGAUGCGCGUUUCUCUCGUACACGUACGCGCGUGUGUGCGAGGCGUUGGCUCUAACUGAACCCGAGCAAGGCGUUGGGCUCUAACUGAACCCGAGCAAUUGCACUGCAGGCUACGCGUUACUGAACCCGAGCGAUCGAUCGAUGGCUGCUAACUGAACCCGAUCGAGCGAUUCCUCCGCUACUGCUGCUAACUGAAGCCGAUGGAUGCUGCCUCUCUGGAUGAACAGUGAGCGUUGCGGCGGGGGGGGGUGGAUGAACAGUGAGCGGUGGCGUUGCCUCUGGAUGAACAGGACCCCGUGGUGUGGAGGGCUGGAUGAACAGGACGACCCCGUGGAGGGCUGGAUGAACAGUAGACGGUGGAGGGGUGCCCGUGGAGGGGUGGUUGAACAGUAGCCGGUGGAGUAGCGCGCGGUGGAGGUUGGAUAAACAGGAGCCCGUGGAGGCUGGAGGAGGUCGACGGUAGCCCGUGGAGGCUGGAGGAGGUCGACGGUGGAGAUGAACAGUAUCCCUUGGAGUCCCGUUUUGCAGUACGCCACACCCCUCCCGAUGAACAGGACCCCCGUUUCGACCGUAGCGCUCCAACACAAGUCCGUUUCGUCCGUUUUGCGGUACGCCACACCUCUCCCGAUCAACAGGACCCCCGUUUCGACCAUAGUGCUCCAACACAAGUCCGUUUCGUCCGUUUUGCGGUACGCCACACCCCUCCCGAUCAACAGGACCCCCGUUUCGACCAUAGGAGGUCUGUUUCCUCCAUUUUGCGGUACACCAGACCCCUCCCGAUGAACAGGAUCCUGUUUCGAACGUGGCCGGUCGAACACAAGGCCGUUUCCUCCGUUCUGCGGUACGCCAGGCCUCGUUUCCAUCGCUUAUUCCGUCCAAGCCCUCCCGAUGAACAUGACGACGCAUUCCGUUCCGACCCAGCCGGUUGGCUCCCACGCGUUCCGUUGCCUCCCGAUGAACACGACGCAUUCCGUUGCCUCCCCAUGAACAUGACGCAUUCCGUUGCCUCCCCAUGAACACGACGACGACGCUAUUUCUCCAUUCCGCCCCAGCCAUGUACACGAGCCCUGGCCGUACGUAUGCGCGAGUAGGCAUUCGAGACCCCGCCCGUAUGUACACCUACGUGGCCGUAUUUCUUUCUUGCACACUGGCCGUUGUACGUACGUGUACAUGCUACGUGCGCGCCUCUAUAUCGACACGUGCACGCCUCUACAUCCACCAGUAUAUAUGUACGUACACGUUCGCGACCAGAAUGACAACGCUACGUACGCUUCGACCAGGUGGGUCCCGACUGUCAGGCAAUUCCUUGCGUGCGAAGAUGUAGCUGGUGGGUCCCAGCAGUCAGGGGGCGAAUCAUUUUUUUUUGCCCGGACGCACUUCCUUGCGUGCGAAGAUGUAGCUGGUGGGUCCCAGCAGUCAGGCGGAAACAUUUUUUUCGCGAAAUACGGUGGCCCAUCCGGUGGGUCCCCGCUGUCAGGUGGAGGAAUAAUAAUUUUGCGCGUAAUAAGGAGGCACUUCCUUGCUGCGGCCGUGGACCCAGCUGUCAGCCUCUCCACGUACAGUCCACGUCCGAUGGAAGCCGUUCCUUGACCACGUUGACCACCCUGCGCCGAGAGCACCAGGGCGGUGGACGACGGCGAGGCCUAGGAACAGGACGACGCGGAGACAGGGAAGACGCGAUAGUGGAUGCCCACGCGUAGAGGAGUACGAGGGUUCACUGCUUCGCUGCGGUGUGAGGCUGCCGUCGCCGCAGAAUAACAGGGGGUGUGGGUGAGUAGAGGGAUGGCCUGGCCAGCGGUGGGAGUAGUAGGGGGCAGUGAGGCCUCCGCCGCAUCGCAGCCGGCCACGGGAGGCAGGAGCACGAGGCACGACCGGCGCUGGUUUGGGCGGCUGGAGCAAGAAGACUAGAGGUUGAAGAAGCACUACGGCCGUUGGAUGGACAUCGUACGGUCACUGGAGCUCGAAUCGUGCAUAUUGACUAAGUUGACAAAGCCCUCCGUCCCCGUCAACAUAGUAGGCCCACAAGUCAGCCUGCCACUAUACUGGGUCCCAGCUAACAGGGGGAGUAUUCAUUUUUUUUGUGCGUAAUAAGGAGGCACUUCCUUGCGUGCGAAGAUAUAGCUGGUGGGUCCGAGCUGUCAGUGGCGGUAAUGUUUUUUUGUGAAAUACAGAGCUCCUUUCGGUGGGUCCCUGAUGUCAGGUGGAUGAAUCAUUAUUUUGCGCGUAAUAAGGAGGCAUUUCCUUGCGUGCAGCCGUGGACCCAGCUGUCGGCCUCUCCACGUACAGUCCACUUCAGAUGCAUGUCGGUCAUUGACCACGUUGACCAGGCCGCAACGGGAGCACCAGGGCGGUGGAUGACGGCGAGGCCUAGGAAGGGAAUGACACGGAGGCAGGGAAGACUCGGCAGUUGUUUCCCACGCGGAGGGGAGUACGAUUGUACGAGGGUUUACUGGUUCAUCUGCCAUCGCUGGAGAAUAACAGCAGGUGUGGGUGAGUAGAGGGAUGGCUAGGCCAGCGAUGGGAGUACGGUGGGGCGGUGAGGCCUGCGCGGCAGCACAGCCGGCCGCGGGGAGGAGGGAGCAGGCAGUCCAGCCGGCGCUUGUUUGAGCGGCUGGAGCAGGAAGAGCAGAGAUUGAAGAAGCACGACGGCCGUUGGAUAGACAUCCAACAGUCACUGCUUGUGCGUCAACCUUUUUUUAGGAAAGCCUCAAAUCUGUGGAAAACAGCAUACAGCCCAUCUGCCAUUAUUUCUAAUAAUUUACAGCCCAUUUGCUAAUUCUUAAAGGUUUUUAGCCCAUAUUCUUUUUGUUAGCAUUACAGCCCAUAUUGUGGCCACGGUUAAAAAAUUAUACGAAAUUUUGCAUAUUUCAGUGCGGUCCGAACUGUUUUUAAUCCCGAAAUUUCGACUCACAUUCAAACUGAUUUUAAAAAUAAAUGUAUAUCAAUAUAAAAUCCAACAAAUUCUCCACGCACAAAAAUUAAUGUAAUUUAAAAUCUCGAAAUGAAAAAAAGAUAUUUGAAACUAAUUGCCGGUUUGAUGUGUUUUAAAAAUGUACAGCCCAUUUCUCAUUACUGAUGGGCCAUUUUCUCGGCCAACCGAAUGAAAGCUCUCCUCGUCUUGAAAGAUUUGCAGCCCAAUAGGCCUGACAAAGCGACUUACUUGGCAAAUCACAAAAAAACUGGCCUGUGGCCGUGCACCCAGCUGUUAGCCUCUCCACAUAUAGUACUCUUCCGAUGGAAUGUCGUUGACCACAUUGACCACGCCGUGACGAGAGCACCAAGGCGGUGGACGACGACGAGGCCUAGGAAGGGGACGACGCGAAGCCGGGGAAGACGCGGCAAUGGAUGCCCACGCGGAGAGUAGUACGAGGGUUCACUGGUUUGGCUGUGGUGUGAGGCUGCAGUGGCCGCAGGGCCUGGCUAGGGGUGGGAGUAGUAGGGGGCGAUGAGGCCUCAACGGCAGCACAGCCGGCCACUGGAGGCAGGAGUAGGCGGUCUACCCGGCGCUGGUUUCGGCGGCUGGUGCAAGAAGAGCAGCGAUUGAAGAAGCAUCAGGACCGUUCGAUUCAAAUCCAACGGUUACUGCUGCUAGAAUCGUUUGUUGACUAAGUUGACAAGCCCUGCGUACGCGUCAACUUAGUAGGCCCACAGGUCAGCCUCCCAACCGGUGCGCCCCAAAUGUCAGUGGGAGGAAUCUUUUUUUCGCGUAAUAAGGAGGCAGUUGAUUGCGUGCGGCCAGGCCAGCGGAGGGAGUAGGGUGGGCCGGGGAAGCCUGCGCGGCAUCACAGCGGGCCACAAGAGGAGGGAGCAGGCAGUCCCGCCGGCGCUAGUUUAGGCGGCUGAAGCAGGAAGAUCAGAGAUUGAAGAAGCACGUCGGCCGUUGGAUGGACAUCCAACAGUCACUGCUGCUAGAAUCGUGUGUUCACUCACAAAGCCUUGCGUAAACAAGUCAGCCUCGAAAUCUGUGGCGUGUACAGCCCAUUUGCUAUUAUUUUUAUAAUUUUUACUCAUUUUCUAAUUAAUAUGGAAUUUAUUGCAGCCCGUUUUCCAUUUUUAGAAUUGCUGGCCAUUUUCUGGUCAGUACCAGGGUUAAAAAAAUUAACUAAAUAUGUGGGAAAUUUUGAAAAUUCGCAAUUUUUUGCUGGGAACGAAAUAUUCUUAAUCCAAAAAUUAAUAGCCAUACUAAAACAAAUUUAAAAAUAAAUUAGUACUAUGUCAUGUUAAAUCCAAUGAAAUACGUAUAAGAUAUAAGUGAAGAAUAAAAACAAAAAAAGAAACUAAUAUCCCAUUUGCUAUAAUUUUUUUGGAAUUUUCAACCCCUUUUGAUAUUACUUUUAACAGACAUUGGCCAUACUCUUUGGCCAGGCCGGAAUGCAUCGCUCCUCGUCUUGAAAGAUUUGCAGCGCAGUAAUUCGGAGAAAACAAAUAGGCCUAGCUUGGGUAUUCUUCAAAAAGAAAUACUGGGCUACCUAUUUUCCCAAAUAACUGGUGCAUGAGCAUUUAGCUUUAUUUAUUUAUUUACUUAUUUAAGUUUAGGGGACCAUGAGCAUGUACGUGGGCCGGAUUCAUGUGAGAGCCUCCCUUCCAGUUAAUUAUGGGCUUCUCUAUUGGGCCUUCAUCAGUGGGCUGCAUGUUAUCAACAAGUGGAAAAUGUGUUCCGUAUGAAAAAUAGUAUGCGCUACGUACGGUACGGGGCACUAAAGGAUCGAACCGUGCAACGACUUCCAAAACAUUGUGUUUGUCGUUCUAACAACACAUUUAUUCAACCAACAGACGAAAUAUACUACUGAUUGUACAUUGAAAACAACAGCAGCAACCAGGGCUGGGGGUGCAACAGAAGCAGUAAGCAGGCCAGAAGAGUGAAGACGCAGCUCUCUCUUCCAAACCAAACAUCAUCCAUGAUUACAAAAGGGCUACCAAAAAAGAACAAGUGUAUGCAUCAAACUAAAUAAAGAUCCUACUACACCAAGUGUACGCAUCUAACUAACUGGCUCAGUUAGACGUUACUAUUUAUUAAGCUGUGGAGAUUGGCUGACGGCUUGAACCAGAUGGGUGCCUAACGGGGGAAACUCCAGCCAGCAGGUCCAAGUCUGAUACUUGCGACCCUCUCUCCUACUUUGGGCUGCAGAGCGUGGCGGCACAUAUCAGGGUAUGGUGCAUGCAGAGACGCAUGGUACGCUGUGUACACACAGUUUUGCCUGAUGAACGAAACAGUGCUGCCAUCAUGAUCCUUGCCGUCGGUUAUCUCCUAGUUAAUCGGAUAAUUCAGUCCGACAAACAGAGAGCGUGUACCAAGGCUACUUACCAGCCUCCAGUCAAAAAUUCCUGAAGGCCCAGAGAAGCUGGGAUCCUGCUCAAAGACCUUGCAGUGACUGUGAUUGUAUUCCACGAAACAACACGUCCGGUACGUGCGAACGAUCAUCAAUCGUUCGCCGUCGUCUGAUCGAGCCAGGAACCACCUGCAACUGCCAUGCCGCUUUUCUUUGAAAGGUUCUGGGAUUAGGAAGGGUAGGAACACCAGGCGGCCUACACCAUCAUAUCAAGUUGGAGUCAAAUAAAAAAGGGCUCUUGAUUUAGUCAAUCUUAAGAACAGCAUGUUAUGAGCAUGAAUAUUUUUUCAGUAAAUGUUGACAGUAAUAUAAGCAAGCCAUCAUGAUAUCAUAGGAAAGUAACAUACUGCUGUAACAGUCGUUUGUAGCGAUGACUGUAGUAGGCCAGCAAUACGUCCAGCCAUAGAAGGAGUCGACAGCGUAAAUGAAGCCCUUGUGUUCAAUGGCAUCAGAGAACCAUGGAGGAUGUAUGAUCCUGCGAUGGACGUGCAGAUUUAUCCACUUACCGCAGUGACCUGUCAGAUAGGCGAGACCGCGUUUGAAGAACGCAAUUAGCCUGAAGUCUUUAUAAUUCGCAGAUCUUGUGGGCACUUGGUAGAUUACAACCUUGAGCAAAUCAAACUUGGUAUCAUGUUGGCUACUGUAAGAUUCCGAGUAUUCUGGGCCGCGGUGCCAAAGCAGUGCAGUGUUAAUCGAAGGAAGGGGGAUGAAUCGCCGGGUGUAGACCUCCACGAGCAUCCAGCUGCCGUGACCGUCGACGAGCACCAUCCAAGACGUGUUCAUGCCGACCCAGUACAUACCGUUAAUGUAGUUGAGGCUGACGGGGAUCGGAUCGCUGUCAAGGGGGUUGAUGCUCGCCACCCUACGAUCGUUAUGCUGCGUGACACGCCGUUUCUGAAGAUCAGGCGGCAUCAGCAAGCAAGGAGCUGGCUUAAAAAGCUCCGGCCUGAGGGCUUUGAGUAAAUGGUACAUCCCCGACGAGCACGCGGUGAGCGGCAUGGUACUGAGAUUGUCCACACGCGAAACAAUGAGCUUGAUUACCUCUGUGGGGAGCGAAUUCCAGCCACUCUUUCGGCGGACGCUGCUCGGUUCUGCCAUUGUUAGUGCUUGGGUUUCGGACGAGGGGGGGAGGCGCCUUAGCGGGGAUGGAAGAUUGGACGAGAUUAUGUGCGGACAAAGAUGGAGAAGUGAAUAUGUGAUGCGGGAAGUGGACAGGUGAUGAUGACUACAGCACGCCGCUUGACUUACGAGACACAUACCAGCAGCAUAGGGUCAUAUCGAUGGCAGACAACUUGCUUGAGUGAUCACAGUACUGGUACUCCCUACAGUACCUACUACAGUACUAUGCCCUAACUUGCUUGAGUAGAGUAGUAGAGUAGGACUCUGCUCUACUACUAGCACCGGAGGAGUAGUAUAUUCUAAUCUAAAAUAGUUACAAACUUCAAUGCCCGAGCAUGGAACGACUAUGAAACAUGCUCAAAGACCGUGUCUAUGUGGUGUUUGGAAUUAUAUGCAAAAAAAUAGCAAGAUUCCCGUGCAUUGCACGGCACACCAUCAUCACCAACUCGGUUUUUUCUCUACUCCUACUCCUAUAAAAGACUCAGUUGGUGAUGAUGGAGGCGAGGAGGCGUGUUCAGCCGGGCGUGCAGCGGACGGCGCAGUACUAUUCGAUUUGUUAUAAAAAACAAAGAAGAGUAGUAGAGAUAGAGACUUAGGGAGGAGCACGAGGUUGUGCGAAAUAAGGAUGAACGAGGCAAGGCCUUAUCUGUAAAUGUGGAGAGAGGUGCGGGUAUCUUUUAUAAAAUUGUCAUAGUUGGCUUUCUAUCCGUCAGAUAUAGAUCGGACAGUCUAUAUUACAAGAUGGCAGGCAUACCAUCAUCACCAACUCGGUUUUCUAUAAGAGUAGAUAUAGAUAUAGAUAGAUAGAGACUAGGGAGUACUAGUAAGGACACCAUCUACUGCUUCGUGUGCUACUCCUGCGCUCCAUUCGGCGGCUGCAACGUCCCCUACAGCCACUCCCUCCUGCGCUCCAUUCCGCGGGCGCUCUUGACAUUUUGGGAGCGCACUCUCGCGACUGCUGGCAGCCACGACUUCACCGACGACGACUUCUUCCCCGACCUCGGCAACCUCUUCCUCAACGACAUGGGCGACAACCUCAACGCCAACGGUGCUGCUCCCGUUGCACCGUAUGUGUUUCUGUCCUUCCUGUUCGAAAUCGUGGUAGAAUUCAUGUUUCUACUCUGUAUCCUACUACUAUGCUAGUCCACACGAUUAGUUUCAUCUCUGUUAUAGCCGUCAUGAUUUAUUUUGUGCUUAUUCGGAUUAAAUCUCGUAGUAACUUGCUCAUAUAUUCAACUGGCGCAACGUCCCCUACAGCCACUCCCGUUUCAUGGACGGCCUGGUCGAUGCCUCCAAGGAGCCCUUCGUCUACUGCUAUGAGUUCCCGAUGUCGUUUUGGGGCUCGCCAGCGGACAUGGUGCAUCACCUCACGGAUGCGUGCAGCGGUCACAACUGGCCCUUGGCGGAGAACAUCAAGUACGAGACGUGCUACCCGUUCACCAUGCCGGAGUCGCUGGAGGAUCACCGCCGCCUGCUAGUCUCGGAGGAGGACGGCAGCGUCUUCCUCUUGAUCGUGGGCACCGGCGAGGCCCGCGCAGGCCGCCGCCCCGUCUCUGUAGUGUGCAUCAGGGGCGACGCCGCUGAUGCUGACACUGACACGAGGCCGAUGUACGGGUGCGUGCUCACUAUUACUACCCCUCCGGGUCACGUGGGCGGCGAGACCGGCCUCAUCAGAUGGACUUGGACUCUGCGGAGUUGGAAAUUUCCCGCCGAUGUGGACUUGGAAAACCCAUGGCAUCCUUUACCCGCCUACGCGGUGCACGGGGACUCCAAGGAGGUUCACCUGGACAUACGCAUUAUCAAGUUAAAUGUUGAUCAUUAGUCUUCGCUCAAUGUAAUCCGCUGUCUAAGCAUGUGGAGACUUCCAUGCAGGAUCUUGCUCUAUUGGAGUAUCGCGCAUGAAUAAAAGUGUAUCCGUUUAUGGUUUAGUCUAGAAUCUUCCAUGUAUGAAUUUUUACUACAGUACUGGUGAAAGACUUACGAUGAACCAUUUCUUACAUCUCCUCUGCCCCCUUGCAAGUCAUCCUGAUUUAAUCCCUACGUCUAGGUGUAUAAGGGCAUGGUUAAUAUUACUUAAUAGUAUAGCCAACUGUUGACUAUAAGAAAGUGCCAUGUCAUCUGUAGCCAACAUGUAUAACAAUCGAUACUCAAAAACUAAUUCUUAAAGAUCAUUUCUUGCAAAGCACAAUAAGUGUUAUUUCUUCACAAGUUUUGCAUGCAGGUUGAACAGUUGAACGCUUUUGUUUGCAAAAGAUACCUUUUUAUCUAUUUCACCCGGAUGCUUGUGAGCUCUAGAGAUGAAAUAAUAUCCGAAGAAACCUAUCGAUACCCGUUACACAUGAGAUGACCCCCACAUCCUUUGUCAAAAUAAACAACUCCCCGAUCAAUGCAUUUCACUCUUCGGUGCAACGCACGGGCACCUUACUACUAUAGAUUAGUACGACCAAAAAUUGAACUAACAUUAUAUAUAGUACGAUAAAUGCUGAUGCAUGUCACCUAAAAUUAUAUCAUUCAAAAGUAUGUUCAAAUACGAAUCCAACGAUAUAGUUUUUGUUGACAUGCACUAAUAUUUUGUCAGUUAAAUCUUCAGUCAAAUUCAAUGGGGGACUAAUAAACCACGACCGAUGUAGUACAAGUGUAGAGGGCGGCGCUGCACGGGAGUCUCACCUCUCACCCCGCUCGUGGCGCGGCAGUAAAGCCAUCAUAUCACAAAACCCAACCACUCCCAGUGGCCUGGUAAAAUAAACGGACAAGCAACCAUCACAUCCCUCCGUCUUUUUUGCAUUUCAUCUCUCUGCAUUUACUUUCUUCGGUUCAUCUCGCACACUCGAUCCCUAGCUACUACUCCUAGGGCCAGUUCUUUUGGCGGCUUCCCCAGCUUUUCCCAUAAGACUAGUCACAGUGGAGAGUAACAAUAAAGUGCCUCACUCAUUUAUUUGGGCUUCUAAACUACUACUCCGUCCUGGUUUAUUCCUCACCAUUGUAAUUUGUGCUAAAUUUUGACCAAAGAUUUAACUGAUAAAAUGUUACUCCCUCCGUCUAUGUGUGUAAGUCAUCUUACGAAAACCAUAUAAUCCCAAAACACUUAGGCAUGGUGCAUUAACUUCUACCUCGUUUCUUGUUUCUUGACAUAUCAACCAAUAAGAGAUAAAGAGUGUGCAUGCUUUUAAUGACUUGAGAUAUCAAACAUGACAUGCAGUGGUUAGUUCAUUGCAUGCAAUACUAUUAGUUAGCAAAUAAACAUUAACGUUUCUCGUUUUCCCCUCCUCCUUGGUCACGGUGCACAGCCGAAGAUGACUUACUCACCUAGACAGAGGGAAGUAGUGCAUGUGACAUGCACUAACAUUUCAUUAGUUAAAUUUAUGAUCAAAAUUUGACACAGAUUACAAUGGGGACCAAUAAACCAGGACGGAGGUAGUAGUUAUGGGAUUACUAAUCUAGAAGCCUAAAAGAACUCUCCCCUGGUACUCCUACUAGUAGUAGCACUCAAGUUGGAAUUCCAAUUUCACGGCACAACUUAUUAGGCAAAAAAAUUGAUACAGGGUGUAGGAAGCGGUUUGGGAACUUGCAUGCCUUUCCAACUAGUGAGAUACUCCGUACAAAGUACGACAGAGAAAUAACCACAGAGAAGGAAGCUGAAAGUAAACAAUCAAACGAGCAUUUUUGAAUUUGUUUUGCAUUGAAUCGUUUCACAAGCUUGACUAGUGUUGUUUUUCUACUUUUACAAAAACCACAUCGUAAUGUUAAAACGUGCAUUUGCACGUACAUAAGUAAUAGUAGUACUCCCUCCGUCUAGGUGUAUAAGUCUUCCCUCCUUCUUGGUCACGGUGCACAACCAAAGAUAAUUAUUGACCUGGACGGAGGGAGUAGCACAGUCUGCAAGCAUAUAUCGAGAGAGACUUGUAGUGCGAUAGUAUAUAGUAAAGUUUGUGCUAUAUGCACGUACUUGCAAAAUGCGUACGAAUACACAAGGUUUCCAAACUUUCCCUUUUACAUACUUAAUUAAGGACGCAAAAAAAUCCUGAACGUUCGGGAUUUAUCAUUUGCGUCCCAAAACUAAUGAGAUCGCCUUACGAAACAAAAAAGAUACUCCUCCUAAAAGCCACGACGCUCGCAGGAGCGCUUGUGGCGCGCCACGAGUGCCCUGGUGCGCGGCCGUUUCCCAGCGCGCCGACACAACGCCUCUUCCUCAGCCUCGCAACUCGCGAGGUGCUGAUUGGCGGCUUGCCGGCGGGCUAGCGCGAUCUGACCGGUGUGGUGAUCCGGCGCCAACAGGUACUCCUCCUCGCUGGAAGCGUGCACCCAGUCCACGUACCGCCAAGCGUAGAUGAGGCGCUUGGGCCCAACUGCACUCAGGGCAUCGGCACGGGCGUCCUCCGCCACCCUCACGGCCCUCGCACGAGUCUUCUGCCAAAGAGCCAAUUGCCUGACUCUCUCGGACGCGACAUAGGGCUCCCAGGCAGCUUGUUCUGCGGUGCGCUUCUCUUCCUCGGCCUUCUUCUCCGCCUCUAUUUUGGCCCGCUCUGCUGGAGGCAAAGCCUCCCACAAGGCGACAUCCAUUUCUUUCCAAAGCUCCUCAUGGCUGGGGGGCUCGGCGGGCGGCGCGGCGUUCUCCUCUUAGCGGGGAGCCGACGCGUCCUCCGACGCGCGUGCUGGCGAGAUUGGGAACGCCGACGCGUCCACCUCGACGCGUUGCGGCGAGGAGCGGAACACCGACGCGUCCUCCUCGACUAGUGGUGGCGAGGAACGGAACAACGACGCAUCGCAUCACGGCGAGGAGCGGAACACCGAUGCGUCCUCCUCGACUAGUGGUGGCGAGGAACAGAACGGCGACGCGUCACGUAGCGGCGAGGAGCGAAACACCAACGCGUCCUCCUCGACUAGUGGCGGCGAGGAACGGAACGGCGAGGCGUGACCGUCCGCGCGGUGCAGCGAGGGGCUCCUAGGGCUUGGGAGGGGCGAUGCCAUGGUGGUCAACGUGAGAGGGAGGGGAGGAGAUAGCGAUGAACGUGAACGUGAGGGGGAGGAGAUAGCGAUGUGGUGGGAGGCGCAGUAUUUAUAGCGAGCAAUGGCACGCCUACGUAAGAUAUGGACUGAGCUGCACUGACUUAAAUGCAGGUCGAGUUGCAUCACUGACAUGUGGGCAGACCCCUGUUGGGCCCAUAUGUCAGUGACCCAAUGCACCUGCAGUUAAGAAACAGCUACGUGGGCAUAUUUGUUGGAGUAAAUUACCGGGGAGGGAAGGGGUGGAAAUAUUGCUGGUCACAACGGAUUGGACGAGCGUGGGGGGAGGAGAGUCAUGCAUGCAGAUUUUUUCACACGGGGUGGAGUGGUGGGACCGCCGGAGGGAGAAGGAGAGUUUGGCAGGCAUAUUGUUUCCACACAUGGAGAGGAAAAGAUUUGGAGACGAGCGGGCUUCCUGCAGGUAUGGGGAACGGUGCAUAAUAAGGGGGUGUUUGGUUCUAGGGACUUUUUUGUGUUGGGACUAAAAAAAGUCCCUAGCAAACCAAACAGGGGGAGACUUUUUUGGAACUUUUUGCUAAAAGUCCUUAGAAGCACCUCCUUGAGAGUCUUUUUCAAAAAGUCCCAGGGACUAGAAAAAGUCCUAGGACUAGAGAACCAAACACCACCUAAGUCAUCUUGCAUGCCGGGCUAGGUAUAGUCUCAAGUCAUUAAAAACAUACACGCCCGACACAUGUUCAUAUUUCAAGGUGCACUAAAUUAUUGCAUGCGAUGAUUAAGGCUGGCCAUAAUGGUGGUAUCUUAGCUGGUAUCAUGCACACGGGAAUAGCAAACAUGCUGAUGUGGCAAAGAAUUAAAGAAGAGAGGGGGAUAGAGUAACUAGUGUUCAUGCAUGCAUUGGUAAACACAUUUUUUGUGAAGAUAGACAACAUUAGUUCAGUACUUUUGCAGACUUCAAAAACUAUUCCACCGCCUCUACUAUCUUGCUAAGAGUAGGUGAAAUUUUUGAAUCGAGCCCUUUAAACUAGAAGGGAGGUAGUGGUACUCUAAUAGCUAACCUUGUUGUGAUGACAAGAUAGGACAUGGCACGCACCUGGACGGAGGAACUAGUCUGCAUUGUGCAUUUAAGUUUUGUCUGAAGUCAAUGUACCUCUACUUUCACCGGACUUAUAAAAAAAUGUAUCAACAUUCACAAUGUCAAAUCAAUAUUUGUACACUCAUUAUAAAACGUAGUUCUUAUACUCAUUAUAAUCAGUAUUGUAGAUAUUGAUAUUUUUAGUAUAAAUUUGGUCAAACACUUUGCAAACGGUUGACGGGAGUAAAAAGGACCAGAGGGAGUAUCAUGCAUGCGGAGUAGGCAAAAAAAUUGCUCAUUUAUAGCCGGUCGAAGUCUCAAAGGGCGCGACCGCGCGAGGGAGGCGAAGGUCGUGGGAGGCGCGACGGUUGACGGAAUUAAGUGAAGUUACAUCCACGCACCGGCAUGGCGUGCGAACAGGCAGAAGCUAUACCGUCAGGCCUACGAUAUGGGUCUAGUAGACAUGACAUCUAGUGGGUCCCGCAUAGUUCUCGAGAACUUUUUGGGGGCUUACAGCCGUUUAUCCACCGGGCAAGCCAGCAACCCCACGCCGUUCGCACGCCCUACUCGUCCCCGUCUUCUACCUUUCAACAGUUCGCUCCCAGUCGUCUCGUCCUUUCACAUUAGUUCGCUCCCAGUUUUUUUUUGCGGGGUACAACAAUUCAACUUCUCCUAAACCUCGUCCAAAAUCCAUGGCCUCCCAAAUCUCCAUGGUCGCCGCUGAGUACCAGGUUAGAGCCAUCACCGACGAUCAGUUCAUCGUCAUCUACACACGUGGAUCCGCGACGGUGAAAGCAUGGCUUGCUCGCUUCCUACGCAUGUUCAAUAGUUCAACGGAUGAGUGGGUCGCUGGGCUAGAUGUUGAGUACACCACAAUCCUGGGACGAGAGAAGGAUCUAAAGGACGAAGAGAGGAAGAAGCCCGCCGUGAUCCAGGUUUGUGUACAUAACGUUUGCUUGGUCUACCACAUAUGCCAUGCUGACGUUGAGUGCUAGGAUUUUAAGAACUUCCUCAAGGACAAAAGAGUGAAAUUCGUUACUGUAGACUUUAAGAACGACAGGGAUGUCCUGCGUCGGAUAGGUCUCGUUGUAGGCCAGCCCUUUGAUCUCCAGAAGGCAAGCCUGGUGUCCUCCUCUCAACCUUCAAUGUUGACCCUGGCAGCAGCCAUGAUUGAUCCUUCGUACUCUAAACUGAAGAAACCUCAUCAGGAGUUUCAUCAUGCAUGGGAGUCAAAGACAUUAGAUGAAGAUCACAUCCUGUACGCAGCAAUGGAUGCCUACCUUGUUUAAAUAUCUACAAGGGUUGGAUGAAGAAGCAGAGCCCAGUGUCCGGUUCAAGCAAAGAAGCGUCGGCGAAGAGGAAGAGGGACGAGGACGAAGUCAAGGUCGUGGACUCGGACUCCGAGUAGGUGGCAGUGCCGUCGCUCAUGCUGGUUCUACUGCAGUGUCAAGCGGACUAGUUGCUUAGUUUAUUUUCAAGGGUGUGUUGUGCUGAGGCCCCAGCAGAACUAUGUUUAUGUUCUUUCUCGUUAUUUGAACUCUUUAGUACGUACAGUAGUACUAGUACUAUGUCUUACUACGUUCUUCUUGUAGUUGGUACUACUGCUCGUAUCUUCGUGUUCCUACUGUACUUAAUACGUUCGUACUUGUAGUAUAAUUUGGGUCAGUCGAUUUGUGAAAGAAGUUCGAUAGAGCGAAUGAAGAAGACGACAAAAGAGGUGGAAGAAGCCCUUCUAGCCAUCCAUGUUGCAUCAAACGGCUCACAAGAGUCGACUGGCCCAAAUUGCUCCUUCAGAUUGCAGGAUCCACGUGGCAUUCAAGGUCUCGAAGGUAGAUUCCACGUCCGCACCCGGUUUGCGGGCUCGACACGCGCGCGAUCGGCUUCCGCCACGACAGACACCAUGCGGGCCUCCUCCGCGUGGGUGGAGACGACAAUGACACACUAGUUCCUCCUCGCUGGCGUGCUGGAGCACACGCUCGUCCUCCUCUUCGUACGCUGCGUGCAUAGACGCGGCUCCACCAACUGAUCGCGUGCUUGGCAGCGCGGCGGCAUCGCGAGGAGGGACUGCAGACGACGUGAACGGGCGAGCCUUCGGCUUCAUGGCACAGGGAUGGCGGCGACACGGCGGUGAUGGGCGAGAAAUUGUUGGCCGGAGCAGGCGGGCUCCGGCAUGCGCAACGGCGGCGGCAUAUUGAUGAGUGCGCGUGUGGGAGCUUACUUUAGUUUUAUAUAAGGUUGGUCAAACUUAAAAGAAAACCGUACUAGUACACGUAAACAUUAGACUUAGGCAGCGCUUUUAUUAGUUAGUACCACAGCCACGAUACGGAAUCCUGUGCAAGCGCGUGAACCGCGGCCGUGCGGUCGAUCGAACGGUGCAUCACCGUGUCAUGCUCGAAGGACAUCCACCGAACCGUUUUGUGUGUGUGAAAACAAUCCUCGAAUAUUACUCAACUUUUUUUCCUGGGAAAGUUCUUGACGCUGCAAUAUUUCCAUAUAUUUGAAUUUAGCUCUAGUUCGUGUUUAUUUGGCUUUGGACGUUUUAGGUGCGCCCUAGUUUUUUUAAUACUGAUUUUGUGUGUGUGACUGAGAGAGAACGUGUGUAUGUGUCCAUAUGUGUGUUGUGGCGGAAGGGCAAUGUGGAGACGGUGUGCGUGUGAUACAGACAUAGAGAGGUGUGAAUGUGCAAAUGAUCAUGCAUGAGUGAGACAUAGACAGAUGCCGAUACGUUGUGUAUACAUGAGAGAACGGUCUUCUAGUUUACUUGUGUUUGUGUGUGUGAGAGAGAGAGACAGAGAGAGAGAGAGGAGCAUCCGUAACACAACAACCAUCUCUCUCGAUUCGUCCGUCCCUCGCACGAUCGCAUGCAACACAUGCAUCAACGCGCACAUUUUGACACCCUCACCCGGCCCCUACCCACCUCAAGGCCCGCACAAUCUCUUCGUGAAUACCCAUUUCUCUCCUUAGGUUUGUUUUCUCUCAAUAUCUGACACACACACACACACACACGGCACAACACACACACCCUCCCCCGAGCACACAAUUCAUCCCCAUCCAAGGUUAUACGGCGACCACUCUCGCUUGUGCUUCUUUGCACCCCCACAUGCACAACACCUCAAUCUUCAAAGAGGGCAUCGAGCAGAUCGAAGACGGCGACCACACCGCGCUAGACAAUGCGGGGCCAUUUGGACGCAGGGUGAUGUGACGACGGCUGACUGACUCCUCCCCCCACCCUCUCUCUCUCGCACAAAAUUACCAAUCCCUCUCUCCCCCGCACAAAAUUGUCAAUCCCUCAACCCACGAGAUCCUUCCCCUCUCAUCCAUGUUUUUCCAGCUCUCUCAUCAAACAUGUUGUCUCUUCUCCUUCCACGUAUACAGAAUCCGGAUGCACACGCAUCUCACGUAUAUUACAUGUCUCCAUCUUUCUCACAGACCUAACUUCUUCCUCUCUCUAUCUCUCUCUCUGUCUCAUUAGGUUUGUCUCCUACUCUCUCGUCCACAUACAUACAAUCUUUCCCGCCCUAUCUGCUCCAUCUUCAAAAGCUCUCUCUGCACGUUUCAUUCACACAUUGGGAUAUGUCAAAAUGUUGCUUCUAUAAUGGCUGAUGUAGAGUUAUGGUUGUUUUUGUUGCAUCCUACAAAGUAAUAACUAUGAAAUGCAUUUAGAUUCUCAUUUGACUGGGAUUAUGUGAGUUGAGCAUGUUGUGAAGUACUAUAGACCUCGUAUACAUCUUGGGAUUCGACAAUGAUUGUAACUAUUGAAUUGUAUACACCAUUACAUUCGAAGUCAAUAGCCUAAUAUAUUUAUUUCACAAUUUCAACAAAUGAUUAGUUCAAUACAAACUAAGAAAACAAAUGUGUACUCCCUCCGUUUUUAUUUAAGUCCGGGUAUUAGCAUUGGUCAAAGUCAAGUUUUGUAAACUCUCAGAAAGCUUAUAACAAAAAAUAUUAACAUAUACAAUAACAAAUAAAUACCAUUAGAUUCAUUAUUGAAUGUACUUUCACAUCGUACAUAUUUGUUAUGGUAAAUGUUUAUAUUUCUAUAAACUUGGUCAAACUUUAGGAAGUUUGACUUCGGUCAAACCUAAUAUGCAGAGUUUACUACUACUAGUCGCUAGUUGCUUAGCCGAAUCACCCAACACGCCACACGGGGAGUCCAGUGUCACAAAAUUUUGAGGUCGGCGGGAAAAUCUCCCGUGACCCUGUUUCGAGCAGUGGGAAGUUACCAUCAUAGACUUCGGAACAGGCCUACGGAUGACGCUUGGUAGGGGGCUGUUUUCGUAACUUCAGGUUCACCCUACCCAGCCAACCCCACCCCGGCACCCAGAGUAGUACACCUGAAUACUCCCCAUUUUCUAUCCCCACCGCAAAAUAGACUUCUCCAUGGCACUGCAGCCUUCGUGCUCCUCCCCUUUACAUCGGCGCACUCGUCCACCGCAGCGCAUCUACCUCAUUGACGACCUCGUACGCCGCACUAGAGCCGGUCCACCGUCGUUGUCGUACACGGAGCCUCUUCCCCGGCAUCGUCUUCCACGGUCUCGGAUCUGCUUCCCGGAAGCCGACGCCAAGCGCAGAAGUACCACCGUCGUGGACAAUGAACUGACUCCCGUUGCCGACCAUGACUCAUAGAGGCCGCCGCGACCAUCGUUCUCCUCCUCGAUUGGUAAUGUGUGUAUUGAAUCACUUAGCAGUACAUGUGCAGUUCCAAUUUUGUUCAUACCUACCCUUCAAAUUUCCUGGGUGCUAUUGUUCCCGUAAAAGUAAUUGGUUAUAGCCUCCAUUGUCCAACAGAAUAUCAGCUUGUAAUUGUGUGUCGCUCCUGUAUUGCGCUUUGCUUGGGUAGGUUUUUCAUCUGCAACCAGUAGUGUGGCAAAUGAUGGAAAGUUUUUUAGAACUAGCAAGAUGCCCAUGCGUUGCACGCAUCAAGAUGCAUUAGUAUGAGUAGUUUAUCUUGUGGGAGAAAAGGAUGAACAAGGGAAGGCCUUAUUUGCAAAUCUGGAGAGGGGUAUGGGUAUAUUUUUGCAAAAUUCCCAUUUGUUUCCUUCCUAUCUGUCAGAUAUAAAUCGGACGGCCUAUAUUGCAAGAAAAAAAGUAUAGAGAAAAAAAGUAGACAGUAGAGAAGUAGAGAUAAAUAUUAAAUAUAAAAUAAAUAUAAUAGUAGAGAAGAGAGUAGAGAUAGCAGAGACGUCGGGAAAGGAUCGUGCGCGGGGGAAAAAGCGGCCGGGUGUGCGCUAGUUUUGGCGCGUGGCGUCCGGUGCGCUUUAUAAAAUUCAAUGCCCUCCCACCGCUAUGUGCCUUGCCACCACUCUCUCCCCGCUCUGUGCCUCGCCACCGCUCUCUCCCCGCUCUUUCUCGCCUCGCCGCCGCCGCGCCACCAUGCUGCCGCGUCACCGGGAAACUUGGGGAUACUGCGGCGUCCGCGCGUGCCCCUCCGGCGGCUUCUCCGCCGAGAUCCGAUUCCGCGGGAUGCGCCUCGGCCUCGGCAAUUUCGACACCGCCAACGAGGCUGCCCGCGUGUAUGACGCGGCGGUGUGGUGCCUCCGGUGGCCUCAUAGAACAUUGAACUUCCCCAACGUGCCGACACGGGAGCGGGCGCAGGAGCUCGCGCCUCUGCCGUGGCUUAGCACCGAUGAGGAUCGUCACGACAACCGGAGGCGGGAGCACCGUCUCGGCAUCGCCGAGAUGGACGAGGAAGCCAUGGUGCUGUGGCGCCAACUCUUCCCGCAGGACAUCACCAAUGAGCGCGAGGUCUAGGCGCAAAGGAGGGCGGAGAGGGAUAAGAGGAGGGCGGAGCGAGCCACCUAUCGCGAGGUCAAGCGUAGGCGAAAAGCGGACGCUCAAUUCAACAUGAUGCUAGGAGCAGCGUCGCCUUGGGAAUCCGACGACGAUCGGUAUCUUCACGCCUACAGCCAGACGUCGGAGGAGGACAUCACCGAGGAGGAGUCGGACGACGAGGAGUAGUUGAAUUAUCUUUUUUUAUCUAUCUAUGCUGAGAACUAUCCUCUACUCUCUAGCCUCUACUUCUCGAUCUCAGCACUGUACACGCUGUUUUAAAGCGCCGCGCGUUGCGAUUCUGUUGGAGAUGCUCUAACAUGGCAGACGAGUGCUUUAAUGUUGCCCACAAGAUGCGCGAGUAUUACUAGUAGUAUAUUUGUCUUGCCAUGUUGAGAUUUUAAAACCACGAGUGCGAACAUGCAGAGGAGCAAUGAAGACCAAACACGAGAUAUUCGGGACAUCUUCAAGGGGCAUGGCAAGUUAAAGGGGAGCUGCACCGAACCUGUAAAACGAGCUUUGGUAAGUAACACCCUUUCAGUUACUUUCGUUUAGCCUCGUGUUCUUCGAUGUGUAUAUGUUGUAGUUUCUAUUUCUCUUAAGCGUGGUGUUCUUCGAUGUGUAAUAAGAAGAGUCUUAAUCGUCCUAAUGCUUUCGUUUUUAGCUUGAUGUAGGAAGUGGGUGUUCUCACCUUGUAGUCUGUUUUUAUAUUAUUUUUUUCCUUUUGAAUUCACUUCUCCGAGUUCUGUUUAUUUGGCUUCUACUAAAUGGAUCUAGGUUGCUCUGAGUAUUGAUCUAAAAAAUAAGUAACUUCAUGUCAGGAUGCAGUUCCUGCGAGGAGGGAAGUAUGGUCAACCUCGAGAUCAUGUUUCCAAAAUGAGGCUGGAUUACACACAAGGUGCCAGUUUCCUAAUGAUGCUGGAUUAGACACAAGGUGCAAAUUCCCAGAUGAUGCUGGAUUACACACAAGCCAGGUGGAGUCGUCAGCUGUUCGUGUCCUCGUGGCAUUAGUAAAGGCUGAAAGAAAGCGUGCAGCAGCCCUUGAGAAUGUAGCUGAGUUCCUGAAGAAGUGAAAAGAGCAAUCAGAUGCUCUCUUCACCCAAGCCAAAGAAGAGAUGGAAGAAGCCAGAAAUAAGCUAGCAGAGGCAGAGCAGGCUAGGUCUCCUGCUAUUUAAAACUGUUGUCAAUACAAAAUUUCCUUCAUAAUAGGUAGGUUCAAAUGUUUAUCCAGUCAGCAUGCCUGUUGUGAUGUUCAUGCAUCUACUGAUGUGGCACAAAAUGUGUUUUUUCGGGUCAUGUAAUAACAACAAUUACUUUCCAAACAAUAACAGACGAAGCAUUGGACAUGGUAUAGUUCACACGCAAGCCCGACAUUCCAAGUUCAACUUCCACAUCAAACUCAUGUUCACAGAUAUCUGCACAUUCAUACAUAAUGUCCACAACCAUGAUUCACUUCAAAGCCAAAAAAAUGUGAGGAGAGUUAUAAAUAAAGAAAAACCUCUACUAGUUCCUGCUACCAGUGCGAGCACAACAAGUCAAGACCAUGCGUAAAUUAAUUAUAUUUUAGUCAUUUUUUGUGUUCUAAAAUGCCUGCCGGCUCGCGGAAGGACGUGUUGCCGGCACACGCGCGAAUUCAAUGAAGGCAGGCGGGGCAGUCUUAAGCUGGUUGCAUGCGGCAAGGAGGCAUGCUCAGCCGGGCCUGCAGCGAGUGCGGCCCUCUUGGCCGGCGCGCCGGUUCAAUGCUUGUGCUAUCAGUGCGGUGGGGGCCGGUGGUCCGGCCGGCGGCCCGUGCGGUGUUCUGUAUGGGAAGAAUCAGAGACGAGGAAGAAGAAGGGUUAGGAGACGUAGGAUCUUCAUCCAACCGCCUGAAAUGGUCGAGAGACAGCUGGGAGUUGCAUUCUUAAUGCGCUCUGGUUCAUCAUGUGUGGGCACUGCGCAACCAACAUUUUAUUAUCCAAAAUCUGCUUGCUCUUCUUUACCAUGUUCCUCUUCUGUUCUUCUUUAAUAUGUACUCUCUCCGUUCCUAAAUACAAGUCUUUGUAUAGAUUCCACCAUGGACUACAUAUGGAGCAAAAUGAGUGAAUCUACACUCUAGAAUGUAUCUGAUACAUCUGUAUGUGAUCCAUAGUGGAAACCUCUACCAAGACUUAUAUUUUGGAAUGAAGGGAGUAUGAUAGUAGUACAAUAUGUUCCUUGUACUGAAGAUGAGCAGGGACAUUUGCAGUGUAGAGGUCUAUAAGGUCGGUUGUGAUGGACACUUUGAGCCUCUUUGAUUCGUAGGAUUUUGUAAACAUAGGAAUAGGAUUUGUAGUGACCUGCCCACUUGAAUCCUAUAAGAAUAGCAAGGAAAUGCGGGGAGUUGUGUCGCCUUUGAGAGUUACACUGAUAUUAACAGUAACGCACCUUCACUUGAAGAGAACUCGUAUCUGAAGCCUUUCUAGCCGUACUGGCAGUACUAGCACAUAUAUUCCAGCAAGUUCCACUUUGCUGAUUUUACUCUGAUGCUUACGGAUUUCCCCGUUAUAUCUACACUAUGAUCUAUGUAGCUGCUUUGUGUCGCACUAGCAGCAGUGCACUCUUGAAGCUAAACACUGCAAUGACUUACAAAAUUGGCACCAAGGCAUUGAGUGCCAUUCUGGAUGCAAUGAAACUCAUACGCUCCCCACCUGUUGAUUCUUGUUCAGAAUAUGAUCCUAAUGACUAUUCUAAGCUCGAGGAGUCAAAGGCAGAUGGCCUGUCCUGUUCACCCAUCAAGGUGCCUGUUCUAAUUUGGCAAGGUUUUAUUGAUUGCGGGUAUCUUACAUAUGUUGUCUUGCAUUUCUUCUACUUUUUUGCACCGCCAUCUGCUUAGUUUACUCAUCAUAUAUGUCGAGAUGCCAUGCCCAUCCAUUAUCAAUACAUAUUCCAUCUGUCAUCAUACCAUCUUUUUCCACUCAAAUGCUGUUCUUGUGCAUCAGACAUCAAAAAGGAAGAGGGUGAUUGCCGAACCUGAAGUCCUUGAAAAACGUGGUGGUGCCGGAGAAAUCAGACAACACCCCACUUAUAUUGGCUGUACAACCAGUGACACAAAACGUAGGACCGACUCCAGCAGACUGUACCCAUACUUCACUGGCCACACCACUAGCCCCACCACACAGGACCUACACUCCAGCAAAAGGUAUACCGAUUUCAUUUGCCAUAGCACCAGCCGUACCACAGAAAAAUCCCACUCCAGCAAAAAGUACAGCAAGUCCACCGGCCGAAGACCUAUCCCAACUGUAGAGACGGCCAAUUCCUGCAGAUUGGAACCCCAUUCCAUUUAUUCCCAGUUUAAAAGACAAUGCUUUCAAUGUUGUUAGGGACUACGUGCAUAUAUUCACAUCAUGGGAAGAUUAUAGUGAAGACAAACACCAUUUUCACAUCUUCCUGUCCAACUUACGUGUAAGUGCUAUUAUUCAUGGUUAUUAUUUUCCUGUUUUCUGCUGAUUGAAGACAUCAAUGAUUUACAUUACAUUGUUGUAACUAGGCGAGGGUCAAUCUGGAUAGUCAUGACGAGCAAAGCUUGCUUGUGCUUUUCAAGGAAGCAUUGCAGCAGUAUUGGUGUUACAUGAGGAAAUCACACUUUGAUGGCAAGUCUAUAAACAAAUUUCCGGUGAAGUCUGCUGUGCUAAAUUUAGAAGACAUUGAAUGGAAAAACCUUGUUAUGCACUGGUCUCGUUCCCAGGAUGAGGUACUGUCUAUGAAAUCACAUGACAAUUUGAACUUCUACUUGUCCGCAUGUGCCUUACAGAUCUUUUUUGCAGGAAAUCUACUCGAAGAAGAAUUCCGGUUUGAAAAGAACGACAGGAUAUCACAAAUAUGCCGCCCGCUGCUUUGCUCUUGUUAGUACAUGUUGUCCUGUAUCACUGUACUUGCAUACAUACCUGGUUCAUUAUGUGACAGGAGUAUGCAUGAUAGCUUGCUUAUCAAUUGUUCGCUCCAAAUUAUCUGAUCUGUAUGAAUGGUUGCAUUAGUGUAGAAUAUAUCCAAUGCCAAUGAAUUUUUUUAGCUCUGCAUUGUUCUUGUAAGUACAUGCUGUCCUUUAUCAGUGUACUUAUAUUGACAGGUAGUUGUUCAUGUACCAUCACUCUGCAGCUUAUUUUCCUUUGCCCUCCAUUUUCUACACAUCAGAUCUAUAUUUACUCUUACCAUAAGGUUGGUACUGAAGAAGUUUAGCUGUGCAUUGCUCUUGGCUAUGCCUUUUGCCUGUAUCGCUGCACAUACAUUUAUAGCUACUUGGUUAUGUAGCAUCACUCUUCAACUUAUCUUAAAUAUUCUCCAUUUUUUCGUAUAUUAUCACAUCUAUAUUUACUCUUAACAAAAUGUAGAAUAAAGGCAAUGCUUAUGAAGAAGAUUCUAUGGUAAACUUCUUGAAUUGCCCCCCCCCAUCAGCAUGGACAAGGGCUUUAUAGAGCCUGUCUUCACCAGUAAUGUAAGUUUGUCCUUCUCAAGCCUUCAAACUUUGUUGUGUAUAUUUGGUUAGGCAUGACUGCAACAGCUGUUUAUUUUUGGUGUUUGCAUCAAAUUGCAUGUUUAAAGUUUAUUAUGUAGUUCAUAAACAAAAGUUUGUCCUUCUCAAUUUAAGUUUUCAGUUGUACAACCAAGUUCCUUCUUCAUACCAUGUAAAUUAAACUAUACAGAGCAAGUGAUCUUCUUUUGCACUGCAUGUAUGCUUCUGUUCUUCAUCCGUAAUCCAGUGGUGUGGUGAACCUACCCACUACAACACAAUGUCAUAUUCUGCAAUGUCUUAACUAUGAACAAUGUCAUAUCAUUCUACUAUUAUUGAAACCGUCUCUUUAUUUGCAAUUCUGAAAUGGGAUAAAUUGACAGCACACUAACCAUUGAUACUUAUGAGUUCUUGAUCUGUAAUCCAGUGGUGUCAUGAAGCUGCCAACUCCUUCACAAUGUCAUUUCCUGCCAUGUCUUGACCUGAACAAUACCAUAUUGUGUUAAUGCAAUUUUAAACUGUGUCACUUUAUUCAUCAGUAAGAAAUGUGAUGAAUUGUCAGCACUGAUACUUUUAUGUGCAAAACCUGUCAUCUGUCUACUUGUUUAUCUUUCAGAGUGAGGAAGAUAUAAGUGUUGAACAAGCGCAGUCUCAUCAUCUUGCUCAGCUGCUUGCGCUGCAGCUCGCCAGCAGGGCUAACCUUUCUUGAACUCUAUUGAAGUGCUGUCGGUUUUGUAUAUUAUUUUGUCGGCGUGUUUAUUUGCACUGGUGGCGAUCUUUGAUGCCCAGUGUAUGUAAUCUGUUGUCUGCUUGUGCUUUAUUAUCAUAGUGGCGAACAUUGAUGCCCAGUGGAUGUAAUAUGCCGUAAUUUCUUUAUUGUAGAGUCUAGGUUUUUUCUUAUUCACGAUGCUGCAGUUAUUUUACUAUAUAUAUAUCCUGUCUUCGCAGUAAACCGGCCAAACCGUAAAAUUACGGUACAUAAUCAGGCCGUCAUGCAAUCACGAUGUAGGAUGGGCCUGAGACGUGCCGAACAGCUCACGGGCCGGCAGCAGCCCGAAAUGGACCGCGGCCCAUGAUUGUGCGAACCAAAUCACGGGCUUUUAACAGGACAAAAUUGUCUCGGUACUUGUUUGGCCCAAUCAGAUAUCGGCUGCGAGCAAGCCGGAUGCAAACCGGGCCGUAGUUAGGCCCAACUAUAUGACGGGCUUUUAACAGGCCGAAAUUAAUAUAGGGCCGAAAUGUUAAACGGGCCCUUAACAGGCCGAAACUAAUAUCAGGCGGAAUUACUAAAUGGGCCUUUAGCAAGUGGGCCCAAAAGCAUAGCGUCCAGUUGACAGGCCGAAUCUGAUAUGGGCCAUAAUUGAGCCCAAAGCCUCUUAAAGGGCCGGACCUGAUCUGGGCCGUAAUUUGGCCCAGAACAUGGUAGGCUUUUAACGGGCCGGAUCUCAUAUGGGCCAUUAUUAGGCCCGGAACGUGGCAGGCCAUUAAUGGACCGGAUCAAAUAUGGACCGGCAUUUGGCCCAAAACAUGGCAGCCAGUUAAUGGGCCGGCCUACAAGGGUCCUCAAAAUCUUGUGGGCCUACAGCUGGGCCGGCCCAUUAAUGUCGGUGAAAUCUCGUGGGCCUUUAGCUGGGCCGGCCCAUUAUGAUCCGCAAGAAUCUUGUGGGCCUUUACCUGGGUCAGCCCAUUAUGGCACACAAAAAUCUUGGGGGCCUUUACCUGGGUCAGCCCAUUAUGGCCCGCAAAUUCUUGUGGGCCUUUAGCUGGGUCAGCCCAUUAUGGUCCGCAAAAUCUCGUGGGCCUUUAGCUGGGCCGGCCCAUUAUGGUCCGCAAAAUCUUGUGGGCCUUUAGUUGGGCCGGCCCAUUUAAACUUGAUGGGCCGGUCCACGUGUCAACAUAUCAUAGGCGCGUCUCGCCCAUUGGAUGAGUGACACCUGUGCCAACGCGGACCUGACACGUGUCUCCUCCAGCCAAUGAUGAUUUUACAUGUAGAAAAUCCCCAUUGGUCGGGGCUGUUAACGGGUUAUCGGAUCCAAAACCCGACCCAAUAGCUUAACGGCGUUCCGUUACGGUGGAUGCCACGUGUCGGUCACCCUUGACGAAAGCACUUCUGUGACGCGCGAUUUAUCGUCAUGGAAGUGGACACUUCCGUGAUGAUAAUUUUGGUAAUGUCAUGGAACACUUCUACGACAGCACAGGUAUGACUAUCUUGAUUCUGUCAUAAAAUCGUCAUGGAUGUACAUGCAUGACAAAAAACACGACCUACUGUGACAAACACGUAUCAUCACGGAAGUGUAUUUUUUGUAGUGAUAAGCUCCUACCAUCGGCUCGCGUACGAGCAAUCCAAGAGGAAAUAGCUGGAUUUUUGCUCGAUCAGGUCAUAGACCCCAAAGGAGAAUACUACUAAAAGCUGUAAUGCCUCCAUAUGUAAUGAUCAGCAGAUUGUAGGAGAAAUUGUAUAUACCAAAUUGUAUAUAUAUAUACAUGUGUAUGUGUGAAUGGUCGUGCGAGACAUUCGAUGAUAUAUAUAUAUAUAUGAUCGGUUCUACGAGAAAUUCUAUUUAUAUAUAUGCAUUCGAUGAUAUAUAUAUAUAUAUAUAUAUAUAUAUAAAGAAUUAAAUGGAAAACACAAAACUAAAACGAAAAAUAAACCAUAAACCCAAAACCCCUAAACCUUUUAGUCCCGAUUGGUGUAACCAACCGGGACUAAAAGCUCCUAGCCCCCCAACGUGUGCUCGUGCCACAUGGUGGGCCUUUGGUCCCGGUUCAUGUUGAACCAGGACUAAAGGGGGGGCUAUAGUCCCCACCCUUUAGUGCCGGUUCUAGAACCGGCACUAAAGGGCCUACGAACCGGGACUAUAGCUCAGUUUUGCACUAGUGCCCAACAGUUCAAGAGCUACGCGAACUGACAUUAAAGUUUGCCCCUAAACUGGUUUGUAUAGUCGAAACUCAUAUUAGUAUAGACCGAGCUGAAAAAUUAGCAAAUGCUUUAGGUUUUUAUUGUGCUUAUGCUAUUGAUGCCACUGGUAGAAGUGGUGGCUUGGCUGUGUUUUGGAACAAAUAAAUAAAGAUAGAAGUUUUGGGUUACUCAAAGUACCGUAUUGAUGCUAAAGUUAGUGAUUUUGGUGGAUACCCAUGGAGACUUUUAUGUUUCUAUGGUGAAGCACAAACACAUCUUCGACAAGAAACUUGGGAUACAAUGAAGGGCAUGGUUACUUUGAAUGAUCUUCCCUGUGUUUGAUUAGGAUAUUUCAACAAAGUCUUGAGGUACGAUGAACAUGACGGUAUUGGCCAAAGGAUUUUGAGAUGUCAUUGAUGUAUGCGGCCUGAUUGAUUUAUGAUGCUAGGGGAGGAAGUGGACCUUCCAGAAAAAGCUGGCAGGGGGAUCAUUACACGGGUUUGACUUGAUAGGGUGUUUGCAUCAGCCAAUUGGUGUUCACUAUUUCCUUUGGCGAUGGUGGAACAUGCUACGAUUGCGACUUUAGAUCACUAACCGAUCCUUUUGAAACUAGACUCCACCGCAAGAAACAAAAAAGCUGGGAAGUGAAGGAAAUAUGCCCUAGAGGCAAUAAUAAAGUUGUUAUUUUAUAUUUCCUUAUUCAUGAUAAAUGUUUAUUAUUCAUGCUAGAAUUGUAUUGAUCGGAAACCUAAAUACAUGUGUGAAUACAUAGACAAACACUAUAUCCCUGGUGAGCCUCUACUUGACUAGCUCGUUGACCAAAGAUGGUUAAGGUUUCCUGACCAUGGACAUGAGUUGUCAUUUGAUAACGGGAUCACAUCAUUAGGAGAAUGAUGUGAUGGAAAAGACCCAUCUCUUAGCUUAGCAUAAUGAUCAUUCAGUUUUAUUGCUAUUGCUUUCUUGAUGUCAAAUACAUAUUCCUUCGACUAUGAGAUUAUGUAACUCCCAAAUACCGGAGGUAUGCCUUGUGUGCUAUCAAACAUCACAAGAUAACUGGGUGAUUAUAAAGAUGCUCUACAGGUAUCUCCGAAGGUGUUUGUUGAGUUGGCAUAGAUCAAGAUUAGGAUUUGUCACUCCGAGUUUCGGAGAGGUAUCUCUAGGCCCUUUCGGUAAUACACAUCAUAAGAAGCCUUGCAAGCAAAGUGACUAAUGAGUUAGUUGCAAGAUGAUGUAUUACAUAACGAGUAAAUAGACUUGCUGGUAAUGAGAUUGAACUAGGUAUGAAGAUACCGACGAUCGAAUCUCGGGCAAGUAACAUACCGAUGGACAAAGGGAACUACAUAUGUUGUCAUAACGGUUUGACCAAUAAAGAUCUUCGUAGAAUAUGUAGGAUCCAAUAUGAGUAUCUAGGUUCCGCUAUUGGUUAUUGACUGGAGAGGUGUCUCAGUCAUGUCUACAUAGUUCUCGAACCCGUAGGGUCCGCACGCUUAAUGUUCGAUGACGAUAUUUUAUUAUAUGAGUUAUGUGAUUUUGUGAACGAAUGUUGUUCAGAAUCCCGGAUGAGAUCACAGACAUGAUGAGCAGUCUCGAAAUGGUCGAGAGGUAAAUAUUUAUAUAUAGGACGAUGGUAUUCGGACACCGGAAGUGUUCCAGACGGUAUCGGGUACUUAUCGGGUCACCGGAAGGUGUUUCGGGUGCACCCGGCAAUCCUAUGGGCCAUAUGGGCCUUGUGAAGGAACACACUAGCCCACAAGGGGCUGGUGCGCCCUAUACGACCACAGGAGGAGGAGAAGGAAAGGAGGGAAGGGAAAGGGAAGUGUGGAUUAGGAUUCCCACUUCCUUCCCUCACCCCCUCUUUCCUUCCCCUUCAUGCAUACAUGGAAAGGGGGGCGCAGGGCAAAGCAGCACCCCUAGGGGCAGCGGCCAACCCUAGGGCACGCCCUGGCUGCCUCCCCUCCCCUCCCACCUAUAUAUAUGUGGGUAGGGGGCGCCUCACAAACACACAACAUCAAUAGUUAGCAGUGUGCGGUGCCCCCUCCACAGUUUACACCCCGAUCAUAGUUUUGCGGUGCUUAGGCGAAGCCCUGCGGGAAUCACUUCACCAUCACCAUCACCAUGCCGUUGUGCUGACAGAACUCAUCUACUACCUCGACACCUUGCUGGAUCAAGAAGGCGAGGGACAUCACUGAUAACCCACAAGUAUAGGGGAUCUCAACAGUUUUCGAGGGUAAAGUAUUCAACCCAAAUUUAUAGAUUCAACACAAGGGGAGCCAAAGAAUAUUUGAAGGUAUUACCAGCUGAGUUGUCAAUUCAACCACACCUGGAGAUUAAUUAUCUGGAGCAAAGUGAUUAGUAGCACAGUAAUAUGAUAGUUUUGAUGAUAGAAGCAGUAGCAACGGUAACGGUAACAGCGAUAACAGUGAUUUUGUAGCAGUAACGAUAGUAGUAGUAACAGUAGUAACUUAGCAAGAACAAUAUAAGAUAAAUUUGUAGGCAUUGGAUUGGUGACUCAUUAGAUGAUAUUCAUCAUGAGACAGUUAUAACCUAGGGCGAUACGGCACUAGCUCCAGUUCAUAAAUAUAAUGUAGGCAUGUAUUCCGUAAAUAGUCAUACGUGCUUAUGGAAAGAACUUGCAUGACAUCUUUUGUCCUACCAUCCUGUGGCAGCGGGGUCCUAUUGGAAACUAAGGGAUAUUAAGGCCUCCUUUUAAUACAGAACCGGAACAAAGCAUUAACACACGGUGAAUACAUGAACUCCCCAAACUACGGUCAUCACCGGGAGUUGUCCCGACUGUUGUCACUCCGGGGUUGCCGGAUCAUAACAUGUAGUAGGUGAGUAUAACUUGCAAGAUCGGAACUAGAACAUGGAUAUAAUGGUGAUAACAUAAACGGUUCAGAUCUGAAAUCAUGGCACCCGGGCCCAAAGUGACAAGCAUUAAGCAUGGCAAAGUCAUAGCAACAUCAAUCUCAGAACGUAGUGGAUACUAGGGAUCAGGCCCUAACAAAACUAACUUGAUUACAUGAUGAAUCUCAUCCAACUCCUCACCAACCAGCGAGCCUACAAAGGAAUUACUCACUCCCGGUGGGGAGCACCAUGGAAUUGGCGAUGGAGAUGUGUUGGCGAUGACGAAGAUCGAAAAUCCCCGUCUUCGGAGCCCCAAACGGACUCUAGAUCUGGCCUCCCGAUGAAGAAUAGGAGACGGCGGCGGCUCCGUCUCGUGAAACUCGAUAAUUCUUUUUCCCUGUUUUUUUCUAGAAUAAUGUGAUUUUAUAGCGUCGGUUUCAGGGUCAGCGGGGCCACCAGGUGGGGACAACCCACCUGGGCGCGCCUGGGGGUGGGGGGGCAGGCGCGCCCUGGUGGGGUGUGCCCACCCAGGUGCCCCCCUCAGGUAUCUCUUGGCUCCAGAAAUUCUCUUUAUUGAUAUAAAAAAUCCUCGCAAAGUUUCGUUCCAUUCUGAGAACUUUUAUUUCUGCACAAAAACUACACCAUGGUAGUUCUGCUGACAACAACGUUAAUCCGGGGUUAGUUUCAUUCAAAUCAUGCAAAUUAGAGUCCAAAACAAGAGGAAAAGCGUUAGGAAAAGUAGAUACGUUGGAGACGUAUCAACUCCCCCAAGCUUAAACCUUUGCUUGUCCUCAAGCAAUUCAGUCGAUAAACUGAAAGUGCAAAAGAAAAACUUUUAGAACUCUUUUGCUCUUGUUCAAUAAAUAAGCUUAAACAGCACCCAGGCUUUCAGCAAAGAUUAUAACUAACCAUGUCGACAAUAACUCUUAAAAAUUAUAUUAACUCAUAUCAAUGACAUAAUCAACUAGAGAGCAAUAAUAAGAUAUCUCAAAUAGCAACACGUUGUCAAAACAACCAUGAUAUAAUAUGACAAUAGUGGUAUCUCGCUAGCCCUUUCUGAGACCGCAAAACAUAAAUGCAGAGCACCCCCAAAGUUCAAGCAGCAACUAAACAUUGUAAUUCAUGGUAGAAAAGAUCCAGUCACACACAAUGCAUCAGCAUGACAGCAGUGCUCUCAGGUUCUGGCGCUUAUUUGAGAAGGUGAUGAUAUUCCCUUCGCAGAGGGAAGCAGUGAUUUGCAGAGGUGCCAGAGCUCAAGUUUUUAAAACAGAGGUAAAUGAAAUUUUGAGACAUGCACCCUUCUCAUUUACUUCACGACCAUCAGUUAUCAAUAUCUUCCAUGCUAAACACGCUAGUAGCGGUUCCCAAGCAGAAAUGUAAAGGUUAUGACUCCAUUGGGAGUUUUUGUUUGAUUAUUUGUAAGCUCUUUUCUUUUUGCAGUUUGGGACUGGGCAUCCCUAUUACCGCCCUUUUCUCGUGCGAUGGCGAGUGAAUAAACACUCGACCUGAGAAUAACCCGCUUAACAUGGAAGAUACCGACUACCUCCUGUCGUUCCAUGAACAAUCCAGGCACACAAAAAAGGAUUUUUAUUUGAAGUUUUUAGAGAUGGCACAUGCAAAUUUAAUUAGGAUGGCAGGGUAAUACCGCAUAUAGGUAGGUAUGGUGGACUCAUCUGGAAUAUCUUGGGUUUCAGGUUUUUGAUGUACAAGCAGAGUCCCCACUUAGUACAGGCAAAGGCUAGCAAAUAGGUUGAGAAGCGGCCAACUAGGGAGCAACAACGGUCAUGAACAUGCAUUAUGCAUAAGUAACAUUGGAUACUAGCAUUAGUAGGAUAUGAACACCAUGAACAUAAAUUCAUAGAUUCUAUGUUGGUUUUGAUUCAACUACAUGCAUGAACAUGUGCCAAGUCAAGCCACUCGAACAUUCAGAGGAGGAUACCAUAUCAUCAUACUACAUCACAAUCAUUUUAACGCAAUGUUGAUAUCUAAGAUAAAUCAUUAUUCACUCCUAGCUACUUAUGCAUGGCAUGAGAAACUAUAAUCUCUAAUUGUCAUUGCAAACCUGUUUGAUCAUAAUAGGCUGAAUCAUGGAUACUAGGUUAAACAUAUUUACAAAAACAGAACAAGUCGAGUUCAUACCCGUUUCUCUCUGCCACGGCCAGUUCAUCUAAUAUCGUCAUUAUUGCCUUUCACUUGCACGACUGAACAAUUUGAAAAUAAUAAUAGUGCAAGAGUGCCGUGGACUAAGCUGGAAUCUGCAAACAUUUUAUUCAAAACGAGAAGACAAGGUAAUAUGGACUCUUUAUUAGAUCAUCAAUAAUGCAAAUGAGAGCUACUCAACAUUUCAUCGUGGUCUUUUCCUCAGUAUGACUCAAUAAAAGAAAAAGAAAUUCAGAGAAACACACUGAAAUAUUUUUGGAGUUUUUGGUUUUUUGAAAGCAAGCAAACGAAAAGGGAAAACCAAAAACGAGAAAAACUAUUGCGUGGGAAAGCUCCCAACAAGUAAAUGAAGAAUAAGGAAAUCUUUUUGCGUUUUGUUUUUAGUAGUACAACAAUUUAAACUUUGAAGAAAAUUCAAAAAGAGGCAAGAACAUAUUUUUGGAUUUUCUCAAAGUUUUUUUCAAACACACAAGAAGAAAGCGAGAAAAAUUAUUUAAACAUGGAUGUGCUACCUCUUGAGCUUGCGUUGGUUUUCCCUUGAAGAGGAAAGGGUGAUGCAGCAAAGUAGCGUAAGUAUUUCCCUCAGUUUGUGAGAACCAAGGUAUCAAUCCAGUAGGAGGUUACAUGCAAGUCGCCUUGUUCCUGCACAAACAAAUAAGAACCUUGCAACCAACACGAUAAAGGGGUUGUCAAUCCCUUCACGGCCACUUGCAAAAGUGAGAUCUGAUAGAGAUAAUAAGAUAAAUAUUUUUGGUAUUUUUGUUGUAUAGAUUGAAAAGUAAAGAUUGCAAAAUAGUAAACGAGAUGCAAUGCAAAUAAAAGAGAUAUAAUAUGAUGGAAAAGAGACCCAAGGGCCAUAGGUUUCACUAGUGGCUUCUCUCAAGAUAGCAUAUCUUACGGUGGGUGAACUAAUUACUGUCGAGCAAUUGAUAGAAAAGCGCAUAGUUAUGAUAAUAUCUAGGCAUGAUCAUGCAUAUAGGCAUCACGUCCGUGACAAGUAGAUCGAAACGAUUCUGCAUCUACUACUAUUACUCCCCACAUCGACCGCUAUCCAGCAUGCAUCUAGAGUAUUAAGUUCAUAAGAACAGAGUAACGCAUUAAGCAAGAUGACAUGAUGUAGAGGGAUAAACUCAAGCAAUAUGAUAUAAACCCCAUCUUUUUAUCCUCGAUGGCAACAAUACAAUACAUGCCUUGUGCCCCUGCUGUCACUGGGAAAGGACACCGCAAGAUUGAACCCAAAGCUAAGCACUUCUCCCAUUGCAAGAAAGAUCAAUCUAGUAGGCCAAACCAAACAGAUAAUCCGAAGAGACUUGCAAAGAUAUCAAAUCAUACAUAUAAGAAUUCAGAGAAGAAUCAAAUAUUGUUCAUAGAUAAUCUUGAUCAUAAACCCACAAUUCAUCGGAUCUCGACAAACACACCGCAAAAAGUAUUACAUCGAAUAGAUCUCCAAGAAGAUCGAGGAGAACUUUGUAUUGAGAAUCAAAGAGAGAGAAGAAGCCAUCUAGCUAAUAACUAUGGACCUGAAGGUCUGUGGUAAACUACUCACACAUCAUCGGAGAGGCUAUGGUGUUGAUGUAGAAGCCCUCCGUGAUCGACUCCCCCUCCGGCGGAUCGCCGGAAAAGGCCCCAAGAUGGGAUCUCACGGGUACAGAAGGUUGCGGCGGUGGAAAUAGGGUUUCGUGGUGCUCCUGGAUGUUUUCGGGAUAUAUGAGUAUAUAUAGGCGAAAUAAGUAGGUCGGUGGAGCCACGAGGGGCCCAUGAGGGUGGGGGGCGUGCCUACCCCCUGGGCACGCCCUCCUACCUCGUGGCCGCCUCGUUGCUUCCUUGACGUCCACUCCAAGUCUCCUAGAUUGCGUUUGUUCCAAAAACGAUUCUCCCGAAGGUUUCAUUCCGUUUGGACUCCGUUUGACAUUCCUUUUGUGCGAAACACUGAAAUAGGCAAAAAGACUGCAAUUUGCACUGGGCCUCCGGUUAAUAGGUUAGUCCCAAAAAUAAUAUAAAAGUGCAUAAUAAAGCCCAUUAAACAUCCAAAACAGAUAAUAUAAUAGCAUGGAACAAUCAAAAAUUAUAGAUACAUUGGAGACGUAUCAAGCAUCCCCAAGCUUAAUUCCUGCUCGUCCUCGAGUAGGUAAGUGAUAAAAAUAGAAUUUUUGAUGUGGAAUGCUACCUAACAUAAUUUUCAAUGUAAUUCUCUUUAUUGUGGCAUGAAUGUUCAGAUUCAAGAUUCAAGAUAAAAGUUUAAUAUUGACAUAAAAAUAGUAAUACUUCAAGCAUGCUAACCAAGCAGUUUAUGUCUUAUCAAAAUAACAUAGCCAAAGAAAGCUUAUCCCUACAAAAUCAUAUAGUUUGGCCAUGCUUCAUUUUCGUCACACAAAAUUCUCCCAUCAUGCACAACCCCGGUUUCAGCCAAGCAAUUGGUUCAUACUUUUUAACACGCUUCAGCCUUUUCAACCCUCAUGCAAUACAUGAGCGUAAGCCAUGGACAUAGCACUACGGGUGGAGUAGAGUAUGAUGAUAGGGAUUAUGUGAGAAAACAAAAAAGGAAAAAGUCUCACAUUAACGCGGCUAAUCAACAGGCUAUGGAGAUGCCCAUCAAUUGAUGUCAAUACGAGGAGUAGGGAUUUCCAUGCAACGGAUGCACUAGAGCUAUAAAUGUAUGAAAGCUCAUAAAAAAGUAACUAAGUGGGUGUGCAUCCAACUUUCCUGCUCACGAAGACCUAGGGCAUUUUGAGGAAGCCCAUCAUUGGAAUAUACAAGCCAAGUUCUAUAAUGAAAAAUUCCCACUAGUAUAUGAAAGUGACAAAAUAAGAAACUCUCUAUCAUGAAGAUCAUGGUGCUAUUUUGAAGCACAAGUGUGGAAAAAGGAUAGUAACAUUGUCCCUUCUCUCUUUUUCUCUCAUUUUUUUUAUUUGGGCUUCUUUGGCCUUUUUUCGUCCGGAGUCUCAUCCCGACUUGUGGGGGAAUCAUAGUCUCCAUCAUCCUUUCCUCACAUGGGACAAUGCUCUAAUAAUGGAAAUCAUCACACUUCUAUUUAUUUACAACUAAAGAAUUACAACUCAAUACUUAGGACAAAAUAUGACUCUAUGUGAAUGCCUCCGGCGGUGUACCGGGACAUGCAAUGAAUCAAGAGCGACAUGUAUGAAAGAAUUAUAAAGGUGGCUUUACAACAAAUACGAUGUCAACUACAUGAUCAUGUAAAGCAAUAUGAUAAUGAUGGAGUGUGUCAUAAUAAACGGAACGAUGGAAAGUUGCAUGGCAAUAUAUCUCGGAAUGGCUAUGGAAAUGCCAUAAUAGGUAGGUAUAUAUGGUGGCUGUUUUGAGGAAGAUAUAAGGAGGUUUAUGUGUGAUAGAGCGUAUCGUAUCACGGGGUUUGGAUGCACCGGCGAAGUUUGCAACAACUCUCAAGGUGAGAAAGGGCAAUGCACGGUACCGUAGAGGCUAGCAAAUUGCAGAAGGGUAAGACUGCGUAUAAUCCAUGGACUCACAUUAGUCACAAAGAACUCAUAUACUUAUUGCAAAAGUUUAUUAGCCCUCGAAGCAAAGUACUACUACGCAUGCUGCUAGGGGAAGGGUUGGUAGGAGUUAACCAUCGUGCGAUCCCGACCUCCACUCAUAAGGAAGGCAAUCAAAGAACACCCCAUGCUUCAAAUUUGUCACACAACGUUCACCAUACGUGCAUGCUACGGGACUUGCCAAAUUUAACACAAGUAUUUCUCAAUUUCAUAAUUACCCAACUAGCAUGACUCUAACAUUACCACCUUUAUAUAUCAAAACAAUUAUAAAGUAUCAAAUUUAUCAUAGUGUUUAAUGCACUCCAUAUGAAAGUUUUUAUUUUACCCAACUUGGAUGCCCAUCAUAUUAGGACUAAUUUUAUAACCAAAGAAAAUUACCAUGCUGUUCUAAAAGACUGUCAAAAUAAUAUAAGUGAAGCAUGAGAGAUCAAUAAUUUCUACCAAAUAAAAACACCACCGUGCUCUAAAAAGGUAUAAGUGAAGCACUAGAGCAAAAUUAUCUAGCUCAAAAGAUAUAAGUGAAGCACAUAGAGUAUUCUAAUAAAUUCUGAUUCAUGUGUGUCUCUCCAAAAGGUGUGUACAUCAAGGAUGAUUGUGGUAAACUAGAAAGCAAAGACUAAAUCAUACAAGACGCUCCAAGAAAAACACAGAUCAUGUGGUGAAUAAAAAUAUAGCCUCAAGUAAAGUUACCGAUAGACGAAGACGAAAGAGGGGAUGCCUUCCAGGGCAUCCCCAAGCUUAGGCUCUUAGUUGUCCUUGAAUUUUCCUUGGGGUGCCUUGGGCAUCCCCAAGCUUAGGCUCUUGCCACUCCUUAUUCCAAAAUCCAUCAAAUCUUUACCCAAAACUUGAAAACUUCACAACACAAAACUCAACAGAAAAUCUCAUCAGCUCCGUUAGUGCUAGAAAACAAACCACCACUUUAAGGUACUGUAAUGAACUCAUUCUUUAUUUAUGUUGGUGUUAAACCUACUGUAUUCCAACUUCUCUAUGGUUUAUACCCCCCGAUACUAACCAUAGAUUCAUCAAAAUAAGCAAACAACACACAAAAAACAGAAUCUGUCAAAAACAGAACAGUCUGUAGCAAUCUGUAACUCUCGAAUACUUCUAGAACCCCAAAAAUUCUACCAAAUUAGGAAGUCCUAGUUAAUUUGUUGAUUAAUCUUCUGCAAAAAUAAUCAACUGAAAAGCACAUUUCUGUGAUUUAUGAAAACUAAUCUUGUGCGCGCAAAAUUUUUUGUUUUUUAGCAAGAUCAAAUUAACUAUCAACGUAGGUUAUCCUAAAGGUUUUACUUGGCACAAACACUAAUUAAAACACAAAACCACAUCUAACCAGAGGCUAGAUGAAUUAUUUAUUACUAAACAAGAACAAAGAGUAAAGAACAAAAAUAAAAUUGGGUUGCCUCCCAACAAGCUAUCGUUUAAUGCCCCUAGCUAGGCAUAAAAACAAGAAUAGAUCUAGGUAUUACCAUCUUUGGUAUUCAAUUCAUAAGUGGCUUUCAUAAUAGAUUCAUAAGGUAAUUUAAUUUUCUUCCUAGGAAAGUGCUCCAUGCCUUUCCUUAAUGGAAAUUGGAAUCUAAUAUUUCCUUCUUUCAUAUCAAUAAUUGCACCAAUCGUUCUAAGGAAAGGUCUACCAAGAAUAAUAGGACAUGAAGGAUUACAAUCUAUAUCAAGGACAAUGAAAUCUACGGGCACAUAAUUCCUAUUUGCCACAAUAAGAACAUCAUCAAUCCUUCCCAUAGGUUUCUUAAUGGUGGAAUCCGCAAGAUGCAAAUUUAAAGAACAAUCAUCAAAUUCAUGGAAACCUAGCAUAUCACGCAAAGUUUUAGGAAUCAUGGAAACACUAGCACCCAAAUCACACAAAGCAUAGCAUUCAUGAUUUUUAAUCUUAAUUUUAAUAGUAGGUUCCCACUCGUCAUAAAGUUUUCUAAGGAUAGAAAUUUCUAAUUCAAGUUUUUCUUCAUAAGAUUGCAUUAAAGCAUCAACGAUAUGUUUGGUAAAAGCUUUAUUUUGACUAUAAGCAUGAGGAGAAUUUAACACGGAUUGCAACAAGGAAAUACAAUCUAUCAAAGAGCAAUUAUCAUAAUUAAAUUCCUUGAAAUCCAAAAUAGUGGGUUCAUUGCUAUGUAAAGUUUUGACCUCUUCAAUCCCACUUUUACCAAUUUUUGCAUCAAGAUCUAAAAACUCCGAAUCAUUGGGACGCCUUUUAGCUAAAGUUGACUCAUCUCCAGUCCCAUCUUUACCAAGAUUCAUAUUGGAAAAAAAAGGAUUUAAUAGGAGACACAUAAAUCACUUUCAGAUCUUCAUCCUUAUUAUCAUGAAAACUAGAAGACAGGGUCGUACCAUAGAAAACGGGGGCCCUGUUCAACAUCCAAAAUUACGCCAAUGAUAUAACCAUUGGCAAUCAGGAAAACAAAAAUUUAUACUCAAGAAGCUAGCCAUUCUAAAAACUCAAAAUUGGUACAUUAUUCAGCAUAAACAUGCAUCCUUCUAGAAGUACUUGGACAGAAUCUACAAUUGGUUUUUCAUAAGCAACCUUCUCCAAAAUGCCACUUCAUUAUUUUGCUAAAAUCUUAUCAAGGGCACAUGUUUUAGGUCGAAUGAUUAGUAUAUGAUAUGUCAGAAAUACUAGAACAUAUGAACAAAAGGGAAUGAAACAAACUUUGGUUUAUUUGGGAAGAAGAUCAUGGUGCGGCCAACGGCAAUGCUUCUGGAGUUCUUGUAGUCUGGUUAAAGCUCUAGUCGGGCAGCCUAGGUGGAAGCAGCAACAGAAUCUAAGAAACAGGGGAGACAUGAGAAAUCGAAGAAGAAAACACGUGAUAAAAAGAUGUUGGAUUGAGGGUGGAGCGUACCUAUAAAUUCGGUUUAUUUCGGAGAAACCUUGAAGGAAUUAAGCUAUGAGCCCUGCGAUGGAGCAAGGGAUUUGCAUGGGUCGCUGGAAGUGAAAGAGAAUAUAGAGAAAGAGAAUAGGAAGGAGGAGAGGCGUGCGUGAGAUGGAGUGCUGGGAGUUAUUACGGUGCAUGUUCCCAAGGAAUACUAGCAUUAACUAAGAAGCAUAUUUGCAUAAAGUGUUCAGAAAAAAUAGUAUAGAGAAAAAUGGGGCCCCUGGUCAGUUGGGGGCCCUGUGCAGUCGAACAUGCUGCACAUGUGUCCGGUACGGGCCUGCUAGAAGUACACGCUUUCACAAAGCAAUCCUUUUUAGCACGCAUCCUAGCGGUUCUUUCUUUGCACUCAUCAAUGGAAAUUCUCAUGGCUUUGAGAGACUCAUUGAUAUCAUGCUUAGGUGGAAUAGAUCUAAGUUUCAAAGAAUCAACUUCAAGAGAAAUUUUAUCCACGUUCCUAGCCAACUCAUCAAUCUUAGGCAAUUUUUCUUCAAGCAAAGCAUUGAAAUUCUUUUGCGAAAUCAUAAAUUCUUUAACACUAGUCUCAAAAUAAGAGGGCAUCUUAUUGAAAUUUCCAUAAGAAUUGUUGUAGGAAUUACCAUAAUUAUUAGAGGAAUUACUAGGGAACGGCCUAGAAUAAAAGUUUCCUCUAUACGCGUUGUUACCAAAAUUGUUCCAACCAACAAAAUUCACAUCCAUAGAUUCAUCAUUAUUCUCAAUCAAAGUGGAUAAGGGCAUAGCGUUAGGAUCAGAAGAAACACUCUUAUUAGCAAACAAUUUCAUAAGUUCAUCCAUCUUUCCACUCAAAACAUAAAUAUCUUCAAUUGCAUGAACCUUUUUACUAGUAGAUCUUUCGGUGUGCCAUUGAGAAUAAUUAACCAUAAUAUUAUCUAGGAGUUUAGUAGCUUCUCCUAAAGUGAUUUCCAUAAAAGUGCCUCCCGCUGCCGAAUCUAAAAGAUUUCUAGAAGCAAAAUUCAAUCCGGCAUAAAAUUUUUGUAUAAUCAUCCAUAAAUUCAAACCAUGUGUAGGGCAAUUACGUAUCAUUAGUUUCAUCCUCUCCCAAGCUUGUGCAACAUGCUCAUGAUCAAGUUGCUUAAAAUUCAUAAUAUCGUUUCUAAGAGAGAUGAUCUUAGCGGGAGGAAAAUACUUAGAGAUAAAAGCAUCUUUGCACUUAUUCCAUGAAUCAAUACUAUUUUUAGGCAAAGAAGAUAACCAAGUUUUAGCACAAUGUCUAAGAGAAAAUGGAAAUAACUUCAAUUUAACAAUAUCAUUAUCCACAUCUCUCUUCUUUUGCAUAUCGCACAAGUCAACAAAGUUGUUUAGAAGUGUAACGACAUCUUCACUAAGAAGGCCAGAGAAUUGAUCUUUCAUGACAAGAUUCAAUAAAGUAGCAUUAAUUUCGCAAGAUUCAGCAUUGGUAAUAGGAGCAAUUGGAGUGCUAAGAAAAUCAUUGUUGUUGGUAUUGGAAAAAACACACAAUUUAGUAUUGUCUUGAGCUAUAGCGACAAACAAUCCAACACACAAGCACACAAGAAGCAAGCAAAAAGAGACGAAUGGAAAAAGGGCGAAUAAAAUGGCAAGGGUGAAGUGGGGGAGAGGAAAACGAGAGGCAAAUGGCAAAUAAUGUAAUGCGAGGGAUAAGAGUUUGUGAUGGGUACUUGGUAUGUCUUAACUUGUGCAUAGAUCUUUCCGGGAAUGAUGCCAGAAAUCGGCGAGUUGUCGAGAGAUCAAAUCUUGACUUGACUUGGUGUAACCCUCCCCGGCAACGGCGCCAGAAAUCCUUCUUGCUACCUCUUGAGCAUGCGUUGGUUUUCCCUUGAAGAGGAAAGGGUGAUGCAGCAAAGUAGCAUAAGUAUUUUCCUCAGUUUUUGACAACCAAGGUAUCAAUCCAGUAGGAGGUUACACGCAAGUCGCCUUGUACCUGCACAAACAAAUAAGAACCUUGCAACCAACGCGAUAAAGGGGUUGUCAAUCCCUUCACGGCCACUUGCAAAAGUGAGAUCUGAUAGAGAUAAUAAGAUAAAUAUUUUUGGUAUUUUUGUUGUAUAGAUUCAAAAGUAAAGAUUGCAAAAUAGUAAACGAGAUGCAAUGUAAAUAAAAGAGAUAUAAUAUUAUGGAAAAGAGCCCCGGGGGCCAUAGGUUUCACUAGUGGCUUCCAUCAAGAUAGCAUAUCUUACGGUGGGUGAACAAAUUACUGUCGAGCAAUUGAUAGAAAAGCGCAUAGUUAUGAGAAUAUCUAGGCAUGAUCAUGUAUAUAGGCAUCACGUCCGUGACAAGUAGAUCGAAACAAUUCUGCAUCUACUACUAUUACUCCACACAUCGACCGCUAUCCAGCAUGCAUCUAGAGUAUUAAGUUCAUAAGAACAGAUUAACGCAUUAAGCAAGAUGACAUGAUGUAGAGGGAUAAACUCAAGCAAUAUGAUAUAAACCCCAUCUUUUUAUCCUCGAUGGCAACAAUACAAUACGUGCCUUGCUGCCCCUGCUGUCACUGGGAAAGGACACCGCAAGAUUGAACCCAAAGCUAAGCACUUCUCCCAUUGCAAGAAAGAUCAAUCUAGUAGUCCAAACCAAACUGAUAAUUCGAAGAGACUUGCAAAGAUAUCAAAUCAUACAUAUAAGAAUUCAGAGAAGAAUCAAAUAUUGUUCAUAGAUAAUCUUGAUCAUAAACCCACAAUUCAUCAGAUCUCGACAAACACACCGCAAAAAGUAUUACAUCGAAUGGAUAUCCAAGAAGAUCGAGGAGAACUUUGUAUUGAGAAUCAAAGAGAGAGAGAAGAAGCCAUCUAGCUAAUAACUAUGGACCCGAAGGUCUGUGGUAAACUACUCACACAUCAUCGGAGAGGGUAUGGUGUUGAUGUAGAAGCCCUCCGUGAUCGAUUCCCCCUCCGACGAAGCGCCGGAAAAGGCCCCAAGAUGGGAUCUCACGGGUACAGAAGGUUGUGGCGGUGGAAAUAGGGUUUCGUGGUGCUCCUGGAUGUUUUCAGGGUAUAUGAGUAUAUAUAGGCGAAAGAAGUAGGUCGGUGGAGCCACGAGGGGCCCACGAGGGUGGGGGCGCGCCUACCCCCUGGGCACGCCCUCCUAGCUUGUGGCCGCCUUGUUGCUUCCUUGACAUCCACUCCAAAUCUCCUAGAUUGCGUUUGUUCCAAAAAUGAUUCUCUCGAAGGUUUCAUUCCAUUUGGACUCUGUUUGAUAUUCCUUUUCUGCGAAACACUGAAAUAGGCAAAAAUAGCAAUUUGCACAUGGCCUCCAGUUAAUAGGUUAGUCCCAAAAAUAAUAUAAAAUUGCAUAAUAAAGCCCAUUAAACAUCCAAAACAGAUAAUAUUAUAGCAUGGAACAAUCAAAAAUUAUAGAUACAUUGGAGACGUAUCAGGAUGAUAAAUGAAAAAGUGUGGACACCGACAACUGGAAUGAAAUGUGUGAACAUGACUGUAAUGUCGGUGGGAAUACGUACUCCCCCAAGCUUAGGCUUUUGGCCUAACUUGGUAAUCACCAGUCGUAGAAGCCAUGAGGUCCAAUGUUGAAGUGCUAGGGAGCAGGAACCAUAGGGUCCCACUGUUGAGGCUCCUCCUAUGCCAUAGCCUGGUUGUUCCGGUAAGCGACAAUGUCCUCAGGCAUAAUCAUGUAUCCGCCCCUGGCAACAUGAUCAUACAAAGCAGGUGCAGGCAAGGGAAUAAUAUAAUGAGUUUUAUCACUGAAAACUAAGUUAUAAGGCAUAUCAAUAUCAGGGUAAUCAGCAACAAUAAACUGGUGGUCCUUCAUAGCUGCUCUAUCUAGGUAAGCUUUGGGCAAAGGAUGAUCAUGUUGGCGUAUCUGCACAUUGAAGUGAGUCACCAAGCGAGUAGCGUAAAUGCCCCCAUGUAUCUUACCCUUGAAUCUGUUAAGGUGAAGGCGACGUGCCACAAUAGAUCCCAAGCUAUAGGUGUUGUCUCCAUAAUGUGCGCGACGCAAAAUAGCAAAGUCUGGGGCGCUAAGUGCACCCACCUUCUCUCUCGCUAGCAGGCACUUUGCAAUAAAUAUGGUAAAAUAAUGCACGGCAGGAAACUGCAAGCUAACGAUAGUGGUGCCCGAUACUCCUCUCUCAUCCCCCACUGUUAGAGUACGGUAAAAACCUUCAAACUCUAAGGGCUUAGGCUCUACCAAAUCCCCAUCAGAAGGAAGCAUGCAUAUAUCACAAAAUUCAGUAAGUGGGAUCUGGCGGGUUUCAGAAUAUAAAUUAAACUGGACCUCGGGGGGAUUAUUCCUAGAAUGAAAUUGAAAGUUUUGCACAAAGGAGUUUGUGAGGAGAUGAUACUGUUCACAUUCAGCUGCGAUGAAGUCGGUGAGGCCGGCAUUAGCAGCAUAUUGGUUGAACUCUUGGAGGAUUCCGACCCCUUCCAUGAACGCAUUGUGCGGCCACUCGCACGGCCGUAGCUCCGCCAACCUCGGGGUAUGGAGAUCAUUGUCAGAUGACUGCCAAAUAACCCCCUUGGAGUUCUUCUUGGAAGCAAACUUCCUAAAGAAACUCAUCCUUUUCCUAUGAACAAAAUUCUGAAAUUUUUAGUCCACAAAAUUUUUCUCAACAAAACUUCACAAAAAUGAUAGCAACUACUCAUAGGGAUGUAUAGAGGCCAUAGCAAGCAUUCAAACUACUUAGAACUCUAAGAAUUCAACAUGCAAGCUCAUCUACAACAGCAUCAAGAGUAGCUAAUUAUUCUAAAUAUUAACCACUAAAACAAAAACUAAUUGGACACAUGGAGGAGUCACAUACCAAGCAACAAAUCCCUGAAACAGUUUUGGAAACGGAGCUUCGAGCAAAGAGAUUGAAAUCCGCGGUUUCGGGAGCAAGAACACGAGAGAGAGUGUGAUAGUGAUUUUUUUGGUGAAUGGAGUGAUGUGGGAAGAAGAAGUAAGUGAGGGGGCCCACGUGGGGACCACAACCCACCAGGGCACGCAUGGGGGUCCUGGCGCGCCAGGUGGGGACUCCAGGGUCAGCGGGGCCACCAGGUGGGGACAACCCACCUGGGCGCGCUUGGGGGCAGGCGCGCCCUGGUGGACCAUGCCCACCUAGGUGCCCCCCUCAGGUAUCUCUUGGCUGCAAAAAUUCUCUUUAUUGAUAUAAAAAAUCCUCGCAAAGUUUCGUUCCAUUCCGAGAACUUUUAUUUCUGCACAAAAACAACACCAUGGUAGUUCUGCUGAAAACAACGUCAGUCCGGGGUUAGUUUCAUUUAAAUCAUGCAAAUUAGAGUCCAAAACAAGAGGAAAAGCAUUAUGAAAAGUAGAUAAGUUGUAGACGUAUCAGUCACCGAGUUGAACGUGUGCAGAACUCGGAGGUGUCAUACGUUCGGUGCUUGAUCGGUUGGAUCUAGAAGAAGUUCGACUAUAUCAACCGCAUUGUCAAAACGCUUCCGCUUUCGGUCUACGAGAGUACGUAGACACACUCUCCCCCUCGUUGCUAUGCAUCUCCUUGGAUAGAUCUUUGCGUGAGCGUAGAAAUUUUUUGUUUUCCAUGCUGCAUUUCCCAACAGUGGCAUCCGAGCCAGGUCUAUGCGUAGAUGAUAUGCAUGAGUAGAACACAAAGAGUUGUGGGCGGUGAUAGUCAUACUGCUUACCACCAACGUCUUAUUUUGAUUUGGCGGUAUUGUGGGAUGAAGCGGCCCAGACCAACCUUACAUGUCCACACACAUGAGACUGGUUCCAUAGACAUGCAACUAGUUUUGCAUAAAGGUGGCUGGCGGGUGUCUGUUUCUCCUACUUUAGUUGAAUCGAAUUUGACUGCGGCCGGUCCUUGAAGAAGGUUAAAAUAGCAAAAUUCACGAAACACCGUUGUGGUUUUGAUGCGUAGGUAAGAACGGUUCUUGCUAGAAGCCCGUAGCAGCCACAUAAAACUUGCAACAACAAAGUAGAUGGCGUCUAACUUGUUUUUGCAGGGCAUGUUGUGAUGUGAUAUGGUCAAGACAUGAUGUGAUAAACGUUAUUGUAUGAGAUGAUGAUGUUUUGUAAGAUAUCUGACAACCGGCAGGAGCCUUAUGGUUGUAUCUUUAUUGUAUGAAAUGCAAACGCCAUUUUAUCACUAUGCGUUAGCUAUAGUUGUAGAAGCAAUAGUUGGCUAGACGACCACGACGCUACGAUGGAGAUCAAGGUGUCGAGUCGGUGACGAUGGAGAUCAUGACGAUGCUUUGGAGAUGGAGAUCAAAAGCACAAGAUGAAGAUGGCCAUAUCAUGUCACAUAUUUUGAUUGCAUGUGAUGUUUAUCUUUUAUGCAUCUUAUUUUGCUUAGUACGGCGGUAGCAUUAUAAGAUGAUCCCUUAACUAAAAUUUCAAGGUAUAAGUGUUCUCCCCGAGUAUGCACCGUUGCAACAGUUCGUCGUGUUGAGACACGACGUGAUGAUCGAGUGUGAUAGACUCUACGUUCACAUACAAUGGGUGCAAGACAGUUUUGCACAUGGGGAAUACUCGGGUUAAACUUGACGAUCCUGGCAUGUACAGACAUGGCCUCGGAACACUAGAGACCGAAAGGUCGAACGUGAAUCAUAUAGUAGAUAUGAUCAACAUAGAGAUGUUCACCAUUGAUGACUACUCCAUCUCACAUGAUGAUCGGAUAUGGUUUAGUUGAUUUGGACCACAUAUCAUUUAGAUGACUUGAGGGAUGUCUCUCUAAGUGGGAGUUCUUAAGUAAUUUGAUUAAUUGAACUUAAUUUAUCAUGAACUUAGUCCUGGUAGUUUUUGCAUAUCUAUGUUGUAGAUCAAUGGCCCGUGCUACCGUUCCCUUGAAUUUUAAUGCGUUCCUAGAGAAAGCUAAGUAGAAAGAUGAUGAUAGCAACUACACGGACUGGGUCUGUAACUUGACGAUUAUCCUCAUUGCUGCACAGAAGAAUUAUGUCCUUGAUGCACCGCUAGGUGAAAGGCCUGCUGCAGGAGCAGAUGCUGAUGUUAUGAACGUCUGGCAAGCUCGAUCUGAUGACUACUCAAUAGUUCAGUGUGCCAUGCUUUAUGGUUUAGAAUCGGGACUUCAAAGACGUUUUGAACGUCAUGGACCAUAUGAGAUGUUCCAGGAGUUGAAGUUAAUAUUUCAAGCAAAUGCCCGAGUUGAGAGAUAUGAAGUCUCCAACAAGUUCUAUAGCUGCAAGAUGGAGGAGAACAGUUAUGUGGGUGAACACAUACUCAAAAUGUCUGGGUAUCAUAAUCACUUGACUCAGCUAGGAGUUAAUCUUCCAGAUGAUAGUGUUAUUAACAGAGUUCUUCAAUCACUGCUACCAAGCUACAAGGGCUUCGUGAUGAACUAUAAUAUGCAAGGGAUGGACAAGACAAUUCCCAAGCUCUUCGCAAUGCUCAAAGCUGCGGAGGUAGAAAUCAAGAAGGAGCAUCAAGUGUUGACGGUUAACAAGACCACUAGUUUCAAGAAAAAGGGCAAGGGAAAGAAGGGGAACUUGAAGAAGAAUGGAAAGCAAGUUGCCACUCCCAGGAAGAGGCCCAAAUCUGGACCCAAGCCUGAAACUGAGUGCUUCUACUGCAAAGGGACUGGUCACUUGAAGUGGAACAGCCCCAAGUAUUUGGCGGAUAAGAAGGAUGGGAAAGUGAACAAAGGUAUAUUUUAUAUACAUGUUAUUGAUGUGUACCUUACUAAUGCUCGUAGUAGCGCCUGGGUAUUUGAUACUGGUUCGGUUGCUCAUAUUUGUAACUCGAAAUAGGGGCUACGGAUUAAACGAAGAUUGGCUAAGGACGAGGUGAUGCGCGUCGGGAAUGGUUCCAAGGUCGAUGUGAUCGCUGUCGGCACGCUACCUCUACAUCUACCUUUGGGAUUAGUUUUAGACCUGAAUAAUUGUUAUUUGGUGCGAGCGUUGAGCAUGAACAUUAUAUCUAGAUCUUGUUUAGUUCGAGACAGUUAUUCAUUUAAAUCAGAGAAUAAUGGUUGUUAUAUUUAUAUGAGUAAUAUCUUUUAUGGUGUGACAGCCUGAUUUUUUGCCCUUUCUUUUUCUUUUGUUUCUCCGAGGUUUUUGCCUGAGUUUUCUUUUUUCGUGGCUUUGUGGUAUGGAAACUGAAGAAGAUGCCCUCUUCUUUGUUUCCAGAGUGGCUUGUCAUUCCCAAAUCCUUCCCUAGACCCUGUCAUUUUCAUCCUAGACCAAAUCCCAAUAUUCUUUUUAUUGGGAAUAUUCUUUUUCUAUUAAAGGAAUAACUCAACUUGCCCUAGGUUGUGAAGCAGCCUAUAUUUCCCUCACUCCUAAAAUUCCCAAAUAAUUCUCAUAAAUUUUAUGGGUCAUAUCUUGAUCAAAUACGGCAAAACUUUUCAUUGCCAUGUUCAAAAAUAAUCCUCAAAUAAUUCAUUUCCUAUUCUAUCCUAAAUGGCACAUUGUGAAGCAAGUGCCAUUUUCCUUCCCCCAAUUGACCUAAAACUCCUUGGACAUAUUUUCAUGUCCAUAUCAUUGCCAGAUGCCAAAAUGCAACCUCAUUUGCCUAGUCAUUAUUUAAUUAUGAUUUUCCAAAGUUUCUGUCCAGAAAGAAGCUUUGUGAAGGAGGUACAAGAUAGGCAUAUCCGAAUGAGUUGCCAUUUUGCAUGAUCCUUCAUAUCAUCAUAUCAUAGCACUCCACCAAAGUUGAGCUCAUGUAAUGCCUCCAUGUGAGCACAGCUUCAAAUCUUUGUUUCUGACCAAAAUUUCAGUUUGUGAAGCAAGUAUAUUUUAUCUUGCUCCAUUAUGGCUGCCAAUUUUUCUAGGCCUUCUAGUAUCCAUAUAACUUAUCUCCACCCAUUUUGGCCAUAGUUCAUCAAGCCAUUAUUCCUCUAAAAAAAUUGCAAGUUUCUGUCCAGAGAGGAUGUUUGUGAAGGAAGUACCAUUUUGGCUUGGCCAAUGGGUAUGAGACUUUUUGAGCAUCUUCAUAGGACCAAAUAACUCUGCCUUGCCCAAUUUGAGCUCAAUUUGACACUCCAUGUGAGUGCACCUUCCUGAUCAAGUUUCUGGACCAGAUUAUGCAGUUGCAAAGCAAGUGCAUUAAAUCUUGGUCCAUUUCUUGCCAAACUCUCUAGGAUUGUAUUUCUCCCUUAGUAAAUCAUCUCAGGAAACUCCAUUGACCUCAAUCACUUCUCUGUUGAUCACCAGUGCACGGCCAAGUUUACUGCAGUAAACUUCAGACGAUGACUACCAUUUAACCACUACAAAUUUAACCAAGUUACCACCGUAGUUGAAACCGCCCCAGGAAGGACUAAGAGCAUCUCUAGCAGACCCCGUAUCCCACCGACCCGCAAAACACGUUUGUAGUUCGUGAAAAAACGGCUUUGCGGGCCGGCACGGACGGCCGCAGAUGCAGACCCCGUAUAACGGACCCGUAAAAAGGAAUAUUCGUGUAUAUUCUUUCCCGUGUCUUCUUCUUCCUCUCGCCUGUGUUCAUAGUCAGCUCCCAUCGUCCAUGGUAGUUGCCGAAUCGAUCCAGGAGGAAGCUCCUCCGUUGCCGGAUGGAUCCAGGUGCUAGCUAGCUAUUCCAUGACCGGCUGGAUCGAGGAGCUUGCUAGCUACUCCCUCAACGUUCAUGGCCGGAUGGAUCGAGGACCUUGCUAGCUAGCUAGCUAGCUUGCUCGUUCGUGGCCGGAUGGAUCAGGAGCUUGCUAGCUAGCUCGUUUGUGGCCGGGUAGCAGUAAACGACGAGUUUCCAGCGAGAUUCCGGCGAGUUUCGUGGCGGCAGCGGUAAACGACGAGUUCUCGGCGAGAUUCCGGCGAGUUCCGUGGCGGAAGGUCACCGGAGCACGUGUGCGCACGGCGGAAUUUCCUUGUCGCGUAGCAUUGACCAGUUUGCAGUUCCCCUUAUAUUUUGCCUCCAAAUCUGCAAAAUUAAGGGUCGUGGGGAUGGAUUCCCAGGGGCCUGCAAAAAUUUUAUGGGUUUGACCGCUUUUGCGGGUUCUAUUCGGGAUGUUUUUUGACACCACGAAACUGCAAACACGGAUUUUUGUGGGUUUGACCGCUUUUGCGGGGUCUGCUAGAGAUGCUCUAACCCCUAGACAUCAUUUGCCAACUGUUUGCCUCCCACGCAUGCUAGUACUGGUGGUGACCACCGUUUUGGCAUGCCAUGAGCGUGUCCAGAACGUCGCUUUGCUCGGGCCCCUCCUCUGCUCGUCGUCUUAGCACGCGUAAGCAUGUCCCUUGGCUUCAUCUCGUCGUCGCCGUUCCUCUGGACCCCUCUCCCCCUCCGGCAGCUUCCUCACCGACGCUCGCCGCCGCGUGCCCACGGGCGAACAGUGGCCAUUUGGCUCUGUUCGUCGCCGUCUUCUUAUUCCCCGUGCUCCGUGGGCUCCCUCUGCCCUGUGGGCUCCUCCCUGUGUCUCCCUGUCGCCUUCCCCCGAGCUCGAACACGCGCACACGCGUCCGCGGCGCCGGCAGCGCGACACUCCCGCCCCCGUCUAUAAAUAGCUAGCCCCGGCCUCGUCCGAGCACACCAUAGCCUCCCUCUCCUCUUGGCCGUCACCAGAGCCCUACACCACCACUCCAGAUCGACCCCGCGCCUCCACCCCUCUUCCCCGCGACCCUAACGCCGAGUCCAGCUUCACCAUGGCCGCCGUCCACUAUGGCCAGUGCCUCGCCCAACCCCAAGCUCCUCGGUGGCCGUGUCCUGUCUGGAUGGAUCCGCCUCGUCACGCUGAUCACUCCGGUAGGUGGCACGGCGCGGGAGGUGGCCGGAGCUGCCCGCAGUCGCCGUCGAGCGUCGGCUUUGCCUCGGCCAGGCGCGGGCGCGAGCGAGGAGAGGAAGGAGAUGACGCCCCUCCCUGCCAGCUGGCCGCGGGCCCCGCGCGUCAGCCCCUCAGCCGUUGACCCGGCCAGCCCACGUGGAUAAGUGACGGGCCCCACUCUCGUGGGACCCGCACGUCAGCGUUGACCAGCCCCGGCCCUGCCUUGCCACAUCAGAUAAGUGGAGACGCAUUUGGGGUGUGCGUUUUCAUCUUCAGAAAGCAUAUUUCUGAAAAUCUGUUUCUGUCUUAUCCACUCAGGGACUUGUUUCUGAUGAUAUUUUUACAGAAAAGUCCCUGAUCUUCUACACCUCAUAACUCCGCAACCGUAACUCCGUUUGAGGUGAAUCCAAAGCCCACUUCUUCGUUUUGUCGAGCCUGUUCUGUUGUACACACUUUCAUCAUGUGUUAAUAUUCUAGAAAUGACCUUUUUACCCUUGCACGUAAACAGCCCCUCCGGGAGAGGGCUGUUUCCGGCGAAUCUUUUCGCGGCUUCACUGCACUUCUCCCCAGUGCCUUCUUCAUCCCCAGGCAAGCCACAAUACCCACUUGCAUGAUAGUAAUGCAGUAGCCAUGGUUUUCAACUUGAAUCUUUAUUAAAUGUUUGCUUUUUGAAAAGAUGGUUAUCGUUGUUCCGGUGAUGCUUAAAGUUGCAUGUUCACUUUCGUGCUAUGUAGUCUUGUACUCUGUUAUCAUGUCCUACCUGCUAGUAUUCCUUUCAUAUGCUUAUGCUUGCUAGUAGUACAUGUUGAUGUUAGUGAUGGUUUUCGGUGCAUGACUAUCGUCUGUUCUGAGUGUCGUCGUAUGCAUGUUCCAUUGCAUUGAAUUGGUUAAAUGCUUGCAUGGUAGCAUUGUUGAUAUGUUCUUGCAUGAUAUUUAUUGUUGAUGCUAGUGGUCAUGCUAGGUUUCUAUGAGUAGUGUUGUACUUGUGAUAUUCAUGCACGUCAUUAAGCCAUGCUCAGUUGGAUAUGAUUCAUUGUUGAUAUGGUCGAUAGUUUUGUUAUACCCUCAUGCUUAUGUUGGUAUCAUGCUCAUGCAUUGUAAUUGCAUCAUGUUAUUAUAUCAUGGCUCAGCAUAUUUGCAUUCAAGUUUAACCGGAUUAAAUUGAACUUGAACAACUGUUGGCUGAGUCAUGGUGCCACCAUAUCGAGCUGACCAGUGCAACCACGCUUACCUUUAUGGGAGGGUCCUAACUGGGUCUAUUGUUGUGGCUCUCGCCGGUGCCUCCAAUGAGGGAAGGUUAUGCACGGGCGCUACCUUGGCCAGGUAGGACGGCAUAAGCCUUGUGAGCCCGAGUUUGGUUAUGUGCACAUGUCCCCGUUUGGGACCGUUUUGCCACUAUGGUGGCCGUUUUGCCACGACGGUGGUCGUUGGAGUCUGGGGUAGACACAGGGCCACCCAUGACUUAGCCCAGAGGGGAGUUAGUCGGAGUGGCCGGGAGAGUGUCAUGGCAGUAGGACAGUUUUGUCGGAACGCCGUUGGUCCACCCGAAUGGGAGCGAGAGGCCAUGGGUUCCGUGGUGUGGGUACAGUGUGCUAACCUCUACAGAGUGUGUGUUAAAUCUAUCGAUAGCCGUGCCCAUGGAUAAGGGUCCAGUUCGUGUCGGUCACACUAUUGGUCAACAGUAAUAAUAAUAAUGUGCUUACUAACAACCCCGGUUCGAUGAUGAGAUAAGUUGGUUAUGUGAUCCGUGAAUGAUCACCGUUUGGUUACGAGGUAACCCGUUGAACCAAGAGUGGUUCCGUUUGUGAUCCGUGAAUGAUCACCGUUUGGUUACGAGGUAACCCGUUGAACCAAGAGUGGUUCCAUUUGUGAUCCGUGAAUGAUCACCGUUUGGUUACGGGUAACCCGUUGAACCAAAAGUGGUUCCGUUUGUGAUCCGUGAGUGAUCACCGUGGUAUCAAGGAUACCGAGUUGUUGGAUAUUCGUGAUGUUGUGCGAGAAUCGUGGGUAAAGAUCAAGCUCCUUGUGGUCAUUUAAUGAUUACUACGGUAUUGUUUAUACCAAGCUUGAUUUGAUCCAGAGAUGAUCGUGUGAUGUCCGAGGUUGGUAAGUGAUGCAUGUGUUGGUUACGAGGUAACCCGAGCAGAAUAAGUGGUGCAUAUAGUGUCAUCAUGUUGUAUGCUAGUAUCGUCAGAUUCAUAUGUUCAUGCCAUGCUCAUAUUGUGCUAGUUGUAUCAUGUUCAUGUUGUUCAUGCCAUGUUAUUCUAAUGAUACCAUGUUAAUUCCUGAUUAACUUGUAAUUGCCAUGCUGUUGUUUGUCUUGAAUGCUUCUGGAUUAUUGUGAGCUUGCAAGUACAUUCAAUGUACUGACCUGGCGUGUCAUGCCAGUUUGCAGGUCCUUCCAGAUUUGAUUGCUUGUUUGCCGUGGAGUCCUUGUUUGCGAGCUAGGAUAAGCGUUCCAGCCAGAGUCCCUGCGGAGUGGAGUCCACCACUGUCGUCAUUGUUCUGUCGCUAGAGUUCUUCCGCUGCAUCGUGUUGUUCUGUUGCUUGCAUGGAGCAACAGUGGCAGGCGUAGUGUCGCCGUGCCGAUGUAACCCCUUGUACCCAAAUAGAUUGUAAUAAAGAGGUGGUUUGUUCUAUGCUAAGCAGUGUCGUAUUCCAGAAGACUUCAUCUCCAUCUCUGGGCUGGAAUACGGGGCGUUCCGGUUUUCUCUGAGUCGGGGUGCCACAUAUGGUCAUGCACCCUUGAAGAGUGGUCUAUUUUUGUUGAAUCUCGAUUGUGGUGAUACACAUAUUCAUAAUAUUGAUGCCAAAAGAUGCAAAGAUGAUAAGGAUAGUGCAACAUAUUUGUGGUACUAUCGUUUAGGUCAUAUUGGUGUAAAGCGCAUGAAGAAACUCCAUGCAGAUGGGCUUUUGGAAUCACUUGAUUAUGAAUCAUUUGAUACUUGCGAACCAUGCCUCAUGGGCAAGAUGACUAAAACUCCAUUCUUCGGAACAAUGGAGCGAGCCAAUGACUUAUUGGAAAUAAUACAUACCGAUGUAUGCGGUCUGAUGAGUGUUGAGGCACGCGGCGGGUAUCGUUAUUUUCUGACCUUCACAGAUGAUUUGAGCAGAUAUGGGUAUAUCUACUUAAUGAAACACAAGUCUGAAACGUUUGAAAAUUUCAAAGAAUUUCAGAGUGAAGUGGAGAAUCAUCGUAACAAGAAAAUAAAGUUUGUAUGAUCUGAUCGCGGGGGCAAAUAUUUGAGUUACGAGUUUGGCCUUCAUUUAAAACAAUGUGGAAUAGUUUCACAACUCAUGCCACCUGGAACACCAUAGCGUAAUGGUGUGUCCGAACGUCGUAGCCGUACUUUAUUAGAUAUGGUGCGAUCUAUGAUGUCUCUUACCGAUUUACCACUAUCAAUAUGGGGUUAUGCAUUAGAGACAGUUGCAUUCACGUUAAAUAGGGCACCGUCUAAAUCCGCUGAGACGACACCGUAUGAACUGUGGUUUGGCAAGAAACCUAGCUGUCGUUUCUUAAAGUUUGGGGUUGCGACACUUAUGUCAAAAGGCUUUAGCCUGCUAAGCUCGAACCCAAAUCGGAGAAGUGUGUCUUCAUAUGAUACCUAAGGAAACAAUUGGGUACACCUUCUACCACAAAUCUGAAGGCAAGAUAUUUGUUGCCAAGAAUGGAAACUUUCUAGAGAAGGAGGUUCUCUCAAAAGAAGUGAGUGGGAGGAAAGUAGAACUUGAUGAGGUACUUGUACCUUCUCUUGAAUUGGAAAGGAGCUCAUGACAGAAAACCGUUCCUGUGAUGCCUACACCAACUAGAGAAGAAGCUAAUGAUGAUGAUCAUGAAACUUUAGAUCAAGUUACUACUGAACCUCGUAGAUCAACCAGAGCACGAUCCGCACCAGAGUGGUACGGUAAUCCUAUUCUGAAAGUCAUGUUACUAGACCAUGGCGAACCUCCGAACUAUGAAGAAGCUAUGAUGAGCCCAGAUUCCGACAGAUGGCUUGAGGCCAUGAAAUCUGAGAUAGGAUCCAUGUAUGACAACAAAGUGUGGAUUUUGGUGGAUUUUCCCGAUGAUCGACAAGCCAUAGAAAAUAAAUGGAUCUUCAAGAAGAAGAUUGACGCUGAUGGUAAUGUUACUAUCUACAAAGCUCAACUUGUCGCAAAAGGUUUUCGACAAGUUCAAGGGGUUGACUACGAUGAGACUUUCUCACCCGUAGUGAUGCUUAACUCUGUCCGAAUCAUGUUAGCAAUUGCCACAUUUUAUGAUUAUGAAAUCUGGCAAAUGGACGUCAAAACGGCAUUCCUUAAUGUAUUUCUUAAAGAAGAGUUGUAUAUGAUGCAACCAGAAGGUUUUGUCGAUCCUAAAGGUGCUAACAAAGUGUGCAAGCUCCAGCGAUCCAUGUAUGGACUGGUGCAAGCAUCUCAGAGUUGGAAUAUACGCUUUGAUGAGAUGAUCAAAGCAUAUGGUUUUAUACCGACUUACGGUGAAGCCUGUAUUUACAAGAAAGUGAGUGGGAGCUCUAUAGCAUUUCUGAUAUUAUAUGUGGAUGACAUAUUAUUGAUUGGAAAUGAUAUAGAAUUUCUGGAUAGCAUAAAAGGUUUCUUGAAUAAGAAUUUUUCAAUGAAAGACCUCGGUGAAGCUACUUAUAUAUUGGGCAUCAAGAUCUAUAGGGAUAGAUUGAGACGCUUAAUAGGACUUUCACAAAGCACAUACCUUGACAAGAUUUUGGAGAAGUUCAAAAUGGAUCAGUCAAAGAGAGGGUUCUUGCCUAUGUUGUGAGGUGUGAAGUUGAGUAAGACUCAAAGCUCGACCACGGCAGAAGAUAGAAAGAGAAUGAAAGUCAUUCUUCCCUAUGCCUCAGCCAUAGGUUCUAUAAAGUAUGCCAUGCUGUGUACCAGACCUAUUGUGUACCUUGCCAUGAAUUUGGCAAGGGGGUACAAUAGUGAUCCAGGAGUAGAUCACUGAGCAGCGGUCAAAAUUAUCCUUAGUUGCCUAAGAGGACAAAGGAAAUGUUUCUCGGUUAUGGAGGUGAUAAAGAGUUCAUCAUAAAGGGUUACGUCAAUGCAAGCUUUGACACCAAUCCGGAUGACUUUGAGUCUCAAUCUGGAUACAUAUUGAAAGUGGGAGCAAUUAGCUAGAGUAGCUCUAUGUAGAACAUUGUAGACAUAGAAAUUUGCGAAAUACAUACGGGUCUGAAUGUGGCAGACCCGUUCACUAAAUCUCUCUCACAAGCAAAACGUGAUCACACCUUAGUACUCUUUGGGUGUUAAUCACAUGGAGACGUGAACUAGAUUAUUGACUCUAGUAAACCCUUUGGUUGUUGGUCACAUGACGAUGUGAACUAUGGGUGUUAAUCACAUGACGAUGUGAAAUAUGGGUGUUAAUCACAUGGCGAUGUGAACUAGAUUAUUGACUCUAGUGCAAGUGGGAGACUGAAGGAAAUAUGACCUAGCGGCAAUAAUAAAGUUGUUAUUUUAUAUUUCCUUAUUCAUGAUAAAUGUUUAUUAUUCAUGACAGGUUUGUAUUGAUCGGAAACCUAAAUACAUGUGUGAAUACAUAGACAAACACUAUGUCCCUAGUGAGCCUCUACUUGACUAGCUCGUUGAUCAAAGAUGGUUCAGGUUUCCUGACCAUGGACAUGAGUUGUAAUUUGAUAACGGGAUCACAUCAUUAGGAGAAUGAUGUGAUGGACAAGACCCAUCUGUUAGCUUAGCACAAUGAUCGUUCAGUUUUAUUGCUAUUGCUUUCUUGAUCUCAAAUACAUAUUCCUUCGACUAUGAGAUUAUGUAACUCCCAGAUACCGGAGGAAUGCCUUGUGUGCUAUCAAACGUCACAACAUAACUUGGUGAUUAUAAAGAUGCUCUACAGGUAUCUCUGAAGGUGUUUGUUGAGUUGGCAUAGAUCGAGAUUAGGAUUUUUCACUCCAAGUUUCCGAGAGGUAUCUCUAGGCCCUCUCGGUAGUACACAUCAUAAGAAGCCUUGCAAGCAAAGUGACUAAUGAGUUAGUUGCAAGAUGAUGUAUUGCGGAACGAGUAAAGAGACUUUCCGGUAACGAGAUUCAACUAGGUAUGAAUAUACCGACGAUCGAAUCUCGGGCAAGUAACACAUCGAUGGACAAAGGGAAUUACGUAUGUUGUCAUAACGGUUUGACCGAUAAAGAUCUUCGUAGAAUAUGUAGGAGCCAAUAUGAGUAUCUAGGUUCCGCUAUUGGUUAUUGACCGGAGAGGUGUCUCGGUUAUGUCUACAUAGUUCUCUAACCCGUAGGGUCCGCACGCUUAACGUUGGAUGAUGAUAUUGCAUUAUAUGAGUUAUGUGAUUUGGCGACCGAAUGUUGUUCGGAGUCCCAGAUGAGAUCACGGACAUGACGAGGAGUCUCGAAAUGGUCGAGAGGUAAAGAUGAUAUAUAGGACGAUGGUAUUCGGACACCAGAAUUGUUCCAGAGGGUAUCGGGUACUUAUCGGGUCACCGAAAGGUGUUUUGGGUGCCCCCGGCAAUCCUAUGGGCCAUAUGGGCCUUGUGAAGGAACACACCAGCCCACAAGGGGCUGGUGCGCCCUAUAGGGACAUAGGAGGAGGAGAAGGAAAGGGGGAAGGGAAAGGGAAGUGUGCAUUAGGAUUCCCACUUCCUUCCCUCACCCCCUCUUUCCUUCCCUUCAUGCAUACAUGGAAAGGGGGGCGCAAGGCAAGGCAGGGCCCCUAGGGGACGGCGGCCAACCUUAGGGCACGCCCUGGCUGCCUCCGCUCCCCUCCCACCUAUAUGUAUGUGGGAAGGGGGCGCCUCACAAACACACAACAUCAAUUGUUAGCCAUGUGCGGCGUCCCCCUCCACAGUUUACACCCCGGUCAUAGUUUUGCGGUGCUUAGGCGAAGCCCUGCGAGAAUCACUUCACCAUCACCGUCACCAUGCUGUCGUGCUGAUGGAACUCAUCUACUACCUCGACACCUUGCUGGAUCAAGAAGGCGAGGGAUGUCACCGAGCUGAACGUGUGCAGAACUCGAAGGUGCCGUACGUUCAGUGCUUGAUCGGUCGGAUCUAGAAGAAGUUCGACUACAUCAACCGCGUUGUCAAAACGCUUCCGCUUUCGGUCUACGAGGGUACGUAGACACACUCUCCCCCUCGUUGCUAUGCAUCUCCUUGGAUAGAUCUUUGCGUGAGCAUAGAAAUUUUUUGUUUUCCAUGCUACGUUUCCCAACAGGAAGCUCCUCGGAUAUGAGGUCAUGUGGGAUUCUCAUGCAUAAUUAAAACAUGUCGUCCGUUCUGCAUGGGAUCCCAACAGUCACAAUCCGACGGUGAGUGUUGUUGGCGCCAAGUUAGCAGCCCUUGCUAACAUUUUGGGAGAGUGGAGCAAAUCCACGUUUGGUGGUGUGUGUGUGUCACAUCCCUAUCUUCUGGCAUUGGACUAGGCUAGCUUUAUUUGUGCAUCCUGUUUAAUUUUGAAAGAACCUUGAAAUGGGGAUUGCCUAAAAUAGUUCUAGUAAAUCCAAAUGGCUUUAAAAAAUGUUCAUCAUUUUUUGAAAAUGCUGGAAAUAGUAACCAGAGGUGAUGCACAUUUUUCCAUUACAUAUUUGGGCCCUGAAUUAAAUCAUACUCUAUUUGCAUUUGGGCAUUUAAAUGCUAUAAAAUAUUUUAAAUGUUCAAAUAAUCAUAAACUAAAAUGUUUACUGUUGGAUAUAUUCCAAAUAGUAGCCAUGAGUAGUUUCAUGGUUUUGGAAGUGUCUAGGUAUUUUGUGAAAAGCCCUAAAGACUACAGAAUAAUAGAAAACAGAAACUAAAAUAGGGAAAAAAACAGAGAGAGAAGAAAACUUACCUGGCGCUUACCUGUCCAGCUUGGCGGCCCAGCACUGUUGGCCCAGCCCAGCAGCCCUCCCCCUGUCGUCUUGCUCCUGCCAGGAGGACAGACAGGUGCAUGGCGAGCGCGCCGACAACGCCUUGCCACCUCCUACUUCGGCCGUGCAGCCUCGAGCCCCCUAGGCGUGCCACGGAGACGCCCGGAAGCCCCUGGUCCUUCUCCCUCACUCUCUGCUCUCUCCCUCGCUCUCUAGCCUCCUCCCCGAGCUCACCCGAGAGCGCUCCGCCNNNNNNNNNNNNNNNNNNNNNNNNNNNNNNNNNNNNNNNNNNNNNNNNNNNNNNNNNNNNNNNNNNNNNNNNNNNNNNNNNNNNNNNNNNNNNNNNNNNNNNNNNNNNNNNNNNNNNNNNNNNNNNNNNNNNNNNNNNNNNNNNNNNNNNNNNNNNNNNNNNNNNNNNNNNNNNNNNNNNNNNNNNNNNNNNNNNNNNNNNNNNNNNNNNNNNNNNNNNNNNNNNNNNNNNNNNNNNNNNNNNNNNNNNNNNNNNNNNNNNNNNNNNNNNNNNNCUCCGUCUUCCUCCAAGUCGUCGAACACAAGUCGGGGCACGCCCGAACGCCCUCACCACCCUCGUCUUCAACCUCGGAACGCCGAGAUCCGCCGCGCUGCCCCGCUCGCUUCAAUGCCUCCCCGACCUCGCUCCUGCGCCUGUUGACAUCACUGUGAGCUCCGCCGUCUAUUCCCCCUUUCGCCGUUGCGUUUUGCUCGUCGUACCGUCGUUCUGCCGACGCCCGUAGGUCGCUGCCGCACUUGCUCAUCGCCGGCAGUCUUCGGUGACCAUUUGGUCACACCUGGGUGCCCAGUAGUCUCGAUAGGACCCGCGGGCCACUGCUGGCAUCCUAACCCGGCCGCUCACCCGCUCCAGAGCCAUCGCCGCCGCCUCUGCCGACCACCCCAGCACCUCCCACCACAACCAGACGGAGCGCCGCAGUGCCAGCUUUCCAACGCACCUAGCCGCGUGACCUCCCGAUGCCGGAGCUAGCCAGACGGCCAACGCCGCCGUGCUCCCAUCAUCGCCGGCGCUAACCCGCCGACGUGGCCAGAUUAGUCGCCGGCUAAACCCACUGUUGGUACUAAUUAACCCCCCCCCACUCUCACUGACAUGUGGGCCCCAGUGCCUAAAUUAAGUACUUAACUUCUCUGUUAGAUAAGGUCUAACCCCAGUGGGCCCACGCGUCAGCAUUGACCAUGCUGACGUGGCCCUUGACUGGGCUCACCCGUCUGUGACCCUAGGCAGCACUUGCUCACUGACCGGCGAGCCCCACGCAUCAGGUUUGACCUGGACCGGGUCUGUUGACCUGCUGAGGUUAGCAUGACGCAAUGUUGAUGCAGUAAUUGAUUUUCUGGAUUUAAAAUAAUUCAGGAAAUUCCAGAAAAUGCCCAAAACUUCAAAAAUUCGUAGUAAUUCAACCAUAACUCCAAAUGAAAUAAUUUAUAUAUGAAAAACGAUCAUAAAAAUCCAAUCUAUCCAUCAGUACCAUUUUAAUGCAUGUUAGAACAACUUAUAGCUGCUGUUUAGGACAAGUCAUAUAAAUGGCAUUUGAAUAUCCACAUAUGGAGUUUGAAUUUGAAUCUUGGAUUCAAACCAACUUCAUUUAACCUGUUGCUAGUUGCAUUAGCUCAAAUCACAGCAUGUUGACAUGUCAUGAUAAUGCAUCAUAUUGUGCAUUGCAUUGAUUGUGUUCUUCCUUGUUUGCUGGUAUUUGUUCCCUCUCGAUAGAUGUGUUCCGGCGAUGAGUUCGAUGACACCGAUGAAGAACUAUACUAUCUUCAGAAGUGUCAGGUGUCGGUGUCAAAACCGGCGGAUCUCGGGUAGGGGGUCCCGAACUGUGCGUCUAAGGCUAAUGGUAACAGGAGGCGGGGGAUACAAUGUUUACCCAGGUUUGGGCCCUCUCGAUGGAGGUAAUACCCUACUUCCUGCUUGGUUGAUCUUGAUGAUAUGAGUAUUACAAGAGUUGAUCUACCACGAGAUCGUAGAGGCUAAACCCUAGAAGCUAGCCUAUGGUUGUGUUUGUCAUUGUCCUACGGACUAAACCCUGCGGUUUAUAUAGACACCGGAGGGGGCUAGGGUUACACAGAUUCAGUUACAGAGAAAGGAAUCUUCAUAUCUGAAUCGCCAAGCUUGCCAUCCACGCAAAGGAGAGUCCCAUCCGGACAUGGGCUUCGAAGUCUUCCAACUUGCAUCUUCAUAAUCCAACAGUCCGGCAUAUGCACAUAGUCCGGCUGUCCGAGGACCAAUUAAUCCAGGACUCCCUUAGUAGCCCCUGAACCAGGCUUCACUGACAACGAGUCCGACGCACAGAUUGUCUUCGGCAUUGCAAGGCGGGUUCCUCCUCCGAUUACUCCAAAAUAGAUCUUGAACAUAAGAAUCGUGUCUAGCUCUGCAAAACAAAUUCCACAUACCACGGUAGAGAGUAUAAUAUCCCACGAGUCCAAUCUGCUGACAACUCAUAGCGUGACAUCACGCCACGGCCCGGUCUUUAUUCGAACAGUUUUUAUCCUGCCCCUCCGUAUUUCGAGGCGCAGUUUCAUUGACACGUCUUGUCGAAGCAGAGAUCGUGUCCCCUUAUCACAGGAUUCUCAUCAAUGCAGGUAUGGGUAACCUAACCGUGCCAUCAGCACGGCGCUUGGGAAACAAGCAAGUUUUAGGGCGAGCAGGGAGGCGCACGAUUUUUUACUGCCUUUAUAAAGGGAUAAGGAUUCCCCUCUUUCACCCACACCCUCUUCUUCCUCUGCUCAUUCACUCUCGAGCUCCAAUGCCCAAGCACCCAUCUCUUCCGCCCAAAAAGCAUUCCAAUCAUGUCUGGAUCCGGAGCGCAAGGCAAGUGGAUGGCCUCCUCCGUCAAGGAGAAGGAUAUCAAGAAACUCCGGGAGGCCGGAUACCUGGCCAAGAAGAUCGCACACCGUCUCCCAGAGGCGGGACAAAUUGUCCCUACUCUGGAACCCCACGAGAGGGUUGUAUUCCUCCCUCACUUCGUCCGCGGGCUAGGGUUUCCCCUCCAUCCAUUUGUUCGCGGCCUUAUGUAUUAUUACGGGAUAGUCUUCCAUGACCUAUCCCCCAAUUCCUUCCUCAACAUCUCGACAUUCAUCGUCGUGUGCGAGGCCUUCCUUUGCAUCCCGCCACACUUCGGGCUGUGGCUAAAGAUUUUCAAUGUGAAGCCAAAGGUGGUCGGCGGCGAACACGCCGAGUGCGGAGGAGCCAUGGUGAGCAAGAUGCCCAACGUCAAAUGGCCAUCAGGUAAAUUCAACGAGUCCAUCAAAGGUUGGCAACAACAGUGGUUCUAUAUUACCGAGCCACGCGACGCCAAAUGGGCCGCCGCAACCCGAGUUCCGAUCCGGAGCCCCACUGCAGCUCAUGUCCUGGCCCGAAAAGGGCCUAGACUGGCCUUCGUCCGACGGGCUGACGACGCUCCAGGCGCGUAUUAAGAGCAUGGAGGACAAGAAUAUCAAACUUUUCAAUGUGGUCCAGGUGAUGCUAGUUCGCCGGAUCCUUCCCUGCCAACGCCGGACUAGCAAUCUAUGGGAGUUUGAUCCGGCCAAGCUCCAAACCUUGCUGAAGUUCUUCGGCACAACGCACGAAGACAUCUGGAAGGUGCUAUUCAAGCCCGGCAAGUCGUGGCCGGACACCGCUGAGGAUCGCGGGUACAAAUUAUCCCUCCCCGCAAGCUCAGUGAGUCUUUAUAUGUUUUCAAGGUGUAUCCUCUAUUUGCAUACCUUGGGGAAAGCACCUAAUAUUUCCCCGACGAUUCUCCUAGGGCUAGACGAAGAAGGUAGAGCAGAUCUACUAUCCGGCUCCGCUGCCUGAGGAACAAGCCGGCCCACUACUGAUGAAGAUGCUGGUCCCGGCGCCAUAUAAGGCGCCGAAGAAGAAGGCCGAGAAGGAGGCCAAGGAGACCAGGGGCGGGCUCCGUCGCAAGGGUACUUCGGAUGUGGUGUUCGAAAAAACCGAAGCCCCCUCCUCCGCCGAAAAAGACGAGGAGGAGGAAGAAGAGGAAAGCGAGUCCCCCCCCCCCCCGCAAGGGGGAGAAAGAAGAGGAUGGCCUCCACACAUUUGGAGGCCAAAACGUCUAAGAAGGGGAAAGCCUCCCUUCCAGACGAACCCACGGCAGCCACCGAUAGCAGCCCGGAGUGGGAACCCAGGGUCAAGCCCCUGGCCAAAUCAUGAGUACAAAGCAAAUCCGGACAUCUUUAUAUAUCCAGUCUCACUUUUGCAUAGCAUUAAUGUAUCGAGUCACAUAUUCUGCAGUCCGGCCGGGUCCGACAUCGAGCGAACUUCGUCAGAAGAUUCGUUGGACCCGGAUGCGAUGAACAAUGAGACCCUCCCGACGGCCUCUUCCCCCAAUGGCAUGGACAACACUGAGGUGUCGUCCCAAAGGGACCCAGGCCAAGGCGAAGCUCGGGAGACCGUCGAGGCGGCGCCAGAGGGCCAAACCCCGUCGACCGGACACAUGGGGGAGUAGACCCCCAUGGAUGCUGAAGGCGGGGGCCGUCCUGAAUUCGGCCCCCGGUGAGAGACAACUCCAGAGACCAAUACGGCUCCGAAAUCAGGCCAGCGACCUUCUUCAACAGGAGGCGGUGCGCCUAUUCCACCGGCGACCUCCGUCCACCCGGAGGUGCCGGAUACUUUAUUGGCGGCGCUGCAAAGCGCUUCCAUCGUUGAAGAGCAUCGUACCCUUAUGGGUGCGGUUAUUAAGAAGGUUCAGUCCGCCAAAAGCGGGCUGGCCGAAGCCUGCACCAGCCUUCUAACAGGCUUUGAGGUAAGUUAUGAAGUUAAAAGAAUGUCAUAAUAUAGAUAGUAGCCCCUGAUGCACUGUUCGGUGUUUCAAAAAGAAAGCCGGACAGAGGAUCAAAUAUAUUUUGCAGGAGACUAAUUAGGAAAUACCUAUGUGAAUGAUCAAGCAUCGUUAUUGACUGCAAGCACUCAUACUGCGGAGGUCUCCGGACUGAGGCAGAGACUGGAGCGGGCCGAAAAGGAACUCGGCCAAGUAAAAAAGCAAUUGACGAUAACCAAGGUAUGGGAUAACUUUGCUUGUAUUUAAAUACAAGUGAAUAGUUAUUUUGACUAAAAAAUGUCGUGUUAUGUAAUAGGAGCGACGACUGAAGUCGAGGUUCUGAACAAGGCGGUAGCCGAGGCCGAGAAAAGGGCGGCCAAGGAGCAAGCCACUCGUGAAAACCACGAGGCCCGGGUCAUUGAAGUUCAACAAGAGCUCCAAGAAGCCAUAGGGAAGUGUGACGGUGUCCUGGACUAGGGGGUACUCACCAUGUUGUCUCCUGAUCUGUUAGAUUGGGCCGAGGACCCCCAUGGCCGUAUACUCAUGGGCCAGUUCGGACAACUGCCGCAUACAAGGAAGAUUCCACAAGACUUGGUGAUCAAGACAAGGACUCCUCCCCACCGGCGUAUUCGGCUAGGACUCUUGUUAUCCUAGGCCUCUGGUGCGUUAUAUAAACCGAGGCUAGGCUAGUCAAUAGAUAUAUACAACAAUCAUAGUCAUCAUAGGCUAGCUCCUAGGGUUUAGCCUCUAUGAUCUCGUGGUAGAUCUACUCUUGUAAUACUCAUAUCAUCAAGAUCAAUCAAGAAGGAAGUAGGGUAUUACCUCCAUCGAGAGGGCCCGAACCUGGGUAAAACAUCAUGUCCCCUGUCUCCUGUUACCACCAUCCUUAGACGCAUAGUUCGGGACCCCCUACCCGAGAUCCGCCGGUUUUGACACCGACAAAGUGCGAUACCUUGGAGCAGAGUAUAAAGGAUGAAGAGUCCAAACUCACCAAGGCUCGCCAAUCCGCACACGAUGCCCGGGCUGAAGCCCAAGGCGCCCUCCAGGAAAUCCAGGAGGCCCGAAAGAUCGCCGCGGGUAAGGCCUUUAUUAUGCAGAGCAAAUACACAAAGGAAAGAUUUCGUUUACUGACCUGGAUUCGGAGUUCUCCAGGGGUGUUUGCGGAUCUGCCGCGCAGCGUGUCUGACGCCGCAAAGUUCUACCGAGACGAAGGGGGGAGUUCUGCGGAGAAGCUGUUCUGGUCGCAAUAUCUUGCGCCAGAAUACCCAGUACCCUUUACCGAUCAGCUGAAGCAGCUGGUCGAGCUGCAUAGGGCGGCCGAACUAGCCCUCAAGGAUUUAAUUAUCCGGCUAUGGCCUGCCGAACCAUUCCCAGCUGCUACUUCGGACUCGUGAAGCGGCUUGUCAGUGCCUACCCUCGGCUUGACGCCAUCAAGCGGUCGGUCUGCAUCGAAGGUGCGCGAAUGGCUUUUGCCGGCGCCAAGGUGCAUUGGGAGAAGAUGGAUGCUGUGAAGCUGAUGACCGCCCGAAGGGAAAGAGCACUGCAAGCCCGAGCUGUAUUAUGACAGUGUCCUGGAGGGAUCCCGCCUAGUGGCGGAGCGUUGUUCCAAGGAUAUUAUAUUCCCAUGAAUGUAUGCAUGUUAUCCUAUGCUGUAAUAUGAAACAAGGUCGUUAUGUAAAAUAAUGCUUGUUAUUUGAACUAUUACCUCCUGUGCGGCCGUUUUUAAAUUAAUUCUGAGAGUUGGCCAGUCGUCGGCUUCUGCCCCCACGUAGAAAUUACGCGGGUGUUCGGGAUAAAUCUAAACACUCUUUACACCAGAGUUUUGGUCCUUAAAGGAGGUGUUUAGCGCGACAAACCAGGCAAUCGGACUAUAAGGCUUUAUCACCCUCACUUAGCCAUAGGAGUUUGACAGAAGGAAGUAGGCGUAGCCCCUAGUGUUCGGAAGACCGAACUUGGGGUAUUGUAAAACGCCUGAUCGGAUAAAAACCGAUCCGUCGCACGAUGCAUUAGUUAUCGCAUGAUGCAGAAGAAAUCGCUAAAGAUUUUGUGACCUCUCGAACAGUUGACCAACUCUCGCUGCAUCAUGACAGUCAGUUUUUGGCUUUCUCUACUGCGGUGCUCGUCUGGAAGAACCGGGACACAAUUGCAGUAGUUCUCCCUUUACUACCCUAGCCGAUACAGUGGAACGUAAGAUAGCAAGCACAGGAGCCGGGCAACCCAACUGUUGACCAAAGACAUGAUUCGGAGCCAAUGCAUAUAAUGUUAUAAGUUUGGGGUGCCGAACUGCACUGUAAAAGUGUUCGGACUUUCUUGCCGUGUUAUGGGGUACAAUGGAGCCCCUGGCGAAUUAAGGCGUACCAGAAUGUACGGAUGCGAUUUAUAAUUAAUAAAUAAAUAGACAAGGAAAACAUUAUGUAAUGAGCGGACGCUGCCAAUUAUUUUUCAUUGUAAUUUAAUUAAUACGUCAAGGCGUAUGUGUACAAGUAGUGCCAUAAGCAAAUAAAGCUAUUUAGCAUGCCAUGACCAAGAGCGAGCUGCGUGCGGGUAUUUUAAAACAGGUAUGACGAUCGUUAGCAGAGACCACCUGGGUAUUCCCGUGUACGUCCGAGCCCCUAGCUUUCUUGGCGUAUCCGUCCCGCUACGGGUCCAAUGAGCAAGUUUAUCAGAAAAGGCCUCGCGAAGAGAAAAAACCUGAAAGAAAGAGAAAAAGUGAAGGUAUGCGGAUCCAAGAGUGGUUGAGCCGCAUUGUGGACCGUAGUCUAGCUGUGCCUCCGUCCAUGCCCAUGGUAUUUUAAGUGCGUAGUUGUGUAUGCGCGGCACGAAUUUUACCGCAUUGUUGGGGCUGGGACGAAGGCCGGGUUGCUAGCUGAGCUCUGGACGAGCCGGAUGGUCCUAUUGCAGAGUAUCGCGGACCCGCUUAACGGUGUCCGGGGGCUUUAUUGCCGAAUUGAGGUUUUGCCUAAUAAGGCUAUUUUGUACUUCUGCUGCAAGGGCCGCGGUGUGCUCCUCAGUACGGAGGGAGCACUCCGUGUUUCCAUUGACUGUUAUAACACCGUGAGGUCCGGGCAUCUUGAGCUUAAGGUAGGCAUAGUGCGACACCGCAUUGAAACGAGCAAAUGCGGUUCGUCCGAGCAGUGUGUGAUAACCACUGCGGAAGGGGACGAUAUCGAAGAGUAGUUCUUCGCUUCGGAAAUUAUCCGGGGAUCCGAAGCCCACUUCCAGUGUGAUUGAGCCCGUACAGCAGCCUCUACACCUGGUAUGACACCUUUAAAGGUGGUUUUGGUGGGCUUGAUCCUUGAGGGAUCAAUACCCAUUUUGCGCACUGUAUCCUGAUAAAGCAGGUUCAGGCUGCUACCACCGUCCAUGAGGACGCGUGUGAGGUGGAAUCCGUCAAUGAUAGGGUCAAGCACCAGUGCGGUUGAACCGCCGUGACGGAUACUGGUCGGAUGGUCCCUUCGAUCGAAGGUGAUCGAACAGGAGGACCACGGGUUGUAUUUUGGGGUGACUGGCUCCAUCGCGUAGACGUCCCUUAGUGCGCGCUUCUGCUCCCUUUUGGGGAUAUGGGUAGCAUAUAUCAUAUUCACCGUUUUCACUUGGGGAGGAAACUUCCUCUGUCCCCCUGUGUUCGGUGGCUGGGGUUCCUCGUCGUCGUCGAUUUGCAAUCCCUUUUCUCCGUUUUCGGUAUGUAACUUGCCGGCCUAUUUAAAGACCCAACAUUCUCUGUUGGUAUGAUUGGCUGGCUUAUCGGCGGUGCCGUGGAUUUGGCACGGAUGAUCGAGUAUGCGGUCCAGGCUGGAAGGGCCCGAAUUGUUUCUAUUAAAUGGCUAUUUCCACUGCCCGGACUUGGAGCGACUGAAUCCGACAUUGACGGCCGUGUCUUCAGAGUUUUCGCCAUUGUUUUGAUGCUUGUGUCUACUGCGUCGGGGCUUGCCGUUACUGUCUCUGGCUUCGGAAGUGCCAGGCUUACUUGAGGUGUUGUUGCUACGAGCUAGCCAGCUAUCCUCGCUCGCGCAAAAGUGGGUCAUGAGCGUCGUGAGGGCUGCCUUGGACUUCGGCUUUUCUUGGCCGAGGUGUCAGGCGAGCCACUCGUCACGGAUGUUGUGCUUAAAGGCUGCUAGGGCUUCAGUGUCCGGACAGUCGAUGAUUUGGUUCUUUUUAGUUAAGAACCGAGUCCAGAAUUUCGUGGCAGACUCUCUGGGCUGUUGUAUUAUAUGACUUAAGUCAUCGGCAUCCGUAGGUCGGACAUAAGUGCCCUGGAAGUUGUCAAGGAAUGCAUCUUCCAGGUUCUCCCAACUGCCAAUGGAGUUUUCUGGCAGACUAUUCAACCAGUGCCUAGCUGGUCCCUUGACUUUUAACGGGAGAUACUUGAUGGCAUGGAGAUCAUCGCCGCGGGCCAUAUGUAUAUGGAGGAGAAAGUCCUCGAUCCAUACCGCGGGAUCUGUUGUUCCAUCAUAUGAUUCAAUAUUUACGGGUUUGAACCCCUCUGGGAAUUCAUGUUCCAUUACUUCAUCAGUGAAGCAUAGGGGGUGUGCGGCGCCUCUGUGUCGGGCUACGUCGCGACGCAGCUCAAAUGGAGCCAGUCUGCGGUAUUCGGCCCGGACAGGUGUGUAUUUGUCAUAUCUGGCGUCGUGGCCGUCGUUGCGCGUUGGGGCGCACCCCCGCGAUCCAUAGAUCGAUCUGGUCUGGCCUGCUCUGUUCUCCAAGUUGUACCGCGGGUCAUGUGUGUUUCCCCGAGAUGUUGUGUUUCUGUUAGUUCGGCGACGUGGUGCCAGCUGGUGUUCGGGCUGAAUUGCCGCUUUAUCUUGACCACGCGGUGGUCUGUCAGCCGCAUUAUGCGCUGGUAGUGCUGGCUCCAACGCCUCAUCAACGAAUUGAGGUAGUAAUUUGCGCUUCGGGUAACUUUUGGUUGGCGUUCGAGUCCGUAUUCCUCGGCUGCCAGGACUUCGGUCCAUCUGUGAGUGAGCAGAUUUUGAUCAGCUCAAAGCUGCUGCUGCUUCUUCUUCAGGCUUUUUGCAGUGGCUAUAAGCUGGCGCUUAAAAUGCUCCUGCUCGACGGGAUCCUCUGGCAUAAUAAAUUCUUCGUCGCCGAGGCUCACCUCAUCCUUGGAGAGAGGCAUGUAGUUGCUGUCCUCCGAGUCGUCGUUCACGGCCUGUUCAUCGGGGCUGGCUCACCCAUCUUCCCAUCCAGCCUGUUCGAAACUUGGCUUGGCGGGGUCUUCGUUGUCUUCGGCGUCGUCCGGAGUGCUAUUCUCUCUUGUGCCGAUAUCGCUAUUUUUACCAUGGCGUGAUUUAGAGCGGCACUGCUGACGUCGGCGCUUAGAUUGCUUCUCGGGAAGUUUAUCCUCAACUGGAUCUUUUAUGUCAUCGCCAUUGUCUUCUUUGGGUGUAUCCACCAUGUAUAUAUCGUAUGAGGAGGUGGCUGUCUAGCGCCCUGUGGGCGGUGGUUCCUGUUCUUCUCCGGCAUCGUCGUCCAUACCGUCGAUGUCUUCGGAGUUGAAAUCAAGCAUGUCGGUCAAAUCGUCGACAGUGGCUAUCAAGUGGGUGGUGGGUGGUAAAGAAGUUCUUCGUCGUCCGCUUCCCACUCAAGCCGGACAUAGUUCGACCAAGCAUCUUCUCACAAGGAGAGAGACUUUAAUGAGUUUAACACAUCACCUAAGGGUGAGUGUUGGAAGAUGUCCGCGGAGCUGAACUCUAAGAUCGGCGCUCGGUCAGAUUCGAUGGGUGCGGAUACACGCGGUUCAGAGCCUAUGGCCGGAGAUGAGUCCGGGGUUCCAAUGGCACAGGCCUCGUUGGAGGUCAGAUCUGUGUUCGGCUCUAGCGCUGCUAAGUCCGCGGCUUCCGUGACGAGGUUGAGCCUCCUAUCCUCGGAUGGCGCGCUCUGCUGGAUCUAGGGCCAGUGCGAUUACAGGCGCAAUCUCCUGCACACAGUCUGAUGACAGAUUUAGGUCGUGUUCAUCGUGGCGGCAGGGUGCGGCUAUCAUGGGUUCGAAUCCGUCAAAGAUCAAGUCUCCGCGGAUGUCGGCGGUAUAGUUCAAGCUUCCAAACCUGACCUGAUGGCCAGGGGCGUAGCUGUCGAUCUGCUCGAGAUGGCCAAGUGAGUUGGCCCGCAGUGCGAAGCCGCCGACUACGAAGAUCUGUCCGGGAAGAAAAACUUCACCCUGGACAGCGCUGUUGUAGAUGAUUGAAGGAGCCAUCAAGCCUUAUGGUGACGACACAGUGGGACUCUCAAUGAAAGCACCAAUGUCGGUGUUAAAACCGGCGGAUCUCGGGUAGGGGGUCCCGAACUGUGCGUCUAAGGCUAAUGGUAACAGGAGGCGGGGGACACAAUGUUUACCCAGGUUCGGGCCCUCUCGAUGGAGGUAAUACCCUACUUCCUGCUUGAUUGAUCUUGAUGAUAUGAGUAUUACAAGAGUUGAUCUACCACGAGAUCGUAGAGGCUAAACCCUAGAGGCUAGCCUAUGGUUGUGUUUGUUGUUGUCCUACGGACUAAACCCUCCGGUUUAUAUAGACACCGGAGGGGGCUAGGGUUACACAUAGUCGGUUACAGAGAAAGGAAUCUUCAUAUCCGAAUCGCCAAGCUUCCCUUCCACGCAAAGGAGAGUCCCAUCCGGACAUGGGCUUCGAAGUCUUCCAUCUUGCAUCUUCAUAAUCCAAUAGUCCGGCAUAUGCAUAUAGUCCGGUUGUCCGAGGACCCCUUAACCUAGGACUCCCUCACCAGGCAAGCAAAACCCCCUUGCUCAUUCCGAUACAAUCCCACUCUCUUGCUCUUGCUCUCUUUUACUGCAUUAGGGCAACAACGAUUCAACUGUUACAUGAUGCGGUAGUUGAACCCCUUUCCUCUGCAUGACCUGUCAUUGCCACAGUAAAUAGAUGAAACCCACUAGCAUGAGUAGGAGUUGUUUGAGCCCUGAUGUGCCUACUCAUUCAUGCUUGUUUGACAUGCCUGCUAUUGCUUAGAGUUGAGUCAGGUCUGAUUCAUCGGGGAUGAAUUGGAGGUGUGUGAACAUGUCCUACUGUGUGUGAGCUAAGUGCGUGAACAUGAUUUGGUAAAGGUAGUGGUGAGAGGCCAUGUAGGAGUACAUGGUGGGUUGUCUCGUUGAAGCUGUCCUCAGGAACUGAGUUCUGUGUUUGUGAUCCAUGAACAGCUACUACCACGCAUUGGGCUCCUUAAUUGACCCUCUUGACUUAUUAAUCAAUCUGAUCUCUAUCCAGGAGUUGCAACUAGUUUCUGGUGUUUGUAGGUGGUGCUAGUAGUCUAUCAAGUGGCACCCGGUACAGGUGGGCUUGGGACAGACUAGGCACACGUGGCACGGUGUACCAAGUGGCACCUGGAUGGUGGGCUUGGGAACCCUGCUCACAUCGUUUGGGGCCGUGAGCGACACCCCGGCCGGAUCUCCUUGCGGAUGGAACCCGAAUAGGCGAUAAACCUGGACUAGAGACUUGUGUGGUUAGUCAGGUCGUGGCCGACACCCUCGCCAGGCUUCCGCUUGAAGGUUGCCGAGAUAUAUGACAUGUACAUGGCGGUAAGUGGCAAGAGUGUGUGUGAAGAGUACACCCCUGCAGGAUUAAUAUGAUCUAUUCGAAUAGCCGCGUCCGCGGUAAAGGACCUCUGGGUUGCCUAUACAGUUCAUAGACAAGUGAAAGUGGAUACUUGCUACGUCUUGAGCUUGCGUUGGUUUUCCAUGAAGAGGAAAGGGUGAUGCAGCACAGUAGCGUAAGUAUUUCCCUCAGUUUUUGAGAACCAAGGUAUCAAUCCAGUAGGAAGCUCCUAGAAAGUCCCACGCACCUACACAAACAAACAAAGAACUCGCAACCAACGCAAUAAAGGGGUUGUCAAUCCCUUCACGGCCACUUGCGAAAGUGAGAUCUAAUAGAGAUAAUAUGAUAAGAUAAAUAUAUUUUUGGUAUUUUAUAAUAUUGAUGCAAAAAGUAAAGAUGCAAAUAAAAGUAGAUUGAAAGCAAAUAUAAUAAAAGAUAGACCCGGGGGCCAUAGGUUUCACUAGAGGCUUCUCUCAAGAUAGCAUAAGUAUUACGGUGGGUGAACAAAUUACUGUCGAGCAAUUGAUAGAAAAGCGAAUAAUUAUGAGAUUAUCUAGGCAUGAUCAUGUAUAUAGGCAUCACGUCUGCAACAAGUAGACCGACUCCUGCCUGCAUCUACUACUAUUACUCCACACAUCGACCGACUCCUGCCUGCAUCUAGAGUAUUAAGUUCAUAAAGAACAGAGUAACGCAUUAAGCAAGAUGACAUGAUGUAGAGGGAUAAACUCAUGCAAUAUGAUAUAAACCCCAUAUUUUUAUCCUCGAUGGCAACAAUACAAUACGUGCCUUGCAACCCUUUCUGUCACUGGGUAAGGAGACCGCAAGAUUGAACCAAAGCUAAGAAAAUCUCCCAUGGCAAGAAAGAUCAAUCUAGUAGGCCACCCCAAACUGAUAAUUCGAGAGACUUGCAAAGAUAACCAAUCAUACAUAAAAGAAUUCAGAAGAGAUUCAAAUAUUUCUCAUAGAUAAACUUGAUCAUAAACCCACAAUUCAUCGGAUCUCGACAAACACACCGCAAAAAGAGUUUACAUCGAAUAGAUCUCCACGAGAGAGGGGGAGAACAUUGUAUUGAGAUCCAAAAAGAGAGAAGAAGCCAUCUAGCUAAUAACUAUGGACCCGAAGGUCUGUGGUAAACUACUCACAACUCAUCGGAGGGGCUAUGGUGUUGAUGUAGAAGCCCUCCGUGAUCGAUUCCCCCUCCGGCGGAUCACCGACGAAGGCUCCAAGAUGGGAUCUCGCGGAUAUAGAAGGUUACGGCAGUGGAAAUUGUGUUUCGGUGGCUCCCUGGAUAGUUUCGGGGUACGUAGGUAUAUAUAGGAGGAAGAAGUAGGUCGGUGGCUGAUAACCCACAAGUGUAGGGGGUCGCAACAGCUUUCGAGGGUAAAGUACUCAACCCAAAUUUAUUGAUUCGACACAAAGGGAGCCAGAGAAUAUUCUUGAGUAUUAGCAGUUGAGUUGUCAGUUCAACCACACCUGGAUAACUUAGUAUCUGCAGCGAAGUAUUUAGUAGCAAAGUAAUACGGAAAUAGAAGUAACAAUAGCAAAAGUAAUAUUUUUGGGUUUUGUAAUGUUUGUAACAGUAGCAACGGAAAAGUAAAUAAGCGGAGAACAAUAUGUGAAAAGCUCGUAGGCAAUGGAUCAGUGAUGGAUAAUUAUAUCCGAUGCGAUUCCUCAUGUAAUAGCUAUAACCUAGGGUGACACAGAACUAGCUCCAGUUCAUCAAUGUAAUGUAGGCAUGUAUUCCGUAAAUAGUCAUACGUGCUUAUGGAAAAGAACUUGCAUGACAUAUUUUGUCCUACCCUCCCGUGGCAGCGGGGUCCUAGCGGAAACUAAGGGAUAUUAAGGCCUCCUUUUAAUAGAGAACCGGAACAAAGCAUUAGCACUUAGUGAAUACAUGAACUCCUCAAACUACGGUCAUCACUGAGAAGUAUCCCGGUUAUUGUCACUUCGGGGUUGUCGGGUCAUAACACAUAAUAGGUGACUAUAGACUUGCAAGAUAGGAUCAAGAACUCACAUAUAUUCAUGAAAACAUAAUAGGUUCAGAUCUGAAAUCAUGGCACUCGGGCCCUAGUGACAAGCAUUAAGCAUAGCAAAGUCAUAGCAACAUCAAUCUCAGAACAUAGUGGAUACUAGGGAUCAAACCCUAACAAAAGUAACUUGAUUACAUGAUAAAUCUCAUCCAACCCAUCACCGUCCAGCAAGCCUACGAUGGAAUUACUCACGCACGGCGGUGAGCAUCAUGAAAUUGGUGAUGGAGGAUGGUUGAUGAUGACGAUGGCGACGAAUCUCCCUCUCCGGAGCCCCGAACGGACUCCAGAUCAGCCCUCCCGAGAGAGAUUAGGGCUUGGCGGCGGCUCCGUAUCGUAAAACGUGAUGAAACUUUCUCUCUGAUUUUUUUCUCCGCGAAACGGAAUAUAUAGCGUUGGAGUUGAGGUCGGUGGAGCUCCAGGGGGCCCAGGAGACAGGGGGCGCGCCCAGGGGGAGAGGGCGCGCCCCCCACCCUCCUGGACAGGCUGUGGGUCCCCUGACCUUGAUUCUUUCGCCAGUAUUUUUUAUAUUUUCCAAAAAGUGCCUCCGUGGAUUUUCAGGUCAUUCCGAGAACUUUUGUUUUCUACACAUGAAACAACAUCAUGGUAAUUCUGCUGAAAACAGCGUCAGUCCGGGUUAGUUCCAUUCAAAUCAUGCAAAUUAGAGUCGAAAACAAGGGUAAAAGUGUUUGGAAAAGUAGAUACAUUGGAGACGUAUCAACUCCCCCAAGCUUAAACCAUUGCUUGUCCUUAAGCAAUUCAGUUGAUAAACUGAAAGUGAUAAAGAAAAACUUUUACAAACUCUAUUUGCUCUUGUUGUUGUAAAUAUAUCAAGCCAGCAUUCAAGUUUCAGCAAAUAUUAUGAACUAACCAUACUCACAAUAACACCUAGGUCUCACAAUUACUCAUAUCAAUGGCAUAAUCAGCUAGCGAGCCAUAAUAAUAAAACUCAGAUGACAACACUUUCUCAAAAUAAUCACAACAUGAUAUAACAAAAUGGUAUUUGGCUAGCCCUUUCUGAGACCGCAAAACAUAAAUGCAGAGCACCUUUAAAGAUCAAGGACUGACUAAACAUUGUACUUCAUGGUAAAAGAGAUCCAGUCAAGUCAUACCCAAUAUAAACCAAUAAUAAUGAAUGCAAAUGACAGUGUGCUCUCCAGCAGGUGCUUUUAAUAAGAAGGUGAUGACUCAACAUAAAAGUAAAUAGAUAGGCCCUUCGCAGAGGGAAGCAGGGAUUUGUAGAGGUGCCAGAGCUCGAUUUUUUAAAAUAGAGACUGAAUAACAUUUUGAGCGGCAUACUUUCACUGUCAACGCAACAACUAUGAGAUGGCUGUAUCUUCCAUACUACAUGCAUUAUAGGCAGUUCCCAAACAGAAUGGUAAAGGUUUAUACUCCCCCAACCACCAACAAGCAUCAAUCCAUGGCUUGCUCGAAAUAACGAGUGCCUCCAACUAACAACAGCCCUGGGGGAGUUUUGUUUAAUUAUUUUGAUUUGCUUUUGAUCUUUUGGAUCUUGGAACUGGGCAUCCCGGUUACCGGCCCUUUCUCGUGAAUGAGGAGCGGAGUCCACUCCUCUUGAGAAUAACCCACCUAGCAUGGAAGAUAUAGGCAGCCCUAGUUGAAACAUGAGCUGCUCGAGCAUACAAAACAGAAUUUCAUUUGAAGGUUUGGAGUUUGGCACAUACAAAUUUACUUGGAACGGCAAGUAAAUACCGCAUAUAGGAAGGUAUGGUGGACUCACAUGGAACAACUUUGGGGUUUAAGGAGUUUGGAUGCACAAGCAGUAUUCCCGCUUAGUACAGGUGAAGGCUAGAAAAAGACUGGGAAGCGACCAACUGAGAGAGCGACAACAGUCAUGAACAUGCAUUAAAAUUAAUUUACAUCGAGUAUAAGCAUGAGUAGGAUAUAAUCCACCAUGUACAUAAAUAUCAUGAAGGCUAUGUUGAUUUGUUUUCAACUACAUGCGUGAACAUGUGCCAAGUCGAGUCACUCACUUCAUUCAAAGGAGGAUACCAUCCCAUCAUACCACAUCACAAUCAUUCUAAUAGCAUGUUGGCACGCAAGGUAAACCAUUAUAACUCAUAGCUAAUCAAGCAUGGCACAAGCAACUAUAAUCUCUAAAUGGCAUUGCAAAUAUGUUUACUUCAUAAUAAGCUGAAAUAGGAAUGAUGAACUCAUCAUAUUUACAAAAACAAGAGAGGUCGAGUUCAUACCAGCUUUUCUCAUCCCAAUCAGUCCAUCAUAUAUCGUCAUUAUUGCCUUUCACUUGCACGACCGAACGAUGUAUAUAAUAAUAAUAGUGCACGUGCAUUGGACUAAGCUGGAAUCUGCAAGCAUUCAACUCAAGAGAUAAGACAAGGUAAUAUGGGCUCUAAGUUAAAUAAACAAUCAUGCAUAUGAGAGCCGCUAAACAUUUUCAAUAUGGUCUUCUCGACCCCCAAAGAAAAGAAAAGAAAAGAAAACUAUUUACACGGGAAAGCUCCCAACAAGUAAAAAGAAGAACGAGAAAUCUUUUUGGGUUUUCAUUUUAAUUCUACUACAAGCAUGGAAAUUAAACUAACUAAUUUUUUUGGUUUUUCUUAAGGUUUAUCAAACUCACAAGAAGAAAACUAGAAAAAGAAAAUUAAACUAGCAUGGAUAAUACAAUGAAAGAGUAUGAGCACCGACGACUAGUGUGUGAAUAUGAAUGUAAAGUCGGUGAGAAAUACGUACUCCCCCAAGCUUAGGCUUUUGGCCUAAGUUGGUUUAAUACCAAGGACCGUGGCUACUCUCCCCGGUGUAAUGAAGAGUGUCAUCGUAUUGCCACUAACUGGCGAUCUCCUCUGGAUCCCACUGAUAACAGGAUGGACGAUAAGGGUCCAGCGGGGGUUCCGGCUCAGGCUCUGGAGUGGAUGCUUGGCCUUGAUGAGCAUACACCGCUUCCGGUGAACAAGAAAAUUAUCUGCAAUCAAAUCAAACAACAGAGGCGCAGGCAAAAUAAUAGUCUCAUUAUGUUUCUUAUUAAAUCUAAGGUUAUACAAGAGCAUCUUUUCUUCGUUUUCAACAAUAAACGCGUGUGCUACCAUGCUCUUGUAAUCUAUAAUGUAAGGAGGCAAUUUUGUCUCCUCUUUCUCAUGGUGCCUAAUGGGUAUCUGAAAAUGUCUAGCCAGACGUGAAGCAUAGAUACCUCCAAAUAUGGGGCCUUUUGUACGAUUCAGGCUUAGCCGUUUAGCAAUUAUGGCACCCAUACUAAAACUAUUGUCUCCAAACAAAGCAUGUUGCAAAAUGAUAAUAUCAGGAACACUAAGGUUUCCGCUAUUUCCACGACCAAUUAAGCAUCUACUAGCAAAUAUGGCAAAGUAGCGUAAAACAGGGAAGUGUAUGCUAGAGAUUUUCGCCUCGGAACCCUUCUUUGGCUCCUCUACAGCUAUAGUGUUAACAAAGCCAUCCACAUCUUUACAAUGGGGUUCCUCUAAUUCUCCCUCACAGGGUAUCCUACAUACCGCGCAAAAACCACGUAAAGACAUUUCUCUGAAUUCAUCAUAUAUUAAUGAAAUGAUACUGAAGGCAGUGAAUUCUUAGGAUAAUAAUAAAAAUUUGCACGAAAGUAUUGGUGAGUAAGAGAUACUGAUCGAUCCGGUCGUGGAGGAAAUUGGUGAGGCCUGCAUUCUCAAUCAAAGAAUAAAAAUCUUCAUGAAUUCCAGCUUCUUUCAAGAAAUCAUCGCAUGGCCAUUCACACGGCCGUACUUCCGCUAAGCGAGGAAGAUUAUACUUGGCUUUUUCCUUCUCUUUAGCCUGUUUUUCUCGAGACCCUUGGCUAGAUGAGCCCCUCAGAAGUUUCCUUAACAUUUUCUGAAAAUUUCUGAAAUUUUAGUAACUUCGAAAUAAAAGUGAAUAAAAUUAAACAAGAUUGGUAGCAACUACUCCUACAAGUGCCUAGAGCCUAUAUCAUGCAUUAGAAUUACUUGGGACCUCAUAAAUUUGACAUGCAAGCUCAAGAACAUGGUCACCUAUGCAGCAAAAAUUUGCAAUGAAUAAAGCACUAGAACAAAAACUAAUUGGACCAAUGGAGGAGUCACAUACCAAGCAACAAUCUCCCAAAGCAGUUUUGUGAAUGGAGCUUUGAGCAAGGAGAUCGAAAAUUGCAGCAAAAUGAGCUAGAACUCGUGCUUGAGCUGGAUGGGGAUUUUUUUGGGAGGAAGAUGGAGUGUGUGGGUGCUGGCAUAAGUGGAGGGGGGCCACCAGGGGCCCACGAGACAGGGGGCGCGCCCAGGGGGGAAGGGCGCGCCCUCCUCUCUCGUGGCAUGGUGCUUGCCCCUCCUGCAGUGAUUUCAGUGCCUAGAAUCCUCAAAUAUUCCAAAAAAAAUCAUACUAAAUUGGCAGGGCAUUUGGAGCACUUUUAUUUUCGGGAUAUUUUUUAUUGCAUGGAUAAUUCAGAAAACAGACAAAUAAUACUAUUUUUGCUUUAUUUAUUCAAAAUAACAGAAAGUAAAAAGAGGGUACAGAAGGUUGUGCCUUCUAGUUUCAUCCAUCUCAUGGUCAUCAAAAUGAAUCCACUAACAAGGUUGAUCAAGUCUUGUUAACAAACUCAUUCCGAAUAACACGGAACCGGAGAAAUUUCGAAUGACACUAGGUUACCUCAACGGGGAUAUGAAAAUCCCCAAUAAUAAGAAUAUCAUACUUUUUCUUGACAGUAGGGAGAGGAAAUUCAAAUCCUCCAAAAAUGAUAGUUGGAACUUUUCCAAUGGAAUUAAUGCUAUGAACUUGAGAUUGUUUCCUCGGAAAGUGUACCGUAUGCUCAUUACCAUUAACAUGAAAAGUGACAUUGCCCUUGUUGCAAUCAAUAACAGCCCCUGCAGUAUUCAAAAAGGGUCUACCAAGGAUAAUCGACAUACUAUCGUCCUCGGGAAUAUCAAGAAUAACAAAGUCCGUUAAGAUAGUGACAUUUGCAACUACAACAGGCACAUCCUCACAAAUACCAACAGGUAUAGCAGUUGAUUUAUUAGCCAUUUGCAAAGAUAUUUCAGUAGGUGUCAACUUAUUCAAUUCAAGUCUACGAUAUAAAGAGAGAGGCAUAACACUAACACCGGCUCCAAGAUCACAUAAAGCAGUUUUAACAUAAUUUCUUUUAAUGGAGCAUGGUAUAGUUGGUACCCCUGGAUCUCCAAGUUUCUUUGGUAUUCCACCCUUAAAAGUGUAAUUAGCAAGCAUGGUGGAAAUUUCAGCUUCCGGUAUCUUUCUUUUAUUUGUGAUGAUAUCCUUCAUAUACUUAGCAUAAGGAUUUACUUUAAGCAUAUCAGUUAAGCUCAUACGUAAGAAGAUAGGUCUAAUCAUUUCAGCAAAGCGCUCAAAAUCCUCAUCAUCCUUUGAUUUGGAUGGUUUAGGAGGAAAGGGCAUGGGUUUCUGAACCCAUGGUUCUCUUUCUUUACCGUGUUUCCUAGCAACGAAGUCUCUCUUAUCAUAACGUUGAUUCUUUGAUUGUGGGUUAUCAAGAUCAACAGCAGGUUCAAUCUCUACAUCAUUAUUAUUGCUAGGUUGAGCAUCAACAUGAACAUUAUCAUUUACAUUAUCACUAGGUUCAUGUUCAUCACCUGAUUGUGUUUCAGCAUCAGAAAUAGAAAUAUCAUUGAGAUUCUCAGGUGUGUCUACAGUAGGUUCACUAGAAGCAUGCAAAGUCCUAUCGUUUUUCUUUUUCUUCUUUUUGGAAGAACUAGGUGCAUCUAAAAUGUUUCUCUGAGAAUCUUGCUCGAUUCUCUUAGGGUGGCCUUCAGGAUACAAAGGUUCCUUAGUCAUUCUACCAGUUCUAGUAGCCACUCUAACAGUAAAGUCAUUUUUAUUAUUUAAUUCAUCAAGCAAAUCAUUUUGAGCUUUAAGUACUUGCUCCGCGUGGGUAGCAACCAUAGAAGCAUAUUUGCUAAUGAGUUUGAGUUCACCUUUAACUCUAGCCAUAUUAUCGUCCACGCGUCCUAUCUCGAAAGCAUUAUUCUUUAACUCUCUACAACAUAAGCAUUAAAACUUUCUUCUCUAGCCAUAAAGUCAUCAAAUUCAUCUCGGCAUGGGCUAUGAAGUUUAGUAGAGGGGAUUUCAACUUUAUCAUAUCUAUUGAGAGAAUUUACCUUUACUACCUGUGUCGGGUUAUCAAGACAAUGUGGUUCUUCAUCAGGCGGUAUAUUAAGACCAUGUAUUUCUUCAAUAGGUGGUAAAUUCUUAACAUCUUCAGCUUUAAUACCUUUUUCUUUCAUUGAUUUCUUUGCCUCUUGCGUAACCUCGGGACUGAGAAAUAAAACACCUCUCUUCUUCGGAGUGGGUUUAGGGAUAGGUUCAGAAGUUGGCUCAAUUGGUUCAGGAAUUGCCUCAGGAAUUGGCUCAGGAAGAGUCCAGUUAUUUUCAUUAGUCAACAUAUUAAUCAAUAAUAAUUCAGCUUCGUCGACUGUUCUUUCCCUGAAAACACAACCAGCACAACUAUCCAAGUGGUCCUUGGAAGCAUCGGUUAGUCCAUUAUAAAAGAUAUCAAGUAUUUCAUUCUUCUUGAGAGGAUGAUCAGGCAAAGCAUUAAGUAAUCGGAGAAGCCUCCCCCAAGCUUGUGGGAGACUCUCUUCUUUGAUUUGCACAAAAUUAUAUAUUUCCCGCAAGGCAGCUUGUUUCUUAUGAGCAGGGAAAUAUUUAGCAGAGAAGUAAUAGAUCAUAUCCUGGGGACUACGCACACAACCAGGAGCAAGAGAGUUGUACCAAGUCUUAGCAUCACCCUUUAAUGAGAAUGGAAAUAUCUUAAGGAUAUAAUAAUAGCGAGAUUUAUCAUCAUGAGUAAACAGGGUAGCUAUAUCAUUCAACUUGGUAAGAUGUGCCACAAUAGUUUCAGAUUCAAGGCCAUAAAAAGGAUCAGAUUCAACCAAAGUAAUAAUUUCAGGAUCAACAGAGAAUUCAUAAUCCUUAUCAGUAACACAGAUAGGUGAAGUAGCAAAAAUAGGGUCAGGUUUCAUUCUAGCAUUAAGAGACUGAUGCUUCCAUUUAGCUAAUAAUUUCUUUAGAUCAUAUCUAUCAUUGCAAGCAAGAAUAGCUCUAGCAGCUUCCUCAUUCAUAACAUAACCCUCAGGAACAACAGGCAAUUCAUAAUCAUUGGGAGAACUUUCAUCAUCACUAUCAUCAAUAAUAGCAUCUUCAAUAAUUUCAUUCUCUCUAGCCCUAGCAAGUUGUUCAUCAAGAAAUUCACCUAAUGGCACAGUAGUAUCACGCAAAGAAGUAGUUUCAUCAUAAGUAUCGUGCAUAGCAGAAGUGGCAUCAUCAAUAACAUGCGACAUAUCAGAAUUAAUAACAGUAGCGGGUUUAGGUGUCGCAAGCUUACUCAAAACAGAAGGAGAAUCUAGUGCAGAGCUAGAUGGCAGUUCCUUACCUCCCCUCGUAGUUGAGGGAUAAAUUUUUGUUUUGUUGUCUUUCAAGUUCUUCAUAGUGAUCAACAGAUAUAAAUCCCAAGUGACUCAAAGAAUAGAGCUAUGCUCCCCGGCAACGGCGCCAGAAAUUAGUCUUGAUAACCCACAAGUGUAGGGGAUCGCAACAGCUUUCGAGGGUAAAGUACUCUACCCAAAUUUAUUGAUUCGACACAAGGGGAGCCAGAAAAUAUUCUUGAGUAUUAGCAGUUGAGUUGUCAGUUCAACCACACCUGGAUAACUUAGUAUCUGCAGCAAAGUAUUUAGUAGCAAAGUAAUAUGGAAAUAAAAGUAACAAUAGCAAAAGUAAUAUUUUUGGGUUUUGUAAUGUUUGUAACAGUAGCAACGGAAAAGUAAAUAAGCGGAGAACAAUAUGUGAAAAGCUCGUAGGUAAUGGAUCAGUGAUGGAUAAUUAUGUCGGAUGCGAUUCCUCAUGUAAUAGCUAUAACCUAGGGUGACACAGAACUAGCUCCAGUUCAUCAAUGUAAUAUAGGCAUGUAUUCCGUAAAUAGUCAUACGUGCUUAUGGAAAAGAACUUGCAUGCCAUCUUUUGUCCUACCCUCCCGUGGCAGCGGGGCCCUAGCGGAAACUAAGGGAUAUUAAGGCCUCCUUUUAAUAGAGAACCGGAACAAAGCAUUAGCACUUAGUGAAUACAUGAACUCCUCAAACUACGGUCAUCACUGAGAAGUAUCCCGAUUAUUGUCAUUUCGGGGUUGUCGGAUCAUAACACAUAAUAGGUGACUAUAGACUUGCAAGAUAGGAUCAAGAACUCACAUAUAUUCAUGAAAACAUAAUAGGUUCAGAUCUGAGAUCAUGGCACUCGGGCCCUAGUGACAAGCAUUAAGCAUAGCAAAGUCAUAGCAACAUCAAUCUCAGAACAUAGUGGAUACUAGGGAUCAAACCCUAACAAAAGUAACUUGAUUACAUGAUAAAUCUCAUCCAACCCAUCACCGUCCAGCAAGCCUAUGAUGGAAUUACUCACGCACGGCGGUGAGCAUCAUGAAAUUGGUGAUGGAGGAUGGUUGAUGAUGACGAUGGCGACGAAUCCCCCUCUCCGGAGCCCCGAACGGACUCUAGAUCAGCCCUCCUGAGAGAGAUCAGGUCUUGGCGGCGGCUCUGUAUCAUAAACGCGAUGAAACUUUCUCUCCUGAUUUUUUCCUCCUCGAAAGGGAAUAUAUAGCGUUGGAGUUGAGGUCGGUGGAGCGUCGGGAGGCCCACGAGACAGGGGGGCACGCCCAGGGGGGAAGGGCGCGCCCCCCACCCUCGUGGAUAGGGUGUGGGCCCCCUGGUCCUGAUUCUUUCGCCAGUAUUUUUUAUAUUUUCCAAAAAGUGCCUCCGUGGAUUUUCAGGACAUUCCGAGAACUUUUGUUUUCUACACAUGAAACAACAUCAUAGUAAUUCUGCUGAAAACAGCGUCAGUCCGGGUUAUAUCCAUUCAAAUCAUGCAAAUUAGAGUCCAAAACAAGGGCAAAAGUGUUUGGAAAAGUAGAUACGUUGGAGACGUAUCAGUGGCCGCCCGUGGGGCCUAGGAGACAGGGGGCGCGCCCUCCACCCUCCUGGCCGAGGGCGCGCCCUCCACCCUCCUGGCCGGCUCGGCUGCUUCUUGACUUGCACUCCAAGUCCUCUGGAUCACGUUCGUUCCAAAAAUCACGCUCCUGAAGGUUUUAUUCCGUUUGGACUCCGCUUGAUAUUCCUUUUCUUCGAAAUACUGAAAUAGGCAAAAAAACAGAAAUACGGGCUGGGCCUCCAGUUAGUAGGUUAGUCCCAAAAAUGAUAUAAAUGUAUAAAAUAAAGCCCAUAAGCAUCCAAAAGGGGUAAUAUAAUAGCAUGGAACAAUCAAAAAUUAUAGAUACGUUGGAGACGUAUCAAUACUCUAAAAUACGCAAGAUAAGCGUGAGUGCUAUGGAUGGCGUUCUCAUAGGGAGACGGAAGCGGAUCCAUAGUGGUGUAUUGAUAUGGUGAAUAUGUGGACUCAUGUGCGCCACCUCAGAGAGUUACUUGCAGUCGUAGUUCAGGAUAGCCGCCGAGUCAAAGCUGGCUUGCUGCAGUUAAAGCCCACCAUCCCUUUGUUGAUAAUGAUGCAUAUAUAGCUAGUUCUGAUGUAAGCACUACAAAAAAAUACACUUCCGUGAUGAUACGUGUUUGUCACUGUAGGCCGCGUUUUUUGUCAUGCAUGUACAUCCAUGACGAUUUUAUGACAGAAUCAUGAUAGUCAUACAUGUGCUGUCGUAGAAGUGUUCCAUGACAUUACCAAAAUUAUCAUCACGGAAGUGUCCACUUCUAUGACGAUAAAUCGCGCAUCACAGAAGUGCUUUCGUCAAGGGUGACUGACAUGUGGCAUCCACCGUAACGGAACGCCGUUAAGCUAUCGGCUCGGGUUUUGGAUCCGAUAACCCGUUAACAGCCCUGACCAAUGGGAAAUUUCCACGUGUAAAAUUCUUAUUGGCCGGACGAAACACGUGUCAGCUCGUCAGUGGGUCAGAUAGGCGCCUAUGAUAUGUCGACACGUGCCACGGCCCACCACUGGCCCAUUUAGCUUACAAAGCCGGCCCGUUUGUCUUGGUCAAAAGUUAACGGGCUGGCCCAUGAAAAGCCUGUUACCGGUCUCUUCGCAAAUAGCCCAUUUUAUGGCCCGGUAACUCACGGCCCGUUAGGCCCUAAAGGAAAUCGGCCCAACAACGUCAUCGAAUAUAACACCAGCCCAUUUCACUUUCGGCACAUGUAUGGCCCACGACGUCUUUCGGCCCAUAUGAGGCCUUCGUAUCUUUAGGCCCUUUAGAGGCCCACGGUGACUCUAGCCCAUAAUGAACAGUAAUUUUCUUUGUACCCGUUAACGGCUCGUGAUUCACAUGGGCCGUUUCUAGCCCGUGUUAGCUUUCGGCCUAUUGACGGCCCAUAUGUUCUUGGGCUCCUUUCCGGCCCUCGAUGUAGGAGAUAUGCCCUAGAGGCAAUAAUAAAUGAUAUUAUUUAUCUCCGAGUUCAUAAUUAUGUUUAUGUUCCAUGCUAUAACUGCAAUGAUUCUCGAGUCUGCAAUAUCCACGAGGCUCGGAGGAAGACUCAAAUGCACAUGUGGAAUAAUAAACGGUAAGAAGUAUUCCUAGUCUGGCCUCUAAGACUAGCUCAAGUGUUGUAUGAUGAUUCUGUUUUCCUGGUCAUGGGCAUGUCUAUGCCAGCAACUUUGAGGGCACAAUGUUAAGAGAACAUUUGUGUUCAAUCGACCCGGAUUGAUGUUAUGCUAUGAGAUUCAUUCGUCACAAGUUUAUUGGUACAUAACACAGAGAUGGUUAACGUUUGCAUGAUUCCUUAGACCAUGAGAGUAUCGAGUUUCUUCAUGCUUGCUUCAUGAACUUUGGGGUUUGUUAAACGUCAUCCGUAAAUGGGUGGCUAUUACGGCGGCUUACGGGUUCAUGGAAAAGUGUGUCAAGUAACUUGAUAGCUCAAGAUUGGGAUUUGCUCCUCCGACGAUGGAGAGAUAUCUCUGGGCCCUCUCGGUGUUACGGUAUCCAUCAUCGUCUGGCCAGACACUUUGUGAUUUGAUCACGGGGAUGCCGGAACACGAUAACGAGAAAAGAGAACAAUACCGGUAACGAGGUAACUAGCAUAGUGGACAAGUUGUUGAUCCACGGGAAUGCCAACAUGUCUCACCUCGGGUAUUUGUAACAUAUCGCGAAGCAACAGGAAUAGCACACGGCAACUGGAGGUUCACUCGAAUAUUUAUUCGUGUGGGUAUAGGGGUCAAUAUGGGUGUCCACGGCUCCGAUGUUGAUCAUUGAUCGGAAGGGGUUCCGGGUCAUGUCUAUACUUCACCGAACCUAUAGGGUCACACGCUUAAGGGUCAUCUAUCUGUUGAAUACUAGACAGGGAGUCUGAGAGAAAAUCACCAAAAAAGUUUCGGACACCGAAAAGUUUCGGACAGCGGAAUCGUACCGCAGAGAGAGGUCAUCGGAUAAGUUUCGAUGAUACCGAAAAGUUGUUUCGGGAUACACCAUUAAGUCAAAUUGGUUUCGGCACAUGCCUGAUAAUUCUUGGAGGAUGCCAGAAUCAUUCUGGAAGCUUUUUGGAAUUUUCUGAGAUAAAAACCGGAAAUGUUCCGGAGCUGCCGGAGCCACUUCAGAUGCGUUUCGCAGAUGAAAAUCACUAAAACCGGAAUUGUUUUGGAACGCGUUGAAAAUCAUUUUAGUGGGUACUGGAAAUGUUCUUAGCCCACAUAAAUAUUUUCAGUUCGAUCAGACGCUGAAAAAUGUCGUCGUGAAUAGUGAAAAUCAGCUUUAUGGUUACUUUAUGGAAAGCCACCUUUUGGGGCUUUGCUCCAAAAGAUCUUGGGGAUGACAUGGAUGGAUAGGAGCCAUUUUUUGGGCCCCUCAUGGGGGUGUGGCCGGCCACAUGGGGUAUCCCCCCUAGGGGACCCUCUUGUUCCUUGGUUUCACUCCUAGGUCCUUGUGGAAGGACUUCAUUCAUGUGCAUUUUGGGUUUUUUGUGAAACUACCCUACCCCCUUGGGAUUUCCUAUAAACAGAGGUGGAGGGGCAGCCCUCCACACUCAUCCCUUGCUCUCAUACACAUGCCAUGCAUUAUCUGGCUUCUUCUCUCCCUCCCACGAAAGUUUCGUAGAGCCGUAAGGCUGUCUGGGUUCCGGCAGGAACUAGUUCUGGACGGCGAAGCCCUGCCGGAUAGAUGACACCGUAUGUGUGCAACUCUGUAGAGAGAUCGUAGUUUCGGUCUUAGUUCGUGAGUGCCUCCCGAAGGGCUGUCCGUGUGACCGUCCGAGUUUCGAAGGUCCUCCCGAAGGGCUGUCCGAGUGACCGUUCGAGUUUCGAAGGUCCUCCCGAAGGGCUGUCCGCGACACCGUCCGGGGGGGCUGUUCGACCGCCUCCCGGAGGGCUGUCUGAGGAGCAGAUGAGGGUAUACAUCCUCGCGGUUGGGAGGUUGUAAAUCCUAGCUGCGGGGAUCUGCACCGCCGAUCGUCAUCGACUCUACUUCCCGCUGCGCUACGAGUCGGUAACGAAAAAGAUCAAACCAUGUAUGCAGUCUCCAUAGUGGUCCUAGGCUGGUGCGUAGGUCGGAAAUUUUUUGUUUUCUGUCGCAUUCCCCUUGAGAGAAUACAUGGAGAUGUAUGGGUAUUGCAUAAUAUAAUUAGGUAGUAGAUGAGAUCUAUUGCUGAAAAUUAUUUAUGCGGGUGACAGAUGAAAUCUGUUACCGAGGUUCUUGUUGCUUCCCUAGAAUUUGCGUUUGCUCAACCUAGAGACAGCAUGGUGGAAUUUGACAAAGUUCUGGCAAUCCGUGAUCCUGAUUGAUCAUGGAAGUGCUAUCAGUUCUUUGGGUUCUGCCGUAGUCAAAAGAAAGAUGAAAUUCGCAGAUCAAAGGGCAUUGCAGAUAUGAUCUGCACGGGGGUCAUGCGUAUGACGAAGUUUAGUAUGGGGCUCGAGAUUUAAUUAUCCCGUGUUUCAUACACCUCGAGAUGUUAAUCUAGCAACUUGAAUAAUCAUACUUGAUGAUAAAACGUUGGUCGCUGCGGUUUAAGUCAAAACCUUAGAAGCCACGUAAAAUAAAUUUUGCAUAAACCGAUUAGAGGCGUCUAACUUGGUUUUGCAGGAUGUGCAUAUGAUGUGGUAUAGCAGUGCUCAUACUAAUUCGAUUAUGUAUGAGAUGACUAUAUGAUGUAAUUUGAUUAACAUGACCUGCGUGUCAUGAUUCGGCAUGAUGGUUGGAGCCAUAUGAUUGCACUUUAAUGACCUGCGUGUCAACCUUGUUGUAAUGCAUUAUUUUGUUAGCUAUAGAGAUAGCAAUAUUAUCUGGUGCAUCGACAAGGUGGUGGCAAUCUUCGCGAAGGUGAACACCGACGCGAAUGCCGAAGACGAAGAAAUGAAAGACUUCUCCGUCAGAAAGGGCUAUACCAUAUCAUGCUAUUAUGAAUUGCCUGAGAUGUUUAUCCCUUAUGAUGCACCCUUCUUGAUUGUGCGGUAGUCGCUUUUAUUAGGGUGAUCUCUCACUUAAAAUACCAAGUAGUUAGUGUUCUCCCAAGUGUAGCACCGUCACGGCACCUAUCUUUUCGGGGUGCGCCGUGUCACACGGGUACGAACGAUUAGAGAAGUGUGAGGCGGGUGAGUUGAGACCUCGCAGCGAGAUCACUUGGUUGUCUUGACGUUCAGGCAUGACCGUCAUGAGCUCGGAACUCACGCAUCGAAAGAUGAACAAGAGUCACAUAGAGAUGUGAUUGGCAAGUUGGCCUACCGGUUGAGAUUUUUUGUCAUCAGUGGUGUUACACCAAUGGCGAACAAUUGAAAUGUGGGUCUUGUAUCACUCACAAUCAAUUUUGAGAGAUAUUGAUUUGAGUGGGAGCGCACUGUUGAAUUAACAUGUUUAAUUCUUAGUGCAAUUAAUUAUGAACAUUGUCUAAGUGUUAUAUGAAAAAUAGUUGUAGAAUAAUGGCUCGCGUUUCCACCUUCCCUGUUAAAAUUGAAUAGCUGUUAAAUAUCUGGUUAAAACUUUACGAUUGGUACCGUAAUAUGAGGAUUGUCCUCAAAAGUGCAGAGAAGGACUUUGUCCUAUCGCAUGCUUUCCGUAUCCUCCCGCUAAUGCUAUGGAUCAUGUGACUCUCGUCCUUUGAUCCAAAAGCUAGAAUUCUGUUACGGUCAAGUGGAAUAUGUUUGCUUCCAUGAAACCCAAACUUCGAAAGUUGGGAUAGUUAUAUGAUAUUCAUGGAACUGAAAAUUAUUUUCAGAUACAAACAAAGCAAUGUUUGUUUGCAAGUAUUAGUAAAAGUGUUUACUAUGCAUUUGACUGUUGGGAAAGGGAUCCAGAAGAACGCCUGUCAUAUAAUGAAAGGUGAAUAAAACAACAACUUAAAGAGAAAGGAAGUGUCCAAAGGGUGUUAGUAUGACUUACACGCCUAGGAAGUCCGGGGCUAAUGCCACUCUUAAGUUGGGUGCUUCUUCUGAGAGUAGGAGAAAUACUAAAAGUUAAACUGCUAGAAGUAUAAAGGCAAAAGGAAAGAAGACUGGAAUAUCCAGCUCAUGUAUGAAUGGCAUACAAGUUUUUGAUGUAUAGAAGGCUGGUCAAAGAUAUAGUUCUUGCGAAUUAUGGUUAAACAUGUUAAUCACUAAUUCUUGGGUAUUGUGAGUUCAUCACAAAAAUGCCCGCUCGAUUGCAUUCUGUUGCAACUCGAUGUAAGAACUACUAUGGCCUGAAAGACUAACUAGAAAUGAGGUUAAGGUAUACACAGGGAACAUAGUAAAUGUUACUAUACCUUCCAUCGGCGUAUUGCCGUCUGUAUUUAUUUUCAUAAUUCAUUUAGAGUUUUACAAACUCUAUCCCAUUGCAUAAGGCAUCUUGCAAGAAGGUUGUUCAUAAGGGAACUUUUUAUGUUCGAUGUUAUGAAUAACACAAGGGCCAUACUUUCAUUAUGAAUGAGAUGUAUGUUAUGAAUAUUGAUAAUAAUACGAUACCUCUGGGUUUACUUUCAUAAUUCAUUUUAGAGUUUCAUACACUCUAGCCCAUUGCACAAUGUUUGUUGCAAAAGAGUUGUUCAUAAAAACAACAAUUGUUGUUAAGUAUUAUGAAUAACAUAAGGGCCAUACUUCCAUCAUCGAUGGGACGUAUGUUAUGAAUAUUGAGGGUAAUAUGAUACAUCCAUAACACUGACGCUAAAUGUCGCAAGACUAAAAGAAUACCACACAAGUGUGGCACUACAUUUGGUCACAUUGGAGAAACCCGCAUGGAAAAUUCCAUUAUGAUGGAUUCUGAAGUCUUUUUGAUUUUGAAUCAUCUGACACUUACAACUUUCCUCCGAAAAGUGAAGUGACUAAAAUACCGUUCACAGGCCAUAAGGAACGAACAACAAACUUAUUAGUGAUCAUACAUUUGAUGUGUGUAGUCCGAUAAGUGUUGUUAGUGGUGGAUUUAUUUAUCUUCAGAAAUGACUCAAGUAGAUAUAUGGAUAUUUACUUGAUGAGACAUAAGUCUGGAUCUUUUGAAAUCAUUCGAAAGGUUCUCAAAAAUGAAGUAGAAGUUAUUGUAACAAGAAAAUUAUGUUUCUGCAAUUUGAUUGCACAAAGGAAUAUUUGAGUUACAUGUUUAGCAAAUGUCUGAUGAGUUGUGAAAGGGGUUUCAUAAACUUGCACCUCCUGGAACACCACUGCAAGUGGAAAGUCCAUGGAGAUGUAAGCAAACCAUUUAUGACAUGGUAAGGUCAAAGAUGACAUAAAUAAAUUUGCCAUUAUCCCUUUUAAAGUGAUGCUUUAGAGACUGUGGCUUUUACACUGAAAAGAGCUACAUCGGGUCUGUUGAAAUGAAGCCAUGGUAUGGUACGCCCAACCAUGUUAUAUCUUUUCUUAACAUUUGGAAUAUGGGGCUUGUGUAAAAGGUUACAAACCUAUUCCAAAUCAGACAAGUGCUACUUUGUCGGUUAUACCAAAAUGUUGGGUAUUCCUCCCUCACUAUACCGAGGCAAAUAGUUUUGCCGCGAAACGGUGUGCUUUUAAAGAGAAUGGUUCUUUCUAAAAGGUGAGUGGGAGAAUAGUGCAACUCGACGAGAUAAACAGUAUCUUCAUCAGAUCAAAGGAAAGAGACCUUGGAAGAAAUUCCAGAGUUUCCUACUGCGACUGAUACAGAAGUCUCUACAAUAAAAUGUAUGAACUUCGGUCGAACUUGCAGCUGAACCACGUAGGCAAGGCUCGUGCAAACCUCUCAGGUGCGCAAACGAGAUAUUGUUGUUAGACAACAUUAUACCUACGAUACACAAGGAAGCGUUGAUGGGCCCUGACUCCGGAAUUGGCUAAAUGCCAAUACAACCCGAGUUAGUUUCCAUAUAAGUGAUUCAAGAUUAAAACCUUGAUACACCUUUCGGAAGACUUAGAGUCUAACGAAUAUUUAUGGAACUUAAAACUGAUACGGAUAGAAUGUUUUACCCAUAAAGCUCGACUUGUUGAAAUAAUACGAUGAGGUUGUUUUCAUCGUAGCGAUGCUUAAAGUCGGUUCGGGUUGAACUAGCAAUUAAUACAUAUUUCAAUCAUGAGAUAUGAAACAUGGAUGAUAAAAGGAUUUCCAUCUGAUGGAAAUGAAAGCUAGGACUUGUAUAUGAUACAGUGCAAAGUAAUUUGUCGAUCCAGAGGAUGCUAGUAGGUAUGCAAACUUCAGAGUUCCAGCAAUGGACAGAAGAGAGCAAAAUGGAGUUGGAAUCUUCGUGUUUUGAUGAAAUGGUCAAAGGGGUUUUGACUUCAUCAAUGGGUAACGAAGAUGCUUGUAAUUCAAGAAAGUAAGUGGGAGCGUAAUAAUAUUUCUAAAAACCUUAUGUGCUUGGCACAUUGGUAAUUGGAAAUAAAUUUCUUGACACAAAUUAGGACUUCAUUUGAAAAUAGUUUUUCGAUGAAGUACUUAGGCUAAAUAGCCUCAAUAUUAGGCAUGAUGAUCUAUGGAGAUAGAUUUACCUAAUGGGGCUAAGCAAUGAAUACAUAUUGACAAGAUGCUAAAACCUUUUAGCAUUUAAAACGCCAAGGAGUGAUUCUUGCCAAAGUCACAUGGAAAGAGUUUUUGCAAGACUCGGUGUCCCAAAACACUGAUGAGUAAAAUACAUGAUGCAGAUUCCACACACUUUUGUGUUUGGAUUAAUCAUGUAUUCCAUGGUAUGUAAAACAACCAGAUAUGUCCGAUACUCCCAAGGUGUUGCGAGUAUGGAUACCAAAGUGAUCAAAUUACUGAUCAUGGGACAACAGUGAAAGAUGUCACAGAGUACUAGAGUAAGUACUGAUGACAUGGUUUUCUCGCAAGCAGAGAUCAUGAAGAGUUCGUUGUAAAAUGUUACAUCGAUAGAGUCUUCAUCUUUUCUCCAUGCGAUUUUCGUUUUAAAUUAAGGGUUUUGUGUAACACACAAUGUGGUGGCACAAUUAGUUGGAAUUUGUUCAAACUAGUUACUGUGGCGAAUUCCAUAACAAGGGCUAAGUAUGUUGACGCUUUAGAAGCGACAAAGAAGAUGUUGAAUCAUAUAGUUCAUUCAUGAACUUAGUAUAGUUCCAAAUGGCUUUUGACAAUGGGACACUACUGCGGGUAGUUGCUCCAUAACUCAGUCUGAGGAAUCCAGGUUCGACCUGUGAUUCACAUACAUACAAAGCCAAGUCCACACAAAAUAUGAAUUUUGUGAAAACGUGAAAACGCGAGGACAUGCAAAGAUACACACGGAACUGACGUCGUCAGAUCCGUUGGACAUCAGGCUAUACCACAAGCGAAGCAUAUUUACACCGGUGUGCCACAGGUGUGAAGUGCAUUAGCAUAAGCUAGAUUAUUGACUCUAGUGCAAGUGGGAGUCUGUAGGAGAUAUGCCCUAGAGGCAAUAAUAAAUGAUAUUAUUUAUCUCCGAGUUCAUAAUUAUGUUUAUGUUCCAUGCUAUAACUGCAAUGAUUCUCGAGUCUGCAAUAUCCACGAGGCUCGGAGGAAGACUCAAAUGCACGUGUGGAAUAAUAAACGGUAAGAAGUAUUCCUAGUCUGGCCUCUAAGACUAGCUCAAGUGUUGCAUGAUGAUUCUGUUUUCCUGGUCAUGGGCAUGUCUAUGCCAGCAACUUUGAGGGCACAAUGUUAAGAGAACAUUUAUGUUGAAUCUACCCGGAUUGAUGUUAUGUUAUGAGAUUCAUUCGUCACAAGUUUAUUGGUACAUAACACAGAGAUGGUUAACUUUUGCAUGAUUCCUUAGACCAUGAGAGUAUCGAGUUUCUUCAUGCUUGCUUCAUGAACUUUGGGGUUUGUUAAACGUCAUCCGUAAAUGGGUGGCUAUUACGGCGGCUUACGGGUUCAUGGAAAAGUGUGUCAAGUAACUUGAUAGCUCAAGAUUGGGAUUUGCUCCUCCGACGAUCGAGAGAUAUCUCUGGGCCCUCUCGGUGUUACGGUAUCCAUCAUCGUCUGGCCAGACACUUUGUGAUUUGAUCACGGGGAUGCCGGAACACGAUAACGAGAAAAGAGAACAAUACCGGUAACGAGGUAACUAGCAUAGUGGACAAGUUGUUGAUCCACGGGAAUGCCAACAUGUCUCACCUCGGGUAUUUGUAACAUAUCGCGAAGCAACAGGAAUAGCACACGGCAACUGGAGGUUCACUCGAAUAUAUUUAUUCGUGUGGGUAUAGGGGUCAAUAUGGGUGUCCACGGCUCCGAUGUUGAUCAUUGAUCGAAAGGGGUUCCGGGUCAUGUCUAUACUUCACCGAACCUAUAGGGUCACACGCUUAAGGGUCAUCUAUCUGUUGAAUACUAGACAGGGAGUCUGAGAGAAAAUCACCGAAAAAGUUUCGGACACCGAAAAGUUUCGGACAGCGGAAUCGUACCGCAGAGAGAGGUCAUCGGAUAAGUUUCGAUGAUACCGAAAAGUUGUUUCGGGAUACACCAUUAAGUCAAAUUGGUUUCGGCACAUGCCUGAUAAUUCUUGGAGGAUGCCAGAAUCAUUCUGGAAGCUUUUUGGAAUUUUCUGAGAUAAAAACCGGAAAUGUUCCGGAGCUGCCGGAGCCACUUCAGAUGCGUUUCGCAGAUGAAAAUCACUAAAACCGGAAUUGUUUCGGAACGCGUUGAAAAUCAUUUAAGUGGGUACUGGAAAUGUUCUUAGCCCACAUAAAUAUUUUCAGUUCGAUCAGACGCUGAAAAAUGUCGUCGUGAAUAGUGAAAAUCAGCUUUAUGGUUACUUUAUGGAAAGCCACCUUUUGGGGCUUUGCUCCAAAAGAUCUUGGGGAUGACAUGGAUGGAUAGGAGCCAUUUUUUGGGCCCCUCAUGGGGGUGUGGCCGGCCACAUGGGGUAUCCCCCCUAGGGGACCCUCUUGUUCCUUGCUUUCACUCCUAGGUCCUUGUGGAAGGACUUCAUUCAUGUGCAUUUUGGGUUUUUUGUGGAACUACCCUACCCCCUUGGAAUUUCCUAUAAAUAGAGGUGGAGGGGCAGCCCUCCACACUCAUCCCUUGCUCUCAUACACAUGCCAUGCAUUAUCUGGCUUCUUCUCUCCCUCCCACGAAAAGAGUUUCGUAGAGCCGUAAGGCUGUCUGGGUUCCGGCAGGAACUAGUUCUGGACGGCGAAGCCCUGCCGGAUAGAUGACACCGUAUGUGUGCAACUCUGUAGAGAGAUCGUAGUUUCGGUCUUAGUUCGUGAGUGCCUCCCGAAGGGCUGUCCGUGUGACCGUCCGAGUUUCGAAGGUCCUCCCGAAGGGCUGUCCGAGUGACCGUUCGAGUUUCGAAGGUCCUCCCGAAGGGCUGUCCGCGACACCGUCCGGGGGGGCUGUUCGACCGCCUCCCGGAGGGCUGUCUGAGGAGCAGAUGAGGGUAUACAUCCUCGCGGUUGGGAGGUUGUAAAUCCUAGCUGCGGGGAUCUGCACCGCCGAUCGUCAUCGACUCUACUUCCCGCUGCGCUACGAGUCGGUAAUGAAAAAGAUCAAACCAUGUAUGCAGUCUCCAUAGUGGUCCUGGGCUCGUGCGUAGGUUGGAAAUUUUUUGUUUUCUGUCGCGUUUCCCUUCACUCGAUUACUUCCGGCCCAUUACUGGCCUGUUCCCCUAAUGGGCCAAAUUCGGCCCAUGGCAAGAGUCGGCCCGUUUCUGGCCUCUUAACCCGUUGCGCCAUUUCCAGCCCGUCCUAUAUUCUGGCCGAUUAACGACCCGUUAUGCCUGUGACAGAAUUAAGCCUUUGCUGUCCUCCGGCCUGUUAACGGCCCGUUACCGUGCUGGGCCGAUACCAAUUACGCCCGUUUACGGCCCAUGUAGACCCAUUUAUCCGAUAGCCCGAGGCCCACGAUUCUAUGGCCCUGUUGGAGGCCCAUUUAUCGACGGCCCGUAGGAGACCCAUGGAUCCUACGGCCCGUAUAUGGCCCAUGGUUGUUGCGGCCACUAGCAAACCAGGGAAAAAGAAGACUAGGAAAUAAAUAAGGCCGAAACUAACUCUAGGCUAUUUAAGGCGAUUGCACAGAUUACAUCCACUCGGCAUCAAAGAUCGCCACCAGUGCAAAUAUAGGGAACACCCUACACUAUACAAAAAUGGCUUGCUGUUUUCUUCAGCCGGUGGCUGCACGUUAAGAAUAAAUUUUGUAUCGCACCAAAACAAAUUACAACUAUAUAACAAAAGGAAGGUUGGCAUAAAACUUAACAGUCUAGCAGAUAAAUGCACCACCAGAAGUUCAGAAGCUCAGUUCAUUUGAUCUGACUGUUAUGUUUUCAUGCUGUAUUGUCCGAUGGAGCACCAUAACCCUCGCCUUCAUUUCUCCUAGGCUCCUGAACAACAUAGCAAAUGUCUGAUAGUCUGGUUUCAAAACCAUGCAUAUCUUUACGACAUCGAACAAUGUCUCUCCUUGUUUCACAAAGGGUCUUUGUUAGGGAAUGGACUUGUGUCUGGAGCGCAGAUACAACAUUGCUUUGAGCUUGCAUAUCUUGAUCAUGAGCCAGUUUGGACGAGAUUGCCUUAACAACCAAGCCAGUAUUACGCAGGAACGUGCUUUUGGCACUGUUAGUGGACAGGUACUGACCCACUGCAGCAAGAGCUGACAUUGCGGUUAUAGUUAUCUCGCCACCUUUAGAAGGUGGCGGUUCCACCAUUUUUCCAUAGCUUGCUGAAAAGUUGAGUUUUUACAUUAGUAGUACCAGAACAGAAGAUAUUAAGGAGGCAGCAAAACCAAACAAAAUAGCUUUGGUCUAUAUACAGAACUUAUUCUGGUGAACCCAUGUAAAAUAUUAGUUGUAUUUUAUUGCAAAGUACAUAAUAAAACCAGGUUCAAAACAUAUGACCAUGUACCAUCGCUAAUGUAUUGUCUAUUUCUUCACAUUGUAUUGAGGGCUAAGGAUAAAGAGACGAAGUUUAUAAUACGGUAAGCAUAGUAUGACAUCAUUCAUAUCACAAAACAAAUGAGAACAGACAAACAGGCAAUUGUAACGUUGUGUGGGCAAGUCCAGCACGGAACUAGAUUAGGGGUCAAGAUCAAAGGAACAUCACUCCUCUCUUUUAAACCUUGUAAGGUGCAAUGAUACGCUAAGACAAUUGUGUAUAAAAUUGAAAAGAGUAAUAGACAUUGGCUGCAAACCAUGUAGUUCAAGGCACAAGUCAGAGUAUGUAGUAGUUAAAAGGCAUGAGGAUUAAGGACUUACAACAGCGGCUUUGACUGGUGUAGUCAUGCUCUUCUUCUUGCUGGUGUGACAGUCCUUGAAGAUUUCCACAACAUUUGGUUCAAGUACUUUUUGGUCCUUGCAGGCUUUCCUCUGCAUUUGGAACAAGUCAAUAUAGAUCUGAUAAUAUGGUACAGCGAAAAGAGUGAAACAGCAGCUAAUUACAAGAGCCUCGCAGUGUGCAAUAUAGCUACGAGAUCCUGUCGUCUGUUGGAAUUUCACUUUUGUACGGUUGGCCUUGUUCUUUGAACAGUUCACCUACAAGAAGAUAGAUUUGUGUGGCCCAUGUGUAAAUAGGACUUCAACAUGUGAUCUGAUCACAUAUAUAUAAUGUACCUGAUACUUCGGAUCAGACCAGUGUUUAACGAGGCCCCUCCAGUCUUCAUCCGAUAUAUUUUCGACUGGAGAUGUUUGGGAAAGUUCACUGUUAGCCUUGCCUUCAAAGUGAUUUUUCCUCAAGUUAUACCGAUACUGUCGCAGAGCAGACUUGAAAACAUGGGUGCAAGCUUGUCUGGUUGCAUCAUCUUGGCUAUCCAACUUGAACCUCAUCUGUUGAAAAUUACGGGAGUCUCAUUAUAGCAACCUAGAAAGUAUGGGACAGAGCAAGACGAUAUUACUAGUUUUGAUACAUAACCAUACUUACAGAUAAAUGGUCGAGGAAGGUGUUGAACUGGGUUUCGUCUUUGUCAUUCCUGUACUGAAUCCAUGUUGGGAGGAUACGUACAUGACACCUAACGGCAACCGCUGCCUCUGAUACUAACUUGGCUGACUCUGUAGCAUCACGUGGCCUUUUUAAACCUGCCUCAAAACGGAUCUCCAUUCUUCCUCCUCUAGAUUUAGUUAACCUAUCGAGCAUUAUCCUUGAUGUUUGUUUCCUCUUGCACCUAGGUGCUAGUCCAACAACGAACAUAGGAAGUGUUAGUGUACAUCAAACUAUGAGACUACAUAUAAAGAAGCAUGCAACUGUAACUUGACUCCAGCAACUACCUUCUUGCUGUUGAAGCUCACAAGGUUCAUCUGAUCUUGCCAACUCGUCUUGUGUCAAGAGUGCUUGGGAAGUAGUGUCAGGUGGCAAGGGAGCUUGGGAACGUGCUGCUAGCUCAGUUGACGCACGAGUAACUCGUGCAGCUGGUAGUACUGUGGUAGGUGUUGCAAGAACUAGGGCUGUCUCUGCUUGUUUGGUGGCAGCUAUUUGUUUCUGUUUGGCAUUUUUUGCAGCUCCUGUAGCAUGGGAUGCCCUGUUUGUAGAAUUUUCCGCUGGACUUUGACCUUCUAUUGCACCAUCAGUACCAGCAGAAUCUGCGGGAUUCAUCCGCUUCUCAUUCCCUGCCAUUAUGUGUUUCUUCCUCUUUCUCUGUGCCAUGUUAAGUCAAGCCGACAAGAAAAACGAAUAACAAUUUAGUUCUUUAGAACAAAUUGAUGCGUGAUGCAGACGAACUGAACUUUGAUGUUAGACAACCACAUGAUAGGAGGAUGUAAUAUGUACGAAAAACAGGAUGGAAGAGAUAACCAGAACUAUGAUGUGUAAACUAAGCAGAAGACAUUUCACCAAAUUAGAACCAAUGCAAUGGAAGGUAGACACCAUAUGAAAGAUGCUACAAAUAUUGCUCUGCCAAGUUAACAGUGUCUCAUCAUAAAUGGCGUUUAAACAAAUGUGAAGCAGUACAAGAAAUAAAUCAUAUGCAAGAUGCAAACAACAUCACACUACCAUGUUAGAGGUCUCUCGUCAUUAGUGCCAUUGCAUAUUCACAGCAUUGCAUAUUCACAACUUAUGAUGUGUAAACUAAGGAGAAGGCAUUUCAACAAAUUAGAAGCAAUGAAAGCUAGACACCAUAUGAAAGAUGCAAUGAAUAUCACUCUACCAAGUUAAAAUUGUGUCGUCAUAAGUGCCAUUUCAACAAAUUAGUAGUAAAAGCUAGAAAAGAAUGCGAGAUGUAACCUAUAUCACACUCCGAAGUCAAACGUGUCUUAUGAUAAGUGAUUGUUGCAGGUUACACAACAGUAGUAAUUUGAUGUAAGAACAUGGUGUGAUAGACAGAUAUUGUAUGUUCUAGAAACAGGAACACGUGUCUUAUUCAAGUAUAAUGUGUAAAGUAAGCAGAUGGAAUUCAACAAAAUUAGAAGCAAUACAAGCUAGACAUCACACAUAACAUGCAACCACAUAUAACAGUGCCAAGUUAGAGGGAGCACCAGUGAUGGUGCACUAGGGGAGAUGUGCUCAUCAUAAACACAGCUUUAUUGAGUGUCCGUGCAUGUGUUGUCUUGGAAAUCAUCUUGGGGGUGUGGAGGAGUAGAAACUGUAGAGGCCCUCCAUUCGAAAGGAGCACCUUUAUCGCUGCCUUGCUAACUUCCUUCCGCUUUAUUGAUUUUGAAUUGUCAAGUAAAACCGACAAGAAAAAGCAAUAAAAUUCUCUCUUCAGAACAUAUUCAUGCAUGAUACUGACAAUCACUACUUUGAUGUAAGGCAAACACAUGAUACCAGGAUGGAAUAUGUACGAAAAACAGGACGGCAUGGCAUGUUCACAACUGUUUGUGUAAACUAAGCAGAAACCAUUCCAACAAAUAAGAAGCAAUGCAAGCUAGACACCACAUGAAAGAUGCAACCAAUAUGACUCUGUCAAGUUAAAAGCGUCCCAUCAUAAAUGGAAUUUCAACAAAUUAGAAGCAGUGCAUGCUAUAAAUCAUAUGAAAGAUGCAACUAAUAUCGCACUGCAUAUACUAAAGGUGUCUCGUCAUAUUGAUUGAUGCGGGAUACAAAAAAAACAAUAGUUUUAUGUAAGGACAUGCUUAAUAGACAGAUGUACUAUGUACUAAAUACAGGAAGGCAUGUCACAUUAAUAGGUAUAAUGUAUAAGCUAAGCAGACUAGCACAUGCAGUUUAACCAGAUUGGAAGAAUUACAAUCUAGAAUCCAUAUGCAACAUGCAACCACAUAUCACGCUGCCAAGUUAGAGCAAGCACCUGCGAUGCUAGUGUAGGGGAAAUGCUAUAAUCAACUACAGAGCUACGUUCACUAUCUUCAUCUAGCCUUGUUGUUUCUUGAGAAUCAUGUCGGGAGGCUAACGCUGCAUUCUUUAAAUGAGGAGUAGUCCACUUGCCUGCCUGCCUCAUCAUAAGUGAUUGAUGAGGGAUACACAAGAACAUUAGUUUGAUGUAAGAACAUGGUUAAUACACAGAUGUACUAGUAUGUACCAAAACAGAAUGGCAUGUCAUAUUCAAAGGUAUAAUGUGUAAGCUAAGCAGAUGCAAUUUAACCAAAUUGGAAGCAAUACAAGCUACACAUCCGGCUGGAGUGGUGAGCAUGAUCAUCUAGGACCUGAGAGCCUGGUGGGAGGCGGGCUGCUUUGCCACCAUCGCGGCUUUUUAGUUGGCUUCCAGGGCUGCCUGUCUUUGCUGGGCUUGUCACUAGCUCGGCCAGUGCCCUGACUAGCUAUUUGUCUUCUGGUGCUCACGGGAUGGUGGUUCAUCUAAAAAAUAUCUUUCCUUAUCUUAAUAAAGACCGACUUAGGCCUUCCGAAUACAAGCUAGACACCAUAUGGAACAUGCAACCACAUAUGACACCGCGAAGUUAAAUCAAGCACCUGGGAUGGUGGUUCAUUGCGAGCGAGGUUAUCAACUCCAGAGCUACGUUUACCGUCUCCAUCUGCUGACACUGCACCCUUUAUAGCGCUGUAACGUGUCAUGCCUACCCGCAUACCAAGCUGGAGCAACUUCUCUCUUUUCUUUUCUACUUCUCUCUUGGCAGCAGAGUCUGAAAUACCCUUGCAUAAAAACACAAUAGUGAGAGUAAGGGUGAAGUGUGUGCAGAACUAGUGCAUUGUAAAAGUAGCAGAUAGCAGGUGGCUGAAAAAUAAAUGACAGGAGACAUAUGAUAGCUCUAGAACAUUGCAUGGCAAACAAAAUUAUAUGAGCACAGGAAAUGCAGGUACUCCUCCAGCACACCACCACAUGUGGUCAUAUCUAAGAUAAUAGUCGACUGAAAAUAAAUAGGUCAGUCGAUUUUUUUAAUGAACCGUCCGAUCUAUAAGGAAUGGGAAGAUGGCCUUCGUCUACCUCCCGCCAGUCACUGUUGACGAUCUUUCUCGAACCGCCAGCGACCACCAGCCUAGACCCCUGCCUCCACCGCCCCGCCCUCCCCUCGACCUCACACCACCGCCGUGCUUGGCAGCGCCCCCAGGCCAUCCCUUUAAUCCCGACCGACCUCCAGAUCGGGCGCCAGUAGCUCUAGGCCCCACACGCCCCUAAGAUAAACACCAAGGCGCUGCUUCCCUGACGUAAUAGGCAUACUAGCGCCUGUUACGCCGGGGAAUGCUUCCGUUAAUUGGGAAUCAACUAACCAGAAAUUGAAAUUCAGGGGGGCGACGGACCUCUAGCUAAGGUGAAAUAGUAUAUGAGGAGAAAUCUUGUGCAUCGCGAGUUACUAGGAACAUCUAGUAUGAAGAAGAAGCGGUCAACUAGUGUCUUCUGUGGGAUGAAUACCGUGCAAGCAAACACGUAAGGUUUGCACGAAUAAGGGAAGAGGAGUACCCUUAUCGGUUGCCAGUGUGGUCUCGAUAUGUCGCGGUGUUUUUCCCGAGGAACCGAUGUUCUGGAGAGACGUGGAUCCUUGGACAAACCCAUGGCCAAAUUGUUGACUGUGUUGCCGUGGUCGUAUAUCGGCGGAGGGGAAGCAGAUCCGAGGCGGCGAAGGACGGCGUAGCAGGAACAGCUCCUAUGCGGUGGACGGUGGCGAAGUUGGAGCGGCAGCGGUGAGGCGCAGGAUGGCGUGGUUGAACUGGCUCGGGUACGGACGGCUCGGACUCGGCUUCAACUACUAGCCGUGGAGGGCGUUGCGGUUGAGGUUGCGGUGGACGACGACGUCGGGGUAUCGGCUCCGGCGUGAUGGAGGAGGGCGGCGGUUGAUGGGUGGGUGGAGUGGAGGACGGAGGACGCCGGGGUUUCGCGGCUGGUGGAGAGGUAGUUUUUGCACCCACGGAGUAUGAAUGGGGAAUCGGACGGGUGGGCGGGGGGGAGGGGGAACCAUGUUUCGUUCUGGGACAUGCUUGUUUUUGGCUUUUUUGAACAGAAGAUGGGACGCGCUUGUUUGAAAUUUGGGGAAAGUACAAACUUUGCCCCCCUCUUAAAUUUUGGACCUACUGCGGCUCGGGGUAGGAUGGUAAUCCCAGGUGUCCCAAAUCGUGGGCGGGAGCGAUUUUGGUCGCGCGCAUGUGUGCUUAGGCGGCCAUUGUGUAUGAAUGUUUUUCGGAGGCGGUUGUGUGGCGUCUAGAUGAAGCUACAAACCUACCCCGAUUUAGACCUUUGGACGUCGGGCCGGUAGGUUUCACGGGUCGGAGUUAUUAGAAAAGUAAUUUCCUUGUACUACCAAACAUUGGUCUCACGCGGUUUCGGGCGAGUAGAGGCUCUUUUGGCGCUUCGUUCAAAAUUUUGAAACACAAGCAUUCACAUUUAGAGUACUCUUGAACUAUGAGGAUUGACCUAAAUAGACAACGUUAUAUUUGACCUUGUAUGUUUGAAACCUCAUUAAAUUAUCCGCUUCUUUUUGAAAUUUUGACACUUGAAAAUCCUAUAACUAUGAUUAUUUUGGAAUGGAGGAGCUAAAUUUGAAUCUAUUUUGUACACGACUACAUAUGCUAUUAUGUACAAAAUAAGAGCAAAGAUUGGUGCCCCAUAAUUUAGGUAUGAUUUACAAAUGCCAUGAUAUCAAAUUCAAAUAAUUGAAUGGACUUCAUGUUGAAUUCAAUUUUUUUAAACCACCUUAAGUUGAAUUCAAAUGUAUGUUAGUUCAUAGGUAGCUAUUUAUAAUGUUCAUUGUGUAACUUUCGUAUGUAUAAUGUGCUUUACACAUACAACAUGAACUAUACUCACGUUUAUAUUCGAUUGCUAAAGCGAUGCAUUGUCUGGAGUUCAAAAUACUAACUAUGUGGAUCAAUUGUGUCGAAUAAUAACAUAGACAUGCUCAAAUUCGAUAGAAUCUAGAUGUCUGAUGGAUCAAUGACCGUUCCUUACGCGAAUUGCAAAUAUCAUGAUCCCAUCCUAAUAUUUGGAUACAAUUUAUAUCUUUAAUCAAUGUGUACAUAAGUCUUUUAUGUGUAGUUUCACUCUCCAUCGGUGGUCUCUCACACAUGCUCACACACUCUCUCCCGAGGUGUCUUUCUUGCACACAUGCUCUAGAUAUAACCCUCCCUCCCUCUCGUAACCAUUUACAACUGUUUUCACAAACCUUUAUCACAAGCACUCUUCCUCUCACAAGCAUACACACGCACAAUCCCCAUCGACCCUUUCUAUAUACAUGGACCUGCCUAUGUGUCUCCUGUACGCACAUUAUCUUUAGGCUUGUCUCUCUCGCAUUGUCUCACACCUCUCUUCCUAAUCGACGAGUAUGAUUCUAGCAGAGCAUUCUGUAGGAUGCCCCUUAAAGUUAGGUUGGAUGAAUAGUAAUAUCAGAGAUAAAGGGGUUACCUUAGUCCGAGAACCUAGGGUUACAAAUUCGAGCCGGCUUUGUCAGUGGACACAGAGUCCUUCACAAUUCUGCUAUCUUUGUCUUGUACGACUAGUCAUCCAUGGGUCCUCCUAAAUGCGUCACGGGCCGACCAAUGUGGCGCAGGACGAAACCGAACGAAGGGCCUCACCUCGACCCACCGGACCUCACGCGGUGACACACCCUCUGCCCCCACGUCUCGUUAUAUUCUCACACCCACACAUACCAACACAAACACCACACAAAAAAAUUUCUCCUGGUGCCUCUAUCCCCUCCCCCUUGCAUAUACACACUCAAGGGAAUCUCUCGUCGUGACGUCAUAUUCGUCUCCCUCUCNNNNNNNNNNNNNNNNNNNNNNNNNNNNNNNNNNNNNNNNNNNNNNNNNNNNNNNNNNNNNNNNNNNNNNNNNNNNNNNNNNNNNNNNNNNNNNNNNNNNNNNNNNNNNNNNNNNNNNNNNNNNNNNNNNNNNNNNNNNNNNNNNNNNNNNNNNNNNNNNNNNNNNNNNNNNNNNNNNNNNNNNNNNNNNNNNNNNNNNNNNNNNNNNNNNNNNNACGUAAUACACACACAUACCUCUCUAGGCCCCGCAAAAUGCAUCAACUACACAUUCACACAUGUUACAUGACGUACCCCAUUGAUCUAAAAAGCCCUCUCUUCACGUUUAUUUCGCAUACAACAUUCCUUUUGAAUAAAGUGUGGCCAAAAAAUUAUUUUAGAAUUUCUACAUAUAUACAACAUUACAAAGUUAUAUAGAGGAGUACGAACGCUAAUUUGCAUUGCAUGGUGCCCACAAUGAUAUUUAUUCCGCACUGUGAAUUUGUAUAUUUUUAUACUAUAUACAAAGUUAGUCAUAAUAAAGAGAAACGAAGAGCAUCUCUCUCUCCAUCGCAUACCCCCCUCUACGCCUCUUUCACGUAUGCACACAAACUAUCUCCAGGUCCUCUAAAAGUAAGCCCCAGCACAUUCACGCAUGUUUCAUCUUUCUCUCCCGAUAUAUACAACGACGAUCAUUGUAUUUGAAGCGAAAGCACAAUACGUACAUUGGGCUUCAGAAUCCACUCAUUACGGUCACCAUUUACGUUUAGUGGUUAUUAUACAGUCACGGGCUCACCGUACAACUCUAUAUUUGCUCAAGACAUGACUAGUUGACCAGUUAAACGCUCCACGUGGCACCUCUAGUGUUGCAUCACAUUAUCUCACUACCAUCGUGCCCACCUGUCGGCUUGUAUAUCUACUCUACAUCUACACUCUUAUAAAAUACACUUAUAAAAAACAGAGUUGGUGAUGAUGGUGUGCCUGCCAUCCUGCAAUAUAGGCCGUCUGAUUUAUAUCUGACGGAUAGGAAAGAAAUUAUGGCAAUUUUGCAAAAAGGUACCCACACCUCUCCACAUUUGCAAAUAAGGCCUUCCCUCGUUCAUCCUUUUCUCUCACAAGAUAAACUAGUCAUACAAAUGCAUCUUGAUGUUACGUGCAACGCACGGGCAUCUUGCUAGUAAGAACGAAAACAAACGACAAAAAAAUAUUUGGACGGUGGUUCGAAGUCAUGACCGCGGGCACAGCGGACAAGGUGGCCUUGUAUUGCUAUGUUGAGCCGUCUGUUUUAACACACAGGGGCUGGUGUGGUGAUUAUACACACACGCAUGCAUGCACACGAACUACAUGCAUGCAACACUCACACAAACACAUGCACCCACACACGCAUGCAACACUCACACAUACACACGCAGCCACGCACGCACGCAACACUCACACGCACACACGCAUGCAUGCAUGCACACACCAGUACACCACACGACCAACACACACUCUCACGCUCAAGUGCUCAACCUACACGUGCAUGCGCACAUAUCAGGCCCUGACAGACACAUACACAACCAGGUGAUUCCCGCGCACGGGUUGGAGUCUUGUCGCGCCUGCGUAAAUUUCUGUUUAUCUGACCUUUUCCCUAUGCAAACUGACAGAUGGGACCCACAAGGAACAUGGUCAAUUUAACUAGUCAACAUGGCGCCACGCAGACUAUUUGGUCGGUCAACAGAGUGCAAUCCGAUGCUGAACCGUGAGCAAGUGACCGUAUAAUCACCACAAAACAUAUAUAGUGACCGUAAUCAGCUUAUUCUGAAGUUCGGUGACCGCAUUACGCUUUUCUCUCUGUAGGCCCUCCAAAACUACAUCUCUACACAUUCUCGCAUGUUACAUCUAACAACUAUGCAAUACAGCACUACUACUACACUCUAACACGAUAAAUCAUAUGUGUUUUUAGUAUUACUAGAUAUCAUAUUGUUACUUAAUUAUUCAGUUUGCAUACAUUAAAAUUGCCUUUGAAAUGUAUGGCCAGUAUCAUCUACCGCGCGGGAAAAAUCCCGCCCUUUCCUAUUUAAUCGGGUUUGUACCGAUGGAUCGUGCGAAACAGCAAAACUAUAGUACUAUACAGUACAAGUGACAGUUCACUGGGCCGUCGUGUUGUGUACUCCUCCGUCGUAAGAGUGGAGCGCUCGCUUUCAUAAAUCUUCUAGUCCCUUACGCCGACAUGUGGGACAUCAAGCUACCGGGUCCACGUGCCAUACCAGAAUACAGUGCAGAACAGCCGGGAUGAAGCACCCCAGUCAUGGCGCCAGCAUAGUAAUGAGCAAUGAGGCGUCAAAUCACAAAGCUACACCUUUCCCGCAGUUAAGUUGGAGGGACGAAGUAAUAAUGCUAAAAAAGAAAUUGGAGGGAUGAAGCAACCAUCAUUUCACUCGUUGCUGAAUCUGCUUCUCCGUCAUCUUCUUCAACUUAACCACGUGUUGCUUCUGUCGUUGUUCUGCCUCAUGUGGGAUGCGGAUCAGCUUGGUACAGCACUGACACAUGGGACCGCAUGUUAAAAACCGCCAGGACAACGUCCUCUAAAAAUAAGAAACCUCCCCUGCCAUCCGCGCGGCAAAAUCACCUCCUUUUUACUAAUCUUGAUUCUAUAAUUUUUUAGAUCAGUAUAAUUGAGAUUUGUAUAGAUAGCACACAGGAGCAAAACCAAGUGGUACGGUUAAGGGCAUCCACAAUGUGUAGCCAAAUGUGAAAAUAGCUUUUGGCAUCGUGGGAACCAUUGUGGACGGUGUUGCCAAAGCCAAAAAGAUGGAACCGAAGCUCCCUGAUUGAUUGGUUGAAGGAAUAGAAAAAUGCAACGUCUCUCCUCUUUCUCCCAUGCUUGGACGCAUGUAGUACAGCAUAGAGCAUAGAGUCUACUCCCCUGUCCAUUCUAUCACAAACCACAAAGCAGUGAGGCGUCAAAUCACAAAAGCACGGACGAAGCAACCAUCAUUUCACUCUUCGCUGACUCCGCUUCUCCAUCGUCUUCUUCAAGAAACCAUCUCACCGCACUAAGCUGGACGGACGAUGCUAUUGUGUACUAGUAGUACUAGUACAUUUACGCGUCCUUUGGUUCAACGGACUUCCUGGAUGCAAAUAAGGCGGUUGUCUCGGCUUGCAGGCGGCACUUGCGAACGACUUACCAUGGUCUCCCUCAAUGGUGUUCUCUGUCGAACGCACUUCGCCAAACCACAACGUUCGAGAUAUCGUCGACGUCACCGCAAUGGGGAAGGAAGUCAAAUAUAGUCCUUUUUUUACACAAGGCCAGUAUAUCAAAAUUACAAAUUGCAAAAGGCCACUAACACUAAUCGAGGCAAAAUUGAUGGGGUUUGCCUCGUACUAGCAACCAAGGACAUUAAUAUCCCCUGCAUGCAUGUGGAAGUGAGAAGGUUGGCUUGCAUGGCGCUGCAUUAAUCAAGCGAUGAGGAGUGAGAUGGUUAGCUCUUUGGUCUUUGGCGAAAAAAAUGCGCAUUAAUUGACACAUGAACCGAGGAUUUGUAUUGAUUAAAUCCCGCGAAGGAAAACCCCGCCUUUAUUUUUUAACACUAGUACUCCUAGUACGUACGUACUUAUCCUGUUUGGGUCUAGGCCUUGCAUUGCCAUACUUCGCCACACAUUUUUGCCAAGCUUGCCUAAAGUUUUCAAAACGAGAAGGAGGUACACUUCCGCACGGCUGUCGCGGUCGCACCGCACCCUCACACGGUCGCUCUUGCACGCCGCGGUCGCACCGCACCCUCACACAUUUGCCCCUGCACGCCGCAAACCCAACCAAGGGAACGCACCCUCACUGACACAUGUUGUCGCAUGUGAACAAACCAAACUCAGCCAUCCUACCGCUGACACAUAAUUUUCGUUCAUAGAGUAUGUUUAUCCAACCGCAUGUUGGGGAGUAUCCGUACGGCCCGUGCGGUGGUCUGUUGGGGAAGAAGAAGAGGUGAGGAAGAAGGGUUAGGAGACGUAGGAUAUUCAUCCAACCACCUGAAAUGGUAGACUGGCCCAAGUCAGGCGACUUGCAUAACAAUAUAUGUUUUUACACAGCAAAAGAUCCAUAAAAACAACAACAUAAAGAAAAACUAUCACUGCUCGCGGAACGAGACGGCCUCGUCGUCUUUGGCUGCCGGCGCGAACUAGCCGUAGCUGCCGACAUGUGUCUCCGCACCGUGGUUGUCCUCGGCCUCCAGCUACUCGUUCACGCAGAGCGUGCGGGCACUCUGCACGGACGAGAGCACAGCCCAGUUCAAGUCGAGGACGUCUGGUUCCGCCUGCAGGAGGGCCUCAAUGGCAGCGGCAUCCGCGCGCUCCGCGUCGAGUCGAGUCAAGCCUCCGCCGCCCGGUUCAAGUCCAGGACGUCCAGUUCCGCCUGCAGGAGGGCGUCGAUGAGAGCGGCAUCCGCGUGCUCCGCGUCGAGUUGAGCCUCUGCCGCCCGGUUCAAGUCCAGGACGUCCGGUUCCGCCUGUAGGAGGGCCUCGAUGGCAGCGGCAUCCGUGCGCUCCGCCUCAAGUUGAGCCUCCGCCGCCCGGUUCACAUCCACGACAUCCGGUUCCGCCUGUAGGAGAGCCUCGAUGGCAGCGGCAUGUGCGCGCUCCGCGUCGAGUUGAGCCUCUGCCUCCCGGUCCUCCUUUAGUAUCGCCAUGUUGAACUGCUAGUCCGCCUGCACCAUGGGGGACACGGACGCCGGCACGAAGUCGACGUCCAUCGUCUCAUACCCAUCGGGGCCUUUUGCGCCGCGAGCCCCGCCAUGAACAUUGAAUCGGCUUCCUCCUCCUCGUAGCUUGGCUCUAGAGAACUCGGGAUUGGCUGUAACAUCCCAAAUUUUCAAUUUGGAAUGUUAUACAUAGAUCAUUCAUGCAUAUCAUAUUUUAUUGCAUUUCAUUUUUCGAUCCUCGAAAUUCUAAGCAACUCAAGGACCCACGGAGAGAGUUGGGGAUUUCACGAUUUUCAUAUUUGAAUUUUAUCAAAUAUCGAAACGAGGAUCAUUUGUUUUAAUUAUUUUUCUCUCCGAAAAUAUUUCAUAUUCAAGAUUAUAUGAGAGGGGAUAAUAUGACUUCUCCAAAAAUAAUGGAAUAUUGGAGUAAAAAUAUUAAAAACAAAUAUUUGAUUUUAUUUGGGAUUUUAUUGCUAUUUUAUUUGCAUAGGAAAAUAUGCAUUUUUCAAAAUUGCAUUAUAGGCCCAAAUAAAUGUUCAUCUUGUCCGGCUUAUUUUUAGAGGACGGGGAAAAUUUAUUUCAGGAUUUUUGGAGUCCGUUUAGUAUUCUUUUUUUUCUUUUUAUGCACAUCGGAAUUUUUUUUUAAAAGGAAACCGACUUCGGGCCGUACCCGGCCUGGACUCCUCGGGCCGGCCCCUUUAAAAGCCGCCGCCCCGGCGCCCCGCAGCCCACCCCGCUGAAACCCUAACCCCGCCGGACUCGCCGCCGCCGCCGCUGGAGACGNNNNNNNNNNNNNNNNNNNNNNNNNNNNNNNNNNNNNNNNNNNNNNNNNNNNNNNNNNNNNNNNNNNNNNNNNNNNNNNNNNNNNNNNNNNNNNNNNNNNNNNNNNNNNNNNNNNNNNNNNNNNNNNNNNNNNNNNNNNNNNNNNNNNNNNNNNNNNNNNNNNNNNNNNNNNNNNNNNNNNNNNNNNNNNNNNNNNNNNNNNNNNNNNNNNNNNNNNNNNNNNNNNNNNNNNNNNNNNNNNNNNNNNNNNNNNNNNNNNNNNNNNNNNNNNNNNNNNNNNNNNNNNNNNNNNNNNNNNNNNNNNNNNNNNNNNNNNNNNNNNNNNNNNNNNNNNNNNNNNNNNNNNNNNNNNNNNNNNNNNNNNNNNNNNNNNNNNNNNNNNNNNNNNNNNNNNNNNNNNNNNNNNNNNNNNNNNNNNNNNNNNNNNNNNNNNNNNNNNNNNNNNNNNNNNNNNNNNNNNNNNNNNNNNNNNNNNNNNNNNNNNNNNNNNNNNNNNNNNNNCGCCGCCGCCGCCGCCCGAUUCGCCGCCCCGCCGCCGCCGUCUCGCCGGGACCCUGCCGGACUCGAGGUAGCCGCCACCGGUUUUUCUUUUAAAGCCGUUCGUUUUUUUAACCCUAGUUUCAUUUUUUUAGAUCCGGUUCGGUUUUUCCGUCGGUUUACUUAUUUAACGAACGCUCAUUUGUACGUUCGUUUUAACGAACGGUUUUCACCGUUUAGCCGCAGACAGCGAACGUUCAUUCGUUAGCCUGUUCGUCAAUUUUUCUUUUUCUUGGGUUUUUCGCGAUUAUUUUCGAUCGCGAUUUCUGAUCUGAUUUUCGUUUUAGUUUAACUUUUCACUCGUUUAUCGGAAUCAGGCGAUACAAGCGCCUAGAGUUUCGUCUCGAAACCCUCUUUCCGUUUAACCAACUUAAACAAGUUUUUUCUACUGUAAAAUUUGACUUAAGUCCAGAUUAGUAAACGGAGCUUGUUUCUUUCGCCCUCCGGUGUUGUCAACAUGGUCAACAACCGAGAGGAAUAAGGAGAUGACUGUACAUGGUGAGGAUGACAGUAGGGACCCAGCAGCGCGCGCAGUAAUUUUGUUUUUUCGGGAUGGAGAAGGGUAUCAACUGGGUUGUGCGGGACCUGUGGCCCACCUAGCCCAGGCUUUUAUUUCAUAUGUUUAGCACAUGACCAGCCCAGUUUGUUUUUUUCCUUUCUGAAAAUGGCUAGCCAGCUAUUUUGUUUUUUGCAGAAUAUCCAACAUAGGCCUACUUGCUUUUCUAUGCCCUGCUGGCCGGAAAUCUUUCAAGACGAGGAGGGAUGCAUUUUGCCCAGAAAAUGGGCUAUAAGUAAUAAGAAUGGGCUAUAAGUAAUAAUAAAUGGGCUGUAAAAUGAAAAAAAUACAGCAAACAGGCAAUUAGUUCCAAAAUACUUUUUUCUUUCGGAUUUUGAUAUUUUAAAUUUCAUUGUUUUUGUGCGGGUAAAAUUUCAUUGAAUUUAAAUUAAGGUAUAUUUAGAUUUAAAAUUAAUUUGAAUCUGGCUAGAAAUUUCAGGCUGUAUGCUGUUUGGGACAGAUUUGGAGGCUGACUUGUGGGUCUACUAGGUUGACGUGUACUUUGGCGUUGUCAACUUAGUCCACAAACAAUUCUAGCAGGAGUGACCGUUGGAUGUUAAUCCAACGGACGUGCUGCUUCUUCAAUAUCUGAUCUUCUUGCUCCAGCCGCCCAAACCAGCGCAGGUGGGACUGCCUGCUCCCGCCUCCCGUGGCCGGCUGUGCUGCCGCACAGGCCGCACCGCCCCACCCUACUUCAUUGCUGGCCAGACCAUUCCUCUACUCACCCACACCUCCUGUUAUUUUCCGGCGACGGCAGCCGGACCAGUAAACCCUCGUACUCCCCACCGCGUGGGCAACCAUUGCCGAGUCUUCCCCGGCUCCAUGUCGUUCCCUUCCUAGGCCUCGCCGUCGUCCACCGCCAUGGUGCUCUCGGCGCGGCCUGGUCAACGUGGUCAACGAACUACAUCCAUCGGACAUGGACUGUACAUGGAGAGGCUGACAGCUGGGUCCACGGCCGCACACAAGGAAAUGCCUCCUUAUUACGCGCAAAAUAAUGAUUCCUCCACCUGACAGCCGGGACCCACCGGAAGGGCCUCUGUAUUUCGCGAAAAAAACGUUCCCCCCGCUGACAGGUCGGAUCCACCAGCUAUAUCUUCACACGCAAGGAAGUGUCUCCUUAUUACGCACAAAAAAUGAAUACCCCCUGCUAGCUGGGACACACCAUAGUGGGUGGCUGACUUGUGGGCCUACUAAGUUGACAGGGACGGAGGGCUUUGUCAACUUAGUCAACACUCCAGUGACCGUAUGAUGUCCAUCCAACGGCCAUAGUGCUUCUUCAACCUCUGGUCUUCUUGCUCCAGCCUCCCAAAGCAGCGCCGGUCGUGCCGCCUGCUCCUGCCUCCCGUGGCCGGCUGUGCUGCCGCGGAGGCCUCACCGCCCCCAUACUACUCCCACCGCUGGCCAGGCCAUCCCUCUACUCACCCACAACCCCUGUUAUUCUGCGGCGACGACAGCCUCACACCGCAGCCGAACCAGUUAACCCUCGUACUCCUCUCCGCGUGGGCAUCCACUGCCACGUCUUCCCCAGCUCUACGUCGUCCCCUUCCUAGGCCUCGCCGUCGUCCACCGCCGUGGUGCUCUCGGCGUGGCGUGGUCAACGUGGUCAAGGAACGACUUCCAUCGGACGUGGACUGUACGUGGAGAGGCUGACAGCUGGGUCCACGGCCGCAGCAAGGAAGUGCCUCCUUAUUACGCGGAAAAUAAUGAUACCUCCACCUGACAGCACGGACCCACCAGACGGGCCACUGUAUUUUGCGAAAAAAAUGUUUCCCCCUGACUGCUAGGACCCACCAGCUACAUCUUCGCACGCAAGGAAGUGCAUCCGGGCAAAAUAAAUAAUUCGCCCCCUGACUGCUGGGACCCACCGCUACAUCUUCGCACGCAAGGAAGUGCCUGACAGUCGGGACCCACCUGGUCGAAGCGUACGUAGCGUUGUGAUUCUGGUCGCGAACGUGUACGUACAUACUGGUGGAUGUAGAGGCGCGCACGUGUCGUAGUAGAGGCGCGCAUGUAGCAUGUACACGUACGUACAGCGGCCGGUGUGCAAGAAAGAAAAUACGGCCACGUACGUACAUACGGGCAGGGUCUCGAGCGCCUACUCGCGCAUACGUACGGCCAGGGCUCGUGUACAUGGCUGGGUCGCAACAGAGAAACUGCGUCGUCGUCAUGUUCAUGGGGAGGCAACGGAAUGCGUCGUGUUCAUGGGGAGGCAACGGAAUGCGUCGUGUUCAUCAGGAGGCAACGGAAUGCGUCGUGUUCAUCGGGAGGCAACGGAACGCGUGGGAGCCAACCGGCUUGGACGGAACAGGCGAUGGAAACGAGGCCUGGCGUACCGCAGAACGGAGGAAACGGCCUUGUGUUCGACCGGCCACGUUCGAAACGGGAUCCUGUUCAACGGGAGGGGUCUGGCAUACCGCAAAACGGAGGAAACGGACUUGUGUUGGACCUCCUACGGUCGAAACGGGGUCCUGUUGAUCGGGAGGGGUGUGGCGUACUGCAAAACGGACGAAACGGACUUGUGUUGGAGCGCUACGGUCGAAACGGGGGUCUUGUUCAUCGGGAGGGGUGUGGCGUACCGCAAAACGGGACUCCACGGGAUACUGUUCAUCUCCACCGUCGACCUCCUCCAGCCUCCACGGGGCUACUGUUCAUCCACCGUCGACCUCCUCCAGCCUCCACCUGCGACUGUUCAUCCACGGGCUCCUGUUCAUCCAGCCUCCACCGCGCGCUACUCCACCGGCUACUGUUCAACCACCCCUCUCCACGGGCUCCUGUUCAACCGCCCCUCCACGGGCUACUGUUCAUCCACCCCUCCACCGUCUACUGUUCAUCCAGCCCUCCACNNNNNNNNNNNNNNNNNNNNNNNNNNNNNNNNNNNNNNNNNNNNNNNNNNNNNNNNNNNNNNNNNNNNNNNNNNNNNNNNNNNNNNNNNNNNNNNNNNNNNNNNNNNNNNNNNNNNNNNNNNNNNNNNNNNNNNNNNNNNNNNNNNNNNNNNNNNNNNNNNNNNNNNNNNNNNNNNNNNNNNNNNNNNNNNNNNNNNNNNNNNNNNNNNNNNNNNNNNNNNNNNNNNNNNNNNNNNNNNNNNNNNNNNNNNNNNNNNNNNNNNNNNNNNNNNNNNNNNNNNNNNNNNNNNNNNNNNNNNNNNNNNNNNNNNNNNNNNAUCGAUCGGCUUCAGUUAGCAGCAGUAGCGAAGGAAUCGCUCGAUCGGGUUCAGUUAACAGCCAUCGAUCGAUCUCUCGGGUUCAGUAACGCGUAGCCUGCAGUGCAAUCGCUCGGGUUCAGUUAGAUCCCAACGCCUCGCUUGGGUUCAGUUAGAGCCAACGCCUCGCACACAUGCGCGUACAUGUACGAGAGAAACGUGCAUCGCUCGGCCCCCGACCACCCACCGUAACCGGGAACUCGCCGAAAUUUUCCUCGCCCUCGCUUCAACCAUGGUUUUUUCCGCCAUGGACGGCCCAAAGAAUGUCAUGCAGCUGUGUCUCCAGCCCGCCCAGGACGAAAAGCCCAUUUUCGGUCAUGAUUUUUUGUCAUAGAAGUAGGAGCCCACCACAUCUAUGAUGAUACCGGGUUUUGUCACAAUUAUCGUCAUAGAAGUGUCAUAAGUAUGACAGAAUUUUUUUUCGUUCGGCCCAAAAUGUCACGGAUGUGUCUUUUUUUUGUAGUGAAGUCUUGCUGGGUACAUUUGUACUCACGUUUUCUUAAUUUAUGUUUUUGCAGAGAGACUUCAGUCUCGCUAGUAGUUCCGCGUGGACUUCGACGUUUAGCUUGUUACCUCAGCUACGAUCUUGUGCCCUCGACAGGAUCUGGUAGAUGGUCAGGCUUCUCAGCCUUUUCACUUGUAGAUGUCUGUACUCAGACAUGUUAAGCUUCCGCAUGUGCUUGUUGUUUGUAUGCUCUGAAUGUUGGGUCAUGAGACCCAUGAUUGUAAUAUCUCGCUCCUCAGAGCCUAAUGAAUAAAUCCUCUGAGUCAUAGAGUUUCGUUGUGAUGCCAUGUUGUAUUUGCACAUAUCGGGCAUAUUGUGUGUAUGUUAUUGAAAUGCUUGGUAUGUGUGGGAUCCGACAACCUAGUUGUUUAUUCUUGGUAGCCUCUCUUACCGGGAAAUGUCUCCUAGUGCUUCCACUGAGCCAUGGUAGCUUGCUACUGCUCCGGAACACUUAGGCUGGCCGGCAUGUGUCCUUCUUCUUUCCUGUGUCUGUCCCUUCGGGGAAAUGUCACGCGUUGUUCCUUUAAGUCCUUGUAGCUUGCUACGACUUGGGUUCAUACGUUGUUGAUCGACAUGUUCGUUGUUGGGUCAUGUAUGCAUGUCCCUGUAAGUUAGCGCCACCUUGGGUUUACGACUAGUCAUGUCAGCCCGGGUUCUUCGCCAUACGGAUGCUAGCGACACUAUCAUAUACGUGAGCCCAAAGGCGCAAACGGUCCCGGGCCAGGUAAGGUGGCACCCGUGGGAAUACCGUGCGUGAGGUCGCAAAGUGAUAUGAUGUGUUACAUGCUAGAUCGGUGUGACUUAGGAUCGGGGUCCUGACAGCUUUGGUAUCAGAGCCUGACUGCCUGUAGGAUUACCAAGCCAAACUGGUCGAAGUUGAGUCUAGAAAUUCUUUAGUUAUAUAAAGAAAUUGAUUGUGGAUGGAACGUAAGGCUCUUUUUACUCCUUUACCUUAUGCCUUCUGAACUGAGUCAUCCUAUCUUUCCUACGGGGUUAAGAAACUAGGCUUUCUCUUCUUUCUAUCAGGAUCACAUGUUACUAAUCCAUAGACUUAUAGGAAUGAUGGAUUCAAGCCUCAGUUCAGUCUCUUCUACUUCCGUGUGUUCGUAGUUGGUCUUAGAACCUUCAUAUUGUGACGAUCGAGUGGUUAUGCCACCAUUUGCAGGAUGUCUUAACUCUUUUUGAGCAUUUACAACCGUUAUGCUGUCUGAGUCAUCCCAGGUUUCUGAAUAGUCUGAUGCAUUUGCAAACCCUUCUUUCCAUUCCCAAUGUUCCUUUGGGCCAGAUUAACCACACUAAUCGGUGGGUUGAGGUACUCUAUUGCCUCGACAUAUAUGUUGGAGUUGCUAUUAUGACCCUAGGUGUCUUAGAGGAUCACCUAGUAAUCUAGCCAUGGUUUGUGUUCCCAGUGUGAUGAUUCUGGCCAUCAUUCUCGAAAGCAUCCCGUGAUGCCACUUAGUAGUAGGUAUUCUACUCCUGGGUUUUGAACCCGAGAUUUACCCUACUUACCUUAUGUUGAUAGUGGUUGCUAGUUCCUUUAGGAUAUUAGUAACCUUUGCAUUAGUCGUCGAAGUCCGUGGUAUUUACUUCUUCCAAAUACCAUGAACUGCUUAUGGCAGAAGUUCCUCGCUGAACCGAAAGAUCACAACCAGAGUGCUUUUGACGAGUUCUCGAUUCUAUGAUGUGACUCUGCCAGUUCUACCUUCUCCGCAUGGGUUAUCCGGAAGUAAUAUGUUGAACUCGUUCGACAUGCUAAUCUAUGCAUCCACAACUCAGAAAAUCAUAUGUUCUUUGAGUUGUCCCUCUUUAGUUGUUUUUCGGGCCUUCGUCUAUCAAUUGAUAGUAAGGAGUAGUUGCGCAAUCGUGUUUAUCAAUGCCUAUUACUCUUGUAGUCCGUCAAGCCAUUCUAUUCCGGAAUGACUAGGAGAAACAAACCCAGUACCUUAUCCAUUUCCAGGGUUGGGUCAAAGUAGUUGUAAUCCGCAAAUCAAAAUGCCAACCCAGCUUUUGAUUAUGUUCUACCCUGGAGUAUUACCCCCCUUUAUGUCAGGAUUUUCAUGAGAAUUGCACCAGCUCUUGUGAAUUCUUGACGCAGUGAUACUUCUCGCCAUCAUUAUUCAUUUCUCGGUUCCCGUGUUGUUGCAACCGGAAUGCCGACAAGUGAAUCAUGAUGUGUGAAAUCAAUACUCCUAGCAACCCUGUUGCUUGGUAGUUAAAGGACAAUAAUUUCGUUCUUAGCAUGUUGGUUAUUGAAUCAUCAUUCUAAGAUAGAUUGUGCUACCUAGCCCUCUUUCCUGGUGCACUUCUCGAUCUAUGAGUUAGGAUUGUGUCAACCCCUUACUUAUUUGAUCAUAUCGUCUUGCCCUGAAAAGCAAGAUUGCUCUCGAGCUUGGUAACAUAUCGGUGGUUCAUGAUUUUCCGAAUAUCUUCUCGGAAGUAUUACCAGGUUGACACCUGACCGCUAUGUUGAGUUCGUGAUCAAGUUGGUUUCUCUAUGAGCCACCCUUUCUCCAAGAAUCUGUGUCGGAUACCCUGAUCUAGUUGGAUAAGCUAAACAACAACUUGGGGAGUUGGAAGAUAAAAGCUGGUUCGAUUUAGAUCAUUCUAAGGGGUAUCUUGUAUGUAUGUUGAAGAAAGAUGAUAUCUUCAUCAACUGAUCCCUGUGAUCAGUUGUUGGGUCUAUUGUCUUGUCCAAACUUUGAUUUGAGUAUGGGCUAUCCUCAAAUCAAAUCAUAACCAACAAUGUUCGUAAUGUUGUCUUACUCGUGGUUGAUUCCUCGAGCAUACACCAUUAUAUCCUUUGGUCUGACCAAUGCUAUCAACUUGUUCACAUAAUUGUGGAGUUCCACUUAUAUGGAAACAUGGAUGAAUUGUUGUUGAGCCCAUCAGCAACAUUUUUAAUUCCUCCAUGAUUCGUGUUGAACAUCCGGUUAGUAUUGGAAACUUUUAUAAGCAUUAUCUCCAUGUUCCGUUCAUGAAGCAUAUGUUUGCCUGAAAGGAGUGACUUCCUCUAAUUCAUGUGCAUUUGAUGCAAGUUGCCGCCGUGAGUUUGAGAAAGAUUGUUUUUGCUUCCUUUGGAGUCGUCCCAAGUCAGUCAUGCAUGUGCAAAGUAUACUGUGGUUUGGUAGAUUAAUUACCUCCACUCCAUAUGUAUUCCGUAGCACACCAAGCCACUGAUUGAUUUGCUCAAGGAGAAGAAGUUCCUUCUUAAGACCCGGGCUUAUACAAGGACUUUGAUAUCCUCGAUGAUGGCUCCCCACCUGAACUUGGUAGUGUUUAUUAUAAGACUACUAUGUGGUCAUGCUUGUCUGGGACAGCGUGUUCACAUGUGUGUAGCAGAACCCGCUCAUGUUUGGAGCUUACUACCAUAGUCCAUUUCCCGAGAAUCUCGCAAUGCCAUCUCAUCGAUUUGUGUUGCGAACUUCAUUUUUCUUUCUAGACUUGAUGAGUCUAGAAUAUUCUGACCCAACCAGAUCUAAAUCUCAGGCAGAUAUGAUGGUUGGAACUUUUCCAAGAUCUAUGAUGUAGGUCCCAACAAGGUUAUUGUUUUGGCCGACACACCUAGCCGGAAGCUAUCAUUGUAAUAUCUUGACUGAGCUAUUGACCAUCUUCUCCAUGAUGAUUUCGUGCGACCUAUUCUACAAGUUGUUCCUUAAGGAUCCUCGUGCUCUCGGUUUCCUCGAUUUUUCUAUAACCAUUCAAACAGUGGAGUCACCCUCUACUGUUGAGCUUCUCCUAAGUUACUAGAAUCAUUCCCAGCAUUUGCAUUUUGUUCCCAGCCUGCACUGCCAUUGGGCCAUUCUACCAUGGGUCCCAUCCAUUUCUGAUGAUAAGCAAAAAUCAUUCCUUGUGUUGUCUUCAACAAGGUAAUCCACAUCAUCCAUCCUAGCCCGAGUAUGUUGUUCCCUCAAACUCCGUCAAACGAUUGUUGGUGAAUUGCCUUAGGCUGGUAUAAAGAGUCUCAAUGAUCUCUAUAUCAAAAGUAAUUCUUUUUGCCUCCUAAGAGAUGUCCUUAUGUCUCACUCCAAGAGUUGAUCUUGAGUGCUCAAUCCCCGAGAAGAUCGAUUUCGUAGAGUUUCCUUCUGUCAUCGUCGUGUUGGAUGAAGUUUCCGAAGGCAAAGACGUCAAGAUCAAUAUGAUGCAAUGAAUCAACAUCCUCGAGAAGGACAGUUAGAUCGAGAGGACUGUGAUAGUUUGUGUCCCCUCUUCAUCUUACCCUACGCUUGAAUCUCGGGAUGAGAUUCUUGUUUAGUGGGGGUGAGUUGUCACAUCCCUAGCUUCUGGCAUUGGACUAGGCUAGCUUCAUGUGUGCAUCAUGUUUAAUUUUGAAAGAAACUUGAAAUGGGGAUUGCCUAAACCCUAGCAUCAAAGGAAUUCAGUAGGUUCAACUAAAAUAUUUUCAGUAAAUCCAAAUGGCUUUAAAAAAUGUUCAUCAUUUUUGGAAAACGCUGGAAACAGUAACCAGAGGUGAUGCACAUUUUUCCAUGACAUAUUUGGGCUCUGAAUUAAAUCAUACUCUAUUUGCAUUUGGGCAUUUAAAUGCUAUAAAAUAUUUUAAAUAUCCAAAUAAUCAUAAACUAAAAUGUUUACUGUUGGAUAUAUUCCAAACAGUAGCCAUGAGUAGUUUCAUGAUUUUUGGAAGUGUCUAGGUAUUUUUAGAAAAGCCCUAAAGACUACAGAAUAAUAGAAAACAGAAACUAAAAUAGGAAAAAAAACAGAGAGAGAGAAGAAAACUUACCUAGCGCUUACCUGUCCAGCUUGGCGGCCCAGCAUUGUUGGCCUAGCCCAGCAGCCCUCCCCCUGCCGUCUUCCUCCUGCCAGGAGGACAGACAGGUGUGUGGCGAGCGCGCCGACGACGCCUUGCCACCUCCUGCUUCGGUCGCGCAGCCUUGACCCCCCAGGCGUGCCACGGAGAUGCCCCGAAGCCCCUGGUCCUUCUCCCUCACUCUCUGCUCUCUCCCUCGCUCUCUAGCCCCCUCCCCGAGCUCACCCAAGAGCGCUCUGCCGUCGCCGUGCUUCACCCGCGUGGCCACCGCCCCCUCGCCCAUCCAACGUGUCUGGGAGAACCGCCGCAGCUCCGUCUUCCUCCAAGUCAUCGAACAAAAGUUGGGGCGCGCCCGAACGCCCUCACCACCCUCAUCUUCAACCUCGGGACGCCGAGAUCCGCUGCGCCGCCUCGCUCACUUCGAUGCCUCCCCGACCUCGCUCUUGCGCCUGUUGACCUCACUGUGAGCUCCGUUGUCGAUUCCCCCUUUCCCCGUUGCGUUUUGCUCGCCGUACCGUCGUUCUGCCGACGCCCAUAGGUCGCGGCCGCACUUGCUCAUCGCCGGCAGUCUUCGGUGACCAUUUGGUCAUGCCUGGGUGCCCAGUAGCCUCGAUAGGACCCGCGGGCCACUGCUGGCAUGCUAACCUGGCUGCUCACCCGCUCCAGAGCCAUCGCCGCUCCUGACCGAGCUUCGGUCGCCGCCGCCUCUGCCAACCACCCCGGCACCUCCCACCACCACCAGACGGAGCGUCGCAGUGCGAGCUUUCCAACGCGCCUAGCCGCGUGACCUCCUGACGCCGGAGCUGGCCAGACGACCAACGCCGCCGUGCUCCGGUCAUCGCCGGCGCUAACCCGCCGACGUGGCCAGAUUAGUCGCUAAACCCACUGUUGGCACUAAUUAAACCCCCCNNNNNNNNNNNNNNNNNNNNNNNNNNNNNNNNNNNNNNNNNNNNNNNNNNNNNNNNNNNNNNNNNNNNNNNNNNNNNNNNNNNNNNNNNNNNNNNNNNNNNNNNNNNNNNNNNNNNNNNNNNNNNNNNNNNNNNNNNNNNNNNNNNNNNNNNNNNNNNNNNNNNNNNNNNNNNNNNNNNNNNNNNNNNNNNNNNNNNNNNNNNNNNNNNNNNNNNNNNNNNNNNNNNNNNNNNNNNNNNNNNNNNNNNNNNNNNNNNNNNNNAAUUAAGUAGUUAACUUCUCUGUUAGAUUAGCACUAACCCUAGUGGGCCCACGCGUCAGCUUUGACCAUGCUGACGUGGCCCUUGACUGGGCCCACCUGUUUGUGACCCUAGGCAGCACUGGCUCACUGACCGGCGGGCCCCACGCGUCAGGUUUGACCUGGACCGGGUCUGUUGACCUGCUCAGGUCAGCAUGACGCAAUGCUGACGCAGUAAUUGAUUUUCUGGAUUUAAAAUAAUUCAGGAAAUUCUAGAAAAUGCCCAAAACUUCAAAAAUUCAUAGUAACUCAACCGUAACUCCAAAUGAAAUAAUUUAUAUAUGAAAAAUGAUCAGAAAAAUCUAAUCUAUCCAUCUGUACCAUUUUCAUGCAUGUUAGAACAACUUAUAGCUGCUGUUUAGGACAAAUCAUAUAAAUGGCAUUUGAAUAUCCACAUAUGGAGUUUGAAUUUGAAUCUUGGAUUCAAACCAACUUCAUUUAACCUGUUGCUAGUUGCAUUAGCUCAAAUCACAGCAUGUUGACAUGUCAUGAUCAUGCAUCAUAUUGUGCAUUGCAUUGAUUGUGUUCUUCCUUCUUUGCUGGUAUUUGUUCCCUCUCGAUAGAUGUGUUCCGGCGAUGAGUUCGAUGACACCGAUGAAGAACUAUACUAUCUUCAGAAGUGCCAGGCAACCAAAACCCCUUGCUCAUUCCGAUACAACCCCACUCUCUUGCUCUUGCUCUUGCUCUCUUUUACUGCAUUAGGGCAACAACGAUUCAACUGUUACAUGAUGCAGUAGUUGAACCCCUUUCCUCUGCAUGACCUGUCAUUGCCACGGUAAAUAGAUGAAACCCACUAGCGUGAGUAGGAGUUGUUUGAGCCCUGAUGUGCCUACUCAUUCAUGCUUGUUUAACAUGCCUGCUACUGCUUAGAGUUGAGUCAGGUCUGAUUCAUUGGGGAUGAAUUGGAGGUGUGUGAACAUGUCCUACUGUGUGUGAGCUAAGUGUGUGAACACGAUUUGGUAAAGGUAGUGGUGAGAGGCCAUGUAGGAGUACAUGGUGGGUUGUCUCAUUGAAGCCGUCCUCAGGAACUGAUUUCUGUGUUUGUGAUCCAUGAACAGCUACUACCACGCAUUGGGCUCCUUAAUUGACCCUCUCGACUUAUUAAUCAAUCUGAUCUCUAUCCAGGAGUUGCAACUAGUUUCUGGUGUUUGUAGGUGGUGCUAGUAGUCUACCAAGUGGCACCCGGUACAGGUGGGCUUGGGACAGACUAGGCACACGUGGCACGGUGUACCAAGUGGCACCUGGAUGGUGGGCUUGGGAACCCUGCUCACAUCGUUUGGGGCCGUGAGCGACACCCCGGCCGGAUCUCCUUGCGGAUGGAACCCGAAUAGGCGAUAAACCUGGACUAGAGACUUGUGUGGUUAGUCAGGUCAUGGCCGACACCCUCGCCAGGCUUCUGCUUGAAGGUUACCGAGAUACAUGACGUGUACAUGGCGGUAAGUGGCGAGAGCGUGUGUGAAGAAGUACACCCCUGCGGGGUUAAUAUGAUCUAUUCGAAUAGCCGCGUCCGCGGUAAAGGACGUCUAGGUUACCUAUACAGUUCAUAGACAAGUGAAAGUGGAUACUCUAAAAUACGCAAGAUAAGCGUGAGUGCUAUGGAUGGCGUUCUCAUAGGGAGACGGAAGCAGAUCCAUAGUGGUGUAUUGAUAUGGUGAAUAUGUGGACUCGUGUGCGCCACCUCAAAGAGUUACUUGCAGUCGUAGUUCAGGAUAGCCACCGAGUCAAAGCUGGCUUGCUGCAGUUAAACUCCACCAUCCCUUUGUUGAUAAUGAUGCAUAUGUAGCUAGUUCUGAUGUAAGUCUUGCUGGGUACAUUUGUACUCACGUUUGCUUAAUUUAUGUUUUUGCAGAGAGACUUCAGUCUCGCUAGUAGUUCCGCGUGGACUUCGACGUUUAGCUUGUUACCUCAGCUACGAUCUUGUGCCCUCGACAGGAUCUGGUAGAUGGUCAGGCUUCUCAGCCUUUUCAUUUGUAGAUGUAUGUACUCAGACAUGUUAAGCUUCCACAUGUGCUUGUUGUUUGUAUGCUCUGAAUGUUGGGUCAUGAGACCCAUGAUUGUAAUAUCUCGCUCCUCGGAGCCUAAUGAAUAAAUACUCUGAGUCAUAGAGUUUUGAUGUGAUGACAUGUUGUAUUUGCACAUAUCGAGCAUAUUGUGUGUAUGUUAUUGAAAUGCUUGGUAUGUGUGGGAUCCGACAACCUAGUUGUUUAUUCUUGGUAGCCUCUCUUACCGGGAAAUGUCUCCUAGUGCUUCCACUGAGCCAUGGUAGCUUGCUACUGCUCCGAAACACUUAGGCUGGCCGGCAUGUGUCCUUCUUCGUUCCUGUGUCUGUCCCUUCGGGGAAAUGUCACGCGUUGUUCCUUUAAGUCCUUGUAGCUUGCUACGACUUGGGUUCAUACGUUGUUGAUCGACAUGUUCAUUGUUGGGUCAUGUAUGUCUGUCCCUGUAAGUUAGCGCCACCUUGGGUUUACGACUAGUCAUGUCGGCCCGGGUUCUUUGCCAUACGGAUGCUAGCGACACUAUCAUAUACGUGAGCCAAAAGGCGCAAACGGUCCCGGGCUAGGUAAGGUGGCACCCGUGGGAAUACCAUGCGUGAGGUCGCAAAGUGAUAUGAUGUGUUACAUGCUAGUUCGGUGUGACUUAGGAUCGGGGUCCUGUGUGGCGAGAAACUGAAAAGGGAACUUGAAAGGUUGUGUGGUGAUGUGGCUAGGACCGAUCCAAGUACGCUGAAAUUAAAAUCAACGACUGCUUAAUCGAGUUGUAGUAUCUCCGUGAGGAGUUGAUGUGGCGCUAGAGGUCUCAAGUGGAGGGGCUCUUGGCUGGUGAUAGAAAUACACAUUUUCCAUCUCAGGGCAUCAAUCCGGCGUAGGAAGAAUCUGAUCAAGUAUUUGCAAAAACCAUACGGUGAAAUCAUAGAGGACCCGACUGAGAUGCAGCAGUUGGCGAUGGAUUUUUUAUCAAAAUUUGUACGCGUUUGAAGGGGUGCAAGGGGUACCUGAGGUAAUACAACAUGUACCAGUUAAGGUAACAACGACAAUGUAUGAGAUUUUAAUGGAAGAGAGCACUAUUUUCAAAUGUUUCCCACAAAGGCCCCUAGGUUUGAUGGGUUCCCAGCUCACUUCUUCCAGUAUCAUUUGGACAUCUUAUUUGUGUUUAGAGUUGUGUUGUGCUGUCUUCCCGUGAGUCUCUGAGCUUGAUCGCACAUGUUUGCAUGCAUGAUUAGUGUACGAUUGAAUCGGGGGCGUCACAGACAUAUGUGGGGCUUUUGUCACUAAAGCAGUUCUCGGCAUUGUCCGUGGAGAGGAAAAUCCGGCCAUAAAUGGCACACUAUCUAUAGAGAUACUAAGCUCCCUCGAAUUGAAGCGCUCUGGUGCUUCGAGAGUUGUGGGGUCACUAGAGCCCCACGUGUAAGUGUGUAUUGUUUAGUUUAUUUCUUCUUCCCUUUUUAUUUUUAUUUUUUUUCACAUUUUAAUUCAUGAGCACUUAUUCAAAUUUGUGUACUUUAAAAAACACAAACAUAUUUUGAAAUUCUUCAAAUUCAUUAAUAUUGAUUAAAUUUGUGGAUAUUUUUAAAGUUCACGGCCAUUUAAAGUUUGUGAACAUUUUUUACAUUUGAAAACAUUUUAUAUUGUGAACAUUUUUGAAACCAUGAAUAUAUUUUAAAUUCACGAAUGUUUCUAAGAUGCAUGGUUUUAAAAGUAAUUAUAUAGUUUAAGUUCCUUAAACAUCAUUUUUUUGAAUAUUUACUGUGAGGUAAAGCCCCACAGCCCUUUAUUAAAAACGAACAACUGUACAAAAAGAAUAGAAGGAGUAUAUACAAGAGCUAAGAAACUAGCCUACAAAGCUAAGGUACAAGACUAGAACUACCUACCUGGACAAAUUAGACUAAAGCAUUUAUCCAAGCUUUAAGCUUGAUGCUGCUAUCUUCCUUGAGCCUAUGAGUUAGGAGUGAAAGAUCAUGUACAAAGUUAGACCACCAAGCAGGAAAAGUAGCUCUCUCCCCUCUAAAUGUUCUGCCAUUCCUGAGGAUCCAAAUAUUCCACGCUGCUGUCAGCAUUACUUUGUAGAAGAAAGGACGCCUGAAGCUGGAUCUAGCAUGCUGGAUACAUUGCUGAAUAUCCGGCCCUCUUGACCAGUCAAUAGAAAGGUAGUUCCAAACCCUCCUACUGAAAUUACAGUUGAAGAACAAAUGCAGCCUAUCCUCAUAUGAAAGUUCAUGACAGAUAACACAAAGAUUAUCAUCCACGGGGGAUCUCCAGUGCCUGCGGAUCAGAAGGUCCUUGGUGUUAAGCCUGUCAAAGAAAAGUAACCAGCCAAAGACUUUGAUCUUCAAGGUGCAUCUGCUUUUCCACAACCAUUUACACGGUUGAAUUGUGGGCAAAUGAGAGUGCAUCAAGGUGUAGAAACUCUUGGCUGAGUAACUACCAGAUCUGCCCGGCCAAACCCAAACAUAUGGUAUGUUGAUGUCCCUGUUCAAGGCCAUGAUCCAAUCUUCUAGCACAUGCAACUCCUGAGCAGCUUCAUGAGACAAUGGCAAGAAGAACAUGGGAAAAAUAUCCUGCGAUAUGAUGAAUUCAUGCACUGAAACCUAUCAUUGUUAACAAAGGAAAAUAACCUUGGCAAUCUCCAACAUAAAGGUCUAGAAGAGCCACCAAUAAACCAAGCAUCAGUCCAAAACAGAGCAGAGUCACCCAUGUUGAUGUGCACUAAGGCAAUAGGUGUGUAUGCAUCAUGGAGCUCGAGGAUAUCUCUCCACCAAAAGGAGCCCACUGGGGUUGUAGCAUGUGGAACACCAUCAACAUAAUAACUGUUCCAGAUGAGGGACACCCAGGGUAUGUCCGCCUUAUUAUAAAUUUAUGCAAGUGCUUGAGCAGAAGUCCCUUGUUUUGAAUGUUUAAGUUGAUGACCCCAAGACCUCCUUUGUCUUUUGGCCGACGGACUAAAUCCCAAGUAGCCAAAGAUUGCUUGGGAGCAUCAGUACUCCCCCUCCAGAGGCACUGUCUGAAGAUUCUGUCCAACUGCUUGAUAAUACCUAAUAACCCACAAGUGUAGGGGAUCGCAACAGCUUUCGAGGGUAAAGUAUUCAACCAAAAUUUAUUGAUUUGACACAAGGGGAGCCAAAGAAUAUUCUCAAGUAUUAGCAGUUGAGUUGUCAAUUCAACCACACCUGGAUAACUUAGUAUCUGCAGCAAGGUAUUUAGUAGCAAAGUAAUAUGGAACUAAAGGUAACGAUAGCAAAAGUAAUGUUUUUGGGUUUUGUAAUGAUUGUAACAGUAGCAAUGGAAAAGUAAAUAAGCGAAGAACAAUAUGUGAAAAGCUCGUAGGCAAUGGAUCAGUGAUGGACAAUUAUGUCGGAUGCGAUUCCUCGUGUAAUAGCUAUAACAUAGGGUGACACAGAACUAGCUCCAGUUCAUCAAUGUAAUGUAGGCAUGUAUUCCGAAUAUAGUCAUACGUGCUUAUGGAAAAGAACUUGCAUGACAUCUUUUGUCCUACCCUCCCGUGGCAGCGGGGUCCUAGUGGAAACUAAGGGAUAUUAAGGCCUCCUUUUAAUAGAGAACCGGAACAAAGCAUUAGCACUUAGUGAAUACAUGAACUCCUCAAACUACGGUCAUCACCGAGAAGUAUCCCGAUUAUUGUCACUUCGGGGUUGUCGGAUCAUAACACAUAAUAGGUGACUAUAGACUUGCAAGAUAGGAUCAAGAACACACAUAUAUUCAUGAAAACAUAAUAGGUUCAGAUCUGAAAUCAUGGCACUCGGGCCCUAGUGACAAGCAUUAAGCAUAGCAAAGUCAUAGCAACAUCAAUCUCAGAACAUAGUGGAUACUAGGGAUCAAACCCUAACAAAACUAACUUGAUUACAUGGUAAAUCUCAUCCAACCCAUCACCGUCCAGCAAGCCUACGAUGGAAUUACUCACGCACGGCGGUGAGCUUCAUGAAAUUGGUGAUGGAGGAUGGUUGAUGAUGACGACGGCGACGAAUCCCCCUCUCCGGAGCCUCGAACGGACUCCAGAUCAGCCCUCCCGAGAGAGAUUAGGGCUUGGCGGCGGCUCCAUAUCGUAAAACGCGAUGAAACUUUCUCUCUGAUUUUUUUCUCCGUGAAACGGAAUAUAUAGCGUUUGAGUUGAGGUCGGUGGAGCUCCAGGGGGCCCAGGAUACAAGGGGCGCGCCCACGGGGAGAGGGAGCGCCCCCACCCUCCUGGACAGCCUAAGUGCCUCCAUGGAUUUUCAUGUCAUUCCGAGAACUUUUGUUUUCUACACAUGAAACAACAUCAUGGUAAUUCUGCUGAAAACAGCGUCAGUCCGGGUUAGUUCCAUUCAAAUCAUGCAAAUUAGAGUCGAAAAAAAGGGUAAAAGUGUUUGGAAAAGUAGAUACGUUGGAGACGUAUCAACUCCCCCAAGCUUAAACCUUUGCUUGUCCUCAAGCAAUUCAGUUGAUAAACUGAAAGUGAUAAAGAAAAACUUUUACAAACUCUAUUUGCUCUUGUUGUUGUAAAUAUAUCAAGCCAGCAUUCAAGUUUCAGCAAAUAUUAUGAACUAACCAUACUCACAAUAACACCUAGGUCUCACAAUUACUCAUAUCAAUAGCAUAAUCAGCUAGCGAGCCAUAAUAAUAAAACUCGGAUGACAACACUUUCUCAAAACAAUCAUAACAUGAUAACAAAAUGGUAUCUCGCUAGCCCUUUCUGAGACCGCAAAACAUAAAUGCAGAGCACCUUUAAAGAUCAAGGACUGACUAAACAUUGUAAUUCAUGGUAAAAGAGAUCCAGUCAAGUCAUACCCAAUAUAAACCAAUAAUAAUGAAUGCAAAUGACAGUGUGCUCUCCAGCGGGUGCUUUUUAAUAAGAAGGUGAUGACUCAACAUAAAAGUAAAUAGAUAGGCCCUUCGCAGAGGGAAGCAGGGAUUUGUAGAGGUGCCAGAGCUCGAUUUUUAAAAUAGAGAUUGAAUAACAUUUUGAGCGGCAUACUUUCACUGUCAACGCAACAACUAUGAGAUGGUUGUAUCUUCCAUACUACAUGUAUUAUAGGCAGUUCCCAAACAGAAUGGUAAAGGUUUAUACUCCCCCAACCACCAACAAGCAUCAAUCCAUGGCUUGCUCGAAACAACGAGUGCCUCCAACUGACAACAGCCCUGGGGGAGUUUUGUUUAAUUAAUUUGAUUUGCUUUGAUCUUUUUGGAUCUUGGGACUGGGCAUCCCGGUUACCGGCCCUUUCUCAUGAAUGAGGAGCGGAGUCCACUCCUGUUGAGAAUAACCCACCUAGCAUGGAAGAUAUAGGCAGCCCUAGUUGAAACAUGAGCUGCUCGAGCAUACAAACAGAAUUUCAUUUGAAGGUUUGGAGUUUGGCACAUACAAAUUUACUUGGAACGGCAGGUAAAUACCGCAUAUAGGAAGGUAAGGUGGACUCAUAUGGAAUAACUUUGGGGUUUAAGGAGUUUGGAUGCACAAGCAGUAUUCCCGCUUAGUACAGGUGAAGGCUAGCAAAAGACUGGGAAGCGACCAACUGAGAGAGCAACAACAGUCAUGAACAUGCAUUAAAAUUAAUUUACACCGAGUGCAAGCAUGAGUAGGAUAUAAUCUACCAUGAACAUAAAUAUCAUGAAGGCUAUGUUGAUUUGCUUCAACUACAUGCGUGAACAUGUGCCAAGUCAAGCCACUCAAUUCAUUCAAAGGAGGAGACCAUCCCAUCAUACCACAUCACAAUCAUUCUAAUAGCAUGUUGGCACGCAAGGUAAACCAUUAUAACUCAUAGCUAAUCAAGCAUGGCACAAGCGACUAUAAUCUCUAAAUGUCAUUGCAAAUAUGUUUACUCAUAAUAAGCUGAACCAGGAACGAUGACCUCAUCAUAUUUACAAAAACAAGAGAGGUCGAGUUCAUACCAGCUUCUCUCAUCUCAAUCGGUCCAUCAUAUAUCGUCAUUAUUGCCUUUCACUUGCACGACCGAACGAUGUGUAUAAUAAUAAUAGUGCACGUGCAUUGGACUAAGCUGGAAUCUGCAAGCAUUCAACUCAAGAGAGAAGACAGGGUAAUAUGGGCUCUAAGUUAAAUAAACAAUCAUGCAUAUGAGAGCCACAAAACAUUUUCAAUAUGGUCUUCUCGACCCCCAAAGAAAAGAAAAUAAAACUAUUUACACGGGAAAGCUCCCAACAAGUAAAAGAAGAACGAGAAAUCUUAUUGGAUUUUCAUUUUAAUUCUACUACAAGCAUGGAAAUUAAAUUAACUAAUUUUUUUGGUUUUUCUUAAGGUUUGUCAAACUCACAAGAAGAAAACUAGAAAAAGAAAAUUUAAACUAACAUGGAUAAUACAAUGAAAGAGUAUGAGCACCGACGACUAAAAUAGUGUGUGAACAUGAAUGUAAAGUCGGUGAGAAAUACGUACUCCCCCAAGCUUAGGCUUUUGGCCUAAGUUGGUCUAAUGCCAAGGAUAGCCUGGCUGAUAUCUGUAGUUGUAACUGGGGUCAUACUGGGAUGCAGCAGCCAAUGCCUCUUGAGCUGCGGCAUGUUGGCGGGCUGCCUCCGCUCUCCUCUCGUAUUCGGUUGCCUCCUCCCUGGUUACAACAUAUCUUCGUUUUGCCUGGUAAUCAAAAAGGGAAGGAGCAGGGAGAGUAACAUGGACAGAGCUACGUCUGUCAAAGAUUAGUCAAUAUUGGAGGAAUUGUUCCUUCCCCACAAGAAAACGAUGACUGGCCAUAGUGUCAUAAUCUAAACAAGCAAAAGGUAACAGCAUGUCACCCUCACGUGGGGGUAUACCAAGAUAAUUUGCAACACGAGUCGCAUAAAUCCCUCCAAAUAAAUCUCCAGAUAAACCAUUAUUAUGCAACCUACGUGCAACUAUUGCCCCCAAGUUGUAAUCUUUAUUACCUAAAACAGCACUCUUGAGGACACAGAGAUCAGGGACACACAUGUGACAAGCUUCGUAUUUACCAUUUAUGCAUCUACCAAUGAAGAGAGCAAAAUAAUGUAUGGCAGGAAAGUGAAUGCUCCCUAUGGUAGCUUGUGCUAUGUCCCUAGAUUCUCCCACAGUAAUACUUGUAAGAAAGUCUUUAUAUUCAGAUUUACGGGGUUCAUUAACACUACCCCACUGUGGGAGAUUGCAAGCAGUGGUGAAAUCUUCUAAGUCCAUGGUAUAGGAUUGAUCAUAAAUAUCAAACGGGACAGUUUGAGAAUUACGCGAAGAUGAAAAUUUAAACCUUCUCACGAAUGCAUUAGUCAAAUAGUAGUACUGAGGACACUUAUCUUGCAUGAAGUCCUCAAGAUCAGCGUUAUGCACAAAUGCAUCAAAUUCAGCCUUAAUUCCUGCAUUGACCAUAAAUUCUUCUGACGGCCAUUCACAAGGCCGCACAUAAGCUUCCCUUGGUGGUUCAUCGUCUUGCUCACGCAUUGCACGCCUGGGUCCUUUCUUUAUUGAGGAACCACCUUGGUACAUUUUCCUAGACAUAUUUCUUCAUCUGAAAAAUUUCUGAAAUUUUAGUAACUUCAAAAUAGAAGUGAAUCAAACUCAAUAAAACUGAUAGCAACUACUCCUACAAGUGCCUAGAGCCUAUAUCAUGCAUUAGAAUUACUUGGGACCUCAUAAAUUUGACAUGCAAGCUCAAGAACAGGGUCACCUAUGCAGCAAACAUUUGCAAUGAAUAAAGCACUAGAACAAAAACUAAUUGGACCAAUGGAGGAGUCACAUACCAAGCAACAAUCUCCCAAAGCAGUUUUUCAGAUGGAGCUUUGAGCAAGGAGAUCGAAAAUCGCAGCAAAAUGAGCUAGAACUCGUGCUUGAGCUGGAUGGGGAUUUUUUGGGAGGAAGAUGGAGUGUGUGGGUGCAGGAAUAAGCGGAGGGGGGGCCACCGUGGGCCCAGGAGACAGGGGGCGCGCCCUAUAAGUGUGGGCGCGCCCUGGACCCUCCUGGCCAGGUGCUUGCCCCUCAUGCAGUGUUCUUAGUGCCUAAAAUCCUCAAAUAUUCCAGAAAAAUCAUACUAAAUUGGCAAGGCAUUUGGAGCACUUUUAUUUUCGGGAUAUUUUUUAUUGCAUGGAUAAUUCGGAAAACAGACAGAUAAUACUAUUUUUGCUUUAUUUAUUCUAAAUAACAGAACAUAAAAAAAAGGGUACAGAAGGUUGUGCCUUCUAGUUUCAUCCAUCUCAUGAUCAUCAAAAUGAAUCCACUAACAAGGUUGAUCAAGUCUUGUUAACAAACUCAUUCCGAAUAAUACGGAACCGGAGAAAUUUCGAAUAACACUAGGUUACCUCAAUGGGGAUAUGAACAUCCCCUACAAUAAGAAUAUCAUACUUUUUCUUGACAGUGGGAAGAGGAAAUUCAAAACCUCCAAUAAUAAUAGUUGGAACUUUUCCAAUAGAAUUGAUGUUAUGAACUUGAGAUUGUUUCCUCGGAAAGUGUACUGUAUGCUCAUUACCAUUAACAUGAAAAGUGACAUUGCCUUUAUUGCAAUCAAUAACAUCCCCUGCAGUAUUCAAAAAAAGUCUACCAAGGAUAAUCGACAUACUAUUGUCCUCGGGAAUAUCAAGAAUAACAAAGUCCGUUAAGAUAGUGACAUUUGCAACCACAACAGGCACAUCCUCACAAAUACCGACAUGUAUAGCAGUUGAUUUAUCGGCCAUUUGCAAAGAUAUUUCAGUAGGUGUCAACUUAUUCAAUUCAAGUCUACGAUAUAAAGAGAGAGGCAUAACACUAACACCGGCUCCAAGAUCACAUAAAGCAGUUCUAACAUAAUUUCUUUUAAUGGAGCAUGGUAUAGUUGGUACCCCUGGAUCUCCAAGUUUCUUUGGUAUUCCACCCUUAAAAGUUUAAUUAGCAAGCAUGGUGGAAAUUUCAGCUUCCGGUAUCUUUCUUUUAUUUGUGAUGAUAUCCUUCAUAUACUUAGCAUAAGGAUUUACUUUAAGCAUAUCAGUUAAGCGCAUACGUAAGAAAAUAGGUCUAAUCAUUUCAGCAAAGCGCUCAAAAUCCUCAUCAUCCUUUGUCUUGGAUGGUUUAGGAGGAAAGGGCAUGGGUUUUUGAACCCAUGGUUCUCUUUCUUUACCGUGUUUCCUAGCAACAAAAUCUCUCUUAUCAUAAUGUUGAUUCUUUGAUUGUGGGUUAUCAAGAUCAACAACAGGUUCAAUCUCUACAUCAUUAUUAUUGCUAGGUUGAGCAUCAACAUUAACAUUAUCAUUAACAUUAUCACUAGGUUCAUGUUCAUCACCUGAUUGUGUUUCAGCAUCAGAAAUAGAAAUAUCAUUGGGAUUCUCAGGUGUGUCUACAGUAGGUUCACUAGAAGCAUGCGAAGUACUAUCAUUUUUCUUUUUCUUCUUUUUGGAAGAACUAGGUGCAUCUAAAUUGUUUCUCUGAGAAUCUUGCUCGAUUCUCUUAGGGUGGCCUUCAGGAUACAAAGGUUCCUGCGUCAUUCUACCAGUCCUAGUAGCCACUCUAACAGCAAAGUCAUUUUUAUUAUUUAAUUCAUCAAGCAAAUCAUUUUGAGCUUUAAGUACUUGCUCAGCUUGAGUAGCAACCAUAGAAGCAUAUUUGCUAAUGAGUUUGAGUUCACCUUUAACUCUAGCCAUAUUAUCGCUCACGCGUCCUAUCUCGAGAGCAUUAUUCUUUAACUCUCUACCAACAUAAGCAUUAAAACUUUCUUGCCUAGCCAUAAAGUCAUCAAAUUCAUCUAAACAUGGGCUAUGAAAUUUAGUAGAGGUUAUUUCCACUUUAUCAUAUCUAUAGACAAUGUGUCGGGUUAUCAAGACAAUGUGGUUCUUCAACAGGCGGUAUAUUAAGACCAUGUAUUUCUUCAAUAGGUGGUAAAUUCUUAACAUCUUCAGCUUUAAUACCUUUUUCUUUCAUUGAUUUCUUUGCCUCUUGCAUAUCUUCAGGACUGAGAAAUAAAACACCUCUCUUUCUCGGAGUGGGUUUAGGAAUAGGCUCAGGAGCUGGCUCAAUUGGUUCAGGAAUUUCCUCAGGAAUUGGCUCAGGAAGAGUCCAAUUAUUUUCAUUAGUCAACAUAUUAUUCAAUAGUAAUUCAGCUUCGUCGACUGUUCUUUCCCUGAAAACACAACCAGCAUAACUAUCCAAGUGGUCCUUGGAAGCAUCGGUUAGUCCAUUAUAAAAUAUCUCAAGUAUUUCAUUUUUCUUAAGAGGAUGAUCAGGCAAAGCAUGAAGUAAUCGGAGAAGCCUCCCCCAAGCUUGUGGGAGACUCUCUUAUUUGAUUUGCACACAAUUAUAUAUUUCCCGCAAGGCAGCUUGUUUCUUAUGAGCAGGGAAAUAUUUAGCAGAGAAGUAAUAAAUCAUAUCUUGGGGACUACGCACACAACCAGGAGCAAGAGAAUUGUACCAAGUCUUAGCAUCACCCUUUAAUGAGAAUGGAAAUAUCUUAAGGAUAUAAUAAUAGCGAGAUUUUUCAUCAUGAGUAAACAGGGUAGCUAUAUCAUUCAACUUGGUAAGAUGUGCGACAACAGUUUCAGAUUCAAGGCCAUAAAAAGGAUCUGAUUCAACUAAAGUAAUAAUUUCAGGAUCAACAGAGAAUUCAUAAUCCUUAUCAGUAACACAAAUAGGUGAAGUAGAAAAAACAGGGUCAGGUUUCAUUCUAGCAUUAAGAGACUGUUGCUUCCAUUUAGCUAAUAAUUUAUUUAGAUCAUAUCUAUCAUGGCAAGCAAAGAUAGCUCUAGCAGCUUCUUCAUUCAUAACAUAACCCUCAGGAACAACAGGCAAUUCAUAAUCAUUGGGAGAACUUUCAUCAUCACUAUCAUCAAUAAUAGCAUCUUCAAUAAUUUCAUUCUCUCUAGCCCUAGCAAGUUGUUCAUCAAGAAAUUCACCUAGUGGCACAGUAGUAUCAGGCAUAGAAGUAGUUUCAUCAUAAUUAUCAUGCAUAGCAGAAGUGGCAUCAUCAAUAACAUGCGACAUAUCAGAAUUCAUAGCAGUAGCAGGUUUAGGUGUCGCAAGCUUACUCAAAACAGAAGGAGAAUCUAGUGUAGAGCUAAAUGGCAGUUCCUUACCUCCCCUCAUAGUUGAGGGAUAAAUUUUUGUUUUGUUGUCUUUCAAGUUCUUCAUAGUGACCAGCAGAUAUAAAUCCCAAGUGACUCAAAGAAUAGAGCUAUGCUCCCCGACAACGGCGCCAGAAAUUAGUCUUGAUAACCCACAAGUGUAGGGGAUCGCAACAGCUUUCGAGGGUAAAGUAUUCAACCCAAAUUUAUUGAUUCGACACAAGGGGAGCCAAAGAAUAUUCUCAAGUAUUAGCAGUUGAGUUGUCAAUUCAACCACACCUGGAUAACUUAGUAUCUGCAGCAAGGUAUUUAGUAGCAAAGUAAUAUGGAAAUAAAGGUAACGAUAGCAAAAGUAAUAUUUUUGGGUUUUGUAAUGAUUGUAACAGUAGCAACGGAAAAGUAAAUAAGCGAAGAACAAUAUGUGAAAAGCUUGUAGGCAAUGGAUUAGUGAUGGAUAAUUAUGUCGGAUGUGAUUCCUCAUGUAAUAGCUAUAGCAUAGGGUGACACAGAACUAGCUCCAGUUCAUCAAUGUAAUGUAGGCAUGUAUUCCGAAUAUAGUCAUACGUGCUUAUGGAAAAGAACUUGCAUGACAUCUUUUGUCCUACCCUCCUGUGGCAGCGGGGUCCUAGUGGAAACUAAGGGAUAUUAAGGCCUCCUUUUAAUAGAGAACCGGAACAAAGCAUUAGCACUUAGUGAAUACAUGAACUCCUCAAACUACGGUCAUCACCGAGAAGUAUCCCGAUUAUUGUCACUUCGGGGUUGUCGGAUCAUAACACAUAAUAGGUGACUAUAGACUUGCAAGAUAGGAUCAAGAACACACAUAUAUUCAUGAAAACAUAAUAGGUUCAGAUCUGAAAUCAUGGCACUCGGGCCCUAGUGACAAGCAUUAAGCAUAGCAAAGUCAUAGCAACAUCAAUCUCAGAACAUAGUGGAUACUAGGGAUCAAACCCUAACAAAACUAACUUGAUUACAUGGUAAAUCUCAUCCAACCCAUCACCGUCCAGCAAGCCUAUGAUGGAAUUACUCACGCACGGCGGUGAGCAUCACGAAAUUGGUGAUGGAGGAUGGUUGAUGAUGACGACGGUGACGAAUCCCCCUCUCCGGAGCCCCGAACGGACUCCAGAUCAGCCCUCCCGAGAGAGAUUAGGGCUUGGCGGCGGCUCCGUAUCGUAAAACGUGAUGAAACUUUCUCUUUGAUUUUUUUCUCCGCGAAACGGAAUAUAUAGCGUUGGAGUUGAGGUCGGUGGAGCUCCAGGGGGCCCAGGAGACAGGGGGCGAGCCCAGGGGGAGAGGGCGCGCCCCCACCCUCCUGGACAGGCUGUGGGUCCCCUGACCUUGAUUCUUUCACCAGUAUUUUUUAUAUUUUCCAAAAAGUGCCUCCGUGGAUUUUCAGGUCAUUCCGAGAACUUUUGUUUUCUACACAUGAAACAACAUCAUGGUAAUUCUGCUGAAAACAACGUCAGUCCGGGUUAGUUCCAUUCAAAUCAUGCAAAUUAGAGUCCAAAACAAGGGCAAAAGUAUUUGGAAAAGUAGAUACGUUGGAGACGUAUCAAUACCAGGUGGGAUUUGCAAACUACAAAGAAAGUAGAUUGGCAUAGAGGUCAGGACUGAAGUUAGGAGCUGCAAACGAGAUCCUUGAUUGAGCAUGCAUGAGCUAGCGGUCAGACGCCUCUCCAAAGUGUCCACUAAAGGCAUGAGGUCAACAAUCCUGGGCCUAGUGGUUCCAAGGGGCAACCCUAAAUAAGUAAAAGGGAGUUGGCCAAUCCUGCAGCCCAACACAACAGCUAACCUAAUUGCUUCACCUUCCUCAUGGUUGAGUGGGAUCAUUGAAGACUUUGCAAAUUGACCUUGCGACCAGUAGAUUGUUCGAAGGUAAGCAACAUGUUCUUGAGGGCUACCAGCUCCUCAUCUCUGGCUGACAGAAAGAUAACAGUAUCAUCAACAUACUGUAUAAUAGGAAACUCCAGGUCAUGGGUGGGGAUUGGGAGUGAUAAGAUACCCUGGGCCAGCAUUUGAUUAACCACAGAUUGUAAAAGGUCAGCUGCUAUUACAAAUAGAAGAGGUGAUAAAGGAUCCCCUUGUCUGACCCCACAUUUGCACUUGAACUGCUUGCCAGGGAUGCCAUUGAGCAACACAGAAGAAGACCCUGUAGAGAGAAUCUCUUUGACCCAACCAAUCCAUUUAUCAUCAAAACCUUUGUGUUUGAGCAUCAGCAAAAUAACUUCAUGAUUAAUUGUAUCAAAAGCCUUGGCAAAAUCCAAUUUCAGAAUAACAAUAGGCCUCUUGGACUGUUUACAUUGAUGUAUAUACUCAAAACUCCAAGCCAGACAGUCCUGGAUUGAUCUACCCUUGAGAAAGCCAUACUGGUUCUUAUGGAUGCAAUUCAAAAUCACCCUUUGCAACAUCAUUUAGUUAAAUAACCUUCUCAAAUAAAAAAAGAUAGGCGAUUUUUCUGAGCUAGCAGUCGGGUGAGCAAAAAAACUAAUGGGCGAGAGGAGGAGGGAGCCAAGCUAAGCGAGCAAGAGCUUUGCGUGCUAGCCCAUAUGAGCAUCACCGUAGCAAUUCCAUGGGUUUAGCGUGAAAAAAGAACUCCCAAGAGGCUCAAAUAAUCACCAUCGGGCUAACACUAAGGCUAAAAGGUGCAAAAAAUUCAUAACCACGCAUCAAAUAACUCAUCCCUUCUCUUGAAAAAAAUAACUCCAACAGCAACCCAAUACGAUAUAGAAAAAAACACCACCAAAAAUAAACUAAAACACAAAGCGAACACAGAUAAAAUCAAAACAAAACAACUAAUCACAACAGUCUAUAAAUAUAAAAUGUUAAUUGAACAAGUGAAGAACGGCGUGACUGCUUUUGGAACAAGUGCCUAGGCAAACGUGGCGUCGUAUCUCUCUACAUUGCAGAAAGGGGAAAGAUUAGCGGUGCAGCCGGCGCAUGUGUGAUUAGGGCGGCUGCUGGCGUGUCACCGUGUGGUUGGGCACGUCUGCGCGGGGUGCUUGCCGACCCUCUGAACUCUCAUGCUUGUAUGGCUCAGGACGAGGGAGGUGAAGCAGGGACGCCUUUGAGAUGGCUUGUCAGCCACGACAAGGGUGAAGGGACAACACCGACACCGACGCCCGCUACCACCGCAGGCUGGGAGGGGUGUGGAUGGGGCACACGACACAGCGGUGGUGCUGGCCAAGACGGCUCCAUGCGCAAUGGAAGGGGGCUACGCGGCAAAAGGCACAAAUUUGACCUGAGGGCGAAACUAUUUCACAAACUAAACAGUUUUUGAAAAUAUUUCACCCAACUGACCCCUUUGUGCAGCGCCCGACAUCAAGGCAUAUAAAAUGUUAAUUGAACAAGUGAAGAACGACGCAGCGAAGCACGCUUUAGCCUCUAGUUGGUACUGAUCCCAAAGGCAAUCUGACUCUCUUGUCACAUUUUCGCCCCAUUAGUCUCUGUAAUGUUUUCUAUAAGAUAAUGUCUAAAGUUCUUGCAAACCAUUUGAAGGUUGCCCUGCCUGACAUCACAUUAGAGGAACAGUCGGCAUUUGUACCUGGCAGGCUUAUUACUGACAACAUAAUCUCAACGUACGAAUAUUUGCACUUCAUGAAGAGGAACGGGAGAAUAAUAGUUUUUGUGCACUCAAAUUGGACAUGAUAAAAGCCUACGAUAAAGUAGAAAGGAGCUAUCUGAAGGCAAUUAUGGAAAAACUGGGAUUCACAGGUCCGUUGAUUUCAUUCAUUAUGAACAUGGUGAGCUCAGUAUCCUUCUCUAUUAUUUUUAAUGGGAGUAAAUUGGAGGAAUCUAAACCUACAAGAAGUAUUCGACAUGGAGAUCCUAUCUCUCUAUAUCUUUUCUUGUUGGCAGUAGAGGGUCUUUCGUGCCAGUUGAAAUAAGAAGACCGCUCAUCCCAGCUUAGCGGAAUCAAGGUGUCCCCAUCUGCUCCGCCGGUGAACCACCUCCUAUUCACGGAUGAUAGCAUGUUGUUUUUCAGGGCAAGAGUAAAUGGAGUAGAACAGGUGUCACACUUUUUGGCUUAUGGACAAAGAAUAAACACAAAGAAAUCGUUGAUAUUCUUCAGUAAGGGUUGCCCAGAGAUGCACUGAAGGGCCAUCUUCAAGUCCCUACUGAAUCCUUGAGCGACAAAUAUUUGGAAAUGCCAACGGAUGUAGGGCAAUUGAAGAAAGGAACAUUUAAAUACUUGAGUGAUCAUGUCUGAGAUAAGGUGAAAGGAUAGAUGGGCAAGCUAUUUUCAGCAGGUGGCAAAGAUGUGCGUAUAAAAUCUGUUUACUCAAUGUCAUGUUUCAAACUUUCUAAAGGUUUAUGUAAUAAGCAUAUAAAUUCUAUUAACCUAUAGGUUUAUGUUUCAAACUUCUUAGAAAACCACCUGAAUUUCACUUUGCCAACUUAGCUAGUCCAGUCAGCACGGGUUAUUCGAAAACCACCUAAAAUUCUGUCCAAAACCACCUCGAUGCUCAAUUGAUCCGGUUUUGGACACUCUCUUUUUUUUCGAGGCAAGGGGAAACUAUACUUUCCUGGCAAAGAAAUACGAUGUGCUGCACAAGGAGCGGCCCAGCUAAUUCUGGUCGGCCCACCUAAGGCAGUAGUAUACGGGGUCCAGCCGCCGGGGGCUCGCACCGUCGCACGCUGGGCGUUGGUGAACCCUGACGAAAGAAAUUCCCCUUCUCUCGCUGCCCCCGUCCUGUGAUGGCAGCACCGGCGCCCGGCGCCGGCGCCGUCGAGGUUUCCAUGGUACCCCUCUCUCUCGCUCUCGCUCUCUCAGACCUCGUGGAUCGUCAAUUGCUCAUCGGCCGGACUGAGCCUACGCGAUUGCUGAUCUAAUUGGCGUGGUCUAAAUCAACUAGGGUUUCACAUCACGGAUUGGCGUUCGUGUCAUGCAGGACGACAAGGCCAAGGCGUUGGUGGCCGCGAAGAUCAAUGAAGGGGAGUACAAGGUGCAGAUGAUAGGACAGUACGCGGUGCGGACGGACCGCGCAAUCGAUGCGCUGGAGAAAAAGGUGCAGGACAUCGAGGCGGUGAUGGAUCUCGAGCUGAUGGCCUGAUGCUCGGCGAGUACUGCGCCGACCUCUCGGACAUGCACAAGGCGCGCCACUACUACCGCGUCACCUCGCUCUCGGAGGAGGAGAAACUCUACCUCCACCAAAUCGACGACUUCGCCACCGCCACCAUCGCCGAGUACGAGGCCAGCGUCGGCCCCGUCCCCGCCUUCGACAACCACCUCAGCCUGUUCAGCCAAGAAAUCCCACUGGAGUUCCCCGAACCCUUGGCUCCCCCUCCCGCUUCUUCGUCUUCGGCGUCGGUUCGGCUUCUCACCACGAGUGAGUUCUCGCUCCUUGCACCAGCAUUCAUGGUCACUAUGCCUUCUGCCGGUUCCUUGCGAUUGCAAACUAACUAGUCUACAACCAUUUCAGAGUUUCAGAGUAGUAUGCCUAGAACAGGCCAGACUGUAUGUCUGCCCAGUUUCAACUCGAAAGAUGAAGUAAUGAUGUAGGCAUAAUGGGAGAUAUAUCUCCUUGGUACUCUUCUAUGUACUGUAUCUGAUUGUAGUAACCAAAUAACGGUUGAGAUUUUGUAUAGUUCCUAGAUAGAUUAAUCACAGGCCAGUAGAAAUGUGCUAGUACGGUAGUACCUUUGAUUUAUUCCACAGCCAGUAGAGCUGUAGAGGUGUGGUUGUAGCUCUAUUACCUUGGCUCCCCCUCCUGCUUCUUCGGCUUCGGCUUCUCACCACGAGUGAGUUCUCGCUCCUUGCACCAGCAUUCAUGGUCACUAUGCCUUCUGCCGGUUCCUUGCGAUUGCAAAGUCUACGACCAUUUCAGAAAUUCAGAGUAGUAUGCCUAGAACAGGCCUGUAUGUUUGCCCAGUUUCAACUCAACAGAUGAAGUAAUGUUGUAGGCAUAAUGGGAGAUUUUAUCUCCUUGGAACUCUUCUGUGUAUCCGAUUGUAGUAAUCAAUUAACGGUUGAGAUUUUUUAUAGUACCUAGAUAGAUUAAUCACAGGCCAGUAGAAAAUAUGCUAGUACGGUAGUACCUUGAUUUAUUCCACAGCCAGUAGAGCUGUAGAGGUGUGGUUGUAGCUCUACUACCAUGGGCUAGUAGUAAACUGAUCAUCUAUUCAGGGUCAAACCAAUCUAUAAUUUGUUCCUGGCUGCCCUCAAGAUCUGCAAAGGGUCUUCACCAAUACACCCCCCUCUGGUUUUGUCUUAGUAGCGAAACGAUGUGACUGCCUAGAUCUAGUAAGUUACUACUUGUUUCUUGAUCUGCUUGAGUUAAUAUCAGAUUCACCGUCGAUUUGUUUCCUGAAUGGCCUUUCAUCCCAAACCAAAGUACCAAACUGUAGAUUAAAGUGUUAGGUGUGGCGUGGCUUGGGCUGUGGACAAUGCCUUCAGACUUGCCCGUCCCAGCUCCAAUUAUGUCUUGUUCUAUCUGCCUCGGAGCCUGGCAUUCACUAUUUCACUGCACACUUGAUUAUUGAAACUAGAAAUGAAUUGCUUUAGGGUUAUAGAUAUCUUCACGUGUUCUGUUUGGUUGGAGACACCAAGAACUGGAGAACUUUGUGAAAACAGUAAGAUCAAUCACAAACGGUGAGUAGGAUAACAGGAUGCAGUUACUGAUUUAGCAGCCCUACUGAAUAGAUGUAGGUGCUAUUCCAUAGUAUAACACCAGUAACUUGUGCGUAGAAAACAAAUAUGCCUUUUUGAACUGACAUUUUGAUUGCUUUUGUUCUAUUUAUAUAUUAGCUACAUAAUGUUUGUGCAUAUAUAUAGGUGGGAGUGGGAGCCCAGCUGUGGCUUCUGGUUCACCCCCCAUGGAAGCACGUUUAGCCACUUUCAACUCAAAAAGAUGAAGUAGGGAUGUAGGCAGAAUGGGAGAUUCUAUCUCCUUGGGACUCUUCUAUGUGUCCGAUUGUAGUAGGCAAUUAACAGUUGAGAUUUGGUAUAGUACCUACAUAGUGGUUGUAGUUCUAUUAGCAUGGCUAGUAGUAAAUUGUUCAGGGGCACAAAAGUAGCCGCUCGGUAAAGUAUUCAGGGUCAAACCAGUUAAUCUAUAAUUUGUUCCUCGCUGCUCUCAAGAUCAAUUGUUCAGGGGCACAAAAGUAGCCGCUCGGUAAAGUAUUCAGGGUCAAACCAGUUAAUCUAUAAUUUGUUCCUCGCUGCUCUCAAGAUCUGCAAAGGAUCUUCACCAAUUAUUAUUCUGUUUCACCGAACGUUUACCGUUGCAUUGCUACACACUGUUUAGAGCCCCUCCAGUUUUGUCUUAGCAGCAAAACAAUGUGACCGUCUAGAUGGAGUAAGUUAGUACCUGAAUUUUGAUCUGCUUCAGUUAAUGUCAGGCUCACCAUUGAUUUGUUUCGUGAAUGGUCUUUCAUCCCAAACCCAUGUACCAAACUCUAGAUUAAAGUGUUAGGUGUGGCGCGGCUUCAGCUUGUGGACAAUGCCGUCAGACUUCUCCAUCCUAGCUGCAGUUAUGUCUUGUUCUGUCUGCCUCUCAGAGCCUGGCAUUCACUAUUUCACUACACACUUGAUUUUUAAAACUAGAAAUGAAUUCCUGUGGGGUUAUAGAUAUCUUCACGCGUUCCAUUUGUUUGGGGACACGAAGAAGUGGAGAACAUCCCGAAAAUGGUGAGAUCAAUCACAAACAGUGAGUAGGAUAACAGGAUAAGUACACUUGGAAAAAAGAGAGGCAGUUCCUGAUUUAGCAGCCGUACUAAAUAGAUGUAGGUGGUAUACCAUAGUAUAACACCAUUAUACGAUAGUUGUAUUUAUCUAUUAGCUACAUAUAAUGUUUGUGCAUAUAUGUAGGUGGGAGCCCAGAUGUGGCUUCUGGUCCGAGCCCCCGUGGAAGCGAGUUUAGCCACUUCGGUUAAAAUUCGGCGGGUUCGGCUUGGGGUCUCCUGUAACUCCUUAGAGCAUGUUCAAUGCUGGAAUCUUCAAGAGGCGCUUAGAAAGAGAAAAAAUAAAUAUCAGAAAACAAAAAAGACCUAAGCGCCCUACCCGGUCAAUGCUAAGCGCUAACUUCCAAGGCUAAUUACAACCACAGACGCCUUGCGGAGCGAAGAAAAGAGGCCUAGCGUCCGGUGCAAAUCUUUGCACGAUGCCACACUUGAAGCUGGGAUUCGAUGGGGUAACUGCUCAUCGGCCGGGAAAUCGAUUGGAAAUUCAUCCUGGCGCCCUUCUAAGCAUCCAGCGUUGGAGAUGCCUUUAAUAUAAUUCCGCGGGGUACCUCCCCUAUUGGACUAUUUUUUUUAAAUGUCUGUGCACAUAUUCAGUUGUGUUGUUGACUAUCAUGUAGGCCUGCUGUGGACAAUGGAGGGGAUGUUGCAUGCUAAGAGAUGAUCACCUGGAGCACCCUAUCCCUUUCAUUUCUUCGACCCCGUCAUCCAAGUCAGCUAUCAUGGUUCUAGGGGCUUUGUACCUAUUUUAAGCACGUCUGCAGUUUGACUGGCGGUGAUUUUAAACUUGGAGCUGUAAGAUUGUCGGUACGGGUGUAGCUAUGAACAUAUCUGAUGUAUGCGAACGUGUUGAUUCUAAAGUGUGAUUCAUGCUUGCAUUGCUCUGUCCCUCGGUGAAUUACGAAUGCUAUCAUCACAUCGUUUCUAUUACUGGUGCAUCUGUUGGUGGAUCAUGGCUGUUGACGUGUUGAGAAUUGGUCGAAUGUCAGUUCAUAUGGAUGAUUAAUUUAAGCUGUCCAUGGUUUCACCUAUUUCAGUUCUGUUUUAGCAACACAGUCUCAAUUGUUGGACUCUUUUUCUUUGAAAAGACAAGAAAACAAAAAAUCAUGCAAUAUGCGUGGGGAUUGAAAAGUGAUCAUAAGGUAGAGCUAUUCAAAGAGGUAGAGCUUCCAAUAAUAAGUACGAAAAAAUGCAAGUCCUCACAACCAACCAAAGCUGAGAGAUGCUAGCAAUCUUCCAGUCAUCCGAUCCCAAGUUCCCUCCCUGAUCAGAUGUGAAGCAACACAUUUCCUUUUGACUAAACCGUUGGGAUCAGGAGAUGAGGCAUGCACAUGGUCUGGUUCUUCUGAGCUUAGCGGUCGUUUGUCAAGUACUGUAUGUUUUAAGAACGAAUGUACUCCUAGUAACUAGUUUUGGCUUAACUGGGUCGACAAUGAAGAGAUGAGGCAUAAACACAGCAACAAAAAGGGCGCAAACAGGCUCAGCUAGUAGUAGCAGCAGCAAGGGCAAGGCAACAACAUAAGCCACCACUACAUCCAAUCCAAGGAAAACACAGCACCUGCUAUCCGUUUGGUUCUACAGUGAUGGGAUUAUAUAGCACUUGCUGUACUUUGGUUCUAAAUAAGGUGGUGGGAUAUACAAGUUCUUCCCCAAUGCCGGUAAAUGUUUCGCGACAGGGAAAACCGCACCGCCUAGGGGGCUACAGGAGCUCACUUCUUGCCCCGGCCCUUGGACUUCUUGGAUUUCUUCUUGCUCUUUUGCUUCUGUGCCGCCUUUUUUGAGGUCGAGGCCCCAGCUUCUCCCGUGUCAGGUUCGUCGUCAUCUGAGCAUCCGUCGGCAUCAGCCUGAGGCUGGACAGCAGCAUCACUGCUCCAGUCAUUCAUGCUUUUUUUUGUCGCUUCACUUUCAAUCCUCCUUAGGCUUGCUUCAGUCAGCACCCUGAGGAUCAGCUGCAGUUUGUUCUCACCUUGGCGCAGCUUCUCCACAGCAAGAAAAGCUCUUCCCCUCACCCUGUGAUAACCAAAACAAAUUCGCGCCAAGUGGUAAUUUUUCAGAAGACAUGGGGAUAACCUAUUCAUGUCUCUUACACUAGUCUUGAGGGUACAAAGCAUGCAGAAAGAUGCCACUCUGCAUGCCUAUCAAUUGCAAUGUGGCAUUUGUAGUACUGCAUUUAAGAAUUUUAUACUUGGCGCUGAAUUAACAUUCGCUUACCUGUCAGAACCAUUUUCAAACUCACUGCAGAUGCGCCUGACAUCGUCCAGCAAUCGUUUAUCAAUCCCUGCUGGAGUGUUACUUUCCAGCCAUGGAAGGGCACUUAUAAGGAGUUCAAUAAUAUCCCUUGGAUUUUUCUGCACAAAUUAGCUUUUUUAGAGUAACAUGGCAGCUGGGAACAGUGGGACAAACUGGAUGAUAACAAAACAAGCAUUAUAACAUUUGAAACUCACCAGGCCUUCGGCUCGAAGAGUCUCAAGCUUCUCAAAGAGUAUCUCAUCAGCUAAAUCCAUCUCACUACUACGCUCCAUCUCAUUAUCCUGUGCAUCCUUAGGAAUGUUUCCAGAAAUAACAUUGCCAGACUUAUUACCAUCAGAUUUUUCAGGCAACGGAGUCUCUUGCUUUACAUAACUUGCUUCUUCAGGACACAGAAGAGCCAUUAUCUUCGGAACAUCAUACAAAUCCUCCUUGCUAAUCAUAUAAGCAUUUAAGUUUUGACAGUCUACCGGGCUCUUGGGUGUACCAAUAACUACCAUAUUAUCUCCGAUUGCGGCGAGUGCAUCAGCAAGCACUCUUGUGAAGUUGCUCGGUGUGCGAGACUUAAUUUGCAAAGCAUGUACAAUCUUCUGAGAGAACUCCACAGGUAAAUCCUUAAACACUUCAUUCCUCAGGAGGUUAUGUGUGACCUCAUAGCAAUUCCCCAGAGAAAGAGUAAGGAUCAGUGGAUAAAGUGUAACAACUAGUCUAAGGAGAACCGGUUUGUAUGAAGUACUAGAAGGACAUGAAGUCUUAUGUACCCAUUCCUGGAGCAUAUGCUUGCUCGUCAAGAUAGCCAUAAUUGUCUGAUAUAUGAAACGGCCUGAUGUGUAUGCCAAACGAUCAAGAUCAGAAUCUGGGCUCGAGUUAGAUACCAGGCAGGUGUCAAUGUAAACCUUGCUGGUACGGCACUCCAACAUAUUGACCAACAGAGAUUUCGUGCAGCAUAUAAAAUCAUUCUGUAUUAAGCAUGAUGAAGCCAUAAAACCAAGGCACUCCAUAAGACCCACAUAGCAUAUUGGGGAUAUGUAGUCUAGUUCAUCCUUCCACUUCACAUUGAAGGUAAACUCAAGAGAACGCUUAAAGUUCGAGAUCAAGGAGGAUCUAUCACCACCACUGUCAAGAAAUCUUUUGAAAUAUUGAAAAAAUUCUGCCCAAUCAGAACUAUUGUCCAGGUACUGCAGUAGUCUUGAAAGUAGCGCUUCAUCCAAUUGUGCUGCAUGAAGCAGGAGCAUUGUUGUUCUCCCAAGAUGCCCGUGAGUCAGAUUUUUAUUUGCUGGGCGAAGAUUUGAAUUAAGAGAAUCAGCAAUCAAUCCAUAUGCAGCUGGCAAGUCAAGUAGACGCAAGAGGCUCCUUGUUGUCCCAUCUCUCCACACAAGAAAAACUAACUCAAAGAAGCGACGCCCGCAGAGAACAAAAAAGCUUCUUAACUUCAUGGAACUUUUUGGCAUACUGAACUGUGGUUCUUCCAGAAACUUUGCUAUCUCAUUUAUGAUAAGGAUAGUUCUCACCAGGGUAUAAGAAGAUGAUGACUUUGGAGAAAUUUGAACAAUGGCCUCCAACUUCUUAAGUACACUGAAACCAACAGAAGACAGCUCAUUCAUCCAGAAACACUGAGCACAUGAAUAACACUGAGGGGCACCCAAGAAACAUCUGUUGCCAUCUUGCUGCAAAGAAUUUCUGCCAGCAGUAGAAAGCCAACUUGCAUUCACGUUAAGCACCACAUAUCUGUCAGCUUCACCAUCUUUUCGCAAUCCAAAAGUACUUGGCACAAAGAUCUUCAUACAUAACUGCAUAAUCAUUUAAUUCUGGACCAUCGGCGUGGCAAAGUUGAGAUAGUACUUUGAUUAUGAUUGACUUCCAGUUAUUCCAAACAUAAAACAGAGUUUGGGGUGACAUCUGGUUAGAGGCCAGCAUAUCAUUACAACAAUUUUCAUCCUCAGAUCCUGGCCCUAAUUCUAUAUUGUAUCCAGAGGCUCGAGACUGGAGAUGAACAUCAAGAAUCGAACGGGAAGCAACGAGUUCAACUAACAAGUUUGCACAUUUUCUGCCCUCAACCAAAGUGCAAUUUAAACUGGGAAGAGACUUAUUCACAUCUGACAGUGCAUCAGUUUCCACGCAAACAAAGCAGUAGAAGCACUCGGAUACCUUUUCUGCCAUCUCUUUUGCUUUUGAAAGCAACUGUUCCUUCUCUGCAUAUCUUUUGGGAGGCCACCCUCUACUAUUUGAAGACCACAAGGAAUCCACAAUGAUAUGGAGGAGGAGAAGCCGUAUCGCAUCCUCAAACAAGCCUGCCUUCUCGAGCAUGUCUACCUCCAGUAAGACAUCUCCAUUAUGCUUUGCUAUUCCUGCAGCUUCUAGGAAAUUACCCAUCUCCAUCUCUAAACUCAACAGUUCAUCAACAAGAUUCCGAGAAUUUAGGAAUGCCCGUACAUGAUCCAUAGAGCUGAAAGCUUUAACAAAAGGCAUCAUAUGCUUUAUGUGACCACGCUCAAAAUAAUGUUGAGCACAAUUAUCCAGAUACUUUGUUCUAAUUGCAGAAACCUCCAAAGAUUUUGAAUUCUCAAGCGAAUGUUCCUCCUCUAACUGCUGCAGAAACUGUAGGCCCAGAUUGAAUAAUUUUUUCCCUUUCGAGCACAUGGAGAAACACUUUGUGUAACAUUUAGCUUUCAAGAACACUUCAGCUGCCUCCGACCAGCAUUCAGCCAUAGCAAAACAAUCACCAGCAUCCUCAAGUUUAGAAGUACCGCAUUUUUGCAUAUAGACCAUACCUAUGGCAAGGAACACAAUGUUUAGUCAGACAGAGCUUCAUGGAGUGUGAGGUAAAACUAUCCAUAUGAAAGCUAAAAAUUAGUAUGUCCGUAAUUUAUGUAGGGAUAUCAUUUCGAAAAAAACGUUUUGAAAUUUGAUGACAUUUACUUAUAUGGCAGCUCUUUAAGGACAACGUAAAACGUUACAGAAUGAUGAAAUCUCAAAGUAUGGAUACAUCUUGGAAAUUAUGGAGAGUUGGCACACCUGCUUUUUUGUAGUCACCUAAUUUGAUAUAGCAAGUAGCAGCUUUCUCAUGCAUGCCUAUGGACUCGUAAAUCUCUGAUGCUGUUUGCAAUGAAGCCUUGCCCAACUCCAAAUUUGUUGAGAUGACACGGUUAGCAGUCGCUACAAGUCCAGCAGCUCUCGCCAACUUCUCUCUAUGUGCAUCACCGGCCUUUUCAAAGCACAUAGUAGCCAUCUCGAAUUGCCCCUCAUUGAAUAACUAUAAAAAAGAGAGAGAACUAGUGACAUGGAAUAACAAUGGUAAACCUGUAAGUAGGUACGCGCCAUGACCCGCCUAACAAAGAAUUUGUGUUCAUAGAACAACUGAGACAAAAAAAAUGAAUUUCACAAGACUAAGAAGUAAGAACACACAGAAAUUACUCAAUAGGCAACAUAAUGCAUAGCAUGGUAAAUUAAAAUUGGCUUUCCAGACUAAAUAAGUAAGAUCACCAACCUUGGUUCCCCGUAGCCUCCAAUCAUCACUGCUGCUCCCCGUCUGCAUUGCCUGAAUGAGGGAAGAAUCUAGUAAUCUAACUUCUACUAGACACAACUUCUUCCAGUAGUCAAACAUUGGUCGACAGUAAUCCUCCGUAUUUUCACAUAUCCAGAGUCUUUGCCUAGUGCGUGUGAUUGCAACAUAUAGUUGCUUCAGCUCUGAACAGAGAAGAUAAUGCUUGCUUCUGUCGAAACCCGGAUGAGAGAUCUCCUCAGAGUGUGAUAUAAUAUCUCUAUCUUUCAUGUAGCCAUAGAGAACUCUCCAUUUGUUUCUUAAAGGCGACGAACCAAAAAAGUUGUACAACAGCACAUCCUACACAAUAUCUAUGGGGUAAGUACACAUUUUGAAACAGUGUUCUACAACUAAAAUAUUUUGCAAAAUGAACAGAGAUGAAACUAAAUUUAUAGGCCCAUACCUGAAACUCAAGGCCCUUACAUUCAACAAUGGUCAAAACAAGAGCUUGUUUACCAACAAGAUCAAUAAUUUGUUUUUUGGCAGCAUCAUCACGAACCAGUAUGACUUGCUCAGCACCAAACCCAUGCAGGUUACCAUGUUUGGUUUUGCUUUCUCCAAAAAUGGUCAUAAUUACAUUUUCAUCGUUAUCAGACUCCAGCAGCACAGGAGCUUCUCCGUAUACAAGUCCAGUCUCUGGAUUAAGCUUGUCAACACUUGAUGGGAAAAAGAAGUACAGAAGGCUCAUGAUACUUUGUGCCAUACGGAGGAUGCCACAAUGUGUGCGGAAAUUUUGAGACAGUUGGAACAUAUCAGAGAGAUGGACCUUUUUACCGUGUUUAAGUCCUUGAUUUGACGCUUCUGUUUCUGCCAGGAAUGCAGUAUAAAAAAGUGAACGGAUAUCUUCAAACCUGAAAUCGAUACCUCUUGCUAUAGUCUGUGCAGUAUCACCAGCAAAAAGGAAGCCUUCCUUGAUGUUCAUACAGACAUACUUAAGAAGUGCUAUUUGUGUCAUGGUGAGAUCCUGUACCUCAUCUAUGUAAACAAAAUCCACCAUAUCGCCAUGGUAGCCCUCAGAUACAAGACUGCUGUGAAGACUAUUGACAAAAUCUGACAAAUCAAACUCCUUGGCAGUACAUUUCAUACUCUCAUAUUCAAGGAAUAUAUCAUAAAUUUUAUCUCUCUUCUCAUUGUUCAAAGAUGAAAAUCUUUUAUCUGAAAGCAUCACAUAAUCUUGUCUUCCCAGUUUGCCAGUACAAGGCCUGCUUGCUUGAUAUGCACCCUUAAUAUGAGAAAUUAUUUCGGUGAAGACAGUGGAUGCGGCAAAUUUCUUUGUCAGGUCUGCAUUGAAACGAGGCCAGUAGAAAGCAGCAAAUUUUUCAUAGGUAACUUCCUUCAAUUCAAUUAAAGUUUGCACUGCACGAGAUCUUGAAUGGCCUCUCUCAAAGCUAGACUUCAUUUCACCAUAAAACGCAUCAAAAAAUGAUGUCCGGCAUGUUCCAUCAAGCAUCAUCAAAAACUUACGAUAUGUUAUAGUAAGAGGAUAGUGCUCAUGGGGUAGAUCACAAAAAUUGUCAGGAAUUUCUGUAAACUCUUCCAGGUCAUCCAUGAUGUCAUGCAUGUGAAGAAUGCUAGGCUGGCCAGAGAUAUCACCGGUGCCAAAUCUAUAGGGGGUUGAAAUAAAUACAAGGAUUAUUGUUGGUACAAAUCAUGAAAGGAGCAAAGCAAAAAUCCUUCAAAGAAAUCAUCGAACCAGUUUGUAAUGUAAUUUUAAAAAGAGCAUCAAGCAAGGCUUGGUUGGCUAGUCAUGUGAGUGGCUGAGUGCUCGCCCAACCCAGCCACAUUCAAGGCCAGGCAUGCAAAGUGGUGAUCAUGAUUUAUCUUCCCCUUCUAUAAAAAGCCACUGGGGUAGUCCCAAUAUGUGCAGUUUUUUUAAUAAUUCCAAUAAUCAUACAUUUAAAGAGAAAAUGCAUCUCAGAUGGAUAAAAGAUUAACCCUUCAGAAAGGUAUGACAAAGGGUCUAGAGAAUAUGAGGUUAGAAAUGCAGUAGAACAGAGUACUCUGUGUGUGUGUGGNNNNNNNNNNNNNNNNNNNNNNNNNNNNNNNNNNNNNNNNNNNNNNNNNNNNNNNNNNNNNNNNNNNNNNNNNNNNNNNNNNNNNNNNNNNNNNNNNUUCCAAAAUGGUGUAAAACACGUACAAACUUCUAAGUAGAGCUCUAGUUCAACAGAUUUACCUUUUAAGUCCACAAAUGUGAUUUUUUAUGGCUGAACACAACUUUGGGCUUACAGUGAUAAACACUUGUUUCACAGAACUUUCUCCUGCGUCCUUCAGUGGCAUAAUAUUUUUGUGAUCCAGCCCUGAUAAAUCAUCUCCCAAAUGUAGACCUUGGGAGGCAAUCAAUGACCGUUGCUCUUUUUGAAUCAGUUUCAUUGUCAAUACAGUGGUUUUUCCGGUGCCUGACCUCCCAAGUAUAAAACUAGUGAGCGGGAAUUGGAUUAUCUCCUGCUCUUCAUCAGUUAGUUCAAAGGGGAUGUCGAUUUCAGAUCCAUCAGUAGCUGUCAGCAAAUGCUUUGCCACACCAGAUGAUAAAGAGUAGAAUUUCAUUAGCAAGAAGCUUUCGCUAACUUUUGAAUUCUCCAUGGCAUAUGAUGUAUCCACGAGAUCAUGCUCCUCAUGAGCAUCACCUUUGCAAUCCUUGUUAUAGCGGAUAAUAUCAUGCUCAAUAUGCCAAACCAUAGGAACCUCCAGUUUCCUGUUAUACACAACAAAGGAGGGCAAAAAUUAGAAGAAUGUCUACAGGCGGUUCAUUUGUAGGCAUGACUAUUCACAAACAGUUCAUCUCUCUAAGUAUCAUAAGUAUAAAAAAAUCCAAGUAACCACAGUACUAUAGCCCAUUAACAAUAAAAGAAACUCAUACCCCUGUGUCUGCACUCUCCUGCAAUGAUCCAGGUAAUCAUCUGUGUACAUGGAAAACAGAUUCUCGAGACGUUGAACAGUUCUGGCAACAUUUUGCUGUGACACUAGGUCCCAAAUUCUUAUUAUCUGAAAAUACCUUCCUUCGGUUUUCUCCACGUCAGUACUCCAAACAAGAUACAGGUUUCUGACCUUGUAUAUUUUUGCAAGAUGAGAAGCACCAGGUAUAUCAAUGUUCUUAACUGUUGUCCUCCAACCAUCUCCGAGUCUGAUAAGCUUUUGGAGUACUUCCUUCCUGAGCUGUGGUGAUUUUAGUUUGGUGAAAGACUUUCUAAACUCGUCGCUAAGAAUGACCUGUUGAAAAUAUGAAUACCAAAAAUGGAACAUGAGAAAAAGUGUAUAUGACAAACAAGAAAGAACAGUGUGUUCUUCAAGAAUACUACGAGGUUCACAAGAUGGUACUAUAUACUCCCUCCGCCCGGAAAUACUUGUCGGAGAAAUGGAUGUAUCUAGACGUAUUUUAGUUCUAGAUACAUCCAAUUUUAUCUAUUUGUGCGACAAGUAUUUCCGGACGGAGGGAGUAGAAAAGAACCGCGUAAUUGACAUAGCAUGGUACAAAGUAGCACAUAUCCUGAAAAUGUUAAUUACAAACCUCUCGCAAUCCAAUUACAGAGCAAACAGCAUAGCAAAGACAAGUGAACCACACACAUGAUUCCAAAAAGUAUAAGACACAUGUACAUACAUGUGGUUUGCAUGUAUAUUCAUGAAUACAAACAAAAUCACACUAUAAAGGAAGUGUAUAUUCAGCAUGAGCCUCAUAAGACACAUGCACAUACAUGUGGUUUGCAUUGUUGGUAACUACUAGAAAAUAUGAAGUAUGGUCAAAGUCAAACUGGCUGAAACCAUGGUAAUUACCUUCCAUCUAGUAUUGCUGAAAACUGCUGAAUCAGCAUUAAGAAGAUCGUCAAGUUCAUCAAGCUCUUGCUUUACUUGCACAACCAACUUACACAUGGUUGCGUCAUUAGUGGCACUGAAAACACAUUUACGUCUCUCUGCGUCAGCAACAAGGUCUGUCCAUUCGGUCCCACUUUUAUAUAGUGUAUGAGCGUUCCCAACAAUCCAAAGACAGUGCCUGCAUGAAUAAAGCAUCCAUCAGAUAAUUUAUAUCACCAGUCUGACAUACUUCGAACAGCAAUAGAACAAGGGACCGCAAAAAUAUUGAUGCACACCUUGCUCUAGUAAGAGCAACAUUUGUUCUUUGGUUAUCAGCAAGAAAUCCAAUAACUCCUCUCCCAUUAGAUCUAACAGUUGAUAGUAUUAUUAUAUCAUCCUCUUCUCCUUGGAAACCAUCAACGGACUUCACCCGCACAUGAAAGCCAUCACAUGUAUCAUAUUUUUUGCCAAGCCGACUUUUAAUUGCAUCAACUUGAGCUUUAUAUGGAGAGACCACACCGAUGCUGAGCCCUUGAUCUGUUCUUUUCCAAGCUGCACAAAAACAUAAGUGGUAUGCUUACUGAACUUUAGGGACCAAUCUUUGGACAAGGCUACUGGAAGAAUUUCUUCGGCAAAUUUAAGUUGAUGUACCCCCAAAUCAUUGACAUAUCAUUGCUUUUCCACUACAAAGUCUGAAGAUAAUAAAAUUUACUAAAGCGGGCACAUGCAGUGGCCAACUACUCUAACAGAGCAUAAAUGUUUCAUCUACUUAAUGUUCUUCUUUUUCUAAAUAAAAAUGUAAAUUGUCUGCUGAACAGUGCAAUAGAAUUGAAAUUCAUAAAGCUGGAUUGAUGCAAUUACCAUAUCACGAGAUACACAUAGAAAACUUCUCAGACAUACACUAUUGCAGAGAACAACUUUCUACCAAUGAAUGUUAUCAAGUAUGCAGCACAAGAAUGGAAGACCACACAAGCUUCUAAAGAUCCCAUGUUAUAUUAGCCAAGUCCUUUUAUAAAAAAAACUAGAAAGGAAGACAUUAAGGUUAAAGAAAGGAUAGAGCUGAGCUUAGACAUACAUUUAAAGAUGGUAUGGAUUAGGUGCAAAACAACAGCAACUUCAACCAUGUUUCUGCGACUGUUUCCUGUGCCCUCUUUGUCUUCCCUUCCAUCAGUGACAUUUAUAAACGUGUAGCUGCCAAAAGGGAGGCAUGUGUAAUCCUUGUUAUAACUUGGAGACAGGACAUUGGAACCAUCUAAAAUCUUCCUCCCAUAAAACUGAGUAUUUGGAAAUAAGCUGAUACAAGGAUUCAUGCGAUACUGUAUAUUCAGCAAAUGUUUAUCAAAUUUGAGCAUAACCAAUCUCCCAAAUAGACUUGUCUCAAAUCCAGCUUCUUUGCAUACCUAGAGAUAAACAAUGAAAGGCAAGACUUAAGAAUAUCAAAAACAGAUCAAUAACAAUGGAACAUGAAAGAAAGAUAAGGCCAUUACAUUUUUUUUCAAGAAAAGAAAGUGUUUCAGUAUCAGAAGUUUAUCUUGUUGAUAAAUGCACCAAUAUAAUUAAUAAAGGAAACAAGACAAUAUAAAGAGGGUGAGGCAAAACCUUACUUUGCUUUUAACCAUUGCACUCAGCUGACAGUCAUCUCCUACCAAAACAACAUGUUUUAACCAAUGCAGACGUAGUGGGAUCACCAAUUCACACUCCCGCACUUGAGCAGCCUCAUCAACAAUUAAUACAUCGAGGGGUGCAAUCUCCAUGUGAUGUAACCGAUAAGAGCUAGAGGCGGUACAGAAAAGAAGUGUUGCAUUACGUAUGCAGUAGCUCUGGACCCAGUCUUUGCCUACUCCAGUGGGUAAAUUAAGCGAGUGUAGCAGAUCUUUAAGCAACUUAAGGCAUGAAGACCUUGCUCCGUCCAGUUCCUUCUCAACAGAAUAUAUAGGCUGUGCACAAACAGAGUUUUCAGUUGACAGGUAACCAAGGCCCCUUUUCAAACCCUCUUCGGUCAAGUCUACGUUGCACAGAAGGGUCCCAAAAUUUUCCAGCAUAUUCAGCAAUGAAGAUAUAUUUAUGACACUAUCACGAGAAAAGCACCUUCCAGGAAGGUGAACCCACAAAUUCAUUAUGCAUCUUUUCAGAGCUAUUGCUGUCGCAUCAAAUUGUUUCUUUAUGAAGUCCAGAAAGCACACUGGAUCAAUUUUGCCAUCAUCCUCAAGAAGCAUAUCAUACCGUGAAGCAGAGUCUUCAAAAAAGGAUAUCAUUGAAGCUAUUCUGUAGUUCCAUCCGGACAAUGAUGAAAAGCAUUCCACAAGUUCAUCGACACGAAAGUCCAAGAAAACUUCCUGAAGAUCCUCGGUGAUGUCCAUGUUAGACCUGUUCCCAAAUAGCAAGAUAUCUCCAAGAGAAGAAGGUAGACAAAUGUUGUCAAUGUGCUCAUUGAAAUCCUUCAAGUUCUGAAGGAAACGAGUGCAAACUCCAACAACAGCAACAUUUGUGGAAGCACAGGUAAGAGUUCUGCAUUUCAAACACGCCAAAACCCACAGUAAAGCGCUAACCGUCUUGGUCUUCCCAGUGCCUGGUGGACCCCAUAUAAGCUUCACGCGGUUCACAUGCCCACAUCGUACAGCUGAGAUGACAGAUUCAAUAGCAUCUAAUUGCGAUUGAUUAAGCUUAACUGACAGUAGUUGCUCUGUGUAAGAAGCCAAACAGCCCCCAUCCUGUUUAGCACACAUACGGCAAACAUCCUCACCCUGCAACAGAGCCAACAAAGAGGAGCUCAAGAAGUUAGGCCCCAUGUAUACCAAUUUAUAAUGGUGAUGAAAAUAGCAAGUAAAACUAAAAUGCGAAAAUUCAUUUCAUCUUACCAAAUUUGUGGGGGCUAAAAGCGACUUGAUUACUGCGAAAUUUUCGUUCAUGUGUGUAUCGAAGGUAAGUGCUUUCCAUAUCCGUGUGUUUGUCGUGAUAUUAUUGAGAAAUAUUGCAUGCUUGAGUUUGUUUAAAUCUUCUUCUUCCAAACAAUUAUUCUUUGCAACUUUGACUCUGAAGCCCUUCUGGUAUUCAUCAUCCAUAGAAACCUCAGUGACCAUUGCCAAGCAAUAUGUCACACCAUGGCGGUUUAAGUCCUCUGCAGCUUCAGGUUUUACGCUAGACAAAAUAUAGAUGUCACCAUUCCUCGCAGAAUAAGCCCCAGUAGAAAAACCAGCAUCAUUGUCCCAAAAGUCCACAUCCAUAAAGUAUGAUCCUGGUUUUCCUGCUACCUCCAUGGAAAGUAUUUUCGACGAGGGUGCUUCACUGAUGAGUUCAAGGCAUGAGCACAGAUCUGAUCUUGUUUCUUCAAUCAGAGGCACACGAUACGACGUGAGAUAGUGAUUAAGUGACUUGAAGUUGCAGGGAAUAGUCUCAACCUAAACACAAAAGAGGUCAUAGAUGAAAUAUGGUUAUGGGUAGCAAAAGAUUCUCCAACAGUUCUUGAGCACAAGAAUGGCAUGUAAGUAAUGCUAGCAAAAUAGCUAUCUGGUCAAUUUCAUCUACUGCAAGAGCAAGCAAUGUUCAAUACAGGGCUUAAGUUGUUCAUAUCAACCAGACAUAAUAUUCUCAUUGGAAAACAAUUUAUAGUUUCUGCCACCAGAUUGUACAGCAUCACAACAUGUAUGUCUCUUAUUAGGAUACAUAUAUAUGACUUACACGCCCGUCAUCUCCCAACAGCCAUUUCAACUUACACCAUGUAUUAUCCAAAUAAUUUUUAGAAUGAAAUGGGCUAGAUGAUGCUACAGCCAGCUACAACACUUGACAAAUGGUGGUACGUCAUGGGCAUGGCAAAUUAGUGUGUCAUCCUUCUCAACAGCAAUGGGCACACCCAUCAGUGACAUAAAAUUUAUACGUAACAUCUAGUUAGCCCAGAUCAGCACAUAUGGCACCAACAGCAACAUGAAAUUUCCUGAAAUACCAUGUGUUACCAAGCACGCAACAAUUAUGUUGCCAUCAGACGUCCAGGAAUGGCACUCAGCACAUGUCAAUUGCACAUCCAUGACACGUGGACAGAAAACCCCUCUAAACCCCAGCGCACGGACCACACACAGACAAAGCACCAUCAUUUGGAGCAUCCAAUUGACCCAGCUUUGAUUGCACAUAAAAGGCAGCAAACAACAGCGCGCUAAAUGCAAUUAACAUCAUAUUUAAGCACAACCAGAAACCUAGAGCGCAUAUGCAUGCAUACGCUUCGCCGGUCCGGGGCCCAUACAUACGCACAGGUUCCGAAAAAUAAAAAGGCUCAAGCUUGCAAAAAAGACUAGAAAUUGCAGGCAAUAGUCCCAACCUAAACACAAAAGAGGUCAUAGAUGAAAUAUGGUUAUAGGUAGCAAAAUAUUAUACAACAGUCCUUGAGCACACGAAUGACAUGUAAUUAAUGCUAACAAAAUACUAGCUAUCUGGUCAAGUUCAUCUACUGCAAGAGUAAGCAAGGUUCAAUACAGAGCUUAAGCUGCUCAUAUCAACCAUAGACAUAAUUUUUCAUAGCAAAAACAAUUUAUAGUUUCUUCCACCAGAUUGUACAGCAUCGCGAUAUGUAUCUCUCUCAUCAGGAUACCUAUCAUUUCCCAACAGACCUUUAAAACUUACACCACAUAUUAUCUAAUGUUUUUUAGCAUGAGACGGGCACUUGACAAAUGGUGGAAAAUCAUGGGCAUAGAAAAUUAGUGUGUCAUCCUUUUCAAAAGCAAUGGGCAUCUCGAUCAGUAACAUAAAAAUUAUAUGUAACAUCUAGUUUGCCUGAAUCAGCACAUAUGGCACUCACAGCAACAUGUAAUUCCCUGAAAACACCACGUGUCACCAAACGCGCAAAAAUUAUGUUGCCAUCAGCACAUGCGAAUUGCACAUCCAUGACCCCUGGACAGAAAACCCUUACUAAACCCCACGACCACAGACAGACAGAGUACCAUCAUUUCGUCAUUUGGAGCAUCCAACUGACCCAAUUUGGUUGCGCAUAAAAGGCAGCGAACAACAGCACGCUAAAAGCGGUCAAUCAAGGAAGACCAGCAGAUUUAAGCACAACCAGAAACCUAGCACGCAUAUGCUUGGCCGGUCCACGGUCCAUACGUACACACAGAUUCGAAAAUAAGAAGGCUCAAGCUUGCAAAAAAAGACUUAAAGUUACAGGGAACAGUCUCGACCUGAACACAAAAGAGGUGAUGAAUGAAAUAUGAUUAUAGGUAGCAAAAGAUUCACCAACAGCUCCUUAAGCACAGAAAUGGCAUGUGAUAAACAGAGUCAAUUUAAUCUACUGCAAUAACAAGCAGGGAUCAACAUAGGGCUUAACAACAGAUAAUUUCUGCUGCCAAAUUGAAAUUGUACAACAUCGCAAGCUGUAUAUCUCUCUCAUUAGGACACAUAACUUACACACCCAUCAUCUCCCAGCAUUCAUUUUAAAACGUCUUGUGUAAACUUUUUUGGGAAUGAGACUAGAUGGUGCUACAGCCUGCCCGGUACAACCCUUGACAAAUGGUGGCACAUGACGGACCUAGCAAAUCAGUGUCAUUAUUUUCAAGAGAAAUGGGCAAUUGAUCAGUAGCACAAGAAUCAUGCACAACAACCCCGUUACCCCGAAUUAGUCACAUACGGCACCAACAAGCAACAGCAAUACUUACUGUACUUCCCAACGGACAUAUAUCAUGCGCCACCAGACGCUGAGCAAUUACAUAUGCUGCCAUCAUCAGGCACAAACAGUCCAUUAAUGGCACCCGGUACACGGCACUCGCACAUCCAUGACACGUGGACAGAAACCCCCCUCAAAACCCUAGCGCACGGACCCAGAUUGACCAGCAGAACGCGGCGAACGACAGCGCGCUCCACUGGGCGCGACGGAUCGAUCAAAGAUAACCGCCGGACUUAAGCACGAGAAGCUAGCAGAAGCGAUGCACGCGCCGGUCCGGGGUCCGUACGACGUACUAGGCGCAGAUUCGAACCGAGCAGAAAGAAAAGAAAGGGCCACGCUUUGCAAAACCGCGCGUCGGGAGGGAAGGAUGGGUGGAUGGCGCCGGUGGGUGUACCUUGUCCCUGUAGAGGUCGUCGUCGCUGAUCUCCUGCGCCGUCCAGGAGAGCACCACCUCCUCCAAAUCCGCCUCCCCCAUGUCGCCGGCGCGCGGACGGCCGCGCUCUGUGCCCCCCUCCUCUGAAGCGGUCACGCGCGAGCACCCGAGCGAGCAGCAGGCGGCAUUUGCGAGCAGGAGGAGGGUGAGGGGGAAGGGGGUUUGGCUGUGGUGGUCUUGGCCGUGUGGAGGAGGAGUCAAGGUGGUGGAGAAAAGCAAAGCAGAGAGAGCAGAGCAGAGGAAAGCAGGGGCGAUCAAAAUGGGGAAGGGAGGGGGGCUCAGACCGAUCGGCGCAGAAAUCUUUUGCUUCUGCGGGAGGGAAAGAGGCUGCUUCCCUCCCUUGUUGGGACGCGGGCCCUUGUUUCACGGGGCGGGUAAAAAGAAGAGGGAUGGGAGGGGAGGGUGGCAGGCAGACGCGGUGAGUGAAUGCUCGUGAACUUGUAGCCAUGGUAAAAAGUACAGGCAGUGGAGGAAAGUGGUCUCUCCUUGCUGGGUUUGGUCGUUCCUUUCUUUUUCUCCUCUCCGGGGCGACCGGUCAGGGUGGUGGUUCACGCCGUGUUCUCCUCCCAAGUAGCACUACUACGAUAGGCAGACCACGCAUGUGUUCUCCUCCCACGACUGUGUGCUAUCAAACGUCACAACGUAACUGGGUGAUUAUAAAGACGCUCUACAGGUGUCUCCGAAGGUGUUUGUUGGGUUGGCAUAGAUCGAGAUUAGGAUUUGUCACUCCAAGUAUCGGAGAGGUAUCUCUGGGCCCUCUCGGUAAUGCACAUCACUAUAAGCCUUGCAAGCAGUGUGAAUAAUGAGUUAGUUACGGGAUGAUGCAUUACGGAACGAGUAAAGAGACUUGCCGGUAACGAGAUUGAACUAGGUAUGAGGAUACCGACGAUCGAAUCUCGGGCAAGUAACAUACUGAUGACAAAGGGAAUAACGUAUGUUGUCAUUACGGUUUGACCUUUAAAGAUCUUCGUAAAAUAUGUAGGAACCAAUAUGAGCAUCCAGGUUCCGCUAUUGGUUAUUGACCGGAGAUGUGUCUCGGUCAUGUCUACAUAGUUCUCGAACCCGUAGGGUCCGCACGCUUAACGUUCGAUGACGAUUUGUAUUAUGAGUUAUGUGUUUUGGUGACCGAAGAUUGUUCGGAGUCCCGGAUGAGAUCAUGGACAUGACGAGGAGUCUCGAAAUGGCCGAGAGGUAAAGAUUGAUAUAUUGGACGAAGGUAUUCGGACAGCGGAAUGGUUUCGGGACAUUUCAGAUAUUUAUCGGAGAACUGAGGGGUUACCGGAACCCCCUGGGGAAGUAAUGGGCCAACAUGGGCCAUAGGGGAGAGAGAGGGGAGCCCACAAGGGGUGGUGCCCCCCCCAUGGGCUGUCCGAAUUGGACAAGGGGAAGGGGGUGCGUCCCCCCUUUCCUUUCCCCCUCUCCCUCUCCUUCCCUCUUUCCCCCUCCAUGAGAAGGAAAAAGGGGGGGGGGCAAAUCCUACUAGGACUGGAGUCCUAGUAGGACUCCCCCCUCUUGCGCGCCCCUGGUGGCCGGCCACCUCCUCUCCCUCCUUUAUAUACGUGGGCAGGGCACCCCGUGACGCCCCCGAUCCAAAUCAGGGACUCACGGGAAGAUAUCACAACACAACUCUAAAAGUAAAAUAAGUCAUACAAGCAUCAUAAUACAAGCCAGGGGCCUCGAGGGCUCGAAUACAAGUGCUCGAUCAUAGACGAGUCGGCGGAAGCAACAAUAUCUGAGUACAAACAUAAGUUAAACAAGUUUGCCUUAAGAAGGCUAGCACAAACUGGGAUACAGAUCGAAAGAGGCGCAGGCCUCCUGCCUGGGAUCCUCCUAAACUACUCCUGGUCGUCAUCAGCGGCCUGCACGUAGUAGGCACCUCCGGUGUAGUAGGAGUCAUCGUCGACGGUGGCGUCUGGCUCCUGGGCUCCAGCAUCUGGUUGCGACAACCAAGUAGAAUGGAAAGGGGGAAAAGAAGGAGAAAAGCAACCGUGAGUACUCAUCCAAAGUACUCGCAAGCAAGGAUCUACACUACAUAUGCAUCGGUAUCAAUCAAAUGGGUUGUAUCUGUGGACUGAACUGCAGAAUGCCAGAAUAAGAGGGGGAUAGCUAGUCCUGUCGAAGACUACGCUUCUGGCAGCCUCCAUCUUGCAGCAUGUAGAAGAGAGUAGAUGGUAAGUUCACCAAGUAUCAUCGCAUAGCAUAAUCCUACCCGACAAUCCUCUCCUCGUCGACCUGUGAGAGAGCGAUCACCGGGUUGUAUCUGGCACUUGGAAGGGUGUGUUUUAUUAAGUAUCCGGUUCUAGUUGUCAUAAGGUCAAGGUACAACUCCAGGUCGUCCUUUUACCGAGGGACACGGCUAUUUGAAUAGAUAAACUUCCCUGCAAGGGUGCACCACAUAACCCAACACGCUCGAUCCCCUUUGGCCGGACACACUUUCCUGGGUCAUGCCUGGCCUCGGAAGAUCAACACGUCGCAGCCCUACCUAGGCACAACAGAGAGGUCAGCACGCCGGUCUAAAUCCUAUGGCGCAGGGGUCUGGGCCCAUCGCCCAUUGCACACAUGCACAUUGUGAGGGCGGCCGGAAGCAGAACUAGCCCCCUUAAUACAAGAGCAGGCUUACGUUCCAAUCCGGCGCGCGCCGCUCAGUCGCUGACGUCAAGUGCCCAUAUCUUUCCCACGUAGUUGGUUAGUGCGUAUAGACCAAAUGGCCAGACUCAGAUCAAAUACCAAGAUCUCGUUAAGCGUAUUAUUUUGAAGCAACAGCGGACGCCGACCAGGGCCAGGCCCACCUCUCUCCUAGGUGGUCUCAACCUGCCCUGUCGCUCCACCACAAAGUAACAGUCGGGGGCCGUCGAGAACCCAGGCCCACCUCUACCGGGAUGGAGCCACCUGCCCCUUCAGCCCCCAUCUCCGAACAGUAUCAUAAGUAAUAUAACAGUAUAAAGUAUAUAGCAUAUGCUCGUGAUCACCUCCCGAAGUGAUCACGACCCAGUAGUAUAGCAUGGCAGACGGACAAGAGUGUAGGGCCAUUGAUGGAAUACUAGCAUCCUAUACUAAGCAUUUAGGAUUGCAGGUAAGGGUAACAACUGUAGCAACAAUGACAGGCUAUGCAGCAGAAUAGGAUUAACCGAAAUCAGUAACAUACUACACUACUCUAAUGCAAGCAGUAGAGAGAAGGAAUAGGCGAUAUCUGGUGAUCAAGGGGGGGGGGGCUUGCCUGGUUGCUUUGGCAAGAAGUGAAGGAAAUAUGCCAUAGAGGCAAUAAUAAAGUUAUUAUUUAUUUCCUUAUUUCAUGAUAAAUGUUUAUUAUUCAUGCUAGAAUUGUACUAACCGGAAACUUGAUACAUGUGUGAAUACAUAGACAGAAAAGAGUGUCACUAGUAUGCCUCUACUUGACUAGCUCGUUGAAUCAAAGAUGGUUAUGUUUCCUAGCCAUAGACAUGAGUUGUCAUUUGAUUAACGGGAUCACAUCAUUAGGAGAAUGAUGUGAUUGACUUGACCCAUUCCGUUAGCUUAGCACUCGAUCGUUUAGUAUGUUGCUAUUGCUUUCUUCAUAACUUAUACAUGUUCCUAUGACUAUGAGAUUAUGCAACUCCCGUUUACCAGAGGAACACUUUGUGUGCUACCAAACGUCACAACGUAACUAGGUGAUUAUAAAGGUGCUCUACAGGUGUCUCCGAAGGUACUUGUUGGGUUGGCGUAUUUCGAGAUUAGGAUUUGUCACUCCGAUUGUCGGGGAGGUAUCUCUGGGCCCACUCAGUAAUGCACAUCACUAUAAUCCUUGAAAGCAUUGUAACUAAUGAGUUAGUUGCGGGAUGAUGUAUUACGGAACGAGUAAAGAGACUUGCCGGUAACGAGAUUGAACUAGGUAUUGAGAUACCGACGAUCGAAUCUCGGGCAAGUAACAUACCGAUGACAAAGGGAACAACGUAUGUUGUUAUGCGGUUUGACCGAUAAAGAUCUUCGUAGAAUAUGUGGGAGCCAAUAUGAGCAUCGAGGUUCCGCUAUUGGUUAUUGACCGGAGACGUGUCUCGGUCAUGUCUACAUUGUUCUCAAACCCGUAGGGUCCGCACGCUUAAAGUUUGAUGAUGGUUAUAUUAUGAGUUUAUGUGUUUUGAUGUACCGAAGGUAGUUCGGAGUCCCUAAUGAGAUCAGGGACAUGACAAGGAGUCUCGAAAUGGUCGAGACGUAAAGAUCGACAUAUUGGACGACUAUAUUCGGACAUCGGAAAGGUUCCGAGUGAUUCGGGUAUUUUUCGGAGUACCGGAGAGUUACGGGAAUUCGCCGGGGAGUAUAUGGGCCUUAUUGGGCUUUAGGGGAAAGAGAGAGGAGAGGGUGCCCGCCCCCCAAGGCCUAGUCCGAAUUGGACUAGGGGGAGGAGCUGCGGCCCCUCUUUCCUUCUCUUCUCUCUCCCCUUUCCUUGACUCCUACUCCUACUACUUGGAAGGGGGGAAUCCUACUCUCGGUGGGAGUAGGACUCCUCCUAGGGCGCGCCAUAGAGAGGGCCGGCCCUCCCCCUCCUCCACUCCUUUAUAUACGGGGAGGAGGGCACCCCUUGGAGAUACAACAAUUGAUCUCUUGAUCUCUUAGCCGUGUGCGGUGUCCCCCCUCCACCAUAAUCCACCUCGAUAAUAUCGUAGCGGUGCUUAGGCGAAGCCCUGCGUCGGUAGAACAUCAUCAUCGUCACCACGCCGUCAUGCUGACGGAACUCUCCCUCAAAGCUCGGCUGGAUCGGAGUUCGAGGGACGUCAUCGAGCUGAACGUGUGCUGAACUCGGAGGUGCCGUACGUUCGGUACUUGGAUCGGUCGGAUCAUGAAGACGUACAACUACAUCAACCGUGUUGUGCUAACGCUUCCGAUUUCGGUCUACAAGGGUACGUGGACACACUCUCCCCUCUCGUUGCUAUGCAUCACCAUGAUCCUGUGUGUGCGUAGGAAUUUUUUUGAAAUUACUACGUUCCCCAACAGUGGCAUCCGAGCCUGGUUUUAUGCGUAGAUGUCAUAUGCACGAGUAGAACACAAGUGAGUUGUGGGUGAUACAAAUCAUACUGCUUACCAGCAUGUCACACUUUGGUUCGGUGGUAUUGUUGGAUGAAGCGGCCCGGACCGACAUUACGCGUACGCUUACGCGAGACUGGUUCUACCGACGUGCUUUGCACACAGGUGGCUGGCGGGUGUCAGUUUCUCCAACUUUAGUUGAACCGAGUGUGGCUAUGCCCGGUCCUUGCGAAGGUUAAAAUGGCACCAACUUGACAAACUGUCAUUGUGGUUUUGAUGCGUAGGUAAGAACGGUUCUUGCUAAGCCCGUAGCAGCCACGUAAAACUUGCAACAACAAAGUAGAGGACGUCUAACUUGUUUUUGCAGGGCAUGUUGUGAUGUGAUAUGGUCAAGACGUGAUGAGAUAUAAGUUGUUGUAUGAGAUGAUCAUGUUUUGUUGAAAUUAUCGGCAACUGGCAAAAGUUUUAUGGUUGUCUCUUUAUUGCAUAAGAUGCAAGCGCCAAAUAAUUGCUUUAAUUUAUCACUAUGCGAUAGCAAUAGUUGCAAGAGCAAUAGUUGGUGAGACGACCAUGUGACGACACAUUGAUAUAGAUCAAGAUGAUGGAGAUCAUGGUGUCAUGCCGGUGACGAUGGAGAUCAUGACGAUGCUUUGGAGGUGGAGAUCAAAGGCACAAGAUGAUGAUGGCAAUAUCAUGUCACAUAUUAUGAUUGCAUGUGAUGUUUAUCUUUUAUACAUCUUAUCUUGCUUUGAUUGACGGUAGCAUUAUAAGAUGAUCUCUCACUAAAUUAUCAAGGUAUAAGUGUUCUCCCUGAGUAUGCACCAUUGCGAAAGUUCUUCGUGCUGAGACACCACAUGAUGAUAGGGUGUGAUAGGCUCUACGUUCAAAUACAACGGGUGCAAAACAGUUGCACACGCGGAAUACUCAGGUUAAGCUUGACGAGCCUAGCAUAUAACAGAUAUGGCCUCGGAACACGGAGACCGAAAGGUCGAGCGUGAAUCAUAUAGUAGAUAUGAUCAACAUAGUGAUGUUCACCGUUGAAACUACUCCAUCUCACGUGAUGAUCGGACAUGGUUUAGUUGAUAUGGAUCACGUGAUCACUUAGAGGAUUAGAGGGAUGUCUAUCUAAGUGGGAGUUCUUAAGUAAUAUGAUUAAUUGAACUUUAAUUUAUCAUGAACUUAGUCCUGGUAGUAUUAGCAUAUCUAUGUUGUAGAUCAAUAGCUCGCGUUUAGCUCCCCUGUUUUAUUUUGAUAUGUUCCUAGAGAAAAACUAUGUUGAAAAAUGUUAGUAGCAAUAUGCGGAUUGGAUCCGUGAUCUGAGGAUUAUCCUCAUUGCUGCACAGAAGAAUUAUGUCCUUGAUGCACCGCUAGGUGACAGACCUAUUGCAGGAGCAGAUGCAGACGUUAUGAACGUUUGGCUAGCUCAAUAUGGUGACUACUUGAUAGUUUAGUGCACCAUGCUUAAUGGCUUAGAAUCGGGACUUCAAAGACGUUUUGAACGUCAUGGACCAUAUGAGAUGUUCCAGGAGUUGAAGUUAAUAUUUCAAGCAAAUACCCGAGUUGAGAGAUAUGAAGUCUCCAACAAGUUCUAUAGCUAAAAGAUGGAGGAGAAUAGCUCAAGCAGUGAGCAUGUGCUUAGAUUGUCCGGGUACUACAAUCGCUUGAAUCAAGUGGGAGUUAAUCUUCUAGAUAAAAUAGUGAUUGACAGAAUUCUCCAGUCACCAUCACCAAGUUAGUAGAAAUUCGUGAUGAACUAUAGUAUGCAAGGGAUGACGAAAAUGAUUCCCGAGCUUUUCAUAAUGAUGAAAUCAAUGAAGGUAGAAAUCAAGAAAGACAAUCAAGUGUUGAUGAUUAACAAGACCACUAGUUUCAAGAAAAGGGGCAAAGGGAAGAAGGGGAACUUCAAGAAGAACGGCAAGCAAGUUGCUGCUCGAGUGAAGAAACCCAAGUCUGGACCUAAGCCUGAGACUAAGUGCAUCUACUGCAAAGGGACUGGUCACUGGAAGCGGAACUACCCCAAGUAAUUGGCGGAUAAGAAGGAUGGCAAAGUGAACAAAGGUAUAUUUGAUAUACAUGUUAUUGAUGUGUACUUUACUAGUGUUUAUAGCAACCCCGCAGUAUUUGAUACUAGUUCAGUUGCUAAGAUUAGUAACUCGAAACGGGAGUUGCAGAAUGAAUAGAGACUAGUUAAGGGUGAUGUGACGAUGUGUGUUGGAAGUAGUUCCAAGAAGAUAUGAUCAUCAUCGCACACUCCCUAUACUUUCGGGAUUAGUGUUGAACCUAAAUAAGUGUUAUUUGGUGUUUGCGUUGAGCAUGAAUAUGAUUUUAUCAUGUUUAUUGCAAUACGAUUAAUCAUUUAAGUUAGAGAAUAAUUGUUGUUCUGUUUACAUGAAUAAAACCUUCUAUGGUCAUACACCCAAUGAAAAUGGUUUGUUGGAUAUCGAUCGUAGAGAUACACAUAUUCAUAAUAUUGAAGCCAAAAGAUGCAAAGUUAAUAAUGAUAGUGCACCUUAUUUGUGGCACUGCCGUUUAGGUCAUAUUGGUGUAAAGCGCGUGAAGAAACUCCAUGCUGAUGGGAUUUUGGAAUCACUUGAUUAUGAAUCACUUGAUGCUUGCGAACCAUGCCUUAUGGGCAAGAUAACUAAGACUCCGUUCUCCGGAACAAUGGAGCGAGCAACUGACUUAUUGGAAAUAAUACAUACUGAUGUAUGCGAUCCGGUGAGUGUUGAGGCUCGCGGCGGGUAUCGUUAUUUUCUGACCUUCACAGAUGAUUUGAGCACAUAUGGGUAUAUCUACUUGAUGAAACAUAAGUUUGAAACAUUUGAAAAGUUCAAAGAAUUUUAGAGUGAAGUGGAAAAUCAUCGUGACAAGAAAAUAAAGUUUCUACGAUCUGGUCGCAGAGACAAAUAUUUGAGUUACGAGUUUGGUAUUCAAUUAAAACAAUGUGGAAUAGUUUCACAAAUUCGUGCCACCUGGAACACCACAGCAUAAUGGUGUGUCCGAACGUCAUAACCGUACUUUAUUGGAUAUAGUGCAAUCUAUGAUGUCUCUUACCGAUUUACCACUAUUGUUCUAGGGUUAUGCAUUAGAGACAGCUGCAUUCACAUUAAAUAGGGCACCGUCUAAUCCGUUGAGACGACACCGUAUGAACUAUGGUUUGGCAAGAAACCUAAGCUGUCGUUUCUUAAAGUUUGGGGUUGCGAUGCUUAUGUGAAAAAGUUUCAUCCUGAUAAGCUCAAACCCAAAUCAAAAAAGUGCGUCUUCAUAGGAUACCCAAAAGUUACUGUUGGGUACACCUUCUAUCACAGAUCCGAAGGCAAGAUAUUCGUUGCUAAGAAUGGAUCCUUUCUAGAGAAGGAUUUUCUCUCGAAAGAAGUGAGUGGGAGGAAAGUAGAACUUGAUGAGGUAACUGUACCUGCUCCCUUAUUGGAAAGUAGUUCAUCACAGAAAUCUGUUCCUGUGACUCCUACACCAAUUAGUAAGGAAGUUAAUGAUGAUGAUCAUGUAACUUCAGAUCAAGUUACUACCGAACCUCGUAGGUCAACCAGAGUGAGAUCCGCACCAGAGUGGUACGGUAAUCCUGUUCUGGAGGUCAUGUUACUAGACCAUGACGAACCUACGAACUAUGAAGAAGCGAUGGUGAGCCCAGAUUCCGCAAAAUGGCUUGAGGCCAUGAAAUCUGAGAUGGGAUCCAUGUAUGAGAACAAAGUAUGGACUUUGAUUGACUUGCCCAAAUGAUCGGUGAGCCAUUGAGAUUAAAUGGAUCUUCAAGAGGAAGACGAACGCUGAUAGUAGUGUUACUAUCUACAAAGCUAGAAUUGUCGCAAAAGGUUUUCGACAAGUUCAAGGUGUUGACUACGAUGAGAGUUUCUCACUCGUAUCUAUGCUUAAGUCUGUCCGAAUCAUGUUAGCAAUUGCCGCAUUUUGAAAUCUGGCAAAUGGAUAAACAAAACUGCAUUCCUUAAUGGAUUUAUUAAAGAAGAGUUGUAUAUGAUGUAAUCAGAAGGUUUUGUCGAUCCUAAAGGUUUUAACAAAAUGUGCAAGCUCCAGCGAUCCAUCUAUGCACUGGUGCAAGCAUCUCGGAGUUGGAAUAUACGCUUUGAUGAGUUGAUCAAAGCAUAUAGUUUUAUACAGACUUGCGGUGAAGCCUGUAUUUACAAGAAAGUGAGUGGGAGCACUACAACAUUUCUGAUAAGUAUAUGUGAAUGACAUAUUGUUGAUCGGAAAUAAUGUAGAAUUAUUCUGCAAAGCAUAAAGGAGUGUUUGAAAGGAGUUAUUCAAAGAAAGACCUCGGAGAAGCUGCUUACAUAUUGAGCAUCAAGAUCUAUAGAGAUAGAUCAAGACGCUUGAUAAGUUUUUUCAAUGAGUACAUACCUUGACAAGAUUUUGAAGUAGUUCAAAAUGGAACAGUCAAAGAAAGAGUUCUUGCCUGUGUUACAAGGUGUGAAAUUGAGUAAGACUCAAAGCCCGACCACGGCAGAAGAUAGAAAGAGAAUGAAAGUCAUUCCCUAUGCCUUGGCCAUAGGUUCUAUAAAGUAUGCCAUGCUGUGUACCAGAUCUAUUGUAUACCCUAACUGAUUUUGGCAAGGGAGUACAAUAGUGAUCUAGGAGUAGAUCAGUGGACAGCGGUCAAAAUUAUCCUUAGUGGAAUAAGGAUACGUUUCUCGAUUAUGGAGGUGACAAAAGGUUCGUCGUAAAGGGUUACGUCGAUGCAAGUUUUGGCACUGAUCCAGAUGACUCUAAGUCACAAUCUGGAUACAUAUUGAGAGUGGGAGCAAUUAGCUAGAGUAGCUCCGUGCAGAGCAUUGUUGACAUAGAAAUUUGCACAAUACAUACGGAUCUGAAUGUGGCAGACCCGUUGACUAAACUUCUCUCACAAGAAAAACAUGAUCACACCUUAGUACUCUUUGGGUGUUAACCACAUAGCGAUGUGAACUAGAUUAUUGACUCUAGUAAACCCUUUGGGUCUUGGUCACAUGACGAUGUGAACUAUGGGUGUUAAUCACAUGGUUAUGUGAACUAUGUUGGGGAACGUAGUAAUUUCAAAAAAUUUCCUACGCACACACAAGAUCAUGGUGAUGCAUAGCAACGAGAGGGGAGAGUUUUGUCCACGUACCCUCGUAGACCGAAAGCGGAAGCGUUUAACACAACGCGGUUGAUGUAGUCGUACGUCUUCAUGAUCCGACCGAUCAAGUACCGAACGCACGACACCUCCGAGUUUAGCACACGUUCAGCUCGAUGAUGUCCCUCGAACUCCGAUCCAGCCGAGUGUUGAGGGAGAGUUUCAUCAGCACAACGGCGUGGUGACGAGGAUGAUGUUCUACCGACGCAGGGCUUCGCCUAAGCACCGCUACGAUAUUAUUGAGGUGUAAUAUGGUGGAGGGGGGCACCGCACACGGCUAAAAGAUCGUUGAUCAAUCGUGUGUCGAGAGGUGCUCCCCUGCCCCCGUAUAUAAAGGAGCAAGGGGGAGGCCGCCGGCCAAGGAGGUGUGGCGCGCCAGGAGGAGUCCUACUCCUACCGGGAGUAGGACUCCCUCCCUUUCCAUGUUGGACUAGGAGAGGAAGGGGGAAGAGGUGGAGGGGAGGAAGGAAGGGGGGUGCCGCCCCCCUCUCCUUGUCCUAUUCGGACUGGGGGGAAGGGGCGCGCGGCCCUGCCCGAGCCUCCUCUCCUCUCUUCCACCUAGGCCCACUAAGGCCCAUUAAGUUACCGGGGGGUUCCGGUAACCUCUCGGUACUCCGGAAAAAUCCCGAUUUCACCCGGAACACUUCCGAUGUCCAAACAUAGGCUUCCAAUAUAUCAAUCUUUAUGUCUCGACCAUUUCGAGACUCCUCGUCAUGUCCGUGAUCACAUCCGGGACUCCGAACAACCUUCGGUACAUCAAAACAUAUAAACUCAUAAUAUAACUGUCAUCGUAACGUUAAGCGUGCGGACCCUACGGGUUCGAGAACUAUGUAGACAUGACCGAGACACCUCUCCGGUCAAUAACCAAUAGCGGAACCUAGAUGCUCAUAUUGGUUCCUACAUAUUCUACGAAGAUCUUUAUCGGCCAGACCGCAUAACAACAUACGUUGUUCCCUUUGUCAUCGGUAUGUUACUUGCCCGAGAUUCGAUCGUCGGUAUCUCUAUACCUAGUUCAAUCUCGUUACCGGCAAGUCUCUUUACUCGUUCCGUAAUACAUCAUCCCGCAACUAACUCAUUAGUUACAAUGCUUGCAAGGCUUAUAGUGAUGUGUAUUACUGAGUGGGCCCAGAGAUACCUCUCCGACAAUCGGAGUGACAAAUCCUAAUCUCGAAAUACGCCAACCCAACAAGUACCUUUGGAGACACCUAUAGAGCACCUUUAUAAUCACCCAGUUACGUUGUGACGUUUGGUAGCACACAAAGUGUUCCUCCGGUAAACGGGAGUUGCAUAAUCUCAUAGUCAUAGGAACAUGUAUAAGUCAUGAAGAAAGCAAUAGCAACAUACUAAACGAUCGAGUGCUAAGCUAACGGAAUGGGUCAAGUCAAUCACAUCAUUCUCCUAAUGAUGUGAUCCUGUUAAUCAAAUGACAACUCAUGUCUAUGGCUAGGAAACAUAACCAUCUUUGAUCAACGAGCUAGUCAAGUAGAGGCAUACUAGUGACACUCUGUUUGUCUAUGUAUUCACACAUGUAUUAUGUUUCCGGUUAAUACAAUUCUAGCAUGAAUAAUAAACAUUUAUCAUGAUAUAAGGAAAUAAAUAAUACUUUAUUAUUGCCUCUAGGGCAUAUUUCCUUCAGUCUCCCACUUGCACUAGAGUCAAUAAUCUAGAUUACACAGUAAUGAUUCUUACACCCAUGGAGUCUUGGUGCUGAUCAUGUUUUGCUUGUGGAAGAGGCUUAGUCAACAGGUCUGCAACAUUCAGAUCCGUAUGUAUCUUGCAAAUUUCUAUGUCUCCCACCUGGACUAAAUCCCGGAUGGAAUUGAAGCGUCUUUUGAUGUGGUUGGUUCUUUUGUGAAAUCUGGAUUCCUUUGCUAAGGCAAUUGCACCAGUAUUGUCACAAAAGAUUUUCAUUGGUCCCGAUGCACUAGGUAUGACACCUAGAUCGGAUAUGAACUCCUUCAUCCAGACUCCUUCAUUUGCUGCUUCCGAAGCAGCUAUGUACUCCGCUUCACACGUAGAUCCCACCACGACACUUUCCUUAGAACUGCACCAACUGACAGCUCCACCGUUCAAUGUAAACACAUAUCCGGUUUGCGAUUUAGAAUCGUCCGGAUCAGUGUCAAAGCUUGCAUCAACGUAACCAUUUACGAUGAGCUCUUUGUCACCUCCAUAAACGAGAAACAUAUCCUUAGUCCUUUUCAGGUAUUUCAGGAUGUUCUUGACCGCUGUCCAGUGAUCCACUCCUGGAUUACUUUGGUACCUCCCUGCUAAACUUAUAGCAAGGCACACAUCAGGUCUGGUACACAGCAUUGCAUACAUGAUAGAGCCUAUGGCUGAAGCAUAGGGAACAUCUUUCAUCUUCUCUCUAUCUUCUGCAGUGGUCAGGCAUUGAGUCUUACUCAAUCUCACACCUUGUAGUACAGGCAAGAACCCUUUCUUUGCUUGAUCCAUUUUGAACUUCUUCAAAACUUUGUCAAGGUAUGUGCUUUGUGAAAGUCCAAUUAAGCGUCUUGAUCUAUCUCUAUAGAUCUUGAUGCCCAAUAUAUAUGCAGCUUCACCGAGGUCUUUCAUUGAAAAACUCUUAUUCAAGUAUCCCUUUAUGCUAUCCAGAAAUUCUAUAUCAUUUCCAAUCAGCAAUAUGUCAUCCACAUAUAAUAUCAGAAAUGCUACUGAGCUCCCACUCACUUUCUUGUAAAUACAGGCUUCUCCAAAAGUCUGUAUAAAACCAAAUGCUUUGAUCACACUAUCAAAGCGUUUAUUCCAACUCCGAGAGGCUUGCACCAGUCCAUAAAUGGAUCGCUGGAGCUUGCAUACUUUGUUAGCUCCCUUUGGAUCGACAAAACCUUCCGGUUGCAUCAUAUACAACUCUUCUUACAGAAUCCAUUCAGGAAUGCAGUUUUGACAUCCAUUUGCCAAAUUUCAUAAUCAUAAAAUGCGGCAAUUGCUAACAUGAUUCGGACAGACUUAAGCAUCGCUACGGGUGAGAAGGUCUCAUCGUAGUCAAUCCCUUGAACUUGUCAAAAACCUUUCGCAACAAGUCGAGCUUUAUAGACAGUAACAUUACCGUCAGCGUCAGUCUUCUUCUUGAAGAUCCAUUUAUUUUCUAUGGCUUGCCGAUCAUCGGGCAAGUCAACCAAAGUCCAUACUUGGUUCUCAUACAUGGAUCCCAUCUCGGAUUUCAUGGCUUCAAGCCAUUUUGCGGAAUCUGGGCUCACCAUCGCUUCUUCAUAGUUCGUAGGUUCGUCAUGGUCUAGUAACAUAACCUCCAGAACAGGAUUACCGUACCACUCUGGUGCGGAUCUUAAUCUGGUUGACCUACGAGGUUCAGUAAUAACUUGAUCUGAAGUUUCAUGAUCAUUAUCAUUAACUUCCCCACUAAUUGGCGUAGCUGUCGCAGAAACUGGUUUAUGUGAUGAUCUACUUUCCAAUAAGGGAGCAGGUACAGUUACCUCAUCAAGUUCUACUUUCCUCCCACUCACUUAUUUCAAGAGAAACUCCUUCUCUAGAAAGGAUCCAUUCUUAGCAACGAAUGUCUUGCCUUCGGAUCUGUGAUAGAAGGUGUACCCAAUAGUCUCCUUUGGGUAUCCUAUGAAGACACAUUUCUCCGAUUUAGGUUCGAGCUUAUCUGGUUGAAGUUUCUUCACAUAAGCAUCGCAACCCCAAACUUUAAGAUACGACAACUUUGGUUUCUUGCCAAACCAUAGUUCAUAAGGUGUCGUUUCAACGGAUUUUGAUGGUGCCCUAUUUAGAGUGAAUGCAGCCGUCUCUAAAGCAUAACCCCAAAACGAUAGCGGUAAAUCAGUAAGAGACAUCAUAGAUCGCACCAUAUCUAAUAAAGUACGAUUACGACGUUCGGACACACCAUUACGCUGUGGUGUUCCGGGUGGCGUGAGUUGCGAAACUAUUCCGCAUUGUUUCAAAUGAAGACCAAACUCAUAACUCAAAUAUUCUCCUCCACGAUCAGAUCGUAGAAAUUUUAUUUUCUUGUUACGAUGAUUUUCAACUUCACUCUGAAAUUCUUUGAACUUUUGAAAUGUUUCAGAAUUAUGUUUCUUUAAGUAGAUAUACCCAUAUAUGCUCAAAUCAUCUGUGAAGGUGAGAAAAUAACGAUAUCCGCCACGAGCCUCAAUAUUCAUCGGACCACAUACAUCUGUAUGUAUGAUUUCCAAUAAAUCUGUUGCUCUCUCCAUAGUUCCGGAGAACGGUGUUUUAGUCAUCUUGCCCAUGAGGCACGGUUCGCAAGUACCAAGUGAUUCAUAAUCAAGUGAUUCCAAAAGUCCAUCAGUGUGGAGUUUCUUCAUGCGCUUUACACCGAUAUGACCUAAACGGCAGUGCCACAAAUAAGUUGCACUAUCAUUAUCAACUCUGCAUCUUUUGGCUUCAACAUUAUGAAUAUGUGUAUCACUACUAUCGAGAUUCAACAAAAAUAGACCACUCUUCUAGGGUGCAUGACCAUAAAAGAUAUUAUUCAUAUAAAUAGAACAACCAUUAUUCUCUGAUUUAAAUGAAUAACCGUCUCGCAUCAAACAAGAUCCAGAUAUAAUGUUCAUGCUUAACGCUGGCACCAAAUAACAAUUAUUUAGGUCUAAUACUAAUCCCGAAGGUAGAUGUAGAGGUAGCGUGCCGACUGCGAUCACAUCGACUUUGGAACCAUUUCCCACGCGCAUCGUCACCUCGUCCUUAGCCAAUCUUCGCUUAAUCCGUAGCCCCUGUUUCGAGUUGCAAAUAUUAGCAACAGAACCAAUAUCAAAUACCCAGGUGCUACUGCGAGCAUUAGUAAGGUACACAUCAAUAACAUGUAUAUCACAUAUACCUUUGUUAACCUUGCCAUCCUUCUUAUCCGCCAAAUACUUGGGGCAGUUCCGCUUCCAGUGACCAUUCUGCUUGCAGUAGAAGCACUCAGUCUCAGGCUUAGGUCCAGACUUGGGUUUUCUUCUCCUGAGCAGCAACUUGCUUGCUGUUCUUCUUGAAGUUCCCCUUCUUCUUCCCUUUGCCCUUUUUCUUGAAACUAGUGGUCUUAUUGACCAUCAACACUUGAUGCUCCUUUUUGAUUUCUACCUCCGCUGCCUUUAGCAUUGCGAAGAGCUCGGGAAUUGUCUUAUUCAUCCCUUGCAUGUUAUAGUUCAUCACGAAACUCUUGUAGCUUGGUGGCAGUGAUUGAAGAAUUAUGUCAAUGACGCUAUCAUCCAGAAGAUUAACUCCCAGUUGAAUCAAGUGAUUAUUAUACCCAGACAUUUUGAGUAUAUGCUCACUGACAGAACUAUUCUCUUCCAUCUUGCAGCUGUAGAACUUAUUGGAGACUUCAUAUCUCUCAAUCCGGGCAUUUGCUUGAAAUAUUAACUUCAACUCCUGGAACAUCUCAUAUGCUCCAUGACGUUCAAAACGUCGUUGAAGACCUGGUUCUAAGCCGUAAAGCAUGGCACACUGAACUAUCGAGUAGUCAUCAGCUUUGCUCUGCCAGACGUUCAUAACUUCUGGUGUUGCUCUUGCAGCAGGCCUGGCACCCAGCGGUGCUUCCAGGACGUAAUUUUUCUGUGCAGCAAUGAGGAUAAUCCUCAAGUUACGGACCCAGUCCGUGUAAUUGCUACCAUCAUCUUUCAACUUUGCUUUCUCAAGGAACGCAUUAAAAUUCAACGGAACAAUAGCACGGGCCAUUUAUCUACGAUUAACUUAGACAAGCAAGAUACUAUCAGGUACUAAGUUCAUGAUAAAUUUUAAGUUCCAUUAAUCAUAUUACUUAAGAACUCCCACUUAGAUAGACAUCCCUCUAAUCAUCUAAGUGAUUACGUGAUCCAAAUCAACUAAACCAUGUCCGAUCAUCACAUGAGAUGGAGUAGUUUCAAUGGUAAACAUCACUAUGUUGAUCAUAUCUACUAUAUGAUUCACGCUCGACCUUUCGGUCUCCGUGUUCCGAGGCCAUAUCUGCAUAUGCUAGGCUCGUCAAGUUUAACCUGAGUAUUCCGCGUGUGCAACUGUUUUGCACCCGUUGUAUUUGAACGUAGAGCCUAUCACACACGAUCAUCACGUGGUGUCUCAGCACGAAGAACUUUCGCAACGGUGCAUACUCAGGGAGAACACUUUUAUCUUGAAAUUUUAGUGAGAGAUCAUCUUAUAAUGCUACCGUCAAUCAAAGCAAGAUAAGAUGCAUAAAAGAUAAACAUCACAUGCAAUCAAUAUAAGUGAUAUGAUAUGGCCAUCAUCAUCUUGUGCUUGUGAUCUCAAUCUCCGAAGCACCGUCAUGAUCACCAUCGUCACCGGCGCGACACCUUGAUCUCCAUCAUAGUAUUGUUGUCGUUUCGCCAACUAUUGCUUUUACGACUAUCGCUACCGCUUAGUGAUAAAGUAAAACAAUUACAUGGCGAUUGCAUUGCAUAUAAUAAAGCGACAACCAUAUGGCUCCUGCCAGUUGCCGAUAACUCGGUUACAAAACAUGAUCAUCUCAUACAAUAAAAUAUAGCAUCAUGUCUUGACCAGAUCACAUCACAACAUGCCCUGCAAAAACAAGUUAGACGUCCUCUACUUUGUUGUUGCAAGUUUUACGUGGCUGCUACGGGCUUAGCAAGAACCGUUCUUACCUACGCAUCAAAACCACAACGAUAGUUUGUCAAGUUGGUGCUGUUUUAACCUUCGCAAGGACCGGGCGUAGCCACACUCGAUUCAACUAAAGUGAGAGAGACAAACACCCGCUAGUCACCUUUAAGCAACGAGUGCUCGCAACGGUGAAACCAGUCUCGCGUAAGCGUACGCGUAAUGUCGGUCUGGGCCGCUUCAUCUCACAAUACCGCCGAACCAAAGUAUGACAUGCUGGUGAGCAGUAUGACUUAUAUCGCCCACAACUCACUUGUGUUCUACUCGUGCAUAACAUCAACGCAUAAAACCAGGCUCGGAUGCCACUGUUGGGGAACGUAGUAAUUUCAAAAAAUUUCCUACACACACACAAGAUCAUGGUGAUGCAUAGCAACGAGAGGGGAGAGUGUUGUCCACAUACCCUCGUAGACCGAAAGCGGAAGCGUUUAACACAACGCGGUUGAUGUAGUCGUACGUCUUCACGAUCCGACCGAUCAAGUACCGAACGCACGGCACCUCCGAGUUCAGCACACGUUCAGCUCGAUGACGUCCCUCGAACUCCGAUUCAGCCGAGUGUUGAGGGAGAGUUUCGUCAGCACAACGGCGUGGUGACGAUGAUGAUGUUCUACCGACGCAGGGCUUCGCCUAAGCACCGCUACGAUAUUAUCGAGGUGUAAUAUGGUGGAGGGGGGCACCGCACACGGCUAAAAGAUCGUUGAUCAAUCGUGUGUCGAGAGGUGCCCCCCUGCCCACGUAUAUAAAGGAGCAAGGGGGAGGCCGCCGACCAAGGAGGUGUGGCGCGCCAGGAGGAGUCCUACUCCUACCGGGAGUAGGACUCCCCCCUUUCCAUGUUGGACUAGGAGAGGAAGGGGGAAGAGGUGGAGGGGAGGAAGGAAGGGAGGGUGCUGCCCCCCUCUCCUUGUCCUAUUCGGACUGGGGGGGGGAAGGGGCCCUGCCCUAGCCUCCUCUCCUCUCUUCCACCUAGGCCCACUAAGGCCCAUUAAGUUACCAGGGGGUUCCGGUAACCUCUCGGUACUCUGGAAAAAUCCCGAUUUCACCCGGAACACUUCCGAUGUCCAAACAUAGGCUUCCAAUAUAUCAAUCUUUAUGUCCCGGAUGUGAUCACGGACAUGACGAGGAGUCCGUGAUCACAUCCGGGACUCCGAACAACCUUCGGUACAUCAAAACAUAUAAACUCAUAAUAUAACUGUCAUCGUAACGUUAAGCGUGCGGACCCUACGGGUUCGAGAACUAUGUAGACAUGACCGAGACACCUCUCCGGUCAAUAACCAAUAGCGGAACUUGGAUGCUCAUAUUGGUUCCUACAUAUUCUACGAAGAUCUUUAUCGGUCAGACCGCAUAACAACAUACGUUGUUCCCGUUGUCAUCGAUAUGUUACUUGCCCGAGAUUCAAUCGUCGGUAUCUCUAUACCUAGUUCAAUCUCGUUACCGGCAAGUCUCUUUACUCAUUCCGUAAUACAUCAUCCCGCAACUAACUCAUUAGUUACAAUGCUUGCAAGGCUUAUAGUGAUGUGUAUUACUGAGUGGGCCCAGAGAUACCUCUCCGACAAUCGGAGUGACAAAUCCUAAUCUUGAAAUACGCCAACCCAACAAGUACCUUUGGAGACACCUGUAGAGCACCUUUAUAAUCACCCAGUUACGUUGUGACGUUUGGUAGCACACAAAGUGUUCCUCCGGUAAACGGGAGUUGCAUAAUCUCAUAGUCAUAGGAACAUGUAUAAGUCAUGAAGAAAGCAAUAGCAACAUACUAAACGAUCGAGUGCUAAGCUAACGGAAUGGGUCAAGUCAAUCACAUCAUUCUCCUAAUGAUGUGAUCCUGUUAAUCAAAUGACAACUCAUGUCUAUGGCUAGGAAACAUAACCAUCUUUGAUCAACGAGCUAGUCAAGUAGAGGCAUACUAGUGACACUCUGUUUGUCUAUGUAUUCACACAUGUAUUAUGUUUCCGGUUAAUACAAUUCUAGCAUGAAUAAUAAACAUUUAUCAUGAUAUAAGGAAAUAAAUAAUACUUUAUUAUUGCCUCUAGGGCAUAUUUCCUUCAAACUAUUGGUGUUAAAUCACAUGGCGAUGUGAACUAGAUUAUUGACUCUAGUGCAAGUGGGAGACUGAAGGAAAUAUGCCCUAGAGGCAAUAAUAAAGUUAUUAUUUAUUUCCUUAUUUCAUGAUAAAUGUUUAUUAUUCAUGCUAGAAUUGUAUUAACCGGAAACUUGAUACAUGUGUGAAUACAUAGACAAAAAAGAGUGUCACUAGUAUGCCUCUACUUGGCUAGCUCGUUGAAUCAAAGAUGGUUAUGUUUCCUAGCCAUAGACAUGAGUUGUCAUUUGAUUAACGGGAUCACAUCAUUAGGAGAAUGAUGUGAUUGACUUGACACAUUCCGUUAGCUUAGCACUCGAUCGUUUAGUAUGUUGCUAUUGCUUUCUUCAUGACUUAUACAUGUUCCUAUGACUAUGAGAUUAUGCAACUCCCGUUUACCGGAGGAACACUUUGUGUGCUACCAAACGUCACAACGUAACUGGGUGAUUAUAAAGGUGCUCUACAGGUGUCUCCGAAGGUACUUGUUGGGUUGGCGUAUUUCGAGAUUAGGAUUUGUCACUCCGAUUGUCGGAGAGGUAUCUCUGGGCCCACUCAGUAAUGCACAUCACUAUAAUCCUUGAAAGCAUUGUAACUAAUGAGUUAGUUGCGGGAUGAUGUAUUACGGAACGAGUAAAGAGACUUGCCGGUAACGAUAUUGAACUAGGUAUAGAGAUACCGACGAUCGAAUCUCGGGCAAGUAAAAUACCGAUGACAAAGGGAACAACGUAUGUUGUUAUGCGGUUUGACCGAUAAAGAUCUUCGUAGAAUAUGUGGGAGCCAAUAUGAGCAUCCAGGUUCCGCUAUUGGUUAUUGACCGGAGACGUGUCUCGGUCAUGUCUACAUUGUUCUCAAAUCCGUAGGGUCCGCACGCUUAAAGUUCGAUGACGGUUAUAUUAUGAGUUUAUGUGUUUUGAUGUACCGAAGGUAGUUCGGAGUCCCGGUUGAGAUUAGGGACAUGACGAGGAGUCUCGAAAUGGCCGAGACGUAAAGAUCGAUAUAUUGGACGACUAUAUUCGGACAUCGGAAAGGUUCCGAGUGAUUCGGGUAUUUUUCGGAGUACCGGAGAGUUAUGGGAAUUCGCCGGGGAGUAUAUGGGCCUUAUUGGGCUUUAGGGGAAAGAGAGAGGAGAGGGUGCGCCCCCCAAGGCCUAGUCCGAAUUGGACUAGGGGGAGGAGCUGCGCCCCCUCUUUCCUUCUCUUCUCUCUCCCCAUUCCUUGACUCCUACUCCUACUACUUGGAGGGGGGGGGAAUCCUACUCCCGGUGGGAGUAGGACUCCUCCUAGGGCGCGCCAUAGAGUGGGCCGGCCCUCCCCCUCCUCCACUCCUUUAUAUACGGGGAGGAGGGCACCCUUGGAGAUACAACAAUUGAUCUCUUGAUCUCUUAGCCGUGUGCGGUGCCCCCCUCCACCAUAAUCCACCUCGAUAAUAUCGUAGCGGUGCUUAGGCGAAGCCCUGCGUCGGCAGAACAUCAUCAUCGUCACCACGCCGUUGUGCUGACGGAACUCUCCCUCAAAGCUUGGCUGGAUCGGAGUUCGAGGGACGUCAUCGAGCUGCAGGUGUGCUGAACUCGGAGGUGCCGCACGUUCGGUACUUGGAUUGGUCGGAUCGUGAAGACGUACGACUACAUCAACCGUGUUGUGCUAACGCUUCCGCUUUCGGUCUACAAGGGUACGUGGACACACUCUCCCCUCUCGUUGCUAUGCAUCACCAUGAUCCUGUGUGUGCGUAGGAUUUUUUUUUGAAAUUACUACGUUUCCCAACAAGAAGGAGGGGUCGUCGUCGACGUAGUUGUACUCAGGGGCAUCAGCGUCGGUCUCGGGGUCUACCGGAGAAGAAGAGGGGGAAGAAACAGUAAAUACAUUGCAAACAGAUGCAUGACAACGCGAACAGCGAUGAUAGGUGUGCCCUAACACAGUACUAGGUGAUACCGGCAAAGGGGGGAAACAUCCGAGAAAGUAUCCCCGGUGUUUCGCGUUUUCGGACAGAUGAACCGGAUGGGGAAAGUUGCGUGUUCGCUAUGCUAGGGAUGUGUGGUGGGCGAGCGGGUUGCGUAUUCGGAUUCGUCUCGUCGUUCUAAGCAACUUUCAUGUACAAAGUUUUUUCAUCCGAGUUACGGAUUAUUUUAUAUUAAUUUUCUAAGUUUUAAAUCAAUUUCUAGAGUUAUUAUUAAUUCAAAAAUUAACUAGCUAAAUGCUAUGGGUACACAUCAGUGUACCCAACAUUGUGUGCAUGUGCAUGACAUGUGGGGCCAGAGGGCCCAGUUGACCCAGUCAAACUGACGUGUGGGUCCCAUUUGUCAUUGAUUGAGACUAACUAAUCAGGAUUAACUAGAUUAGUUAAUUGAUUAGGUAAAUUAAUCUCAAUUAAUUAAGUUAAUUAACUUAGUUAACUAAUUAAUUAAUUGAUUAAUUAAAUUAAAUUAUUAUUAUUAUUUUAAAUUCUUUUUUAUUAAAACGUUUUUGGGUGGGCCCCAUGUGCCAUAGGCACAGGGGCCAUAGUGGGCACUGGGCGGCUCGAGCAGACGCUCGCCCAAAUGCAGGGGCGCGGCAGGGCGCCGAUGUGCGGGCGGCCGACGUCAGCGACGACCGGUGGCGACGGCAGGAGGCGGAGCCGGGGGGUGCACUAGGCGAGGUCGUGGCCUCGCGGGGGCGCCGGGCGCGGCAGCAGAGGCCGGUGCGGUGCGGCCCGGUGCGAGGCAGGAGUAGCGGCAGCGACGGUGAUGCAGGCAGUCGGGCAGAGGGGCGUGUGAAGGUGCGGGCGGCUUCAGGGAGCCGCGGCCAGGGAAGGAGUGGAGCUGAACGGCGGCACUGGUGAGCACAACAGCGGGCAGACGCAUGAGCGGGAGCGGCAGUGGGGGGUGCGCGAGCGCGCGCUGUCGGCCACGGUCGGGUGCGACAGAGAACGGGCAGGGGGCGUAGUAGCGGGGCUGGGCGCGGCCCUGAGCGGCACGCAAGGGAGGAGGCGAGCGCGCGCGGCAGAGGCGACAGGGAGCAGUAGCAAGGCGAGGCCACGCCCGAGCGCGGGCGUGCGCGCGGUAGAGGAGGCCGGGGCAUCGUGAACGGCGCCGGCGACAGAGGGAAAUGGGGAAAGGAGGGGUCCUCACGGCGAGUUUCGUAGGGCACGGGCAGCGGGGUUGAGGCGGGGGAUGGGGAAGAUGCGGACGUAGGGGAGGCAGUCCGGCGGGGAGGACCAGCGAGCGUCAGGGCUCCGGCGUCGGAGUCGACGAAGAGGACGGCGUCGAGCAGCGCCAGGCGGCGUCCAGAUCGAGCGGGGGGCGCGUGAACCCUGAUCCGAUCUGGAUUGGGGGGAAAGGGAGAGGGGGAAGUGGGGAUCAUGGGAGAGGAGUGGGGGAGUGGUUGACCCGAUCUAGGUCACGGGGGAAGUGGGCGUUAAGGGGGGCGCCGGCUGGGCCGGCCUGGCUUGCCCAGUGGCCAGCUGGGCCGAGGCCCAGUGGCAGGCAUUCUUUGUUUUAAUUUAAUUUUAUUUUUUGGUUUGUUUUGUCUUUUCUUAUUCUUUUCUGUUUUCUUUUAACCUUUAUAAGAUUUUAGUUUAAAUAAAGUGCAAUAAUAGUCCCUAAAUUAGUAUUACUAAAUAACCCACUGCCACAAACAAUUUAGCACAUUUUAGAAAGUAGUUUGUAUUUGUUUAUUAAUUUACGAGCAUUUAAUAAUAGUUUUACCACUAUUUUAUUUAUUAUAGUGCAUCUAACUACUUUAUAACAGUGUGAUUUCUCCACCAAUAUCUAUUAUGAAUUACUUGCAACAUUUAGAACAUUUUAGUUUUGACUUUUGAAAACUUUUAUAGUUUGACUUUAUUUCAAAUUUGAAUUUGAACGAGUUUUGAAUCAUGGCGAGAUUAUCAACAGUAAUCGUGGUGAUGUGGCAUCAUUAGUAGAGGGUUACUGUAUCUUAAUUAUCCGGGCGUCACAAUUCUCCUCCACUACAAGAAAUCUCGUCCCGAGAUUUAAGAGGUGGAGCAAGGGGGAAAGAUCUGGUUACGAAAUUCUAACGGAUCUUCUCGGUCUUGGUUGCUCUUCUCGCAGAGGUCGACCCAUUUGGCGUCUUCCUUCCUUUGUUUCAGGCAUGAUGAAGUCGCUAUGUUUCUUCGGGAACUUCAUCGUACUUACGAAAAAACAAGGGGGUAUUUCGGGAGAACGGGCUUCUGCAAGGUUGACUAUCUGGUCGAUAACAUCGGGAAAGGUGGCGGAAAGUAACUCUCGAUUUGAAACUUAAGAAAAUAUCGAGAGCAAAGUAAGGAGAUAUCAUGGAAAGUUUCGAGCGGGCAGGCAAUCGUUCGAUGCCUGAAACAGAGUGUGAAAGGGGUUCGGAGCAAUGGGAAUAAGUAUUGCAUCUGAUAACAGAAUAGAUCACUAGGCAGGUGGCCCGUGAACUACAUACGAAGUCAAGCUCUAGGAAUAACUUUGGCAACAGGGUGUACAGGAGAUUCAGGUUUCGAUCCUGUGGAACUGUGGGUUAUGGGCCCACCAUGUGGGUGAAAAGUAGGAAGGGCGGUAACGUCUUGCACGAUCAUGUAAACAAGGCAUGUCAGAGGAUAGUCUGUCAUUUAUGUCGGCAACAACAGUGGUACCAAGGGCAAGGGAUGAAGAGAACCAUUUUCCUGCUCAUUGAACGAGGCGGACCAAUAGGCAAAGUUCUCGUCCAUCAGUGGUUACCGGAAUGCUAUCGACAAAUGCAACUGGGUCUUACUGACACGGUUGUACACUAAGGUGUUUACAUAAGCAGAAGAAUAUUACUUCUUAGAUCAUAUGGAUCACAAGGAAGGUUAAACAAAUCAAUGGAAAGGAAAAUGUGAUCAUCAGAUCAAACAGAACAAUGGAAAGGAAAAUGUGUUUGACAUAUACCCUUCCCAAGGACAAGCAGCGCAAGAUAUCCACGACAGGAUAGAAAGUAGAAUCCAUGUAAGUUAGGGGAGAGGAAUUUGAUGACAAUACCCAUACAACGGUGUUUUGGAUAAUUGAUAAAGAAAAGAUAGCAUUUGGCUUCAAAUGUUCUUAUUGAAGAUCGGAGUAACACAGACAUGCUUCGAGAUAGCAUUGACAUGGUCUUCAAGCAAAGGUCAGACUUUGGAUACAAAGGAUCCAUCGAAAACAACUUAUAGAAUAAGUCUUACAAUUUCCUCAUGGAAGAAUGGAUAACCUUGCUGAAAAGGAAUCUAUAACAAUAGGGCCUCCGGUCGGGUGUCCUUGGCAUGACAUCACCUUACUGGGUCAUAUGAGGAUCAAUGUUAUAACUCUUGAAAAUAUGUUCCAACCAUCAUAUCUGACCGAGAUUUAGAUCUGAUUGGUGUCAGGAUACCUCAGACUUAGGGUGCCUGAGAAGAGAAGGUGCGGCACAAAUUGACGAGAUGACAUUGUAAGAUUCUCGGAAAAUGAACUAUGGAAGUGAGUUCUGAAACAAGAGUUCGUCAUUAAACCAAUGAGAUGAGGGGGCGACUGAUAGACUCAGCGACAAUUCCUCGAGAUUUCCAUAAGAUGGAUUUCCACAACUAUGUGAACAAGGAUAUAACAUUUGUCAGAUCAGAUGACAUAAUGAUGUAUGCUCAAGGAAAAAAAUACACAAAUAAACAUUGGUUGAAAGGUGCGCCUGAAAUAUGGCCUUAGGUAGCAUGAUCAAUGUUAGAAUGGUGAUUCAAUAAUCAAUAGUCUAAGAAUGAACUGUCGACCAUUAACUUCAAAGCAAUAGGGUUGCUAGAAGUAUAGAAUCCAAGCAGCAUCAUCCACUUGUUGGUAUCCCGGUUAAAAUCAACACGGGACCAAGAAAGAAUGGUGAUGGUGAGAAGUAUCACUAUACCAAGAAUUCUUAAGAGGUGGAGUAAUCCUUGCAACAUCCUUGACAUAAAGGACAGAAAUACUUCAAGAUAGAACAUAAUACAAACUGGAUAGCAAGUUGCAUCCAUAACAUGAACAAGUUUGUGAUGAAAGGAAGGUAAAGAUGUUGUCGAUGGUAACUCAAAUUACCAAGGGAUGAGUAUGGUACUUACCAUCAUGAAUUCGAUUGAUAUCCUAGAAGGAGUCAAAAUGUUGAUGAUGUUCACGGCAAAUUUUGUCGAGAGGCUCCACGAAGAUGUAAUCGAUCGGCGAUGACAUCAAGUCAAAGGAAUGAUGAAGCGAUAGGUUAAUGGAACCAAGGGUACAACACAAACUCCAAACCAAGCUUGCUGUUCAAACCGAAAUGAUAUGAUGAGGAAGAUCGACGUAAGCUUAUCUCAUCGUAAAAAAUUGUGCUCCGGGAAGGACCAGGUAGCACAGUUAAAAUUUAGCAUGAUAAUGAUAUAGCCGAUCAGGCUUGGGAUGACUUGAAGGAUUAUUAAACUCGUAAGCAACGAAAAUUACUUAGAGUUAUUGAAUCGGAGUGCGGACUCAAUUCACUAUUCGGUGUUCUCGGUUGACGACAACCCAGAACCCAGGAAAAUUUGGAAUCGGUGAGAAAUAACAGUUGAUGAAGAACGCAUAAGAAGUUAUGCGGUUCCAUGAUAUUCUCAAGAUAUCAUAGGGGAAUACUCGAAGGUUGAGAAGAAUCGAGGUUGGGCAGGCACAUUGAUCUGCAUAAGACAAGCGAUUUAACUUGUCCGAGAAAUGGGACCAAAGAAAAACAAUCAUGGUCGGAACCACGGUUGCAAAGGACCAAGCAUAGAUAAGAGAAGAAGUUAUAAUAAGGGGAUUAUUAUUACUACAAGAAGCUUCCAUGAUAAGUUCCACCUCGGGUCCAUGGGCAUGAACACAAAGUUCAAGGUCGACUCCCACUUCUCCAAAGCAUAACCUUACAUUCACUUCUCGUUUCGAUAAUGGCAUUAGUGUUGAAAGUUUUACAUGGUGAAAUACCAGAUGAGGAUGGCCCGUGAAAUCUUCCGGGCUCACAUAGAUUAGGAAAAGGCAUAGGUUCAACCCAUCGGGGCAUCUUUGGAACAUAUACCACGAACUCCAGGAGUAAAUAACACAAGCUCAAAAGUAGAGCAUGGUUGACAAAGUAGAGGAUACAAUUUACCAAAGGCAUUAUGUAUCAUGUAAAGAACUCACAAGAAUUUUGGUUGUGAAGGACAUUGUCGGAUAAUAACCCAGCAAUGGGUAUGGCGGUCCACAACAGGGCUGAUGUGAGUAUCAGUUCUCAAUCAGAGGAAGAAGGAAUGCAAAGGCAUCAGGUUAUAGAAACAACUGGGUAAUUCAAAGCUCAAUGCAAAGAAAUUUAUGAUUUCCAAAUCAAGGGAUUAGAAGCAAUCGUUCUGAUCGAAAAUGAAUAAGUUCAACAAACUUAGAAACACAACCGAUCAAGGCAUUGAUUGGUCAAGAACCAACUCAUACCCAAAUGACGUCUGAGCCGGAAGGAUAAACCUAGGAUUUGAUUGAGGAUUGCGAGCAUUCACAACAUAUUGAAUCGAUGGACUCAAAAUGAUAAUGACAAUGAAUGCCAAUAAGAUUACCAAACUUAUGGGAUUAAUCAUAAUGCAGGCAAGCAAGAAUUUCAAGAGAAAUAGGUUGCUGAGGAUUUUCGGAAGACUGAAUAGCAUUUCGAAGACUUUUGUGGCCACAUGAAUAACUGGGGAGAAAAAAAUCCUCGGUAUGUGUGAGGAUUAAUUUAUAGGUGUAUUCAGGCGACAAGGAACUACAAGGAAGUAAGCACAAAGUUUUCUCCGAGCAAUAGAGAGAAGUUCGGGGUAUAUUGUAAUAACAAGAUCAACUGGGAAUAAAAGUAAGAACGACAGGUGUAUGUAUUUAUCCAUAGGGAUAUUUUGGUGCUACGGAAUUGCAAAAGCAAUGGCACAAAGUCUUGAGAGAACAUCUGAGAGUAUCUUCAGAAUCUUCUGGUGCAGCAGGCGAUCAUCUGUAAUAAGGGGCUCUCCAGGAGAAAGUAGUUACGGGAACCUAGAGUCAGAUUUAGUAAAAUCACUUAAGCCGAAUAGAAGAGAGAUCAGAGUCCUAGAGUAUAGGUCGAGAAAUAAAAGAUCCUAAUACCACCCAAUGGCGACGUGGGCCCGUAAGCCACACAACCAUGUUAGUAAAAGUUUUGUAAUGUCUAGACUCGACUUCGGCCAAGGAGUGUGGAAGGGGGAUUCCUACAGGCAGUCAGCUCUGAUACCAACUUGUGACGCCCCCGAUCCAGAUCAGGGACUCAUGGAAAGAUAUCACAACGCAACUCUAAAAGUAAAAUAAGUCAUACAGGCAUCAUAAUACAAGCCAGGGGCCUCGAGGGCUCGAAUACAACUGCUCGAUCAUAGACGAGUCAGCGGAAGCAACAAUAUCUGAGUACAGACAUAAGUUAAACAAGUUUGUCUUAAGAAGGCUAGCACAAACUGGGAUACAGAUCGAAAGAGGCGCAUGCCUCCUGCCUGGGAUCCUCCUAAACUACUCCUGGUCGUCGUCAGCGGCCUGCACGUAGUAGGCACCUCCGGUGUAGUAGGAGUCGUCGUCGACGGUGGUGUCUGGCUCCUGGGCUCCAGCAUCUGGUUGCGAGAACCAAGUAGAAUGGAAAGGGGGAAAAGAAGGAGAAAAGCAACCGUGAGUACUCAUCCAAAGUACUCGCAAGCAAGGAUCUACACUACAUAUGCAUCGGUAUCAAUCAAAUGGGUUGUAUCUGUGGAUUGAACUGCAAAAUGCCAGAAUAAGAGGGGGAUAGCUAGUCCUGUCGAAGACUACGCUUCUGGCAGCCUCCAUCUUGCAGCAUGUAGAAGAGAGUAGAUGGUAAGUUCACCAAGUAUCAUCGCAUAUCAUAAUCCUACCCGACGAUCCUCUCCUCGUCGACCUGUGAGAGAGCGAACACGGGGUUGUAUCUGGCACUUGGAAGGGUGUGUUUUAUUAAGUAUCCGGUUCUAGUUGUCAUAAGGUCAAGGUACAAUUCCGGGUCGUCUCUUUACCGAGGGACACGGCUAUUCGAAUAGAUAAACUUUCCUGCAGGGGUGCACCACAUAACCCAACACGCUCGAUCCCCUUUGGCCGGACACACUUUCCUGGGUCAUGCCCGGCCUCGGAAGAUCAACACGUCGUAGCCCUACCUAGGCACAACAGAGAGGUCAGCACGCCGGUCUAAAUCCUAUGGCGCAGGGGUCUAGGCCCAUCGCCCAUUGCACACCUGCACGUUGCGAGGGCGGCCGGAAGCAGAACUAGCCCCCUUAAUACAACAGCAGGCUUACGUUCCAAUCCGGCGCGUGCUGCUCAGUCGCUGACAUCAAGAAGGCUUCGGCUGAUACCACGAUGUCGAGUGCCCAUAUCUUUCCCACGUAGUUGGUUAGUGCGUAUAGACCAAAUGGCCAGACUCAGAUCAAAUACCAAGAUCUCGUUAAGCGUAUUAUUUUGAAGCAACAGCAGACGCCGACCAGGGCCAGGCCCACCUCUCUCCUAGGUGGUCUCAACCUGCCCUGUCGCUCUGCCACAAAGUAACAGUCGGGGGCCGUCGGGAACCCAGGCCCACCUCUACCGGGAUGGAGCCACCUGUCCCUUCAGCCCCCAUCUCCGGACAGUAUCAUAAGUAAUGUAACAGUAUAAAGUAUAUAGCAUAUGCCCGUGAUCACCUCCCGAAGUGAUCACGGCCCAGUAGUAUAGCAUGGCAGACGGACAAGAGUGUAGGGCCACUGAUGGAAUACUAGCAUCCUAUACUAAGCAUUUAGGAUUGCAUGUAAGGGUAACAACUGUAGCAACAAUGACAGGCUAUGCAGCAGAAUAGGAUUAACCGAAAGCAGUAACAUACUACACUACUCUAAUGCAAGCAGUAGAGAGAAGGAAUAGGCGAUAUUUGGUGAUCAAGGGGGGGGGGCUUGCCUGGUUCUUUGGCAAGAAGGAGUGGUCGUCGUCGACGUAGUCGUACUCAGGGGCAUCAGCGUCGGUCUCGGGGUCUACCAAAGAAGAAGAGGGGGAAGAAACAGUAAAUACAUUGCAAACAGAUGCAUGACGAUGCAUGACAAAGCAAACAGCGAUGAUAGGUGUGCCCUAGCGCAGUACUAGGUGAUACCGGCAAGGGAGGGAAACAUCCGGGAAAGUAUCCCCGGUGUUUCGCGUUUUUGGACAGAUGAACCGGAGGGGGAAAGUUGUGUGUUCGCUAUGCUAGGGAUGUGUGGUGGGCGAGCGGGCUACAUAUUCGGAUUCGUCUCGUCGUUCUGAGCAACUUUCAUGUACAGAGUUUUUUCAUCCGAGUUACGGAUUAUUUUAUAUUAAUUUUCUAAGUUUUAAAUCAAUUUCUGGAGUUAUUAUUAAUUCGAAAAUUAACUAGCUAAAUGCUAUGGGUACACAAGUGUACCCAGCAUUGUGUGCAUGUGCAUGACAUGUGGGGCCAGAGGGCCCAGUUGACCCAGUCAAACUGACACGUGGGUCCCAUUUGUCAUUGAUUGAGACUAACUAAUGAGGAUUAACUAGAUUAGUUAAAUGAUUAGGUUAAUUAGUCUCAAUUAAAUAAGUUAACUAACUUAGUUAACUAAUUAAUUAAUUGAUUGAUUAAAUUAAAUUAUUAUUAUUAUUUUAAAUUCCUUUUUUUAUUAAAACGUUUCUGGGCGGGCCCCACGUGCCAUAGGCACAGGGGCCAUAGCGGGCACUAGGCGGCUCGAGCGGACGCUCGCCCAAAUGCAAGGGUGCGACAGGGCGCCGAUGUGCGGGCGGCCGAUGUCAGCGAUGGCCGGUGACGACGGCAGGAGGCGGAGCCAGGGGGUGCACUAGGCGAGGUUGUGGCCUCGCGGGGGCGCCGGGCGCGGCAGCUGAGGCUGGUGCGGUGCGGCCCGGUGCGAGGCAGGAGUAGCGGCAGCGACGGCGAUGCAGGCAGUCGGGCAGAGGGGCGCGUGAAGGUGCGGGCGGCUUCGGGGAGCCGCGGCCAGGGAAGGAGUGGAGCUGAGCGGUGGCACCGGUGANNNNNNNNNNNNNNNNNNNNNNNNNNNNNNNNNNNNNNNNNNNNNNNNNNNNNNNNNNNNNNNNNNNNNNNNNNNNNNNNNNNNNNNNNNNNNNNNNNNNNNNNNNNNNNNNNNNNNNNNNNNNNNNNNNNNNNNNNNNNNNNNNNNNNNNNNNNNNNNNNNNNNNNNNNNNNNNNNNNNNNNNNNNNNNNNNNNNNNNNNNNNNNNNNNNNNNNNNNNNNNNNNNNNNNNNNNNNNNNNNNNNNNNNNNNNNNNNNNNNNNNNNNNNNNNNNNNNNNNNNNNNNNNNNNNNNNNNNNNNNNNNNNNNNNNNNNNNNNNNNNNNNNNNNNNNNNNNNNNNNNNNNNNNNNNNNNNNNNNNNNNNNNNNNNNNNNNNNNNNNNNNNNNNNNNNNNNNNNNNNNNNNNNNNNNNNNNNNNNNNNNNNNNNNNNNNNNNNNNNNNNNNNNNNNNNNNNNNNNNNNNNNNNNNNNNNNNNNNNNNNUGGGGACGAUGCGGACGUAGGGGAGGCAGUCCGGCGGGGAGGACCAGCGAGCGUUGGGGCUCCGGCGUGGGCGUCGACGAAGAGGACGGCGUCGAGCAGCGCCAGGCGGCGUCCAGAUCGAGCGGGGGGCGCAUGAGCCCCGAUAUGAUCUGGAUCGGGGGGAAAGGGAGAGGGAGAAGUGGGGAUCGUGGGAGAGGAGUGGGGGGAGUGGUUGACCCGAUCUAGGUCAUGGGGGAAGUGCGCGUUAAAGGGGGCGCCGGCUGGGCCGGCCUGGCUUGCCCAGUGGCGAGCUGGGCCGAGGCCCAGCGGCGGGCAUUCUUUGUUUUAAUUUAAUUUAUUUUUUUUGGUUUGGUUUGUUUUGUUUUGUCUUUUCUUAUUCUUUUCUGUUUUCUUUUAACCUUUAUUAGAUUUCAGUUUAAAUAAAGUGCAAUAAUAGUCCCUAAAUUAGUAUUACUAAAUAAGCCACUGCCACAAACAAUUUAGCACAUUUUAGAAAGUAGUUUGUAUUUGUUUAUUAAUUUACGAGCAUUUAAUUAAUAGUUUUACCACUAUUUUAUUUAUUAUAGUGCAUCUAACUACUUUAUAACAGUGUGAUUUCUCCACCAAUAUUUAUUAUGAAUUACUUGCAACAUUUAGAACAUUUUAGUUUUGACUUUUGAAAACUUUUCUAGUUUGACUUUAUUUCAAAUUUGAAUUUGAACGAGUUUUGAAUCAUCGCGAGAUUAUCAACAGUAAUCAUGGUGACGUGGCAUCAUUAGUAGAGGGUUACUGUAUCUUAACUAUCCGGGCGUCACACACCCCUUGGAGACACAUCAAUUGUUCCAAGCCGUGUGCGGCGUCUCUCUCCACGGUUUACUCCUCCGGUCAUAUUCACGUAGUGCUUAGGCGAAGCCAUGCGCGGAUCACAUCACCAUCACCGUCACCACGCCGUCGUGCUGACGAAACUCUCCCUCGACCCUCUGCUGGAUCAAGAGUUCGAGGGACGUCAUUGAGCUAAACGUGUGCUGAACUCGGAGGUGCCGUACCUUCGGUACUUGAUCGGUUGGAUCGCGAAGACGUUUGACUACAUCAACCGCGUUAUACUAACGCUUCCGCUUUCGGUCUACGAGGGUACGUGGACACACUCUCCCCCUCUCGUUGCUAUGCAUCUCCUAGAUAGAUCUUGCGUGAUCUUAGGAAUUUUUUUGAAAUUGCAUGCUACGUUCCCCAACAAUGACCUGGUCCAACUGAGGUUCGGUGGUUUCCCACCGUAGUCCAUAAGGUUAAGAACCCGACAAUGGUUGGCAUAGAUGGGCACCUGCAUGUGUCGGACCAAGGCCAAGUUGGCCAAGCCACUCGUGAAAGGACCACGAUGUCGCCUAGAGGGGGUGAAUAGGCGUUUUAAAAACUUCAACGAAUUUGGCUUAAUCGUAACACGGAAAUAAACUAAGAGGAUAUUUUUCAAGCACAAAUCCUAAAUACACUAGGCUCAAGUAAGUGCACCAACAACAUAAUCUAAACAAGAUGAGCACAACAAGGAUACUCACUAGCACAAGUAAGUUACACAAACUUACUUGAGAAGUAUCACAUGAUAUGUAAGUGUAUGACACAAGUUAGCAAUUCACACUAAACAUAAUAUAUAUCAUUAGUAGCAAGUAUGAAUUGUGGGAUAUAAAGUGUAGGCCUAAAUAAUCUCUACAAAUAGCCAACACAAUAUAAUAAGGACAACAAUAUGUAGUGAAUGCAAGGUCAAGAGACCAAAGUAAACCACAAGUAGUGGCUAGGGUUAGAGAUAACCGAAGACACGGAGACGAGGAUGUAUCCCGAUGUUCACUUCCUUGGAGGGAAGCUAGUCACCGUUAGAGAGGUGGAUGUUACCAAGAAGGCACACCAAUGCCACAAAUGCUCACCAUAUUCUCCCUUUGAGACAACACCACGAAGACGGUUCUCAACCACUAGUGGUAGACCAUGAGGUGGCCUCCAAACCUUCACAAACUUUCCAGGGGACAAAUCAAGUUGAUUCCUCACCAGAGCACUCCUACCGCCUAGGAGUCUCCAACCUCCAAGAGUAACAAGAUCAAGUGGGGAAUGCUCAAGACUUGCUCAAAUCACAAUUUGCUUCGGUCAAAAGAGAUAGGAGGAGUGGGUGUAUGCUUGGAUGAAAUCUCUCUCAAGAACUCUCACAAAUCUCUUCGAGGUCUAGCACGAGAAGGCUCAAAUCCCUCUAUCUCAAAUCCCACCAAAAACAAGUAACGAUAUGGAGGGAUGGGCGAGGAGAGGAACAAUGGCGGAGGUCAACAAAUGAACCCUGGAUCCAUCGGAUAGUUUUCCCCCAAGUGGAUUGGAGUUUUGAGACUUGGAGGAGGAGGAUAGAGCUCAAAAGAAUGGGGAAAUCUCAGAUCCAAAAGUUCUGCCUCCUUGGGGAAGAAGGGUACCUUAUAUAGUGCCCCACCAAAUCUGCCCAUUGUGCUCAGACAAAAGUGCCCAGAACUUCUAGACCCCGGAACCUCCGGAAGGCCCGGAACUUCUGGGCUCCCUUCGGACAGAUGUAUGGAAACUUUCGGUUUAGCUCAGAACUUUUCCCAGAACCUACCCGGAACUUCUGGGCUGCCCGGAACUUCCGUCCCCACAGAAAAUAGCGAGCAUACCGAAAGUAAAUAUGCAUAACUUUUUCAUCCGAACUCCGAUUUGAUGAUCUUGUGCUCGUUUUGUAGCUAUUGAAAAGCUUCAGGUCCUCACAUAAAUAACCACCCAAUAUGAAACAAAAUGGAUGGUGGCAUCAAUGAAAAGGUUUGAUCAUAGGAUUUGGGGAAUCCUAAUUGUCUUUGGAUUUUACUGUGGAGUAUAUGAUAGGUGUGGAAUUGUGUAUAGAAGAUGUUGACUUGAGCAAAUCCAUCAUGAACCCCUUUGAUCCCCUCUUAAUUGUGCGGGAUCCCUAUAACUCAAGUAUCAUAAAAUAGCUACACUAGAUAGCCUCUGAAAAAUCAUUCUUGGGCGUAUAUCUUUUUCAAUGGUCGUUGAUCCAUGCAAGUACAACCAAAGGAACUAAUACCUACUUGAGCAUUCCACUUGAGCUUGAUGUUGAAUUUUAUCCUUGGCUCAAGAUGGAGGCAUAACCUUGAUCAUGACAUUUGGUGAAGACUUCAAAUAGCUCCCCCAUAAGCCAAGCGGGGAUCAUUUCAUUGUAUUCUAUCUUCACAUAUCCAUUGUGUGAUCAUCCACAAGCUUCAAGCAUGUAAUCCUUCCGGAUGCUUAUCUUGAGCUUGCCCUUCUCAACCAUGAUCAUCGUCACUUCAUGUCAUACUCUCAUGGACAGUUGGAAUAUUUCUCUUGAUGCAAGCCCAUGAGAAUCACCUAACCAAUGUAGAUAUAGAAAACACAUAGUAUGGGUUAGUACACAAAGUGUAGUUGACAAUUACUUGCCAUACCACAAGAUCCCAUGUGGUACAUCAUUUGCGCUUGUGUGAUGACCAUAUUUGAGUUCAAGCUUUGAUCUUCAUCUUGAUCACAUUUAUCUUUACUCCAUGACCUAUUGAUCUCUUUACUAUGCUUCAUUGCUUCAAGACAUGAUCACUAAUAUCUUAAUUCACCAUGACCACAUCAAGUUACUCCAUGACCUAUUGAUCUCUUCACUAUGCUUCAUUGCUUCAAGACAUGAUCACUAAUAUCUCAAUUCACCAUGACCAUAUCAAGUUACUCCAUGAAUUUCAUAUUGGACAUCAUUUGCUUGUUUUCAUGCUCCAGCAUAGCAUCCUGAGAGACACAAUGAAUUCUUCACUUGAAUUACUUGCUUCAAGACAUAAUCAUUCAUGACUCAACAUAUGAGCUCAACAUGAUCCUAUCUUCAAGCAUAUGUAGAAUUCUUCUCUUUAAUCAUUCUCUCAAGAUCUUGGUCCAUCUUGGUUCAAUCCAUAACUCUAAGCAUGAGAACAUCAGAGAUCCUUAAUGAACUCCAUAUAGAUCACAUCUUGUUUGUCGCACGAAAUUCAUCUUGAUCAUAUUUGAUUCAGUCAUUGAGCUCAAUCUUGAUGCACAACUAUAUGUAUAUGGCAUCCAUUCUGAAUCCAUUUGAUCUCCUUCUUUUAUCACCAUGGAACAAACAUCCUUCAAUUCAUCCAAUAUUAUUCAUGCAUUGCAAAAGGAACUUUCCUUCAAAUGUAUAAAUCAAUGCAAGCAUUAGCCCAUUAGGAUUGUCAUCGAUUACCAAAACCACACAUGGGGACUUGAUGACCCACAAGUAUAGGGGAUCAAUCGUAGUCCUUUCGAUAAGUAAGAGUGUCGAACCCAACGGGGAGCAGAAGGAAAUGACAAGUGGUUUUCAGCAAGGUAAUUUUCUGCAAGCACUAAAAUUGUCGGUAACAAAUAGUUUAAUACUAAGAUAUUUGGUAACGAGCAAGUAACGGUAACGGUAAAUAAAGUGCAUUAAAGUAGCCCAAUCCUUUUGUGCAAAGGACAGGCCAAAACAACUUCUUAUAAUGAGCAAAGCGUUCUUGAGGGUACGCAGGAAUUUCAUCUAGUCACUUUCAUCAUGUUGAUUCGAUUCGUGUUCGCUACUUUGAUAAUUUGAUAUGUGGGUGGACUAGUGCUUAGGUGUUGUUCUUACUUGAACAAACCUCCUACUUAUGAUUAACUGUAAGUGCCUCUAGUGCCCCUUAGUGAUUUUGGUGUAUUGAAGACUUAUAGGUUAAGGGACUAAUGUGUUUAUGAGUGUACACGGGUCUAUAAGUCUAUGAGGAGUUUGAUAUUUACAGAGAAAGUCGACCCCUAAAAAUGAAGUUCUUCGACUGAAGACUUUGGAUUUCUGAAGACUUUCUAAAGACUUUGAAAGUGAAGAAAUUGGUGUGACCUUGAAGACUUGGUAUUCAUUCGAGGAACAUGAAGCGUGAAGACUUCUAUUUUCGUAGUUUCAUUUUCUCUUUCUUGAGUCAUAGGAAACACGGUACUGUUAAAGGGGGUUGAGGAAAUACUAAGAAAAAAUUUCCAUGUGAUGCUCAACUAAAAAUCCUACACCUACCAAUCCCUUCGAGUGAAGCCAUUGGAAAUCUCAUACAGUUCAGUCAUAUUCUUCAGUGACAGAGACUAAGUUCUUCUGGUCUCUGAGGCAUUUGUCCUGACUGAGGAGUUAGGAAUUCGCCAGUGCGGAUUGCCUACACAGUGAGGAACAUGAUAGCCCUGAGGAAUUUGAGCCUCAAAUUUCCGACCGUUGCUGUGCUACGCGCCAGCUGUCCCAAAAUAUCUACCCACCUAACGGUCAUAUCAUUGAAGGGCAUUUAAGUCUUAUCAUGUCGGGAUGCUCCCUAGGCUAUAAAUAGCCGCCCCCUACAACCACUAUCUGGUUGGCUGCUCCGAGAGAAACUGACACUUGUCAUUUGAGAGCAUCCCAUCCUCCGAGGACUUUGAGCGAAAAUCAUCGAGUGAGGAAAAGCCAAACCCAAACACCUACAAACCCAAAGUGAUUGAGCAUCACCGUAGAGAUUGAUCCUGCGUGGAUCCGACGGUUGUUACCUUUGAAGAUCGUGCUUCUUCCAGACGGUUAGGCGUCAUGGUCUAGAGCAUCCAAGAGGAAUUGUGGAUAGCCGAGUGACCGAGUCUGUGAAGGUUUGGAAGUCACCUGAAGACUUACCACGAGUGAUUGGGCGAGGUCUGUGUGACCUUAGCUCAAGGAGAAUACGGUGAGGACUGUGUGUCCUCAGGUUUAAAUACCUACCGCUCCAACCAGAUGUACAACUGAGACAGCAGUUAGAACUGGUCUACCAAAUCAUUGUCUUCACCAAGCUUACUGGUUCUAUUUCCUCAACUCUUUCAUUUCCUCAUUAUAGUUGUUGUGUGCUUGUUCAUAUUUGUUUAAAGACUUUGACUGAAGACUUUCUCAAUUUCCUCAGUUCAAUUUCUUCAGUCUGUUUGUCUUCAUCCUGUGAUUACGCUUUCUGUACUCUGUGCUUGUCUUCAUUUAAUCAUGAUGACCAUGCUUGUGUUCUGUUAUGUUUACUUUUGAGUACUUAUUCCGCUGCUAGUAGUUCUUCGCUAAGGAAUUUCCUCACCCGCAAAUUCCUCAGUGAAGAAUUCAUAAAAAUCGCCUAUUCACCCCCCUCUAGUCGAUAUAACGCACUUUCAAUUGGUAUCAGAGCAAGGUACUCCCUUGUUCUAUAUGAUUUUGGUUUAACCACCUGGAGUUUUAGUUAUGUCGACCACAGGUAUGAUCAAGGUCUCUGCUGGGUGUCCUACCUUCGAUGGGACGGACUACCCCUACUAGAAGAAUAAGAUGCGAAUGCAUCUUGAGCCAAUUGAUAAUGAUCUCUGGUAUGUUGUGGAAAAUGGUGUUCCCUUAGUCACACCUUCUCUGAAUGCUGCUGAUGUGAAGAGAUUCAAGCAACCCGACUCUCAAGCGAAGAAUAUCAUAUGUGGCCAUCCGAGCAAAGGACAGUAUGGAAGAGUGAGUGCUUUGGAAACUGCUAAGCUUAUCUGGGAUAGGCUGUCCAAAGUCAAUGAAGGAGUCUCAACACAGCGUGACUCUCGAAUUGAUGUUCUUCGCAAUCUCUUCAACCGCUUCAAAAGACUCGACAAUGAAAACGUUCAACAAACCUUCGAUCGCCUCACUGACAUCUCAAAUGAGCUUCAAGAACUUGGUGCCACUGACAUCACCGACCAUGAGGUGGUGAAGAAAUUGGUGAGAUCGCUUGAUUCCUCAUUUGAUACUCUGGCACUGAUGAUACAAGAGCGUGCUGACUACAAGUCACUUGAUCCCGCUGAUAUCCUCGAAAGGCUAAAUACUCAUGAGUUCCAGCUUGCUGAAAAGAGAGAUCUCUAUGGUUCGAGCUAUGGCAGAUCACGUGCACUGAAGGCCAAGGCAGUUUCUGAGUCUGAAGAUGAAGAUUCUGGCAGCAGCCUUGGUGAUCCUGAAGAACUGAGCCAUGAACUAGCACUGCUCGUGAAGAAAUUCCAGAAGUUCUCAAGACGUGGUCGCUUUGGAAAACCCUCAAGGAGCAAUGAUUCCUCAUCCAGUGACUACAAGAAGAGGCUUUUCCACAGAUGCAAGAAACCUGGUCAGUACAUUCAAGAUUGUCCUCAGUGGGAAAAGGAAUCAAAGAAGAAGAAAUACAAGGAUUAUAGUUCUGAUGAUGCGAAGAAGAAGAAGAAAUCUUCAAAGUCUUCAUCAUCAAAAUCCUCAAAAUCUUCAUCUCACAAGAAGAGCAGCUCCAAGAAGGCUCGGGCAUUCAUUGGCAAGGAAAUGGACUCUGAGGCUGAAUCUGAGGAACAUGAGGAAGAGGAGGCAUCUGAGGAGUCCGAGUCCGGUGUGGCGAGCCUAGCCCUCGCUACUGCAUUCGUCAGCAAGUCUAUCUUCAACUCUAAAGAAAAUGACCUCACCAACAAGGCUGAUGAAGGCAAUGAUGACUAUGCUCCCACCUAUUGCUUCAUGGCAAAGGGUGCCAAGGUACUCAAAUAUACCUCCUCUGAAUCAAGUGAGAAUGAAUCUGAUGAAAACCUCAAGCCCAGCUACUCUAAACUUGCUAAGAUUGCUGUGAAACAACAAAAGGCUUUUGAAAAGGUUCAAAACAUGCUAGACAAAAGUGAUGAUAUGUUGGGUGAAGAAAUGGAUCGCACUAACACCUUGACUGAAAAUCUUCAGAGACUUCAGUCUAGGUUUGACAACCUUCAAGGUCAUCAUAACACUCUCUUAUCUGAUCAUGAGAAGCUUCCUUAUGAAUUUCUUCAGAGAAAGCAAGAUCUUGAGAAGCUAAGAGUGAGUUAUGAAGAUCUUCAGAAGGAGCGCGAUUCAUUACUUGCUCAACAAAUCAGCGCUGCCCAGGAAGAAUUUGUUCCUCCAUGUUUGAAAUGCAUUGAACGUGAAUCUGCUAAUUCUUCACCUGAAUGUUCAAAUGCUUCUAAUGCUACAAAUUCUUCAACUGUCUCUGUUAUCACUAAUUCCUCAUUUGAGGACAUUGCUAGUAUCACUGAUGAUGCAGGAUUGAAGGAAUUGUACAUGACAGGCAUGUAUAAAAGCCUCAAAGGGCAUCAGACUCUUUGUGAUGUGCUUAAAAAGCAAAUCCACAAUAGGAACCCUAGGAAAGAGGGUAUUGCCUUUGAGAGGAAACUCAAUGCUGAUGGUACUUAUUGGAAGCCUGAGCAGUACCCCAAAACUUCAUGGGUUGCUGCAAAGGGACCUCCAGUUGAUCCAUCUAAUCUAUCUGGCUUUACAUGUGAAUCUCCUCAUUCUUCUGAUGAGUCAUUUAACUCCAACUAUUAACUGUUCAAAAAUCAGAAUGGUGAAGUAUUUGCUAGAUAUGUUGGCACUAACUACAGGAACGGUUCCCCUAUGAAGAAAAUCUGGGUUCCCAAAAGGUGCCUUGAAAGUCUUCAGGUGAAUGUCCUCAUGACACCACCUGUGAAGAAUAGGAACCCCAGAUCAAAUUCUUCAUAUGGAUCCAAGUCCUCAUACGGACCAAAUUCCUCACGUGGAUCAUAUUCCUCAAAAGGAUCAAAGUCCUCAUAUGAAUAUCAUCGUGCUAACAACUCUGUUUCGCAGGGAAGAGCUAAGGGCUAUGAAUAUGAGCAUUAUUCUUCUAACAAUUAUGUUCAUAAGUCCUCAAAGAAUUUCUCUGCUUAUUCAUAUGCUUAUCCUAGCUCCUCUUAUGUGAAACGAAAUGGACUGGCUUCUAUGCUGCCUUUCUCGUAUGGAGCUCGCAGAGUGAUGAACUCUUUGCCACCCCUUCAGAUGUGGGUGGUGAAGAAAAAGAACUAACCUCUUAUGCAGGGUCAGGUCUCCAGACGUGCGUAAACGUCUGAAGAAUUUGCUGGAGACCUGAGACUGCCUGAAAGGACGCGGGCUAAUCAUGAAGAAAUGAACUUUCAUUUCUCACGUCCUCAUACUGCUUUAUCUGUUCUAUUGCUUGAUGAAAUUGAUCUGAUGAAUUGAUGUCAUAUUCUUCACUGAUGAAGUAUAUGAGUUCGUAAGUUGCACUAAUUCAUCUGCAGGAUGAUCAACCCAAAGCCACUGAGUGGGUCCUCGAUAGUGCAUGCACAAAUCACAUGACUGGUGACAAGAAUCUAUUGAUGGAUGCUCCCUUAUCUCCAUCGCAUCUGAAGCAUAUCAUCUUCGCUGACAAAGGCAAAAGUCAGGUAUUGGGCCUAGGUAAGGUUGCGAUCUCAAAGGAUCGACACAUGGACAAAGUCAUGCUUGUCGAGUCCUUAGGAUACAACCUCAUGUCUGUCUCAAUGCUUUGCGAUCUUGAUAUGGGUUUUGUCUUUGGCAAGUAUCGUUGUGUUGUGAUCAUGGAAGCUGACAACUCCAAAGCCUUCGAAGGCUUUAGGAGAGGAGACUUGUAUAUUGUUGAUUUCUCUACAGGACCACAACCAGCCGUGUGCCUACUUGCAAAAGCUUCAGAAGUCUGGCUAUGGCAUCGACGACUUGGUCAUUCAGGCAUGAGGAAUUUGCACACGCUUGCAAAGAAGAAGCAUGUCAUUGGCAUUGAGAAUGUGAAAUUCCUCAAGGAUCACUUAUGCGGAGCCUGUGAAGCUGGGAAGAUGACAAAGGCUAAGCAUCCAGCGAAGACUAUCAUGACCACUACUCGACCAUUUGAAUUGCUUCACAUGGAUCUCUUCGGUCCUAACCAUUAUUCCGCAGUUUCAAAUGAUGCAUCUCAAUAUGGCUUUGUUAUUGUUGAUGAUUACUCUCGUUACACAUGGGUACACAUUGUUACUUACAAACAUGAAGUGCAGGAAGUCUUCAAACGAUUUCCUUGAGGGCUUCAACCAACUUUGGUGUGAAGAUCACGCACAUCAGAAGUGACAAUGGAACUGAGUUCAAGAAUUCUGGUCUUGAUGACUAUCUUGAUGAACUUGGUAUUACUCAUGAGUUAUCUGCUCCUUAUACUCCUCAGCAGAAUGGCGUCGCGGAGCACAAGAACAGGACUCUUGCUGAGAUGGCUCGCACUAUGCUUGAUGAAUACAAAAUGCCUCGUCGUUUCUGGAUUGAUGCAAUUGAUACUGCGUGCCACAUCAUCAACAGAGUAUAUCUUCACAAAUUCUUCAAGAAGACUGCCUAUGAACUCCUCACUGACAAGAAACCCAAUGUGAGUUAUUUCAAAGUCUUCGGUGCUAAAUGCUGGAUUAGAGAUCCUCAUCACAACUCUAAAUUUGCACCAAAAGCACAUGAAGGUUUCAUGCUUGGUUACGGAAAGGACUCGCACACCUCCAGAGUCUUCAACAACGUUCUUCACAAGGUUGUUGAAACUGUAGAUGUGCGGUUUGAUGAAACUAAUGGCUUGCAAAGAGAGCACCUACCUUCUGUGAUAGAUGAACCAGCACCUAAGGAAUCUACCAAAUUCAAGGCUACUGAGGAUGUCAUUCCUACCGAAGAAUCUGCUGAAGAAUUCAUUCCAGAACGUGAAGAACGUUGAGCUGAGGCACGUGAAGAAAAUUGUGCUGAAGAAAAUGCUGAUCAAAUUCCUCGACGACAACCACCUCAUCCUCGCGUUGCAAAAGAAGUGCAAAUUGAGAAGAUCAUCGAUGACAUUGAAGCACCAGGUCCUCUCAUAUGCUCAAGAGCUUCACAUUUAUCUAACUUUUGUGGGCACUUUGCUUUUGUCUCUAUCACAGAGCCCGCUAAGGUAGAUGAAGCAUUUCUGGAGCCUGAGUGGAUUCAGGCCAUGCAAGAAGAAUUACAUCAGUUCGAGCUCAACAACGUCUGGGAACUGGUCAAAUGUCCAGAUCCUCGCAAGCACAAUAUCAUUAGCACAAAGUGGAUCUACCGCAACAAGCAAGAUGAAAAUGGCCUUGUGGUGAGGAAUAAGGCACGGCUUGUAGCUCAAGGCUACACACUGGUUGAAGGAAUUGAUUUUGAUGAAACUUUUGCACCUGUUGCUAGACUUGAGGCUAUUCGCAUAUUACUUGCUUAUGCUAACCAUCAUGAUAUCACUCUAUAUCAAAUGGAUGUGAAAAGUGCAUUCCUCAAUGGUAAGCUUGAGGAAGAAGUAUAUGUUGCUCAACCCCCAGGAUUUGAAGAUCCAAAGCAUCCUGACAAAGUCUUCAGACUCAAUAAGGCCCUCUAUGGCCUCAAGCAGGCCCCUCGAGCGUGGUAUGAUACUUUGAAGGAAUUCCUCAUGAAGAAAGGCUUCAAACCCGGUUCACUCGACCCUACUCUUUUCACUAAAUCUUAUGAUCGUGAACUGUUUGUGUGCCAAAUAUAUGUUGAUGAUAUUAUCUUUGGCUGUACUGACCAACGUUACACUGACGAAUUUGGUUAUAUGAUGAGAGAGGAAUAUGAAAUGUCUAUGAUGGGAGAGUUGAAAUUCUUCUUAGGUCUUCAAAUUCGUCAACGGCGCAAUGGCAUAUUCAUAUCUCAGGAGAAAUACCUCAAGGAUGUAUUGAGGAAAUUCGGCAUGCAAGAUUGCAAAGGCGUCAAAAUUCCUAUGCCCACAAAUGGCCAUCUAUGCACUGAUGAAAAUGGUAUUGACUUUGAUCAAAAGGUAUACCGCUCCAUGAUUGGUUCUUUAUUGUACUUAUGUGCAUCUAGGCUAGAUAUUAUGCUUAGUGUUUGGAUGUGUGCCCGAUUUCAAGCUACACCGAAGGAAUCACACCAUAAGGCUGUGAAGCAUAUUCUUCGAUAUCUAGCUCACACACCAACACUUGGAUUAUGGUACCCCAAGGGCUCGGCUUUUGAUCUCAUUGGAUAUUCUGACUAUGCUGGUGAUCGUGUGGACCGCAAGUCAACAUCUGGCACAUGCCAUUUCCUCGGAAGAUCCUUGGUCUGUUGGUCCUCUAAGAAACAGACUACGUAUCACUGUCUACUGCUGAAGCUGAGUACAUUGCUGAUGGUUCUUGCUGUGCUCAAUUGCUGUGGAUGAAGCAAACUCUCAAGGACUAUGGCGUCAACGUGAAGAAUGUGCCUCUCUUCUGUGACAAUGAGAGUGCCAUCAAGAUUGCUCACAACCUAGUUCAGCACUCGAAGACAAAGCACAUUCAGAUUCGUCAUCAUUUUCUUCGUGAUCAUGUGUUGAAGGGCGACAUUUCUAUUGAGCAUGUGAAGACUGAAGAACAGCUAGCCGAUAUCUUCACAAAGCCCUUGGAUGAGAAGAGAUUUAGCAAGUUGUGGUGUGAGCUAAAUAUCUUAGAAUCUUCGAAUGUUCUUUGAAAAGGACACUCAUCCUAACACUUAUGCAAAAAUUGCUGACUUAGAUGUGCAACACAUGAAGAAACGUUUUUCUUCAAUCAAUGAAGACUAACGCUCUAAGUGUGAAGAAAUUAACGAAGAAUUUGAUUCUCAUAGCCCUACGUCAAUUGUACGCGGUGUCUGAAAUCAUCAUUCUUAUACGGUGGGUCACGCCACCACCAAAUGUUGAAAAUCUUAAAUUUGAGUUUUUCCUCAGUUUUUGAAAUUCCUCAGUUGUUCAUAUUCUUCAACUUUGCAUUGUCUUCACCUUUUCCGUCGAUUUUCUUCAUUGGCUAUAUAUAUAUAUGAGUUUAUGUCCUCUACAGCAUUCACUUAUUGCUAUUUCUUCAAGUUGUUUUUUCUGCUAAGUGAAUGUGAUCGGACCCUUCCCCCUCUAUGCUAAACUCAACCCAAUCUAUUCACAAAUUCUUCAUGUGCAUUCUAUUUGAAACUCGUUCAAAAUCUUCACUGUGUCCUUGUCAGCUGAAGAAUUUGCGAACGGAACUUUUAACUUAUCCUGUCUAAAUUUUUGGCUUUGCCGCUCAAACCGUUCUGCAUCCCACGAAAACACUUAUCUAUUCACCCACGAUCUCACACGAUCUCCACUUCUCAGUACGUGGGUGACACAUGUCAAGCGAAUGAGAAGGGUCAGGGGCACGUUCGUCCAAAUUCUUCGGGCGAACAGUCUUUCACCGUGGCUAUAAAUACCCCUCCCCUUCCUCACUUCCCCUUUACUCCGCUCGACCUUACUCCAGCUCGAGCUUCUCAAACCCUAGCGCCGCCGCUACUUCAUCGUCACCGGUGAGGAAGAGCUUCACUGCCUCGACCUCGUCGCCGCCGUACUCGCGCCGGCCGCAGAUUUCUUCCCUCCGCCGCCGCCGUAGCUGUCUUCCUCAGCCAAGUUAGGACGUGGAAGAUCUGAACUAACGAACCUCACAUCUACACCUCUUAGUUCGUCGUGUUCUUCGUCCAGGGUAAUUAAAAGUUACUUUUACUACCCUUUUUGAUUCAAAUGAUUUAUACAAAAUCUUCAAAGGUGUUUACUCUUCAAAUUCUUCACACACUAAACACCUCACAUGUCAUCUGUUCUUGAUUCAUUUCUCUAAGCUAUAUUUUUCUUUAAGAUUCCUCAAUUGUGUGGAUUUCUGAUCUGUACAACUCUGGAACCUAAGACAAAGAACGCUUAGUGAAAUUCUUCAAGACUCAUCUGGUCAAAUUAUUCAAACUUGUUCUUUUUGAAAAACCUCUGAGAACGCAUAUGACCUCUCCAAAUUCCUCGCAACUAUACUCUGUUCACAAGUACUCAUGUCCACUACUGAAUCACUAGGUUCUCAUCAACUUAACUCAUUUGUAGCAUUCCUCGAAGAAAAGUUGCAUACAUCUUCAGAGAAUUCCAUUGUUCAAAUUCCUCAUCUGAAGAAAAUGGCUGAUGGAAAGAAGCCACAGAAGGGAGGAAAGAGGCCCCAGAUCAAUACUGCGUUUGAAAUCCCUGAUGACAUAUAUAAGGGUUACUACACUCCUGAUGAGGCCAAGUUUGGAAAAGAGGACAAAAAUCAGUGCAAGGUGCGCAUCCAAAGGAUAGAGAGGAGAUGGGCAAGAGAGUGGAGGGAGUACAGGUAUGUUACUCCCAAAUACAUGAAGAAAUUCGCUCUAAAUCCUCCAUGCCCAAGACCUCCAUUGGCACCUGGCCAAGAAGCAGAUCCCACUAGCCUCAAGCGCGGUGAGGACUAUCUGAUGAAUGGGCCAAGUGCCAGGCCAAGCUGGCUAGACAAGCCAGAGAAGCAGUGAGGAAAUUCAACGAGGACUCUGCUGCCGCUGCUGCCUCUGCCGUCAAGCCGAAGAAGGCCAUGGCAAAGAAGCCUGCUUAUAAGCCAAGUGCUUCAUCUUCAAUGCCCUCACGACCAAGUUCCUCAGCAAUGCCCUCACGGCCAGAUUCCUCAAAGCCCUCACAGCCAAAUCCUCAAACUGCUCCUGCUCCUCCAAAGUCCUCAGCUCCUCCGCCAAAGUCUUCGGCUGCUCCGACCAAAUCCUCAGCACCUGUGCAUCUCGCCACGUGCCAAAGGACUGCAGGCAUAUCUAUUGCCUCAGGAGCCUCUGCAAUUUCCUCAGCUGCUCCAAGUUCCUCAGCUGGCCCCUCUCUGCUAAAGAAAAAGACCACUGCCGGACGAGGUCCUCGACCAAGUCCUCACAAGAAGCAGGCCGCCUUCCACGUGCCCUCUGAUGAUGAUGAGGCUGCUGAUGAUGAACUAGCUGAAAUCAUCAGAGACAGACAAGUCAAGGCCGCUAGAUCCAAAGGAAGCAAUGUGCCGCUACUUUUGGAUCCGAAGCUGAUCCUAGACUACAUCGAUCUGUGGCACAAAGAUCCCAACAGUCCUUUGCCGGAGAUGAACCUCACUCCAGGUCAAAGUCAUGUUCUGACUGCCUUCAUUGAAGAAGAAAAAUGGAAAUUUGAGAAGGCUGGGCAGCUGAAGAAAGCUCAGUACAGGAAGGAGCGCUUCCUGAAGAAAAACGUUGUCUCUAUGACAACUGAAGAACUAGUGAAGAUCCAGGCUGAAAUCAAAGGCCUCAGCAAUGACUUCAAUGCUUACUAUGCUGAUUGGCAAGGAGCCAAGGUCAGGUUUGUAAAACUGACUGAGAAAUUCACUUCAAAGGUUGCAGCUCCAUCGCAACCAGAAAUUCCUCAAGCCGAAGCAUCUGCUCAACCAACAGAAGAGCAUGCCAGCACCGCUGAUGAAAAUCAGGCUGUUGAAGAAAAUGUGAGUUCCAGGGAUGAUGACUGCAUUCCAGCCGCUGAAGUCAGGGCAACUGCAUCAGUUGUGCCUGAAGAAAUUCAACCAAAUUCCUCUGCUCCUCCUGCGCCUACCCCAAUUCCGAUCCUUCCAUCUGCAUCAGAUGUGAAGAAGACCAAGGCUGCAGAGCGUGCAGCGGUGAGGAAGAGGAAAGCAUCAGCUUCAUCAGAUUCUUCAGCUCCGAAGAAGAUGAAGAAAUUGACGUGCUCUUUUGACAACCCAAUUGAUGCUGUUCCUAUCUCAACCAUGCCAUCAAAGGACCUUGUUCCUUUUGAUGAAGACUAUGUGAUUCCAAGUGGAUCUGAUGAAGACAUUCCCUCUGCUGCUUCCUCAGAGCAGAUGGAUGAAGAAAUUGAAGCGGACACAAUCCCUUCAACUCCAAUUGUCUCCUUGCCCAUGCCUCAGUUUAUUGCUGAAGAGGCCGGCGUUGAGGAAUUGGAUGAUCAAAAUUCUGACGUGGACAUUGGGAGCACUACUCCAUUGAUGAAUGAUGAUUUUUGGGAUAGUCAGCAUGCCAACUCUCCUCUAUUCACCCCAUUGCAGCAAAUCCCUCAGUCCCCAGCACAUACUGUUCCAUUGGGAUCUAAAGAAACUCACCCCACUCCAUCUGUACAUGAAGAAAUUCCAGCCACUAGUGCUGAAGAAACUGCUGCUGCUGAAUCACUUAAGACACAGACUGCCACUAAAGAUGAACCAGAAAUUCCUCAGCCUGAAGAACCUGAGAUUGCGAUUCCUGAGGUUGUGAUGCAACUUACUGACACUCCUCAAUGCAAGCCAAAGGAUCCAUUCUCAAGGAAGAAAAAAAAAUUCAAGAUUGAUGAUUUCUUCGGCGAGCACGUAUUUUUCACUGAUUACAACCCCUAUGACUCUGCUCGCAUUAGGAAGAGGCGUUUCUGGACUGCCAGCCAGACAAAUUUUUAUUCCUCAGUGCUGUUCAACAAAGACAAAGUCUUCGAUCAUGAGCACAUUCCUCACGUGGAUAUGGAAUCUCUGCCGUGCUUCGUGCCAGUCCUCAGUGUUCUUCACGACGCUGGACUGUUAAAUUUCUGCACUGAUAUAUGUGAUUGGAAUGAAGAACUCAUUCUUCAAUUUUAUGCAACGCUGCACAUCACCGGAGACUCUGAAGAUGUGAAUUCAUGGGUGCUGGACUAGAUGACUGAAAACACUCACUACAAGGCACCAGCUACUGAAUUGCUUCGUGCUUUGCCUCUCAGUCCUCCCCUUGAAGCUGCUCGUUGCAUGUACCAAGAGCCUGAGCUUACGGACCACUAUAUGCAAGUGCUGAUGAAGCCAUUGAAGCCAGGUCAGGCCCCAAGAACAAAAUUCCUCGUGAAGGAAUUACUAUAUGUGCCUCGGACUGUCUAUCGCAUUCAGACAAAGACGUUGAGUCCUGUCAAGGGACACGACUCGAAUGAAGAAGAAGUCGUUGGCAUCAUGAAGAAUAUGCGUUUCAAUAUCAUGCAUGGCAUUCCCGUCAACUUCCAUGAUUUCUUCAUGAGGACUCUGGCCAAUGUCGCUAUGUCACCAUUUGAGUUGAAGCCUCACUACUAGGAAAAGGGCUAUAGCUGAUAUGGACAUUAAUGGAGCACCACGUAUGUGGUGCGCCACUGCUAAGCAGUGGCGCACCAGAUAUAGGUGCGCCAUUAGUGUCCUCAUUACUAAUGGCGCACCAGACACACGGUGCGCCAUUACUAGCAAUUUUUUUUAUUUUUCCAAAACUAUUAAUGGUGCACCAGGGCACAGUGCGCCAUUACUAGUUUUAACUAGUAAUGGCGCACCACACGCUCUGUGCGCCACUACUGACAAUUUUUUUUACUUUUUUUUCAAAAGUAGUAAUGGCGCACCAGAGUGAAGUGCGCCAUUACUAGUUCAAACUAGUAAUGGCGCACCACAACCACGGUGCGCCACUACUGACAAUUAUAUAUAUAUAUAUAUAUAUAUAUAUUUUACAAAACUAGUAAUGGCGCACCCCUAACUGGUGCGCCAUUAGUAACCCUGGUUACUAAUGGCGCAUGUUUGGGUGGUGCGCCAUUAGUAACCUGAGACCAGCUAGAUAUUUUGGACAACCACCUACCACACUCACUUUCCCCACUUCAUUCUCUCCACCUCCUCCUCCAAGCUUGUCUCGGUUUCCUCCUCCUCCUCACCUCAUUUGCACCAUAGAUUCACCCAAAUUAAGUGGUUAAAUUACCUUUUUUUGAUAGGUAAGUAAGGGGAAAGCUUUCUUUAUGUUGUAGAUCUACUUUUUUCUCCCUCCAACAACGUGCACAUGCACUUUUUAUGGCCUAGCUAGAUCUACGUAUGUUUGUGGUGUUGCAUAUGUUUGUGGUGUUGCAUAUAUGUUCGUGUUUGCAGGUACCGGUAUAUGAAAUGUGAUAGUUGCCAAUAUUUUGCCGGAAUGUUGAUUCAUUUCCGUUUCGGCGAGAAUUUGGCACUAUGCAUUCUUUUUGGUCCUAUUUUUAGGUAAAGUCAUGCCAAAUUUUUUCUUGGUUCUAAAGUAUCGUUUUGCUCUACCCCGCAGGCGACCAUGGUCCGCAUGAUGACCGAAGGCAUCGUGAAUAGGUUUUUGAGCUUCGCGAAGGCCGAGAUGCUUCAAAAGAACGAGACGGAGAUAAGAUGUCCAUGUCGAAGAUGCAAGCUGAAGAGCCUUAUUGCGGACCCGGACUCCGGGCAGUUGCGGGACCACCUGCUCUUGCGUGGUUUCAUGGAUGGCUAUCGGUGGCAAGGUGAUGAAGAUGACUAUGAAGUCGUCCAUGGGGGCCGGGCAAGAAAUGAGGAAGGGCAGCAAGACAACCACCGCGGCGAGGGUGGGCGAGAAGACGAAGAAUCUCCAGGACAUGAUCACGAAGGUGAUGCUGUACACAGUCAUCAUGUAGAAGAUGCAGGACAUGAUGAUGAGGAAGAUCAAGACGAAGGGCAUGAUCAUGAAGAUGAAGAUGCCGGAGCAGACGACGAUGGACCAUCGAUGGGCUGGGUGCAGGACCCUCAUAUUCAAGUGAUGCUUCUCAAGCAGACGGAUAACGCAAGAGCUGCCGCCCGAGAGAAAGCCAAGCUGGAUCAACUGGAGAUAGACGCGGUUACUCCAUUGUAUGAAGGAUGCAGGCCCGAGGAUACCCACCUGAAAGUAACGCUCAUGGCUCUGGAGAUGAAGGUAAAACACAAAAUGACCGAUGCAUGCUUCGACGAGAACAUGUCAUUCUGGCACGAACGUCUUCCCAAGGGGAACAAGUGCCCGACUAGUUUCGAGGAGGCGAAGAAAAUCGUGUGUCCUCUGGAUUUACCGCACGUGAAAUACCAUGUGUGCAUGAACAAUUGCAUCAUUUAUCGGGACAAGCACGCGUAGUCUACCAUAUGUCCGGUGUGCGGCGUCACUCGAUACAAGAAGAGGAAGAAAGCUCCUCGAAAAGUGGUGUGGUACUUUCCGAUCACUCCUCGUCUGCAGCGGUAUUCCGCGGACCCUAAGCUAGCAAAGCUCCUGUGUUGGCACGCGGAUAGGGAGGAGAAGAAGCGAGAAGAUGACAGAAAUGAUCUGGAGAUAAAUAAAAAAGACAAGAUGCUGAGUCACCCUAAGGAUGUGAGCCAGUGGCAAGCGUUGAACUUCAAACACCCAGAAUUUAGGGACGAUCCAAGGAACAUCAUGCUGGGCACGAGCACCGAUGGAGUCAAUCCAUUUGGCAGCCAGAGAAACACACAUAGCACCUGGCCUGUGUUUGUGUGGAUGUACAACCUUCCCCCUGGUUGUGCAUGAAGAGGAAGUACAUUCACAUGAGUAUGCUAAUUGAAGGGCCGAAACAACCAGGGAACGACAUCAAUCUGUAUCUGGGGCUGCUGAAAGAGGAGCUAGACACGCUGUGGAAAAUGCCAGCCAAUACGCGGGACGCCGCAGAGAAAGAAUAUUUCCCUAUGAGAGCCGCACUGCUCACGACGGUGCACGACUAUCUCGGUUAUGGAUAUCUCGCGGGGCAGGUGGUCCACGGAUUUUCUGGAUACGUCAGGUGCAUGGAAGUCACAACGUAUCACCAGCUAGAUAGAGAUCUCGGGUCUUCGAAAACCGUGUCAUGGGACAUCAAAGGUGGCUUCGCGACGAUGACCCAUGGAGAAAACGCAAGGAUCUGUUCGAUGGUGAAACCGAACCCCGAAGACGCCCGCGUACGAGGAGCGGCGAGGAAAUAGACGAGUUGUUGAAAAAUUGGAAAGAUUGCGCACUGCCGGGAAAGAAGCAAAAGGCGCUAGAGCCGGGAAAGAAGCGAAAGGCGCCAGAGCCGCUGCUGAAGGUAUGGAAAACGAGGUCUGUUUUCUGGGACUUGCCGUACUGGAAGAUCCACCGUGUGCCUCACAGCCUUGAUGUCAUGCAUAUCACGAAGAACGUGUGCGAGAGUCUGCUUGGUACCCUGCUCAACAUGCCAGAGAGGACCAAAGAUGGGCCGAAAGCAAGGGCAGACUUGAAAUCAAUGGGCAUCAGGGAGGAGCUUCACGCUAAUGAUGAUGAUGAUGAUGAGGCGAAGCAGGACACGGAAAGUCGUCGCAAAGGCAAAAAGGCCAAGAAGACCGGAAAUGACUACCCUCCCGCGUGCUUCACUCUAAGUCAGGAGGAGAUCGAGCAGUUUUUCACCUGCCUCGUAGGAGUAAAACUUCCUUACGGUUACGCGGGGAAGAUAAGCAGAUACCUAGACUCAGCGAAGCAGAAGUUCAGCAGGAUGAAGUCUCACGACUGUCACGUGCUGAUGAUGCAGAUACUUCUAGUUGCAAUCUGUGGGAUCAUGGACGCGCACGUCCGUGAAACUCUGUUUGGCCUAUGCAACAUUUUCGAUGUCAUCUCUCGGAAGUCGGUUGGCGUGAGGCAACUCAGAAGGCUACAAGAAGAGAUCGUGGUGAUACUAUGCGAGCUUGAGAUGUACUUCCCGCCCGCAUUCUUCGAUGUUAUGGUGCAUCUGCUGGUCCAUAUCGUGGAUGAUAUCAUCCAACUCGGGCCGACGUUCCUGCACAGCAUGAUGCCGUUCGAAAGGAUGAAUGGUGUCAUCAAAGGAUACGUUCGCAACAUGUCACGUCCAGAGGGAAGCAUAGCCAGGGGCUUUUUGACCCAAGAGUGCAUCUCCUACUGCACGAAUUAUCUAGGCAUCGAGAACCCCGUUGGUCUGCCCGUCAACAGGCACCUCGGCAGGCUUCAUGAACUCUCCUGCACUUCAUGAACGACGAGUUGGUCGAUGUCACCAAGGGCAGAAUCGUUCAACCGGGUAGCCGCGUGUUCCACGGUAAUUUGAUGCCACCCACCGUUUAUAGGGUUCAACGCGUGCUGCCGGGCUUCGACGACAUGUUACCUCCGUAUCGACCCCAUGGGCCGAUGAAGAUGAUGUGAUGACCCUCAGCGCCUGCAAAAGCUGGCCCAUGCUUUGGCCGAAGAGCCAGAUUCAUUUGGGGGCGGGGGACACCACCCGCAGACAACACCGCCAGUCAUGCCGGUGCCAAGCCAUGGCAAGACCCCCGCAACGCUACCGGACAUGCCGGACGUGCAUAUGGCACAGGAUCCGGACAUGCAUAUGGCACAGGAUCCGGACGACGACGACGACGAUGGUACAUUUACCAACGUCGAUAAGUACUUCAACGAACAUGGGUACGAUGACGUAUUCUUGGGGCCUCCUUCUCAAGAACCCAACCCUGCAAAAGAUGAUCGCGAUCUAGCUGGUACCACGGAGAAACCCAAUUGCAACAGGCGUCGUCUGGCGUUCAGUUCUCAGGAGACGCCUCCAGCUGCCGCCUUGACCGAGCCUCAGAUAGCCGAGGUGCGAAAUAUUAUCAGCCCCAACACACUCAAGAAGGCGGUCUCUGAGCAGAACUCGAUCCCAUUACAGCAGAAGAAGAAGGGACGGAAAAGAAAGACUAACAAGGGUGUGAGCCAGCCGGCACCGAGUACGAUCCGUGCUCAGGACGGUCCACCUUCACCUAAGGAUAUCUCGAGGAGGGUGCAUGUGGUGGGUAGGCCGAUGCUACCGACUAAUCUGCUCAAUGCUGCAACCGGUGCUAUGCGGAGUCUGCAUGAUAGUGUUCUUUCUUUGGAGAAGCAGCGUCUCUCCGAGAAUGACGUGGCAUACCCGGUUUUCGUGGCCAAGGUGCCAGAGGGCAAGGGCUUUGUGGAUAGCGCCAUCGGGGGUACGAUCGUCCUGCGGUUUGAUGACAUCAUCGCUAUGUUUAACCUUCAUCCGCUGCACUACACCUUCGUUCGGCUAUUUUCGCUGAGUAUGGAGAUGCGGAUCAUUAGAGACAAGACCCCGGACAUCGUGAUAGUCGACCCCUUCUACAUGCGUGCCAAGAUCUUGGGCAGCGCUGGGGACCGGCAAGUCGCGAGUUCAUACCUCGAAGGCGUCAUUCUGGCAAACCCAGAUAAGGAUAACUUCCUCGUGCCUUACUUUCCCGAGUAAGUCAUCCCCUCACCGCCCCGUAACAUAUGAUUUCAUAGAUUUCGAUCGUUCUUUUUUUCUGACAUUCCGUGUUUUGUGCAGUGACACACAUUGCACACUCAUCCUCUUAAGCCCGAAAUAUUCCAUGGCCACAUAUUUUGACUCGGACCGUCAGUCGAAGAAAGACUACACAAAUAUCAAGAAAGUUCUUGAUGAUGUUCUCCCCGGCUACGCCAGAUCUGGAGGCACCUUCAGCAGGCCAGUUCGUAGGUACGGCAAGCACGUGUUCGCCCACAAUACGACAUUCCCCUGCGUCAAGCAGCCGUCUGGCGGUCAGAAGGAUGCCUACUAUGCCCUCCACCACAUGCGGGCGAUCGUACGGGACCAUAAUCACCUUCUGCUACCAAAUAAUCUCAAAGAUUGGGCUGCAAGCUUGUCGGCAAUCCAGGACGCGGACAUCAGACAAGAAUUCUUUCGCAUUCAGUCAGAGUUUGCGGAAAUCAUCCAUCAAGAUGUCCUUCAUACCUCGGGGCAGUUCUACCUCACAUAUCAACCGUCCAACAGUGAGAUAGAAACAACGCUACAAAUGCAGGCUGACAACGCCCGCGAUUUCAUGACCAUCACGACAAACGGCGGCUUCAUCCACGCUCCGGUCCCUAAGUUGAGUCGAAAGUAGUGAUGCUAUGUAGUUCUGAAAUAUCGAUUAGCUCAUGUUGUAAUUAAACUUUAAUUAACUUGUAUGUCUCUUUGGUUUGGACAGUCGCUCAACUUAUAUGUAAUCGAUGCUAUUUAUUAGUAGGACCAUGAAUCGUGCUAUUAAUGUCUUGCUUUUCUCUUCCGAUCCUUUUGUUGCAUACUUAUAUAUUGCUUAUGUAUUGUCUGUGAAUUGCUACUAAGUUUUGUUUGGCUAGUGCAUAGAGAUGCCGUCGUAUGUCGUGUACAAGGGUAAGGUUCCCGGAGUCUACGACGACUGGGAGGAGUGUCGGAGACAGGUUCACCGUUUCAGCGGUAACAGUUACAAAGGGUACACCACUAGGGCGGAGGCGGAAGCUAGAUACGCGCGCUAUCUAGCGGGAGAGAGGAGGGAGCGGAGGAGGAACCGGAUGAAGACCAGUUUCAUCACGAUGAUGCUCAUCGUGAUGACCGUAGCUCUCUUCUAUGUGAUGGUAGUUUAGAUGAUCGAUAUCGACUUGUAAUGUGAAGACAAACUCGCUACUCACGGUCUCGAGACUUGUAAUGUUCUAACUUUGUUCGGUAUUUUGAAUUCGGAGACUAGCUAAUAUGAUGAAUUGUAUUCGAAGACUAAUCUUCUAUUGUAUUCGAUGAAUCUGCUAUUUAUAUGUUUUGCUGUCUAUAUUCUGUGUAGUAAUAUAUUUUGUAACCUGUGCAAAUAUCAGAAAAGAAAAAAAAUAAUUCCUAAUAUUCAUACUAGUGGCGCACCAUACAACACAUUAGUGGCGCACUGCUAUAAAAAAUACUAGUGGCGCAUUAUCUGUUAGUGCGCCAUUAGUAACCCAGAGCACAAGGUAAAUAUGCCCCCCUGGGAGGCAUACUAAUGGCGCACCAAGUGACAUACUAAUGGCGCACUGCCUGGUGCGCCACUACUGUCUGGUAUACUAAUGGCGCACCAGGGGUGCGCCAUUAGUAUUAGUUACUAAUGGCGUGAUGAUAGUGCCGCACCUGUAGUGCGCCAUUAAUGGCCAAAACAGGUGCGCCACUAACAUGCCUUUUCCUAGUAGUGCCUUAUGCUCCGUGGAUUAUGAGAUUCAUCAGAACAAGGUCUUCACUCAACUACAAAGCUGAUACACUGAACCAUUGCAGCUACUUGCCCCCGAUUGAAGUCCUCAAACGGACAUUUUCCUCAGCUGAUGACAAGGGCAAGGCUACUGCUGUUAUUGAUGAAGGCAUUCGUCCACUGGAUGGUCAGUUUCGCAAGGCUGCAUCCUACUCCACCAAUGACUACUCUGCCACUCAUGACUCUGCCGCCAACGCAACCAAGCCAAAUGCUCAAGGCACAACUCCCAGGGUGAUGAAUGAUUGUGAGCUUCUCCUCAGUCUUCACCAGAAGGUUGAUCGAAAUCACAAAUGGGUCAAGCGUCAGUUUGGUUCAAUUCUUCACAAUAUGACUGCUACCCACAAUGCAGUGAAGAAAAAUGAUUACUACCUCCAUGAAACCUUCAACCGUACCUGGGUUGUUCUGUCUCACAUUUAUAGCGAAGAAGAUCUGAAGAAAAUGGGUCUCAAGGAAGAUUUUGACUGGUCUGCUCCUCCAUCGAAGAAGUACAAGAAGGUUAAGGUUCCUUCCUUGGUGGCCAGCUCCUAUUCUUCAUCGCGCGACACCGACGAGCAUGAAGACUUGGACGACACUGCGGCAGGCCCAACAUCAACAAAUGACCCAAACAACGCUGCCGCUCCUUCAUCUUCAUGAUAUUCUUCAGGGGCGUUAGUCCUCAUUUUCGAUCCUUUUGGUCAUUCGAUGACAAAGGGAGAGAAAUUUGAGUUAGUCUUCAAGCGGGUCUAUCCUAUAUGGGCGUUUUUUUGCUAAGUUACAACUCUCGUUCUUCUGAUGACUUUGCUGGAUCGAGUUGUAAACUUAAACUCUAUGGUGGCCUGAUACUUUUGCUGUGAUUUUCUGCAUGUUUAUUCCUCAUUAAUGUUUAUGCAUGCAUGCUGAAUUACAUCAGUCACCAUAUUUCAUCAUGCAUUUGAAAUUCUUCAUAUCAUAUGUUGAAUGCGUGUAUGAAUUACAAGAUAUAGGGGGAGAUCUCCAUGAUUCAACUCUUCAAGUGUGCAUUGCUUCAAAAGCAAUUUCCUCACUAUGCACAUCUUCAGGGGGAGUUCUUCUAUAUCUUGCAAUCAAAUUCCUCAAUAUCAGUAUUUACACUUCAUAUGUUUAUCCCCGUUGAAAACUUAACCUAUAUUGUCAUCAAUCACCAAAAAGGGGGAGAUUGUAAGUGCAUCUAGUGCCCCUUAGUGAUUUUGGUGUAUUGAAGACUUAUAGGUUAAGGGACUAAUGUGUUUAUGAGUGUACACAGGUCUAUAAGUCUAUGAGGAGUUUGAUAUUUACAGAGAUAGUCGACCCCUAAAAAUGAAGUUCUUCGACUGAAGACUUUGGAUUUCUGAAGACUUUCUGAAGACUUUGAAAGUGAAGAAAUUGGUGUGACCUUGAAGACUUGGUAUUCAUUCGAGGAACAUGAAGCGUGAAGACUUCUGUUUUCGUAGUUUCAUGUUCUCUUUCUUGAGUCAUAGGAAACACCGUACUGUUAAAGGGGGUCGAGGAAAUACUAAGGAAAAAUUUCCAUGUGAUGCUCCACUAAAAAUCCUACACCUACCAAUCCCUUCGAGUGAAGCCAUUGGAAAUCUCAUACAGUUUAGUCAUAUUCUUCAGUGACAGAGACUAAGUUCUUCUGGUCUCUGAGGAAUUUGUUCUGACUGAGGAGUUAGGAAUUCGCCAGUGCGGAUUGCCUACACAGUGAGGAACAUGAUAGCCCUGAGGAAUUUGAGCCUCAAAUGUCCGACCAUUGCUGUGCUACGCGCCAGCUGUCCCAAAAUACCUACCCACCUAACGGUCAUAUCAUUGAAGGGCAUUUAAGUCUUAUCAUGUCGAGCUGCUCCCUAGGCUAUAAAUAGUCGCCCCCUACAACCACUAGCUGGUUGGCUGCUCUGAGAGAAACCGACACUUGUCAUUUGAGAGCAUCCCAUCCUCCGAGGACUUUGAGCGAAAAUCAUCGACUGAGGAAAACCCAAACCCAAACACCUACAAACCCAAAGUGAUUAAGCAUCACUGAAGAGAUUGAUCCUGCGUGGAUCCGACGCUUGUUACCUUUGAAGAUUGUGCUUCUUCUAGACGGUUAGGCGUCAUGGUCUAGAGCAUCCAAGAGGAAUUGUUGAUAGCCGAGUGACCGAGUCUGUGAAGGUUUGAAAGUCACCUGAAGACUUACCACAAGUGAUUGGGCGAGGUCUGUGUGACCUUAGCUCAAGGAGAAUACGGUGAGGACUGUGUGUCCUCAGGUUUAAAUACCUAGCCACUCCAACCAGAUGUACAACUGAGACAGGAGUUGGAACUGGUCUACCAAAUCAUUGUCUUAACCAAGCUUACUGGUUCUAUUUCCUCAAGUCUUUCAUUUCCUCAUUACAGUUGUUGUGUGCUUGUUCAUAUCUGUUUGAAGACUUUGACUGAAGACUUUCUCAAUUUCCUCAGUUCAAUUUCUUCAGUCUGUUUGUCUUCAUCCUGUGUUAUCCUGUGAUUACGCUUUCUAUACUCUGUGCUUGUCUUCAUUUCAUCAUGAUGACCAUGCUUGUGUUCUGUUAUGUUUACUUUUGAGUACUUAUUCCGCUGCUAGUAGUUCUUCGCUAAGGAAUUUCCUCACCCGCAAAUUCCUCAGUGAAGAAUUCAUAAAAAUCGCCUAUUCACCCCCUCUAGUCGAUAUAACGCACUUUCAUUAACCCCCUCGCAAGCAUCCGCAACUACGAGAAAAUUAUUAAGAUAAAAUCUAACCAUAACAUUAAACUUCUGGAUCCAAGUCGGUCCCUUACGAAGUAGCGCAUAAACUAGGGUUUUAGCUUCUGUCACUCUGGCAACCCGUCAUCUAAUAACUACUCCACAAUGCAUUCCCUUAGGCCCAAAUAUGGUGAAGUGCCAUGUAGUCGAUGUUCACAUGACAUCACUAAGGGAAUCACAACAUACAUAUCAUCAAAAUAUCGAACACAUAUCAAGUUCACAUUACUUGCAACAAGAUUUUUCCCGUGACCUCAAGAACAAAAGUAACUACUCACAAAUGAUAAUCAUGCUCAAGAUCAGAGGGGUAUUAAAUAGCAUAACGGAUCAGAACAUAUAAUCUUCCACCAAAUAAACCAUAUAGUAAUCAACUACAAGAUGUAAUCAACACUACUAGUCACCCAGAGGUACCAAUCUGAGGUUCCGGUACAAAGAUUGAACACAAGAGAUGAACUAGGGUUUGAGACAAGAUGGUGCUGUUGGAGAUGUUGAUGGAGAUUGCCCUCCCAAAGAUGAGAGGGUUAUUGGUGAUGACGAUGAUGAUGAUUUCCCCCUCCGGGAGGGAAGUUCCCCCGGCGGAAUCGCUCCGCCGGAGAGCAAAGGUGCUCCUGCCCAAGUUCCGCCUCGAGGCGGCGGCGCUCCAUCCCGAAAGUCCUCUCCUUAUUUUUUCUAGGUCAAAAUGACUUAUAUACCAGAAAAGGGGCACCGAAGGUGGGCCGAGGAGGGCACAACCCACCAGGGCGCGCCUGGGCUCCCUGGCGCACCCAGGUGGAUUGUGCCCACCUGGUGGGCCCCCUCUGGUAGUUAUUUGCUCCAAUAUUCUUCAUAUAUUCCAAAAAAAUUCUCCGUAAAUUUUUAGCUCAUUUGAAGAUGUGCAGAAUAGGUAACUCUGACAUAGCUUUUUCAGGUCCAGAAUUCCAACUGCCGGCAUCCUCCCUCCUUGUAUAAACCUUGCAUAUUAUGAGAGAAAAGGCAUUAGAAUUACUAAAAAAGCAUUAUUAUGCAUAAAAACAUAGUAAAUAACAGUAGGUAAACAUGAUGCAAAAUGGACGUAUCAACUCCCCCAAGCUUAGACCUCGCUUGUCCUCAAGCGAAAAAAUGAUAUCGGAAAACAUGUCCACAUGCUUAGAGAGAGAGAGAGAGAGAGAGAGAGGUGUCGAAUAAAACAAAAUACGGACAUAUAAGCAUCAUGCACAUUAUUAUAACAGCAACAAACUUUAUCAUAGAACUUUUACCACAUAACUUUUAUCAUAAACUUCUCAUGAACAAGUAAUAAUUCAUCACAACAUCGAAGUAUAAAGCAUAAACUCUAUUCAAAACCAACAAACUAUGUUCUCAGUCAACUUUGCAACUACAAUUCAUCAUCUCUUCAGGUAGUGUCACGUAUCGAGCCUUUUGGCAAGUCCACAUACUCAACUAUCAUAUAGUCUUCAAUGAUUGCUAACACUCGCCGCAUACCCAUGAGAAAAAAAUUUCAACCAGACACAUAGGAAGAUAGGGGCUUAUAGUUCCGCCUCCCAAUGUAUUCAUCUCAAGGGUGAUGUCAACAAUAAUAACUCAUGCUCACCCAUAUCCAACUGGAUAUAUGUGCCUAGAUAUUUCCUCACCACAUUGUAACACCCUGAGGAUCAUGCCACAGUAACUCUCUGUAAUUAAGCUAAUCAUGUUGCUAAACAGGGCUUGAUCACAUUUGAAUCACACCCUUUUCAAACUCCUAGUUCAAACUUCAAAUAUAAUUAAAGUGGAAAAUAAAAGUUUUCAAAAAUUUAAACUAAAAUGUUCAGUGGGUGCCAAAAAUUACACUGGUAAUUAUGGUGGAGAAAACACAUUUUUAUAAAAUGUCUAAAUACUUUUAAAUGAAAUAAAACAGAAAAGGAAAUAAACAAAUAAAAAGAAAACAGAAAACAGAACACAGACAGAGAAAAAAAAAAGAAAAGGAAANNNNNNNNNNNNNNNNNNNNNNNNNNNNNNNNNNNNNNNNNNNNNNNNNNNNNNNNNNNNNNNNNNNNNNNNNNNNNNNNNNNNNNNNNNNNNNNNNNNNNNNNNNNNNNNNNNNNNNNNNNNNNNNNNNNNNNNNNNNNNNNNNNNNNNNNNNNNNNNNNNNNNNNNNNNNNNNNNNNNNNNNNNNNNNNNNNNNNNNNNNNNNNNNNNNNNNNNNNNNNNNNNNNNNNNNNNNNNNNNNNNNNNNNNNNNNNNNNNNNNNNNNNNNNNNNNNNNNNNNNNNNNNNNNNNNNNNNNNNNNNNNNNNNNNNNNNNNNNNNNNNNNNNNNNNNNNNNNNNNNNNNNNNNNNNNNNNNNNNNNNNNNNNNNNNNNNNNNNNNNNNNNNNNNNNNNNNNNNNNNNNNNNNNNNNNNNNNNNNNNNNNNNNNNNNNNNNNNNNNNNCCCUCUCCCCUUCGUUCCCCUCUGCCCGAGCGCGCUCGCCGCCGUUCACCGUCGAACUCGCGGCCACCGUGCCCCGAUCGCCCCGACGACGUGCCCGAACGACUCCCCGCCGUCGACUACGUCGACUACGCCCUCGGGAACGAGCCGAGCGCCUCUGCACCGACCUCCCCGAGUUCGUCUCCAACCUUCGGCCGCCGUCGUUCGUCGCCGAUUCCGGCUACCCCGCGCCCUCCCCGAGCUCCUUGCCACUCCCUACGGCUCCGCUGUGAGCUCCCGCAUCUCCUCCCCCUCCCGUAGCCGCUUCCCCACGCGCGCCCGAACGCCGCGCCGCGGAGCUCGCCGCCGGCGGGUCUCCGGUGACCUUUUGGUCACGGGCUCAAGCCCGUUGCACUCCUCACCGUACGUAGAUGCCCCCCAGCCCCUCCGCUUGCUCGAUAGCCCACCGUAGCUGUGUUUCCGUCGGGCACCCAUAACAGCUCGCCGGCGGCGAGCUCGUAGUGGUCGUCCCCGGCCGUUCCAGCCCCUCCGACCACCGCAGUAGGACGCGCGACGCCGAGCCGCGUCGAACGCACCCAGCCACGCCCCCGCAGACCCCCUGUACGUGAAACCCGUACCCCUCCCGAGCCGCGCCGCCGUGCGUUUGGUCGCCGGCGUUGCUCCGGCGCCGGCCGCCGACGUGGCUGGCCUGGGGCCACCCCAGUGCCCCUGCCAGUGGCCCCCACGGGCCCCAGUUGACUGGGUUGACCCAGUCAACUGCUGACUGGGCAGGUCCAGUCACUGACAUGCGGGCCCUGCCGCAAAAAUAUAAAAAGAAAAGAAAAAGAAAAUGUUUUAUAAAUAAAAAUAAUUAGUUUAACUAAACACUCACUGACAUAUGGGGCCCACCCCUCUAAUUAUACUGUUAGAUUAGUUUAAAUAGAUAUUAGAUUAACAGAGGCUGACAUGUGGGUCCCACUGGACCCACCUGUCUGGUUUGACUGGUCAGCCGACCUGUUGACCUGCUGACGUCAGCAUUGCCUCAUGCUGACGUCAUAAUUCAUUUUUGCUGAAUAUAAAUAGUUCCAGAAAUUCAAAUAAACUUUGAAAAUUCAUAUCUUUUAAACCGUAACUCGGAUGAAAAUGUUUUCUAUAUGAAAGUUGCUCAGAACGACGAGACGAAUCCAAAUACGCGGUCCGUUCGUCCACCACACCUCCCUAACCUAUCGAACUAGCAACUUUCCCCCUCCGGUCCGUCUGUCCGAAAACGCGAAACAUCGGGAAUACCUCCCGGAUGUUCCCCCCCUUCACCAGUACCACCUACUGUCGCGUUAGGACACCCCUAGCACCGCUCACUGUCAUUUCACGCAUCGUCAUGCUUAUGAUUGCAUUGUAUUUACUGUUUCUUCCCCCUCUUCUCUCCGGUAGACUACGAGACCGACACUGCUGCUGUCCCGUUCGACUACGGAGUCGACGACCCCUCCUACUUGCCAGAGCAACCAGGCAAGCCCCCCCCCUUGAUCACCAGAUAUCGCCUAUUCUUCUCUAUACUGCUUGCAUUAGAGUAGUGUAGCAUGUUACUGCUUUUCGAUAUCCUAUCCUGAUGCAUAGCCUAUCCUUGCUACUACUGUUGUUACCUUUACCUGCAAUCCUACAUGCUUAGUAUAGGAUGCUAGUUUUCCAUCAGUGGCCCUACAUUCUUGUCCGUCUGCUGUGCUAUACUAUCGGGCCGUGAUCACCUGGGCGGUGAUCACGGGUAUAUACUUAUAUACAUAUACAUGACACAUGAGAUGACUAAAGUCGGGUCGGCUCGUAGGAGUACCCGCGAGUGGAUCUUUGUGGUGGAGCGACAGGGCAGGUUGAGACUGCCUAGGUGAGAGGUGGGCCUGGCCCUGGUCGGCGUUCGCGGUUACUUAACACGCUUAACGAGAUCUUGGUAUUUGAUCUGAGUCUGGCCAUUUGGUCUAUACGCACUAACCAUCUACGUGGGAGUAGUUAUGGGUAUCCCGACGUCGUGGUAUCAGCCGAAGCUCUUUUGACGUCAGCAACUGAGUGGCGCGCGCCGCAUUGGACCGUAAGCUCGCGCUUGUAUUAAGGGGGCUAGGUCUGCUUCCGGCCGCGUACGCAACGUGCAGGUGUGCAUAGGGCGAUGGGCCCAGACCCCUGCGCGCAUAGGUUUAGACCGGCGUGCUGACCUCUCUGUUGAGCCUAGGUGGGGCUGCGACGUGUUGAUCUUACGAGGCCGGGCAUGACCCAGGAAAGUGUGUCCGGCCAAAUGGGAUCGAGCGUGUUGGGUUAUGUGGUGCACCCCUGCAGGGAAGUUUAUCUAUUCGAUAGCCGUGUCCCUCGGAAAAAGGACGACCCGGAGUUGUGCCUUGACCUUAUGACAACUAGAACUGGAUACUGAAUAAAAUACACCCUUCCAAGUGCCAGAUACAACCCGGUGAUCGCUCUCUAACAGGGCGACAAGGAGGGGAUCGCCGGGUAGGAUUAUGCUAUGCGAUGCUACUUGGAGGACUUCAAUCUACUCUCUUCUACCUGCUGCAAGAUGGAGAUGACCAGAAGCGUAGUCUUCGACAGGACUAGCUAUCCCCCUUUUAUUCUGGCAUUCUGCAGUUCAGUCCACUGAUAUGCCCCUUUACACAUAUACCCAUGCAUAUGUAGUGUAGCUCCUUGCUUGCGAGUACUUUGGAUGAGUACUCACGGUUGCUUCUCUCCCUCUUUUCCCCCUUCUUUCCUAUCUGGUUGUCGCAACCAGAUGUUGGAGUCCAGGAGCCAGACGCCACCGUCGACGACGACACCUACGACACUGGAGGUGCCUACUACUACGUGCAGGCCGCUGACGACGACCAGGAGUAGUUAGGAGGAUCCCAGGCAGGAGGCCUGCGCCUCGUUCGAUCUGUAUCCCUGUUUGUGCUAGCCUUCUUAAGGCAAACUUGUUUAACUUAUGUCUGUACUCAGAUAUUGUUGCUUCCGCUGACUCGUCUGUGAUCGAGCACUUGUAUUCGAGCCCUCGAGGCCCCUGGCUUGUAUUAUGAUGCUUGUAUGACUUAUUUUUGUUUUAGAGUUGUGUUGUGAUAUCUUCCCGUGAGUCCCUGACCUUGUUCGUACACAUUUGCGUGCAUGAUUAGUGUACGGUCAAAUCGGGGGCGUCACACAUGAUGCUUGCAGAAGAGAAAAUAAAAAAGGAAUAGGGGAGAAUACUUUGACUCUUGCAUAAAAGUAAAUACAUGAAAGUAAAAGAUAGGCCCUUCGCAGAGGGAAGCAGAGGUUGUCAUGCGCUUUUUGGUUUGUAUGCUCAAUCUCUUAAUGCAAAAGAAUGUCAAGUUGUAUUGCCCCUUAUGAUAGCAACCUUUAUUACGCAGUUUGUCGCCUUUAUUAUUUUGCCAUCACAAGUUCAUACAACGCUCAAUUUUCUCUUACACUAAAUGAUCCAACACAUUUAGAAGCAAUUUUUAUUGCCUUAUUGCACCGAUGACAACUUACUUGAAGGAUCUUACUCAAUCCAUAGGUAGGUAUGGUGGACUCUAAAAACAAGAUUUGGGUUUAAGGGUUUUUGGAUGCACAAGUAGUAUCUCUACUUAGUGCGGAAUUUUUGGCUAGCAAAGAUAGGGGGGCAAGAACCACAUGUUAAAGGAUCUAUGACAAUAUAACUUCUAUGUGAAUAUAAACAAGCAUAUAUCAUUAUAUUGUCUUCCUUGUCCAACGUCAACAAAUUUGGCAUAAAAUAUUUUGAUGGGGGCUCACAAUCAUAAAAGAUGUCCAAGAUAGUUUAUUUGCAUGUGAAUCUUAUCUUCCCUUAUUAAUUCUUUCAUGAAUUGCAUUAUUGACCAAUGCUAUGUUUGUCAAUCUCCAAUAAAUUUUACGACUUAUACUUUUUCUUAUGUGAUGUCAUUACUUACCAUAAGAUUAGCAUAUGAUCUUUUUCAUUAUUCCUUUUCUUUAUUUUGAUUGAAACAAAAAGGUAAUGAAAGCAAAAGUUGAACUAAACUUUAUUAUAUAUCUCGCACACAAUUACAAAGAUAGAUAGAUCAUAAAGCAAAAACACUUGAAAAGGAUCGAACUGAACUUUUAUUCAACUAAUUCAAAAGAUAACUGAAGAUCGAAUUAAGAUAAAUAAGGGCAAAAGAGGUGGUGUGAUAUGAUACCGGGCACCUCCCCCAAGCUUGGCACAAGCCAAGGGGAGUGCCCAUACCCGGUAUUCAAGUCUCCUUUGGUGGUGAAGAAGGUGAUGGUGGUGGGUAUUGAUGAGGUAGUAGCGAGCUUAUCCUUCAGGCUCAAAAGAUAUUCCAAUCUUCGGAUGACGCUCCGAAGGGAGAUGAUGUGCUCUUGCAAUAAAAAAUAUUCAUGAGUGAGAUAUUUGUUUUGAACACGAACCGUUUCAAUGGUCCUGAAGGCUUCAAUCUCGGUGGGAGUAAGAUAUUCAUAGUAUGGUUGAAGGAUAUCUUCUUCUUCUUCCUCCGCAAGCAAGGCCUGCUCUACUACUGGGGCUUGUUCUCCAAUAGCUUCCUUGCUCUUGUUCCCCUUGAAGGCUUCCUUUGGUUCUUCUCUCUUCAGCUCCAUCUUCAUCAACCAAGCAUCCUCUUCUACGUUGUUGGAGGAGGGAGAAGACAUGAUUCCUGGCUUGACAGAUCUAACAGAAAACAACAAGAAAAGAAAACAGAAGAUUUCUCCGCGAUACGGUGGUCAAUAGGUUCGGGGGCUAUAUAAAGAUUUUUUAUCUUGGGGAACAAGCAAACGGGAGGAAAACGGAGUCUGGAAGGUACCCGAGGUGGGCACAACCCACCUGGGCGCGCCAGGCAAGCCAGGCGCGCCCUGGUGUCUUGUGCCCUCCUCGGUUGCCUUCUAGUUGGUUUAUUAUUUUUCCUAAUUUCUGUAAUAUUCUAAAACUGACAAAAAAUAUUUUUGUAGAUUUUUCGGAGUCCGUUUACUUACCGUAUCACGUAUCUCCUUUUAUUCACGAUUCUAGAGUGUUCCGGAAGGUUUCUUUUAUGUGUUCGUACGAUGUCAUAGUUUGGAUAAUAUUGCUUUCAACAUUAAUAGGCGUGCCUGAGAUAUAGUGUUUGAUUCUUUGCCCAUUUACGACCUUCGGGUUAGUACCUUCAACAUUAUUUAUUUUGAUAGCUCCAGAGCGGUAGAUUUCUUCAAUAAUAUAUGGUCCUUCCCAUUUGGAGAGAAGUUUUCUUACAAAGAAUCUAAAACGAGAGUUGUACAAAAGAACAUAUUGUCCAACUUUAAAUUCCAGCUUUUGGAUUCUUUUGUGAUGCCACCUUUUAACCUUUUCUUUAAAUAAUUUGGCAUUUUCAUAAGUUUGGGUUCUUCAUUCAUCUAGUGAGCUAAUAAGAAAUAACCUCUUUUCACCGGGAAGUUUGAAAUCAUAGUUGAGUUGUUUUAUUGCCCAGUAUGCUUUAUGACUCAAGAGGCAAAUGACAAGCUUUUCCAUAAACCAUAUUAUAAGGGGACAUACCCAUAGGAUUUUUAUAUGUUGUUCUGUAGGCCCAAAGUGCAACAUCUAAUUUCUUAGACCAAUUCUUUCGGGACCUAUUAACAGUUUUUUGUAAAAUUAAUUUUAUUUCUCUAUUGCUAAGUUCAACUUGACCACUAGAUUGGGGACGAUAGGGUGAUGCAAUUCUAUGGUUAACAUCAUAGUUAGCAAGCAUUUUACGGAAAUCACCAUGAAUAAAGUGUGAACCAAUGUCAAUCAUUAAAUAUCUAGGGACUCCAAACCUUGGGAAAAUAACUUCAUUAAGCAUUUUAAUGUAGGUGUUAUGAUCAACACUACUAGUUGGAAUAUCUUCUACCCACUUAGUAACAUAAUCAACAGUAACCAAAAUAUGAGUAUACCCAUUAGAGGAAGGAAAAGGGCCCAUGUAAUCAAAACCCCAAACAUCAAAUGGUUUAAUAACAAGUGAAUAAUUCAUAGGCAUUUCCUGACCUUACCAAUAUUACCAAUUAUUUGGCAUUAUCACAAGAUAAAACAUACUUACGAGAAUCCUUUAAGAGAGUAGGCCAGUAAAAACCAGAUUGCAAUACCUUAUGAGCAGUUCUAUCUCCCACAUGAUGUCCCCCAUAAGCUUCGGAGUGACAUUUCCGUAGGAUUUGUCCCUGUUCAUGCUCAUGUACUCAACGUCUGAUAAUACCUUCUACCCCUUCUUUGUAGAGGUGUGGGUCAUCCCAAAAGUAAUGUCUUAAAUCACAGAAGAUUUUUUCUUUUGUUGGUAUGUGAAACUAGGUGGUAUAUAUUUAGCAACAAUAUAAUUAGCAUAAUGAGCAUACCAAGGAGUGUUUUGAGAGACAUUUAUUGCAACUAGUUGUUCAUCAGGAAAACUAUCAUCAAUAGGUAGUGGGUGAUCAAGAAUAUUUUCUAGCCUAGACAAGUUAUCAGCUACGGGGUUCUUAGCUCCUUUUCUAUCAGUAAUAUGUAAAUCAAAUUCUUGUAACAAGAGAACCCACCUAAUGAGUCUAGGUUUAGCAUCUUUCUUUUCCAUAAGAUAUUUUAUAGCAGCAUGAUCGGUGUGAACAGUUAAUUCAGAAUCAACAAUAUAAGAUCUGGAUUUAUCACAAGCAAACACCACUGCUAAAAAUUCUUUUUCAGUAGUAGCAUAAUUUCGUUGAGCACUGUCUAGAGUUUUAAUAGCAUCAUGGAUAAAAUUUUAUUUUUUAUCAACUCUUUGUCCUGGGACAGCACCAACAACAUAAUCACUAGCAUCACACAUAAUUUCAAAAGGCAAGUUCCAGUCAGUUGGUUGUACUAUAGGUGCAAAAGUCAAGGCUUUCUUAAGUGUUUCAAAGGCUUCUACACAAUCAUCAUCAAAAACAAAUGGAACAUCCUUUUGUAAAAGAUUUGUAAGAGGCCUAGAAAUUUUAGAGAAGUCUUUAACAAACCUCCUAUAGAACCCAACAUGACCAAGGAAACUACGAAUACCUUUAAUAUCUUUAGGACAUGACAUUUUCUCAAUUGCAUCAACUUUAGCUUUAUCAACCUCAAUACCACGUUCGGAUAUUUUAUGUCCCAAGACAAUGCCUUCAUUAACCAUAAAGUGGCACUUCUCCCAAUUCAAGACAAGAUUAGUUUGCUCGCAUGUCUGCAAAACUCGAUCAAGGUUGCUUAAGCAAUCAUCAAAAGAAGUUCCAUAAACAGAAAAAUCAUCCAUGAAAACCUCAACAAUCUUUUCACAAAAAUCAGAGAAUAUAGCAGUCAUACAUCUUUGAAAGGUAGCAGGUGCAUUGCAUAAACCAAAAGGCAUACGUCUAUAAGCAUAAGUUCCAAAAGGGCAAGUAAAGGUGCUUUUCUCUUGAUCAGGUUGUGAAACAGGUAUCUGAGAAAAACCAGAGUAUCCAUCAAGAAAGCAAAAGUGUGUGUACUUAGAUAGCUUUCUAGCAUUUGAUCAAUAAAAGGCAAGGGGUAAUGAUCUUUUCUAGUUGCUUUAUUUAAUUUUCUAAAAUCAAUUACCAUUCUAUAGCCAGUGACAAUUCUCUGUGGAAUGAGUUCAUUUUUAUCAUUAGGAACAACAGUGAUACCUCCCUUCUUAGGGACACAGUGAACAGGGCUUACCAAUCUACUAUCAGCUAUGGGAUAGAUUAUACCUGCUUCAAGAAGCUUUAAUAUUUCAGUUCUUACCACUUCUUUCAUCUUUGGAUUCAAACGUCGUUGGUGAUCAACAAUGGGUUUAGCAUUAGAUUCCAUAUUAAUCUUGUGCUGACAUAGAGUGGGACUAAUGCCCUUAAGAUCAUCAAGAGUAUACCCAAUAGCACCUCGACGAUUCUUCAGAAUUUUCGAUAAUCUUUCUUCUUCAUGUUCUGAAAGGUUAGCACUAAUAAUAACAGGAUAUAUCUUUUUCCAAUCAAGAUAAGCAUAUUUCAAAGUGUCUGGCAAUUGUUUUAAUUCAAACACAGGAUCACCCUUAGGUGGAGGACGACCUCCUAGAGUUUCAAUAGGCAAAUUGUGUUUGAGCAGACGUCGUUGUUCAAAGAAAUUUUUGUCUAUUUCAUUUCUUUCAUGCAUAUGCAUAUCAUGUUCGUGGUCUAGCAAAUAUUGUUCUAGUGGAUCAGUAGGAGGCACGACAAUAGAAGCAAGACCAGUUAUUUCAUCCUUACUAGGUAAUUCUUUCUUAUGAUGUUUUCUACUAAACUUAGAAAAAUUAAACUCAGGAGACUCAUCAUAAAAACUAACACCGACAAUUUCUUUCUCACAGGCUGUUUUAGCAUUAACGGUGUUCAAGAAAGGUCUAUCAAAUAUAAUGGGACAAAAAUCAUCUUGUGGGGAACCAAGAACUAGAAAAUCACUAGGGUAUUUUACUUUCCCACACAAGACUUCAACAUCUCUAACAAUCCCAAGUGGUGUGAUGGUGUCUCUAUUAGCAAGUUUCAUAGUAACAUAUAUGUCUUCUAUUUUAGCGAGUGUCGGCGUUCUGGGAACGGGGGUCCCCAGACUUGCCUGCCUGCGGCCCACGGUGUGGCUCUGCGAGUGCUCGCACGGCCCAUCUUCACCAACAAGCAGUCAAGACCCUCGCGAGGGGCCAAGCCUCGCGAGGCGGACGACACAAGACCUCCUCAGGAGCGGCCUCACCAGGUUGGCUCGCCAGGGGCGGAGAGAUCAAGGCAAGGCAAACCUCGCGAGGUUCUCGUGACGUGAGCCAUGACGACCCAGAUCAGGCGGGCGCCAGCGCGCACAGUGUCCUUGUUUCCCCUCUGGUGCUAAGGAGGCAAGCGCAGGCGCGGAGUACCGAGGCGUCAAGCAAAGGUUUCCAUAUCAGUGCAAUGAGACCAAGACCAGCGGGACGGCAAGACGGAGGUCACCAUGAAGCCCAAGGCGGCGUCACCACCAAAGCCUUUUGCAGGCGAAGACUACUUUUGUCAGGAUAAGCUGUACUAGUUGUCCCCUUCCAAAUUGGCCGUUGUUGGCGCCCUUCCCGCUCAAUAUUUGGGAAGAGGACCAGGGCCUCUAUAAAUAGGACUAGCCACCACCAUAGAGGGGGACGGAUCAUUGAGACCACCCUUGCACCCAUCAGCUCUCCGAGCACAAGAACACCUCGCCUCAGGAGGCUGUUCUUCCCUUGUACUGUUCAUCCAUAGCCCAAGACGCAAUCCACCACCACACGCUGGAGUAGGGUAUUACACCACAACGGUGGCCUGAACCAGUAUAAAUCAUGUGUCCCUUGUGUUGCGAGUUCGUCGAGUUAGCCCUUGAGAUUAUAGCCAAACUAGGACGUGGAUCGGUAGGGAGGAGAUCUUCGCCCGCACACCAGUGUUCGAACCUUGAGGGGUUUGCCGGAACCCGUGAUCUAACAUUUGGCGCGCCAGGUAGGGGUGCGCCGGUGCUUUGCUUCCACCAGCCGAUCCGCUCGUUGGUCCUUCGGCGCUCCGCAGCUCCGAUGUCCGGCGACUCAAGAGCCAACACCGACCGCUGGGCGGCCUGGUCGGCCCGGGCGGCGCCGUCGGCCCAGGAAGAACUCAACCCCGUGCCUCAGGCGGCACGCGCACCGCCAAACACCGCGAGGCAUGGGCGGCGCGGUCACUCACCCUCUUCUCUUAUCCCACGAAAAGUGCGGGCGGCCGCGAGGGCCUCAAGCCACGCUGCCGCCAUAGCGCCGCACACCCGGCGGGAGCAAGCGAACAUGAGGGCCGCGCUCACAGUAGCUCGAGAGUUGCUGCGAUGCCGGUUGAUGGAGAGCGGUCGGGAUGCUUUGCUAGAGCGCGCGCCGAGCUCUUGGACGCCGCAGCUUCAGGGGCGCCACCCUUAUGCACUCUGCUCAUGCCGCAAGCUGCGGCCGGGUCGCAUGGCGGACCAUGCCGCGCCCGCGUGCCCACAGGCGCACCACCAGGCUUCAACGACACUGGCGCAACCAACGGAGCUGUACGCCCGCUCGCGCCCGUGCCACCUCCGCUGGGUGCGGGCACGAGCGCCGCCACCUACGGUCCAGGCGGGAUGCAGCCGUACCACCCUCGAGGCGGCGUGCUAGGACGGGCGACAUGGAGCGUGGGGCACUACAGCGAGGUCUUCGAGGCAGCGGCCCCGAAGGCCUACGUGCCCCGCAUGGUGGACCAGGAGUACAUGCUGGAAGACGACCCCGGCUCGUUCCUCGAGUCGGGCUAGGAGGAGGAAGGGCUAGAAGCCGGCACCUUCCAGGAGCCAUCCGGGAGCCUCUCCAACCGCACCAGCGACGACGACUACAGGGUACCACUAAUUCCUCAGGAGCAUGCUUACGCUAACCAUAGUGCGCAGGAGGGUCAGGUCGUGGCGGCAGACGGCGGCCCCAGCUCGUCAGCCUCCCUCCCGCCAGGAGGGGCGCGCUGGGGACUGCAGGAAGGAAGCCGGGACGAAGGCCCACCCCAGCGUCGCGUUGAGCAAGGCGUCUCCCGGAGGUAGGCCCUCUACCGGGGAGGUGCUCCAGAGCCUACCCCCGGCAGAGGACCCGUGGUCGCCGAGGGUGCCGCUGGCGUCCCCUUUGCCCCUGUUGGUGUCGUCCUGGUUUCUGGUCGCCCCCAAUGGUGGCCGAGGGAGGCGCAAGGCGGGGCCCUCGUCUGGCGAUAUGAAGUAAGGCUCACGCCUGUGAAGAUCGCCGCCCGUGACACUCUCACGUAAUAAAGGGUGGGGCUGUACAUGCCCCGGAGUCUCAGGAGUGCCGCCCUCGGGCCUCGGGAGCUCCCUCCCAUGUCCUAGUGGCAGCACUUAGCUCCGCGCUGGUGAGAAGACUUGAAGACAAGAAGACUAGACUAGGUGCCGGACGCGGCCGUUUGCUUUGGAUCACUUUUCUGUGGCCUUGCCUUCUGGAUUUGGAUUUAAGUUGAAGUUGAAUUUUCAUCGAUGCGCGUGGGGGGUGCCUUUUCUCGUUUGAGCGAUUUUUUGCUGUCUGGUUCUUGCCUUAUUCCGUGGCUCGCACUCGCUGCCUCCCCCUCGCGGGCCCCUCGCGAGCGGGGCUGGGCGCAGCAUACGCACCGUGCGCGGUGAUACCACGAUCGGCACCUGAUUCUCGCGAGGCCCUCUCGGGCGAAUCAGCAAACCCUUCAGGAGCUCCUUAGAAGCUCGCGACCUCAUGAUCCAGUUCGGGGCUUGCCUCGGCUAAGGUACUGCAACAACAAACUUGCCACCAGACUCAUGGAUUCACAAAAGCGCACGCUCAGCUUGGCAUAGAAGAACAAAAACUGCGAUUUGUUUACAUGAGGGGCUCCCCCUCUCAAAAUGCUCUUACAAUCUUUAGGGGCCACGCCCAAGUUUUUACGCACCGGGUAGAACAGCAGGGGAACAUCGGAUCAGCCGGAUAUGUCGCUCGCCGCGUCCCCCAGGUCAUCUUCAGCCGCACCGCUGGCGUCGCUGUCGCCGUCGCUGGCGUUGCCUCCACCUUCGCCGGCCCCGACAUCGCCGUCGUCAACCACGUCACCUUCGUCUGCCGCGACUACCACCGCAUCGUCCUCAGAAGCGAAGGCCCUGACCAGCGCAUCCACGUUGUCCUCCACCCAUCGUGCCAGGUCGCCCCGGAUGGCCGCAGGUACGGGGGCAAUGGAGGCGUCGAAGUCGAAGUCGGGGUAGGUGUUCUAAAGAUGGCUGAAGACGCGGGAGAACGCGCGCCCGAGCAGGCCACGACUCCUCUCUUCCACGAGCUGGCGAGCUCUAUCGGAUCGAGCUUCCAGGCGCGUCACCACGUCGGAGAAGAAACGAAGGUGGCUAGCGUAGUCAUCCGAGUGGGGAUGCGGAGCAUUCUUGUCGCAGACAUGGCCCAACUCCGCGUUGGCCCUGGCCCUGAGGGUCUGAAGCAUGGGGGCGUACUCACGCUCCAGCGUCCGUCGCUGAAGCACUUCCUCCCUGUUCUGCCGCGCAACGGACUCGGCAUCAGCAACCUGCUUUUGGAGGGAGAGCAGCUCGGCGCAGACGGAGGCCAAUUCCGCCUGUGCCGUGGCCAGGGCGGCUGCCGUGGCCUCCUCACGCCUCUCCGCCUCCGCUAGCCUGGGCCUAAGGGCAGCGGCCCUACCCGCAGCCUCCGUCUCUGCAAGCUGCAGCUUCAAGUCAUGCCUACCCUCAAGAUCCGCGCGAACCUCGGCCACCCGGCGAUCGACUUCCUCUUGGGCCUUGGCCUCGCGAGCACCGACGACAUCUUCCGCCUGGGCAACUUGAUGCUCCCUCGUCUCUAGUCGCUCAUGCUCGAGGCUACGCUCCACGGCUUCCAGCGCCAACGCCUCCUCGCGCCUCCGGAGCUCUUCUUCUUCAGCGGGCGUCCCCCUCAGCGAUGCAAGGGCGGCCUUGCGCGCCUCCACCUGCUGCUCCAGGGACGCGCUCCAGGCCUGGAGCUCCCACGUGCGCUUCUCCGCAGCCUCUCGACGGUGGUCAGCCUUGCGAGCCUCCUCCAAAGCUCGAAAGCAAGCCUCACGGGAGACCUCAAGAGACGCCUCGGCCUUCGCGUUGUCAUGAUCGCGCUGAUGAUGGCUAAGGUUGAUAGCCACCUUCAGCUUAUGCCAUUCCUCCGCCAACCGAAGACCCUCAGCCUUGAGGCGCGCAUCGAUGUCUGCGAGUUCACCACCAAGCCGGUUCAUCGCGCCCAUUGCCUCCUGGAAGAGCUCGUGGUGAACGACGGCCCGUUCAUGCUCAAGCUCAAGCGCACGGCCCAUCUCGCCUUCCCCCACGGGGGCUGCGGCGAGGCCUGAAGCGGUGCCCCGUCUCUCAGCAGGGAGCUGGGGGCUGGCACCGCCCUAGGAGCCAGCCAGGCCUUGCGAGGGGCCCGAACCAAUUGGGGCCCGCUGCUUAAAGUGGAGUCGAAGACCGAAGCCAACCAGCCACCGUCCAUGACCAGAGGAAGGGUCCUGGGCACGCCCGCCAAGCUCCAAGCAAGGCCGCAGAGGAGGGGCGACGAGGCCGUGGGCGCAAGGAACCAAGGAGGCAAGCGCGCCCCUCCGACCGACCCCGCACCAGGAGUGACAUGCGGGCUCGGGGCGCCCAAGGCCAGCGGGGGACUCGAGGAGGAAGGAGGCAGCUCCUCAGGAGAUGCAGCGGCUUUGGCGAAAGGGACCCUGAAAGGCCACCGUCAGGAAGGAAAGCAACACUCAGGAACCCACGAAGAUGCAGUACUUACUCGUCGACAGCGAUGUACUUCCUCCGCUUCAACGGCCCGAAGAUACCACUGCUGCCGCUCGGGGAUCCCUUCCUCUUGCGGAGCUCCUCGAAGUCCACACAAAACCGACCGAAGCGCUGGACGUGGCGGCCGGCGCGGGGCGCAACCGGAGAAACACUCGAGGGGACAGCCUCAGGGGCGCCAAGCUGAGGAGAACUGUUGGGCGCCACCUCGCAGCGACCUGUCGGAGUCUGAGGAACCUCGACCGGAGGAGUCGCGCGCUGCGUCGCCCCCGCGGCUGCCGCGCCAGGACAGGAAUCACGGGCUCCCGAUGAUGACGCCUCAGGAACCCCAGGCGGCAUCAGCACCCAGUGCUGGGGCCAUCGGUCUCGGACGGUGCUUGGCCCCCUGCGUCGACAUUCGGGGCGAGCCCGACGCCGACAGCGAAGAGGGGAAUGUCGGUUCAAUAUCCGGCGUAUCUCGUAGUAGGGGUCCUAAGCUAGGCGUCUGGGAGCGAUGGUAACAUGGACACGGGGUUUUACCUAGCUUCGGGCUCUCUUGAUGAGAUAAUACCCUACAUGCUGCUUUUGAUUGUAUUCAUAUGGGUGUAGUACAGAGUAUAUGUAUCUACCACGAGAUUGUAGUAAUGAAUACGAGAUUGUACAUAUACUUAUCAGCAUCGAGCUGAACCAUCUACAAAGCUCUAGAUGGCGACUCCCACCUCUCCACCGCCACCCUAACCCUAGCCACCCAACAUCGCCGGCGAUCCCCACAUCCCUCCGUGGAUUUUGCCAUCUAAUCGGCUCAUCUUUCCCGGCGUCUCUUCCUCUCGCCUCUGGUUGUCUUCUUCCUCAUGGCGGUCCACGCAGCGCUCUCCUUGGGAUUAGAUUUCUCCCCGGGGAUGAAGUUGGCGUCUGAGAUCCAACGCACCUUCAACAGAUCGGUGCACCCAACGGAGGACACGGGCCAUUUCAUUAUGGUCGUCUCUUAGGGAAAAAUCGAAAUGAAAUAAAUAAAGAAUAAAGCCAAAAAAAUAAGUCGAAGAUAGAAGAGCCCAGAUUCCAAAUGAAGAAAUGGAAACUCGAAGGCACACCUUCCGUCUUGAUGAGGAAAAUGUGGGGUUCGCUCUUGAGGCGGCCAUCGGAGGAUACUGCUCACACCUCAAGGUAUCUUUCCUCCACCAUGGCGUCUUCUCUUUCAACGUUUCUUGCAAGGAGGUGGGUUUUUUCAUCCUGCACCAGAGGAGUUUUGUUUGUGAUCAGUUCAAGUGUUUUUUCCACCUUUGGGAUCAUGGUGGCCCUGAUUGGCAGAAGGAAUUUCGUCUUUGGCAAUCUGAAUGCCAAGAGGAAUGGGUUUUAGUUAGCCCCUCUAAGAGGAGAGCUCGCCUUGGUUUAGAGGCCAUGAAAUUUCCUCCGGCCAAAUCUUCUCUCCGUGCUCGCGUGGCCAAAUCUCUUCCUAAGAAACAUGCUACGUUCGCCAUGUUCAUGCAAUACCCGGCGCGUAAGGGCUAUAGCUAUGGCCUGUCCACCGACGAGGUGGCCACGGUCAGAGCAGCUGAUUACCGUGUUUCGUCUCAUGAGGAUGCGGAUGAUCUUCCUCCGGUGACCACCCCACCGCCGGCAAGGCUAGUGAUUCAGUUUGGAACAAUCCCGCCUUCCCCGAAGGGUUUAUCUCCUGCCCGUUUAAACCCUGGAACCUCGGGUGGCCGAUUAGUUUUCACAUUGGAAGGUUUGGAUUCUCCUGCACCCACUCAGCCGCCUCCACCAGGCCAUGUUCCUCGGUUGGGCUCCAGGGUACAGCCCAUCUGUCUGUCUGAUGACGAGAGUGGCAGCCCAUCACCUCUGGCCUCUAGGGCUUCAUCCCCUGAGGAUAUUAUCCGAGACCUGCAAAGUUUUGACGUUAUGAUCGAAGAUAUGGCUGCGAGUUAUUGGGACUGUCAGCAUUGCUUGGCUAUGCGCCACACAUCAGAGACAUGCACGAAUCAGGUCCGGUGCCGCAAUUGUUUUCGUUCGGGACACGUUAAAAAAAUUGCACCGGCAAGCCGCCUGACUUGUCUGUCUGGGUGCCUAAAGUCCCAUCGCCGGGUUUUGGGAAGCGGGACCGAACAGAGGAUUUCUCUCCCCCCGUCUCUCUAGUUUCCCGAGACCAAACGACUCCGGAGAAAACCCCAUCCUCUGCUUCUCUGCCGCCACCAUCGCCGCCUGACCGCCCUGUCGAGCACACCCAAGCUUCCCCCAGCUCUGGUCCGGCUCCUGCUCCGCAGCCUCCAAUGGCGGUGUUUGAGAUUGACCCGCAUCGCUUCAUCCCUGCGGGCUUCGACAUUGAAGAUGGCGGAGCAGAUCGUCUACCCCGCACCUUCUACACGCCGGCCGUCCCGCCACCCCGAGCGCAUGAGUAGUACAUGGUGGCCAUUGUGGAGACGAUCCCGCCUCCAGAGCUAGUUGGGGUCCAUCGCCAGUAGGUUCUUGAUUUCCUAGUUCAAGUGAUGCAUGUUCCAGUUAUUUCUGCUCAGACUUGGUUUCAAGGAGUUGGUCUGUUCGAGAUGGAAGAUCCAGUUGUCCGGGGCUCUUUUACUCUGCAUCCGCCGUUUCCCUUAGGGGUCGAUGAUGAUGGCAAUGAGUUUUUUGUCCGUUUUAUCCCGCAUAAUCAGGGUGAAGGUUUUCGUGCUAUUCAUGGCCAGUGGACGGGGUGGUUGAUGUUCAUCGGCAUCCCUUUAGACUAUAGAAACACCCAGUGCAUUGCUGAUAUGGUUGGGUCUUUUGGACAGUUCCACUACUGGAAUAGCACUGACAGGCGUAAAGUUAGAGCUUUGGUCCGUGCCUUGUUCCCUGACAAUGCGCUAGUUCCUCGCUCGGUCACCUUUCGGGAAUUUGCCAAUUGGGGUGAUGUCAUGGUGUCUUGGUCUGCUGGUUGCUAUAUCUUAUUAGGGGAAUUUGCUGGUGCCAUGAUCCCAGCGGAUGAGGAUCCAAUGCCUCUCAAUGGGAAUCCCCACCCGUUGCCUGGCGUUCAGGUGCCGCAACCGUUUUGGGCAAUGCCUCCAUACCCUGCUCUGGGAUGGAAUGCCGUUCCUCCGGGCCCUCAUCAAGGACAGAAUGAGGUGGCGGGAUGGGCUGAUAAUGUGCAGCAGGCAGCAGGAUGGGGCCCGUGGGAGGAGCAGAUUCAGCCUGAUCAUCAGCAGCAGCAUGAGGAGGUUCAACCUGUCCAGGACCAGAACUCUAUGAUUUUGAACCCAUCUGCGGAUUCUUCUGAUGAUGAGGAUAUGGCUGAGGUCCAGCAGCCUCUACAAGCCCCACCAAUAGUGCAGCUGGAGCCGAUUCAUCUUGGUAUGGUCCGGGUUUUUUAUGGGCCAGUUCUGCCGCCGGCCAUGAUCUGGGAGAGAUCAUUCAAGUCUUUGUUGCCUGAAUUCUUCACCAGGGAUAUACCAGCUUGUCUGCCUAGUUUUUCUGCGACGUUGCUACAAGUCAAAUUUGGGUCUGCCGAUCUGCAAGAGAAGUAUCAGCUCCUUUCUGCCAAGUAAGAUGUCUCCGUUCCUGGACCCAGCUCUUCGGUGGUCAUUGAGGAGUUGGCACCUGAUGAUCUCUCGUGCUACAAUUACUAGGUUACACCUUCUCCCUCCCCGGUCUCUCAAGAGGAUUUUCAGUUUUCUUCGGUUACUCCAUCUCCGCUGGGCAAGCGACCACGUUAGUCUGCACGCUCCAGGCGCUCUAUCACGCUUGUGGAGCCAGUUCUGGACUUCUCCACUCGAAGGAUGACGCGCAGUUCUGCCAAGAGGACGGGCAUGAAGCCAGUCUCUGCCAUCCCUCCGAGGUCUGCCCCCAGCGUCGCUCGAAGGCCAAGAAGCUUCGUCUUGAUGAUGAGCCCAGCAUGCUCCCUCUCCCACCUCCGACGCCUAUUCCGACACUGUAGGCCAUUGGAGUGGCUUUGGGCAUUGAUCCGUCUGAGUUAUCGGUUGAGAAGCUUAUGGCUUCUCCCCGUCCUGCGGCAGAAGACGAUGGUUCACAUGAUGCUUGACGGCCCACGAAGCUUCAUGGAGAGCUGGGCGCUUUUGCUUUUGUGCCCAUUUUUUGUUUUCAAUGACUUUCUGCAACACUUGGUUACUGUUACUGCCACUUAUGUUCCGCUUAUGUCCAUGCUGUUAAGCAGCUGGAUCUGCAACUAUACCCCUGCGCUGUUUUUUAUGGAUAAUUGCUAUUUUCGAAACUGGAAUGUGCUCUGUUGGAAUCUGCAUGGGCUCAAUUCUGAGGCUCGGCAGCGUGAUCUACGUGCCAAGAUUGAGGAGAGCAGAUGUUCUGUUCUUUGUCUGCAAGAAACUAAAUGUGAGAGCUUUGAUAUUCGUACGAUUAGAUCCUUCUGCCCUAUGCGGUUUGAUCAAUUUUCGUUCUCACCUUCUGUUGGAGCCUCUGGCGGAAUUCUCGUUGUUUGGAAUUCCUCGAUCUUUCAUGGCCAGCUUGUGGAUAUUCAGAGGUUUGGUGUUGUCGUCUCUUUCCAAUUGUUGCAGAAUUCUGAAAAAUGGACCCUAACCUCUGUCUAUGGGCCAUGUGAGGGUCAGCCUAGGGACGAUUUCGUUAGUUGGCUUUAUCACCUACAAAUCCCUCCCGAUGAAAAUUGGCUCUUGUUGGGGGACUUUAAUUUCAUCAGAUCUUUGGAGAACCGAAACCUCCCGAGUGGUGAUACCAACGAUAUCUUCCUAUUCAACGAAAUAAUUGGUCACCUUGGACUUUUGGAGUUGCCCUUGAAGGGCAGUAGCUUUACCUGGUCUAAUAUGCAGCAAAACCCCCUGCUUGAGCAACUUGAUUGGUUCUUUACAACUGCUGAUUGGAUUUCACACUACCCAAACACUGUGGUUACUCCACUAGCCAGAACUUAUUCCGAUCACGUGCCUUGUGUGGUGUCCAUUGACACUACUAUUCCUGCGGCCAAGAUUUUUCGGUUUGAAAAUUUCUGGUUGGAUAUGCCGGGGUUCAUGGAUUGUGUCUCCAAGUCCUGGAAUGCACCUGUCUUCUCUGAUCUUUCUACUUCUGCGGUUAUCACAAGGAAAUUUAAGCGACUGCGGUAUGAUUUGAAAAUUUGGAGCAAAAAGCUAUCGUACAUCAAGAAGCUUACUGUUGAUUGCUCAAAGGUGAUCCUGCACUUUGAUCAGUUGGAGGAAGUACGACCUUUAACACGGCCGGAAUUCAACUUUCGGAAACUUGUGAAGUUUCACUAUGAACAUCUGUUAAGACUUCACUAUAUAUAUUGGAAACAGAGGUGCACUAUUAGGUACAUCAAGGUUGGCGAGGAGAAUUCAAAAUUUUUUCAUGCCAUGGCCUCUGAGCGUAUGAGGAGAAACUCCAUCUCCAGUGUGAAAACCAGUUCCAUGCUUGAUCCAGUGACUGAUCACGCUUAGAUGGCGGGAAUCCUUUGGGCCUCAUUCAAAUCUAGGAUGGGCCAGGCCCAAGGGAUCACUAUGGGCUUUGAUUUGAAUCAUUUAAUCCAACCCAUCCCGGGACUGGAGGAGCUGUCCUUGCCAUUUUUUGAGGAGGAAAUUAACAAAGUUUUGAAGGAUUUGCCGGUGGAUCGGGCACCUGGUCCAGAUGGCUUUAAUGGGAUGUUCGUCAAGCGCUGUUGGCCUAUAAUUCAGGAGGACUUCUUGAGGAUGAUUCGGGAUUUUUAUGAGGGGAAGCUUUCGUUGGAAAAUAUCAAUUCCUCCCUCAUUACGCUCAUACCCAAGAUCAUUUCACCCGAAGGGCCCGAUGAUUUUCGGCCAAUCUACCUCACCAACACUUGUCUUAAAUUCCUAACAAAAUUGUUGGCCAAUAGAUUGCAGAGGGUGAUCCUUAAGUGCAUCCACAAAAAUCAGUAUGGGUUCCUUAAGGGUACGUCGAUUCAGGAUUGUCUGGCCUGGAGUUUUGAGUAUAUUCAUCAAUGUAAACAAUCCAAGCAUCCAAUUAUAAUCCUUAAGUUGGACUUUGCUAAGGCCUUUGACACGGUUGAGCAUGAGGUUAUUCUUCAGAUGUUGCAGCAUAAAGGGUUUGAUGCCAAAUGGAUUCUUUGGAUUAAAUAGCUGUUGUCUACAGGUUCUUCUUCUGUUCUGUUAAAUGGCAUUCCUGGAAAGCAAUUCUUGUGUAAGUGUGGCGUCAGGCAGGGUGAUCCACUCUCACCUCUGCUGUUCGUCAUUGCAGCAGAUCUGUUGCAAUCUGUGGUCAAUCAAAUGCUGGUGUCUGGCACACUCUCUUUGCCUCUUCAGACCCAUGACAGGGAUUUUCCCAUCAUUCAAUAUGCGGAUGACACGAUCCUAUUUCUUGCAGCUAAGGAUGAUGAGCUUGUUGCCCUCAAGAAUAUGCUGCUUACAUUUCAACAAUCCACUGGUUUAAAGGUCAACUUUGCUAAAUCCUCAAUGAUCCCACUGAAUAUGCCUAAUGAGGAGGCUGACAGACUUGCUGCUAUUCUUGGUUGUAAAAUUGGCCAGGUUCCAUUUACUUAUCUUGGAUUGCCUUUGGGAACUACAAGGCCAAGGAUCAUUGACCUCAUGCCCUUAGUUGACAGUCUUGAAAGGAGGUUAACUGCAAGCUCUUCUAUGCUGAAUCAAGGCUCUCGUCUGCAGCUUCUCACCUCUGUCCUGAUCUCUCUGCCAAUAUACUUUCUGUGUAGCCUCAGUAUCCCAGCCGGGAUCAUUAAGCAACUAGACAGAAUUUUCAGGCAAUGCCUUUGGAGGGGUAACAGUGAUGUUCCAAAACAGUCGAUGGCUGCUUGGGAACUAGUUUGCAGGCCAAGAGAUAAGGGUGGUUUGGGUAUUAUUAAUCUGAACAUCCAGAACAAAGGCCUGCUUCUCAAGCAUCUUCACAAAUUCUAUAACAAGGUUGAUGUUCCUUGGGUGACCCUGAUAUGGAAUAGCUACUAUGAUCAUGGGGUCCCACAGGCAACAGCUAAUGCUGGAUCUUUCUGGUGGAGAGAUGUUCUGAAGCUGCAUGAGGCUUAUACUGCUAUUGCCUCAGUACAUAUCAACAUGGGUGAUUCUGCUCUGUUCUGGACUAAUUCUUGGCACAUUGGGGGCUCUGCUAGACCCCUAUGUUGGAGAUUGCCAAGGUUGUUUUCUUUUGUCCAUAAUGACAGGAUCUCUGUGCGGGAAUUUCUUCAAACCCAGGAUCUUUUCUCUAUGUUUUAUUUGCCCCUUUCUCAUGAGGCUGCUGCUGAGUUGCAAAUUCUGGAAAGUUGGAUCACGCAGUUAGACAGAGACCCCACCUUACCUGAUGUUUGGAUAUGGCCUGGUCAAUCAGGAGGGUACACUGUGAAAAGUUUUUACAUGAUCAUGCACUCACACUUACCUACAAUACAACCUUGCAAAUAUCUUUGGCAGAGUAAGUGCACCAUGAAGAUCAAGGUGUUCGGCUGGCUUUUAUUCUUUGACCGACUUAACACCAAGGAUAUGCUGGUUAGGAGACACUGGCGCUCAAACCAGGAUGACAAUCUUUGCCUCACCUGCAGUGAGCUAGCGUAUGAGGAUAGAAUACAUCUGUUUUUUAGCUGCACCUUCAGCCGUAGAGUCUGGAACUAUUUGGGUAUUGAUUGGUCUGGAGGCUCAGAUAUUCUGCAAUGUAUCCUGCACGCCAGGUCCAGCUUCAAACACCCUUUCUUCGUUGAAGUUUUGCUAACAGCAGCAUGGAAUAUUUGGAUUUUGCGAAAUGGCAGAAUCUUCAGAGCUGAGAGAGCUACUUUUAGUGCUUGGAAGUGUAAAUUCAUCCAUGAUAUUUCUUUGCUUGCUCACAGGGUGAAGGACUGUAACAAGCCAAAGCUUUUGGCUUGGAUUGCUUCUUUGUUGUAAAGCAAGUACAAUUAGUUAGCAAAUAGGUAGACUCUUUUCCCUUUUGUUUUCCUUCCUUGUAUAGUUUGUUUUUUUUUGUACAGUGGUGCUUUAUCUAAUAAAGGGCUGUGGGGCUUUGCCUCACAGUAUAUAUUCAAAAAAAAUAUGAGAUUGUCUAUUGACUAGCCUGGCCUCGGUUUAUAUAUGCACCGUAGGCCUAGGGUUUAGAGGAGUCCUUGUCUUGGGCACCAAGUCUUGUAGAAUCCUCCUUGUAUGCGGCAUGGGCUGUCCGAACUGGCCCAAUAGUGAACCGCCAUGGGGGUCCUCGACCAGAUCCAGCUGGUCGGGGACGACGUGGUGAGUACCCCCCUAGUCCAGGACACCGUCAGUAGCCCCCUGGACCGGUCUUCAAGUUGGGGACGCUCCUCGAUUCUUCUGAACUGUUCUUCAUCUUCGGUCGUCGGUCUUGAAAACUGGUUCAACAAAUCUUCUCAUCUUCGAUCUUGAGGAUCGCCGAAAUGCAUCCGAAGAGUUUACACGUCAGGUAUCCGAGGAGUCCCUUUAAGUUUCCGGCCUUUAUCAAUGCCCUGUUAUUUUGACGCCACACCACGGGUUUGAAGUUGUUCCCGGGCGGCAGUGUCCUCUUGCAUCCGAGCUCCAACGCUGGACUGCAUUCGAGGUAUCUUUUGCAGCCGAGCACCAACGCCGGACCGCUUCCGAGCUCCAACGCCGGAAUGUAUCCGAGCUCCAACGCCAGACUGUAUCCGAAGAGUAUUGUUAUAGUCGAGCUCCAACGCCAAACUAUGUCCAAGCUCCAACACCGGACUAUGUCCGAGGUGUCAUAGAUCACCUUGGUUCAAAAAAGUGUUAGCCGAGCUUAAUGCCGGAAAUGCCCUCUAAGGAGCCAGCCACUUGCAUCCGAGCUAUAUGCCGAACUGCUUCCGAGGUGGCUCAGCACCUCGGUCAUGGGCUGAUUGUUUGCAGAUUUUAUUUCCGAUGCGUAUAAAUUUAUUUGCCGACGAGAUGUAUUGCCAGUAGCCCUCAAGGUGUCUAUCGGCCUAAAAUCUGAGAUGCACCUAAAGGAAAACAUAAAACUGCUGAUCUUGGUAGCCCCUGAGACCCAGGUCAUGAAAUCGGCCUGAGGAUCAACUCCUAGCUCGGCAGCAUACAUAGGAAUAGAAACACAGUGUAUUAUAUUAGAGGUAAUAGUGAUUGACGGACGGGCCCCUGAGAGAGGGUCGUGAGAAGUCGUCGUGAUAUAUCAGCUUGAUGCCGGAUAAGUCCCGUAUGGUACUUAUUGUCGUCCGAAGAUGCGCUUGUCCAUAGUUCGGUUAUGCCGAACACUGAGCACUUUGAAUUUUCUGCAUUGAAUAGGCAAUGCAGUAGCCCCCGAGACACUGGUCGGGUGGCAACACCAGAUUAGGGGAUCGAUGUGCCCCUUUAAUAUUUGUAAAUAAUGAGCGCAAAGCCCAGUAGCCCCCGAGCCUUAAUGUGGGCACGGGUGGCCGAAUUAAGGAUCAAUAUCCGUUUGACAGAAAAUUUUGUUGUGUUUAACACAAACUUUUCAGAAAGAGAAUAAAGAUCUCUUAAAAGAGUUUAGAGCUAGUCGAAAUCCGAGCUCGCCAAGGUAGGCCCCAAGGGGUUUAAAAGAUGGAUUGCAGUAAAUGGAUUUUACUCGCAAUUUUUAUGUGUAAUGAUUCUAUGUAUCCAAGUACUUUUCAUCAUUAAUGCUCAAAUCCGCAUUGUACAAAACUUUGUUGACCGACCAUCGGCUUCAACCUCCUCGACCAGUAGCUGGGGAGUAUUUGUCCUACUUUAUAAAGCCGUUAUAAGGGCAAAGUUUUACGGCAAACAAGGCAAUCCGGUCAUACGAUUUAUAAACAAAGGUACACGGAGAGAUAUGUUAUAUUACGUUUCAACGUAAGAAACAUCUUCCAAAGAAAAUAGUCCUGCUAUCAGUUCCUUUCUUUGGGUCAUCAUGCUUAUCAUGAUCAUGAAAACUCACCUCCGAUCAAUGUGGGGGGGGGGGAAUAUUGAGGAUUUAGUUCGGCGAAAGUUCCCAAACUCUAUGGUAUUAAUGAACCAAAAAAUUUACUUCCGCCGUUGCCGACCGAUAUGAUCCUUUAAGAUUGCUAGCUUUUGGCUUCACCCAGUCUGAGGUACUAACUCGGCUGACCCGGUAGUAACAAUCACAGAGGUGCUCCCUUUACCACCUAGCCGAACAAUCGAGAAUGUAGGGGUAAGCACAGGAGCCAGGCAACCCUGCUUGGCCAAAAUCUUAAGUCAAAUUGAUGCAUAUGUAUGGCUUUAUAACGAUGAUUACGGAAGACAGCCUUUGUAUAUUAAAUACAAACGCCGAUGAUAUGUUUAUUUUGACUCCGUUGCGACCGUUUAUCAGUUGAAAGUGGCCCAUUGUCGGCUUCCGCCCCACUGUAGAUGCUACGCAGGGUGUUUUCGCAAUAACAAAACAACCCUUAGCCGAUGUCUCGGUGCCCGAAGGCGGUUGUGUUAGCGGAAACGAGGCAAUCAGAUAUGCGGGCUUUAUAACUUUCACUUAGUCAUAGGAGCUUUAAACUGGGGAAGCUAUCUACGAGCCCCCGGUUAGUGUUCGGUGACAGCCGAGGUCAAGCCGUAAACACUUCGGCCAAUGAUAUGAAUGGCCCGUCAUUUAACAUAGUCAUCGGAUCGCUGACCAGUUUACGCUUAUUGUGACAGUCAGUUUUCGGCUUUCUCCACUGAGGUGCUUAACCAUGCGAGAUGGAAGUACAAUCGUAGUGGUUCUCCCUUUGCACACCUAGCCGAACAAAGCGGAACAUAGGAGGCAAGCACAGGAGCCGGGCAACCCAACUAUUGACCGAAGACACAAUUCGAAACCGAUGCAUAUAUAGAAAUAUCUGAGAAUGUUUUCGCCGAAUCUCUAAAGGUGUCCGGUGUUGCACUGCGAGACUUAUGAGGGAAACACACAAAUAGUUUAAAAGUGCCAUAGGCUUGGAAAACCCAACAAUUUAGUAAAAACUUGACGUCCGAAUUAGAUCAAGUGUUCGGUGCCAAUCCGAAAAUUGGUCAAAAAAGGGUGCUUCUGUCGUGCAUUAAUAUGACACAUCCGAUCUCAAGACCUCAAGCGGGUCAGCCCAUGGCUGUAACCUCCUAUCCCGUAGGCGGAGUACUGCUCGUUAGGCCAGUUUAGCGAACUAAACUCGAACGUCUUUGAGAGAGAGACUAGGCUCCCCGGCUAUUGACCACACACUCGCGUCGAAAAAAGGAGUGAUAGAAAAAGAUUUUGCAAUGACCAAGAAGAAAACAUUUAUUAUAAAAUGGCUCAUACUAAUUUAAGAGCCCCCGAGUGACUUGGGCAAAAGAAUUUUAUGUAUAAUGAUUGUAUGUACGGAAGUACUUAUAUCAUAUCUGUGUUCACCCGAACUUUAAACGCGUCUUAACCGACCGUCGGCUUCUCCCUCUUCGGUAAAGGACCGAAAAGUGUUAUGUACUCCACCUGUCGAGAAUAUCGACGAUGUUUCCGAUAACCAGGCAAUCAGGCCAUAAGGCUGUAACAGACAAAGCGCGCUCAGGGAACUUAUGCUAUAUUACUGACGAAGUGUAAGAAGCAUCUUCGAAGAAAAUAGUACCUCCACCGAUACCUUUCUUCGGUUGCUCAUUGUUACUAUGAGACUUGUGCAAUAGAUUCUUUGUACUCAUGAGUUCCGUUGUGUGCCGAUCAUAAUUGAAAACAAUAAGAGCGCUAGCUUUCGGCUUCACCCAGUCUGAGGUCCGAGCUCGGAUGACCCGGUCGUGACAAUCGCAGAGGUGCUCCCUUUACUCCCUAGCCGAACAAUCGGGAAUGUAGGGGUAAACACAGGAGCAAGGCAACCCAGCUUGCGGAACACUUAAGUCAACAUGGUGCAUAUUGUGGCGCAAUACACGAACAAGGAACGAAGCCAUACAAGUAUAAUCAUAUGCAAGAGGAAAGGCUUCAUAAAGGAAGCCCCCAAGUAAACGGGGUAUUUGAAUUUGUGUGUCACAAACAAAGUUUUGACGAGGAAUUUUUUCACAAACAACCUUUUGCCAACAAAGUAUAAUGCUUGGUCACAAGUUAAAAAUUUAAGACUUCGAGCAUGAAAACGACUUAGCUGGUUGAUGUGUUCGGCAUUGAUGAUGCGGUCCGAGCAUACGGUGGGACAAGGUCCCAGCCCCCAAGCCGGUCCCGAGGUGGCAGAGCGAAGAGCUCGGCACUCUGAAGUGGCGACAUAGCACGACCAAUGCAGGCCCGCAGUGUGACGCCGAAGUCCCCGGCGUGGGUUAAUGAAGUGAUGACGAAGCUCUCGGCCCAGCCGAGGUGACGUGGUACGUCGGUACGCAGAGGUAACAGCGCUGCCCAAUCCGGAUCCUUUAUCUGUGCACAGAAAAUAGUGCAAGCAGAGAUAAUAGGAAUAAUAAUAAAUUUAAAAAAAUGUUGCAUAAUUAAUAAUUUACGCAAAGUGAGUAAUAAAAGACAUAUGGCCUGUGUGCCGAACACUCGAUGAGGUAGAGCUCUCUCAACGAUGCCAAAGUCCCCGAGGCAACCGAACACGUCGGUAUGGCAACACGACCAACAAGGUGAUCACGUGAGCCGAUUUACGCUGAUUGGGACGACGGCGUCGGCUUGUCGAAGAGAUCACGUGACGUAGUCGAAGUCCAUUACCGAACCACCAUGUGACCAUCGUUAAAUGCGGCCACCAUUUGAUAGACCUGCGUACAUAUGAUGGAACAAACCAGAGUAAUAAUUCCUUGGGAAAAAUAAACCCAAACAAGCAAAAAUUAUUAGGAUAAAUAGCACCUGGUUUAUUUGUUGUAGCAAUCCGAAGAAAGGUGACUCCCAAAAUUGGGACUUGAUCCGCACACCCAUUACCUGAUGGGCGAUAAAGCGACGGCAUGGCGAUGCUGGCAAAGGUUGGCUUGCCGAGACAAAGCCCUCGGUCCUGCUAACGUGACGAAGCUGGUCGGCUGGUGACGCCGAAGUCACCGGAGUAUGUUGAUGAAGAAAUAGCCAAGUCCCCGGUCCAGCCGAGGUGACGGAGCAGGUCGGUGAGGAGAAGUUGCAGCUACAAUGUUAGCCGAGGUGUUGAAGCAAGUCGGCGUGAUGGACAUCGGCUUGAAGAAGCAACAGUGCGGCCAUGCUGACGCAGGUCGUGACUUGUGACGCGGUCAAUGCCGGCUUGAUGAAGUGACCAUGCGGCGAUGCCGGUGUGCCUGCUUCGUGUAAUCCGUGGGGCAGCGAUGUUGGUGAUGAUUUAUCCUUCGCGAUGCCGAACUCUUGUUCGGCUUGCCGAGAUGAUGAUCGAAGAAGUUGAGCUUGGCUCAACAAAGCGGCGACGUGUCUAGCGCAGGUCGGCGGCCGUGGAGCAAUAUUGCCGGACUGGUUUGACACCAGCGUGAUGGUGAAGAUUACCUCAGAGGAGGCUUAAAAUUUUAUGGCUACAUGUUUAAAAACAACGCCCAACACCCUAGAAAAAAUUCCUUCAAAAGGGUUGUCCAAUAUUCCGUUCAUGAAGAAACAUGAACUCGGGCCGGAUUCGUAUUCGCACAGAAAACAGAUCCAAAAAUUGGUCCACUCAUCGGAAGGUUCCCGGAGUUUGAACCGUCGGAUCGAGCUGAAAUUUGGAGGGGUGGUAGAUAUGGGAAUUCCACAGCAGAUGAACGGUUGGAGCUUCCAAAGGACCUCCGAGCUGGGAUCUGGAGACCACGCCCUAAACUCGUCCAGAUUCUCGUCCAGAUUUGACAGGGCUUCGGUAUAUCGUAGAUUGCCAGAGAUUCCUCCAUCGGAACUCGACAAAAUUUGGCAUGGGUGUUGUACACUUAAUUCCGCACAAUUCCACUGAAGGAAUCAUCAAAGCGAUGCUUGAGGAGGUGGUGGCAGCGGAUACAAGUUUUUUGUUCGAAAAAAACAGCACGGUCGCCCGAGGGCAAUGUUGACGUUGAGCCCCCGAGCUCCAUGGAUGAUUCUUCCAUGAUCAUGCUAGAGAUCGGAGUUGAUGUUGACGAAGGCCCUCGUCCGAACAUGAUGAUCGGAGGUAGGGCACAGUCCUUGGUUAAGCCAAGGUGGCCAGUCGAGCUGACGACAAAAGAUGCCGACAUCGACCAUAAAGCUCGGCUCCGAUGCGUAGGUCGCGCCGGAGACGAUCCGAAUUCCCAUCGCCCCGUGGCGACCCCCAGCAGGCUCUCAAUGAAAGCACCAAUGUCGGUUCAAUAUCCGGCAUAUCUCGUAGUAGGUGUCCUAAGCUAGGCGUCUGGGAGCGAUGGUAACAUGGACACGGGGUUUUACCCAGCUUCGGGCUCUCUUGAUGAGAUAAUACCCUACAUGUUGCUUUUGAUUGUAUUCAAAUGGGUGUAGUACAGAGUAUAUGUAUCUACCACGAGAUUGUAGUAAUGAAUAUGAGAUUGUCUAUUGACUAGCCUGGCCUAGGUUUAUAUAUGCAUCGUAGGCCUAGGGUUUAGAGGAGUCCUUGUCUUGGGCGCCAAGUCUUGUAGAAUCCUCCUUGUAUGCGGCAUGGGCUGUCCGAACUGGCCCAAUAGUGAACCGCCAUGGGGGUCCUCGACCCGAUCCAGCUGGUCGGGAGACGACGUGGUGAGUAGCCCCUAGUCCAGGACACUGUCAGGAAACCACGUGGACGGGGUUCUCACAGGGCCCCACCGGGCCAUCUGGGCGCAGCCCCCACUCAUCAAAGGAAGGCAUGUGCUCCACGAAUUUCUCCUUGUUCGAGCAGCAGUACAGCAAGCAACUCUUCCCAGGCAUGUCAUCCGGCAACUGAAUGCCCGCCAAGACCCCAAGCACCGUCUGACGCAUCUCAAGAGGGAGCCCGGACUCCUGAAGCCUCAUAUGGUCUUUGCUGUUGAGCAAGGCCCACAUCGAUCGAGAAUGGCGCUGAAGCGGAGCGAUUCGGCGCCUGACGAACUCCUUCACCACCAUAGGCGCAGUCACACCAAGGUCUUUCAGCUUCUUCAGCCUGAGCCAAACGGGGACAAGGCAAGGACUCACGAGCUUCGCAUGGCCCCAGCCGGAGUUGGGGACAGCAGGAGACGACGGAGACGAGAGCAGAGGGUUGAGCACCCCGACGUCAACAAAUACCCACCAUGUCUGGAAUCCGCUCAUGGAUGGAGGAAGCUUGAAGUCGAUCCCCGCGCCCGCCGUCGUAGCCACAGCAUGGAAGCUCAGGCAUCCCGAGCUCUGCGACGAGAAGAAGUGGCGGAGAAGGGCCACGGAAGGGGCAAUGCCCACCAUGGCCUCACACACAAAGGUGAAGACAGCAAGAAGGGUCACGGAUUGGGGAUCAAGAUGCAGCAUGUGGAUCUGGUAAUGUUCAAGCACCGCGUUGAAGAAAGCGGAGAAAGGGGGAACUAGGCCAGCCCACAGAGCGUCGAUGAAGAUUGGGACCUCGGUGGCAGCCCGGUCAAUGCGAGCGUGGGACGCAGGCCAAGCCACCAUCUUCCCCCACUCAUUGAAGCUGGAUGCGAGCAUGGGACGCACCUUGCCCAUGGCCUCGUCGUUGAGUACCAACGAUCUUCCAACCGCGGGCUCAACGGCCGGAGGCGCACUGGUCGAAGACAGAGGUUUCUUCCCCUUAUCCGCUUGUGUCGGCGCCAUGGCAAUGGAGUGAGCAAGGCCCAAGUCAUAUCGGAAAGAGGAGCAGAGUUCAGGGGAAGCAGAGGAAUUGGGGAAGUAUGGCGCAGGCGAUGGAGGAAUAACUGUGUAGGCUAUGGUGACUGCCUAGCCAGGCGGAUUCCAGGGCUGCGUUGGGAAGCGGAGACGCCCACGUCCAAUCAACCGCCACGCGUCGACCAAGGCCAUAGGCUAUUGGGGCCCGCGGCGCUCCGCACUUGACCUUUGGCUUCGCCUCGAAGCCAAGCCCGAGUGCGCCUUGGGCCUGAGGGCUACUAUCGGCGUUCUGGGAAUGGGGGUCCCUAGACUUGCCUGCCUGCGGCCCACGGCGUGGCUCUGCGAGCGGGCCCGCACGGCCCAUCUUCACCAACAAGCACUCAAGACCCUCGCGAGGGGCUAAGCCUCGCGAGGCGGACGACACAAGACCUCCUUAGGAGCGGCCUCACCAGGUUGGCUCACCAGGGGUGGAGAGAUCAAGGCAAGGCAUACCUCGCGAGGUUCUCGUGACGUGAGCCAUGACGACCCGAUCAGGCGGGCUCCAGCGCGCACAGUGUCCUUGUUUCCCCUUUGGUGCUAAGGAGGCAAGCGCAGGCGCGGAGUACCGAGGCGUCAAGCAAAGGUUUCCAUAUUAGUGCAACGAGACCAAGACCAGCGGGACGGCAAGACGGAGGUCACCAUGGAGCCCAAGGCAGCGUCACCACCAAAGCCUUUUGCAGGCGAAGACUACUUUUGUCAGGAUAAGCUGUACUAGUUGUCCCCUUCCAAAUUGGUCGUUGUUGGCGCCCUUCCCGCUCAAUAUUUGGGAAGAGGACCAGGGCCUCUAUAAAUAGGACUAGCCACCACCAUAGAGGGGGGCGGAUCAUUGAGACCACCCUUGCACCCAUCAGCUCUCCGAGCACAAGAACACCUUGCGUCAGGAGGCUGUUCUUCCCUUGUAUUGUUCAUCCAUAGCCCAAGAGGCAAUCCACCACCACACACUGGAGUAGGGUAUUACACCACAAUGGUGGCCCGAACCAGUAUAAAUCCUGUGUCCCUUGUGUUGCGAGUUCGUUGAGUUAGCCCUUGAGAUCAUAGCCAAACUAGGACGUGGAUCGGUAGGGAGGAGAUCUUCGCGCGCACCCCAGUGUUCGAACCUUGAGGGCUUUGCCGGAACCCGUGAUCCGAUAGCGAGUGCUAUAUCAUCCAUAAUUUCUUGAUAUAAGGUAAAAGGAAUAGCACUCACGCUAGCACCCAAGUCACAUAAACCAUCAUAACAAUAAUCUCCUAUUUUGACUGAGACAACAGGCAUGCCAACAACAGGUCUAUGUUUAUCUUUUUCAUCGGGUUUGGCAAUUCUAGCAGCUUCAUCACAAAAGUAAAUAACAUGCCCAUCGAUAUUUUCUACCAAGAGAUCUUUAACCAUAGCAACACUAGGUUGUACUUUGAUUUGUUCCGAAGGUCUAGGUGCUUUGAUAUUACUUUUGCGGACCACAGUUGAAACCUUAGCAUGUUCCUUUAUCCUAAUAGGGAAAGGUGGUUUUUCAAUAUAAGUAGUAGGAACAACUGGAUCAACAUUGUAAAUGAUAGUUUUUUCUUUAGCUAUUACCGGUUCUUUAAUUUCUUCUUUAAUAGGUGGAUGAUACUUAAACCACUUCUCCUUAGGGAGAUCAACAUGAGUAGCAAAUGAUUCACAGAAAGAGGCUACUAUCUCAGAGUCAAGUCCAUAUUUUGUGCUAAACUUGUGAAAAGCAUCGGUAUUCAUAAAAGAUUUAACACAGUCAAACUUAAGCUUAAUACCUAACUAUUUACCUUCGCCGAGUUCCCAAUCUUCAGAGUUACAUUUAAUUAUUUCUAAAAGAUCCCACCUGAAUUCAAUAGUCUUCUUCAUAAGAGAACCAGUACAAGAAGUAUCGAGCAUGGAUUGAUCAUCACGAACAAGCCAAGCAUAAAAAUUCCGAAUGAUAAUUUCUCCUGAGAGCUCAUGGUUGGGGCAUGAAUAUAACAUUGACUUAAGCCUCCCCCAAGCUAGAGCGAUACUUUCUCCAUCACGAGGCCAAAAAUUAUAUAUAUAAUUUCGAUCACGAUGAACUAGAUGCAUAGGAUAUUUUUUGCUGAAAUUCCUAUUUCAAUCGAUUCCAAUUCCAAGAUCCAAUAUCGUCGCAUAGCCUAUUGUGACAGCCUGGAUUUUGCCUUCUCUCUUUUGCCGGACUUGCCUUCUCCCUUUUUCCGGACUUGGUUUUCACCGUGGUUUUUGGCCUGAUUUGAUUUGGGUUUUGAAUCAAUUCAAAUGGACUUGUCACUUGGGAAUAUCCUUGGCUCUCACACAAGUGAUCUAUCGACCUUAUUCCUUCCACAAAUCCCCAAAAUAAUCAAAUGAAUAUUUUUCCUAAAAGAAAAAAAUUCUUUUUUCUCUCCUAAACUCACUUCAGAACCUUGUGCUCCAAAGCAACCUCAUUUUUUCUUGCUUAGAAAAAUCUGAGAUAAUUCCUAAAUAUUCUUAGAACCCUGGCACACCUUCCCAUGCAAAAAUAUUGCAUCAUUUUUUUGUAAUAUUUUUGCUGUAGAAAAUCUUUUCACUUCUGUCCCAGAAAUGCACUUUGUACAGCAAGUGCAUUUUUCCUUUAGCUUUUGGCCUUGAGCUUUCUUGAGCUUAAACACCUUCCUAAGAAACCCUAAACCCCAGGAGAUUAGCCCUAAUAGCCUUCUAGAAGGUGGCCAAACUUGGCAACCAAGUUUCUGACCAGAAACUUGCCAGCUUGGUAGAGUCACGUCUGGUCGGCCUGGGUAUGAUCCAUCACCCCUCCUAGACAUAACACUGCACGGUCGAGCGCGUAGACAAGGUUUGGCCGCUCCUGGCCGUCGUUUUGACCAUGCCAGCAUGGUGACCGCGCGAGGACACGGCGUCUGGCAGCGUCUCGACGCGCUCUGGCUGUUGCCUUGCCCUCUAUUUCGCGCGUGCUCAUUCCAGCGCUCACCUCCGACUGCCGCACCGCACCACAACCCUCGACCCAUCAAGCUUGACACCUCCCUGGAGCUCGCCGACGCCGGAGCCACCACGGCAAGCACGGGCGCGUCGCGUCCAAAACAGCACAGUGCGCGCGUGCGCUUGUCUGCUUCCCCAACCGCCUCCUGUGCGCGUCCGCAAGCGUGGGCAAGCCUCUGAGUCGAAGCAGCAUCUUGCCCCCUCGCGUUGGAGCUUCUCGUCGACGUUUGCUGCGUGUCCAGAACGCUCCGGCGGUGACACGUUCCCCCCCUCCGCUGCGGCUAUAUAUAGCGCCCCCGCCUCACUUGCUAGCCACGCACCACUCCACACCACCUCCACGAACACGUAGACGAACAGAAGCCCGGUCGGGCAGGCCUCUGGCCGUCGCCCCGACCCGAGGACUCCGGCGAUCCCCGUAGUCCAGCCGCCGCGCUCCGGUGCCUCUCGAGCUCAAGCAGCUGCUUGGGCGGGGCAUUGGGGUCUGCUGGUGCUGCCUGGACCCCGCCAAGCCCUCGGAGCUGCCUCUAUCCGCUGUCUUCAACCUCUCAGGUGAACCCCGUCCACCACCGAAGCUUGCAAGCUCGACUACGACCUGCUCUGUCCACCUCUCGCCAAGCCACGGGUACGGGCAGGUGCGCCGCGAGCCCCGCUUCCAAUCUAUCCCUCUAGCUUAGCCCGAAACCCCCUCGUCGCCGGCGUGAGCUCCAGCGAAGCGCCGCCCCUCCUCUGAUCUCGAUCCCCCUCUCUCUCUCCUAACGGGCGGGGCCCAGUGUCAGCCUCACCACUCGUGCCCGAAGCGGUACGAGUGGAGGCGCACUCCCUAUUUACUCCUUCGACGUCACCCCCCAGGAUUUUCUGUUUAUUCAAAUUUAAUUCAGAAAUUUGACUACACUUUGACCAGCCACCAUUUCUAAACCGUAAGUCCAAAUGAAUUGAUUCUUUUUGCAUUGUCUUUGUUACAGAAAGCUCUAGCAGCACACCAAAAGGUGGAUUUUUCCUUGUUGUCUAGAAUUUCUGGUGAUUUUCAAAAUGUGUUUUGACAUUUAUUUUUGUGGUUUUAAAUUAUUUUUCAGAAGGAGAAGCUUGUCUUGAAGCAACCCAAGAGGGGAGUGAUCCUCCUCUACACUAAGGCAAGCCACACCAGCAUUUGGAUGGUGUUAUUUCAAUAUCUAUGAUUUUCUACUUGAAUAUGAGUUCUCAUUUGCAUUAAAAAAAUUGGUAAAUAAUUUUGGUAAAUUACUAGUUACUUUAUUCUGUUAGAAAUGCUUGUUUUAGUUACUGGUUGCAUGCAUGAACUUGUUUGGUUAAGUAGAGUAAGACUUUACACUAUGAAUAUUGCUAUGGAAAUUAAUGGUAGUAAUGUUACUAAGUGAUAUUUUCAUUUAAUUAAAGAACUAAUAAAAAUGUUGCUUGUUGAUAAAAAUGAGUUAUAACCAGAGAGUUUUGAUCCUUAGUGUUGCAAGAUAAUUAUGUGGUUAAGUUUGAUCCAUGAACAUGAGUUGUUUGCUUGGCAUGACGAGUAGUUGCAUGAUUUCUGGUAUUCUGCCAUGUUAGUAAUAAAAGUUUUCUUAUGAGUUAAACUUGGUUAAGUUCAACUUGAAUAUGAUGUUGAUCACAUCAUGGUGCCACUGAAUCGGGUUUCUAAUUCAGUGCGACCACAUUUACCUAAUGGGAAGGUCUUGAUUCGGAUCUUUGUUGUGGCUCUCACCGGUGCCUCCCGCGAGGGAAGGUUGUGGGCGUGCAUACCCUGGCCUGGUAGGCAGACAUAACCUUGUGUGCUCGUUUUUGUUUUUAUGGUACCUUUUCCCCGUUUGGGACCGUUUUGCCACGACGGUGGCCGUUGGUGUCUUUGGUAGAGACGGGGCCACCCAAGGCCUAGCCCUGAGAGGGAGAUGGUCGGAGUGGCCGGGGAGAGUGCAUGACAAAGGGAGGGUUUCGUCGGAAUAUUUUGGUCCACCCAAAUGGGAGUGCGAGGCCAAGUAUUCCGUAGUGUGGGUAAAGUGCGCUACCUCUGCAGAGUGUAAUUAAUCUAUCGAUAGCCGCGCCAUCGGUUAUGGGCCAGACUUUUCUAAUUAAUCUUGCAAACUAAGAAAUUGUUGUGACGCAUUGUUUCGUGGUGAACCUUGAACACUCGAGGUGUUCAUGAGUGAUUGGUUUCAGGUGUGACCCCGGUGUGGUCACCGUUUGGUUACGAGGUAACCGUCUGGUAAGCGAGUCCGUGUGACUCGGUGCGCUGUUUGGCUGCAUUGCAUCUAUAGUAUUUCUUGCAUUGAUUUAACCUGAUUAAUUAUCAUGAUAUUGUCUUUCAUCGUGCUUAUGUUUGUUGUGAGCUUGCAAGUACAUUCAAUGUACUGACCUGGCGUGUUAUGCCAGCUUUCAGGCAAGUCAAUCCGCAUCAGAGCACAUCUCGUGUCUAGGCCGUGUCCACAUCGGUGUCCCUGUGCUAUGGAGUUCCGCUACGUCAUUCUUCCGCUGCCGCGUAGUUUCGUGUGAUCGAGGCCCCAGCCAUGUUCAUUAAAUAAUGUACAUACUGUCCAGCAGCACCGUGUGUGCCGCUUGGCCUCGAAUCUUGAUGUAAUAUCAGACCUAUGUACCCCGCUAGUAUCAAUAAAGCGGUUAUUUCUAUACCAUGUUGUUGUGUAUUGCUAGAAGACUCGAUCUCUGGGCUGGCAAUGCAGGGUAAACCGGUUGCUCUGAGCCGGGGUGCCACAAUGCUUGGUAUCAGAGCCGCGCUGAUUGUAGGACACGCUAGACCGGUAGCACGUUAGUAAAACGGUAGAUAGCUUCGUUUGAGUGCCGGUAGACAUAGAAAUUGGUUGUUGCAUUGCAUGCAUAUUUAAUUGUUGUUAUUACUAACCGUAUGGUUUGUGAGUGUAGAUGGCACCAGUACCGAUCUUGUACCAUCCUGAGCCAGCUCCGUGCACAUCGCCGCACCUGCUUCAGAACGUGUGGCGAUGACUCUAUCCAGAGGGUGCUGAUCCAGAGUAUCGGGUGUAUCGCGAGCAUCUGGCCGGUGCAUUGUAUGAGUAUUAUGCUGAGGUCACUCUACACCACAGUUCCCCAUCCGGCGCUUACACUCGUUCGACUAAGGGUGGUCUUGCUUCUACGCCAUCUCAGGCGGUUCAGUUUGCUGCUAUCGAGGCUCUUGUAGACUUGCGCUACAAUGAGGUACGCAUGCACACCCACCCUUGUCUUUUCUACUACCCAUCUCUGCACGAGAAUGGGCGUAUCCGCUUUCCUUUGAUUAAUCCGGUGUGCGAUCCUCCCACUAGCCACCUUGCACGCUACAUCACCGCUAGUUAUCUCCUUAACUACGAGUUAGCUCGGGAGCUCUCACGCGCUCGCGCCGCUCUCGCUGCUGCUCGUAUAAGGAACCCUCUUCCAGCUGUCAUCUACACUUCUGCUCCUCCCACCUCCAUUCCUCCGACGACCUUGCAGGGAACCAUUAACCCUUUGACGGUGAACCCUUGCAGCGCUCCUGCUGCAUGGUCUUCUCUUGUCGCUACUCCUGCUGCUCCUAUGCUUAGAUCCCAUCCACCGCCUGCAACUGAGGGAGAGCCCUCAAGGCAGCACCAGCGCACCUCUCUUCCCCCGGAGGUCUCUACUAUCAGUUCAGGAUCUGGGUCCGGCUCAGGAGACGAGCCUGCAGCAGCACCAUCCGAGCAGUAGACCGUUAGAGUAUCGUUGUAGUCAUGAGCAUGAUGUAUGGCUGUAAUCGCACUUGUCAUGACGCGUAGUUUUAUGUACGAGGGUAGCAGACCCGUUGUGAUGUUUACUUUCAUGUUGGAUCUAUGUAUAAUUAUGUUGGACUCUUUUAUUCGCCUUGGUUUUCAUUCGCUGUUUUCUUCCGGGAUUUGUCAUUGGUUUUUCCCCCAUUUUGGAAUUUUCUCAUCCUGGUUGCUAUGUGUUGGGAAAAUGAACAAUAGGAUGCCGCAUGGAGGCAGCAGCAGUCAAGCUUGUGAGGAUGUCCCCGUCCGUCGCUCCGCAAGACAGGCAGGACAUUCCCCUGAGCCAUACCAGCCACCUCCGCCACAACCGCCUUCCACCGAGCAAAUCAUGCGAAUGUUUGAAGAAAGAAGGAGUAACGAUCUGCUGGAGGUACUGAAAAGUGUACAAGUUAUGGUCAGGCAGAAUGGAAACCAAAAUGGCCAUCACUCCAAGCUGUCAGAUUUUCAGCGAACCAAUCCUCCCAGCUUCAGCCAAGUAAUUGAUCCAUUGGACGCUGAUGACUGGCUAAGGACCAUUGAGAGGAAACUGGAGAUUGCCCGCACUGAAGAAGGAGACAAGGUCCCUUUCACAUCGCAUUAUCUCGAAGGAGUUGCCGCUAUAUGGUGGGAUAAAGCCAAAGCAAUAUGGCCCGCGGACGAGGAAAUUACUUGGACAAAAUUCAGGGAUCAUUUCCGCAAGUAUCAUAUUCCCACCGGAAUCAUGAAGAUCAAGCAGCGCGAAUUUCUCGCUCUCACUCAAGGUAGCGCGACCGUCGACAAAUAUCUGAACAAAUGCAACCAUUUGGCCCGCUAUUCUCUCCACGAUGUGGCCACAGAAGAGCGGAAGAUCGACCGGUUUCUUGGAGGCCUGAAUCAGCAUCUCAGGUGCACUCUCAGCAUGUUUGAUUUCCUAGACUUCCUGACUCUGGUGAAUAAGGCCCUCAUCACCGAGAGGGAACAUAAGCUCCUGCACGACAACAAGCCAGCUGUUAAUGACCACAAGCGCAAAUUCGAGCCAAAGAAGGAUAUGCAACCAGUGCAAAAGGCUCAUACUUGGCAACAGACUCAGGUGGAGUACAAACCCAAUUGGCAGCAGAAUGUCAACAAGACUACUACACAAGUCAAGAAUGUCGUGACCAGCCCGGUGUGCGACGAUUGUCAGUGCAACAAUUCGUGCUUCAGCUGUGGUCAAACCGGACACUACGCCCGACAGUGUCCCAAGAGCACCAAGAACGUCGCUCCAUUCCAGCCGCAAGUCAACUACAUGGAGCCGUAUUCCGCCCCCGAUAUAAUCCAAGGGCAAGUUCAUCACAUCUCCGCAGACGAAGCCCAAGAAGACCCGGAAGUCGUCAUUGGUAUGUUUCUCGUUAACGACAUACCCAUCGUAAUUUUAUUUGACUCUGGGGCUUCCCACUCUUUUAUUUUGCUGGGUUUUGCUUCCCAAAACAAUUUUCCUUGCUCGAUUUUGGGAAAACACAAGCUGGUACAAUCCCCGAGAUCCCUACUAAGAAGCAAUCUCGUCUGCCAAAAUUUGGAGAUCGACAUCAAGGGCGUCAAGUUUCCAACAUCAUUGAUAAUCAUCGAUUCCAACAAAUUGGAUGUCAUUCUGGGCAUGAAUUGGUUGACCCAAUACCAAGUCUGCAUCAGCUGUGCGACCUGAGAAGUUACCCUGAAAAAUAUGGAAGGUCGCACUACCAGUUUUUAUGCCCGCAAGCGCAUCCCCACGAAGGAUAUGGUUUUCGCAACCGUGGCAGAAGAGGUGGAAUUAAUUCCCGUGGUCAGUGAAUAUCCAGAUGUAUUUCCUGAAGAAUUGCCCGGCAUGCCACCAGACCGAGAAUUGGAGUUUGCCAUUGACCUGGUGCCUGGAACCACUCCGAUACAUAAGAAAUAUUAUCAGAUGCCUUCCUCAGAAUUGGUGGAAUUGAAGAAACAACUGGAUGAGAUGCUAAAGAAAGGAUACAUUCGUCCAAGCUCUUCACCAUGGGGAUCACCCACAAUCUUCGUGGACAAAAAGGAUGGCAGUCUACGAAUGUGCGUAGACUACCGACAGCUGAAUGACGUCACCAUCAAAAACAAGUAUCCACUGCCGAGGAUUGAUGAUCUGUUUGAUCAACUCAGUGGGGCCAAAGUAUUCUCAAAGAUUGAUUUGAGGACGGGAUAUCAUCAACUCAAGAUAAAGAAGGAAGAUAUUCCUAAGACCGCGUUCACCACUCGGUACGGUCUUUAUGAAUACACCGUUAUGUCCUUCGGCCUCACCAACGCUCCUGCAUUCUUUAUGCAUAUGAUGAACAAGGUAUUUAUGGAUUUCUUGGACAAAUUUGUGGUGGUGUUCAUUGAUGACAUACUCAUUUACUCCAAGAGCAAGGACGAACAUAAGGAGCAUCUUCGAGAAGUUCUGCAAAGGCUUCGCGAUCAUCAACUGUAUGCCAAAUUCAGCAAAUGUGAGUUUUGGCUCCAGCAAGUGGGAUUCCUCGGACAUAUCCUCUCAACAGAAGGAAUCUUGGUGGACCCAAGCAAGGUAAAGGACGUACUUGAUUGGUCCGCACCCACCACCGUCUCAGAAAUCCGAAGUUUCCUUGGACUAGCUGGAUAUUAUCAUUGUUUUAUCGAAGGAUUUUCCAAGAUUGCCAAGCCAAUGACGGAGCUCCUCAAGAAGGACUAGAAGUUCGUAUGGACUGAGGACUGCGAACGGAGCUUCAAUGAGUUAAAAACUAGGCUGACAUCGACACCUGUAUUAACUCUUCCAGACAUCUACCUCAGUUUCGAUGUUUACUGCGACGCCUCCAGAAGAGGACUGGGGUGUGUACUCAUGCAAAAUGGCAAAGUGGUAGCCUAUGCAUCUCGCCAACUGCGGCAACAUGAAGGAAACUAUCCUACUCAUGAUUUGGAAUUGGCCGCAGUGGUGCACGCUUUGAAAAUCUGGAGACAUUAUCUGAUUGGAAAGAAGUGCCAGAUAUUCACCGACCAUAAGAGUCUCAAGUAUAUAUUCACUCAUCCUAACUUGAACCUUCGACAGCGAAGAUGGCUCGAGUUGGUUAAGGACUAUGACCUCGGAAUAAAUUAUCACGCGGGCAAAGCUAAUGUGGUGGCUGACGCCCUCAGCCGCAAACCAGCCAACCUUAAUGCUCUAAUGGAUUCCUUACCUCCGGAGCUUUAUGAAGAAAUCAUGCAGCUAAACUUGGUGAUCACCGACGCCCGUCUUACCAAUAUAUUGGAAGUUGCCCCCACUCUCGAAGAGGAAAUCCGCAGUGCUCAGGCGGAUGACAAGGUGUUACAAAUAUAUGUUCAGAAGAUGCACCAAGGGCAUGCACUGGAUUUCUCUAUGGAUCAACAGGGUUCGCUAAGAUUCCGCGGGAGACUCUGCGUACCCAACCACGAAAGUCUGAAGAAGAAAAUAUUGGCAGAAGCGCAUGAAGCACCAUACUCAAUUCACCCCGGUGGUACCAAAAUAUAUGAAGACCUUCGUCAGACAUUUUGGUGGGAGGGAAUGAAGAAAGACAUCGCGUAUUUUGUGGCCUGUUGCGACACAUGCAAUAAGGUAAAGGUGGAACAUCAAAAGCCCGCCAGACUCCUUCAGCCUCUGCCGGUAUCCCAAUGGAAAUGGGAUGAUAUUUGCAUGGAUUUCAUCACCGGAUUGCCAAGGUCUCAUUGAGGCAACGACGCGAUAUGGGUAAUAGUGGACACCUUAACCAAGGUGGCACACUUCCUGCCUAUCCGGACUACAUACCAUGCAAAUCAACUCGCACAGUUGUAUGUAUCAAGAAUCGUCAGUCGACAUGGAGUACCCAAGACUAUCACCUCUGACAGGGGAUCUCUUUUCACCUCCGCAUUUUGGUCCCGACUACAUCAAGCCUUGGGGACCGCUCUAAAGUACAUCACGGCUUAUCAUCCUCAGACAGAUGGACAAACUGAGUGAGUAAAUCAAAUACUCGAGGAUAUGCUCCGGGCAUGUACAUUGGCCCAAGGAACCAAGUGGGAAGACUGUCUGCCCUACGCUGAGUUUUCCUACAACAACAGUUUCCAGGCCAGCUUGAAGAUGUCACCCUAUGAAGCCCUGUAUGGCCGGAAAUGCCGCACCCCAUUGAAUUGGUCUCAAACCGGAGACAGCCGUAUUUUUGGGACUGAUUUAAUACUAGAAGCAGAGAAGCAAGUCAAGGUAAUCCGGGACAGACUACAACUGAACAAAUCCCGACAGAAGAGCUACUAUGAUGCCAAACAUCGUCAGAUCAGCUUCGAACCCGGAGAACACGUAUAUCUCCGAGUCACCCCUAUGAAAGGAGUCAAGAGAUUUCAGACCCGAGGAAAAUUGGCACCCAGAUAUAUCGGUUCAUUCCCCAUCAUGGCCAGAGUCGGAACAGUUGCCUACCAGUUGGAAGUGCCACCAGAAUUAUCAGAAGUACACAACGUGUUUCACAUCUCACAGCUAAGAAGAUGCAUCUCGCCACCGGAGAAAAGGACUAAUAUGUCAGAGAUAGAAUUGGCUAAGGAUUUGACUUAUGAGGAAAGCCAAUCAGAAUAUUGGAUCGGACAGAAAGGUUCACUCGCAGCAAAGAGAUACGGUUUUACAAGGUUCAGUGGGAGCAUCACACCGAAGAAGAAGCAACCUGGGAAAGAGAGGAAUUUUUAAGGACUGCAUACCCAGAAUGGUUUUCCAAAGCAAAUGAAUCUCGAGGACGAGAUUCAUCCUAAGUGGGGGAGGUUUGUGAAAGCCUGGAUUUUGCCUUCUCUCUUUUGCCGGACUUGCCUUCUCCCUUUUUCCGGACUUAGUUUUCACCGUGGUUUUUGCCCUGAUUUGAUUUGGGUUUUGAAUCAAUUCAAAUGGACUUGUCACUUGGGCAUAUCCUUGGCUUUCACCCAAGUGAUCUAUCUACCUUAUUCCUUCCACAAAUCCCCAAAAUAAUCAAAUGAAUAUUUUUCCUAAAAGAAAAAUAUUCAUUUUUCUCUCUUAAACUCACUUUAGAACCUUGUGCUCCAAAGCAACCUCAAUUUUUCUUGCUCAGUAAAAUCUGAGAUAAUUCCUAAAUAUUUUUAGAACCGUGGCACACCUUCCCAUGCAAAAAUAUUGCAUCACUUUUUGUAAUAUUUUUGCUGUAGAAAAUCUUUUCACUUCUGGCCCAGAAAUGCACCUUGUACAGCAAGAGCAUUUUUCCUUUAGCUUUUGGCCUUGAGCUUUCUUGAGCUUAAACACCUUCCUAAGAAACCCUAAACCCCAGAAGAUUAGCCCUAAUGGCCUUCUAGAAGGUGGCCAAACUUGUCGACCAAGUUUCUGACCAGAAACUUGCCAGCUUGGUAGAGUCACGUCUGGUCGGCCUGGGUAUGAUCCAUCACCCCUCCUAGACGUAACACUGCACGGUCGAGCGCAUAGACAAGGUUUGGCCGCUCCUGGCCGUCGUUUUGACCAUGCCAGCAUGGUGACCGCACGAGGAAACGGCGUCUGGCAGCGUCUCGACGCGCUCUGGCUGUUGCCUUGCCCUCUGUUUCGCGCGUGCUCGUUCCAGCGCUCACCUCCGACUGCCGCACCGCGCCACAACCCUCGACCCAUCAAGCUUGACCCCUCCCUGGCGCUCGCCGACGCCGGAGCCGCCACAGCAAGCACGGGCGCGUCGCGUCCAAAAUGGCACAGUGCGCGCGUGCGCUUGUCUGCUUCCCCAACCGCCUCCUGUGCGUGUCCGCAAGCGUGGGCAAGCCCCUGAGUCGAAGCAGCAUCUUGCCCCCUCGCGUUGGAGCUUCUCGUCGACGUUUGCUGCGUGUCCAGAACGCUCCGGCGGCGACACGUCCCCCCCCUCCGCUGCGGCUAUAUAUAGCGCCCCCGCCUCACUUGCUAGCCACGCACCACUCCACACCACCUCCACGAACACAUAGACAAGCAGAAGCCCGGUCGGGCAGGCCUCUGGCCGUCGCCCCGACCCGAGGACUCCGGCGAUCCCCGCAGUCCAGCCGCCGUGCUCCGGUGCCUCUCGAGCUCAAGCAGCUGCUUGGGCGGGGCAUUGGGGUCUGCUGGUGCUGCCUGGACCCCGCCAAGCCCUCGGAGCUGCCUCUAUCCGCCGUCUUCAACCUCUCCGGCGAACCUCGUCCACCACCGAAGCUUGCAAGCUCGACUACGACCUGCUCCGUCCACCUCUCGCCAAGCCACGGGUACGGGCAGGUGCGCCGCGAGCCCCGCUUCCAAUCUACCCCUCUAGCUUAGCCCGAAACCCCCUCGUCGCCGGCGUGAGCUCCAGCGAAGCGCCGCCCCUCCUCUGAUCUCGAUCCCCCUCUCUCUCUCCUAAUGGGCGGGGCCCAGUGUCAGCCUCACCACUCGUGCCCGAAGCGGUACGAGUGGAGGCGCACUCCCUCUUUACUCCUUCGACGUCACCCCCCAGGAUUUUCUGUUUAUUCAAAUUUAAUUCAGAAAUUUGACUAAACUUUGACCAGCCACCAUUUCUAAAACCGUAAGUCCAAAUGAAUUGAUUCUUUUUGCAUUGUCUUUGUUACAGAAAGCUCUAGCAGCACACCAAAAGGUGGAUUUUUCCUUGCUGUCUAGAAUUUCUGGUGAUUUUCAAAAUGUGUUUUGACAUUUAUUUUUGUGGUUUUAAAUUAUUUUUCAGAAGGAGAAGCUUGUCUUGAAGCAACCCAAGAGGGGAGUGAUCCUCCUCUACACUAAGGCAAGCCACACCAGCAUUUGGAUGGUGUUAUUUCAAUAUCUAUGAUUUUCUACUUGAAUAUGAGUUCUCAUUUGCAUUAAAAAAAUUGGUAAAUAAUUUUGGUAAAUUACUAGUUACUUUAUUCUGUUAGAAAUGCUUGUUUUAGUUACUGGUUGCAUGCAUGAACUUGUUUGGUUAAGUAGAGUAAGACUUUACACUAUGAAUAUUGCUAUGGAAAUUAAUGGUAGUAAUGUUACUAAGUGAUAUUUUCAUUUAAUUAAAGAACUAAUAAAAAUGUUGCUUGUUGAUAAAAAUGAGUUAUAACCAGAGAGUUUUGAUCCUUAGUGUUGCAAGAUAAUUAUGUGGUUAAGUUUGAUCCAUGAACAUGAGUUGUUUGCUUGGCAUGACGAGUAGUUGCAUGAUUUCUGGUAUUCUGCCAUGUUAGUAAUAAAAGUUUUCUUAAGAGUUAAACUUGAUUAAGUUCAACUUGAAUAUGAUGUUGAUCACAUCAUGGUGCCACUGAAUAAGGUUUCUAAUUCAGUGCGACCACAUUUACCUAAUGGGAAGGUCUUGAUUCGGUCCUUUGUUGUGGCUCUCACCAGUGCCUCCCGCGAGGGAAGGUUGUGGGCGUGCAUACCCUAGCCCGGUAGGCAGAUAUAACCUUGUGUGCUCGUUUUUGUUUUUAUGGUACCUUGUCCCCGUUUGGGACCGUUUUGCCACGACGGUGGCCGUUGGUGUCUUUGGUAGACACGGGGCCACCCAAGACCUAGCCCUGAGAGGGAGAUGGUCGGAGUGGCCGGGGAGAGUGCAUGACAAAGGGAGGGUUUCGUCGAAAUAUUUUGGUCCACCCGAAUGGGAGUACGAGGCCAAGUAUUACGUAGUGUGGGUAAAGUGCGCUACCUCUGCAGAGUGUAAUUAAUCUAUCGAUAGCCGCGCCCUCGGUUAUGGGCAAGACUCGGGAGUAAGUCACACCAUGGAUCAACUUUUCUAAUUAAUCUUGCAAACUAAGAAAUUGUUGUGACGCAUUGUUUCGUGGUGAACCUUGAACACUCGAGGUGUUCAUGAGUGAUUGGUUUCAGGUGUGACCCCGGUGUGGUCACCGUUUGGUUACGAGGUAACCGUCUGGUAAGCGAGUCCGUGUGACUCGGUGCGCUGUUUGGCUGCAUUGCAUCUAUAGUAUUUCUUGCAUUGAUUUAACCCGAUUAAUUAUCAUGAUAUUGUCUGUCAUCGUGCUUAUGUUUGUUGUGAGCUUGCAAGUACAUUCAAUGUACUGACCUAGCGUGUUAUGCCAGCUUUCAGGCAAGUCGAUCCGCAUCGGAGCGCAUCUCGUGUCUAGGCCGUGCCCACAUUGGUGUCCCUGUGCUAUGGAGUUCCGCUACGUCGUUCUUCUGCUGCCGCGUAGUUUCGUGUUAUCGAGGCCCCAGCCAUGUUCAUUAAAUAAUGUACAUACUGUCCAGCAGCACCGUGUGUGCCGCUUGGCCUCGAAUCUCGAUGUAAUAUCAGACCUAUGUACCCCGCUAGUAUCAAUAAAGCGGUUAUUUCUGUACCAUGUUGUUGUGUAUUGCCAGAAGACUCGAUCUCUGGGCUGGCAAUGCAGGGUAAACCGGUUGCUCUGAGCCGGGGUGCCACACCUAUACCAUGCCAAUGCUUUUCCCUUCAAAGAUAAAAGGAAAACCUUCUUCUUAGCUUCAUCUCGUGGUAAACCUGCAAGCUUAAAUAAUCCACAAAUUUCAUCCACAUAUAUCAAGUGCAUAGCAGGAUGUUCAGUUCCAUCUCCUGCAUAAGGAUUAGCUAGCAGUUGUUCAAUCAUACCUGAAGAAAUUCUAUAACCAAUAUGUUCAGUAGGUGCACUAGGUUGAGGGGCAACUGAUUGUGGUUCCGGUCGAGGUGAAGAUACCCCGAACAAACCCCUCAAAGGAUUGUUCUCCAUAGUAACAAGUGACAAUAAAUUUCAGCACGCAGUAAUAAUUUUCCCUUACCAAUUUCCACUUACCAAGAGCGCUUCACUCCCCAGCAGCGGCGUCAGGAAAGAGCCUUGAUGACCCACAAGUAUAGGGGAUCGAUCAUAGUCCUUUCGAUAAGUAAGAGUGUUGAACCCAACGAGGAGCAGAAGGAAAUGACAAGUGAUUUUCAGCAAGGUAAUUUUCUGCAAGCACUGAAAUUGUCGGUAACAAAUCGUUUGAUAGUAAGAUAUUUUGUAACGAGCAAGCAACGGUAACGGUAAAUAAAGUGCAGCAAGGUUGCCCAAUCCUUUUGUGGCAAAGGACUGGCCAAAACGGUUUCUUAUAAUGAGAAAAGCGUUCUUGAGGGUACACGGGAAUUUUAUCCAGUCACUUUCAUCAUGUUGAUUCGAUUCGUGUUCGCUACUUUGAUAAUUUGUUAUGUGGGUGGACCGGUGUUUAGGUCCUGUUCUUACUUGAACAAACCUCCUACUUAUGAUUAACCCCCUCGCAGGCAUCCGCAACUACGAGAAAAGUAUUAAGAUAAAAUCUAACCGUAGCAUUAAACUUCUGGAUCCAAAUCGGUCCCUUACGAAGUAGCGCAUAAACUAGGGUUUAAGCUUCUGUCACUCUAGCAACCCAUCAUCUAAUAACUACUCCACAUUGCAUUCCCUUAGGCCCAAAUAUGGUGAAGUGCCAUGUACUCGACGUUCAUAUGACACCACUAAGGGAAUCACAACAUACAUAUCAUCAAAAUAUCAAACACAUAUCAAGUUCACAUGAUUACUUGCAACAAGCAAAGUAACUACUCACAAAUGAUAAUCAUGCUCAAGAUCAGAGGGGUAUGAAAUAGCAUAAUGGAUCUGAACAUAUAAUCUUCCACCAAAUAAACCAUAUAGUAAUUAACUACAAGAUGUAAUCAACACUACUAGUCACCCACAGGUACCAAUCUAAGGUUCCGGUACAAAGAUUGAACACAAGAGAAGAACUAGGGUUUGAGAGGAGAUGGUGCUGUUGAAGAUGUUGAUGGAGAUUGCCCUCCCAAAGAUGAGAGGGUUGUUGGUGAUGAUGAUGACAAUGAUUUCCCCCUCCGGGAGGGAAGUUUCCCUCGACGGAAUCGCUCCGCCAGAGAGCAAAAGUGCUCCUGCCCAAGUUCUGCCUCCAGACGGUAGCACUCCAUCCCGAAAGUCCUCUCCUUUUUUUUCUAGGUCAAAAUGACUUAUAUACCAGAAGAGGGGCAUCGGAGGUGGGCCGAGGAGGGCGCUCCUGGGCUCCCUGGCGCACCCAGGUGGGUUGUGCCCACCUGGUGGGCCCCCUCUGGUAGUUAUUUGCUCCAAUAUUCUUAAUAUAUUCCAAAACAAUUCUUUGCAAAUUUUCUGCUCAUUUGAAGUUGUGCAGAAUAGGUAACUCUGACGUAGCUUUUUCAGGUCCAGAAUUCCAGCUACCGACAUUCUCCCUCCUUGUAUAAACCUUGCAUAUUAUGAGAGAAAAGGCAUUAGAAUUACUCCAAAAAGCAUUAUUAUGCAUAAAAACAUAGUAAAUAACAGUAGGUAAACAUGAUGCAAAAUGGACGUACCAGGACUACAUGCACUUUCAACUCGUGAGGGCAAUAUCUCGCUUGGUCGUCAGCGUGACAAACAAAAGCGGUUCGGGCAUGAUCUGCUCCAUAUUAAUGUCGUUGAUCCAUCUAUCCUACUAGAAAAGAAGGUGUCAGCCACCGCAAUUCAUGCACCUACUAGCCACCAAGAAUAGAGCCUCUGAUUUCGGAGGAAUCGACAUGGGGAGCUCCGCCUAAGGGCGAUCACCUAUGUUCUUGUUGAGGCACACGCCAACGAAUGUGCGACGCAAAAUUGAAGAAGCUGGAGGUUGUGGACACCGAGCCCUCCGAGGUGCUUAGGGGUGCAAACAUUAUACCAGUUGACAAGGCAAUUUGUGCCGUUCACUUCUUCAUGUCCACACCAAAGAAACCAAGUCGUAGCUCGUCGAUGGACUUUAGGAACCACGACAGGAGCUCGAGGGCACGCAUGUGGUAAACCGUCGUGCCCGUGAAGGCGGAGAGCUUGUGUAUGGCAUCAUGCCAGAUAGCUGAUAGGAAAAACACCAUCUACCAUUACUAUAUAUGUUCGGAUAAUUCAAAGCACACAUCGAUCCGUCAAGGACAAGCAAAUCACACAAGCACGAGCACGACACAAAAAUUUGUUAAGGAGGUUGUCCAACAUAGCUACAUGCCUGGAGCAUGACUACGGGCGCUCCUCCCCGUGUACCAAAUCACAUGAUACAGACGACGAUAAGCCCGCCCAGGCCGUCAGACAGCGCUCUGACCGCCGCGCCACGACCGGUCUGGCCACUCAUGCCAGGGGCGCCCGGAUCAUCCCUCUCGUGUGUCUUAGCCUACAACUUAUGUCUAGUCUAUUUGGCUACCCCGGUGUCUAUAUAUAAUAGGUCCUAUUCGACUCAAAACACCUAACCCACUACUAAUUACAAGUCCACCUGUAGCCUAACUCGCACACAUACUCGACAGAUAUCUCUACCUUGCCACAUAUAUGCUUGCCAUCCUAAAGUCACCAUCCGCGAACCUCCAUGUACCUUGGACUUGAACCAUUAAUCAUGAGCUUCGAUGCUACUCCCUUGACUUCACAUGACUCCACCUGCAACCAUAGCCCCUUAUUUUCUCCAUGUUAGUCAAAGCUCCUAUGAAAAUUAAGUCCGCCUGCACUCUUGUUUUGUGUUCCCAACCUCCCAGAGUAUCCGUCCAACACCGUCACACAUCGAUCAUAAAGUCACCAUAUCUGACAACACCGUUGUAUCAUCACCAUGUUAGCUUCUUUUCCUUAUCUGCCUGAGAGUGAACAACUCGCAUAUUGGAUGCCACAUAAAAGAAUUUCUUAAUUCACCAUUAUCGCUAUUGUUGAAUGCAUGUAUGAACUGGAAAUAAUUUUUUUUGUUGCCUUUAGUCAUCUCAGUCAAAAACACGGUUGCCUCAUCCUUUUUUGGAUAGUCCUUUACAUGCUCCAUAGCUAUAUCACUCCACCUACUUCUGCAUUUGUUAUCCGCACUUUGCGAUGUGCACUAAACACCAGAAAAUACACAUCCAUGUGCUCUCCAAGCUUUUGACAUUUAGGCUUUUUGUCACCUCGCAGAUUCUCCAUGGUCAAUUCUCAUCCAUCUGUCGCUUCAAACUCGAUAGAUCUAGUACCAAAUUGAACCUGGUACUUGUCAACACUGCUUCAACACCAUCUUUAGACUUUGUUUGACCACAUGCUUGACCACCAGUGUAUUGGUAUGUCAUCGCGUCCCGUGCUUACCGCACACCUCGCUGCUAUUAUCGCGUCGAGCAUCUCCUGUCCUGGUCGAGUAUCCUAGAAGAAAAUUUCAAGAUACUGGACAAAAAAGAGAUGGAUAAUGAGCUCAUAUCUUUUAAAUUAGACUUUGCUAAGAUGUGUGUAAGAAGGAGGAGUCACUUUCCCAGUUGGACAGUACAAAAUUGGCUCUUACUGAAUUGAAAGUAGAGCUAGAGAAGAAGAAUUUGGCGGAUCAUGAACGCAUCCACCAACAUACAUCAACAGCUUAGGGAAAUGAAUAUAUUGUUCUCAUAUUGUGCUUGGCAUACUUUGUGCUUAUGAAGGUGAACUAGCUAUAUGGUGUACUGUGCUGUGGUGAUGUAGCUAUCAACACUGUGAUGUUAAAAUGUAUUGUAUGUUUGAUAUGAAAAAGUGGUAAACAUCAGUUCGGUACAAAAUGUGAAUUUUCUUAAUACUAGGACUGUUAAUAGUAAACUAAUAAACCUACUAAAUGGAUCAUGGAACUUUACAAACAUUUCCAGCAGGAAAAGCGUGUGUGAUGGAUAGCCCUGUGUCAUAAAAUUUUCUUCGCCGAUCUCACAUGGCUUAACUAAGGCAAAAGCGUUUGUAACGUAAACACUUAACUAAGGCAAAAGCAUUUGUAAUGGCUCCCCCUAUCACAGACAAGUUUAUACAGAAAGAUGUGUGUGAUGCACUCUGCUAACACAAAUGUUUGUUUCAAACUUAUUGUGUGGGAUGCUAAGCCCAUCUCACAUGGCUUGUCUGGUGCGAUAGCUCUCACGAUCGACCACAAAUUUCAUCCUUUGCUUGGGCAUCCAUCUGAACGAGUUUUUUCUCUCGUGGACUAAGAUAUCCUAGGGUGUCGAUCAUGUAGCCGUGUUGCACAAUAUGGUAGAUAUCAUCAUCGAUAGACCUAAGACGAAUCUACAUCUUAUCCUUCCAGAAGGGAUAUAGUCUGUCCCAUUGAAGAGGGGGAUCUUCAUAUUCGACAUGUAGCUCACCGAAGAGAUAUACUUAAACUCCAAGUUUGUUAGACAUAAAUAAGCAGAAACAAGGAGUAACUUGCUCUGAACCAAUAGUAGGAAUGACGUAUGUCUACCAGAGGGAAUGGGUGAAUGGGAGAUUUAAGAUUUCUUCCAAGAAACUUCAAAACCCUUAGUACACAACAACGGAAUAAACAGAACAAAUACAAGUCAAUGAUAGAAAACUAUCGAAACAAAUCAAGUCUAGGCACCGAACUAAAAUCUCAUGGUCGAAACUUAACCAACGAUAAAUACAACCGAAUAUAGAGCAGGGUUAAGAGGUGACCAGUGGUGCUCGAUGGUGACAGGGAUUUGUUUGACCAGUUCAAUCUUUUGCAAAAGAGCUACGUCUGCUGGAGGGACUUGUGAUUCAACACAGAAGAUAAACUCUCUUCGUCCUAUUCUCCUCGAGAACUAGUUCAUCAACUAGUGUCGAUCACUCAGGGUAGAUGCUUCAGGCGACCUCCAUAACCUUCACAGACUUUCUCAUCGUGAACCACAAUUACUCUUGGCCACUGAAGAACUUGACACCUAACCAUCUAGAGUUGGCAGCUCUCAAGAGUUAUAGGCAGAGCGUACUAGACUUAAAUUCCAGUGGUGCUAAACCACUAUCUAUUUUUUGGUUCUGGGAUUUUUCUCUUAGUGGAUUUUAAACUCAAAUCUUUCGGGAGAUAGGGUGCUCAGACAACUUGUCAGAAACACACAUAACUGCCAACGGAAAAUGUUGGAGCGGGGUGGCUCUUUAUAGCCGCAGCCUUCCCGAGGUGGAAAAACCAUUUUGGACAUGACAUCUAGCCAAUGAGCAACCGACAUGUUUCUGAUGGUCGGAUUUGAAAUGAACCCGACAACUUUACUUGAGGAACAAGCAAGCCGACUCUUUGGUCCGAAUCAAUUCUCUCACGAUGAAGAAGUACCGCAUCUCUGACUGGCGAGUAUUGUUUCGGGACACAAAUAGAUUUCUCUCAACUCACAUUGGUUUCGGUUUAGCAUCUGAGAAACAUAAGUUUCAAACACUAUACCCCUGUUGAUAGUACGGUGGUCCUAUGACUCAAGAAAGAAAAUUGAACUAUGAAAGAAAUUAUUACGUCUCUUCUCCACCUUCAUUCUUCUCGACUCUAGUCAAUUUCUUCGUACCAUUUACCGAAGCAUAUGCUUCACUUCAUAAAUUUUUUGGGGUCAAUUUCUUCAUGCAUAAUCUUCGAUGAUGAUCUUCACUACUAUGCAGGUGAUUGUCUUUGGAGUUUGUACCAAACACCUCUUGACUCCAGGGAUCUGUAAUCUUUGCGUGCACUAGCAAACACAUUAGUACCUCACUAUUUACGAAAAAAAUCUCCAAAACACAAGGAGGCAAACUAUUGCACCAACACAUAUGGAUAUGUCUAAAUAUGAUCAUAAUAAUUGAAAAAUUGUAUAUCAAACUCAUAUAGUUGAUAAUAAUUCAAACAUAAUAAAUCCGAUAAAUCAUGAGUGUAGACUUAAACAAAUGGUUUGAACAUGAAGAUCAAACAUGCGAUAUAUGGUCCAUGAAAAGAAGGACACGAGAAAAGCAAAAAUAUGAAGAUCACUCGUAGAUCGUCACGGGUGACUUCCAUCACGAUAGCCACUCCCAAAACCAAGUCCACUACCACCUCCACCCAUCUUCGAUGCUAAAAUUUGUGACUUCAUGAUGUGCAAGUAUUGCAACACUUCUGGGUCAAGUCUUGCAGUGUUUGUGAACACGAUCUUGUACUCUUACUCCAUCUUUUUUGUUUGCACUUCCUCUUGAAAGGAUCUCAAUUUCUCCUCUUCGAUUGCCACUAUGCGCUCCUCCAUUGCCUUUAGCUCUGCCCACCUCAUGUUCUUCUCCAAUUUUUUUGCUUCCCCUUACUUUUUUUUGCUAUGAUCUCUUCCACAUAACUCCUGAACAGACCUGCACCACCUCCAUUCUUUAGUUUAUAUUUCUCUCCUUCCUUCCGGGUGGCUUUUUGUCAAGGAUGACACGAGAAGUAGUUGUAUUUGACUGUUCUUGAACAUCAUCACCAUCACCAUCGCUAUCUUGUGAAUUCAUUUUAGCCUUUUUUGGGAUGAAGCGGCUCAUUAUCCAUGUUCUUCUACUUAUCAUUGUUCUUGAGAAAAGCUCAACAAUGAUAGAACAGAAAAUACCUUCCUUUUGGAUCCCUCAGCUUGUACAUAUCAUUUAUGUAGUUCAACUGUCAAGUUAGAAACACCAUAUUAGGAAUUUGUUAGUACACAUUCGAAGAACACUAUGGGCAACAAAUACUCACCAACAUGCCCUCUAUAAUUCCACUUGGUUUGACAUGAUCAACAUUGUUAACACAACAUGCCAACGACUACAAGAUUCCUGAUGAAGGCCCAUUGACCCUUGAGUGAUUUGAUGGAGUGCACAGCAGAAGUAGUGACAUUGCGAUGAUAGUGUUCUGAAAUGCAUUUCCAAUAGGGUUUCAAGUUUUGACCAGUCCCUAUAAUCGGAUCAAGACUGACACUCUCCCAUGCUAGGACCAACGCUUUGUCCUCCUCAUUGUUGAAGUUGCUUUUCUCUUAUUUGCUUUGGAGCCCAAAUCAUCGUCAUCCUCAACCGGAGUGGACAAAGACAUAUCAUCUAUGCCUACAACAUCGUUCAUCAUAUCCACAUACGAUUGUUGACUACAAUAUUACAAUGUUGAACAAAUAAUCAGUACCAAAAAUUCACGUGUAAUAUUAGUUCAUAAUCUAUUUACCUCACAAAAUCAUCAUUGUAGACAUCGUUCAAGUUUGACAUGUGGAACUCGUCAUCGUUGUUCAUGUAAGGCAACGACAUCUCCGUGUACAUGGCCGUAAAGCUUUGCGGAAACGGCAUAGCUUGGUCACGGCGGCGGGUAAGGGAAGAGAGGGAAGAAAGAAGGGAAAACUGGGGACGAUGUGGCGGCGGCCCCGGUCGUGGCUCACCGGUGAUGGAGCGAUGGAGUUGGUGGUGGCAGCGGGUUGGCGGGAGGAGUUCCAGGCGGUGGCACGGACGGUUGAGGGCUCGGUUAGAAAAUGAACAGAGAAGGGUAGGUUUAUAUGCAUGUGUGCGUGGGUUGUUCGGUCAGCGCCGAUUAAGCUUUGACUCGGUCAAAACCAGUCGACCAACCCAAAAAUGAGACCAGGGUUGUCCUUUGAAUUUUAUGGUAAGUUGAGGGUGCAAUACGACCGGCUUCGAAGAUGAGGUUGUAAAUCGAACCGAGUAAUUAGUUUAGGCGGUCCAUGCAGACUUUUCUCGCUCUCUAAUUGUAACGACCCGAAUCUGAUAAGAUUCGAUGUCUCUGUGCUGCACACACAGUACAUGAUGUAAUAUCAAGAAUAAACCACAUGUUAUAAUAUUACAUCAUAGAUCCAGAAUUUAAUAUAAUACAUACAUGCAUAGCUCCGGCUAGCAUACAAUCAAAAUACAGCGGAAAAGCAAAUAAAAUCUGCAUGGAAUCCAUCAACACCAUAGGCAAAUGUCGAGUAUAGACAUCGUAACCCUACAUCAUAUCACUCACUCGUCGUACAAAUCUGCAACAUGAAACAUUGCAGCCACGAAGGGUCAAUACUUUGAAUGUAUUGGCAAGUCACACAAGGAAUGGUAUAACAGACCUACAACUAUAUGCAAGGUAUAUCAAGAGGAUAAUGUAGUGGUUGUUUUGUAGAAAAGCUAAUUUUUCCCUGAUAACUACAUAAUAUAAUAGUCAAAUUUUAAUUAUGUCUUGCUACAGUUAAAUACAUAUGGUUCAAUUGGGCAAUCCAAUACCAGUCUAUCCCAAUUAUUAAGUUUCCCAUGCAAUUUUUAUUAAAGUAUCAUCUGUCAAGAUCAUCCAACAACUGUAAUGGUCUAGCUGCUCAAAUUUGUCCAUAACCAGGGACACGGAUAAUCAUGAUUAGUUUUUACACUCUGCAGAGGUUUGCACACUUUACCCACUAGACCAAAACUGAAGAUUGAAAUGAAGUCUUUCAGAAGUAGUCACCUCCACCCACAGGCAGCCGGUACACCUACUCAUAUCUACAUCUGCUAGCUUUGCCUGCGCGAGGAUCCCACAACCUAAUCAACUAAGCCAGAGCCCAUUUAGCUAGUGGUUGCACAUGGAAGCUACUAGUCACUAAGUCUGUCUGAUCUUUUUGAGCCUGGACGACACCCACUUAGAGGAUCUCCAGCCGUUCGGCCCCCCAGGGCGCCGAAAAAGAGUGGCCUGGGGGCAAGUCGGCGCUAGAAUGGCCCCUGGGGGCGACCUAGCUCCCAGCCACGCCCCCAGGCGCCGCCACCCAAGCCGCGGCAAAUUCAAACGUAGUCUUCCUGCUCACAAAAUAACACCACAAAUCCGGCAAUCACAGCGGCCAAGUUCGGCGAUCAUCACCUCGCCACAGUUCGGCGAUCUAAUGAAAAGUUCGACGUACAAAAAAGAAAGGACGCGCGUGCAACGCAUCACACGGCGAGGUCGGCCUCCGGCGUCGGCGGAGUCGGUGUGCGCGGGCUUGGCGGUGUCGGAGCUUCUUCUGUGCUGGGCGGCGUCGGCGCGGCUUCUGUGCUGCUGGGCGGCGUGGAGGCAUCAUCACUCAGGCUUGGCGGCAUCGUCGGCGUGGGCGUGGGAGUUGGCGGCGCCGUCGACGGCAGCUGGUUCAGGAUGAGGCCGCGCUCUGCCAUGUACCACGCCUUGACCUGCUCGUGAUUGCUCUGGAGCAUGUCCGCCCCGUCAAGCAGGAAAGCCAGGUCGGUGUUCCUCUUCUUCGCGGUGACGCUGGUCUGGAGUAGGUCGAGCUUGACGGCGCUGCUCGUCAUCAACGCCGACCAGCGCGCCUCGGUCUUCUCUUCACGUAGGGCGGCCUGGGCCUGUGCGUCGGCGAGGCAAUGCUUGAUGGACUCCUGCACGCGCGCGUGUUUGCCCUUCUUGGCCCCUUCGUUGCCUUCGGGGCACCCGUCGCCCACGCCCGGCGUCGGCGCCUUCGGCUUGUAGGUCUCCUUGGCCUUGGCGAGGGUGCGCCGGACAUCCACCCACUUCUCGCACUUCUCGAUCCGCUUGAACACGUGGAGGUACUUGAAGUCUUGGUCGCUGCUGUCCUGGCGAUACAUGGCGAAUAUCCGCACCAGCUGCACCGAGGAACAAACAGUUGGUGGGCGCGCACGGCGAAAUGAAGUGGGAAACCGGCGUACCAUACCUGAUCCUUAAUGCUGGCGCCGCUCUCUAGGUGAGCCGCGAUCUCCUCGGCGAUCCCAUGCCAUUUUUUGCACGCGCACUGGAUGAGCCCCCAAUGGUUCGCCAUUGCCUUCAACCCACCCUGCAUGUAGACGCCUUUGAAGUAGGGGUCGACGAGCUUGCGCUCGUCGAACUCGGCCUUGAUGCGCGCCCAAUACGUCUCGAUGCUCUGGUUCGUGCCGGUGAUCGGGUCGAAGCAGACGACUUUCCACGCCUCGGCGAGAUAUUCCUGCUCCUUGGACGCCCACUUGAUGUGCGGCUCGCCUGUCCUGGCCGCCCCCUUUUUCUUCUUGCAUCUCCUCGCCAGAACCGGCGCUGGCUCCUCCUCCUCCUCCCCGUCCUCCUCCUCCUGCUCGUCCAGCUCCUCCUCGCCAUAGUCGAGCUCGCCGUCCAUAUCGCUGUCGAGGUCCACCGUCUCGUCCUGUGUAGCAAACUCGGGGGAUGCGGCGACGGCGGCCGAGCCUGCCGUGAUGAUGUCUUCCAUGUCGGCUUCGGUCGCGUCGGUGUCGCCGAGGUGCGGCAUGGACGCUUGUGAGAAGGGCAACGCGCCACGGCGGAAAGGCGGCGUCGGGGAGGACGCGUAGGCCGGCGGUGAGUAGUUGUAUGACGGUAUGGCGGCCGGCUGAGAGGGGAGGAGGAGGAAUAUUGGCGGGAGGAAUGGAGCGAAUGAGAGGGAAGCCGGGGGGAAAGCGGGAAGAAACGGCGGGAAAAGGCUCUCAACUCGCCGACAGAGCGGCCCCACACCUUUUUGCUUGUGCUGGCGCCCCCAGGUGCCCCCCAGCGCGCCGAGUUCCGCUCGGGUGCGCCGGCUGUUAUUUCUGCCCAACCCGGCGAAAAACGGACUCAUGGGAGCGCGACUGGGGCGAUUUUCACCCGCCGGCGCUAAAAAAAGCCUGGGAGGGGCCUCUUGGGGGCGCGGCUGGAGAUGCUCUUACAUUCAGAGGGUAUAAACUAUGAUGUUCUUGAAACCACCCAACAAUACCGUUCGGGCGCACUUAGCCAUGGUCCAUGCCCAUAGAAAGGAACAAGACACCAUGAUGCAACCCUGUCCGUCCAGAGGUGAAUUAUAUAUUAUGUUUUUACUCAAGUUAUAUUAUAUAUAGUCCUCACAUAAUCUUGAUGCAUACACAAACCAAUCCCCGUCUACGUGUAAGAUUAUUGAAUUCUUCCACAGANNNNNNNNNNNNNNNNNNNNNNNNNNNNNNNNNNNNNNNNNNNNNNNNNNNNNNNNNNNNNNNNNNNNNNNNNNNNNNNNNNNNNNNNNNNNNNNNNNNNNNNNNNNNNNNNNNNNNNNNNNNNNNNNNNNNNNNNNNNNNNNNNNNNNNNNNNNNNNNNNNNNNNNNNNNNNNNNNNNNNNNNNNNNNNNNNNNNNNNNNNNNNNNNNNNNNNNNNNNNNNNNNNNNNNNNNNNNNNNNNNNNNNNNNNNNNNNNNNNNNNNNNNNNNNNNNNNNNNNNNNNNNNNNNNNNNNNNNNNNNNNNNNNNNNNNNNNNNNNNNNNNNNNNNNNNNNNNNNNNNNNNNNNNNNNNNNNNNNNNNNNNNNNNNNNNNNNNNNNNNNNNNNNNNNNNNNNNNNNNNNNNNNNNNNNNNNNNNNNNNNNNNNNNNNNNNNNNNNNNNNNNNNNNNNNNNNNNNNNNNNNNNNNNNNNNNNNNNNNNNNNNNNNNNNNNNNNNNNNNNNNNNNNNNNNNNNNNNNNNNNNNNNNNNNNNNNNNNNNNNNNNNNNNNNNNNNNNNNNNNNNNNNNNNNNNNNNNNNNNCAUAUACUAGUAUCAUGCAUAUGAUACUACUGUAUGAUACUACCUCCCUAAUGCAUAGUAUCAUAUAUUAGUAUCAUGUAGUAUUUUAUUUAUUGUCAUGCAUGACACAUACUAGUAUAACAUUUAUUAUGAUCCAGUAUCAUGCUACGAUACUAAACCUCUCUUUCUUCAUUUAAUUCUAUGACACCUUAUCAAAUUUGCCUAGUUGACAUGCAUGAUACUAGCUAUGAUACUUCAAUUACAACCAGCCUAAUCUCAUGUAAAAAUGGAGGUACCUCUCUGGCUCUCUCUCCGAGGAGUACGAGGGUAGAGUAAUAUAAAAAACAAUUAUUCCACCCGAAACUAGCAUGUACUACAUGUGUGGUGCACAUUAUCCGGCGAAGGAUACGGUGAGAGCGCGCGUGAGUUACUGCAGCUACUAGCCGCUGCUGCUUUGCUACUACGAGCCUAGCUAGAGGCGUGCUGUAUUAAACGCAACAUUUCUGUGAGACAAGGAAAAGGGGGGAAGAAAAAAGAACAGAAAAGGGAAGAAGGGACUGGAGUCGUUCGAUUUGAAGCGGGAAGCGGAGAGGCGUAGGGCGGGAAACCCAGAAGCGAUGGAAGAAGACGACGAGAAAUUUAGCGUGGCGAGUAAUAGCCCACGGACAUUCGGCCUGCCUGCGAACCAUUUUCCUGCUGGGCACACAAAGCUGUGUGUGUGUGUGAGCGCGUCGACGUCUUGCUUCCAGCGACAAGGAUGUUCGCCUUGCCUUAAGAAAGCCUUUGUAAAGUGCUUGCUCAUUAAUUGGUACCCUUGCUAGUUACUUGGUAAAUUUGCUUUGUUCCAUUUUCCCUUCUUUUUCUAAUAUUCUUUAUAUUUCGAAAUAUUCUAUAUAUACUGUAUAUCGUAAAUUAUUUUCCUUAAAUCUUUAACAACCUACAUUACAUAUUAAUUUUUUAAGUAAACAUGGAAAUUAUUCGUAAUUUUUAAAAAUAUGGUCAUGACAUUUUUAAAGAUAAUUCAUGGUAUUUUUUGACUUGUCAACAUAGUUGAACCAUUCAAUACAUUGUUUGUAUCAUUUUAAAAAUGACAUAAUUUUUGUAAAAUAUUCAUAAAAUCUAAAAAAUUGUUUGCGCAAUGUUUGAAAAAUGUAUAUAACAUAAAAAAAAUAAUGCUUGCGUCAUUUAUAAAAAUAUUCAUAAAUACUUACCAAAAUGUCGCACAAUUUACAAAAAACAUUCAUGACAUUAGAAAAAAUGUUGAAAGUAUGUUUAAAUUUUUUAAUUGUGUAUUAGAAAAUGUUCAAUGUGAAUUUCACAAAUGUUCAACAUGUAUUUGGAUAAAUAGCCAUCGUGUAUUGAAAACUAUUCAACGUGUAUCUGGAAAUGUUCAAACUAUAUACAAAACAAUUCAACGUAUAUUUGAAUAAGGAAUAAAAAAUAAUGUGAAAAUAAAAAUGAAAAUAUGUUGAAAACUGAUAAAGAAAAAUACAGGAAAAAAGACCAUGUGGAACCUUCCCGAAAAUGGAAGGAAGUUCCUAAAACCGGUCUGAUCCACAAAAGCUUCCGAAACAGCUCGAGCACAUCUACUAUUGGGCCAGCCCACUCGGGCGAAAUCUAUGUGUCAGGGCUAUUACCAUCUAGCAGUAAGCAGUGCAUUUGCCCAAAAAGAAAAGUAAGCGGUGCAUAAAAUUUGGGAAAACCCUAUGCGCCGCUCAAUGCGNNNNNNNNNNNNNNNNNNNNNNNNNNNNNNNNNNNNNNNNNNNNNNNNNNNNNNNNNNNNNNNNNNNNNNNNNNNNNNNNNNNNNNNNNNNNNNNNNNNNNNNNNNNNNNNNNNNNNNNNNNNNNNNNNNNNNNNNNNNNNNNNNNNNNNNNNNNNNNNNNNNNNNNNNNNNNNNNNNNNNNNNNNNNNNNNNNNNGUGUUGGGCCGGCCCUUUUCACUUUUUUUUUACUAUUUUCGCAAAAAAAUGAUUCAGAGCUGGGACUCGAACCUCCACCGUGCAUGACCAGGGGAUGAUGGGAUAACCACCUGACAACACCAGUUAGUGUGAUUAUGGAUAUGUUUUCCCCUUAUUUCUUCUUUCUUCCCUUUCUAUUAUUUUAUUUUUUAUUUUUUUCUCUGUCAUUUUUUCUCUCUUUUUUGAAAUUCACAAAGUUUUUCUUUCAGAUAGAUGAACUUUUUUCAACUUUAUGAACAUUUUUCAAAUUCCAUGAACAUUCCUUUUAAAUCGAUGAACCUUUUCAAAUUCGAUGAACUUUAUUCAAAAUUGAUCAACUUUUUUUCCUAUUUGAUGAACAUUUUUCGAAUUUGAUGAACUUUUUUUCAAAAUCAAUGAACUUUAUUUCAAAUUCAAUGAACUUUAUUUCACUGUUUUGGAAUCUUUUUUCGAAAUCGAUGAAUUUUUUUCAAAAAUCAUUAUCUUCUGAAAAUUGAUGAACUUUUUUUUCAAAUUCGUGAACUAUUUUCAAAGUUGAUGAACUGUUUUCGAAAUCAGUGAACUUUUUUUAAAAUUGAUGAACCUUUUUCAAAUAUGUGAACUUUUCUCUCAAGAUUUGUGAACUAUUUUUCAAACGGAUGUUCCUUUUUCAAAAUCGAUUAGUGUAAUAUUCACAUGUGUAAUAAAUUGCACGGCUAGAAAUGUAUUUAAUUAGUUCACUCUGCAACUGGUCAGUAGCACGUCGUAGGUUAGCUGGUUAGCAGUUCUCAUUCCUUGUUGUCAAACCGCGAGGUCGAUCCUUGAGGCGAACAAGUUUUUGUUAUUUUUCGCUUAUUGGCGCUACACAUGAAACAACCUGUGUCCAUUGAAUUUUUGCUGGACCGGCCCAGUCGCAUCGCCCUCCGGGCGCCCAUACGAGGCGGUUAGGAGCUCCCCCGUAGUCGGCGCUAACAGCGCCGAUUAGAGAAGCUGGCGCUCGCAGGAGCGCGUAACGGGCCGGCCCAUUUGUUUUUUACUUUCUGUUAGAAACUGCAAAAAGAAAUGCGCGGGUAGCAAAAUUCGAACACAGGACCUCACGAACCACGGGAAUGUAUCUGGUGCACCGGGGCAAUUGGUGCUACUGGUGCACCGGACUCCGUUGCACACUAAAAAAUGUUCGAAAAAAUCCGAAAAAAAAUUAGUGCAUUGACACAACAUCAAUGUAAGUUGUCACAAAAAAUUGAAUCAAAAUUCAAAACAUUGCUCAAGAUACAAAAAUGACAAAUUUGGCAUCAAUGUGCUAAUGGGCCAAAACUGAAGCCCAACCUGUGUUAUGUAUUCAGUGUCAAAUUUAUCAUUUUUAUAUCUCGAGCAAUGUUUCGAAUUUUGGUUUGAUUUUUUAUGACAACAUACAUUGAUGUGGUGCCAAUGUGGUAAAAAAUUUACAGCGGUGCACCAGAUACAUUCCCCACGAACGACUUGCGCCAUGGGACGUCCUAUUCUUAGAAUCUUCGUGAGCUCCCUUUUAUUCUGACUGCAGCUCGCGAAGCCCCAGACCAUUCUGCAAAUCGUUUUUUCUUUUCUUUAACGGUUUUGUUCGCCUUUUUUCUUUUCUUUUUUGCUAAAUACGUGCAAUUUUCAAAAGAAAAUCAAAGAAGCUUUUUUUCAAAAUGCAUGAGCUUUUUAAAAAUUUGAAAAAAAGUCAUUGGUUUUUUGAAAGUUCAUAAAGUUUAAACAAAGUUCAUCGAAUCUAUUAGUUCAUCAGAAAAUUGGAAAAGGUUCAUCGAAUCUGAGAAAAAUUCAUUAUAAUUAGAAAAAGUUCAUCGAAUCAGAAAAAAAGUUCACCGGUUUUGAAAAAAGUUCAUCAAAUUUUAAAAAAUAGUUCAUCAGAUUUGCAAAAAGUUCGUCGAAUUUGAAAAAAAAGUUCAUCAGAUUUGUAAAAAAAGUACACCACAUUCUAAAAAAGUUCAUCGAAUUUGAGGAAAGUUCAUCAAAUUCAGAAAUAGUUCAUCAAAUUUGAAAAAAGUUCACCAAAUUAAAAAAAUCAUCUAAUUUGGAAGAAGUUCAUCGAUUUUUUUAAAAAAAAUUAACGCUUCUGUAAAAAUUUCAUCGAAUAUGAGACAAAGUGCAUCAAUUUAGAAGAAAAGGUUUUAUGAAUNNNNNNNNNNNNNNNNNNNNNNNNNNNNNNNNNNNNNNNNNNNNNNNNNNNNNNNNNNNNNNNNNNNNNNNNNNNNNNNNNNNNNNNNNNNNNNNNNNNNNNNNNNNNNNNNNNNNNNNNNNNNNNNNNNNNNNNNNNNNNNNNNNNNNNNNNNNNNNNNNNNNNNNNNNNNNNNNNNNNNNNNNNNNNNNNNNNNNNNNNNNNNNNNNNNNNNNNNNNNNNNNNNNNNNNNNNNNNNNNNNNNNNNNNNNNNNNNNNNNNNNNNNNNNNNNNNNNNNNNNNNNNNNNNNNNNNNNNNNNNNNNNNNNNNNNNNNNNNNNNNNNNNNNNNNNNCUAUAACGGCCGCCUGCAGCGCCAAAUAGGGUUUGCCGUCAAAUUGUCGACAUAACGGACAGGCGAUACCCCGCAUCGCUAGCAAUGGGCCAGCCCAUUAUACGAGAGCUAAGCAGUCGGUUUUGGAGACCUUCUAGAAGGUUCCUUGAACCGUUUUUUUUCUUUUUUGACCGAUUUUGCAUUUUCUUCUUUGUUUAUUUUUCGUUUUUUGUUUUUUGUUUUUUAUUAUUCUUUUUUCCCUUUUUCUCUUUCCUUUUCUUCUAUCUUUUCCUUUUUUUCUGUUUUCUGUUUGUUUUUUCAUUUUUUCGUUUCUUUUGAAAAUUGGUUCAGAAAUUUCAAAAAUUGUUCGUGUUUCUACAAAACGUUCAAAAUUACAAAAAAUGUUCGUGUUUAAAAAAUAUUCGAAAUUCAUAUAAUGCUCGCUUUUUUCAAAAUUGUUCGGGCAUUUCAAAAAAUGUUCUUGUUUUACAAAAAAUUGUUUGGAAUGUUUUUUUCAAAAUUUUAGCAAUUUUUCAAAACUGUUCCUGUUUACAAAAAUUGUUCAUGUUUUUAUUUUUCAGGAGUUUCAAAACUUGUUCACAAGUUUUUAUAAAUCGUGUUUGAAAAUUUGUUCUGGAAUUUUAAAAUAUGUUCACGUUUCCAAAUUUUGUUUUGAAAUUUGAAAAAAGUUCUCCUUUCAAAAAAAUUGUUCAAGUUUUUCAAAAAAUGUUCGUGUUUUUCAGAAAUGUUAUACUUUUUAAAUUAGUUCGAAAAUUUUGAAAGUGUUUGUGUUUCACAGAACAUUCCGUUUUUUGAAAGUGUUUGUGUUUCACAGAACAUUCCGUGUUUGGUUCUUUAAGUUUGGUGCUACUCUUUAUUCAGCUACAAGUCCUAGAUCGGCUGGUACGAUGUCGUCGUUUAUAUCAGUGCAUCAUUUGUUCGAAUCCUUGCAAGUGCAUAUAGUUUUUUUUAGCUACAGUGCUCGUUCGAUUUCAGUUGCUGUAUUCAUGGGCUGGCCCAGUCGAAGCCCCGCCUGUGCGAAACGGCAGCAACUUGACGUAGAGAGCGUCACAUAGGAGGUCCCUAAAAUUUCGGCUCUGCGUACCGAGAGGUCCUGUUCGACGCCCGCGAGCGUCGAAAUGAGGUCCUUUCGCUGAUAGAAGUUUUUUGCGGGCUGGCUUCUUCGUGGCCCGCUAACGUAGUUCACGUGUCUGUUUCCUGAAUGUUUCAGGAAUGUGAACGUUGUUGUCUCCUGAACCAAAUUGUGGCCGUUUCGUGACUGUUUCCUGAACCAAAACGCUCUUGUUUCUACCACUUAACAUGCAGACUUUUGUAGAGAAGGAAUCAGCAAUUUUUAGUACUAUAAAUUGUAGUAAAAAGUGACUGUUUGUACCAUUGUUUGCUGACUGUUUCAGGUGUUGUCUUGUUCUGAAUUUGUUAAAUAUUUGUACGAAAUUGACUUCUUCUGAAUUUCCAACAAGAUAUUUUGUAGUAUACUGAAGAGAAAUUUGAAUCUGUAAAAACAUAUUGUUCAAUGUAUACGACAGUAGGUUAAUGUACCACUAAAGUUGUUGAAGUUCCAAGGCAAAAAAUUCCUUCUUGAGAUUCACUUUAAUAUGCGGAAUCCCUGAUGAACAUGAAGAAAAUAAAUAAAUUUAGGCCCCAAAAUCAUAACAGACAGGAAAAAUAGUAUAAUAAAACUAGAAAGGGAUUUGUUGGUACAGGGUAAAAAAAUUGGGCUAAGAGGAAAUAAAUAUACAUUAUUGAACAUUUUUGUAAAUAUAUGUUGAACGAUAUAUAAAUACACAUUGAACAUUUUUGUGAUAUACGCUGAGCAAUAUUUGAAUACAUAUUGAACUUUUUUGUUAUACGAUGAACAAUAUUAAAUACGCAUUAAACAUUUUUGUGAUGUACGCUGAACAAUGUUAAAAUACACAUUGAACAUUUUUGUGAUAUACGCUGAACAAUUUUUAAAUACAUACUAAACAUUUUUUUAUAUAUGGUGAACAAUUUUAAAUACACAAUGAACAUUUAAUAAAAAUGCGUUGGUCAUUUCCUUAAAUAUACGGUGAACAUUUUCUUAAAUGUGAGAUGAACAUUUUUGUAAAUACACGGAGUGAGCUCUUGUAUAACACACAAAAAGAAAAAAAAUGAAAGAAAUAAACAAAUCUGAAAAAAGAGAAAUAAAAAACCUGAAACAAAAACCAGAAGAAACCAAGCCUGGAAGAGAAAAUAAAACACACACACACAAAAGGAAAAACUAAAUAAAAAAAGGAAGAAAACCCAACCAGGAAACAAAAGAAAAAGGCAGAAAAAAAAACGCAGCAUCCCAGCGUACGAAACAGAAGUGAGCUACCCAACGUGAAACCCAGUGAAGAAAAAAGAAUCGAGCUUUGCUAAAAAAACGAAAAAGAAUCGAGCGACCGGAAGUGGGGGAAGGCAGCGAACCCGAAGUGGGUCGGCCCAAUCUGGACCGCACGUGAGCGUAGUGCUCUCUUUUUGACGCCUGCGGGCGUCAAAUAGGAUCCACCAUGCGUACCAGCCGAAACUUAUUUGAUGCACACCGCCUAAAAAUAGCUAGAUAAUCGGCACGCGAACCAACCUGUGGUUGAAAUGGUUAAGUGGACAGUGGUAUCUCCAGCCCAUCAGUGUUCAAGUCCUGAUGCUCGCAUUUAUCCUAGAAUUAUUUCAGGAUUUUCGGCGAUACGCUUUCAGUGGGAGGAGACGUCCCCGUCGACUACGAGGCGCCUACGGUGACUUCGUAAAAUCUCAAGAUUAUAUGCUGGCUCAGUCUCUCGAAGGUGCUCAUAGAGGUAGGGUGUGCGUAUGUGCAUUCAUAGGGGUGAGCGUAUGUGCGUUUAUAUGAGCGCUUGCGUAAAAAGCUAGAUAAUCGGCACGGGGCAUGCACACCAAGGCUAGCCCAUUGUUAUUUUUCCCGAUGUUUUUUCGAUCGUUUUUGGGAGUUCUUCAGGUUUAGCGUUGGUUUCUUUGAUUUCUAUAUUGGGUUUCUUCAUUUUCUAACUGCGCUUUUAAGUUUUCUUCCGUAUUUUUUUCAUUUAAUAAUAAUAAUUUUUUGUUGGGAAACGUUACAUGGAAAACAAAAAAUUGUGCGCACACGUAAGAUCUAUCUAUGGAGAUGCAUAACAACGAGAGGGGAGAGUAUGUCUACGCACCCGCGUAGACCAUAAGCGAAAGCGUUUGAUAACACGGUUGGUGUUGUCGAAUUUCUCCGCAAUCCAACUGAUCAAGUACCGAAUAUACGGCACCUCCGCGUUCAGCACACGUUCAGCUCGAUGACGUCCUCGCCUUCUUGAUCCAGCAAGAUGGGCGAAUUAGUAGAUGAGUUCUGGCAGCACAACGGCGUGAUGACGGUGAUGGUGAUGCUAUCUUCGCAGCGCUUCGCCUAAGCACUAUGAAAAUAUGACCAAGGGACAAAACUGUGGAGAGGGGCGCCGCACACGGCUAAGACAAUGUUGGGUCCCUUGUGUGGCGCCCCUCCCACACAUAUAUAUAGGUGGGGGGAGAGGGGAGGCAGCCAGGCGCACCACAAAGGUGGCCGGCCAGCCCUAGGGCUCCUGCCCUGGCCUGCGUCGCCCUGCCAUAAUUCCCCGAAGGGGGAAGGAAAGAGGAGCUGAUGGAAGGAAGGAGGAGGCCUACUCCCCUCUUUCCUUCUCUCCCCUAGGGCCGGCUGACAUAGAGGGGUGCACCAGCCCCUUGUGGGCUGACGUGCUCCCUUCUCUUGGCCCAUAUGGCCCAUAUACCUCCUGGGGCUUACCGGAACCCCUUCCGGUGACACGAUGACUAUCCGGUACACCCCGAAACUCUUCAGGUGUCCGAAUAGUAUCGUUCUAUAUAUCAAUCUUUAUCUCCGGACCAUCCCGGAGCUUCUCGUCAUGUCUGUGAUCUCAUCCUGGACUCCGAACAACAUUCCGUCACCAAAUCACAUAACUCAUAUAACACUAUAUCGUCAACGAGCGUUAAGCGUGCGGACCCUAUGGGUUCGAGAACUAUGUAGACAUGACCGAGAUACCUCUCUGGUCAAUAACAAAUAGCGAAACCUGGAUGCCCAUAUUGGCUCCUACAUAUUCUACGAAGAUCUUUAUCGGUUGAACCUUAUGACAACGUAAGUAAUUCCCUUUGUCUGUCGUUAUCUUACUUGCCCGAGAUUCGAUCGUCGGUAUCUUCAUACCUAGUUCAAUCUCGUUACCGGCAAGUGUCUUUACUCGUUCCAUAAUACAUCAUCCUGCAACUAACUCUUUAUUCACUUUGCUUGCAAGGCUUCUUAUGAUGUGUAUUAUCGAGAGGGCCCAGAGAUACGUCUCCGAUACUCGGAGUGACAAAUCCUGAUCUCGAUCUAUGCCAACUCAACAAACACCUUCGGAGAUACCUGUAGAGCAUCUUUAUGAUCACCCAGUUAUGUUGUGACGUUUGAUAGCACACAAGGUAUUCCUCCGGUAUCCGGGAGUUGCAUAAUCUCAUAGUCGAAGGAAUAUGUAUUUGACAUUAAGAAAGCAAUAGCAAUAAACUGAACGAUCAAUAUGCUAAUCUAACGGAUGGGUUGUGUCCAUCACAUCAUUCUCCUAAUGAUGUGAUCCCGUUAUCAAAUGACAACUCAUGUCUAUGGUUAGAAAACCUUAACCAUCUUUGAUCAACGAGCUAGUCUAGUAGAGACUCACCAGGGACACGGUAUUUGUUUACGUAUCCAUACAUGUAUUUAAGUUUCCGGUCAAUACAAUUCUAGCAUGAAUAAUAAACCUUUAUCAUGAUUUAGGAAAUAUAAUAAUAACCUAUUUUAUUAUUGCCUCUAGGGCAUAUUUCCAUCAUUAUUGUGUAUACAUGAAGAUCUUUUAAAGUAUAUGAUGAUCAUUUUCUAAAUACAUGUUCUGCCCAUUUUUCAUACGAUUUUUUAAUCAUUAAACUUGUUUCAACAUGUGCAUGUGCUAUUUAACAUCGCGAGCCCCAAAGAACACUCGUUUGGUAUAUAUGCCGAGUAACCGUACUGACGUGACACGUGAGCAGGAAAAAAAAAUGAAGCGAAAACGAGUGGAGUGUCACUUUUGUUUUCAUAUUUUUUUACUGGAAGCGGAAAUAAAUAUAAAUUCAGAAAAAUAUAUGCAAAGGUAACUGCCAGAAAAAAAAUACAGUUAAGAUAGUGGUCACACAUAUACGAAACAAAAGUUCGUCAGAACCCAAUAACAUCUUGAAUCAUAAAGAAAAGCAUAGAAAAUUCUGCAAUACAAUUUCUAAGGUGGCUACAAAUAUUAUGAUAUAUCAUGGAUAUGUAAUAAGAUAUUUUAUUGUGCAUUGGUUUUCAAUUCUGGCCACAUAAUAAAGGUAAACUAUAGCGGGAUGACGAGGGCCAUAGGAGUACUGAAAAGGAUUAUAUUUCUCGGUGGUAGAUCCAGUUGGGUUAGAACCGUGUGUACUCUCUCCGCCUGAAAAUACUUGUCGGAGAAAUGGAUAAAAAUGAUGUAUUUAGAACUAAACCACAUCUAUAUACAUCCAUUUCUCCAACAAGUAUUUCUGGACGAAGGAAGUACUAUACUAACUGUUUUUUUUUCACAUUUUGUGGAUUUGGAAAUCAUGUUACCAUUAUUUUUCCUCCAGAAAACAACGUUUGUUUCCGCAAGAAAUUUUCUGUUUCACUUCCAUUGUAAAUUCCUGUCUCCAUUUCUAGUGUGCACUUUAUUUCCGCAUUCUUCCAGAACGGAAAGAAAUUUCAUGUCAUACCAUGUGUUUGUGAAAGGACAUCAUUGCUCCUAAUGAGAAUUUGGUGUUAACGACAUUUGGUUAGCUGACUAGUUUCUAAGUGCUUGGAUAGUGUACCAAUCUUGAGAUGGAACAAAAGGGUGGUCGGUGAACCCCAAGCAAAAAGGUUCAAGAAGACGACACAUUAAUUUCGACCUAAGAUUUCUUGUUUAGAGUGCUAAGCAUGUCGUACUAUAAAGGAAGUGGUCGUAGUGCAUGUACGUUGUGGGAAUCGGAAAACUUCAUACGUGCCAAAAGAACACACACACCAUGUGAGAAAGAACCCCAAAAAUAUGCCAUAAUGCAUUUCUACUAUUGUGCCUCGGAGUUAUCUUGGAGCCUCCAAGGUGGCUCUAGGAGGUAGAGAAGUUUUGUUCUAACUCGGUCUUAGCUCAGAGGAACCCCAAAGACAGGGGUGGACAAAAAGCCUAUACCUUGAGAGCUUAAUGAGCGCUCGAUAGUUUGACUCGUUAAGGUCAUAUCCCACUCUAUAAUGAAGCAAGCCAAUCACUUGAGCUCGAGCUUAAUGAAUGAGCUUACGAGUUUCACAAGCAGCUCGUCGAUAGUUUGACUCGCUAAGGUCAUAUCUCACUCCUUAAUGAAGCAAGCCAAUCACUUGAGCUCGAGCUUAAUGAAUGAGCUUACGAGUUUCACAAGCAGCUCGUUAAUGUAGAAUACCACAUAUUCUUAUCUUAAGUGACAAUGUUUUAUGGCAGCCUGACCCAUCUAUUCGAUCCAAUCGACCAUAAUAUGGUUAGUUCCAAAUUGUAGCAUUUAACUUUGUGAGAAAAAUGUUGAAUAAUUUGGAUGCCUACUUGAUGUUUGUGGUAAUGUCUAUUAACUAGCACUCACAAGGUGCUCAUGAGCUUAACGAGCUAUAAAGGAACCGAGUUAUACAAGUUUUUUGCUUGUUAAGUUUGAACGAGCUUAGUGAACCUGAGCUUGGUUAAUCCACCCCUACCUGGAGCCUCUGAACCACGAGAACUUCCGACGCGCCCUAGAGCCUCUGAGCCAUACAGAACAGAGCAUGACAUGCACAUAUUUUGGAGGACCUAUUUAAGGUCCCUUCUUCGCCACGAAGAAGGGGUGACUCGUACUCUCUUUCCACCUUUGAUGAACACGAGAAAGCUUUAUAUCUCACUCCCGGCCAUAUAGAUCUCGAUGUAAGUUUCCAUCUAAGGAAAACUAGAGUUCAUUGAUUCCUCAUGGGAUCAUUUGUAAAUCUUGUUAAUCUUGGGUUUGUGGGGAAUCCUAGACGGUUGGUAUUACCUAAGAGAUUCCAUGUCGUGUGCUUGUGCUUCCGCUCAUUUGUGAGAGUUUGGAGCUCGCUUGAAGAGUUAGUUCUAGUGACAGUGUGCUUAGACAUUUGUUGGCCAAGGCACUCACAGACUUAGUGUUGGUGCAAUAUCUUACCCCCUUGGGUUUUGAAGAUUGUUGUCAAAAACAGUAAGAGACUGAUAUGUUUGUAGUGCACACAGAAGGAAAUAGUCCCCAUCAUAUCGAGAAGAAUGCUACAUUCUGACAAGAAUUUUGUGAUAAACUUCACCGAGAAGUAUCUGCGUUGGAGAGAAGCGAUAUAUGUUUUGAGAAGAAACUACAUCGAGAAGAUUGUGUAACGGAGUUGACCCCCAGAAAUAUUUCUGAAGUAAAGAAAUUAGAUUUUGGCGUGUUCGAGAAGAAAUGGAUGUAGUUGAUAAGAUUGAAGGCGAAGCGAAAACGUAGCAUUUAUUCCAUUAUCCUUCUUUCUCCUAUUCUGUUGUGAUGCUUAACCCAAACCUAUGAGAGUUGAGAAAAAUCUCUCUGUGUUCCGAAACAUUACUUGCCAGCCAGAGACAUUGUUCUCCUGGGCAGCGGGAGACAUGGUUCGGACCGAAGAGUCAGCUUUACUUGUUCCUCAAGUAAAGUUGCGUUGUGCUCAAAAUUCGACCGUUAAAAAUGCGUCGAAUGGCCAUUGGCUGGACCGCGUGUCCCAAAUGGUCAUUUCCCUUCUGGGAAGGUUGCGGCUAUAAGCAGUGGCGGACCCAGGAUUGGCUCUCGCCCCAGGCGAGAAACUAAGGGUUAAAAACUACCCAGAAAAUACUCGAGUUUCAAGGCAUACAAAAGCCAAUCUAUGUUGCAUAAUAACUAAUAAGAAACCAAACAUAGUAUUCAAUUGCAGCAUUUGUUCCAUGAUGGGUCAACUAUGUAACAUCCCAAAUUUUCAGUUUGGAAUGUUAUACAUUAGAGCAUCAUUGCAUAUCAUAUUUUAUUUGCAUUUUGGUCUGAUCCUAGAAAUUCUACACAACUCAAGGACCCACGGAGAGAGUUGGGGAUUUCGUUAUUUUUCAUAUUUGAGUUUUCUCGAAUUUUGAAAAUAGGAUCAUUUGAUUUUAUUUAUUUUAUCUUCAAUUAUUUUAUUUAUAAAAAUAAGAGAGAGGGAAUAAAAUGACUUUCCCAAAAAUAAGAAAUAUUGAGGAUUUAAUAAAAAAUCAAUUAUUUGAUUUUAUUUGGAGUUUUGGCUAUUUUAUUUGAAUUUAGGAAAAAUUGCACGUUUUUCAAAAUUGCAUUUUAGGGCCAAGAAAAUGUUCAUUUCGUUCCAAAUAUUUUAUUUAGACGGUAAAAAUUUAUUUUGGUAUUUUUAGAAUUUUAUUUUAUUAUUUUUUUGUUUUUUAGUUUCGGCGGAAUUGUUUAAAAAAACGCGCCCGNNNNNNNNNNNNNNNNNNNNNNNNNNNNNNNNNNNNNNNNNNNNNNNNNNNNNNNNNNNNNNNNNNNNNNNNNNNNNNNNNNNNNNNNNNNNNNNNNNNNNNNNNNNNNNNNNNNNNNNNNNNNNNNNNNNNNNNNNNNNNNNNNNNNNNNNNNNNNNNNNNNNNNNNNNNNNNNNNNNNNNNNNNNNNNNNNNNNNNNNNNNNNNNNNNNNNNNNNNNNNNNNNNNNNNNNNNNNNNNNNNNNNNNNNNNNNNNNNNNNNNNNNNNNNNNNNNNNNNNNNNNNNNNNNNNNNNNNNNNNNNNNNNNNNNNNNNNNNNNNNNNNNNNNNNNNNNNNNNNNNNNNNNNNNNNNNNNNNNNNNNNNNNNNNNNNNNNNNNNNNNNNNNNNNNNNNNNNNNNNNNNNNNNNNNNNNNNNNNNNNNNNNNNNNNNNNNNNNNNNNNNNNNNNNNNNNNNNNNNNNNNNNNNNNNNNNNNNNNNNNNNNNNNNNNNNNNNNGCCGCAGCCCCGCCACCCCACGCCGUCCCGCCGCCGCGCCGGAACCCCGCCGGAGCCCCGCCAGAGCCGAGCCGAGGUAGCCGCCCCGGUUUUUCUAAAGAAACCGAUCCGGAUUUUUUUUGUAAACCCUACGUUUUUUUAGAUCAGAUUCGUUUUGUUUCGGUUUUCUUAUUUAGCGAGCGUUCGCUCGUUCGUUCGUUUUAACGAACGCGUUCUUCGUUUAGUUACAGUUAAUGAACGUCCGUUCGUUAAACUGUUCGUCAGUUUUCUUUUUCUCGGAUUUUCCGCGAUUAUUCCAGAUCGCGAUUUCCGAUCUGUUUUUCGUUUUCGUUUUUCUUUUCGCUCGUUUAUCAGAAUCAGGCGAUUCAAGCGCCUAGAGUUUCGUCUCGAAGCCCUCUUUCCGUUUAACCAACUCAAACAAAUUUUUUGCUUCGAUAAAAUUUGACUAGGUCCAGAAUAGUAAACGAAGCUUGUUUCUUUCGCCGUUUGAUUUUUGUUGCUUCGUUUGAUUUGAUUCUUUUUGCAAACCGGAGUUCUUAAGUUGAACUUUCUGGUUAAAUCUCUUAUUUGAGUUUUACCUGUGCAUUAGAUGAGUACUUAUUAUAUGCUUGUUUGUUUGCGAUAGAGUACCCGGAGUGCGCCGGUUGCUACUUCGAAUCGCUAGGUUUCCCGGAUCAUCAGCAAGGCAAGUAACACUUUGAUCAUACCUCUUUUAUUACCCAGUUUUAUUGCAUUAGAUCAACCCUCAAACAUUGCAUGAUUAGGAUCUAAUUAAAUUGUGGGUUCUGGGAAGUAGAUGAGGUAGUACCUAUUGCCCUGUUUAUUAUCAAACCCUUGGGAGUUACUUCUACGUUUGCUUAUAUUGUUAUGCUAUGCUAGUAGACGUGGAUUGGGUUUGAGUGUUACCAUGACAGAUGUGAGAUUGUUAAUUAAUGGUUAAACUUAAGGUGGCAACUAAAACACACAUCUGGGUGGAUUGAGGUACCUGGGUAUUCCAGGAUUGCCUGUUUUUCUUUUGGACCGCCACCCAGGCUCAAAGGGAUCAUGAGAUUAUUCAUGCUAGAAACUUCCGUAUGCAGCCACAAGCUAUUAUGGGUUCUAGCAUAGUUGAGUAGGUUGUGUGAGCUCUUGAAGAGGUAGACUAGCAGAUGUAGGGGAUGUAGGUGGUACUAUAUACCCGGAGUAGAGAGUUAACGCUUCUGAAAGACUGUGUCUCGGUCAUCCGUUUCUCAAACACCUUGAAGUGUGAGAAUCCCAAUGGAGGAGAUCGAGUCUUGUGGGGAAAAAUGCGCAAACCUCUGCAGAGUGUACAAUCUAAUCAUGGUUAGCCGUGUCCCCGGUUAUGGACAACUUGAGUAUCUAGUAUCUGGAUUUUCAUGUGAAUCUCAUCAUGUUACUUUAAUUAAUUUUGUUGGGUUUUGAUGAUGAUACUUAAUUGGGAUUGAGAAUGCUGUCAACCAUUCUCAAUGUUUAAUAACCACCAUGAUAGUUAAAUAAAAUUUAUUCCUUUGCAGUAGGGAAAAAUUGGCUUUUCGCAAAACUGUAACCAUAGAGCCUUCUACCAGCCAUAUAUGCAUGUAGUAUAGCAUUAUUCUAUUCAUUACUCUCUAUGUGUUACAUUGCCAGCAUAUUCCAUGUGCUGACCCGUUUUCGGGCUGCAACGUUUCAUGUUGCAGACUUUUCAGACGACGAGUAAGGUGCCUUAGGUCGUGGUUCUAUACUCAGUGAUGCCGUUGGAGUUGAUGGACUCACUUAUCUUCCAAGCCUUCCGCUGUUAUCGUUAUUAGAUGGCCUUAAGCCAUAUUUAUUGUAAUAAGUUCUCUUUUGGAGACAUUCGAUGUAAUAAGUGUGUGAUUGCUACUCUGUUAUAAAUCCUUCGAGUACUGUGCGUGUCAGCAUUACUGAUCCAGGGAUGACACUGAUGCACAGAGACUUGACCAUCUGAGGUCUGGUCGCUACAAACUAAUAAAGCAAGACAAAUCAAAAGACAAUAUGUAGCAUAGAUAGAUGAUACAAAAGAUUGAUUCAAAUCAAAGGAUUGGAUGAUCUGAGCCUCCCAUGACUACAUGUUCAAUAGCAGAAGAAGCUAAACCUUCAAUCAUCAAUUUUAAAAUGCAUAUCAGUGCAUAAUAGCAGGUAAAACUAAUUAAUAAUAGAUGCAAAAUGUGAAAACUUAUGUCUAGGACGAGGCAAACCUUUACGUGUGUGAUAACCUUGAAAUCGGUCGACGGUCUUUGAUUCUUCAAUACUAACAAAUACAUCUCACUCAAUGUAACAUAUCAUUCUAUGAUUUAUCGAACCAUCACCCAUUUUGUUCCUCACUCUAGUCUUGAUAAUGCUCAUUGAUGAGAAUGCCCUUUCCACUAUUGCGGUUGCAACAUGUAAAUCAAUUCUAACUCAACAAGACGGUAAAUCAAGGGAAAAGUUGUGUGGAUAUUACUUUUAACCAUAUUCAUGGCAAGAUGACCAAGAUCAUUGCAAUUCAUCAAAUGUAGAUUAGCUCUUGCUUCUCGAAUGAAUGAGUCUAGUUGGUUUCUAAGGACAAAAGUAACUUCAUAGGUAGAGAACUCAGCAGCAUACAUAUUAGCAAGAUCUACUAGCUUGUCUUCAUUAUAAUUGGCAAAUGAAUUCUUGGGAUCAAGACAAGCAAUGCAUCUCAACAAUCGAGUAGACCUUUCAGCAAAGCGGUUGUUUAACUCCACAAUAACUUGAUCAUGCAACACAUUGAAUAUUUCAAUUUUGAAAUGAUGGUUGCAAGUUACCAAUUUCCCACCCAAGUACUUGAACGCCCAUUAGCAGUUCAUGUAUCUUCCAUAUUUGGCACUACAAUGAUGUAUUUGACACGAAAGUCUGUUACCUCUUUAAAGAGCUUAUCCCAACCAUUCCGCCUUAUCUCUUGAGUAUCCUCCAAUGUGGUUUUAAUCAAUCCCACAACACAUGCAAUAUGCUGAUUUUUCAAUUGCAAGCAUUGUGACAGAUUGUUAGUCUUGCCCAAUAAUCUAAUCAUAAGAUGCGAUAUGAGAACAAAUUCGAAGGACUCCAUGUGCUUUAUCAACCCCGUGGAUGUAGUUCUUUGGGCAACAUUAUCUGCAUCAUUGUGUAUAUUUUGUAAUACCUUUAGAACUGGUUUCCACAUCUCAACAAGACGGCACAACGUUUUAUGAUGUGACCCCUGCCGUGUAUCACCAGGUCUUGCAAGGUUAGUUAAUUAGUUCUCCCCUCUUCCCUCAAGAAGUUCCCCAACCUCUAUUUGGCGAACUAUUUCAUCAUGUUACUCUUGGGCUAACUAAUCAUGUCUUUUACAAGAAGCAUUAACAAUGUUAACAACCAUGCUUGUGUACUGAAAAAAUCUCUUACUUAUGAACAACACUUGGUAACAACAACAACCACUAAUUGUAACUGAUGAGCAAAACAAUUUAUAUAAUGAGCAUAAGGAUUUUCCUCCAAGAUCAAUCUUUGCAACGCACGAAAUUCCCCUGUCAUGUUUGAAGCCCCAUCAUGACCCUUACUCUCAAAUUAGACAUAGAUAAUCCAAGAGUACCAAACAUACCAUCCAAAGCUACCUUCAGUGAAGUUGCUCUCGUGUCAGGAACAUGCUCAACUGCCGUGAAUCUCUCAAUCACCUCCCCUCAUUUGCCGAGAUACCUACAUAAGCCAAAGGAGCAUGAUUAAUAUAUAAAAACUUUAGGGAAAUACACCUACAUGGCUAUAGUAACACACACAUACAAUACGAGCAAAGGUACUGACCUCAAACACAUAGCCAUUUGCUCCUUCAUAGAUGCUUCUAUCGACUCAUCAACAAGUAAUGCAGAUUUACCAUCUCCAAUCUCCUCAAUAAUGAUAUUGGUGAUCUCUUUUGCACAAGCCUUGCAUAAUUCCAAUUAAAUCUUAUGUGAAGUCAGCUUAUGGUUAUCUCAUGCAUUCCCAAAUAAUUUCGCCACCUUUGGGUCUUUCUUUAUGAACAAGUCCAACAACUAUUUAAAGUUACCCUUAUUAAUUGAGCUAGUAGACUCAUCAUGACCAUAAAAAGCAAGAGCUUGUAGUAUAACUUUUUUGACAAUACCCAAUAUAAUCAAGAGACGACCUUUGUAUUGUUCUUCUUGUUUCUAAGAACCCAUAUCAAACACAUGUGGCAUAUUUUGUCUUUGAUUUUUGAAAUCCUCAUAAUGUUGCCUAGAUUUAUUAUGAGCACUAUCAUGCUUGCCAACAUGCCGAUUAAAAACUUUAGGCCCAUGCUUCCAAGAUUUGAAUCCAUUUUUCAUGAAUGCUUCAAUACCAUAGUUUUCAGCUCUUGGUUGCUAAACAGAAAACAAUAAAAGCAAAAGGCUGAUUUUUUUAAUGCUAUAUUCCAACCAGCCGCGAUGAUCAUUGACUAAUAGUUAUGAAAGCUUAUACCAUUUAUCCGUUCAUAUGUAUGAUUAGUUGGUUGGCAUGGACCCAUACGGAUGUACUCCCUUCUAGCAAGAUCUCUAAUGUCUUCAUCUAAAUCCUCAAUUGGUAUUCUUUUGCCGGGGUCUGAUUCAACAUCACAGGGUUUGAGUUCAGCUCUAACACUAGGGGUAUUAUCAGUUGUUUGAAUUGAAGGACCUAUUUCUGUGGUUCCCGUGGUUCGAAAAAAGAGUCUUGUUUCUUUUACUCAUCUUGCCUUCCUGUAAAAUUUUAUAGAAACAAAAAUUACUCAACAUCUAAAUCGGUUUCUACAUCUAACAAACAGUGGCAUCAAGCAACAACAAUGGCAUCUAGCAACUGUUUUUUAGAAACAGACAUCUAACAACUAAUUAAAAUCAUCAUCAAAUAAAAAACAAUGGUAUCAAGCCAUCAACCUGUACCUUUGCACUGAUUUCUGAGGACCACCUCGCUGGACAGGUCAAAAAGCAGUGGAUGGUCUAUAGCCUCGCGCCAUCGCGAGACAGGGCAGCAGCCGACAGCGGUGCUGGAACCAAGGAAUCGGGACGCGCAGCUAGACAGAGUCGAGCGCGCUGCCGGAUGUGCGGUGAGGAUUGCGCCGAUAGUAGACCCUGGCUUAGGGUUCAUCAAGUCGGGGGAACCAGGGAAGAAUGGGGUGGUUGCAGCUGGUUCGCGUGGAUGUGUGGUGAGGGUUGCGGGGCAGUUCGUGCGGUGCGGGGUGGUUGGCCUGGGCGGUGCUACUUCUUGAGCUUGCGUUGGUUUUUUCCUUGAAGAGGAAAGGGUGAUGCAGCAAAGUAGAGAUAAGUAUUUCCCUCAGUUAGAGAACCAAGGUAUCAAUCCAGUAGGAGACAACACACAAAUCACCAAUACCUGCACAAACAAUCAAACAACUUGCACCCAACGCGAUAAAGGGGUUGUCAAUCCCUUCACGGUCAGUUGCAAAAGUGAGAUCUGAUAGAGAUAGAUAAAACUAUACAAAAUAUAAAUUAAAUAUUUUGGGGGUUUUUGGUUUAUAGAUCGGAACGUAAAAGAUUGCAAAAUAGUAGAUCGAAAACUUAUAUGAUGGAAAAUAGACUCGGGGGCCAUAGGUUUCACUAGAGGCUUCUCUCAAAAUAGCAAAUAAUAUGGUGGGUGAACAAAUUACUGUCGAGCAAUUGAUAGAAAAGCGCAAAGUUAUGACGAUAUCUAAGGCAAUGAUUAUGAAAUAUAGGCAUCACGUCCAUGUCAAGUAGAUCGACUCCUGCUUGCAUUUAGAGUAUUAAGUUCAUGAAGAACAGAAUAGUGCUUUAAGUAAGAUGACAUGAUGUAGAGGAAUAAACUCAAGCAAUAUGAUGUAAACCCCAUCUUUUUACCCUCGAUGGCAACAAUACAAUACGUGCCUCGCUGGGUGAGGACACCGCAAGAUUGAACCCAAAGCAAAGCACUUCUCCCGUUGCAAGAAAAACCAAUCUUGUUCGAAGAGAAUUACUAAGAUAUCAAAUCAUGCAUAAAAGAAUUCAGAGAAGAUUCAAAUAAUAUUCAUCGAUAAGCUGAUCAUAAAUCCACAAUUCAUCGGAUCUCGACAAACACACCGCGAAAGAAGAUUACAUCGGAUAGAUCUUCAAGAACAUCAAGGAGAACAUGGUAUUGAGAAUCAAAGAGAGAGAAGAAGCCAUCUAGAUACUAACUAUGGACCCGUAGGUCUGUGGUAAACUACUCACGCUUCAUCGGAAGGGCAAUAGAGUUGAUGCAGAAGCCCUCCGUGAUCGAAUCCCCCUCCGGCAGGAUGCCAAAAAGGCCCCAAGAUGGAAUUUCACGGGAACAGAAGGUUGCAGCGGUGGAAAAGUGUUUUCGUGGAUGCUUCUGGUGGUUUGGGAAUAUAUGUGAAUAUAUAGGCCAAGGGUUAGGUCAGAGGAGUCCUGAGAAGGCGGCAAGGCAGGGGGCGCCCCCCUAGGGCGCGCCCUCCCCCCUUGCCGCCGCCUCGCGGCUCUUCUGACUUGAUCUCCAAGUCCCCGGGGUGUCUUUUGGUCCAAGACAAAUCAUCGUGAAGGUUUUAUUCCGUUUGGACUCCGUUUGGUAUUCCUUUUCUGCGAAGCUCAAAAACAAGGGAAAAAAAGAAAUUGGCAUUGGGCUCCAGGUUAAUAAGUUAGUCCCAAAAUAAUAUAAAAUAGCAUAUUAAUGCAUAUAAAACAUCCAAAACAGAUAAUAUAAUAGCAUGGAACAAUAAAAAAUUAUAGAUACGUUGGAGACGUAUCAGGCAGCUAGGCCAGUUGGCCUGGGCUGCCUGGGCUUGGAAGUGGGCUGUGCCCUAGGCCAAAUGUUUUUUUAAUAUGGGCCAAGAAAAAUCCCACGCCUGAGGCAAUGGCCUGGACUGUCUGGGGCCCAAAUCCGCCCAUGGCUAUAAAUAGCCACCCCGCUCCAAUAUUGAUCAUUGGCUGAUCCGCUUGAGAUUCUAAGAAGAUUGCUCGAGCACCCCUCUAUGAGUGAUUUGAGUUUAAAAUCCACUUAGAGAAAAUCAAGAUCCAAAACUUAGAUAUUGGUUGAGCAUCAUAGUAGAUUUGAGUUGAAAGUUCUUGUGCCUAUUACUCUUGAGAGCUGCUAACUCUCUAGACGGAUAGGUGUCGGCUUGAAUGUCAAAGAGUAAUUGUUUUCACCAAGUCAAAGUCUUCAGCAACAAAGAGUAAUUGUGGUUCGCGAAGCUAGUCUGUUGAAGGUUUGGAUAUCGCUGAUAAUCAUCUACCCGAGUGAAAUCAAGUGAAGUCUGAUCAGCUUCACAUUGAAGGAGAAUAUGACAGAUAGAGGUUUGAUCAUGUGUUCAAUCACAAGUCCCUCCAACUGGACGUACCUCUUUUGCAGAAGAGUGAAUUGGUCUACCAAAUCAUAUGUCGCCAUCAAGCAACACUGGUCAUUUAUACUCUAUUGCAAUUCUUUCAGUAGUUUAUCUUCUAUGCUCUUUGCCCUGAUAGAUAUCUCUCUGAUCUUUUCUAUAUCUCUGUUUGUUAUCUGUUUUGUGACCAUGUUAGUCAGUGUAUUCAUGUUUGUUGUGCUUAACAUAGUUUGCCUAUAUGUUUGUUUAUUGUUUAUUUUGUGUUAUCUCACCGUUCAGUUGAGUCUUACUCUGAUGAAUAUCUCUCAAUAACUUCACAGUUUAUCUUUGGCAUACUACCUAGUGUCCUGUGUUCUUUUGUUCGUCCAUGCUAUUUGCCUUGCUUCCAUUCUGUCUCAUCAUAGUUGUAAUGAAGGUUUUAUGUCACUUUCAUUGAAAGUUUUGUGUAAUUUGUCUGGUUCACCUCCUUUAUGUUCGGUAGAUUGUUUGUGUUUUGUUUCAGUGUGACUGAUCUAGUUCUUUAUCUGAUGUGUUGUGCUGAGACAAUUUAAUUAAAGUUUCAAAAGAAAUCUUAAAUCUUCCAUUCACCCCAUCUGGUCGAUAUACUCUUGAUCCUACACUUAGGUAAUGCAUUUGUUAUUGGGAUCAUUUCUUGCCCCCACCUCUCCAGCGGAGAUUAGCACUCCCUCAAAAGUGUGAACUCCUAAUUACAUCUUCGUCUUCGUCACUUAUUUUUAUCUCUUUCCUAGUUUUACUUGUUGUUAUUACUUGAUUGCUUGUUUUCCUUGUGUUGCUUUGCUAGUUUGUAGUAGCUCAUCAUAUAUGGUGUAUAAAUUAGUUGCAUUUGUAGAGAACUUACAAUUUCGCGGCUACCUAUAAAAUCACCCAAGAAAAGAUUAAAAUUGAUUCGCCUAUUCACCCCCUCUAGCCGACAUACCAAGCAUCUUUCAUCUUUUGAUUUGUAAUCAUAUCACUAUCAAUAUUAAUAAAGACACAAAUUGGAACCAACAAAAACUAUUUAGUUGCAUUUGGAUUAUAUUCGCCACGAAACAAAGAGGCUUGUAUGGUGUGAUAAAUGAGAUAGUCUCCUGGUCAAACACCUUCAUUUUAAUCUGGUAGUACCUUGAGUGUGCAUCCAGAAAGCAGAGGAAGUCAUGCCUAGCCAUAGCAUCAACAAUACGGUCAAUGCGUGGCAAAGGAAAGGAGUCCUUCAGGCAUACCUUGUUGAAGUACUUGAAAUCAAUGCAAAGACGCCACGUCGCAUUCUUCUUUGGCACCAUGACCACGUUCGACAACCAGCCAGGGUGCUUGACUUCAUAGAUGAAACUGGCCUUCGGAGUUUGGCCAGCUCCUUGCCCAUAGCCUUACACUUGGGCUAUGAAAAUCCACGCAAUGACAGUUUAACUGGCUUGGCGCCAGGCAUAAUAUUCAGGUUGUGCUCCGAUAUUUCCCUUGGGAUGCCUGGCAUAUCGGAUGGAUGAGAAGAAAAUAUAUUUCAAUUCUCAUGGAGGAAAUCAUGGAGCACACUUUCCUAUUUGGAAUCCUGGUCGGUCCCCAUGGACUCCUCCUUGAUCGAAUCGUCAGGGUGCACUUGGAACUUUACGAUGUCAUGGUCGGGAUGGAACGACGUUGAUUUCAUGUGCUUGGUGAGGAUGAUGUCAUCCUUUUCGAUCCUUGUCCUCAUGUGGGCGAGCUCCUCGACGGCAAGGGCUUCAGCCUCGGCCUCGACCACCAGGACUAUAAUGGUAUGUUCGGAUUUGAGAGACCACUCCACAUUCUAGCAUAUGGUGAUGACGCCCUUUGGGCCAACAUCUUGAGCUUCAUGUGCGCAUGAUGUGGCAUGGCACCAAAGCGCACGAACAUGGUUCUGCCGAGGAUGGCAUGAUAGUCACUCCUGAAAUGGACUAGGGGUGGGCAUAAAAACCGACCACCGAAUGCCGGACCGAUACCGAAACCAAAUAAACCGAAUUUUCGAUUUUUUGUAUUGCCACAACUAAAUUCGUUUUUACCUUCAAUAACUAAAUUUAAAUCGUUUGGUUCGGUAUUAAACCAAUACUAAAACAAAAAACCGAAGUGCAAUGACUUCCUGACUUCAUGUACGAGCCCCCCUCCGUACGCUUCCGCGCAUAACGCCAAACACUGGCGGCCACGUGCGCACGUCCAGCGGUCCAGGCUACAACCACACAUCAUACGAAGGCCCAUGCAUGCUCUUUGUCCCACAUUCUGACUAGUACUACCUCCGUCCUGGUUUAUUGGUCCCCAUUGUAUUCCGUGUUAAAUUUUGACCAUGAAUUAAACUAACAAAAUGUUCAUGCAUGUCAUAAAAAAAUUAUAUCAUUGAAAACUAUGUUCAAAUAUGAAUGCAACGAUAAUUUUUUUAUUAACAUGCAUUAAUAUUUUGUUAGUUAAAUCUUUGAUUAAAAAUUUGACGCAAACUACAAAGGGGACCUAUAAACCAUGAUGAAGAUAGUACUUUUGUUGACCUGGGCCCGCCACUAACUGCAAGGCCCGACGCAACUAGUACUUCUAGCGGCCGGGUGGAGUGUGCAGUAGAUUUAUUUAGUCCCACAUCGCUUGCGAUACUAAAGGGGGCAAGGCGCUGGGUGAUAUAAGACCGUGAGGUGCUCAUUGCUCAGAAUAGAAGCGCUUGCUGCUACGCUGUUCGCAGUGUUCGAUAAUGAACUGAAAACUAAACUGAAGUAUCGGUUAACCAAAAAUCGGUUAGCAAUCUUGGCCUGCUAUUUUCGGUUUUUAGUUUUCAAAACCGAAUUUAAAAAUAAACCAAAUGGUAUAAACUAAAUUUUCGUUUCUACCGAAUGCCCACCCCUAACAGGGACUAUGUCUGUGCUACCAAACACCACGUCUAGCGUGACCCUUCUAGUACAAUGAGCUUCCAUGCUAGGGAUAAUGCCCUUGAGCUUGUUUUUAGUCGGCUCGAUGCGUGAAGUGCAUCUUUUUUAGUGUCUCUGCAUAGAUGAGGUUUAAGCUAAGGACGAGCACGGUUGUGCCGCCAUGAUGAACACUUGUCGGGUGGUCACAUCGAUCAAAGGUGAUUGGGGAUUGUACUUCAUCUCAGCUGGCUCCACGGCCUAUACCCCGCGAGGGUGCAUUUUCGAUCGUUCUUUGACGUGUGAGAUACAUAAAUCAUAUUCACUUUCUUUAUCUGCAAUUGGUACUGCUUUUGCCUGCCGUUCCACUUACCGGGUUGCAGCUCAUCCUCGUCGUUAUUGUUAUGAGGGUUUGGCUUGUAUGUGUUGCCACUUCUGACAUGCAUGGUCUUCUUGUGGACCCAGUAGUUUUGGUUGGUACGAGUAGCGGGAAAAUCUCCGUUGCUAGGGUGGACGGCACAAGGUCGGUCCAGGAUCUUGUCCAGGGCCGAUGUGCCACCCUCGUCCUUCUUGCCUUGCAACUGCUUCUUCUUUCCACCACCGCCUUGGCGCUGGUUGUUGAAUCCAGUGCCGACCUCACCGUCCUCGAAAUCACUCUUGCUCUGGAGCUUAUUUUUGCGGUUGCGCCAUAACUUUCUAUUUUUGUCCUUCACCGAUGGUAUGGGGUCCCCGCCACAACUUUUUUCUUAGCGAGCCAUGUGUCUUCCACCAGCGCAAAAUUAGGUCAUCAUCUCCAUGAGCUCGAGCAUGGUUCUGGGCUUGUAGUGACCGUGGUCCCUGUCCAGGAACUUGUCCACGGAGCCAUGCUCAAAUGUGGCAAUGGCCACGGUGUUGUUGUAGUUGAUGCUCUCGUUUUUCUUCUUUAGGAAUUAGGUCCAGUAGCUACAUACUGAUUCCUUGCUUCAUAUUGGCUGGGUAACAGGCAUCCGCAGGUUGAAUGCAAGUACCUCAAAAAGUUGCCAUGAAUUAGGCCUGAAGAUCUGCCCAGAUCCUGAUCGAGCGGGGCUUGAGGGUGUGAAGCCAGGACCAAGCUGGUCUUUUCAGCAUGAUGGUUAGGUUCUUCACUGUGUAAGUCAUUUUCAUUCCCCACCUGGAUUGCGAGGAUAUAAUCAGUGAUCUAAAUCGUAAGCUUCGUGGCACCGUCAUACUUGUCACAAUUUGUGAGCUUGAAGUUCGACGGGAAAGGGUGAGUGAUGAUCCAAUCGAAGAAACGGGGCGGAUUCAUCAUAGAUGGACCCGCAGCCAUUGAUCAGAGGGCAUCAAUGGUACAACACACAUCAUUGGGGCCAACAGGUUUAUUGUACUUGGUCAAGGCCAGCUAAUAUAUGUCUUUAGCCUGCUCACACAGGCGAGCUGCUUGCUCGAUAGACGUUUCGUAGUGGUGUGGGGUAUGUCGCCCUUGGCUUGAUAGAUCGUUCAAGGAGCCUCGUCCUCGGGUAGAGUCCGUUACCCACUCCAUGUGAUGGGAGCUCGAUACCCGUAUGCCAGGAAUAUGAGAUGCCUCGGUCACGAGAUAUCACGACAUGGUUCUUCAUUCAGGAGUGAGAAUUUUUGCUAUUGUCUUGUUGCUUCCAGUGCGCCCUUGCCUGCAUCUACCUAUCCGCCGACCUGGGGUCAGUGAGGAGGCUUGUCUCCUACGCCUGCAUGCAGGUUCUUUGCCCACAUGCGGUGAGAAACCGCACUAGGUUCUUGUAACAUCCCAAAAUUCUAAAUUUUGGAAUGUUAUAAUAACAGAUAGAUUGGAUUGAUUGUUUGAUUGAUUGAGUGAAAGUGAGUGGAAUUCGAAAUCUUUUGAAAGUUAAAUGAGAGGGAAUAAAAGGACUUUCCCAAACUUUCAUUUUGCUUUUAUGACCUCUAUGAAUUCAAAUUCUUUUCAUCACAAAACCCUGGAGAGAAGAUGACAUGACUUCUUCCAUUUAUUUAAAUGAAAAGGGGUGUUGAAAAUAUUUGAAUUUCAUUUGAGAAUAUUUCAAUUCUAAAACUUUAUGCAACUCAAUGAUUUUCACGAGCGAAGAUAAAAUGACUUCUUCAAAACAUAUGAAAUAUGAGUUGGGAGUUUCAAAGGAUUUAUUCAAAGUCCCAUUGAAAUUAUUUUUCAAUAUUGGAGUUAUUUGAGUUUUAUUCAAAUUAUUUUUCUCCAAAAAUAAAAUAUAUAGAAAAUAGGGUAACAUGAUUCCCUACAUCAGAAAAUUGGAGAAAAAUAAAUUUGAAAUCAUUUUGGUAUUUUUAAAAUGAUUUUUAUUGGAUUUUAUUAAGGCAGCUGCACUGUUUGAUUUAUUAAAAUUUGUGUGGAUUUUAUUUGACUCUACAAAAAUGUUCACGUUGUAGGAAAUCAUUUUCUGAAAAUUUUGAUAUAUUAUAUGCCUAUAGUAUUUUUUUAUUUAUUUAAGUUUUUUUAUUUUCCUUGCGCUGUUCGACCGACCGGACCGGGCCGGCCCAGUUCGCCAGGCCACGGCCUAGCCGGCCCACCCCGCUCGUCCCCGAGCUCGGGACGGAGUCCCGAGCCGCCACGCCAUCGCCGCCGCCUCCCUGCCGCCGCCGGUCUCCUCUGCCCCCUUCCCCACGUCUCCUCGCCCCCCUUAUAUAGCGCCUCCCUCUCUCUCUCUCUCCCUCCUUCCCCGCGCUCACGCCGCCGCCUCGCUGGAACGGCCACCGCCGCCGAGUCCCUCACCGUCGCCCCGCAACUCCCCGACCCCGUGGCCGCCACCCACCUCACCGCCGUGCCGCGCCGCCCUUCCUAGCUACUCCGCCGCCGCCGCCGUGCCCCGCCACCGCCGAAGCCACUUCGCCCCACCGCCGCCGGAGCCACGACUCGCCGGAGCCUCCGCCGCAGUGGUAAAACCCUAACCGAUCUGCCGCCGGUUUUUUUUUAAAAAAAACCGUUGCCCGGUCCAAUCUGGUUUUCUCGGUUUUGUUUAAAAAAAACGGUUUAGUUUUUUUUAGAGCUAUUCAACGAACGUUCUCUUUUUAGAACUAGUUAGCGAGCGUUCGCUAUUUUGACUUUUCCUUUUAUUUUAGUUUUCUGCCAGGGACCCGUUUGUGAUGAUUUUAUUUAAAGAUUAGCCCCUAAUCUUCAAACGUCUAUAACUUUUUACUCGUUUGUCCAAAUCCAACGAAACCAACGCCCACGUCUUCGUUAUGAUCCCCUCUAUCCAGUAAAAUAACUUAAACAUGUUUUUGAAAGUUUUAAAAUUUGAAUUCAAACAGAUUUAUAUUCAAACUUCUUUUGUUCAUAACUUGAGUUCCGUAACUCCGUUUGAGUUGAUUCUUUUUGCAAAUCGAAGCUCUUGACCUAAACCUUCUGAUAAGGCCAAAUUCACAUAAUUUUGGUACUGUUAGAAAUUGUUUUAUGUUGCAAGAGUUAUUUGCUUUGUUUUGAUGUUUUCCGAAUUGUUUUCUUCAUUCUUUCUCGAUCUUUUGAGUGAUUGCUUAUGUGUGGUUACCAUUGCUUGCUUACGAUAGAUUGACCGGAGUGUGACGAGUAGAUCUAUCAAGAGUUUUGAGUGCGAAUCAUCUUCAUCAACAUUGCAGGGAAGUAACACUUUGAUCAUACCCCGUUCAUACCCAGUUUUUAUUGCAUUAGAUCUAUUCCUUCAAACUCAUUGCAUGAUUAGGAUCUAAUAAACUGUGGGUAUUGGGAAGUAGUUGAGGUAGUACCUAUUACCUGUUUUUCUAUCAAACCCUUGGGAGUUACUUCUACGUUGCUUUUAUUGCUGCCAUGCUAUGCUCGUAGACGUGGAUUGGGUUUGAGUGAAAUUCAUGACAGAUGUGAGAUUGUUAAUUAAUGGUUUACUUAAGGUGGCAACUUAAACUCACAUCUAGGUGGAUUGAGGUACCUGGGUAUUCCAGGAUUGCCUGUUUUUCUUUUGGACCGCCACCCAGGUUCAAAGGGAUCAUGAGAUUAUUCAUGCUAGAAACUUCCGUGUGCAGCCACAAGCUAUUAUGGGCUCUAGCAUAGUUGAUUAAAUCGUGUGAACUCUUACAGUGGUAGACUAGCAGAUGUAGGGGAUGUAGGUGUACCGGUCUACCCAUCGUAAGGUGCAAACGCUUCUGAAAGACUAUGUCUCGGUCAUCCGUUACUCAAACACCAUGUAGUGCGAGUAAUCCAACGGAGGCGAUCGAGUCUUGUGGGAAAAGUGCACAAACCUCUGCAGAGUGUACAAACUGAUCAUGAUUAGCCGUGUCCCCGGUUAUGGACAACUUGAGUAUCUAGUACUUGGAUUAUCAUGUGAAUCUCAUCAUGUUACUUUAAUUAAUAUUGUUGGGUUAAUGAUGAUACUUAAUUGGGAUUGAGAUGCUGUCAACCAUCUCAAUGUUUCACAACCACCAUGAUAGUUAAAUAAAAUUUAUUCCUUUGAAGUAGGGAAAAAUUGGCUUUUCGCAAAAACAUUAUAACCAUAGAGCUUUUCCACCAGCCAUAUAUGCAUGUCGUGAUAGCCUUUGUUCAUCAUUUCUCUAUGGUGUGAAUUUGCCAGCAUAUUCCAUGUGCUGACCCGUUUUCGGGCUGCAACGUUUCAUGUUGCAGGAUUCUUACGACGAGUAAGUGAUACGUUAGGGUUACGAUUUUCUACACUCAACUUUGCCGUUGGUGUUGAUGGGAAUCCACAACCUUGUUACUUCCGCUAUUUGGAUUGAGGUAAUGGUAUUUACGUUAUUUUAUACAUGUGAUUUACCUCUGUUAUAAAUCCUCGAGUACUGUGUGUGUCAGCAUACCGAUCCAGGGAUGACACUUAAGCACAGAGACUUGAUCCAUUUGGGUCGGGUCGCUACAGUUCUGUGGUGUCCUCCCUUACCUGGUCAACUUUUGUACCUUUAGCGCGCUCUUGGUAUCCAUUGGGAUGAGCUUGCUCUUCAAGUUUUCCUCGUAAAGUGUCGUCAAGAUCUUGAGCUUUGUCGGCCAAACCGUUCUGGCUUCUACCCAGCUUGAUCGCUGACGUCUGCAAAUUUUCCUGAUCCUGAUCUUGGCAUGGGCUACUGAUGUCUACUACACAACUUUCUUCUUGUAGACUAUGUUGGGCCUCCAAGCGCAGAGUUUUGUAGGACAGUGGCAAAUUUCUCUCAAGUGGAUGACCUAAGGUUUAUCAAUCUAUGGGAUGCGUAGGAUGAAGAUGGUCUCUCUCAAACAACCCUGCAAUCAAAUACAAGAAAUCUCUUGUGUCCCCAACACACUCAAUACAAUGGUAAAUUGUAUAGGUGCACUAGUUCGGCGAAGAGAUGGUGAUACAAGUGUAGUAUGGAUAGUAGAUAUAGGUUUUUGUAAUCUGAAAAUAUAAAACUAGCAAGGUAGCAAGUGAUAAAACAGAGCACAAAUGGUAUUGCAAUGCUUAGAAACAAGGCCUAGGGUUCAUACUUUCACUAGUGCAAUCUCUCAGCAGUGCUAACAUAAUUGAUUCAUAUAACAAUCCCUCAACGUGCGAUAAAGAGUCACUCCAAAGUUCUUAUCUAGCGGACACCAUAAGAUGAAAUUGUUGUAGCGUAUGAAACCACCUCAAAGUUAUCUUUUCCGAUCAAUCUAUUGAGCCGCCCCUAUAAGUUUCAAAAAUACCCCUAGAGUUUGUACUAAUUAAAGUAACACCAUAUGAUACACAUCAACCAACCCUAAUGUCACUAAGAUACUCCAAUGUCACCACAAGUAUCCGUGAGUUGAUUAUUCAAUAUGCAUCAAACAAUCUCGGUUCAUAAUAUUCAAUCAAACACAAUGAACUUCAAAUAGUGCCCAAAGUUUCUACCAGUGAAAGUAGGGCGAAAACGUGUAUCAACCCAUAUGCAUAGAUUACCCCAAUAUCACGAUAAUCCACAAGUUCAUACCAAAACAUAUCAAGUGAAUCAAUAGAAUACCCCAUUGUCACCACGGGUAUCCACACGCAAGACAUAGAUCAAGUGUUCUCAAAUCCAAAAAGUAUUCAAUCCGAUAAUAGUGAAACCUCAAAGGUAAAAAUUCAAUUCAUCACAACAAGAUAGAGAGGGAAGAACUCAAGGAAAUAUGCCCUAGAGGCAAUAAUAAAGUUGUUAUUUAUAUUUCCUUAUUGAUGAUAAAGGUUUAUUAUUCAUACUAGAAUUGUAUUGGUCGGAAACCUAAAUACAUGUGUGAAUACAUAAACAAAUACCGUGUCCCUAGUAAGCCUCUACUAGACUAGCUCGUUGAUCAAAUAUGGUUAAGGUUUCCUAACCGUAGUGUGUUGUCAUUUGAUAAUGGGAUCACAUCAUUAGGAGAAUGAUGUGAUGGACAAGACCCAUCCGUUAGCUUAGCAUAAUGAUCGUUCAUUUUAUUGAUAUUACUUUCUUCAUGUCAAAUACAUAUUCCUUUGACUAUGAGAUUAUGCAACUCCCGGAUACCAGAGGAAUACCUUGUGUGCUAUCAAACAUCACAACGUAACUGGGUGAACAUAAAGAUGCUCUACAGGUAUCUCCGAAGGUGUUUGUUGAGUUGGCAUAGAUCGAGAUUAGGAUUUGUCACUCCGAGUAUCAUAAGCUUGCAAGCAAACGACUAAGGAGUUAGUCACGAGGUGAUGUAUUACGGAACGAGUAAAGAGACUUGCCGGUAACGAGAUUGAACUAGGUAUGAAGAUACCCACGAUCGAAUCUCGGGCAAGUAACAUACUGAUGGACAAAGGGAAUUACGUAUGUUGUCAUAACCGUUCGAGCGAUAAAGAUGUUCGUAGAAUAUGUAGGAGCCAAUAUGGCAUCUAGGUUCCACUAUUGGUUAUUGACCGGAGAGGUGUCUCGGUCAUGUCUACAUAGUUCUCGAACCCGUAGGGUCCGCACGCUUAACGUUCGAUGACGAUAUUGUAUUAUAUGAAUUAUGUGAUUUGGUGACCGAUGUUGUUCGGAGUCCCUGGUGAGAUCACGGACACGACGAGGAGUCUCGAAAUGGUCGAGACGUAAAGAUUGAUAUAUAGGACGGUAGUAUUCGGACACCGGAAGUGUUUCAGAGUGUAUCGGGUAUUUAUNNNNNNNNNNNNNNNNNNNNNNNNNNNNNNNNNNNNNNNNNNNNNNNNNNNNNNNNNNNNNNNNNNNNNNNNNNNNNNNNNNNNNNNNNNNNNNNNNNNNNNNNNNNNNNNNNNNNNNNNNNNNNNNNNNNNNNNNNNNNNNNNNNNNNNNNNNNNNNNNNNNNNNNNNNNNNNNNNNNNNNNNNNNNNNNNNNNNNNNNNNNNNNNNNNNNNNNNNNNNNNNNNNNNNNNNNNNNNNNNNNNNNNNNNNNNNNNNNNNNNNNNNNNNNNNNNGGCCAUGAGAGGGGAGCACACCAGCCCACAAGGAAUGGCGCGCCCCCUAUGGCAGGAGGCCAAAUUGGGAGAAGGAAAAAUGGGGUUCGGCCCCCCCUUUCCUUUCUCUCUCCCCCCUUCCCUUUCUUCUUUGGUGAAAUAAGGCAGGGGGCGCCACUUGGGGAAACCCCAAGUAGGAUUCGGAUCCUACUUGGGGCGCGCCCUGGCUGCCUCCCCUCUCCCUCCCACCUAUAUAUAUGUGGAGGACGCCCCUAGCACACCCAAGACAAUUGCCUAGCCGUGUGCGGCGCCCCCCCUCCACCGUUUACUCCUACGGUCAUAUCUUCGUAGUGCUUAGGCGAAGCCCUUCGCUGAUCACUUCACCAUCACCGUCACCAUGCCGUCGUGCUGACGGAACUCAUUGAAAGAUCGUGGAUGUCGCCUAGAGGGGGGUGAAUAGGCGCUUUAAAAUAAUUACGGUUUAGGCUUGAACAAAUGUGGAAUAAACCUAGCGGUUAAUUUGACAAGCACAAAACCUACAACAACUAGGCUCACCUAUGUGCACCAACAACUAAUGCUAAGCAAGAUAAACAACUAAGUGAUAGCAAGAUAUAUGACAAGAAACAAUAUGGGUAUCACAAAGUAAAGUGCAUAAGUAAAGGGUUCGGGUAAGAGAUAACCGAGGCACGCGGAGACGACGAUGUAUCCCGAAGUUCACACCCUUGCGGAUGCUAAUCUCCGUUUGGAGCGGUGUGGAGGCACAAUGCUCCCCAAGAAGCCACUAGGGCCACCGUAAUCUCCUCAUGCCCUCGCACAAUGCAAGAUGCCGUGAUUCCACUAAGGGACCCUUGAGGGCGGUCACCGAACCCGUACAAAUGGCAACCCUUGGGGGCGGUCACCGAACCCGUACACUUUGGCAACCCUUGGGGGCGGUCACCGGAACCCGUAAAAUUGCUCGAGGCGAUCUCCACAACCUAAUUGGAGACCCCGACGCUUGCUCGGAGCUUUACACCACAAUGAUUGAGCUCCGAACACCACCAACCGUCUAGGGCGCCCAAGCACCCAAGAGGAACAAGCUCAAGGGUACCAAGCACCCAAGAGUAAUAAGCUUCUCAACUUGUAACUUCCACGUAUCACCGUGGAGAACUCAAACCGAUGCACCAAAUGCAAUGGCAAGGGCACACGGAGUGCCCAAGUCCUUCUCUCUCAAAUCCCACGGAAGCAACUAAUGCUAGGGAGGAAAAAGAGAGGAAGAACAAGGAGAACACCAAGAACUCCAAGAUCUAGAUCCAAGGGGUUCCCCUCACAUAGAGGAGAAAGUGAUUGGUGGAAAUGUGGAUCUAGAUCUCCUCUCUCUUUUCCCUCAAAAACUAGCAAGAAUCCAUGGAGGGAUUGAGAGUUAGUAAGCUCGAAGAAGGUCAACAAUGGGGGAAGAACACGAGCUCAAGAGAUAAGGUAGAAUGGGGAAGAAGACCCCCUUAUAUAGUGGGGGGAACAAUCCAACCGUUACCCCCACACCAGCCCCGCAGAGAGCGGUACUACCGCUUGGCCAGCGGUACUACCGCUUGGCCAGCGGUACUACCGCUCCCCCUCGCGGUACUGCCGCUGGGCCCAUAGCGGUACUACCGCAUACGAGCGGUACUACGGCCCCCACUGCCGCGGCUAGUACCGUAAAACCCGACACGAAAAAGACCCCUCGAAUCGAGGCGGUACUAGCACGAGGCCGCAGCGGUACUACGGCUGGGGGCUACCAGCGGUACUACCGCUCUGGAGCGGUACUACCGCUCUAGAGCAGUACUACCGCUUGUAGCACCCAAGCUGUACUACCGCUCCGGCCCGCGGUACUACCGCUAGGAAACCAAAACUGCCACAACUUCUGCAUAUGAGCUCCGAAUUGAGCAAACUCAAGCUUGUUGGUGUGACGCCCGGAUAAUUAAGCUACAAUAACUUUCUACUAAUGAUGCCACGUCACCUCGAUUACUGUUGCUAAUCUCACGUUAGUUCGAAACUGACUCAAAUUCAAAUUCAAAAUCAAGCAAACAAUAAAAGUUUUCAAAUAUUAAAACUAAAAUGUACGGGGUGAGCCAAAUAAUCCAUACUAAAUAUUGGUGUAGAAACCACACUCCUCUAAAGUAUUUAAAUGCACCAUAGUAAUUAAAACAGCGGCAAAACUGUUAUUUGAUAAAUACUUUUAAAUAAUAAAUAAUUACAAAACUAUUUUAUUUAGGUGCCAAAGUUAAUGUGGCAGUAGUAUAUUUAUAAAUACAAAUUUAGGUGCUAGUGUUAAUUUUUAUAAAACUGAAAUAAAAAGGAACAAAAAUAAAACAGAAAAAAGGAAAAGACUAAACAAAGAAAUAAAGUCAAACAAGAGAAAAGAGAAAAAGCCCACCCCCCGGCCAACUGGGCCAACAGGCCCAGCUGCCCACCCACGCGGCCCAGCUGGCCCACCCCGGCUGGAUAUCCCCACCCGNNNNNNNNNNNNNNNNNNNNNNNNNNNNNNNNNNNNNNNNNNNNNNNNNNNNNNNNNNNNNNNNNNNNNNNNNNNNNNNNNNNNNNNNNNNNNNNNNNNNNNNNNNNNNNNNNNNNNNNNNNNNNNNNNNNNNNNNNNNNNNNNNNNNNNNNNNNNNNNNNNNNNNNNNNNNNNNNNNNNNNNNNNNNNNNNNNNNNNNNNNNNNNNNNNNNNNNNNNNNNNNNNNNNNNNNNNNNNNNNNNNNNNNNNNNNNNNNNNNNNNNNNNNNNNNNNNNNNNNNNNNNNNNNNNNNNNNNNNNNNNNNNNNNNNNNNNNNNNNNNNNNNNNNNNNNNNNNNNNNNNNNNNNNNNNNNNNNNNNNNNNNNNNNNNNNNNNNNNNNNNNNNNNNNNNNNNNNNNNNNNNNNNNNNNNNNNNNNNNNNNNNNNNNNNNNNNNNNNNNNNNNNNNNNNNNNNNNNNNNNNNNNNNNNNNNNNNNNNNNNNNNNNNNNNNNNNNNNNNNNNNNNNNNNNNNNNNNNNNNNNNNNNNNNNNNNNNNNNNNNNNNNNNNNNNNNNNNNNNNNNNNNNNNNNNNNNNNNNNNNNNNNNNNNNNNNNNNNNNNNNNNNNNNNNNNNNNNNNNNNNNNNNNNNNNNNNNNNNNNNNNNNNNNNNNNNNNNNNNNNNNNNNNNNNNNNNNNNNNNNNNNNNNNNNNNNNNNNNNNNNNNNNNNNNNNNNNNNNNNNNNNNNNNNNNNNNNNNNNNNNNNNNNNNNNNNNNNNNNNNNNNNNNNNNNNNNNNNNNNNNNNNNNNNNNNNNNNNNNNNNNNNNNNNNNNNNNNNNNNNNNNNNNNNNNNNNNNNNNNNNNNNNNNNNNNNNNNNNNNNNNNNNNNNNNNNNNNNNNNNNNNUCUGAUCCCUCCUGUCUCUGCUCCACACGCGCUCGGCGGCGCUCCCCUUUCUUCGGGCGCGUGCCCGCUCCCUGCCUCGACGCACUGGUCGCGCCCCCGGCGCGCCCCGCCCCCGUUCUCACGCAACUUCCCCGGCCCCAGCCUCACUCUGCAGCUCCUCCGCUGCCUGGCCACGCCAUGCGCCGGCUCCCCUCGCCCCUGUCCGUGGCCGCCUUGGCCGAGGCCAGUCGCCGCUCGGCUCCCUUCCGCUCCGGCCACUUCGGCCACGGCCUCGCCCAGCUCUCGCAUUGCCGUGCCUCGCCGUCCGCCCCGCUCUGUCGCCCCCUUGCCGCGCUGCUCCGGCUGCCGCCGUGGCCGGCGGCCCCUUGUUGGCCUCGGGCCUCCAAGCGGGCGCACGUUCCGCCCGCGCCCGUAACCGCACCCCAAGUGCCCGUCAAGGCCCCUGGGGCCUAUGACAAAUGGGGCCCACUGCCCAGAACAUUUUUAUAAAAAAAAUUAAAAAAUAUAUAAUAACAACAAUAAAAAUAUUAAUUAAUUAAUUAAAGAAUUAAUUAACUUAAUUAAUCAUAAUUAGAAUAACCUAAUCACUAGUUAACUUAAUUAAACCCUGUUUAGCCUAAUCUGUCAAUGACACGGGGGCCCCACCCCCUGUUGACCAGUCAAACAUUGACUGGUCAACUGGGUCCCCCUGGCCCACAUGUCAGCCCCUGUGUAAACUGCUGUGUACACAGGGCUGGGUACAUUUAGCAAUUUCUCUUUUAUUUUCAAAUUAAAAUAAAUCCUGGAAAUUUAGAAAAUCAUUUAAACUUAUAAAAAUCAUAUAAAAUAAUCCGUAACUCGGAUGAAAAUACUUUGUACAUGAAAGUUGCUCAGAACGACGAGACGAAUCCGAAUACGUAACCUGUUCGCCAGCCACGCGUCCCUAGCAUAGCGAACCUGCAACAUUUCACCUCCGGUUCAUCUGUCCGAAAACGCGAAACACCGGGGAUAUUUUCCCGGAUGUUUCCCCCUUCAUCGGUAUCACCUACUACCGCGUUAGGGCACACCUAGCACCGCGUAUUGUCAUGCCACGCUUUGUGUUGCUUUGAUUGCUCUGUUAUUUAUUGUGUUCCCCCUCCGUUACUUCUUUCCGGUAGACCCCGAGACUACCGGCGACCCCCAGUUCGACUACGGAGUUGACGACCCCUCCUACUUGCCAGAGCAACCAGGCAAGCCCCCCCCUUGAUCACCGGAUAUCGCCUAUUCCUUCUCUAUACUGCUUGCAUUAGAGUAGUGUAGCAUGUUACUGCUUUCGGUUAAUCCUAUACUGAUGCAUAGCAUGUCAUUGUUGCUACAGUUGUUACCCUUACCUGCUAUCCUACUGCUUAGUAUAGGAUGCUAGUGUUCCAUCAGUGGCCCUACACUCUUGUCCGUCUGCCAUGCUAUACUACUGGGCCGUGAUCACUUUGGGAGGUGAUCACGGGUAUAUACUAUAUACAUUAUAUACAUGACACAUGUGGUGACUAAAGUCGGGUCGGCUCGAGGAGUACCCGCAAGUGAUUCUGAUGAGGGGGCUGAAAGGACAGGUGGCUCCACCCCGGUAGAGGUGGGCCUGGGUUCCUGACGGCCCCCGACUGUUACUUUGUGGCGGAGCGACAGGGCAGGUUGAGACCACCUAGGAGAGAGGUGGGCCUGGCCCUGGUCGGCGUUCGCGGAUACUUAACACGCUUAACGAGAUCUUGGUAUUUGAUCCGAGUCUGGCCAUUUGGUCUAUACGCACUAACCAGCUACGCGGGAACAGUUAUGGGCACUCGACGUCGUGGUAUCAGCCGAAGCUCUUCUUGACGUCAGCGACGGAGCGGCGCGUGCCGGAUUGGACUGAAACGCCUGCUAGGCUAGGUCUGCUUCCGGCCGCCCUCGCAACGUGCAGGUGUGCAAUGGGCGAUGGGCCCAGACCCAUGCGCGCAUAGGAUUUAGACCGGCGUGCUGACCUCUCUGUUGAGCCUAGGUGGGGCUGCGACGUGUUGAUCUUCCGAGGCCGGGCAUGACCCAGAAAAGUGUGUCCGGCCAAAUGGGAUCGAGCGUGUUGGGUUAUGUGGUGCACCCCUGCAGGGAAGUUUAUCUAUUCGAAUAGCCGUGUCCCUCGGUAAAAGGACGACCCGGAGUUGUACCUUGACCUUAUGACAACUAGAACCGGAUACUGAAUAAAAUACACCCUUCCAAGUGAUAGAUAAAACCCGGUGAUCGCUCUCUAACAGGGCGACGAGGAGGGGAUCGCCGGGUAGGAUUAUGCUAUGCAAUGCUACUUGGAGGACUUCAAUCUACUCUCUUCUACAUGCUGCAAGAUGGAGAUGGCCAGAAGCGUAGUCUUCGACAGGACUAGCUAUCCCCCUCUUAUUCUGGCAUUCUGCAGUUCAGUCCACCGAUAUGGCCCUUUACACAUAUACCCAUGCAUAUGUAGUGUAGCUCCUUGCUUGCGAGUACUUUGGAUGAGUACUCACGGUUGCUUUUCUCCCUCUUUUCCCUUUCUAUACCUGGUUGUCGCAACCAGAUGCUGGAGCCCAGGAGCCAGACGCCACCGUCGAUGACGACUCCUACUACACUGGAGGUGCCUGCUACUACGUGCAGCCCGCUGACGACGACCAGGAGUUAGUUAGGAGGAUCCCAGGCAGGAGGCCUGCGCCUCGUUCGAUCUGUCUCCCAGUUUGUGCUAGCCUUCUUAAGGCAAUCUUGUUUAACUUAUGUCUGUACUCAGAUAUUGUUGCUUCCGCUGACUCGUCUAUGAUCGAGCACUUGUAUUCGAGCCCUCGAGGCCCCUGGCUUGUAUUAUGAUGCUUGUAUGACUUAUUUUAUUUUUAGAGUUGUGUUGUGAUAUCUUCCCGUGAGUCCCUGAUCUUGAUCGUACAUGUUUGCGUGUAUGAUUAGUGUACGGUCAAAUCGGGGGCGUCACAAGUUGGUAUCAGAGCCGACUGCCUGUAGGAAUACCCCUUCCACACUCCUUGGCCGAAGUCGAGUCUAGACAUUGCAAAACUUUUACUAACAUGGUUGUGCGGCUUAUGGGCCCAUGUCGCCAUUGGGUGGUAUUAGGAUCUUUUACUCCUUGUCUAUACUCUGGGACUCUGAGAUCUCUUCUAUUCGGGUUAAGUGAAUUUUGCUAAAUCUAACAUUAGGAUCUCGUUAUCACUUUCAUCCGGAGAGCCCCUUAUUACUGAUAAUCGUCUGCUGCACGUGAAGACCCUGAAGAUACUCUCCGCUAAUAACCCGAGAACUUGUGUUCAUCACUUUUGCAAUUCCCUUUCAUCGAUAAACUCCUAUGGAUAACCGCGUAUACUCUCCAUUCAUACAAUGUUUCCCAGUUGAUCUUGUUAUUACAAGAUACCCCGAAAUUAUCUCUGUUGUUCCGAGAAUUCUUGAGCUUACUGCCUUGCUGUUCUUUGUCACCUGAAUACCCCUACGGAUAAUUCUCGCACUUACCGAGUAUCCGCUCAUCCCCAGUUGAUUCAAGUAUUCCACAAAAGUGUUCAAAAUACCAUUCGAUCUUCCGAAAAUCUUCAGGAGCCUUUUUGCUCUUGAAAUUCUUGCUUACUUGCAUUAUGAUUAAUCUUAAGUCUCGUAAUCUUAUUGGCAUCCCUUGUCAUUAUCAUUUUGAGUCCGUUGAUUCAAUUUGUUGCGAAUGCUCGCAAUCCUCAAUCAGAUCCUAGAAUUCAUUCUUCCGGCUCAGACGUCAUUUGGAUAUGAGCUGGUUCUUGACCAAUCAAUGCCUUGAUCGGUUGUAUCCCUAAGUCUAUUCAGCUUAUCCAUCCCUAAUCAGAGCAUUGCUUCUGAUCCCUUGAUUUGGAAAUCAUAAUUCCUUUGCAUUUGAGCUUUGAGUUAGCCAGUUGUUUCUAUAAUCUGAUCCCCUUGCAUUCUUUCUUCCUCUAGUUGAGUAUCGAUGCUCACAUCUGAUCCCUUGUGGACCACCAAAUCCUUUGUUAGAUUAUUAUCCGACAGUGCCCUCAUAUUUAAUCACCUUGUGAGUUCUUUCCCUGAUACAUAAUGCCUUUAGUAAAUUGUAUCCUCUCGUUUUGACACCUGCUCUACUAUCGAGCUUGAGUUAUUUACUCCUGAAGCUUGUGGUAUAUGUUUCCACGAUGCCCCGAUGGGUUGAACCUAUGCCUUUCAUAAUAUGUGUGAACUCGAAAGUUUUCAUGAGUCAUACUCUUCUGGUAUUUUGCCAGAUAAAAAUUUUCAACACUGCAACUUCAUCAAAUGCGAGAAGUGAAUGAAAGGUUAUGCAUUGAAGAAGUGGGAGUCGACCUUGAACUUUGCGUUCAUGCCCAUGGACACGAUGUAGAUCUUAUCAUUAAAGCUUUUCUUAAAUUAAUUAUUCCCUUGGUAUAAGUUCAUCUUAUAUCUGGGAUCUGGCCUUUUGCAAUCGUUGUUCCGACCAUGUAAUCCUUUAAACACCAUUUCUCGUACAAGUUAGGCACUUGUCUUCUGCAGAGCAAUACCCCAGUCCAACCUCUACUUUGGUUUGUCGUCGAGUAUUACCCCCCUGGUAUCUCGAGAUUAUCACGGAACUGCAUAACUUAUUAUGAGUUCUCCAUCAAGUGCUACAUUCUCAUUGAUUCCAAUUUUUCACGGGCUUCGAGUUUUUAAACACUCAAAACCACCGAUAGCUGAAUCGAGUCCGCACUGCGAUUAAACAACUCUUAGUAAUCUUCUUUACUUAUGAGUUUGUACCCGAUCACGUCAUUCCUAGCCUGAUUGGCUACAUCAAUAUCGUUCAACUUUUCAACUGUGUGCUACCUGGUCCUUAAUCCCGAAGCAUGACUUUCGACGAUGAGCUAAGCUUACGUUGAUCUUUCUCGUCAUAUCAUUUCACCUGAACAACAAGCUUGAUUUCGAGUUUGUGUCGUACCCAUGGUUCCAAUAACCUUUCGCUUUCAUCAUUCCUUUGACUUGAUGUCAUCGUCGAUCAAUUUCAUCUUCUUGAAAACCUCUCGACAAAUUUGCCGUGAUCAUUGUCAACAAUUUGACUUCUUCCAAGUUGCGUGUCGAAAUUCAGGAUGAGAAAUACCAUCCUUGCCCCUCGAUGAAUUGUGUUAUCAUCGACAACAUUCUUUCCUUCCCCCCAACACAAACUUGUUCAUAUUUUGUGUUGUAUCUUGACUUCCCUGCUAUCCAACCUAUGUUAUGUUCUACCGUGGAGUAUUACCAUCUUUGAUGUCAAGAAUGUCGUGAGCAUUACUCCACCUCUUAAGAAUUCUUGGUACAGUGAUACUUCUCCCCAUCACCAUUCUUUCUUGGUCCCCGUGUUGUUUCUAAAAGGAAUACCGACAAAUGGUCUGUGAUGUGUAAAUUCUAAACUUCUAGCAACCCUAUUGCUUUGAAGUUAUUGGUCUAUAGUUUCAUUCUACGUCUAUGGCUUAAUGAAUCAUCAUUCGAACAUUGAUUGUGCUACCUAGCCCAUAUUUUGGGUGCACAUUUCAACCAAUGUUUAACUGUGUAUGUUUUCCUCGAGCAUACAUCAUUAAGUCAUUCGAUCUAGCUAAUGUUAUCUCCUUGUUCACAUAGUGGUGGAAAUCCAUCUUUUGGAAAUCUCAAUGGAUUGUCGCUGAGUCAAUCAGUCACCUCCUCACCUCUCCUUGAUGUAAUGAUUAACCCUUGUUCGGAACUCGCUUCCAUAGUUCAUCUCCCGAGAAUCUUCGAUGUCGUUUCGACAAUUUGUGUUGCACCUUUCUUCUCAGGCAUCCUGAGUCUGAGUUAUCUUGACACCAAUCAGAUCUGAAUCUCAGUCAGAUAUGAUGGUUGGAACAUAUUUCCAAGAGUUAUAACAUUGGCCUAUUUAUGACCCGGUAAGGUGAUGACAUGCCAAACACACCUGGCCGGAGGACCUAUUGUUAUAAGAUUUCCUUUUAGCAAGGUUAGCUAUUCUUUCAUGAGGAAAUUGUAAGACUUAUUCUACAAGUUGUUCGUGAUGGAUCCUUCCUGUAUCCAAAGUCUGACCUUUGCUUGAAGACCAUGUCAAUGCUAUCCCGAAGCAUGUCUGUGGUACUCCGAUUUUCGACAAGAACAUUUGAAGCCCAAUGCUAAAUGUUUUCUUGCUCAAUUAUCCAAACACCGUUGUAUGGGUAAUGUCAUGAAAUUUCUCUCCCCUUACCUAAAGAGUUUUCUACAUUAUAUCCUGUCAUGGAUAUCAUGCUCUGCUUGUCCUUGGGAAGGAUAUACCCUUGAAAUAUGUGUUUAAACACAUUUUCCUUUCCAUUGUUCUGUUUAAUCUGAUAAUCUUAUUUUCCUUUCCAGUGGUUGGUUUAACGUUUCUGGUGAUCAUUAUGAUCUAAGCAGUAUUAAUCCCCUGCUUGUGCAAACACCUCGGUGUACAACUCUGUCAGUAAGACCCUGUUACUAUUGUUGGUGGCAUUCCGGUAACCACCGAUGGAUGAGAACUUUGCCUAUUGGUCCGCCUCGUUUCAACGAGCAGGAAAAUGGUUCUCUUCGUCCCUCGCCCUUGGUACCAACGUUGUUGCCAACAUAACUGACAGGCUACCCUCUGACAUGUCUUGCUAUCAUGACCGUGUAAGAUGCCAACGACCUUCCUACUUUUAACCACAUGGUGGGCCAAUAACCCAUAGUUCCACAGGAUCGAAACCUGACUCUCCUGUACCCCCAUGUUGCCAAAGUUAUUCCUCGCGCUUGAUUUCGUAUAUAAUCAUGGGUCAUCUUCCUAGUAAUAUACUUUGGUAUCAGACGCAAUAAUUCUCGUUGAUCUGGACCCCUUUCACACUUUGUUCGGGCAUCGAACGAUUGCCGACCCGCUUAAACUUCUCAUAGUACCUUCUUACUUUGCUCUCGAAAUUUUCUUAAGUUCCAGUUCGAGAGUUACUUUCCGCCACCUUCCCCUGAUGUUAGCUACCAGGUAGUCAACCUUGCAGAGGUCCGUUCUUCCGGAAUAACCACCCUUUAUUCUUUCGUAAGUACGAUGGAGUUCCCGAAGAAAGGAUGACGACUUGAUCAUGGUGACUUGAAGCAGAGAAAUGAAGACAUCAACCUAAUGGAUCAACCUCUUCGAGAAGAGCAACCAAGACCGAGAAGAAUCGUUAGAAUUUCGUAACCUAUUCUUCCCCCUUACUCCCCUCUUAAAUCUCGGGACGAGAUUUCUUGUAGUGGAGGAGAAUUGUGACGCCCGGAUAAUUAAGCUACAGUAACUUUCUACUAAUGAUGCCACGUCACCUCGAUUACUGUUGCUAAUCUCACGUUAGUUCGAAACUGACUCAAAUUCAAAUUCAAAAUCAAGCAAACAAUAAAAGUUUUCAAAUAUUAAAACUAAAAUGUACGGGGUGAGCCAAAUAAUCCAUACUAAAUAUUGGUGUAGAAACCACACUCCUCUAAAGUAUUUAAAUGCACCAUAGUAAUUAAAACAGCGGCAAAACUGUUAUUUGAUAAAUACUUUUAAAUAAUAAAUAAUUACAAAACUAUUUUAUUUAGGUGCCAAAGUUAAUGUGGCAGUAGUAUAUUUAUAAAUACAAAUUUAGGUGCUAGUGUUAAUUUUUAUAAAACUGAAAUAAAAAGGAACAAAAAUAAAACAGAAAAAAAGGAAAAGACUAAACAAAGAAAUAAAGUCAAACAAGAGAAAAGAGAAAAAGCCCACCCCCCGGCCAACUGGNNNNNNNNNNNNNNNNNNNNNNNNNNNNNNNNNNNNNNNNNNNNNNNNNNNNNNNNNNNNNNNNNNNNNNNNNNNNNNNNNNNNNNNNNNNNNNNNNNNNNNNNNNNNNNNNNNNNNNNNNNNNNNNNNNNNNNNNNNNNNNNNNNNNNNNNNNNNNNNNNNNNNNNNNNNNNNNNNNNNNNNNNNNNNNNNNNNNNNNNNNNNNNNNNNNNNNNNNNNNNNNNNNNNNNNNNNNNNNNNNNNNNNNNNNNNNNNNNNNNNNNNNNNNNNNNNNNNNNNNNNNNNNNNNNNNNNNNNNNNNNNNNNNNNNNNNNNNNNNNNNNNNNNNNNNNNNNNNNNNNNNNNNNNNNNNNNNNNNNNNNNNNNNNNNNNNNNNNNNNNNNNNNNNNNNNNNNNNNNNNNNNNNNNNNNNNNNNNNNNNNNNNNNNNNNNNNNNNNNNNNNNNNNNNNNNNNNNNNNNNNNNNNNNNNNNNNNNNNNNNNNNNNNNNNNNNNNNNNNNNNNNNNNNNNNNNNNNNNNNNNNNNNNNNNNNNNNNNNNNNNNNNNNNNNNNNNNNNNNNNNNNNNNNNNNNNNNNNNNNNNNNNNNNNNNNNNNNNNNNNNNNNNNNNNNNNNNNNNNNNNNNNNNNNNNNNNNNNNNNNNNNNNNNNNNNNNNNNNNNNNNNNNNNNNNNNNNNNNNNNNNNNNNNNNNNNNNNNNNCUCGACGCACUGGUCGCGCCCCCGGCGCGCCCCCGGCGCGCCCCGCCCCCGUUCUCACGCAACUUCCCCGGCCCCGGCCUCACUCUGCAGCUCCUCCGCUGCCUGGCCACGCCCGGCGCCGGCUCCCCUCGCCCCUGUCCAUGACCGCCUUGGCCGAGGCCAGCCGCCGCUCGGCUCCCUUCCGCUCCGGCCACUUCGGCCACGGCAUCGCCCAGCUCUGGCAUCGUCGUGCCUCGCUGUCCGCCCCGCUCUGUCGCCCCCUUGCCGCGCUGCUCCGGCUGCCGCCGUGGCCGGCGGCCCCUUGUUAGCCUCGGGCCUCCAAGCGGGCGCACGUUCCACCCGCGCCCGUAACCGCACCCCCAGUGCCCGUCAAGGCCCCUGGGGCCUAUGACAAACGGGGCCCACUGCCCAGAACAUUUUUAUAAAAAAAAUUAAAAAAAUUAAAAAAUAUAUAAUAACAACAAUAAAAAUAUUAAUUAAUUAAUUAAUUAAAGAAUUAAUUAACUUAAUUAAUCAUAAUUAGAAUAACCUAAUCACUAGUUAACUUAAUUAAACCCUGUUUAGCCUAAUCUGUCAAUGACACGGGGGCCCCACCCCCUGUUGACCAGUCAAACAUUGACUGGUCAACUGGGUCCCCCUGGCCCACAUGUCAGCCCCUGUGUAAACUGCUGUGUACACAGGGCUGGGUACAUUUAGCAAUUUCUCUUUUAUUUUCAAAUUAAAAUAAAUCCUGGAAAUUUAGAAAAUCAUUUAAACUUAUAAAAAUCAUAUAAAAUAAUCCGUAACUCGGAUGAAAAUACUUUGUACAUGAAAGUUGCUUAGAACGACGAGACGAAUCCGAAUACGCAACCUGUUCGCCAGCCACGCGUCCCUAGCAUAGCGAACCUGCAACAUUUCACCUCCGGUUCAUCUGUCCGAAAACGCGAAACACCAGGGAUAUUUUCCCGGAUGUUUCCCCCUUCGUCGGUAUCACCUACUACCGCGUUAGGGCACACCUAGCACCGCGUAUUGUCAUGUCACGCUUUGUGUUGCUUUGAUUGCUCUGUUAUUUAUUGUGUUCCCCCUCCGUUACUUCUUUCCGGUAGACCCCGAGACUACCGGCGACCCCCAGUUCGACUACGGAGUUGACGACCCCUCCUACUUGCCAGAGCAACCAGGCAAGCCCCCCCCUUGAUCACCGGAUAUCGCCUAUUCCUUCUCUAUACUGCUUGCAUUAGAGUAGUGUAGCAUGUUACUGCUUUCGGUUAAUCCUAUACUGAUGCAUAGCAUGUCAUUGUUGCUACAAUUGUUACCCUUACCUGCUAUCCUACUGCUUAGUAUAGGAUGCUAGUGUUCCAUCAGUGGCCCUACACUCUUGUCCGUCUGCCAUGCUAUACUACUGGGCCGUGAUCACUUCGGGAGGUGAUCACGGGUUUAUAUUAUAUACAUUAUAUACAUGACACAUGUGGUGACUAAAGUCGGGUCGGCUCGAGGAGUACCCGCAAGUGAUUCUGAUGAGGGGGCUGAAAGGACAGGUGGCUCCACCCCGGUAGAGGUGGGCCUGGGUUCCUGACGGCCCCCGACUGUUACUUUGUGGCGGAGCGACAGGGCAGGUUGAGACCACCUAGGAGAGAGGUGGGCCUGGCCCUGGUCGGCGUUCACAGAUACUUAACACGCUUAACGAGAUCUUGGUAUUUGAUCUGAGUCUGGCCAUUUGGUCUAUAUGAACUAACCAGCUACGCGGGAACAGUUAUGGGCACUCGACGUCGUGGUAUCAGCCGAAGCUCUUCUUGACGUCAGCGACGGAGCGGCGCGCGCCGAAUUGGACUGGAACGCCUGCUAGGCUAGGUCUGCUUCCGGCCGCCCUCGCAACGUGCAGGUGUGCAAUGGGCGAUGGGCCCAGACCCCUGCGUGCAUAGGAUUUAGACCGGCGUGCUGACCUCUCUAUUGAGCCUAGGUGGGGUUGCGACGUGUUGAUCUUCCGAGGCCGGGCAUGACCCAGAAAAGUGUGUCCGGCCAAAUGGGAUCGAGCGUGUUGGGUUAUGUGGUGCACCCCUGUAGGGAAGUUUAUCUAUUCGAAUAGCCGUGUCCCUCGGUAAAAGGACGACCCGGAGUUGUACCUUGACCUUAUGACAACUAGAACCGGAUACUGAAUAAAAUACACCCUUCCAAGUGAUAGAUACAACCCGGUGAUCGCUCUCUAACAGGGCGACGAGGAGGGGAUCGCCGGGUAGGAUUAUGCUAUGCGAUGCUACUUGGAGGACUUCAAUCUACUCUCCUCUACAUCCUGCAAGAUGGAGAUGGCCAGAAGCGUAGUCUUCGACAGGACUAGCUAUCCCCCUCUUAUUCUGGCAUUCUGCAGUUCAGUCCACCGAUAUGGCCCUUUACACAUAUACCCAUGCAUAUGUAGUGUAGCUCCUUGCUUGCGAGUACUUUGGAUGAGUACUCACGGUUGCUUUUCUCCCUCUUUUCCCCUUUCUAUACCUGGUUGUCGCAACCAGAUGCUGGAGCCCAGGAGCCAGACGCCACCGUCGACGACGACUCGUACUACACUGGAGGUGCCUGCUACUACGUGCAGCCCGCUGACGACGACCAGGAGUUAGUUAGGAGGAUCCCAGGCAGGAGGCCUGCGCCUUGUUCGAUCUGUCUCCCAGUUUGUGCUAGCCUUCUUAAGGCAAUCCUGUUUAACUUAUGUCUGUACUCAGAUAUUGUUGCUUCCGCUGACUCGUCUAUGAUCGAGAACUUGUAUUCGAGCCCUCGAGGCCCCUGGCUUGUAUUAUGAUGCUUGUAUGACUUAUUUUAUUUUUUGAGUUGUGUUGUGAUAUCUUCCCGUGAGUCCCUGAUCUUGAUCGUACACGUUUGCGUGUAUGAUUAGUGUACGGUCAAAUCGGGGGCGUCACAGUUGGAUAGAGGAAGACGAGUAGCAUCAAAACAACGUCUGGUUAUAGUAAGAAGAGGCAGGGGAGGUAUGCCAACAAAUAGAGGAGUGAAACCUCCAACCGAGAAGAACCGGCAUAACCUCCAACAUCGAAAACAUCAUAGAAGAUGCGAGUGAACUCCGUUUUCGAUGAACUCGAGCUUGUCAUCAAGAUGACCAUAAGCUCCAAAACUCACAAAGAGAAGAACCAAUAAAGAUGAUGCAAGGAUGCAAUGGUUUGAGCUCUCUAUGAACGAUACGAUCAAGCUACUCAUCGAGAGCCCCCCUUGAUAGUACGGCAAUCGAUCCUAUAACCCGGUCUCCCAACUACCAUCUUGAGACCGGUAAAAUAGAAAACCUAUCAAGAGCAAACCUUUGCCUUGCACAUGGUCCAGUUGAGCUAGAUGAUGACGAUCUUGACUCCCUCAAGUUGGACCACCUUUCUUGGUUGCGUUGGCUCGAUGAAGACUAGUUGAUUGCUCCCCCAGCUCCUGAAGGAAAUAUGCCCUAGAGGCAAUAAUAAAGUAUUAUUUAUUUCCUUAUAUCAUGAUAAAUGUUUAUUAUUCAUGCUAGAAUUGUAUUAACCGGAAACAUAAUACAUGUGUGAAUACAUAGACAAACAGUGUGUCACUAGUAUGCCUCUACUUGACUAGCUCGUUAAUCAAAGAUGGUUAUGUUUCCUAGCCAUAGACAUGAGUUGUCAUUUGAUUAACGAGAUCACCUCAUUAGGAGAAUGACGUGAUUGACUUGACCCAUUCAGUUAGCUUAGCACCCGAUCGUUUAGUAUGUUGCUAUUGCUUUCUUCAUGACUUAUACAUGUUCCUAUGACUAUGAGAUUAUGCAACUCCCGUUUACCGGAGGAACACUUUGUGUGCUACCAAACGUCACAACGUAAAUGGGUGAUUAUAAAGGUGCUCUACAGGUGUCUCCAAAGGUACUUGUUGGGUUGGCGUAUUUCGAGAUUAGGAUUUGUCACUCCGAUUGUCGGAGAGGUAUCUCUGGGCCCACUCGGUAAUGCAUAUCACUAUAAGCCUUGCAAGCAUUGUGACUAAUGAGUUAGUUGCGGGAUGAUGUAUUACGGAACGAGUAAAGAGACUUGCCGGUAACGAGAUUGAACUAGGUAUCGAGAUACCGACGAUCGAAUCUCGGGCAAGUAACAUACCGAUGACAAAGGGAACAACGUAUGUUGUUAUGCGGUUUGACCGAUAAAGAUCUUCGUAGAAUAUGUGGGAGCCAAUAUGAGCAUCCAGGUUCCGCAAUUGGUUAUUGACCGGAGAGGUGUCUCGGUCAUGUCUACAUAGUUCUCGAACCCGUAGGGUCCGCACGCUUAACGUUACGAUGGCAGUUUUAUUAUGAGUUUAUGUAUGUUGAUGUACCGAAGGAGUUCGGAGUCCCGGAUGAGAUCGGGGACAUGACGAGGAGUCUCAAAAUGGUCGAGACGUAAAGAUCAAUAUAUUGGACGACUAUAUUCGGACUUCGGAAAGGUUCCGAGUGAUUCGGGUAUUUUUCGGAGUACCGGAGAGUUACGGGAAUUCGUAUUGGGCCUUAAUGGGCCAUACGGGAAAGGAGAGAAAGACCCCAAAGGGUGGCCGCACCCCUCCCCAUGGGCUAAUCCGAAUUGGACUAGGGAGGUGGGGCGCCCCCUUCCUUCUUUCUCCUUCCCCCUUCCCUUCUCCUACUCCCACAAGGAAAGGAGGAGUCCUACUCCCGGUGGGAGUAGGACUCCCCCCUUGGGCGCGCCACCUCCCCUUAGCCGGCCCUCUCCUCCUUGCUCCUUUAUAUACGGGGGCAGGGGGGCACCCCAAGGACACACAAUUGAUGUACGAUAUUUUAGCCGUGUGCAGUGCCCCCCUCCACCAUAUUACACCUUGAUAAUAUCGUUGCGGAGCUUAGGCGAAGCCCUGCGUCGGUAGAACAUCAUCAUCGUCACCACGCCGUCGUGCUGACAAAACUCUCCCUCAACACUCGGCUAGAUCGGAGUUCGAGGGACGUCAUCGAGCUGAACGUGUGCUGAUCUCGGAGGUGCCGUGCGUUCGGUACUUGAUCGGUCGGAUCGUGAAGACGUACGACUACAUCAACCGCGUUGUGAUAACGCUUCCGCUGUCGGUCUACGAGGGUACGUGGACAACACUCUCCCCUCUUGUUGCUAUGCAUCACCAUGAUCUUGCGUGUUCGUAGGAAAUUUUUUGAAAUUACUACGUUCCCCAACAGUGGCAUCCGAGCCUGGUUUUCUGCGUUGAUGCUAUGCACGAGUAGAACACAAGUGAGUUGUGGGCGAUAUAAGUCAUACUGCUUACCAGCAUGCCAUAAUUUGGUUCAGCGGUAUUGUGAGAUGAAGCGGCCCGGACCGACAUUACGCGUACGCUUACGCGAGACUGGUUUCACCGUUGGGAGCACUCGUUGCUUAAAGGUGACUGGCGGGUGUCUGUCUCUCUCACUUUAGUUGAACCGAGUGUGGCUACGCCCGGUCGUUGCGAAGGUUAAAACAACACCAACUUGACAAACUAUCGUUGUGGUUUUGAUGCGUAGGUAAGAACGGUUCUUGCUAAGCCCGUAGCAGCCACGUAAAACUUGCAACAACAAAGUAGAGGACGUCUAACUUGUUUUUGCAGGGCAUGUUGUGAUCUGAUAUGGUCAAGACAUGAUGCUAUAUUUUAUUGUAUGAGAUGAUCAUGUUUUGUAACCGAGUUAUCGGCAACUGGCAGGAGCCAUAUGGUUGUCGCUUUAUUGUAUGAAAUGCAAUCGCCAUGUAAUAGUUUUACUUUAUCACUAAGCGGUAGCGAUAGUCGUAAAAGCAUUAAGUUGGCGAGACGACAACGAUACUACGAUGGAGAUCAAGGUGUCGCGCCGGUGACGAUGGUAAUCAUGACGGUGCUUCGGAGAUGGAGAUCACAAGCACGGUGCUACGGAGAUGGAGAUCACAAGCACAAGAUGAUGGCCAUAUCAUAUCACUUAUAUUGAUUGCAUGUGAUGUUAAUCUUUUAUGCAUCUUAUCUUGCUUUGAUUGACGGUAGCAUUAUAAGAUGAUCUCUCACUAAAAUUUCAAGAUAAAAGUGUUCUCCCUAAGUAUGCACCGUUGCGAAAGUUCUUCGUGCUGAGACACCACGUGACGAUCGGGUGUGAUAGGCUCUACGUUCAAAUACAACGGGUGCAAAACAGUUGCACACGCGGAAUACUCAGGUUAAACUUGACGAGCCUAGCAUAUGCAGAUAUGGCCUCGGAACACGGAGACCGAAAGGUCGAGCGUGAAUCAUAUAGUAGAUAUGAUCAACAUAGUGAUGUUCACCAUUGAAACUACUCCAUCUCACGUGAUGAUCGGACAUGGUUUAGUUGAUAUGGAUCACGUGAUCACUUAGAGGAUUAGAGGGAUGUCUAUCUAAGUGGGAGUUCUUAAGUAAUAUGAUUAACUGAACUUAAAUUUAUCAUGAACUUAGUCCUGAUAGUAUUUUGCAAAUUAUGUUGUAGAUCAAUAGCUCGCGUUGUUGCUUCCCUGUGUUUAUUUUUGAUAUGUUCCUAGAGAAAAAUUAUGUUGAAAGAUGUUAGUAGCAAAGAUGCGGAUUGGAUCCGUGAUCUGAGGAUUAUCCUCAUUGCUGCACAGAAAAAUUAUGUCCUUGAUGCACCGCUAGGUGACAGACCUAUUGCAGGAGCAGAUGCAGACGUUAUGAACGUUUGGCUAGCUCAAUAUGAUGACUACUUGAUAGUUUAGUGCACCAUGCUUAAACGGCUUAGAAUCGGGACUUCAAAGACGUUUUGAACGUCAUGGACCAUAUAAGAUGUUCCAGGAGUUGAAGUUAAUAUUUCAAGCAAAUACCCGAGUUGAGAGAUAUGAAGUCUCCAACAAGUUCUAUAGCUAAAAGAUGGAGGAGAAUCGCUCAACUAGUGAGCAUGUGCUCAGAUUGUCUGGGUACUACAAUCGCUUGAAUCAAGUGGGAGUUAAUCUUCUAGAUAAAAUAGUGAUUGACAGAAUUCUCUAGUCACCAUCACCAAGUUAGUAGAACUUCGUGAUGAACUAUAGUAUGCAAGGGAUGAUGAAAGUAAUUCCCGAGCUCUUCGUGAUGCUGAAAUCGACGAAGGUAGAAAUCAAGAAAAACAUCAAGUGUUGAUGGUUGACGAGACCACUAGUUUCAAGAAAAGGGCAAAGGGAAGAAGGGGAACUUCAAGAAGAACGGCAAGCAAGUUGCUGCUCAAGUGAAGAAGCCUAAGUCUGGUCCUAAGCCUGAGACUAAGUGCUUCUACUGCAAAGGGACUGGUCACUGGAAGCGGAACUACCCCAACUAUUUGGUGGAUAAGAAGGAUGGCAAAGUGAACAAAGGUAUAUUGGAUAUACAUGUUAUUGAUGUGUACUUUACUAGUGUUUAUAGCAACCCCUCGGUAUUUGAUACUGGUUCAGUUGCUAAGAGUAGUAACUCGAAACGGGAGUUGCAGAAUAAACAGAGACUAGUAAAAGGCGAGGUGACGAUGUGUGUUGGAAGUAGUUCCAAGAUUGAUAGGAUCAUCAUCGCACACUCCCUGUACUUUCGGGAUUAGUGUUGAAACUAAAUAAGUGUUAUUUGGUGUUUGUGUUGAGCAUGAAUAUGAUUUGAUCAUGUUUUUUGCAAUACGGUUAUUCAUUUAAGUUAGAGAACAAUUGUUGUUCUGUUUACAUGAAUAAAAACCUUCUAUGGUCAUACACACCAACGAAAAUGGUUUGUUGGAUCUCGAUCGUAGUGAUACACAUAAUCAUAAUAUUGAAGCCAAAAGAUGCAAAGUUAAUAAUGAUAGUGCAACUUAUUUGUGGCACUGCCGUUUAGGUCAUAUUGGUGUAAAGCGCAUGAAGAAACUCCAUACUGAUGGGAUUUUGGAAUCACUUGAUUAUGAAACACUUGAUGCUUGCGAUCCGUGCCUCAUGGGCAAGAUGACUAAAACGCCAUUCUCCGGAACUAUGGAGAGAGCAACAGAUUUGUUGGAAAUCAUACAUACAGAUGUAUGUGGCCCGAUGAAUAUUGAGGCUCGUAGCAGGUAUCAUUAUUUUCUGACCUUCACAGAUGAUUUGAGCAGAUAUGGGUAUAUCUACUUAAUGAAACAGAAGUCUGAAACAUUUGAAAAGUUCAUAUAAUUUCAGAGUGAAGUAGAAAAUCAUCGUAACAAGAAAAUAAAGUUUCUACGAUCUGAUCGCGGAGACAAAUAUUUGAGUUACGAGUUUGGUGUUCAAUUAAAACAAUGUGGAAAUAGUUUCACAAAUUCGUGCCACCUGGAACACCAUAGCAUAAUGGUGUGUCCGAACGUCAUAACCGUACUUUAUUGGAUAUAGUGCAAUCUAUGAUGUCUCUUACUAAUUUACCACUAUCGUUUUGGGAUUAUGCAUUAGAGACAUCUACAUUCACGUUAAAUAGGGCACCAUCAAAAUCCGUUGAGACGACGCCUUAUGAACUGAGGUUUGGCAAGAAACCAAAGUUGUCGUUUCUUAGAGUUUGGGGUUGCAAUGCUUGUGUGAAAAAGUUUCAUCCUGAUAAAGCUCAAACCCAAAUCGGAGAAAUGUGUCUUCAUAGGAUACCCAAAGGAGACAGUUGGGUACACCUUCUAUCACAGAUCCGAAGGCAAGACAUUCGUUGCUUAGUAUGGAUCCUUUCUAGAGAAGGAGUUUCUCUCGAAAGAAGUGAGUGGGAGGAAAGUAGAACUUGAUGAGGUAACUGUACCUGCUCCCUUAUUGGAAAGUAGUUCAUCACAGAAAUCUGUUCCUGUGACUCCUACACCAAUUAGUGAGGAAGUUAAUGAUGAUGAUCAUGUAACUUCAGAUCAAGUUACUACCAAACCUCGUAGGUAAACCAGAGUGAGAUCCACACCAGAGUGGUACGGUAAUCCUGUUCUGGAGGUCAUGUUAUUUGACCAUGACGAACCUACGAACUAUGAGGAAGCGAUGAUGAGCCCAGAUUCCGCAAAAUGGCUUGAGGCCAUGAAAUCUGAGAUGAGAUCCAUGUAUGAGAACAAAGUAUGGACUUUGAUUGACUUGCCCAAUGAUAGGCGAGCCAUUGAGAUUAAAUGGAUCUUCAAGAGGAGGACAGACGCUGAUAGUAGUGUUACUAUCUACAAAGCUAGAAUUGUCGCAAAAGGUUUUUCGACAAGUUCAAGGUGUUGACUACGAUGAGAGAGUUUCUCACUCGUAUCUAUGCUUAAAGUCGGUCUGAAUCAUGUCAGCAAUUGCCGCAUUUUAUGAAAUCUGGCAAAUGGAUAAACAAAACUACAUUCCUUAAUGGAUUUAUUAAAGAAGAGUUGUAUAUGAUGCAACCAGGAGGUUUUGUCAAUCCUAAAAGUGCUAACAAAAUAUGCAAGCUCCAGCGAUCCAUCUAUGGACUGGUGCAAGCAUCUCGGAGUUGGAAUAUACGCUUUGAUAAGUUGAUCAAAGGAUAUAGUUUUAUACAGACUUGCGGUGAAGCCUGUAUUUACAAGAAAGUGAGUGGGAGCACUACAACAUUUCUGAUAAGUAUAUGUGAAUGACAUAUUGUUAAUCAGAAAUAAUGUAGAAUUAUUCUGCAAAGCAUAAAGGAGUGUUUGAAAGGAGUUUUUCAAAGAUAGACCUCGGUGAAGCUGCUUACAUAUUGAGCAUCAAGAUCUAUAGAGAUAGAUGAAGACGCUUGAUAAGUUUUUCAAUGAGUACAUACCUUAACAAGAUUUUGAAGUAGUUCAAAAUAGAACAGACAAAGAAAGAGUUCUUGCCUGUGUUACAAGGUGUGAAAUUGAGUAAAGACUCAAAGCCCGACCACGGCAAAAGAUAGAAAGAGAAUGAAAAUCAUUCCCUAUGCCUUGGCCAUAGGUUCUAUAAAGUAUGCCAUGUUGUGUACCAGAUCUAUUGUAUACCCUACACUGAUUUUGGCAAGGGAGUACAAUAGUGAUCUAGGAGUAGAUCACUGGACAGCGGUCAAAAUUAUCCUUAGUGGAAUAAGGAUAUGUUUCUCGAUUAUGGAAGUGACAAAAGGUUCGUCGUAAAGGGUUACGUCGAUGCAAGUUUUGACACUAAAUCUAGAUGACUCUAAGUCUCGGUCUAGAUACAUAUUGAAAGUGGGAGCAAUUAGCUAGAGUAGCUCCGUGCAAAGCAUUGUAGACAUAGAAAUUUACAAAAUACUUACGGAUCUGAAUGUGACAGACCCGUUGACUAAAAUUAUCUCACAAUCAAAACAUGAUCACACCUUAGUACUCUUUGGGUGUUAAUCACAUAGCAAUGUGAACUAGAUUAUUGACUCUAGUAAACCCUUUGAGUGUUGGUCACAUAGAGAUGUGAACUAUGGGUGUGAAUCACAUGGUGAUGUGAAUUAUUAAUGUUAAAUCACAUGGCGAUGUGAACUAAAUUAUUGACUCUAGUGCAAGUGGGAGACUGAAGGAAAUAUGCCCUAGAGGCAAUAAUAAAGUAUUAUUUAUUUCCUUAUAUCAUGAUAAAUGUUUAUUAUUCAUGCUAGAAUUGUAUUAACCGGAAACAUAAUACAUGUGUGAAUACAUAGACAAACAGUGUGUCACUAGUAUGCCUCUACUUGACUAGCUCGUUAAUCAAAGAUGGUUAUGUUUCCUAGCCAUAGACAUGAGUUGUCAUUUGAUUAACGAGAUCACCUCAUUAGGAGAAUGACGUGAUUGACUUGACCCAUUCAGUUAGCUUAGCACCCGAUCGUUUAGUAUGUUGCUAUUGCUUUCUUCAUGACUUAUACAUGUUCCUAUGACUAUGAGAUUAUGCAACUCCCGUUUACCGGAGGAACACUUUGUGUGCUACCAAACGUCACAACGUAAAUGGGUGAUUAUAAAGGUGCUCUACAGGUGUCUCCAAAGGUACUUGUUGGGUUGGCGUAUUUCGAGAUUAGGAUUUGUCACUCCGAUUGUCGGAGAGGUAUCUCUGGGCCCACUCGGUAAUGCACAUCACUAUAAGCCUUGCAAGCAUUGUGACUAAUGAGUUAGUUGCGGGAUGAUGUAUUACGGAACGAGUAAAGAGACUUGCCGGUAACGAGAUUGAACUAGGUAUCGAGAUACCGACGGUCGAAUCUCGGGCAAGUAACAUACCGAUGACAAAGGGAACAACGUAUGUUGUUAUGCAGUUUGACCGAUAAAGAUCUUCGUAGAAUAUGUGGGAGCCAAUAUGAGCAUCCAGGUUCCGCAAUUGGUUAUUGACUGGAGAGGUGUCUCGGUCAUGUCUACAUAGUUCUCGAACCCGUAGGGUCCGCACGCUUAACGUUACGAUGACAGUUUUAUUAUGAGUUUAUGUAUGUUGAUGUACCGAAGGAGUUAGGAGUCCCGGAUGAGAUCGGGGACAUGAUGAGGAGUCUCGAAAUGGUCGAGACGUAAAGAUCGAUAUAUUGGACGACUAUAUUCGGACUUCGGAAAGGUUCCGAGUGAUUCGGGUAUUUUUCGGAGUACCGGAGAGUUACGGGAAUUCGUAUUGGGCCUUAAUGGGCCAUACGGGAAAGGAGAGAAAGACCCCAAAGGGUGGCCGCACCCCUCCCGAAUUGGACUAGGGAGGGGGCGCGCCCCCUUCCUUCUUUCUCCUUCCCCCUUCCCUUCUCCUACUCCCACAAGGAAAGGAGGAGUCCUACUCCCGGUGGGAGUAGGACUCCCCCCUUGGGCGCGCCACCUCCCCUUGGCCGGCCCUCUCCUCCUUGCUCCUUUAUAUACGGGGGCAGGGGGGCACCCCAAGGACACACAAUUGAUAUACGAUAUUUUAGCCGUGUGCGGUGCCCCCCUCCACCAUAUUACACCUCAAUAAUAUAGUUGCGGAGCUUAGGCGAAGCCCUGCGUCGGUAGAACAUCAUCAUCGUCACCACGUCGUCGUGCUGACGAAACUCUCCCUCAACACUCGGCUGGAUCGGAGUUCGAGGGACGUCAUCGAGCUGAACGUGUGCUGAACUCGAAGGUGCCGUGCGUUCGGUACUUGAUCGGUCGGAUCGUGAAGACGUACGACUACAUCAACCGCGUUGUGAUAACGCUUCCGCUGUCGGUCUACGAGGGUACGUGGACAACACUCUCCCCUCUUGUUGCUAUGCAUCACCAUGAUCUUGCGUGUUCGUAGGAAAUUUUUUGAAAUUACUACGUUCCCCAACAGCUCCACUAUGGGUGAGCCACUCUUCCGCACAUCUUCACAAGUCCAUCGUCACCACAAUGGACGGCAAGCUUCAAGCAUUUGAUCUCUUCAUGAUGCUUCACUUGAACUUGCACACCGCAACAUCUUCACAAGUCCAUUGUCACCACAAUGGACGGCAAGCUUCAAGCAUUUGGUCUCUUCAUGAUGCUUCACUUGAACUUGCACACCGCAACCUAACCCCACAAAGAACUCUCACGAAGAUCAUGGGUUAGUACACAAAGCGUAAUUGACAAUGCUUACCACACCAUGGGAUCGCUUGAUCCCUCUCGGUACAUUUUCUGCGCUUUGUGAGUUGAUCAAGUUGAUUCACUCUUGACUUAGUCUUGAUCAACCAUGAAUCUUUCCAACUCUCUUCAUUUGGAUGAUGUCUUGAAGAUAUACAUGAAUGAUCACACAAUCUUCUUCUCCAAGACAUGCUUGCAAUAAGCUCAACUCUCACAUGACCAAUCUUUGGAUAAUUCCUUAAUAACACCUUGGUCACCACAUAAACUCCUUGAAACCAACACAUGAACUUCAAGAAAUGCCUAUGGACAAAUCCUUCAAAUAUAACUCAGGGCAACCAUUAGUCCAUAGAGAUUGUCAUCAAUUACCAAAACCAAACAUGGGGGCACCGCAUGUUCUUUCACUCAUCUACUACCUUGACAACUUCCAGGAUCAAGAAGGUGAGGGACGUCACCGAGCUGAACAUGUGCAGAACUCGGAGGUGUCGUACGUUCGGCACUUGAUCGGUCGGAGCUAGAAGAAGUUUGACUACAUCAACCGCAUCGCCAAACGCUUCCGCUUACGGUCUACGAGGGUACGUAGACACACUCUCCCCCUCAUUGCUAUGCAUCUCCAUGGAUAGAUCAUUCCGUGUGCGUAGAAUUUUUUUUGUUUUCCAUGCAACGUUUCCCAACAAGAACACCAUAUGAUCCAACUAUAUUAACAAAGCUCGCAGUACAUCAAAAUCAUGCCACACGAGAAGAGAUCAAACAUAUAGCUACUGGUACAUACCCUCAGCCCCGAGGGUGAACUACUCCCUCCUCAUCAUGGAGACCGCUGGGAUGAUGAAGAUGGCCUCCGGUGAUGAUUUCCCCCUCUGGCAGGGUGUCGGAAUAGGGCUCCGGAUGAGAUCUCUUCGGUACAGAGGCUUGCGGCGGCGGAUUCGAAGUUCUAGGUUUCUUUCUGGGCCUUUUUGUAUUUAUAGGAAUUUUUGGCGUAGGUUUCACAUCAGGGGGGCCCAUAAGGAAGCGACAAGCUCGGUCGCCCCUCCCUAGGGGGGAGGACGCGCCAUGUGAGCUUGUCUUGUCCUCGUGGGUCUUCUGGUCCUCCCACGAACCUUUGGGGGUCUCUUUUGGUCCAUAAAAAAUCACCGUAAAUUUUCAGCCCAUUCGAGAACUUCUAUUUCUGCACAAAAAACUAUAACAUGGUAGUUCUGCUGAAAACAACGUCAGUCCGGGUUAGUUCCAUUUAAAUCAUAUAAAUGUACACCAAAACCAUAUAAAAUUGUUGUAAACAUGGCAUGAAUACUUCAUAAAUUAUAGAUACGUUGGAGACAUAUCAGCUACCAAACUCUUCCUCUAGCUUGGAAAUCUUGAUCACCAAACUAACUAGGGGGUCCAUAUUCCCUCUCUUCAGACACCUCUUCCUCUCUUGGAUUAUAAUCGAGAUCGUCUUCGUCAGUGUUAUCAACUGAGCCCUGGCUUUCUCGGUUCGAGUCGGUCGAGGGACUCGCAUGGGCGCAAAGGCAUCGGGACCGGCUGUCCAUAGACUCGCCGGUCUCCUUUUCCAUGUCUUCCGCUUCCUCGGUGGCACCCUCGAGGAUAUGUAUGAGAUCUUCGACGUUGGAAAUGAGAUGGGUGGUGGGUGGGUCAAAACAAAUCAACUUCUUCCUGCAGCUCCAAGAUCCGAUCCAACAUCAAAAUUGGGAGGACUAGCUCCUACUGCUCCUGGAUCCAGCGAGAUACCAAAUCCUAGAAGAUCAUCUCUCCACAGCUGCCUGUGGGGUACCCCAUAUUGUUGAAUCUAACGAUCUAGCCUUGAGAAAAAAAUCUCGACCUGGGCGAGGUGGCCGGUCAAGUCAGCGAAGAACAUGGUGACGCUAAAGACGAACAUCUGCCUCGACAUAUAGGUCACGUCGGAACCGAUCUGGGCAUUGAUCCAAACUCCCAUCAAGUUGCAACGUUUGCCUAGCAGGACCUGUAUGGGCCACCACUGCCGGAGCUAAAUCCGGCAGAUCCCUUAGUAAGAUUCCUAGCCAGGCCACUUGGCUGGAUGGUAACAAGAAGUAAACAUUUACCCAGGUUCAGGCUCUCAUGGAGGAGAUAAUACCCUACUCCUGCUAUGGUAUAAAAGGUCUUAUAAAAGUUUACACAGGAAGUAUAUGAGACGAUGAUAAAGCAUGAGUGUUAGGGCAUUUUCACCCUCACGGUGAUUAUAAUUCUUCCACAUCUUUAGUGUUAAUUGAAUAGAGAAGGAAAAACAAUUGUGUGGGUGUAGUUUAUUCAAGUUUAAACUACAUUAAUAAAAACAUUUCAAGAAGAUGGUCUGAGACAUAGCGCAAGUAGCAGGAAAGGAGAAAAUGUCCUGAGUGAAACUUAACAAAAUUUUGCAAACCCAAUCUAAACUAAAGAUGUAUGUUUAGUCUACAUACCACAUAAAAAUAAGCAAGUGUGAUAUGGGCGAAUAAACAUGCUUCCCAGGAAGAAGGUGAAAAUAACAUUUGGAUAUUUCUGACAAGAAUUGAGGACCCGUUGUUAUUUGUUUGGUUAAAAAUGAACAAUUUACCACAUAGAAUCAUGAUACAUUCACUGAUGAAUUAAGUAGCAAGGUGAGGAAGCCUUCAUGAUCACUCUAAUGGUGAAGAUGCUCUAGUGCUCGUCGCGGUCAUUUAUCUUUUGUGAGUUGAGAUUGUUUGUAAUGGACUCAUGCCUCUACAUUUAUCGACACCUCAUAAACUCUAUGACCUUGUUCUUACAAGUUGUGGUACUUGCUCAUGGAAGAGCAAGGGUUAAGGUUGGGGGAAUUGAUGAGUCCAUAUUUUGCGUUAUUUUUAUCUUUUGUCUUGCAUCUUAGUUGUAGGGCUUAUGGGAUUUUACCAUGUUUGCGCACUUUUUUUGUUCAUUUUGCCUAGUUUUCAUCUACGAAUGUCUUUCGAGGCAUAAGGGGAAAAUACCAGGAUUAUGGUGUGAAAAUCAUGUAAAUAUCAUGAUGGAAGACUACCAUAAAAGGGAGUAAUAUAUUUAAAAAGGAACCAGUCACCACAAGGGCUCCAGAGCAAUCGACGAUGUCAGGUACAACCACGCGCACUCGUACUACCGGUUGUACCAGUUAUCGUCGACUCUGCAUGGUCAAGUAUAUUAACCUCUUGCGAUCGGGCCGAGGAUGAGACGCCCACAAUCACCAGAAACCUCUCUAGACAAAGAACCCUAUUCUCUAGAAGGGAUCCAGAGGGGAAAUCGACAAUGAGGACAUCACCAUCACCAACACCUUGUACAAGGGGACUCUGGCAUCAAUGAUCUCCGUCAUCCUCUUCACUGCCAUCCAUCUCCAUUCCAUUAUAAUACCAAACCCUAGAGGAUUCCUAUGUGUAUCACUUUGAUCUAUUAGUCAUGUUUUUCACCGCCAUUCAUAUGAUGCUAGCUAUAUCCAUGUGUGAGUAGUCCCCUUAGUUCUUAGGGAUACGAAUGAUACCUUGUAUGCAUAGGUGUCUGAACUCUUAUAGGGAUAUGAUAUCCUCUGUUUAAUUUUUGAUUUAAUAGCCUCCAUGAAUGUUGUGAAGAGGCCCGGCUCAGCAUUUUGCCUUUUACGGCUAUGGAGCAUAUUAUUGUCGUUGUAAAGAUAGCGAUAUGCGGAUAAAGAGGUGACAGUAAUAUCUUCGUUACCCCACCUUUGUAAUUCAUAGGUAAUUAACCAAGAACCCUUAUGCAACGCCGUCCACAGGUAAACCCUUAAUUACCGUUGUGAGAACAUGAGUAGGGAAAUUACGAUGGUGGCAUGCGCGAUACGAAGACUACACAGUAGCUUGUAUACUGUACCGAUUCCGCUAAACUACAGACAUAAAGAGUGGCUCGAGUAUCCAACCUAGAACUAUGCAAUCACAUACUCCCUCCGUCCAAAAAAGCUUGUCCCUCAAAUAGAUGUAUCUAGCAUCAAGUUAGUGCUAAACACAUCCAUUUGAAGGACAAGCUUGGGACAAGCUUUUUCGUAUGGAGGGAGUAUGUUACAUUAGACACAUAUUAAUGAGGAAUCUGGACUCACUGAGAACUCCUUAAUCCUAUUGUUAGUUUUAUCACUUUAUUUAUUCCGCGCUGUAUUUUACUUCUUUUUGCAUGAAUUACUUCUGAUCAUACUUCACUCAAAAUAUUAUCAAUUUUUGCCUUCAUUUUGCUUUUCAUCUACAACUAACUUGCAUGCACAAUUCCAUAAGUCUCUACAAGAGUCGGAGUCCAAUUCUUGUGCUCCCCGUGGGAUCGAUACUCUUACUUUGAGAAGGCCUUGCCCCCCCCCCCUCUAAAUGGCUAAAGCUCUGAAAUGCUCAAUGUGUUGAGCAAGAUCAUCACUUACAUUGCAUGUUACAUAUUGCAAACAAAUGAAAGACAUAUAAAUGAAAGCAACAUGAAAUUUAGGAUUAAUGUCAUAAAAACAAAUUAAGAAUCAAAUCCAUCCCAAAGUCAUAUAAAUUUAAAAAUACAUAAAACAUUGCACAACAACACAUGCAGCCCCAAUAUUACAAACAAAACUAGAGCUAACUAUGCAUCACCACACUUAUACAAAAAAAAAUUGACACAAGGAUUUAUUGCACUUACCACAUACCUUGAGCACCCCCGUCCAACACCACAGUGGACCGACCGGGACAAUCAUCACUAGGGGGUGGGGGCAAGGGCCGCUUGGUCUACAACAAGAAGGGCAAGCCAUAGCCUCAAGAAUAGAAAAGGAGAUAGAUUACCAAACUAGAAAAUGCAGGUCCUCUGAUUUUUUUUACAAAGAACUAAUUCAAUAAACAUGCAUUGAUCAAAUUGAAAGCUAUCAGUUGAUAGAUUUGAAAGCCCCACCUAUUAUUACCCCCUAAAACUCCCCCUCCUAGAAAUAUAAUGGGAAACAGAAAGUGAGAUACACAGAUGGAGGCAACAAACAAACCAACCGCGAUGCGAGGGAACAAACGAAGACGAUGGUCGACGCAAAGCAAGGGAGACGGUUGCAGUCGUGGGAGGACGUGAGUGGUGGCGACGGUGGCGCUAGGGACAUGAAAAGGUAGGUUAAGAAACAUAAAAGGUUUAGGGAGUAAAGUGAAAAGGGGGGAACCGAAAACCGGGAAAACAGACAUGGUCGCCUCUCCUUGCACCACUUGUUGAGCGGGCAGCGUAGCUGGAAAUCCCCUCGAGAUGCGACGUUGGGCCACUUGUCAUCUAGGGUAGUGUUGUACGAUGCCCUCCACGGGUUACCCCUUAUCUUUAAGUGAUCUUGCGAGUUUUAUUUAAAAAAAGAAAAGAAAUACGAUGUGCUGCAGAAUGGCCGACCCAUAGAAUUUUCGUCGGCCCACCUAAGGAAGGGUACCCCCUAAGGCCAGUAGAGACAAGAGCUCCUCCUAAGCGCUUCACGCGCUCGGAGAGCCAACUCGCACUCGUGUCCCUCGCAGUGAUAGGCCAUCCCGUCAAACAGCGGCGUGGUCGGUCACCAGGGCGCACCCACCUGCUUUGUUCGCUCGGUCAAUGGUUGACCAGUCACUUAGUAAAUCGUUGAAUUUUGGAAAAAAUGCCAAAAAUCUAAAAAAAUUGUGAAUUCAAAAAUGUUCACGGGUUCAAAAAGGUUAAUGGAUUUGAAAAAGAAGUUUGCAACUUAAAAAAAUCAUGAAUUCAAAAAAGAUAAAAAAUUUGAAGAAAAAAAAUCAUGGAUUUUGAAGAAAAAAACUUUGUAAAUUUGGAAAAAGCUUGUGGAUUUGAAUAUAUUCAUGCAUUUGAGAAAAAGUUCGCAGAUUCCAAAAAAAUCAAGAAUUUGAAAAAAAAGAUCACAUGUUUGGAGAAAAGGUUCACGAAUUUUAAAAAAGUUCUCGCAUUUAAAAAAAUGGAAAAAGAAAAGCAAAAACUGAAUAAAAGUAGUCCAAAAACCCCAAAAAGGAAAAGAAAAACCCGGCCAGAAGCUCCUAGAAGCUUCCCAAAGCCGUCCAGAAGCUUCUAGAAGCUUCACAAAACUGAUUGGGUCGCUUCCAAAAAAAGGAAACAAUGUCGAUGUGAAGUGGAAGGAAAAAAAAGUAACAUGGGCCGAGCCCAUGUGGAGGAGGUGGUGUGUGCCGGUUUGCAAUUUGCACUGUAACCGACGCUUGAAGCACCAAAUAGGAUUUGAGAGUAGAGACCAUGGCUUGUACUCCCUCCGUCCCAAAAUAAGUGACUCAACUUUAUACUAACUUUAGUAGUAAAUUGUUGUUGAUUCACAAGAAGAAAAUAAUGCAGUAAAUUGUCCAGGGCCAGAAAAAUAGGCGUUCGGUAAAUUAUUUAGGGUCAAACCGAAUAAUCUACUGUAUAAUUUUGUUCCUUGCUGCCCACAAGGUCUGUAAAGGAUCUUCACCCAAUAAUCACUCUGCGUCGGCGAAUGUUUAUCAUUGCAUUGCUAUAAACUGUGUAGAGCCCCUGCAGUUUUGUCUUGGCUGUUACUCCCACCGAUGGCUGUUGGUGUUGCAAAUCGGUUGGAUGUUACUCCCUCCGUUUUUGUAAAUAUAAAUCUUUUUAGAGAUUUCAUUCAAUACGGACUACAUUCGGAUGUAUAUAGACCUAUUUUUUAGUGGAGAUUCACACAUUUUACUUUGUAUGCAAUUCAUAUUGGAAUUUCUAAAAGGACUUAUAUUUAGGAACAGAGGGAGCAGUUCAUAUCCUAACCUAGUAGUGGCUACGCUGAUCAAUUUAAGUUGUCCACGGUUUCAACAAUUUCAAUUCUGUUUCAGCAAUGCAGUUUGGAUUGUCAGCUCUUCUCUUGAAAAGAGAAGAGAAGAAAAAAAGCCUGCAGUAGGGCCUAACAUUCGUGGGCGUGGGUACCGGCAAAAUGAUUGACGAAGGUAAAUAUAGGAUGGUAAGGUAGUUCCAAUAAUAAGUAGGCAAAAAACCACAAGUUGGAAGAAUACCCUCACAGCCAGCCUCUCAGCUGUGGUUCAAAUGGAACAACCAACCAAAGCAGAGAGACAGUAACAUCAAUCUUCCAGUCGUCCAAUCCCAGGUUCCCUCCCUGAUCAGAAAGACAUCUACCCAGUUAAGCCAAGACUAGUGUCUCGUCUCUCCAUGAAGCCAAGUGCACGGCAACAAAAAAGGGCACAAAUAGGCUCAGCCAGUAGCAGCAGCAGUAAGGCCAAGGCAACAACACAAGUCACCAGCACAUCCAAGCAAAACACAGCCACUUGCUCUACUCUGGUUCUACCUUCUACGGCGAUGGGAUAUACAGGUUUUUCUCCAAUGCAGGUAAAUGUUUCGCUACAGGGAAACCGCAGCACCUACGGGCCAAAGCUACAGCAGCUCACUUCUUGCCCCGGCCCUUGGACUUCUUGGACUUCUUCUUGCUCUUCUGCUUCUGCACUCCCUUUUUGGAAGUCGAGGCCGCAGCUUCUCCCGUGUCUGGUUUAUCAUCGUCAUCUGAGCAUCCGUCGGCGUCAGCGUGCAUGUCUACAGCAGCCGUUGCAGCGUCGUUGCUCCUGUCAUUCAUGCCUUGAAAUGUCGCUUGAUUUUCAAUCCUGCUUAGCCUUGCAGCAGUCACCAUGCGGAAGAUCAUCGGCAGUUUGUUCUCACCCUUCCACAGCUUCUCCACAGCAAGACAAGCAUUUCUCUGCGCCCUGUGGUGACACAACCAAUUUUGACACGCAAGUGGUAAAUUUUCACAAGACAUGGGGAUAAGUGAUAACCUAGUCAUGUCUUACGCUAGACUUGAAGGUACAUAUCAUGCAGAAAGAUGUCACUCUACAUGCCUAUCAAUUGCAAUGUGGCAUUUGUACUUCCUUUUAUGAAAUUUAUAGUUGGCCCUGAAUUAACAUUUGCUUACCUGGCAGAACCAUUUUCGAACUCACUGCAGAUGCGCCUGACGUCUUCCAGCAAUCGUUUAUCAAUCGCUGCUAGAAGGCCACCUUCUUCCAGCCAUGGAAGGGCACUUAUAAGGUAUUCAAUAACACGCCUUGGAUCUUUCUGCAGAAGUUAGCUUGUUUAGAAUAACUUGGAAGCUGGGAACAGUGGGACAAACUGGAUGAGGAUAACAAAACAAGCAUUAUAACAUAUAUGAAACUCACCAGGCCAUCUUUGUCGGCUUUUAGAAUCUCAAGCUUCUCAUAGAGUAUCUCAAUAAUAUCUAUCUUACUCCUAUGCUCCAUCUCAUUAUCUGGUACAGCCUUAGGAAUGUUUCCAGAAAUAACAUUGCCAGACUUAUCACCAUCAGAUUUUUCAGACAACGGAGUCUCUUGGUCAGAACUUGGUUCUUCAGGACACAGAAGAGCCAUUAUCUUCGGAACAUCAUGCAAAUCCUCUUUGCUAAUCAUAUAAGCAUUUAAGUUUCGACAGAUUACUGGGCCCUUGGGUGAACCAAUAACUACCAUAUUAUCUCCAAUUGCGGCGAGUGCAUCAGCAAGCACUCUUGUGAAGUUGCUCGGUGUGCGGGACUUCAUUUGCAAAGCAUGUACAAUCUUCUGAGAGAACUCCACAGGUAAAUCCUUAAACACUUCAUUCCUCAGAAGGUUAUGUGUGACCUCAUAGCAAUUCCCCAGAGAAAGAGUAAGGAUCAGAGGAUAAAGUGUAACAACUAGUCUCAGGAGGACUGAUUUGUAUGAAGUACUAGAAGGACUUGAAGUCUUAUGUACCCAUUCCUGGAGCAUAUGCUUGGUCGUCAAGAUAGUAAUAAUUGUCUGAUAUAUGAAACGGCCUGAUGAGUAUGCCAAACGAUCAAGAUCUGAAUCUGGGCUCAAUUUAGAUACCAGGCAGGUGCCAAUGUAAGCCUUGCUGGUACGGCACUCCAGCAUAUUGACCAACAGAGAUUUCGUGCAGCAUAUAAAAUCAUUCUGUAUCAAGUAUGAUGAAGCCAUAAAACCAAGGCAUUCCAUAAGACCCACAUAGCAUAUUGGGGAUAUGUAGUCUAGUUCAUCCUUCCACUUUACAUUGAAGGUAAAGUCAAGAGCAAGCUUAAAGUUCAAGAUCAAGGAGGAUCUAUCACCACCGCUGUCAAGAAAUCUCUUGAAAUAUCGAAAAAAUUCUGCCCACUCAGAAUUAUUGUCCAGGUACUGCAGUAGUCUUGAAAGUAGCUCUUCGUCCAAUUGUGCUGCGUGAAGCAGGAGCAUGGUUGUUCUCCCAAGAUGCCCAUGAGUCAAAUUUUUAUUUGCUGGGCGAAGAUUUGCACUAAGAGAAUCAGCAAUCAAUCCAUAUGCAGCUGGUGAGUCAAGUAGAUGCAAGAGGCUCCUUGUUGUCCCAUCUCUCCACACAAGGAAAACUAACUCAAAGAAGCGACGCUCGCAGAGAACAAAAAAGCUUCUUAACUUCGUGUUUUUUGGCAUACUGAACUGUGGUUCUUCCAAAAACUUUGCUAUCUCAUUUAUGAUAAGGAUAGUUCUCACCAGGGUAUAAGAAGAUGAUGGCUUUGGAGAAAUUUGAACAAUGGACUCCAACUUCUUAAGUACACUGAAACCAACAGAAGACAGCUCAUUCAUCCAGAAACACUGAGCACAUGAAUGGCACUGCAGGGCACCCAAGAAACAUCUGUUGCCAUCUUGCUGCAAAGAAUUUCUGCCAGCAGUAGAGAGCCAACUUGCAUUCACGUUAAGCACUACAUAUCUGUCAACUUCACCAUCCUUCCUCAAUCCAAAGUACUUGGCACAAAGAUCUUCAUACAUAACUGCAUAAUCAUUUAAUUCUAGACCAUCGGUGUGGCGAAGAUGAGAUAGUACUUUGAUUAUGAUCGAUUUCCAGUGAUUCCAGACAUAAAACAGAGUUUGGGGUGACAUCUGGUUAGAUGCAAGCAUGUUACUACAACUAUUUUCAUCUUCAGAUCCUGGCCCUAAUUCUAUAUUGUAUCCAGAGGCUCGAGACUGAAGAUGAACAUCAAGAAUCAAACGGGAAGCAACAACUUCAACUAACAAGUUUGCACAUUUUCUGCCCUCAACCAAAGUGCAAUUUAAACUGGGAAGAGACUUGUUCACAUCUGACAGUGCAUCAGCUUCCACGCAAACAAAGCAGUAGAAGCACUCAGAUACCUUUUCCGCCAUCUCUUUGGCUCUUGAAAGCAAUUGUUCCUUCUCUGCGUAUCUUUUGGGAGGCCACCCUCUGCUAUUUGAGGACCAGAAGGAAUCCACAAUGAUAUGGAGGAGGAGAAGCCGUGUCGCAUCCUCAAACAAGCCUGCCUUCUCGAGCAUGUCUACCUCCAGUAAGACAUCUCCAUUAUGCUUUGCUAUUCCUGCAGCUUCUAGAAAAUUACCCAUCUCCAUCUCCAAACUCCACAGUUCAUCAACAAGAUUCCUAGAAUUUAGGAAUGCCCGUACAUGAUCCAUAGAGCUGAAAGCUUUAACAAAAGGCAUCAUCUGCUUUAUGUCACCACGCUCAAAAUAAUGUUGAGCACAAUUAUCCAGAUAGUUUGUUCUAAUUGCAGAAACCUCCAAGGAUUUUGAAUUCUCAAGCGAAUGUUCCUCUUCUAACUGUUGCAGAAACUGCAAGCCCAGAUUGAACAAAUUUUUCCCUUUCGAGCACAUGGAGAAACACUUCGAGUAACAUUUAGCUUUCAAGAACACUUCAGCUGCCUCCGACCAGCAUUCAGCCAUAGCAAAACAAUCACCAGCAUCCACAAGUUUAGAAGUACCACAUUUUUGCAUAUAGACCAUACCUAUGGCAAGGAACACAAUGUUUAGUCAGACAGCUUCGUGGAGUGUGAGGUAAAAUUAUCCAUAUGAAAGCUAAAAAAAACAUGCCCAAUUUAUGUAGGGAUAUCAUUUCGAAUUUUUUUGCUUUUUGAAAUUGAUGACAUUUUCUUACACAGCAGCCCUUUAAGAAUGUAAAAUAUUAUGGAAUGAUGAAAUCUCAAAGUACGCAUACAGCUUGGAAAUUAUGGAGAGUUGACAGACCUGCUUUUUUGUAGUCUCCUAAUUUGAUAUAGCAUGUAGCAGCUUUCUCAUGCAUGCCUAUGGACUCGUAAAUCUCUGAUGCUGUUUGCAACGAAGCCUUGCCCAACUCCAAAUUUGUUGAGAUGACACGGUUAGCAGUCGCUACAAGUCCAGCAGCUCUUGCCAACUUCUCUCUGUGUGCAUCACCGGCCUUUUCGAAGCACAUAGUAGCCAUCUCGAAUUGCCCCUCAUUGAAUAACUAUAAAAAGAGAGAGAACUUGUGACAUGGAACAACAAGGGUAAAACUGUAAGUAGAUACAUGCCAUGACCUGCCUAACAAAGAAUUUGUGUGCAUAGAACAAUUGUGAGACAAAAAAAGCAUGAAUUUCACAAGAUAAAGAACACACACAAAAUAACUCAAUACGCAACAUAAUGCUUGGUAAACUAAAAUUGGCUUUCCAGACUAAACAAGUAAAGAUCACCAACCUUGGUUCCCCGUAUCCUCCAAUCAUCACUGCUGCUCCCUGUCUGCAUUGCCUGAAUGAGGGAAGAAUCUAAUAAUCUAACUUCUACAAGGCACAACUUCUUCCAGUAGUCAAACAUUGGUCGACAGUAAUUCUCUGUAUUUUCACAUAUCCAGAGUCUUUGCCUAGUGCGUGUAAGUGCAACAUAUAGUUGCUUCAGCUCUGAACAGAGAAGAUAAUGCUUGCUUCUGUCGAAACCAGGAUGAGAGAUCUCCUCAGAGUGUGCUAUAAUAUUUUUAUCUUUCAUGUAGCCAUAGAGAACUCUCCAUUUGUUUCUUAAAGGCGACGAACCAAAAAAGUUGUACAACAGCACAUCCUACACAAAUAUCUCUGAAGUAAGUAUACAUUUUGAAACAAUGUGUUUAGCAAUUAAAAUAUUUUGAGAAAUGAACACAGAUAAAACUGAAUUUAUAGACCCAUACCUGAAACUCAAGGCCCUUACAUUCAACAAUAGUCAAAACAAGAGCUUGUUUACCAACAAGAUCAAUAAUUUGUUUUUUGGCAGCAUCAUCACGAACUAAUAUGACUUGCUCAGCACCAAACCCACGCAGGUUACCAUGUGAAGUUUUUCUUUCUCCAAAAAUAGUCAUAAUUGCAUUUUCAUCGUUAUCAGACUCCAGCAGCACAGGAGCUUCUCCAUAUACAAGUCCAGUCUCUGGAUUCAGCUUGUCAACACUUGACGGGAAAAAGAAGUACAGAAGGCUCAUGAUACUUUGUGCCAUACGGAGGAUGCCACAAUGUGUGCGGAAAUUCUGAGACAGUUGGAACAUAUCAGAGAGAUGGACUUUUUUCCCAUGUUUAAGUCCUUGCUUAGAUGCUUCAGUUUCGGCGAGGAAUGCAGUAUAAAACAGUGAGCGGAUAUCUUCAAACCUGAAAUCGAUACCCCUUGCUAUAGUCUGUGCAGUAUCACCAGCAAAAAGGAAGCCUUCCUUGAUGUUCAUACAGACAUACUUAAGAAGUGCUAUUUGUGUCAUGGUGAGAUCCUGUACCUCAUCUAUGUAAACAAAAUCCACCAUAUCGCCAUGGUAGCCCUCAGAUACAAGACUGCUGUGAAGACUAUUGACGAAAUCUGACAAAUCAAACUCCUUGGCAGUACAUUUCAUACUCUCAUAUUCAAGGAAUAUAUCAUAAAUUCUAUCUCUCUUCUCAUUGUUCAAAGAUGAAAAUCUUUUAUCUGAAAGCAUCACAUAAUCCUCUCUUCCCAGUUUGCCAACAUAAGGCCUGCUUGUUUGAUAUGCACCCUUUAUAUGAGAAAUUAUUUCAGUGAAGACAGUGGAUGCAGCAAAUUUCUUUGUUAGGUCUGCAUUAAAACGAGGCCAGUAGAAAGUAGCAAAUUUUUCAUAGGUAACUUCCUUCAAUUCAAUAAAAGUUUGCACCGCACGCGAUCUUGAGUGGCCUCUCUCAAAGCUUGUCUUCAUUUCACCAUAAAACGCAUCGAAAAAUGAUGUCCGGCAUGUUCCAUCAAGCAUCAUCAAAAACUUACGAUAUGUUAUAGUAAGAGGAUAGUGUUCAUGAGGUAGAUCACAAAAAUUGUCAGGAAUUUCUGUAAACUCUUCCAGGUCAUCCAUGAUGUCAUGCAUGUGAAGAAUGCUAGACUGGUCAGAGACAUCACCGGUGCCAAAUCUACAAAGGGUUGAAGUAAAUUGGUAUUAAAAGGAUUAAUGUUGGUACAAAUCAUAAAAGAAGGAAAGCGAAUAUCUUUCAAAGAAAUCAUUGGACCAGCUUGCAAUGUAUAUAUACUAAUUUCAAAACAGAGCACCGAGCGUGCCUUGGUUAGCUAGUCAUGUGAGUGGCUGAGGGCACGCCAAGCCCAUCCGCAUUCAGGGCCUGGCCUGCAAAGUGGUCCUCAUGAUUUGUCUUUCUCUUUUAUAAAAAGCCACUGGGUAGUUCCAAUAUAUGCAGUUUUUUAUAUAAUUUCAAUAAUAAUACUUUGAAGAGAAAAUGCACCUCAUAUGGAUAAAAGAUUGACCCUUCAAAAGGGUGUGACAAAGGGCUAAAGAAAAUGAGGUUAGAAAUGCAGCAGAAUGGAGUACAGUGGGGGGAAAAAGAGCCAACUCGUGCACACAUUUCUGUCCACUUUAAAUAGUUGUAUGAAAAUCAUUUCCAAAAUGGUGCGAACAUGUACUCGCAAAAAAAAAUGGUGCGAACAUGUACAAACUUCUAAGUAUGGCUCUAGUUCAACAGGCUUACCUUUUAAGUCCAGAAAUGUGGUUUUUUAUGGCUGAACACAACUUUGGGCUUACAGUGAUAAACACUUGUUUCACAAAACUUUCUCCUCCGUCCUUCAGUGGCAUAAUAUUUUUGUGAUCCAGCCCUGAUAAAUCAUCCCCAUCCAAAUGUAGACCUUGGGAUGCAAUCAGUGACUGUUGCUCUUUUUGAAUCAGCUUCAUUGUUAAUACAGUGGUUUUUCCGGUGCCUGACCUCCCAAGUAUAAAACUAGUGAGCGGGAAUUGGAUUAUAAUCUGCUCUUCAUCAGUCAGUUCAAAGGGAAUGUCGAUUUCAGACCCAUCAGUAGCUGUCAGCAAAUGCUUUGCCAUACCAGAUGAUAAAGAGUAGAAUUUCAUCAGCAAGAAGCUUUCACUGACUUUUGAAUUCUCCAUGGCAUAUGAUGUAUCCACGACAUCAUGCUCUUCAUGAGCAACAACUUUGCAAUCCUUGUUAUAGCGGAUAAUAUCAUGCUCAAUAUGCCAAACCAUAGGAACCUCAAGUUUCCUGUUAUAGACAACAAAGGAGGGCAAAAAUUAGAAGAAUGUCCACAGACAGUUAAUUUGUAGGCAUGACUAUUCACAAACAGUUCAAUUCUCUAAGUAUCAUAAGCAUAAAAAAAUCCAAGGAAGCAGAGAGACCCGUGACACUUAGAUUCUUUUCAGGGAACUUAAUUAGCCACAAUACCCAUUGUUUACAAAACUGCAGAAUUAGAUCAUUAAAAUAAUUAAGAAAACCAAUCAAACACCAUGAAGCAUAAGCCAUAUACACAUAUGCAAUUAACAAAAAAGGGAAAUUAGAAAUAUUAUGAUGAUGAUCUAUAGCAUUAAAAGCAGUUUUGAAUCCACUAACAUAUAUAAAAACUGCACAGAAAUGGAUCUUCGUGCAGGAUGGCUUGUUGAGGUUAAGUGGAUCUCCGUGCACAGGAUACAAGUGUGCACCUACAUGCAUGCACAGAAUAUAAGUGUGCACCUACAUACAUGCAAGGUUUUGGUUACCGAAUGAGUCAAUUUUACCGAGGGGAACUGGUAUACGUGGUUACCACGGUUACCGAGAAAUACCAAGAAUAUUUCGAACGAAAUUUAUAGUUGAAUUUUGAAUUCAAAUAAGUGAAUGAAUGAACAUUCAAACUAGAGACCUCUCAAAACAGGAACUAGGUUGCUACCAACACGUCAGAACCAACUCUUAUGGAAUUAAUUAGAUCCUACGUACUUUACUAUAAAAUCGAGCAUUUGUAUUCAAAAAUUCAAAAAAAUGGUAUUUUUUGCUCGGUAUGGGGAUUUACCGAGGGGCACGGAAAUACGCAGUAACCAUGGGAAAUCUUGAAAUUUCGACCGGUAACCAAAACCUUGCAUACAUGCAUUCAUCCCAUGUUCCCGUUAUUCAUGUACUUGGGGGUUCAAAAUAAGUUUGCCUAAAAAUAAAUUCUCGCUGGAAGGGCAACUGUACAGAACCAGGCAUUACUUCCACAACUGUUUUUUUCUUCCAAGGAACACUAGCAUGGACACAAGAUAAGUGACCUCAUUUAUAUCUUGAAUUUAGUUUCAGUCAAGGCACUAGGUCGGUAAAAGUAACAACACAUUCAAAGGACUACAACUAGAUAUACGAGUCAAACGCAAUCAUAUUUUCAUGCAGAAAAACACAAUCGUAUUUUUAUAGUACUAUGAUAUAUGAGUCAAACAAAUCCAUGCUCCAAGUGUCCAUACCACUCUCCAAGUAAAUCAUGAGUAUAAAGGAUUUUAUGCUGCAAGCAGUAUGUGUGUAGCAUGAAAAUAUUGAUGAUUUAUACGAAAAUGUUGCAUAGAUGUUAGUAUUAAAAAUUAUGUUUAAAAAAUGGUUUUCUUGUUUUAUGUGUGAAGCUGCAUUGUCAAAAACUCAACAUUCAUCAAAAAAUGCCAAUAGUACCGAUGUCAUGUAAAUGUCAGUACAACCUAAGGACCACGAUCAGUAUCAUGCGCACACAGGUGAGCAAUGGGAAGAAAAUUGACAUGUGGAUGGCAAGCUAGACAACUUUUCUACCCAGAGAAUUAGGUCAUUAUAUAUUUUGCAUAUUAAAUAUGGACAGGAGCCAAUUCCACCCUUUGUUCUACGAUCCUAAAACACACACUCAUCUUCACAUGAUCCUUUGCCUCUCAGAUCCAUGACAACAAGGCACUGAGGAGUACAACAAGAUUGACAACAACAGGCAAUGGUGUUUCCACCCAAUAUACACAGCCAAAAAGGAGAGCAAGUAUUAGAAGAAUGUCUACAUGCAGUUCGUUUGUUGGCUGACUAUUAACAAACAGUUCAUCUCUCUAAGUAUCAUAGGUAUAAAAAUCCACGGAACCGGACUAUAGCCCAUUAACAAUAAAAGAAACACAUACCCCUGUGUCUGCACUCUCCUGCAAUGAUCCAGGUAAUCAUCCGUGUACAUGGAAAACAGAUUCUCAAGACGUUGAACAGUUCUUGCAACAUUUUGUUGUGACAGCAAGUCCCAAACCCUUAUUAUCUGAAAAUACCGUCCUUCGGUUUUCUCCACAUCAGUACUCCAAACAAGAUACAGGUUCCAGACCUUGUAUACCUUUGCAAGAUGAGAAACACCAGGUAUAUCAAGGUUCUUAACUGUUGUCCUCCAACCAUCUCCAAGUCUGAUAAGCUUUUGGAGUACUUCCUUCCUGAGCUGUGGUGAUUUUAGUUUGGUGAAGGACUUUCUAAACUCGUCGCUAAGAAUGACCUGUCGAAUAUAUGAAUACCAAAAAUGGAACAUGAGAAGAAGUGUAUACGAGAAAAAUGAUAGAACAGUGUGUUUUUCAAGAAAACUAGGAGGUUCACAAGAUGAUAUGUCCUGAAAACUAGAAAAGACCCACAUAAUUGGCAUAGCAUGGUACAAAUUACCACAUGUCCUGAAAAUCUUAAUUACACAAACCUCUCACAAUCCAAUUACAGAGGAAACAGCCUAGCAGAGACAAGCGAACCACAUACAUGAUUCCAAAAAGUAAAAGACAAAUCAACUCAUGAACACAAACAAAAUCACACUAUAAAAAGGAAGUGUAUAUUCAGUAAACCCGAUCUCCCUGAUAACAGCAUGAGUCUCAUAAGACAUGUAUAUACAUGUGGUCUGCAUUCUGGGUAAUUAAGUGCAGCGACAUAUUAGAAAACAUGAAAGAAUGUUAAAAGUCAAUGUAGCUGAAACCAUGGUACUUACUUUCCAUCUGGUGUUGCUGAAAACCACUGAAUCAGCAUUAAGAAGAUCGUCAAGUUCAUCAAGCUCUUGCUUUACUUGCAGAACUAACUUACAGAUGGUUGCGUCAUUAGUGGCACUGAAAACACAUUUACGUCUCUCUGCAUCAGCAACAAGUUCUGUCCAUUCGGUCCCACUUUUAUACAGCGUAUGAGCAUUCCCAACAAUCCAAAGACAGUGCCUGCAUGAAUAAAGCAUCCAUCAGAUAAUGUAUAUCAUCAGUUGACGUACUUUGAACAGCAAUAAACAAUGGACCAGAAAAAAAAUUGAUGCGCACCUUGCUCUAGUAAGAGCAACAUUUGUUCUUCGGUUAUCAGCAAGAAAUCCAACAACUCCUCUCCCAUUGGAUCUAACAGUUGAUAGUAUUAUUAUAUCAUCCUCUUCUCCUUGGAAACCAUCGGUGGAUUUUACCCGCACAUGAAAGCCAUCACACGUAUCAUAUUUUUCUCCAAGUCGACUUUUAAUUGCAUCAACUUGAGCUUUAUAUGGAGAGACCACGCCGAUGCUGAGCCCUUGGUUUCUGUUUUUCCAAGCUGCAGAGAAAACAUAAAUAGUAUGCUUACUGAUCCUUAGGGAUACAUUUUUGCAGAAGGCUACUGAAAGAAUUUUCUUCAGCAAAUUUAAGUUGAUUCUGUAUCACCAAAUCAUUGACAUAUCAUUGCUUUUCCACUACAAAGUCUGAAGAUGAUAGAAAUGACUAAAGCGGGUCCAUGCAUUGGCCAACAACUCUACUAGAGCAUAAUGUUUCAACUUUCAUGUCAUCUACUUACUGCUCUCCUUUUUCUAAAUAAAAAUAUAACAUUGUCUACCAAACAGGGCAGUAGAAUUGAAAUUUCAUAGAGCCGGAUUGAUGCGAUUAGCGAAUUAUCGUAUCACGAGAUGCACAUAGAAACUGGACUCUCAAACGUACACUAUUGUAGCGAACACCUUUCUACCAAUGAUUGUUAUGCAGUAUGUAGUACAAGAAUGGAAGACCAUGUAAGCUUCCAAAGAUCCCAUGUUAUAUUAGCCAGGUAGCUUUAAAAAAACUAGAAAGGAGAACAUUAAGGUUAAAGAAAGGACAGAGCUGAGCUUAGACAUACAUUUAAAGAUGGUAUGGAUUAGGUGCAAAACAACAGCAACUUCAACCAUGUUUCUGUGACUGUUUCCUUUGCCCUCUUUGUCCUCCCUUCCAUCAGUAACAUUUAUAAACGUGUAGCUGCCAAAAGGGAGGCAUGUGUAAUCCUUAUUAUAACUAGGAGACAGGACAUUGGAACCAUCUAAAAUCUUCCUCUCAUAAAAUUGAGCAUUUGGAAAUAAGCUGAUACAAGGAUUCAUGCGAUACUGUAUAUUCAGCAAAUGUUUAUCAAAUUUGAGCAUAACCAAUCUCCCAAACAGACUUGUCUCAAAUCCAGCUUCUUUGCAUACCUAGAGAUAAACAAUGAAAGGUGAGAAUUAAGAUCACCAAAAACAGAUCAAUAACAAUGGAACAUGAAAGAAAGAUAGGGCCGUUACAUUUAUUUCAAGAAAAAAAAAGUAUUUCAGUAUCAGAAGUUUAUCUCGUUGAUAAAUGCUCCAAUAACUAAUAAAUGAAACAAGACAUUAUAAAGAGGAUGAGGCAAAAGCUUACUUUGCUUUUAACCAUUGCACUCAGCUGACAGUCAUCUCCUACCAAAACAACAUGUUUUAACCAAUGCAGACGUAGUGGGAUCACCAAUUCACACUCCCGCACUUGAGCAGCCUCAUCAACAAUUAAUACAUCGAGUGGUGCAAUAUCCAUGUGAUGUAACCGAUAAGAGCUAGAGGUGGUACAGAAAAGAAGUGUAGCAUUACGUAUGCAGUAGCUCUGGACCCAGUCUUUGCCUACUCCAGUGGGUAAAUUAAGCGAGUGUAGCAGAUCUUUAAGCAAUUUAAGGCAUGAAGACCUUGCUCCGUCCAGUUCCUUCUCAAUAGAAGAUACAGGCUGUGCACAAACAGAGUUUUCAGUUAACGGACAACAAAGGCCCCUUUUCAAACCCUCAUCAGUCCAGUCUACGUCGCACAGAAGGGUGCCAAAUUUUUCCAGCAUAUUAAGCAAUGAGGAUAUAUUUAUGACACUAUCACGAGAAAAGCAGCUUCCAGGAAGGUGAACCCACAAAUUCAUUAUGCAUCUUUUCAGAGCUAUUGCUGUUGCAUCAAAUUGUUUCUUUAUGAAGUCCAGAAAGCACACUGGAUCAAUUUUGCCAUCAUCCUCGAGAAGCAUAUCAUAGCGUGAAGCACAGUCUUCAAAAAAGGAUAUCAUUGAAGCUAUUCUGUAGUUCCAUCCAGACAACGAUGAAAAGCACUCCACGAGUUCAUCGACACGGAAGUCCAAGAAAACUUCCUGAAGAUCCUCGGUGAUGUCCAUGUUAGACCUGCUUCCAAAUAGCAAGAUAUCUCCAAGAGAUGAAGGUAGACAAAUGUUGUCAAUGUGCUCAUUGAAAUCCUUCAAGGUUUGAAGGAAACGGGUGCAAACUCCAACAACAGCAACAUUUGUGGGAGCACAAGUAAGAGUUCUGCAUUUCAAACUCGCCAAAAGCCACAGUAAAGUGCUAACCGUCUUGGUCUUCCCAGUACCUGGUGGACCCCAUAUAAGCUUCACGAGGUUCACAUGCCCACAUUGUACAGCUGAGAUGACAGAUUCAAUAGCAUCCACUUGCGAUCGAUUAAGCUUAACUGACAGUAGUUGCUCUGUGAAAGAAGCUAAACAGCCCCCAUCCUGAUUAACACAGAUACGGCAAACAUCCUCACCCUGCAACAGAGCCAACAAAGAGGAGCUCAAAAAGUUAGGCCCGAUACCAAUUUAUAAUGGUGAUGAAAAUAACAAGUAAAACUGAAACACGAGAAUUAUUCAUGUCAUAUUACCAGAUUUGUGGGGGCUAGGAGCGACUUGAUUACUGUGAAAUUGUCAUUCAUGUGCGUAUCAAAGAUAAGUGCUUUCCAUAUCCGUAUGUUGGUCGUGAUAUUAUUGAGAAAUAUUGCAUGUUUGAGUUUGUUUAAGUCUUCUUCUUCCGGACCAAUAUUCUUUGCAACUUUGACCCUGAAGCCCUUAUGGUAUUCAUCAUCCAUAGAAACCUCAGUGAUCAUUGCCAAGCAAUAUGUCACACCAUAGCGGUUUAAGUCUUCUGCAGCUUCAGGUUUUAUGCUCGACAAAAUAAAUAUGUCACCAUUCCUCGCAGAAUAAGCCCCGGUAGAAAAACCAGCAUCAUUGUCCCAAAAGUUCACAUCCAUAAAGUAUGAUCCUGGUUUUCCUGCUGCCUCCAUGGACAGUAUUUUCGAUGAGGGUGCUUCACUGAUGAGUUCAAGGCAUGAGCACAGAUCUGACCUUGUUUCUUCAAUCACAGGCACACGAUAAGACGUGAGAUAGUGAUCAAGUGACUUGAAGUUGCAGGGAAUAGUCUCAACCUAAACACAAAAGAAGACAUAGAUGAAAUAUGGUUAUAGGUAGCAAAAAGAUUCUCCAACAGUUCCUUGAGCACACAAAUGGCAUGUAAUUAAUGCUAACAAAAUAGCUAUCUGGUCAAUAUCAUUUACUGCAUGAACAAACAAGGUUCAAUACAGGACUUAAGCUGCUCAUAUCAUAGUUUUCAUAGCAAAACAAUUUAUAGUUUCUGCCCACCAGAUUGUACAGCAUCACGAGAUGCAUGUAUCUCUCUCAUCAGGAUAGAUAUAUGACUUACACAGCUACUCAUUAGGAUAUAACAUGUAUCAGCACAUAUAGCACCAACAGCACAAUGCAAUUUCCUGAAAUACCAUGUGCCACCAAGAGCGCAACAAUUAUAUAUGUUGCCAUCAGGCAGUCCAGAAACGACGCUCAGCACAUGCCACUUGCAUAUCCAUGAUACGUGGUCAGAAAACCCCUCUAAACCCUAGCGUACGGAUCACAAACAGAGAGAGAGUACCAUCCUUUAAUUGGAGCAUGGAACUGACCCAACUAAGAUUGCACAUAAAAAGCAGCAGAUCACAGCGCGCUAAAUGCGAUUAAUCAAAAAAAAUCACCAGGAUUUAAGCACGACCAGAAACCUAGCUGCAUAUGCAUGCAUACGCUUCACCGGUCUGAGGUCCAUUCAUACACACAGAUUCGGAGAUUAAUAAAAAGGCUCAAGCUUGCAAAAAAAGACUUGAAGUUGCAGGGAAUAGUCUCAACCUGAACAUGAAUGAGGUCAUAAAUGAAAUAUGAUUAUAGGUAGCAAAAGGUUCACCAAAAAAUCUUUGAACACACAAAUGGGCAUGUAAUUGAUGCUAACAGAAGAGCUAUCUGGUCAAUUUCAUCUACUGUGCAAGAACAAACAAGGAUCAAAACAGGGCUUAAUCUGUUCAUGUCACAAGGAAGGAGUUUACCCAUGCUAAAUCGUAGACAUAAUAUUUCCAUAGCAAAACAAUUUUAUAAUUUCUGCCACCAAAUUGUGUACAUGUAUCUCUCUCAUCAGGAUACAUAACUCCUCUGCUAAGCUUUGCCUGCAGCUGCUCUGCCCGCCCGCCCCGCCAAAUCGACAGCCACAGCCCUAGAAAUUCGGCCGGCGCCGGCUAAAUCAGCAGCCGCACAGGUGUGGCCGCCUGCCGGCGCACCGGUUCCCCUAGCCACCGACCACGCCGCCGCCUCUCGCCGGCCGGCCUUACACCCCAGAUUCAAGAAGGGGGGGAAGGGCACGGGACGGGAGCGCGGUGGCCCCCUCAUGGACGACUAGAACAUGGACUCCUUGCUCCCGGCCUCCCUCCUCGACGGCAGACGGCCUCCCUGGCAGCCUGGCACCGGCCUCCUCCUCCCGGCGGCGCCUGAGUUCUUUUUUUUUUUGGUGAGGGAAGAGGACCGCGCCUGAGUUUAGCGUCCAUGGACUGCGUUUAGAUGGGCCAGGAAGCGAGCGUGCUAGGCCUCCGAAAAGAAUGGGCGCGAUGGGCCAGCCAGAUUCGAUCACUCUUUCCCCUCAAAAAAAACUCCGCUCAAUCAAUUACUAACAUUUUGGUCAAAUUUUUUUACUAACAACAUAAGAAGAAUCACGAAUUUCUGAAAAAAAGAAGAAUCACGAAAUUCCACUCAGAAAAACAAAGAAGAAUCGCGAAUAACAUCUCCUACUGUCUAUUGGUGUAUUUUCUUUUGCGGGAAAAACAUGUCUUUUUCUUUUUGCUAAUGGACAGAACCCCCUCUAAAGCCUAGCGCACAUCUGGAUUGGGCUCCAAAAACCAAAACAAAUCACCGGAUUUAAUUUAAGCGCAAGUAAAAGGCUCCUAGAGCGCGCAUGCACUCAUCGCCGGGGCGGAGUCCGUACGACGGUCGCGCAGAUUCGAAUGGAAAGAGAGAGGAAAAAAGGGCGGCCGAGCGGCUUGCGAAACCGAGCGGCCGGCCGGAGAGAUGGAAUCAUCAUCGGGACGGACGGAAGGAUGGUUGGCGCAGGUGCGUAUACCUUGUCCCUGUAGAGGUCGUCGUCGGCGAUCUCCUGCGCCGACCAGGAGAGCACCACGUCCUCCAACUCCAUCUCCCCCAUGUCGCCGCCGCGCUCCCGUCUCGCGCCGCCCUGGCCGCUCCGUCACGCGCGAGAGAGAGCACCCGAGCGAGCAGGCGGCAUUCGCGAGGAGGAGGAGGUGGAGGAAAGGGGGUUGGUCUGCGGUGGUCUUGGCCGUCCGGAGGAGGAGGAGGUGGAGGAAGGGGUUGGUGUGUGCUGGUCUUGGCCGUCCGGAGGAGGAGGACGAGAGGCUUCGGGACGGUCAAGGCGGCAGUGGUGGUGGUUGCGCUUGCGCAGCGCUGCGUGGAGAUAUAAAGCAAAGCAGCAGGAGGAGCGAUGAAUGGGAGAGGGGGAGGGGAGGGCUGGCUCUGUUGUGUAGCAAAGCUCGUGGAGAAGGGGAGACGUAGCAAAGCUGGUCGAGAAAAGCAAAGCAGGAGCUGAUCAGACGAUCGGUGCAGCGUACAUACUGUCCAGAAAUCUUUUGCUUGCGGGGGAGGGGGAGGGAGGGCAAAUUUGACAAAUUUGACCUAUGGACGAAAUCAAAUCAUAAAAUGAACUGCUCGUGAAACUAUUUCACGCGGCUGCCCUUUUUGUGUGACGCCCGACACGAAGGCGCCACACUACACUGUGCAACGCCUCACAGAUAGGCACUACACGCCUGGCCAGCAUUGCACCCCAGACUGCCUAAAAAUUGCUAAGUCAUUGUGCAGAGCCUAAGAGCUAGGUGCUGCACUGUAUAGUGUGGCGCCUAGCUCUCAGGAAGCAACCACUAGUGCAACGCGUAGAAGCUAGGCGCUACACUGUAUAGUGUGGCGCCUAGCUCUCAGGCGCUGCACACUGACUUAGUAAUUUUCGGAUCACACGGGUGCGACGCUGGCCAGGCGUGUAGUGCCUAUCUGCGAGGCGUUGCACAGUGUAGUGUGGCGCCUUCGUGUCGGGCGUCACACAAAAAGGUCAGCCGCAUGAAAUAGUUUCACGGACAGUUCAUUCUGUGAUUUGAUUUCAUCCAUAGGUCAAAUUUGUCAAUUUUGCUGAGAGGAAGAAGGGAGGGUGGUGCCCCUGAGCAUGCUGCUCUCUCCUCCAACCUGCAGUCAUCUAGUUCGGCUAAUGCUAAAGAUGUUCACAUGACUCAAGUGCAACAGCGUGGGCUAGCGAGCGUUGUUUCUCCCACCUCCCACGCUGCUAAUGGUGAGCUUGCAAGCAGGCUCACAUGCUCGGGUGCACACACCAACGUUGGUGUUCUGCAUGGUAAUGCAUGCAUGGACGAUUUGACGCUGGGUCAGCUUGCUCCUUCGGGUGACUUGGCAGACUCCGCGGCCACCGCGAUCGCGGACAUUUGGACAACUCGGCGACUGCUACCACUGAAGUAGUGGUUUCCUCGGCGACCGCGGAUCCCUCGUCGACGACUACAAUGGACAUUGCGGACCCCUCCGAGCCCGUGACCGCGGACAUGGCGGAUCCCUUGGCGGCCACGGCGGCACACUCGGCGUCCGCGGCUCCUUCUUCACCGACAGCGGUGUCUUCACGCAUGACUCCAUCUGAGAGUGUCGAGAAGGGGAUUGCUACUCCACCCUCAUCCCCUCCUCCGGCAACGAAUUUUGUGCGACUACCUUCAUCGGGUGUGACACCUACCCGACGAAGUAAUCGGCAUAAGGUUGCCGACGACGGGAGGAUGGAUACUGAUGAGGACUCCUUGGCCAAGGCUAUGCGGCGUAAAUAAGCGCAUAAUCUAGACAGCCAAGGUAUUAUGUCGUCACCCAAAUCCUUUUUAUCUUUUUAGCUACAAUCAUCGUUUCUAAGUUGAAUAAUGUUGGUGUUAGCCUAGGAAGUAAUGAGAAGGAUAUUUCUAUUUCGGCAAACGCUUUGAGACAUGUGGAAUACGACCUUUUAAUGCUUACUCCACGAGUUCCUAGCAAGUCUUUUGUCUCACAUCUAGAUGAGGAGGAGCUGCAUGCCACAUCAGAUGGUCAGCUACUCUCUCAUUUAGUUGGACAGGUUUCGGAUGUGGGCCUAGAUGAACCCGGACUUAGUUCAUUGAUUGAGCUUAUAGCUUCCGGACGUAAAUCAAAGGCCUCCCGUUCCAAAAAAGGCCGCAAACCCUCAAAGAGGGCUAAGUUUUCUAAAUCUCCUAUUGUUUCCUCAUGAAUGGCAUGUUCUUUAAUAGCAGAGGUCUUGGUGACUUGGCUAAACAUCUAUUCAUUGCGGAAUGUAAUAGGGAAUACAAUUUAGACUUUUUGGCUAUCUCUGAAACGGGGAGACGUGAUUUCUCAGUAAGUCUGCUUAACCGUCUUUCUGGCGGGAUAGACUUCACUUGGAUUUCACGACCGCCUAGAGGUCGUUCUGGGGGCAUUUUACUUGCGUAAACAUAGGGACUAUGGAUGUUUUGGCUAGUUCGGAUGGUGAGUUUCAUAUUAAACUCCAUAUUCACAACAAGGCCGACAACUUCACAUUGACUCUCGUCGCCGUGUAUGGUGCAGCCCAGGAUGAGUUCAAGGCCGAGUUCCUCCAUGAAUUGGUUAAUCUGGCAAAAGAUAAUCCAUAUCCCAUUCUUAUUGGUGGUGAUUUCAAUUUGCUUCGAUUUCCAAAUGAGAAAAGCCGUGGCAGGUUUGAUGAUCAUUGGCCUUUCCUUUUCAACGCUGUCAUCGACAGUCUAGAUCUGCGAGAGGUUUCCAUGAUUGGAAGACAGUUCACUUGGGUGAAUAGUCUUCCGGAACCGACAUAUGAGAAACUAGAUCGCGUUUUAAUGGAUACCGACUGGGAAUCUAAAUUUUCUAUGGUGUCUGUUCGUGCUCUACCUCGUAUCGAGGCUAUAUCAGACCACGCACCCAUUCUCCUAACUACGGGUUUGCCACGACCACAACAUAGACGCAAGUUCAAGAUUGAACUUGGGUGGUUGCUUCGGGAUGGCUUCCAUGACAUGGUCAAGGAGGUGUGGGAGAAACCGGUGGCCGGGCCUACCCCAAUUCACAAAUGGAAUAACAAAAUGCGUGCAUUACGUAAAUUCCUUGGUGGUUGGGCUAGGCAUACGGUGGGUAUCCUCAGAAAGGAGAAGCUUCGCCUUUCAUCUAUCAUUGAUGAAUUAGAAGCUUUGGCAGAGGUUAGACCUCUAUCUGAGCAUGAAAUCGAGAUCAAGAGUCAUUCGAAUGCACAGAUAGCUAGCAUGCUGCGUGAAGAGGAACUGAAAUGGUAUCAACAUUCUAACUCUCAGUUUAUCCUGAAAGGUGACGCGAAUACUAGAUAUUUCCAUGGAGUCGCCAAUGGCAGACUCCGGAAGAAAAUUAUUCAUUCCCUACAAUAGGAUGAGGGCACAAUUGAGGGGCAUGAGCAACUUAAAUCUUAUAUCACUAAUUAUUAUAAAAAUUUGUUCGGAGCCCCAGAGGAAGGAAACUUCUCGAUGGAUGAGUCCCGAACAAAUGACAGGAAAACAGCCUUCUAACAGCCCCAUACUCUGAGGAGGAAGUUAGAAAGGCGGGUUUUCCUAAUGGAGCACAACAAAGCCCCGGGUCCGGAUGGUUUUCCCGUUGAGUUCUAUCAGCACUUUUGGGAAGUCAUCAAACUGGAUCUCCUACUUUUGUUUAGCGACUUACAUGCUGGCCAACUAGAAUUGUUUCGCUUAAACUUCGGUGAGAUUAUUUUAUUACCUAAGGUUAAUGAGGCUGAAAGGAUACAACAAUAUAGACCUAUUUGCCUUCUUAAUGUUAGUUUUAAAAUAUUCACGAAGGUUGCGACUAUUAGGCUAAAUUCGGUUGCUGAACAUGUGGUCUGUCCUUCAUAGACAGCUUUUAUGCAAGGCAGACACAUCCUUGAUGGUGUUGUUAUCCUUCAUGAAACAGUCCAUGAAUUACACCGAAAAAAGUUGAAUGGGGUGGUUCUCAAAAUAGACUUUGAAAAGGCUUAUGACAAAGUCAAGUGGCCCUUUCUUCAACAGACUCUCAGAAUGAAAGGAUUUUCUGCAGAGUGGCGUGCUAUGUCCAUAGUUUCGUUUCUGGAGGUAGUGUUGCCAUUAAGGUUAAUGAUGACAUUGGACACUAUUUCAAACGAAGAAGGGUUUGCGACAAGGUGACUCGGUAUCGCCCAUGCUAUUCAAUAUAGUGGCGGAUAUGCUUGCGAUCAUGAUUGAGCGUGCCAAGGUUGAUGGCCAAAUUGAAGGGGUAGUAAAUCAUCUAGUUGAUGGUGGUCUCUCUAUACUUCAAUAUGCCGAUGAUACGAUUCUCUUCAUGGAUCAUGACCUCGAGAAAGCGAGAAAUCUGAAACUAAUUCUAUCAGCAUUCGAGCAACUCUCGGGUCUUAAGAUCAAUUUUCAUAAAAGUGAAUUGUUUUGCUUUGGCGAGGCUCAAGACGAGGCCCACCUGUAUGCUGAACUGUUUGGAUGCGGGUUGGGACAGUUUCCGAUCACAUAUUUGGGGAUACCGAUACAUUAUCGGAGACUCACAAAUGCUGAAUGGAAACACGUCGAGGAGAGACUUCAGAAAAGACUUAGUAGUUGGAAAGGUAAACUGUUGUCUCUAGGUGGAAGAUUGGUCCUCAUAAAUUCAGUACUUAGUAAUAUGGUACUAUAUAUGAUUUCCUUCUUCCAAUUGCCGAAAGGAGUUUUACAUAGAUUGGAUUAUUUCCGAUCAAGAUUCUUUUGGCAAGGAGAUAGCGAGAGAAAGAAAUAUCGACUGGCCAAAUGGAGUGUGGUUUGCCGUCCCAAAGACCAAGGCGGGUUGGGUAUUCAUGACCUUGAGGUUAAGCAUAGGGCCCUCCUCGGCAAAUGGUUGUUUAAAUUUCUGACGGAAGAAGGUGUAUGGCAAACCCUCCUAAGGAGGAAAUAUGUGGGCUCCAAGGCGGUAUCCCAAGUAUACUGGAAGCCUGGGGAUUCCCACUUUUGGGCGGGUCUAAUGGCUACGAAGAAAUAUUUCUUCUGCUAUGGAUCCUUCUCAAUUAAGGACGGCUCGGAAAUUAGAUUCCGGGAGGACAGAUGGCUAGGGAAUGCCACACUCCGGGAACAAUAUCCAGCUCUAUACAACAUUGUGCGCCACAAGGGUGAUACUAUCGCCAAGGUAAUGGAAUCAUUUCCGCCAAAUGUGACGUUCAGAAGAGAUUUAAUUAGACCUAGACUCCAAUCGUGGAACAUCCUGCUCCAGCGGUUGUCCACGGUGCACCUAUCACAUGGGUCUGAUGUAUUUCGAUGGAACCUUCAUGGGAAUGGAAAAUUCUCAGUGGAUCCAAUGUAUAGAGCGCUAAUCCAGUCUGAUGUGCCAGUUGAUAAUAAUAAGAAGAUCUGGAAGAUGAAGUUACCUCUUAAGAAUAAAAUCGUUGCAUGAUAUCUUCGUCGCGGAGUCAUUCUUACUAAAGAUAACCUUAUUAAGAGGAAUUGGCAUGGAAGUCCGCAAUGUGUCUUUUGUCACCAUGAUGAGACAAUAAAACAUUUAUUCUUCCAAUGCAAAUUGGCUCGUUCUAUAUGGUCAGUCAUCCAAAUAGCUUCUGGCUUGUAUCCUCCUUGUAGUGUUGCUAAUGUAUUUGGCAACUGGUUACACGGGAUUGAUCACAUGUUUAGAACUUUUCUCAGGGUGGGAGCGCUUGUCGUUAUUUGGUCGCUUUGGCUAUGUAGAAAUGAUAAGGUUUUUAACGAUAAAAGUACUUCCCUGAUGCAGGUUUUCUACAGAUGUACCGGGACUCUUCAUUUAUGGUCCUCUCUACAACGCGUGGAGAAUCGAGACCUGUUUACGGAGGUGUGUACACUAUUGGAGGCUACGGCGAGGGAUACUUUUACCCAGCAUGGGUGGCAACAUGAUCUUAGGAUUGACCCCCCUCCGCUUUAGGCGUUAUACGGACUCUUCAUGUUUUUGUAUUUCGCCUUUUUAUUAUUCAUUUGUGUGAGAAGACAUUUUUUGACUGUGUGCAUCUUACUAAUGCAGAGGCCGGGUGUAAUGCUUAAAUCUUUUAAGUAAUAAAGCGUCCCUUUUCGAAAAAAAAAGGUAAAGGAGGAGGGAGGGAGGGUGGCAGCCGCGGUGGGCAGUGCCGGGGAGCGCCGGAGCGGUUACAGUAAAAAUGGCCAACGUGGUCUCUCUCUCUCUGGGUUUGGUGGUCGUGGACAGUCUUUUCUUUCUUUUUUUCUCUUUCUGUUACUCCCUUUUGCAAAGCCUGUUUAGAUUAGAAGGUUGUGUUAGGUGGACACAAAUAUGCUCGGGGCGGAGCUGUUUUGUUUCACCACGGAAUAUCCUCCUCCUGUACGUGAAAACGGAGGCACAUCUCUCCCUCUCUCUCUCUCCGAGGGGCAUGAGCUAGCUAGAGCCUAUCAGGGUGGAGUCAAAACAGGCGAAAGUUGCUCGCCAUCCUAACCCGAAACUCGCCUGGUGCCUGUGCCUGUGCGCUGUUGCUGCUGCUACUGCGAGCCUAGCCAGUUCAUUCCGGACGUGAUGUAGUUAUUAAACACAGCUUUUUUUGUGAGACAAGGGAUAAGGGAGGGGGAAAACCGAACAGAAAAAGGGAGGAAGGGGGUGGCUCGUUUUGAAGCGGGAAGCGGAGAGGCCAAGGGCGGGAAACCCAAAAUCGAUGGAAGCGGAGGACGGGACUUUGUCGCCGCGUGCGAUAGCCCAUGACACAUUCGGCCUGCCUGGGAAUACGGACAAGUGGGAUCGCUCCGCAAGCCCACCAGAAAGCCCUGUGACUUUUUCUUGUUUGAACUGACUGACUGGGAGCAACAAGUUGGCGCUACCCACUGCUCAAAUAAACAAUUGGGGUUAGGCACGACCCCAAAUGGUCCGGCCGUGUCUGCUUAAGGGUAAACGGACACAAAACGCGGCCCAGCGCGCAGGAGUAAACGGACAAAUGUCCAUUUUUUGUCCGGUUUCAACCCAUUCCCGGCUCAAUUUUGGGCCGCGUUUGCGUCGAGAUGGACAGCACGUGGACAGGCAAGGCGCGCGCCCUUGUCCUCCACUGGCACGCCCGUCGGUGGCACAUACGCCCCUUUUCUCUUUUCCUACCCCUUCCUCCGCCCCCUCCCCCGCCAUCACUGUCGCCACCUAUCAGUGCCCAUUUUCCCGACCCCCUUCCUCGCUUUCCUGCCAGGCCGCCCAAACCACGACCACGCGAUGCCAUAGCCAGCCACACGCCCGCAUUUUGGAGGAGUUUUUUGUCGGCGUUCGUGGCUCUUUGUUGUUGCAACCGGUGGGAGAGAAGCUACGGCCGCCGCCAGCGCCGCCCAUCGACCCCAUGUAGCGACCAGACCUCAAACAGUCUGUGCUGCUGUGCACCAGUGUCAUCCCUGGAUCAGUAAUGCUGACACGCACAGUACAAAUGGAGGAUUUAUAACAGAGUAGCAAUCACACACUUAUUACAACGAAUAUCUCAAAAGAGAAUAAGUAUGAUAAAUAUGGCUUAAGGCCAUCUAAUACGAUAACAGUGGAAGACUUGGAAGAAUAGUGAGUCCAUCAACUCCAAUGGCAUCACUGAGUAUAAGACCACGACCUAAGGCACCUUACUCGUCGUCUGAAAAGUCUGCAACAUGAAACGUUGCAGCCCGGAAACGGGUCAGCACAUGGAAUAUGCUGGCAAUGUAACACAUAGAGAAUAAUGAACAUAAUAAUGCUAUACUACAUGCAUAUAUGGCUGGUAGAAAGCUCUAUGGUUACAGUUUUGCGAAAAGCCAGUUUUUCCCUACUGCAAAGGAAUAAAUUUUAUUUAACUAUCAUGGUGGUUGUUAAACGUUGAGAUGGUUGACAGCAUCUCAAUCCCAAUUAAGUAUCAUCAUUAACCCAACAAGAUUAAUUAAAGUAACAUGAUGAGAUUCACAUGAUAAUCCAAGUACUAGAUACUCAAGAUGUCCAUAACCGGGGACACGGCUAACCAUGAUUAGAUUGUACACUCUGCAGAGGUUUGCGCACUUUUCCCCACAAGACUCGAUCGCCUCCGCUUGAUUCUCGCACUACAUGAUGUUUGAGAAACGGAUGACCGAGACACAGUCUUUCAGAAGCGUUAGCACCUUACGAUGGGUAGACCGGUACACCUACAUCCCCUACAUCUGCUAGUCUACCACUGUAAGAGUUCACACAACUUAAUCAACUAUGCUAGAGCCCAUAAUAGCUUGUGGCUGCACACGGAAGUUUCUAGCAUGAAUAAUCUCAUGAUCCCUUUGAACCUGGGUGGCGGUCCAAAAAGAAAAAAACAGGCAAUCCUGGAAUACCCAGGUACCUCAAUCCACCUAGAUGUGAGUUUUAGUUGCCACCUUAAGUAAACCAUUAAUUAACAAUCUCACAUCUGUCGUGAAUAUCUCUCAAACCCAAUCCACGUCUACAAGCAUAGCAUAGCAAUAUAAGCAAACGUAGAAGUAACUCCCAAAGGUUUGAUAAUGAAACAGGUGAUAGGUACUACCUCUUCUACUUCCCAAUACCCACAAAUUAAUUAGGUCCUAAUCAUGCAAUGUUUGAGGAUUGAUCUAAUGCAAUAAAACUGGGUAGUAAAAGGGGUAUGAUCAAAGUGUUACUUGCCUUGCUGAUGAUCCGCGAAACCUAGCGAUUCGAAGUAGCAAGCGACGCACUCCGGGUACUCUAUCGUAAACAAACAAGCAAACAAUAAGUACUCAUCUAAUGCACGGGUAAAACUCAAAUAAGAGAACUAACCAGAAAGUUCAACUUAAGAACUCCGGUUUGCAAAAAGAAAUCAAAUCGAACGAAAGUCAAACAGCGAAAGAAACAAACUUCGUUUACUAAUCUGGACCUAGGUCAAAUUUUACAGAAACAGAAAACUUGUUUGAGUUGGUUAAAUGGAAAGAGAAUUUCGAGACGAAACUCUAGGUGCUUGAAUCGCCUGAUUCCGAUAAACGAGCGAAAAGUUAUACUAGUUUGAAAAUCUGAUCAGAAAUCGCGAUCAGAAAAAUCACAGAAUAAAUCCGAGAAAAGAAAAACGUCGAACAGAUUAACGAACGAACGUUCGUUAACUGGAUCUAAACGCCGAACGCGUUCAAUAGAACGAACGACCGAGCGAACGCUCGCUAAUUAACCUAAACAAAAAAACGAUCUAAAAAACGGAUAAAAAAACCGACGAAAAACCGCGGAAAAACCGAACGGUUUUUCGCGAGAAAACCGGCGGCUACCUCCGGCUCCGGCGAGGCGGCGGCUCGGGCGGCGAGGUCGGGCGGCGGCGGCGGGACGGCGAGGGGCGGCGGCGGCGAGGNNNNNNNNNNNNNNNNNNNNNNNNNNNNNNNNNNNNNNNNNNNNNNNNNNNNNNNNNNNNNNNNNNNNNNNNNNNNNNNNNNNNNNNNNNNNNNNNNNNNNNNNNNNNNNNNNNNNNNNNNNNNNNNNNNNNNNNNNNNNNNNNNNNNNNNNNNNNNNNNNNNNNNNNNNNNNNNNNNNNNNNNNNNNNNNNNNNNNNNNNNNNNNNNNNNNNNNNNNNNNNNNNNNNNNNNNNNNNNNNNNNNNNNNNNNNNNNNNNNNNNNNNNNNNNNNNNNNNNNNNNNNNNNNNNNNNNNNNNNNNNNNNCUAGGGCUCGGCGCUAUAUAAAGCCCCGGUCAGGCGGAGUCCUGACUGGUUACGGCCCAUAGUCGGUUUCGUUUUUUUUAAUAAUUACGCGCAGAAAAACGAUUAAAAGAAAUACCAAACGGACUCCAAAAAUCCCGAAAUAAAAUUUCCCCGGCUUCUAAAAUCAAGCCGGACAUGAUGAACAUUUAUUUGGGGCCUAAAUGCAAUUUUGAAAAACGCACAUUUUUCCUAAAUUCAAAUAAAAUAUCCGAAAACUCCGAAAUAAAAUCUUAUUUGAUUUUUUAUUAAAUCUUCAAUAUUCCUAUAUUUUGGGAAAUUCAUUUUAUUCCCUCUCUCAUAUUUUUAUAAUUGGAAUAAUUGAGGAUAAAAUAAAUAAAACCAAAUGAUCCUAUUUUCAAAAUUUGAUAAAUCUCAAAUACGAAAAUAACAAAAUCCCCAACUCUCUCCGUGGGUCCUUGAGUUGCAUAGAAUUUAUAGGAUCAAACCAAAAUGCAAUAAAAUAUGAUAUGCAAUGAUGAUCUAAUGUAUAACAUUCCAAAUUGAAAAUUUAGGAUGUUAUCUGCACGGAGAGCCCCGAACCUGGGUAAGAUUCGCCAGCGUGCAUGUCUUCGCCUCAUCCCGUUUCCAGGCACCGGCGAUGUCUUACUGGCUCCCACAAUGAUAAGCCACCCGUUGGCAUAUGUCGCACCUACCACCCGACAUUUGGCGCCCAUCGUGGGGCCAGGCGCACCGUCGUCCGGAGACCUGCUCUGGACGGGAACCCUUUUCCUCCCCAGCGAGCGUAGCCAGCCCGGCACGCCCGAUGGCGCUUGCCCCGAUGCGCUGCACGGCCUCGACAACGCCUGCGCGGCGAGCUGCCUCGCCGAUGUCCUUGGCGAAGCUCGCAUCUCCAAUGAGCCUGCGUCCGACGCAGGCACAGACUGCCCCGAGAGCCGCCUCGUCAGCCUCCUCGACCAGUUUCACGUCUCCAGCGAGCCUGCUGCGGACUUGGAGUCGGUCGGCUCCAUCGACCCGAUGCUUGUCGACUCCGACACGGCAUCACUUGACGCCUUCCCCACCAAUGUGGUGAUCAUCGACGACCCUCUUCCUCGAGCCGUCAGUGGCGGCAGCACCGUCACUGAGGUGCUGGUCACCAACCAUGGCGCCGCCUCUGGCGAAAACGCCCACGACACCCUGCAGGCAGCACUACACGACCUGUCCGCCCCCAUCCCGGCUGACGCCGACGCCGAAACACUGGAAGCACGCCACCUCACCCUCAUCACGGAGGGCCAGAAGAUAGCAUCCAUGAGGCGCCUCAUUGAGGCUCACCAACGCGAAGUCGACCGCGCCGCCUUUGGCACGCCGCCUCCUGGCGGGCCGAGCCGGAUCGGUGUUGUCAAGAAGGGCGGCGCAGCCAUCGCCAGCAUGCUGGGAGCAGACCGCCCAGUCUACGCCACACCACUCGAGAACCUACAUGCCGCCCAGGCGGCCGUAGACGAGCUGAACGGACCGGAGGCCGACGAGCUCCCCUACAUGACUAGACGCAUCCAGCAGCUGAUCGAUGCGGCUGCAGAGCGGCACAAAGCCAGCGCCCCGCGCUGAGAGUCCUCCCCCACGCCGAGAGCACGGCGCGACAUCCCGGACGCCGACUGCAGAUGGCGCCCGCGCAAGAAAAGACAAGGAGCCGGCUGCUAGCCGCAGUCGGACUCGCCUCACCACCGAGCGCGAUGCAGAGGGCCGCCCUCGAGCUGUGGAACGAUGAGGCAAUCCGCCUCCUCCUCCGCCUCGUGGGGAGAGAUAUCCCACCCCGCCGCCUGUUGCACAUCCGACUCUCAGCGGCCGACUCGGCCGCCGCGAAGGAGUCGGCGAGACUGACGCCCGCCACCGGAUCGACCGCCUAGCGCGAUCCCUGGCACUAGAAGAAGAAGAAGAUGUCGGCCCACCUUGCUUCGGUCCCCGCAUCCGCGACGAGCCCUUCCCCAAAGGGUUCUCGCUCCCAAGAGACACACCAAAAUACAACGGCUCGGUGAAGCCGAAAGACUGGUUGAUCGAUUACUCCACUGCAGUCCGCAUAGCAAACGGCAACAGGCGCGUCGCCGUGAAGUACGUCCCUCUCAUGCUUCAAGGCACGGCACGCAUCUGGCUGAACAACAUCAAGCCCUACAGCAUCAACAGCUGGCUAGCCUUCACGGAAGUCUUCAACCGCAACUUCACCAGCACAUACAAGCGGCCUCCCAAGCCCCGCCAGCUCCCACCGGCAAAUAGAACAGAGGAGCGGAUAAGAACAAGAUGGCAAUCGAAGUCUACUAAGAAGUUCCAAGCCGCCUGCUCAGCAGCCGACUCGGAACUCGGGGACUACACCCAGUGGGUGUGCUGACGCGCCCCCACGGAAGAAUUCAUAAACAAGAAGCAAAAAAGCGGGAAGACUCACCCGAAUGGCUGUCCGCGUCGCGAGGAAUCCUGGGUAUACUGCUUCAACACAGUGGCCUGAGACUGAAGCCCGUUCCGGACUUCUUGCGCCGCCACGUUCAGCACGGCCGUCCCACGACCCGGCGUCCACCUCGGCGAGCUAGCGCUUGCCGUCUCCAGAUCCUGGGCCGACGAGCUGGAGCCCGCGGCCUUCUGCGGACUCGGCGCCGAGGUCGCCUUCCCGGCGCGCUGGCGGGCCGGAGACCGGACCACAAGGUCCGCCCUCGCAGCCGGCUCGCUUCCAGCCAGCUGCACAGAUGGCGCGUUGGGCUGGCCGCCUUGGUCCGCCCUGGCCGGCGAUGGCGGGGCCGCCUCCCUCUCCAAGACGACGACAUCGCCCUCCUCCCUCUCCAUCACCGGCUGGUCGCCGUCGGCUCCCACCGGCGGGACCACCGGGAUCUCAGGCGCCACCGCGCGGAGGGGAAUGACGAGCUGCGGAGGCUGGUUACGAAGGGCCUCCGCCGCCUGCUCCGUGGCUACAGCCUCCGCCUGAGCCUUGCCUGCUGCAUCGGCCUGUGCCUUCGCCGACUCCUCCGUCGCCUCCUGCGCCGCCUUGGCAGCGGCCGCCCUCUGCUCCUCCGCCUCCCGCUCCUCCCGCGCGUUCCGCUCCGUCGCCGCCUGAAGCUCGGCGCGGGGGUCCAUGCGGUGAGUGCUCGCAGCCCCUCCCGCCGAUCCGACCAUGGAGGCGGCAGCAGUCCGCUCAAGAGAGAGCGGAGCCCUGUUUUCAAGUCAAGACAAGACCUCAGAGGAAUAUCAACAAGAAAGAAGAAAGGAAUGCGUAAGAGAAUUGACACUUACGCCGAAACCAUUUGCGGUUGCUUCACCGCCUUGCGGAAGCGGGCAGCCUUCGCGGCUGCCUCAUCCCGCUUGGUCGCCGCCGCCGCGCUCUUGGGUUUCUUCGGCCGACUGCCGAAAAGGAUCGGUGCGGCCCAACGCUUCUACGCGCCGCCUCGGGCAGCCGGCGCGGCGGAUGAGCCCGCGCCCUGAUGAUCGGACGCCGGCUGACGGCGCGGGACGACCUCAGCCUCGUCGUCAUCCGGCCAGUCCUCGAAGCCGGCUCCGAAUUCGGAGCCGCCUGCCUCGCCGCUCCCCCCCACCUCGUCGUCGUCCAGGGCGGCCGCCCCCAAGUCGGGGUCAUCCAAGUCGUCCGUCGCGCUGUCGGGGUGGUACUGGCACUCUAACCCCGCAGCGCCGGCAGCCGGCCGGAGAAGGGGGUUCUGUUAGACAAGCAGACUGGUCAAAAUCGGCCAGGAAGAGCUCGGCAACAAGGAAAGAGAGAAGAAAAAAGAACUUAUCGAAGGCGGAGGAUUGGCACGGGAGUACGACUCCUUGCCAAACUACCACUCCUCGGUGAGCUUGCAGUUGGCAAUGUAGUUCACCAUGUGAGCUACCUCGGCGUGAGGCAUCUCCUUGGUGCACAGCCGGCUUGGAUCGAGGUGCCCGCUCAUCUGAUAGAUCAUAUGAGGGCGGCCCUGAAGCGGAAGCACCCGGCGUGCCACGAAGGCGGCCAGCAGGUCGGGCCCGGUCAGGCCCUCAGACUGGACCAACACCCGGAGCCGCGCGACGGCGGCGGCCCCAGCAGGAGACAGCGUCUUGGCUCGAUAGGACCAUUGGGGCCGCCUCCCAGCUGGCGGGCCGGCUACAUAAGCCGGCAAGUUGACCCAGUCACCCUGCGGGGCGAUGUUCUUCACGUAGAAGUAGGACUUCUGCCACAGCUUCACCGACUGGAUCAGCGUGACAGAAGGAAACGAAUUGUCGCUUGUCGGCCUCCGCACCGCGAUGAAGGCGCCGCAUUGAGCCGGCAUGCCCUUGGCGACAGUGCCGAGCUUGGAUUGGAAGAACUCCCCCCAGAUCUCGAUGGUGGGGAGGACGCAAAGGAAGCCUUCGCACAGGGCGACGAAGGCGGAUAGCAGCACCACCGUGUUAGGAGUGAGGUGGUGCGGCUGAAGUUGGUAGAACUCGAGGAAGGAGCGGAAGAAGCCGCUCGCCGGCAUGCCGAUGCCGCGCAGGCAGUGCGAGCAGAAGAUGACCCGCUCGCCCUCCUCCGGCACCGGCGAAAUCUCCCCCUCCGGCGCAAGACGAACCCGCACAUAAUCUUCGCCGGGCAUCCGCCGUGUCUUGCGAAGGAAAUCGACGUGGUCCUCAUGGACGUUGGAGCCGUCCCAGGAUCCGACGCGCGCCAUGAGAACGAAAGGUCGCCGGAGAAAGCGCGGUGGUGGAGAGAGCGCGACCCCGCAGCAGCGAAGCUACGGCGUAGUAAGAAGACUGGUGGAACGGCGGGGCGAUGGGCAGCAGCGGGGACGGAGAGGAGGAAGAGAAGAAGGAAAUGGCGGAGCAGGGGCGAGCGUGCGAGCAUCUGCCGCUCGCCCUCCUCCCCCUACUUAUAGCCCAGGUGCGGCGAAGCCGAGGAGGCAAGACGUGGGGGGACAUGGGAUUAACUGCGCCCACUCCCCCACGCCCCGCAAUUAUUACGCCCUAACAACGUGCAGUAACUGCCGUUGGAAGGCAAACCGCCCGUUUGGGCCAUAGAAGAUCCACACAUGGGCCGAGGCGUGGAAGUGGCGGGCCCCGGCCUGCAGCGACGUCCCAUCGCGCGCGUGGGCUGACAGGCUCUUCCAGCUGAAGGGUACCACGCGGCGCGCAGGUGGCGAGCGGCCGGCCCGCAACCCGGCGCGCGCGCCAGCUGGUCCCCGCCUUCGGGCUUCAAGCCCUCCCAAGACGGUGCGUCCAUUCAAGGCCGACUCCUAGCUCUUGGCUCUUCAAGAUAGGAAGCUGUUUGAGCUUCUCGUCCUCCCUUCAGCCGCGAAGCCCAACCAGCUCCGGGGACUACUGUCGGAGUAAAUGACCACGGGUAGCCCAACCGGCUCCCCCUGGUUCUUCAAAAAAUAUCGGGCCGAUUGAGCCCUCAAGCGUCCAAGACACAUGGCCGCCUUCCUCGGGCCGGCUGGCCCACCGGCCGGCUUCCGGAGGGCGGCAAGGCUCUGACGGUUCUCGCGAAGGGGGCCGACUCCAAGCAGCCGUCCAUGAGAAGGCCGGCUCCUAGCAGGCGGUCCCGCGUACCCCAUCAGAGUCUGCACCCACCUAACGGUGAUGAGACAGGGCGUGGCUACAGUGAAGCCUGCCACCCCCGAAUCCCGGAGCACGCAUGGCCACAGUGCGCCGUACAGGGCGGCCAUCCCCCGUCCGGCGCGGCACUGUUGCCAUGUCGACCAUGAUGCCACCCACGACAGGCUGUCAGUACGGCCCGCAGGUGGCGGGCCCCUUCAGCCAGAGAGACACAGAAGGCGGCCGAGCCUCCCAUAGCCGGCCCUGGAGGUAGCCGGCCCCCAACAGUCGGCUUACCCUCGCCCACGAGGUACAUGCCCAUUAAGAAGACAAGAUGGGGUAAGGCUACAGUGAAAGCCCGCCAGGCGGUGGCACUGUAGCCAUGCUUACCUCGACAAAGCCCUCGUCAUCAAGGGCGAGGCUACAGUAACCAGUCGCCGACAAGACCCCCAGGCGGUGGGGCCGGCCUGUCGGCCGAGGAGCCGGCAGCCGGUGGGACCCACCAGUCGGCGGGCCCCAGUAGCCAGCGGAGAAGCCGGCGAUUACAGACACUGACGGCGAGGACCCACGUUCGGCCGGAUUACCAUUGUACCCCUGGGGGGUAGGCUUAUAUAAAGCCCCCAGAGCACCCAUGCAAAGGGUUGAUCUCUUAGAGUUUCCCACACCACAUAGAGAGGAGAGGAGAGUUUGUCGUGCCCUUCUUCUUCCUCUCGCCAAACAGCUCAAGGAGCCUCUUGUAGCCACUUGUGUUGAUCUAGUGAUCAUGCGGAGACCCCGCAGAGCAGGACUAGGGGUGUUAUCUCCACGGAGAGCCCCGAACCUGGGUAAGAUUCGCCGGCGUGCAUGUCUUUGCCUCAUCCCGUUUCCAGGCACCGACGAUGUCUUACUGGCUCCCACAAUGAUAAGCCACCCGUUGACAUAUGUCGCACCUACCACCUGACACCUACGUCAAGAUUCCUCACCAGAGCGACGAAGGGGCUGAGGAGUAAAAAGAAUUCCUACUCUCCGGUAUAACUAGCUCCGAAAACAGUUUUCUUCUAGACUCGACAACGGCCAACUACGAACAAUCAAGGGGGCUCCUAUGGUCGGUCGAGGCUCUGAUACCAACUUGUCACACCCAAUAUGCGACCCCAUCCGAGAGGAACUCGAAGGUCCCACCAAGGAUAGACCCGCAUAUUGAAACUGUUUUGCAAGGUGGAUAUCAUUAAAUCAACAUUACAUAAUAGAUGGGGGUACAUACAAAAGGCACAAACGCCCCAAGAAUACAUCAAUACAUCAUACAUAAGAUCAACAUCCGACUACGGAUGAAACACAAACAGAAGCUCAAACGACAUCCACCCUGCUAGCCUAGGCUGCCGACCUAGAACCUAUCCCCUGAUCGAAGAAGAAGCAGAAGAAGAACGCCAAAACAAGUAACAUCGCUCUCGCGUCAUGAUCAUCGCAAUACCUGUACCUGCAACUGUUGUUGUAGUAAUCUGUGAGCCACGAGGACUCAGCAAUCCCAUUACCAUGGGUAUCAAGACUAGCAAAGCUUAAUGGGUAAGGAAGGGGUAAAGUGGUGAGGUUGCAGCAGCGGCUAAGCAAAGUAUGGUGGCUAACUUACGAAACAAGAGCGAGAAGAGGAGCUUAACAAGCGGUCGUCAACUAGUAAUGAUCAAGAAGUGAUCUUGAACUCCUACCUACGUCAAGCAUAACCCAAAAACCGUGUUCCCCUCUCGAACAACCCCGAAAAGAGACAAUCACGGUUACGCACGCGGUUGGUGUAUUUUAGAAGAGUUUACUUCAAGUCUACUACAACCGGAUAUUAACAAAUUCCCAUCUGCCACAUAACCGCGGGCACGGCUUUUGAAAGUUCAAACCCUGCAGGGGUGUCCCAACUUAGCCCAUCACAAGCUCUCACGGUCAACGAAGGAUAUUCCUUCUCCCGGGAAGACCCGAUCAGGCUCGGAAUCCUGGUUUACAAGACAUUUCGAUAAUGGUAAAACAAGACCAGCAAAGCCGCCCGAUGUGCCGACAAAUCCCGAUAGGAGCUGCACAUAUCUCGUUCUCAGGGCACACCGAAUGAGCCAGACGUCGGGUUGGCAUAGACCCUGGUUGCCCAGGGGGCGCCGGACAUCGCUCGGGUUUGGACCAACACUCGAAGGAGCACUGGCUCGGGGGGUAAAUAAAGAUGACCCUCAGGCUCCAGAAACCCAAGGGAAAAAGGCUUAGGUGAGGCAAAUGUAAAACCAAGGUUGGCCUUGCUGGAGGAGUUUUAUUCAAGGCGAACUGUCAAGGGGUCCCCAUAACACCCAACCGCGUUAGGAACGCAAAAUCAAGGAACAUAACACCGGUAUGACAGAAACUAGGGCGGCAAGAGUGGAACAAAACACCAGGCAUAAGGCCGAGCCUUCCACCCUUUACCAAGUAUAUAGAUGCAUUAAUUAAAUAAGAGAUAUUGUGAUAUCCCAACAUAAACAUGAUAUCCGUGUUCCAACAUGGAACAAACUUCAUCUUCACCUGCAACUAGCAACGCUAUAAGAGGGGCUGAGCAAAAGCGGUAACAUAGCCAAACAACGGUUUGCUAGGAAGGGUGAAAAAGGUUAGAGGCUGACAUGGCAAUGUGGGAGGAUUGAAGAGCAAGUGAUAGGUAGCGCAGCAUAGCGAUAGAAUGAAGCAACUAGCAUAGCAAUGAUAGUAAUGAGAUCCAAGGUGACGGUCAUCUUGCCUUAUCCUGCUAGGAAGAAGAACGGGUCCAUGAAGAAGAUGAAGCCACGAAGACGAACCAAGCGUAGUCGAACGGAUCCUCACGAUCGCAACGAAACAGGAAGUAACGAGAAGGAGCGCAACCGGAAAGAAGCAAACAACAAGGUAAACACACAACACAUAAACAUGACAUGAUGCACAACCAAGCAUGAUGCAUGACAAGGCUAUAUGAUGCUUUUCAUGGCAAGAGAUGAAGCAUACAAGAAUAACACAUCAAAGCAAGUUUAAAUGAGGCCGGAAACAACAUAUAACAAAUCCGGUAAGUCCUCAUAUGCAAAUUUCGAAAUUAGACCAGAUCUGAACAAACAUUAAGUUGAAAUUGUUAAACAGCAAGUUAAAGAGCACCAUGAUGAUCUACACGAAAUUCUAGUCAAGUUACAUAUAAAGUUCAUUUAGUUCGGACCUACGGCCUAGAAGAUAUGAGUAAAACAAGUUAAGCAUGACAUUGAUACAAAAUGCAUUCAAACAUCAAGAAAACACUCUCAAAACAUUUAUGCAACAUGGCAUGGUGAAACUACAUGCAAUUCUAAGCAAGUUUCAUAUAGAGCAUGCUUAAAACGGAGCAACGGUGCAACACAUACACUCCAAACAAGAUAUAACAACAAACUGUCCAAAACAGCAACUAGGCAUCUUGCAAGCAUCAAAGCAAUAUGCUACAACACCUCAACAUGAAAACACAAGGCAUGGAUGUGAUGUAUAGGUAAAGCAUUACAAAACAUGAACACUGGGCUAUCUCUAGACACCACUAGAACAUGCUCAAAAGGACAUGACAAGAUUGCAAAUAAUAACAGUUUCAGACUUCGCAGGAAUUCACUGGACAUGACAGAAAUAACAUCAGGUUGCAAUGUUCAGAGCUAUCAAACAACAAGUUACAGCAAGCUAUCAUGGCAAACUUAAGCAUGGUAUACUAGUACUAAAAGCACUUAUCAAAACUUCCUUACUGAACUUAUUCCAAAGAUCAACAGAAACAUGGUAGCAUCAAUGCAAAUAUGGUAAGUAAUAUGACAGAUUCAGACAGUGAAAAUAACAGUUCAUGGCAGAAACAACGAUAAGUAGGCAUGUUGGUGAGCUUGUACCACUCACCACUGAGCAUUUCAUGGCAUGUGAAGUCAACCAACAGUAAGCAGACAAACUGACAGAGCUAAACAUGGCAAUAGCAUAGUCAUAGGGUGCAUGGAUCACUAGAAAAACACAUGGCAAAACUGAACUUAAUGUUAACAGACUGACAGCAACAUUAUUUAGCAAGUUUGGAGCAUGAUAACAACAAUCUACAGCAAGCUAUAAUUUCAACCAAGGGCAUGGAAUGAUAGAGUACAACAUGUAGAACAAAACAUCCUUAUUGAACAUCUCCAGAUUAUGCAUAGAACUCAUAGUAGCAGCAGGUUUACAUGGCAUCACAAUGUAACAGAACAAGAUUGGCAGAAAUGACCGUCACAGAAAUCAGCAACAUCACGGAGGCUAUUUUGCAAGCUUGUACUAGUUACCACAUAGAUCACAAAAAUACAAGACAAGAACCCCUGUAAAUAUGGAAUGAUGUAGUUCAAAACUCAUGUAGACAUCAAGCUCAUAGGAUGCACACACAAAAUGUAACGAAAAAGAAAAAUCACCAAGUUAUAAUAGUCUCAGCAGGUUAACAUCAUAUAGCACUCUUGCAACGAGGAUUAGGGCAUCAAGAUGAACUCAAACAAGGAUGGCACAGUGGAAUAAAAUUAAGAGCAUCUCACAAUGAACAUUUUGACAUACUGUACAUGCAAAACGGAGCUACAUGCAUGAAGUUAUGGCACGUAGAACUGGGCACCAGAAUAUGCAAAUUUACAGGACUUGGCCGUUUUUCCGGAGAACAAAAAACAGAACGGGCGCCAAGUAAUAAAACGCGCACGAGGCGGGGUUUAGGCGGGCUGCUCACCUAGCGGGCUCGGCCCAGGGUGGGGGAAGAGGCCAGGCAGGCCGGCGCGGAGCUGGGCUGGGCCUUGGAGGCGCGGGGCCCACGUGAGGAGGAGCUCGACCUCCUCCUCGAUCCCGCCUGGAUCGGAGGAGCAGGGGUGGCGGCGCUACUCUGGCAAGGGCGGGGCUACUCCGGCGGUGGAGCGACCGGUGGACGGCGGGGAUGGGCGUGGGGCGCGGAUCCAAGUGCGGCGGCGGCCGGGGACGUCGGGGUCGCGGCGGGAGGUCGUCGGCGGGAGCGGACGGGCGGAUCCGGCGGCUCCUUGCCGGAUCCGGCCGGAGGCGAAGCACGGCGCAGGGAGGCGCGGGGAGNNNNNNNNNNNNNNNNNNNNNNNNNNNNNNNNNNNNNNNNNNNNNNNNNNNNNNNNNNNNNNNNNNNNNNNNNNNNNNNNNNNNNNNNNNNNNNNNNNNNNNNNNNNNNNNNNNNNNNNNNNNNNNNNNNNNNNNNNNNNNNNNNNNNNNNNNNNNNNNNNNNNNNNNNNNNNNNNNNNNNNNNNNNNNNNNNNNNNNNNNNNNNNNNNNNNNNNNNNNNNNNNNNNNNNNNNNNNNNNNNNNNNNNNNNNNNNNNNNNNNNNNNNNNNNNNNNNNNNNNNNNNNNNNNNNNNNNNNNNNNNNNNNNNNNNNNNNNNNNNNNNNNNNNNNNNNNNNNNNNNNNNNNNNNNNNNNNNNNNNNNNNNNNNNNNNNNNNNNNNNNNNNNNNNNNNNNNNNNNNNNNNNNNNNNNNNNNNNNNNNNNNNNNNNNNNNNNNNNNNNNNNNNNNNNNNNNNNNNNNNNNNNNNNNNNNNNNNNNNNNNNNNNNNNNNNNNNNNNNNNNNNNNNNNNNNNNNNNNNNNNNNNNNNNNNNNNNNNNNNNNNNNNNNNNNNNNNNNNNNNNNNNNNNNNGGCGGGCCGGAUCUGGGCCCCGGGCAGCGGCGGCGAUGUGGGCGCGGGGAGGCGACGUGGCGCGUCCCGAUUGGACGAGGGCGGCGGCGGGCUGACGUGUCGCCACCCGAUUGGACGGGGCGACGCGUCCUGCGGCGGAGAGGGGAAAAUGCUAGGGUUUGGACUGCGAUUUGGGCGGGGGAGGGCAUAUUUAUAGGUAGAGGGAGCUAGGAGAGUCCAAAUGAGGUGUGGUUUUCGCCCACACGAUCACGAUCCAACGACCGAGAGCAUGGAGGGGGUUUGGAUGGGCUAGGUGGGCUGUGUGAAGGGGUGCUGGGCUGCAAGAGAAAAGGGGGUUUCGGUUAGCUCGGUUAACCGUUGGGGCAUCAAACGUCCUCCAAAUGGGACGAAAUUUGACAGGCGGUCUACCGGUGAUAUACCAAGGCCUCUUGACAAAUCUCGACCCAUUCCGAGCACAUUUUUCGGCGGGUCAUAAAACAAGGUCUGAGAGGGGCGACGGGUGCGUGCGAGUGUGGUUGGGCUCAGAACGGACAACGGAAAGAACUGGGAGGACCCGAACGGAUGCAAGUUUUGAAAAACAUGCAGAUGAAAUGCAGAUGAUGACAUGGCAAAAUGCAACACGCAAGCAAAAGACAUGGCAACAACGGCGAAUAACUGGAAGACACCUGGCGCAUCGGAUCCGGGGCGUUACAUAGGGUCACACGCUUAAGGGUCAUCUAUCUGCUGAAUACUAGACAGGGAGUCUGAGAGAAAAUCACCGAAAAAGUUUCGGACACCGAAAAGUUUCGGACAGCGGAAAAGUUCUGCAGAGAGAGGUCACCGGAUGAGUUUCGGUGAAACCGAAAAAGUUGUUUCGGGGUAUGCCAUUAAGUCAAAAUGGUUUCGGCACAUGCCUGAUAAUUCUUGGAGGGUGCCAGAAUCAUUCUGGAAACUUUUUGGAAUUUUCAGAAAUAAAAACCGGAAAUGUUCCAGAGCUGCAGGAACCGGUUCAGAUGCUUUUCGCAGAUGAAAAUCACUAAACUGGAAUUGUUCCAGAAUGCGUUGAAAAUUAUUAUGAUGGGUACUGGAAAUGUUUUAAGCCCACAUAAAUAUUUUCAGUUCGAACGGACGCUGAAAAAUGUCGUCGUGAAUAGUGAAAGUGCUUUUUGGGUUACUUUUUGGAAAGCCACCUUUUGGGGCUUUACUCAAAAGAUCUAGGGAUGACAUGGAUGGAUUGGGAGGCCCUCAUGGGCCCCCCCAAGGGGUGUGGCCGGCCACACUUGGGGCUCCACCUUGGAGCCCCUCUUGUUCCUUGGUUUCACUCUUAUGCCCUUGAGGAAGGACUUCAUUCAUGUGCAUUUUGGGUUUUUGUGUUAAACUACCCUAUCCCUUGGGAUUUCCUAUAAAUAGAGGUGGAGGGGCAGCCCUCCACACUCACUCUUUCUCACGUACAAGUGCCAUGCAUGAUCUGGCUUCUCUCUCCCUCCCAGCGAAAUAGUUUCGUAGAGCCAAAAGGAUGUCUGGGUUCCGGCAGGAACUAGUUCUGGACGGCGAAGCCCUGCCGGAUAGAUGACACCGUAUGUGUGCAACUCUAUAGAGAGGCCGUAGUUUCGAUCUUAGUGCCCGAGGGGCUGUUUGAGAGUGCCUGCCGAAGGGCUGUCCGAGUGACCGUUCGAGUUUCGAAGGUCCUCCCGAAGGGCUGUCCGCGACACCGUUCGGGGGACUGUUCGACCGCCUCCCGGAGGGAGGGAGUACAUCCUCGCGGUUGGGAGGUUGUAAAUCCUAGCUGCGGGGAUCUGCACCGACGAUCGUCAUCGACUCUACUUCCGCUGCGCUACGAGUCGGUAACAAAAAUGAUCAAACCUUGUAUGCAGUCUUCAUAGUGGUCCUGGGCUGGUGCGUAAGUCGGAAUUUUUUUGUUUUCUGUUGCAUUACCCAACAGUGGCAUCAUGAGCCGUGCUAUGCGUAGAUGCAGGUUGCGAUCUAGAAUACAUGGAGAUGUAUGGGUGUUGCACAAUAUAAUUAGGUAGAUGAGUUCUAUUACUGAAAAUUAUUUGUGCGGGUAGCAGAUGAAAUCUGUUACCCGAUGUUCUUGUUGCUUCCCUUAAAAUUGCGUAGUCCUGAUCUUCACAGCAUUGUGGAAUCUGACAAAGUUCUGGCAAUCCGCAAUCCUUUCAUGCUGCUCCUGAGCAUGCUGAUUGACAGAUCAAGGAAGUGCUAACAGUUCUUUGGGUUCCACUUUAGUCAAAGAAAGAUGGAUGUUUCGCAGACUAAAGGGCAAUGCAGAUAUGAUCUGCACGGGGGUCAUGCAUAUGACGAAGUUCAGUGUGGGGCUCGAGAUUUUAUUAUCUCAUGUUUCAUACACCCUGAUAAGUUAAUCUAGCGCUUGAAUUAUCAUACUUGAUGAUGGACGUUGGUAGCUUCGGUUUGUUUCGAAACCUUAGAAGCCACGUAAAACAAGUUUUUGCAUGAACCGAUUAGAGACGUCUAACAUUGUUUUGCAGGAGGGUUUGCAUGUGCAUAUGAUGUGGUAUAGCAGUGCUCAUAAUAAUUUGAUUAUGUAUGAGAUAACUAUAUGUUGUAAAUUGAUUAACAUGACCUGCGUGUCAUGAUUCGGCAUGAUGGCUGGAGCCAUAUGAUUGUCACUUUAAUGACCUGCGUGUCAACCUUAAGUAAUGCACUUAUUUUAUUAGCUAUAGAGAUAGCAAUAUUAUCCGGUGCAUCGACAAGGUGGUGGAAAUCUUAGCGAAGGUGAACGCCGACGCAAAUGCCGAAGACGAAGAAAUGGAAGACUUCUCCGUCAGAAAGGGCUAUACCAUAUCAUGCUAUUAUGAAUUGCCUGAGAUGUUUAUCCCUUAUGAUGCACCCUUCUUGAUUGCGCGAUAGUCGCUUUUUAUUAGGGUGAUCUCUCACAAAAAUAUCAAAGUAGUUAGUGUUCUCCCAAGUGUAGCACCAUUACGGCACCUAUCUUUUCGGGGUGCGCCGUGUCACACGGGUACGGACGAUUAGAGAAGUGUGAGGUGGGUGAGUUGAGACCUCACAGCGAGAUCACUUGGUUGUCUUGACGUUCAGGCAUGACCAUUAUGAGCUCGGAACACACGCAUCGAAAGAUGAACAAGAGUCACAUAAAGAUGUGAUUGGCAAGUUGGCCUACCGGUUGAGAUUUUUUUUCAUCAGUGGUGUUACAUCAAUGGCGUUGAAUCGAAAUGUGGGUCUUGUAUCACUCAUAAUCAAUUUUGAGAGAUAUUGAUUUAAGUGGGAGCGCACUAUUGAAUUAACAUGUUUAAUUCUCAGUGCAAUUAAUUAUGAACACUGUCUAAGUGUUUCUUGCAAAAUAGUUGUAGAAUAAUGGCUUGCGUUUCGACCUUCCCUGAUAAAAUUGAAUAAGCUGUUAAAUAUCUGGUUAAAACUUUACGAUUGGUAACGUAAUGUGAGGAUUGUCCUCAAAAGUGUCGAGAAGGACUCUGUCCUAUCGCAUGCUUUUCGUAUCCUCCCGCUAAUGCUAUGGAUCAUGUGACUCUCGUCCUUUGAUCCAAAAGCUAGAAUUCUGUUACGGUCAAGUGGAAUAUGUUUGCUUCCAUGAAACCCAAACUUUGAAAGUUGGGAUAGUUAUAUGAUAUUCAUGGAACUGAAAAUUAUUUUCAGAUACAAACAAAGCAAUGUUUGUUUGCAAGUAUUAGUAAAAGUGUUUACUAUGCAUUUGACUGUUGGGAAAGGGAUCCAGAAGAACGCCUGUCAUAUAAUGAAAGGUGAAUAAAACAACAACUUAAAGAGAAAGGAAGUGUCCAAAGGGUGUUAGUAUGACUUACACGCCUAGGAAGUCCGGGGCUAACACCACUCUUAAGUUGGGUGCUUCUUUUGCGAGUAGGAGAAAUACUAAAAGUUAAACUUUUAGAAGUAUAAAGGCAGAAAGAAAGAUGACUGGAAUAUCCAGCUCAUGUAUGAAUGUCAUACAAGUUUUUGAUGUAUAGAAGGCUGGUCAAAAGAUAUAGUUCUUGGGAAUUAUGGUUAAACAUGUUAAUCACUAAUUCUUGGGUAUUGUGAGUUAAUCACAAAGAUACCCGCUCGAUUGCAUUAUGUUGCGAAUCGAUGUAAGAGCUACUAUGGCCUAAAAAGACUAGCCAGGAAUGAGGUUUUAAUACGUGUUGGGAACAUAGUAAAAGUUACUAUACCUUCCAUCGGUGUAUUACCUAUGUAUUUUAUUUCAUAAUUCAUUUUAGAGUUUCUUACACUCUAGCCCUUUGCACAAGGUAUCUUGCAAGAAGGUUGUUCAUAAGAGAACUUUUGAUGUUCAGUAUUAUGAAUAAACAUAAGGGCCAUACUUUCAUUGUGAAUGAGAUGUAUGUUAUGAAUAAUGAUAUUAAUAUAUUACCUCUGUGUUUACUUUCAUAAUUCAUUUUAGAGUUUCUUACACUCUAGCCCAUUACACAAUGUUUAUUGCAAAACAGUUGUUCAUAAAAGAACAAUUGUUGUUCAGUAUUAUGAAUAACAUGAAGGGCCAUGCUUCCAUCCAAGAUGGGAUGUAUGUUAUGAAUAUUGAUGGUAAAAUGAUACAUCCAUAACGCUGACGCUAAAUCUCGCAAGACUAUGAGAAUACCACACAUGUGUGGCACUGCAUUUGGUCACAUUGGAGAAACCUGCAUGGAAAAAUUCCAUUAUGAUGGAUUUUGAAGUCGUUUGAUUUUGAAUCAUCUGACACUUGCAACUUUCCUCCGAAAAGUGAAGUGACUGAAAUACCGUCACAGGCCAUAAGGAAUGAGCAACAAACUUAUUGGUGAUCAUACAUUUUGAUGUGUGUAGUCCAAUAAAUGUUGUUGCAAGUGGUGGAUUUAUUUAUCUUCAGAAAUGACUCAAGUAGAUAUAUGGAUAUUUACUUGAUGAGACAUAAGUUUGGAUCUUUUGAAAUCAUUCGAAAGGUUUUCAAAAAUGAAGUAGAAGUUAUUGUAACAAGAAAAUUAUGUUUCGGCAAUUUGAUUGCACAAAGGAAUAUUUGAAAUACAUGUUUAGCGAAUGUCUGAUGAGUUGUGAAAGGGGUUUCAUAACUUGCACCUCCCGGAACACCACUGCAAGUGGAAAGUCCAUGGAGAUGUAAUCUAACCAUUUAUGACAUGGUAAGGUCAAAAAUGACAUAAAUAAAAUUUUGCCAUUAUCCCUUUUAAAGUGAUGCUUUAGAGACUGCGGCUUUUACACUGAAAAGAGAUACAUCGGGUCUAUUGAAAUGAAGCCAUGGUAUGGUAUGCCCAACCAUGUUAUAUCUUUUCUUAACAUUUGGAAUAUGGGGCUUGUGUAAAAGGUUACAAACCUAUUCCAAAUCAGACAAGUGCUACUUUGUAGGUUGUACCAAAAUGUUGGGUAUUCCUCCCUCACUAUACCGAGGCAAAUAAUUUUGCCGCGAAAUGGUGUGCUUUUAAAGAGAAUGGUUCUUUCAAAAAGGUGAGUGGGAGAAUAGUGCAACUCGAUGAGAUAAACAGUAUCUUCGUCAUCAGAUCAAAGGAAAGAGACCUUGGAAGUAAUUCCAGAGUUUCCUACUGCAACUGAUAUGGAAGUCUCUACAAUAAAAUGUAUGAACUUCGGUCGAACUUGCAGCUGAACCACGUAGGCAAGGCUCGUGCAAACCUCUCAGGUGCGCAAACGAGAUAUUGUUGUUAGACAACAUUAUACCUAUGAUACACAAGGAAGCGUUGAUGGGCCCUGACUCCGGAAUUGGCUAAAUGCCAAUACAACCCGAGUUAGUUUCCAUAUAAGUGAUUCAAGAUUAAAACCUUGAUACACCUUUUGGAAGACUUAGAGUCUAACGAAUAUUUAUGGAACUUAAAAUUGAUAUGGAUAAAAAUGUUUUAUCCAUAAAGCUCGACUUGUUGAAAUAACAAGUUCAAGAGUUGACUACGAUGAGGUUGUUUUCAUCGUAGCGAUGCUUAAAGUCGGUUCAGGUUGAACUAGCAAUUAAUACAUAUUUCAAUCAUGAGAUAUGAAACAUGGAUGACAAUAGGAUUUCCAUCUGAUAGAAAUGAAACCAAGGACUUGCAUGUGUUACAGUCCAAGGCAUUUUGUCUAUCCAGAGGAUGCUAGUAAGGGUGCAAACUUCAGAGUUCCAGCGAUGGACAGAAGAGAGCAAAAUGGAGUUGGAAUCUUCGUGCUUUGAUGAAAUGGUCAAAGGGGUUUGACUUCAUCAAUGGGUAACGAAGAUGCUUGUAAUUCAAGAAAGUAAGUGGGAGCAUAAUAAUAUUUCUAAAAACCUUGUGUGCUUGACACAUUGUUAAUUGGAAAUAAAUUUCUUGACAAGAAUUAGGACUUCAUUUGAAAAUGGUUUUUUGAUGAAGUGCUUAGGCUAAAUAGCCUCAAUAUUAGGCAUAAUGAUCUAUGGAGAUAGAUUUACCUAAUAGGGCUAAGCAAUGAAUACAUAUUGACAAGGUGCUAAAACCUUUUAGCAUUUAAAACCGCCAAGGAGUGAUUCUUGCUGGAGACACAUGGAAGAGUUUUAUGCAAGACUCGGUGUCCCAAAACACUGAUGAGCAAAAUACAUGAUCCCACACACUUUUGUGUUUGGAUUAAUUGUUGGGGAUCGUUGCAGAAUUUUAAAAUUUUCUACGCAUCACCAAGAUCCAUCUAUGGAGUUUACUAGCAACGAGGGGAAAGGAGUGCACCUACAUACCCUUGUAGAUCACGAGCGGAAGCGUUCAAGUGAACGGGGUUGAUGGAGUCGUACUCGUCGUGAUCCAAAUCACCGAUGACCGAGUGCCGAACGGACGACACCUCCGUGUUCAACACACGUACGGAUCAGCGACGUCUCCUCCUUGAUCCAGCAAGGGGGAAGGAGAGGUUGAUGGAGAUCCAGCAGCACGACGGCGUGGUGGUGGAAGUAGCGGGGAUCCCGGCAGGGCUUCGCCAAGCGCAAGCGGGAGAGAGAGGUGUCACGGGAGGGAGAGGGAGGCGCCAGGGGCUAGGGUACAGCAGCCCUCCCUCCCCCCCUUUAUAUAGGCCCCCUGGGGGGGGCGCCGGCCCCUGGGAUCCCAUCUACAGGGGGGCGGCGGCCAAGGGGGGGAAACUCCCCCCCCCCCAAGUCAGGUGGGGCGCCCCCCACCCCCAGGGUUUCCAACCCUAGGCGCAGGGGGAGGCCCAUGGGGGGCGCACCAGCCCACCAGGGGCUGGUUCCCCUCCCACUUCAGCCCAUGGGGCCCUCCGGGAUAGGUGGCCCCACCCGGUGGACCCCCGGGACCCUUCCGGUGGUCCCGGUACAAUACCGAUAACCCCCGAAACUUUCCCGGUGGCCGAAACUGGACUUCCUAUAUAUAAUUCUUCACCUCCGGACCAUUCCGGAACUCCUCGUGACGUCCGGGAUCUCAUCUGGGACUCCGAACAACUUUCGGGUUUCCGCAUACUAAUAUCUCUACAACCCUAGCGUCACCGAACCUUAAGUGUGUAGACCCUACGGGUUCGGGAGACAUGCAGACAUGACCGAGACACCUCUCCGGUCAAUAACCAACAGCGGGAUCUGGAUACCCAUGUUGGCUCCCACAUGUUCCAUGAUGAUCUCAUCGGAUGAACCACGAUGUCGAGGAUUCAAUCAAUCCCGUAUACAAUUCCCUUUGUCAAUCGGUACGUUACUUGCCCGAGAUUCGAUCGUCGGUAUCCCAAUACCUUGUUCAAUCUCGUUACCGGCAAGUCACUUUACUCGUACAGUAAUGCAUGAUCCCGUGACUAACUCCUUAGUCACAUUGAGCUCAUUAUGAUGAUGGAUUACCGAGUGGGCCCAGAGAUACCUCUCCGUCAUACGGAGUGACAAAUCCCAGUCUCGAUCCGUGCCAACCCAACAGACACUUUCGGAGAUACCCGUAGUGCACCUUUAUAGUCACCCAGUUACGUUGUGACGUUUGGCACGCCCAAAGCACUCCUACGGCAUCCGGGAGUUGCACGAUCUCAUGGUCUAAGGAAAUGAUACUUGACAUUGAAAAAGCUCUAGCAAAUGAACUACACGAUCUUUGUGCUAUGCUUAGGAGUGGGUCUUGUCCAUCACAUCAUUCUCCUAAUGAUGUGAUCCCGUUAUCAAUGACAUCCAAUGUCCAUAGUCAGGAAACCAUGACUAUCCGUUGAUCAACGAGCUAGUCAACUAGAGGCUCACUAGGGACAUGUUGUGGUCUAUGUAUUCACACAUGUAUUACGAUUUCUGGAUAACACAAUUAUAGCAUGAAUAAUAGACAAUUAUCAUCAACAAGGAAAUAUAAUAAUAACCAUUUUAUUAUUGCCUCUAGGGCAUAUUUCCAACAGUCUCCCACUUGCACUAGAGUCAAUAAUCUAGUUACAUUGUGAUGAAUCGAACACCCAUAGAGUUCUGGUGUUGAUCAUGUUUUGCUCUAGGGAGAGGUUUAGUCAACGGAUCUGCUACAUUCAGGUCCGUAUGUACUUUACAAAUAUCUAUGUCUCCAUUCUGAACACUUCCACGAAUGGAGUUGAAGCGACGCUUGAUAUGCCUGGUCUUCCUGUGAAACCUGGGCUCCUUGGCAAGGGCAAUAGCUCCAGUGUUGUCACAGAAGAGAGUCAUCGGGCCCGACGCAUUGGGAAUCACCCCUAGGUCGGUAAUGAACUCCUUCAUCCAGAUUGCUUCUUGCGCUGCCUCUGAGGCUGCCAUGUACUCCGCUUCACAUGUAGAUCCCGCCACGACGCUUUGCUUGCAACUGCACCAGCUUACUGCCCCUCCAUUCAAAAUAUACACGUAUCCGGUUUGUGACUUCGAGUCAUCCAGAUCUGUGUCGAAGCUAGCGUCGACGUAACCCUUUACGACGAGCUCUUCGUCACCUCCAUAAACGAGAAACAUAUCCUUAGUCCUCUUCAGGUACUUAGGAUAUUCUUGACCGCUGUCCAGUGUUCCAUGCCGGGAUUACUUUGGUACCUUCCUACCAAACUUACGGCAAGGUUUACAUCAGGUCUGGUACCCAACAUGGCAUACAUAAUAGACCCUAUGGCCAAGGCAUAGGGGAUGACACUCAUCUUUUCUCUAUCUUCUGCCGUGGUCGGGCAUUGAGCCGUGCUCAAUUGCACACCUUGCAAUAUAGGCAAGAACCCCUUCUUGGACUGAUCCAUAUUGAACUUCUUCAAUAUCUUGUCAAGGUACGUACUCUGUGAAAGACCAAUGAGGCGUCUUGAUCUAUCUCUAUAGAUCUUGAUGCCUAAUAUAUAAGCAGCUUCUCCAAGGUCCUUCAUUGAAAAACACUUAUUCAAGUAGGCCUUUAUACUUUCCAAGAAUUCUAUAUCAUUUCCCAUCAAUAGUAUGUCAUCCACAUAUAAUAAGAGAAAUGCUACAGAGCUCCCACUCACUUUCUUGUAAACACAUGCUUCUCCAUAAGUCUGUGUAAACCCAAACGUUUUGAUCAUCUCAUCAAAACGAAUGUUCCAACUCCGAGAUGCUUGCACCAGCCCAUAGAUGGAGCGCUGGAGCUUGCAUACCUUGUUAGUAUUCUUAGGAUCAACAAAACCUUCCGUCUGCAUCAUAUACAAUUCUUCCUUAAGAAAGCCGUUAAGGAAUGCCGUUUUGACGUCCAUUUGCCAUAUCUCAUAAUCAUAGAAUGCGGCAAUUGCUAACAUGAUUUGGACGGACUUCAGCUUCGCUACGGGUGAGAAAGUCUCAUCGUAGUCAACCCCUUGAACUUGUCGAUAACCCUUAGCGACAAGUCGAGCCUUAUAGAUGGUCACAUUACCAUCCGCGUCUGUCUUCUUCUUAAAGAUCCAUUUAUUUUCUAUGGCUCGCCGAUCAUCGGGCAAGUCAGUCAAAGUCCAGACUUCGUUUUCAUACAUGGAUCCUAUCUCGGAUUUCAUGGCUUCUAGCCAUUUGUCAGAAUCCGGGCCCGCCAUCGCUUCUUCAUAGUUCGAAGGUUCACCGUUGUCUAACAACAUGAUAUCCAGGACAGGGUUGCCGUACCACUCUGGUGCGGAACGUGUCCUUGUGGACCUUCGAAGUUCAGAAGUAACUUGAUCCGAAGCUUCAUGAUCAUCAUCAUUAACUUCCUCCCCAGUCGGUGUAGGCACCACAGGAACAUCUUCCCGCACUACGCUACUUUCCGGUUCGGAAGGGGCGACUAUCACCUCAUCAAGUUCCACUUUCCUCCCACUUAAUUCUUUCGAGAGAAACUCUUUCUCCAGAAAGGACCCGUUCUUGGCAACAAAGAUCUUGCCUUCGGAUCUGAGGUAGAAGGUAUACCCAAUGGUUUCCUUAGGGUAUCCUAUGAAGACACAUUUUUCCGACUUGGGUUCGAGCUUUUCAGGUUGAAGUUUCUUGACAUAAGCAUCGCAUCCCCAAACUUUUAGAAACGACAACUUAGGUUUCUUCCCAAACCAUAAUUCAUACGGUGUCGUCUCAACGGAUUUCGACGGAGCCCUAUUUAAAGUGAAUGCGGCAGUCUCUACAGCAUAGCCCCAAAAUGAGAGCGGUAGAUCGGUAAGAGACAUCAUAGAUCGCACCAUAUCCAAUAGAGUGCGAUUACGACGUUCAGACACACCAUUUCGCUGAGGUAUUCCAGGCGGCGUGAGUUGUGAAACGAUUCCACAUUUCCUUAAGUGUGUGCCAAAUUCGUGACUUAAAUAUUCCCCUCCACGAUCUGAUCGCAUGAACUUUAUUUUCCUGUCACGUUGAUUCUCAACCUCACUCUGAAAUUCCUUGAACUUUUCAAAGGUUUCAGACUUGUAUUUCAUUAGGUAGACAUACCCAUAUCUACUUAAAUCAUCAGUGAGAGUGAGAACAUAACGAUAGCCACCGCGGGCCUCAACACUCAUUGGACCGCACACAUCAGUAUGUAUGAUUUCCAAUAAGUUGGUUGCUCGCUCCAUUGUUCCGGAGAACGGAGUCUUGGUCAUCUUACCCAUGAGGCAUGGUUCGCACGUGUCAAAUGAUUCGUAAUCAAGAGACUCCAAAAGUCCAUCUGCAUGGAGCUUCUUCAUGCGUUUGACACCAAUGUGACCAAGGCGGCAGUGCCACAAGUAUGUGGGACUAUCGUUAUCAACUUUACAUCUUUUGGUAUUCACACUAUGAAUAUGUGUAACAUCACGUUCGAGAUUCAUCAAGAAUAAACCAUUGACCAGUGGGGCAUGACCAUAAAACAUAUCUCUCAUAUAAAUAGAACAACCAUUAUUCUCGGAUUUAAAUGAGUAGCCAUCUCGAAUUAAACGAGAUCCAGAUACAAUGUUCAUGCUCAAAGCUGGCACUAAAUAACAAUUAUUGAGGUUUAAAACUAAUCCCGUAGGUAAAUGCAGAGGUAGCAUGCCGACGACGAUCACAUCGACCUUGGAACCAUUCCCGACGCGCAUCGUCACCUCGUCCUUCGCCAGUCUCCGCAUAUUCCGUAGCUCCUGUUUUGAGUUACAAAUAUGAGCAACCGCACCGGUAUCAAAUACCCAGGAGCUACUACGAGUACUGGUAAGGUACACAUCAAUUACAUGUAUAUCACAUAUACCUUUGGCGUUGCCGGCCUUCUUGUCCGCUAAGUAUUUGGGGCAGUUCUGCUUCCAGUGACCACUUCCCUUGCAAUAAAAGCACUCAGUCUCAGGCUUGGGUCCAUUCUUUGACUUCUUCCCGGCAACUGGCUUACCUGGCGCGGCAACUCCCUUGCCGUCCUUCUUGAAGUUCUUCUUGCCCUUGCCUUUCUUGAACUUAGUGGUUUUAUUCACCAUCAACACCUGAUGUUCCUUUUUGAUCUCCACCUCCGCUGAUUUCAGCAUUGAAUAUACCUCAGGAAUGGUCUUUUCCAUCCCCUGCAUAUUGAAGUUCAUCACAAAGCUCUUGUAGCUUGGUGGAAGCGACUGAAGGAUUCUGUCAAUGACCGCGUCAUCCGGGAGAUUAACUCCACGUCAUCCGAGAGAUUAACUCCAUCCCCUGCAUAUUGAAGUUCAUUUUAUAAGGCUGUCUGGGUUCCGGCAGGAACUAGUUCUGGACGGCGAAGCCCUGCCGGAUAGAUGACACCGUAUGUGUGCAACUCUGUAGAGAGGUCGUAGUUUCGAUCCUAGUGCCCGAGGGGCUGUUCGAGAGUGCCUCCCGAAUGGCUGUCCGAGUGACCGUCCGAGUUUCGAAGGUCCUCCCGAAGGGCUGUCCGCGACACCGUCCGGGGGAAUGUUCGACCGCCUCCCGGAGGGCUGUCUGAGGGACAGAUGAGGGAGUACAUCCUCGCGAUUGGGAGGUUGUAAAUCCUAGCUGCGGGGAUCUGCACCGACGAUCGCAUCGACUCUACUUCCGUUGCGCUACGAGUCGGUAACGAAAAUGAUCAAACCUUGUAUGCAGUCUCCAUAGUGGUCCUGGGCUGGUGCUUAGGUCGGAGAAUUUUUGUUUUAUGCUGCGUUACCCAACAGUCUGUCUCUCCCUAGGCCCAUUAAGCCCAUAUAGCUUGUCGGGGAUUGCCCGGAACCCCUUCCGGUGACCCGAUACGUACCCAGUACCCCUGGAACACUUCCGGUGUCCAAAUACUAUCGUCCUAUAUAUAUGAAUCUUUACCUCUCGACCAUUCGAGACUCCUCGUCAUGUCCGUGAUCUCAUCCAGGACUCCGAAAAAUAUUCGGUCACCAAAUCACAUAACUCAUAUAAUACAAAAUCGUCAUCGGACGUUAAGCGUGCGGACCCUACGGGUUCGAGAACUAUGUAGAGUUGUAGACAUGACCGAGACACCUCUCCGGUCAAUAGCUAACAACGGAACCUGGAUGCUCAUAGUGGUUCCUACAUAUCCUACGAAGAUCUUUAUCGGUCAAACCGUAAUGACAACAUAUGUUAUUCCUUUUGUCAUCGGUAUGUUACUUGCCCGAGAUUCGAUCGUCGGUAUCUUCAUACCUAGUUGAAUCUCGUUUCCGGCAAGUGUCUUUACUCGUUCCGUAAUGCAUCGUCCCGCAACUAACUCAUUAGCAAGGUUAUCAGAAUCGCGAUCUUGUUAUACGAUUCUACGACUUUACGAUCCAAACUAACCCCUAUGAUUCUACGAUUUUAGUUCAUAGAAUCUACGUUUCUACGAUCCUGAUAGUGAAGAUUCUACGAUUUGCGAUCCUACCAUCGGAGCUCCGAUCCGAUUCAAAAUCGCGAUUCUAACAACCUUGCUCAUUAGUCACAUUGCUUGCAAGGCUUAUUAUGAUGUGCAUUACCGAGAGGGCCGAGAGAUACCUCUCCGAUACUCGGAGUGACAAAUCCUAAUCUCGAUCUAUGCCAACCCAACAAACACCUUCGGAGAUACCUGUAGAGCAUCUUUAUAAUCACCCACUUACAUUGUGACGUUUGAUAGCACACAAAGUAUUCCUCCGAUAUUCGGGAGUUGCAUAAUCUCAUAGUCAAAGGAAUAUGUAUAUGACAUGAAGAAAGCAAUAGCAAUAAAAUUGAACGAUCAAUAUGCUAAACUAACGGAUGGGUCUUGUCCAUCACAUCAUUCUCCUAAUGAUGUGAUCUCGUUCAUCAAAUGACAACACAUGUCUAUGGCUAGGAAACUUAACCAUCUUUGAUUAACGACCUAGUCUAGUAGAGGCUUACUAGGGACACUGUGUUUUGUCUAUGUAUCCACACAUGUAUCAAGUUUCCGGUUAAUACAAUUCUAGCAUGAAUAAUAAACAUUUAUCAUGAUAUAAGGAAAUAUAAAAUAACAACUUUAUUAUUGCCUCUAGGGCAUAUUUCCUUCAGGCUUAGGUGUUGGGGUUGUGUCAGACCCCAAUAUGCGUAGAUGUCAGGGCAUAAUAGUAUACCUGCCUGGAUAAAGAUCGAACAAGGAGGGAGCAGGCAAAGUAAUAAUCUCACGAGUACCCUAACUAAAUACCAAGUUGUAAAGGAGUCGCUUGUGCUUACCUUUAUCAAUAAAGUGAUGCACUACCAUAUUAGCAUAGUCUAAAUAUUUAGUGGGUAACAGCAUCUCCUCCUCCUCCUCAUGUCUAAUAGGAUUCUCAAAAUGUGCAGCGAGGCGGGAGGCAUAGAUACCACCGUAAAUAGUACCCUUCAAACUGUUUGUGUGCAACCACCGAGCAACCAUAGCGCCCAAACUAAAUGUUCUAUCAGCAUAUAAAGCAUGGCGCAAAAUAGCAAGGUCGGGUGCACUGAGCGAUCCACUCUCCCACCGACCAAUCAAACAUCCCCCGGCAAAUAAUGCAUGGUAACGUAAAAUGGGAAAAUGUAAACUAGCCACUCUCGCUUCUGACACUCCUCUCUCCUCUCACAUGAUAGUUUCAAAGAUGAAAUCUUCCAUGUCUCUAGGACAUGGAUCACUGGGACUGCCCUCAUAAGAUAAUUUGCAAACAUUGCAAAAAUUAUAUAAUGUCAUUUCCUUAAGCACAUCAUACAAGUUAAAUUCUACCAUGGGUGGUUCCUUCCUAGGAUAAAAGCGAAAGUUUUGCACGAAGGUAUUAGUGAGUAGGAGGUAUUGGUCACACUUAUCUUCGAGGAAGGAGGUGAUGUCGGCAUUGUUUGCCAAAUAAUAGACAUCCUCCUAUAUUCCUGCCUCCUUCAAGAAUGUGUCACUCAGCUACUCACACGGUCGAACCUCCGCUGAAUGCGAAAGAUGGUACUUGGGCUUUUCCUUCGGAGUUCCUCCGAAUCCUGGCUAGACGAGCACCUUGACCACCUCCUCAUGGUUCUCCCCUUCCCUAAAAAUUUCUGAAAUUUUUAAUAACUCAAAAAAAAGGUGAACGAAACACAACAAAAUUGAUAGCAACUACUCCCACUAGUUUCUAGGGCCAUAUCAAGCAAAAAAAACUACUUUGAACCUUAUAAAUUUGCCAUGCAAGCUCAAGAACAUGGUCACCACAGCGGCAAUAUUUUGCAAAGUAUAAACCACUAGAACAAAAACUAAUUGGAUCAAGGGAGGAGUCACAUACCGUUGAGCAAUCCACCAAAAUAGUUUUGCAAAUGGAGCUACGAGCAAGGAGAUCGAAAAUUGCAGCAAGGGGAGUAAGAACACGGGUUUGAACAAGCAAGUGAUUUUUUCCGGAGGAAGAAGAAGAGCAUGGGUGGCAGCAAUAAGUGAGGGGGCCUACAUGGGCCCCAUAAGCUUGCUGGGCGCGCCCAGGGGGUGGGUGCGCCCUGUGAGCUUGUGGCAGGCAGAUGCACCCCCUGGGGUGUGUUGAGUGCCAAAAAUUCUCAAAUAUUACAGAAAAAUCAUAUAAAAUUUUCAAGGCAUUUGGGGAACUAUUAUUUUCGGGACAUUUUUAUUGCACGAAAAAUUCAGAAAACAGUAAAAUAAUAGCAUUUCUACUUUAUUAAUUCUACAUAACAUAAAGUAAUAGGUAGGUAAAGAAAGUUGUGUUUACUAAAUUCAUCGACCACAUGCCCGUCAAAAGGAAUCCAUUAAUAAGGUUGAGCAAGUCUUAUUAGCAAACUUCUUCCGAAUGACAUGAAACCAGAGAAUUUUUUAAUAACACUAGGUUACCUCAAUGGGGAUAUAUAUGCAUGUCCCCAACAAUAAGAAUUUCAUUUUUUUUUGAAAGUAGGAAUAGGGAAUUUAAAACCUCCAAUAGUAAUUGUUGAAAUUUCUCCAAUAGAAUUGAUACUAUUCACUUGAGGUUGUUUCUUUGGAAAGUGUACCGUAUGGUCAUUACCAUUGAUAUGAAAGAUGGCAUUGCCUUUGUUGCAAUCAAUAACAGCCCCUGUUGUAUUCAAAAAGGGUCCACCAAGGAUGAUCGACAUACUGUCGUCCUCGGGUAUAUCAAGAAUAACAAAGUCCAUUAAGAUAGUAACAUUUGCAACUACGACAAACACAUCCUCACAAACACCGAUGAGUAUAGAAGUUGAUUAUCAGCCAUUUGCAAAGAGAUUUCAGUUGAUGUCAACUUAUUCAAAUCAAGUCUACGAUACAAAGAGAAAGGCAUAACACUAACACCGACUCCAAGAUCACAUAAAGCAGUUUUAACAUAGUUUCUUUUAAUGAAGCAUGGUAUAGUUGGUAUUCCUGGGUCUCCUAGUUUCUUUGGUAUUCCACCCUUAAAUGAAUAGUUUGCAAGCAUGGUGGAAAUUUUAGCUUCCGGUAUCUUUCUUUCAUUUGUAACAAUAUCUUUCAUGUUCUUAGCAUAAGGGGACAUUUUUAGAAUGUCAUUCAAACAAAGGCGCAAAAAGACUGGUCUAAGCAUUUCAACAAAGCGCUCAAAUUCUUCAUAAUCCUUACUCUUUGAGGCUUUAGGAAGAAAAGGCAUGGGUUUCUGAACCUGUGGUUCUCUUUCUUUACCAUGUUUCCUAGCAAUGAAGUCUCUCUUAUCAUAUCUUUUAUUCUUAGAUUGUGGGUUAUCAAGAUCAACAGCAGGUUCUAUUUCCACCUCAUUAUCAUUAUUAGGUUGAGCAUCAUCAUGAACAUUAUCAUUAUCAUUAUUACUAGGUUCAUGUUCAUCACCAGAUUGUGUCUCAACAUUAGAGAUAGAAAUAUCAUUUGGAUUCUCAGGUGUGUCUAUAGUAAGUUCACUAGAAGCAUGCAAAGUCCUAUCAUCUUUCUCUUUAUUUUUAGAAGGACUAGGUGCAUCAGUAUUAAUUCUCUGAUAAUCUUGUUCACUUCUCUUAGGGUUACCUUUAGGAUACAAAGGUUCCUGAGUCAUUUUACCACCUCUAGUCAUAACUCUAACGGCAUGAUCAUUCAUCUUGUUGUUCAUCUCACUUAACAAAUCAUUUUGCAACUUGACGAUUUUUUCUACUUGGGUUUUUAUCAUAGAAGCAUGUUUGCUCACACCCUUAACAUCAUUAACAGGUCUAAACAUAUAAUCACUCAAGUGUUCAAUCAUAUAAGCAUUUCGUUUCAUCUUUCCACUAACAUUGCAUUAAAAAUUUCUUGUUUAACAAUGAAGUUAUCCAAUUCAUCCAAGCAUCGACUGGCAGAUUUUGUGUAAGGAAUAUCACCUUCAUAAAAUCUACAGAGAGAAUUUACCUCUACUACCUGUGUCGGGGUAUUGGGACCAUGUAUUUCUUCAACAGGUGGUAAAUUCUUAACAUCUUCAGCUUUAAUACCUUUUUAUUUCAUAGAUUUGUUUGCGUCUUGCAUAUCUUCAGGGUUGAGAAAUAGAAUGCAUCUAUUCUUUGGAGUUGGCUUGGGUGGUGGUUCAGGGAGAUUCCAAUCAUUAUCAUUCCUCAAUAUAUUAUUCAAUAAUUCUUCAUCUUGUUCAACAGUUCGUUCCCUGAAAACACAACCAGCACAACUAUCUAGGUAGUCCCUAGAAGCAUUGGUUAUUCCAUUAUAAAAGAUAUCAAGUAUUUCACUUUUCUUAAGAGGGUGUUCAGGCAAAGCAUUAAGUAAUUGGAGAAGCCUCCCCCAAUCUUGUGGGAGACUCUCUUCUUCAAUUUGCACAAAGUUAAAUAUUUCCUGUAAAGCAGCUUGUUUCUAUGGGCAGGAAAAUAUUUUUCAGAGAAGUUAUAUAUCAUAUCCUAGGGACUACGCACACAACCAGGAGUAAGAGAAUUAAACCAUAUCUUGGCAUCACCCUUUAAUGAGAAAGGAAACAACUUAAGAAAUAUAGUAGUAGCGAAUUUUUUCCUCAUGAGCAAAUAGGGUGGCUAUAUCAUUCAGUUUAGUAAGAUGUGCCACAACUGUUUCAGAUUCAUAACCAUGGAAAGGAUCAGAUUCAACCAAAGUAAUUAAAUCAAGAUCGACAAAGAAUUCAUAAUCAUUAUCAGUAACAAAGAUGGGAGACAUGGCAAACUGGGGAUCAUAUUUCAUUCUAGCAUUCAGAGAUUUUUCUUUCAGCUUACUAAGUAACUUCUUAAGAUCAUCUCUAUCAUUACAAGCAAGGAAUUCCCUAGCUAUCUCCUAAUGCAUACCAAAUCCCUCAGGUAUCUUAGGCAAUUCAUAUCUAGGAUAAUCAGGUCUAAUAGGUGAAUCAUAAUCUUUAGUUUCAAUAAUUUCAUCAGUUUCAGCAUUCUCAAUUUCUUUAGCUCUAGCAAGUUGUUCAUCAAGAAAUUCACCUAGUGGCACAGUCUUAUCAAGCAAAGUACCACUACUAGGGAAAAGCCUAGUAGUAGCACGGGUUAAAUAGCUAGUAGUAGCGCGGGCACCCACGCUACUACUACGGCGCUACAGCUAACUUGUAGUAGUAGCGCGGGUGCGCCCGCGCUACUACUACGUCUGUUAGUAGUAGCGUGGGUGCCACCCGCACUACUACUAUUAAUUUCAAAAAAAAUCUCGAUCCCGUGCGUGCUGUCAAUGGCAGCAAUGCUUUGAUCCAGCGAUGCUAGGGGUCGCCAGAGCUGCGGAAGGGCAAAGGCAGACAAGAUCCAGCGCCGGCUGCUGCAGAGGGACCGGAUCCAUGGCUGAGCAAGGCGGCGGCGUGCGGCUCCUCUUCGCAACCAAUGCAGCAAGCUCCUGGUCGUCCAUGGCGAUGACCUGCACGGGCAAGGACAUGGGAGGGUGAGUGAAAUCAAAGGGCAGAGGGAAAAAGAGAAAGAAGGGAGAGAGGAAGGAGACGGAGGGAGCACCGGGGCUAGUCGUUGGUGGUGAGGUGCUCCGGUGUGGUGGCGGGAGGCGAGGAGGAAGACCGGCGAGCUCCUAGAUGCCAGCGGCGUGAGGCGACGACCUCGUUGGGCGCCAUGGAGGAGGAGGCGCGCAUGGGCAGGAGCGCCAUGGGAGAGCCUAUGGAGAGAGAGGGGAGGAGAGGGACGGGGGAGAGGAGUGAUUUGGACGAGGAGAUGGGGAUUUUAGGGCUGUUAAAAAACCCAGUACUUAGUAGUAGCGCGGGUUUUUACCCCUCGCUACUACUAUGGCAUGUUCCGGAGGGGCACGGUAGGGACCGCUUAGUAGUAGCGAGGGUAAAAACCCGCGCUACUACUAUAGUAGUAGCGCAGUUUUAUAACCCUCGCUACUACUAUGGCAUGUCCCGGGGGGGCACGGUAGAGACCGCUUAGUAGUAGCGAGGGUUAAAAACCCGCGCUACUACUAUCAACUUAGUAGUAGCGAGGGGUAAAAACACGCGCUACUAGUAAGUAGUAGUAGCGAGGGGUAUAAACCCGCGCUGCUAGUAAGCGUCUGUGUAUAAGCUUUUCCCUAGUAGUGUACUAGCAUCAUCAUAAGCAUCGUUCAUAGUAGAAGUAGCAUCAUCAAUACUUGCGACAUAUCAGGAUUAAUAGCAGGUGGUGGUGUCGCAAGCUUACUCAAAACAGAAGGCGAAUCAAGUGUAGAGCUAGAUGGUAGUUCCUUACCUCACCUCGAAUUAGAGGGAACGAUCUUGGUUCUAUCAAUCUUAAGAUUCUUAAUAGUAAUCAGCAGAUAUAUAUCCCAAGUGAAUCAGCAAAUAUAGAUAUGCUCUGCGGCAACGGUGCCAGAAAAAGGUCUUGAUAACCCACAAGUAUAGGGGAUCGCAACAGUUUUCGAGGGUAGAGUAUUCAACCCAAAUUUAUUGAUUCGACACAAGGGGAGCCAAAGAAUAUUUGCAAGUAUUAACAGUUGAGUUGUCAAUUCAACCACACCUGAGAGACUUAAUAUCUGCAGCAAGGUAUUUAGUAGCAAAGUAGUAUGAUAGUAACGGUAAUGGUAGCAAAAGUAACGAUAGCAAUUUUGUAGCGAUUGUAAUAGCAGCAACAACGAAACUAAUUUAGCAGAGAUCAAUAUGUGAAAAGCUCGUAGGCAUUGGAUCAGUGAUGGAUAAUUGUGUUGGAUGGCAUUCAUCAUGCAACAGUCAUAGCCUAGGGCGACACAUAACUAGCUCCAAUUCAUCAGUGUAAUGUAGGCAUGUAUUCCAUAUAUAGCCAUACGUGCUUAUGGAAAAGAACUUGCAUGACAUCUUUUAUCCUACCCUCUUGUGGCAGCGGAGUGCAUAAGGAAACUAAGGGAUAUUAAGGCUUCCUUUUAAUAGAGAACCGGAACAAAGCAUUAGCACUUAGUGAAUACAUGAACUCCUUAAACUACGGUAAUCACCGGAAAGAAUCCCAAUUAUUGUCACCUUGGGGUAUGCGGAUCAUAACUCGUAAUAGGUGCAUUGCAAGAUAGGAUCAAGAACACAUAUAUACUCAUGAAAACAUAAUAGGUUUAGAUCUAAAAUCAUGGUACUCGGGCCCUUGACAAGCAUUAAGCAUAGCAAAGUCAUAGCAACAUCAAUCUCAGAACAUAGUUGAUACUAGGGAUCAAGCCCUAACAAAACUAACUCGAUUACAUGAUAAAUCUCAUCCAACCUAUCACUGUCUAGCGAGCCUGCGAUGGAAUUACUCACUCCCGGCGGCGAGCGUCAUGAAAUUGGUGAUGGAGGAAGGUUGAUGAUGACGACGACGUCGAUUUUCACCCUCCGUAGCCCUGAACGGAUUCCAGAUCAGCCCUCCCGAUGAAGAAAAGGAGGUGGCGGCGGCUCCGUAUCGUAAAACACGAUGAAUCAUUCUCUCUGGGUUUUUUCUUGGCGAAUAGGAAUAUAUUGGAGUCAGAGCUAGGGUUGCCGGAGGUCCAGGGAGCCCACAAACUCACAGAGCGCGCCCUGGGGGAUGGGAGCACCCCCUGAGCUUGUGGUUCCUGGGUGGCCCCCCUCUGGUACAUUUUUCACCAGUAUUUUUUAUAUUUUCCACAAAUAUUCUUUGUAAAUUUUCAGGUCAAUCCGAGAACUUUGAUUUCUGCACAAAAACAACACCAUGGCAAUUCUGCUGAAAACAACGUCAGUCCGGGUUAGUUUCAUUCAAAUCAUGCAAAUUAGAGUACAAAACAAGAGCAAAAGUGUUUGCAAAAGUAAAUACUAUGGAGACGUAUCAACUUCCCCAAGCUUAACUCAUUGCUUGUCCUCAAGCAAUUUAGUUGACAAACUGAAAGUGACAAUGAAAUUUUUUUACAAACUCUGUUUGAUCUUGUUGUUGUAAAUAUGUCUAGCCAAUGUUCAGGUUUUCAGCAAAGAUUAUGAAGUAAUCAUAUUGACAAUAAUAUUUAGAUAACUCGGAAAAGAUUAUGAAGUAAUCAUACUCACAAUAACCAACUAGCAAGCAAUAAUAAUAUAUCUCGAAUGACAACACUUUUUCAAAAUAAUCAUGAUAUAAUAUGACAUGAUGGUAUCUUGUUAGCCCUUUCUGAGAUCGCAAAACAUAAAUGCAGAGCACCUCCGGAGAUCAAGCACUAACUAGACAUUGUAAUUCAUGAUAAAAUAGAUCCAGUCACACUCAUACUCAACAUCGACAUUACACACGCACACGGGUUUGAAGCAUUUGUGGUGUUACCGUCAAUCGCACACGCAUGUGGAACGAAAACAUGUGUGGUAUUGCACAUGCAUAUGAGAUGGGACUAUGUGUCGUGCCGCUGAGAAUCGCACAUGUUAUCCGUCAAAGAAUAGUGUGUACUAUUCAUCGCACACGUUAUUUUCUUUCUAACCGUACCCUAAUUUAUUCCCUGCUAUUUAUUAUUUUUUUGACAAUUUAUUAUUCAAAUUUGAAAUUUUGAAUUAUGAAGUGUGGAAUUCAAAUAUUUCACACCAUCAUACAUACCCUAUUUACAAUGGUUCAACAAUUAAUGCAUAAAUCAAAUUCUCAAUACAAUAUGUUCAAUAAUUACAGAAUUAAUUAACUAUGAUGAGCCACAAUAUAUAGAACUAGAGGCGGUAAAGCUGAAGACAGAAGUGUAAAUCAUUUUGACUGCCGAUGGUGUUGAAGAAGCGGAAUGCCCAUAAUGUGCCUCCUCCAUGCAAAAGACGCAUCACAACUUUUUUCCAACCCCUUGUGAUGACCGCCGGCCCAUCCUUCAUUAUCUUUAGGAAGACUUCUAAACCAUUUUCAUGGUAGUAUGAAUUAUAUAUUUUGACCUUCGUUGCCUCCAUUGCUGUCAUGAAGUUUGCACGGCGGUCAUGAGUAAAUUGCUUCGGAAACCACUGAAAAGAGAAAACUUUCAGAUAUUCAUGUCUAAUACAGUAACUCUUUGUGGGCAGGAAAAAAUGCAAAAGAUUACUUACCAUUCUAAAGUUCACUGUUGUAUGAAAUCGUUUGCGAUAAAAACUGAAUUUUGGAAACCUGGUCUCAAAUAGUACAUGAUAAUUUGCAUAGUGUUCAAAUAUUUACCACAAAAUACUGAGGUCAUAUCAUGACAUCAUGCCAGGUAUCAUUUUUUAGGCAUGUUUUUUUAUUUUUCUAGAGUUAAAAAACCAACAAAUGACACGUUGAACCGGUUUAAAAAUAGAGAAGGAAUUGAACCGGAUAGGACGGGAAGAUGGAGCCUAUGUAUGGAAACAUGGACGGAAUGAAGUAUUACUAGAAGAUAUAAUAAGGGUUUAUCUAGUUAUUGCACAUCUAAGCGACACAAACAAGUAUAAAAAGGAAAGAAAAAGAAUUAAAAAAUACCCCGUGUAAGAUCAAUGACAUAGGAAUUAAAUAUGCAAUACUUUUUUUAACACAUAUGUGUAAUACUUAUGACACAUCUAGAUUUUCUUUUAGAAAAGGAUGACACAUCUAGAUGUGCUUUAGCAAAACUGAUAUAAUAAACAUAUAUAUGAUAUCGUAUUGACAGGGUUUGGAAUUUCCAUCUCUUUUUCCGUGUUUCCGAAUCACGACGCAGCUCAACCGCUCUAGACAGAUGCGCAGGUGCGUGCCCCCACGAAUUUUCACAAAUGAAUCCUAAAAAAGAAUGUGUGUUAUAAUCCUACGAAUCAAACAACUCGUGUAGUAAAAAAAUCGUAAGGAUUAGAAUCAUCCAAAAUUCAUCUAUAAAUCAUCUGAAUCAAAGAUGGUUAGUGAUGCUCUUAGGUGGUGCAAGACGAAAUAAAUUGCACGAAGGUGCGUCACGUGUCGUCAAAGUCUGGUUACAUAUUUAUUACUGACUAGGCAAAAGAGAUAGUACAGCUGGUCGAGCAAGACGAAAAACAGUUAUGUAGCUGAUACAGAUCAUGAGCAUGAGUCAUACAGUACAUAACUAUAGCGCAUUGGGAGCAAAACUUCUCUCAAACAACCCGUGUGGGCGUUCCGUCACCCUCUGCAUCACUCAUCGUCAGCGAAAAAGAAGUCUGAGUCAUAGUCGUCAAGCUUCAAAUCCGGCAAGCCCUGGUAAAACUCAGCCUCGACAGAAUCCUCCACUGCCUGUGGUGCUUGUGGCACGAUAGCAGCAGCACCCUGAGCAGCCGCAUCUUGGAGUGGAAGCAGAGCCGGCUGGGCAGGCGGAGCAGGCGGAGCGUCGAGCAUGGCGUUGAUUAAGGCAAUGCUCCCGUGGCGGCGUCUGGUUCUCGGCCUCCGUACGGCGAGGGAGUUCACACCACUGGUCUCGCCCUUCGUGAACAGCCUCUCCAGCCCUUUUUGCCUGAUGAUCCAUUCAUCAAAGUGGAUCCACGGGUCGGAAGCAAUCAUGUCACUCUGAUUUGGGUAACUGAAGCGAGCUGCAGACAGAAAAUGCAUCAAACAGUACAAAUUAAGGACACUGGAGAAUGCAUUAAACACCACUUGGAAAUAUGUAAAAACUCCACCAACAGGCCAUGAAGCAGGUACGUUUUUUCACCAUGUGCUUUGAAGAUAAAAUCUUACAUACAAAUAUAGUGUACACAUGAUUUGGCAGCGUUUAUAUAUGAAACUGCAAUCGCUCUGACAUUUUCCAUAUGCGAGGCAUAAGCUCAAGAUAUACUUUCCUUUAGUGGUUGUCUUCUAAUAAGUGUGCACACAACUAGUACUAGUUCUUUUGUUGAUUGAUAUAUACAGUUUACAUUUUCAGUAACAUGGCAAUCGCCACGGCAUCGGCAUUGACAAUUUCAGUCAGCUAAGACAAUUUCUGAGUUUAGGCCAACCAAAAUCCUUACAUUGAUCUUACCGAGGUUUCAGGACAUGGUGUAAGAGCACUUGCACUAACUGAAGGUAGCCUACAAACUAGUAUUGUUAUUUCUUAUACCUGUGUAUGUAAACUUGUUAUCCUGUCAUUAUAAUUUUGAUCAAUGGUUAAGUAAAAUUGACAACUUACGUAAUUUAGCAAGGAAGAACAAUCACCAAAACACUAAUCGACUUACGUAAUUUAGCAAGUAAGAUGUAAUGCCUAACUUCAAAUAGCAAUCGCCACGGCAUCGGCGUUGACACUUUUCAGUCAGUCAAGACAAUUUCUGAAUUUAGGACAAAAUUCUUACAUUGAUCUUAUAUACUGAGGUUUCACGUCAUGGUGUAAGAACACUUGCACUAACUGUAGGUAGCCUGCAAAGUACUACGUAUUCUUGUCUCUUUUACAUGUGUAUAUGAACUAGUUAUCCUGUCACUACAGUUUUAAUCAAUUGACAAGUAAGAUUGACAACUUUUACUCACGUAAUUUAGCAAGGAAGAACAAUCACCAAAACACUAGUACACGAUUUCUUAUAUAGAGAGAACGGCCCUCACAAAUUGAAUAUACUAAUUUGUUAGUACUCCCUCUGUCCGAAAAAGUUUGUCCCUUAAAUAAAUGUAUUUAGCACCAAGUUAGUGCUAUAUACAUCUAUUUGAGGGACAAACUUGGGACAAGUUUUUUCGGACGAAGGGAGUAGUAAAUAGUGUGUACAGUUCAAAAGUUGAGCUUGUAGGCAGAAGCAUGCAGUUGGACUUGUAAGUUUAGGAUAUGGCCGUAAACACUUGCACAGUUGAGCUCGCAAUGUGACACUGGUGUUUUGGUAAAUAGCCGCAAAUAUGCUCAUGCCGGACGUGCGCCGCUGGCUCACAUUGGCACCACCCAAACUUGCACAGGUGAUAAAACAACUCAACUGUAACCGCAACCAUAAGUAACAAGGGGAAUAUAUCACCAAAACACUUGGACCGGGAACUAAGACUGCACGUUUCUGCUUGCAAUCCGAGCAGAAUAUUAAAUAAGAUCGUUUGAUGUCCAGGGGUCGUCGCGCACCCAGAUUCGAAUCACGUACGGAGCAGAUGGAAAGGAAGAAGACGCUCAGGCACACCAAUUUUACCUUGAGAUGGGCUCCCGCCGAAGGACCCUUCAUCGAGGUGGACGUAGCGUCCCCUGCAAAUUUUGCGGGUACGACGGCAAAUCAGGCAAGUCCACGCAGUUUCCGCAAUCCAAAUCGCAAAAAAAAAAGACAGAAAAACACGGAGGAUCUCCCGAACACCACCACCUUCUCUGCGCUUCGUACUCGCUGCGCCGUGCGACCGCCUCGCGCCGCUGCCUGCGCUGGACCACACGAGCCCUCACCUCGCCCUCGCUCUCUGAAUCGCUCCAGUUCUCGCCGCCGCUGCUCAUGGUGCUCUCCAAGGAGAAGGUUUUGGGACGGUGGGGUUUUGGUCCCUCUCCCUCGACUCUUGCUCUGUAUAAGCCUCGGAUGCGCUUCACCUUUAGACAACUGGAGGAGCGUAUAGACUCGGUCUAUGGGUUCACCAAAAAGGAGCCAUGCGUCAGCGUACAGAGUCACACGCAGACCCCGGCCUUCCUUUCCUUCCUCCUCAUCCCCCGUCUUCACCUGUUCCUCAACUCACCGUCUUUUAUGUUUACUUUAGACCCUGAUUUGAAAUUCGUAUUUUUCUUGCGAUAUAAGAGCAACUCCAAUGAGAAAACCCAUUUCGUCGCCGCCGUCCGUUUGGGUCGGCGCGGACACAAAAGGCGGCCCAACUCGCCGACCCAAACAGACGCGUGUCCACUUGGCGUCCGCAUGGCGACCCAUUCCCGGCCCAUUUUUGAGCCGGAUUUGCGUCCGCGCGGACACGAGACGGACGCGCGCGCGCCUCUACUCCUCUCCCCGGACCCGCCGGUCGGUGGCAGCCACCAUCAUUUCCCCCAUUUUCCCCAAAAACACUCCCGCCCGCGCGCUCGCUCCCGCCCCAACCAGCCAUGGACGACGCCAUCGACCUCGACGCCGCCGCCGGCCUCGCCUCCCUCGCCUCGUCCGGCGCCGCCGCCCCUGCCGGUAAAGGCAAGCCUCGUGCCCCGCGCAAGACGGCCGCCACAGCCAAGCCAAAGAAGACACUGACGCCCGAACAGCGCGCACGCGAGUCGGCCAAGAGGAAGGGCCGGAGGCACGCCGCGGACGCGAGGGAUGAGGCCGCCGCUCAGGCCGCCGUCUUCGCCGCCGCUCAGCAGGAGGUCACCAACGCCCGCGUCGCGGCGGCAACGAAGGAGGCGCUCUACAUGCUAGGGUUAACCUAGCCAGCACGGCCUCGUCCAAGCCGCCGUCGCCGCGGCCAGCACCGGCUCGUCGGUGUUUCCUCGGAUGGUGCUGCCCGACUCGCCCCGCGCGUCGGCUUGCAACCCGAUCCCCGGCUUCCACGUCUGCCCGCAGGCCUCCCGCCUCUCCGGGGAGUGCUCGCCCGAAGUGAGCGUGAUCGCGCCUUUCACGCCCGCGCCCGUGCCCAUCGACCUCAACUCCACCCCGGCGGCCGGUGGCUCGUCAUCCGGCAGCGCGAGGAAAUGCGCGCGGCAGACGCCGGCUGGCGUGCUCCCGGACGCCCGCAACCUGUUCGACGAAAUGCCGUCCGCUGCCGACGAGGACUACAUGCAGAACCUCAUCUUAGAGGGCGGUGCGCCGGCCGCUGGCUACGAUCCCGACGAGACACAAUGCCAGGACGGCCGCGGGGCGUUCACGCCGGCCGCUGGCUAUGAUCCCGACCAGGCGGCCUUCAUGCGUGAUCAGGUCGGCAUCGACCUGGACGGCUUCCCCCUCGACCACGAGUUUCCGGACGACUACGGGCUAGAGGAAGAGGACGAGUGCGACAUCGACGUGGAGCCUUUGUUCGAGGACGAGCUCGCCAACCAAGCCGCCGGUCCUAAGCCGAAGCGCAAGAGCAAGCGUACGAAGGCGUACACGGCGGCCGAGGACAAGCUUCUUUGCGAGUGUUGGCGAGACAUUGGACAAGACCCCAAGAUGGGCGCCGAGCAAAAGCAUUCAACCUUUUGGAUUCGUGUCCACCGAGAUUUUCAUGAGCGCAAGAAGUUUCCGCCUUACCAAUUUGUGAGCACGCGCGGGUGGGUCUCCAUUUUCAAGCGGUGGAGGGUGAUCCAACAAGAGUGCAACAAGUUUUGCGCCACUCUUGAGAGCGUCAAGGCCCGCCCCAUGAGCGGCAUCGGCAUGCAAGACAUGGUAUGCUAGCAAGCCGCCCUCUUUUGUGUCAUCAAGUUCAUCCUUUGCAUGUUCAUUUGCAUAUCACUUGCCCAUAUGCUUGCAUGGAAACAUUUUUGUAGGCAUUUCAAGCUUUGGGGGCAUUCAAGGUUCAACACAAUGGCAAGUGCUUCAACCUCUCCCAUUGCUAUCGGGUCAUCAAGGACGAGGAGAAGUUCAAGGCGCAAUAUGACGCACUCAAGUCGCGUGGGGGGAAGAAAGCCGUGGAGGAUGUUGGGGAGGGCGAGCCGACACAGCCGCGGGGGAAGACCAACUCCAAGAAGGAGGACAAGCGAGAUGCGGCCACCAACGCUUUGAUCGCAAGCGUGGACAGCAUGAUGAAUAAGAAGGACUCAAGGGAGGAGGAGCGCCGGCAUUUCAAGGCGGAUCAAAUGGAUGCUUUCAUGGAGAUCCAAAGGAGGAGGCUUGACCUGGACGCCGAGAAGCAAGCCAAGAUGUUCGGGUUAGAGGCGGAGAAGCAAGCCAAGAUGCUAGAGAUCGAGGCCGCCAACGCCAAGACCAAGGCGAAAGAAGUGGCUCUCGCGAGCAUGAUGACCGGGGUGGAGAUCAUGAAGGUGGAUCUCAACACCGUGUCGCCAAGGAAGAGGCCAUGGUUCGAGAAGAUGCAGGCCGAUAUGCUCAAGUUCAACGACGAGUGAUCUAUGGCGGCGAGCGCCAUCUUUUUUGUAUGCCGGCAGGUGUGCCGGCAUGACCACGGGAGCCGCGAUGGCGUGAUCGAACUCAAGUCCCACCCUUUUUUGUGUGCUGACAUGUGUGCCGGCCGGCUGGCGAGUGCGCCGGCAUGAACUGUGGUGAUAUUUUCUGAAGCCGGCAUUGUAUGCCGGCACUGGCAUGGUGCCGGCAUGAGACAUGGCUGCUGGCAUGAUCGUCCGCCGGCCUUUUUUUAAAAGUUGAAUGCGGACAUGAAAUGGGUCGGCGCGUUGGGCGCACUGCCGACCCAAAUGCAAAACUGGACGGACGCGGGCAGGCGGCCGACCCAAACGGACAAAAAGCGGACAAAUGCGCCGUCCGUUUGGGUCGGACCAUUGGAGUUGCUCUAAUACCUUUAAAUACGAUUGUAACAAGCUUAAGUGAAGGAUCUUUUUUUUUGAACAGUUUGUUCAUCCAAUUCUGUGAUAAUCAAACAGUGUGUUCUCAAUCUUUAUUCAUUUUCAUAUCUUUUUUUUCAGAUAUAUACUAGCAGCACAUGUUAUAUAGUAAAAUGAACCUUAGCAAAAAAAAUGCUCAGCUCUGAUUAGGGUUCUAUCUAAAUUAAUCUUCAAAUACUUGCUUUCCAUGUUAUAGUCCAGCAAGUCUAUUAGGCAAAAACUACAUUUGUAACUUCACAAGAUGAUCAAAUGCUCAAAACCAAAAGACAAGUUGAUUUGAAGCACUCCCGACAGUAAGCAAUGAUGCUCAACACUAUAGCACAACAAGAAAUCCGUGCAAGACAUCAGGGAUUGAAACAAGAGAAACAUUUUAUUCUCAGGAUUAAGCAAGUGCUCCUCCACACAAAGCAAACAGACUUAAUCCAAUGCGGAACCCCAGGAUUACAACAAGAAAUCCAUGCAAAAACCUCAGGGAUUCAAACAGUAGAAACAUUUCAUUCUCAG
rnacentral:lncRNA from 1 species